CGCAACUUCAUGUCUACUAACCACAGUAGGCGCAAGUUCAGUGGAUAAAGGUGGCGCAAAUUCAAGUGGCGCCAUUUCAAGACUUAACCAGGGUUAGUUAGUGACAAGUCUAUAAAUACCCAUGGAUUUUGUUAUCAUUUGUAACACUCUUCACCACCUUUAUGGUGGAAUGGCUUUGUGCCUUGCACACUACUACACACAAAUAAACUCUAGCUUAGUUUUGUAUUAUAUAUAUAUAUAUUUAGAAGCUAGGGUUUGUGAGUGUAAGUAGUAGUAGCCAUUGUAGCCAACCUUCGGGUUUGGAUUUAUAGCACCCUUCGAGGUAUUUAUCAAUAUACAGAUAUACCUUGGAAAAUAUUGUGUGUUGGUUUAAUAUUUUCAUAUCCUCAGAAACCGACCCAAUAAAUAUCCGGAACACGAAACCCAUUACAGAACUGCAAUUUGUUUAUCCGCAAGAUUCGAAAGAAUUUUAAAUUGUAGUGAGUAUCGUAUUCAACCCCCCCUUCUACGAUACUUUGGACCUAACAAGAUUAUAUGUUCUUGUGACCUCAACACAAAAGUGUGUUGGGAAUCCAGGUUAUUAUAUGCAUUUUUUCAGUUUCAUGUCUUAACCCUUUAGUUUCACGUAUAUGCUCCUAUUAUUAGAAUACUAGUAAUAAAGUUGUUCCUUAAUUUAGACGAUUCCUUAUUACUUAACAUAGUUCAUAUUAUCUGCUUUGUUUUAUAUAUGCAUGUGUUGUAUGUGUGUAUGUUUAUGUUUUUAGUGUUGGAAUGAUUCUUUUUAAGUUUUGUAAUACUUAGGUUGUUUUGUUUCUAGGUUUUCUAGUAAAGGUGAAAUCUUUGAUUAAUUUGGCCUUCUUUAGAGAUACUGGUUGCUAUCUUUCAUGAAAUAUUUGAUAAAUUUCAUUACAGUGGGAAGCUCUUUCAGCUUGUUUAGUAGUUACGCUUUAGUAGUUGUUCUGAUUUGUAUUCUAUUUUAUUGAUUUUGAUUUUUUGAUUCUUUUUGUAUUGAAUUUAAUUUGGGAGUUUCAUGUAUUCAUUCUAAUUAUGUAAUUUACUUUAUGUAGGAAAUUGUUACCCUUCGAUUUUUUGAUGGAAUUCCUACAAAACACCAUGCAUGCAUCUGGUUCAUCUGCAUCAGUUGACCCCGGAGGUAAAAAUCUUAACUUCCAAUAUCUUUUUUUGACGCUGGAACUUUAUGAAUUUUAGGAGAUUUUGGGUUAUAGAGCAAUCUAUUUAAAUUUGUUUAUUUUUCAAGCAUAUAGGACAGGGGCGGAUCCAGGAUUUUGAUCUUACCUGGGCUAAAAAAAAAUUACCCUAAAAAAUACACUUUUUGUGUUUCUUAUAUUUUUACAUUUUUUUCAUUUUUCGAUACGCAUUUUAAACUGCAUAUAAACAUGGCUGCAUAAUUUUUUUUCAAAUUUGCUUUUUUGUAUAAAAAUGUAAUAAUAAAUAUUUAUUCAGAAAAAAAAUUCAAAAUAAUUUAUUAAACUAUAUUUUAUGAGAGUAUUAGAAUACGUAGUAACAUUUAAUAAAUAAACAUUAAUAUAAGACAAAAUUUCAUUCAAAUUAUUAAAAUUAAUAACAAAAUAACAAUUCUUAAUUGUCAUAAUCCUUCAAAUUGUAGUAAAAAUAACUAAUCAUAAGAAUAAGCACCUUUCAAUAUAUAAAAGACACUCGUAUAAAUAUAUAAUAUAAGAUACAAAAUUGAAACAGUUGCUAGGUGGUUAAAGAAAACCGUUGCUCGCCUGUGCUUCUUUAGUAAUUAAGGAGUUAUAAAUUUUAAAAAUAAUAUACACAUACUUAUCGUUUUGUACAGCCCAGGCGUGAUGCGGCUAAACUACAGAAGCCCAGCUUCACAUACUUUCUCCUAUAUAUGGACCGGGCUGAGACUCUAACACUACAUAUUACUAAUAAUAAAAAGUUUUGUUUUAAAAUUUUGACCUGGGCUUUAGCCCACCGCAGCCCAGCUGCAGGUUCGCCCCUGAUAUAGGAUUUGUAUUGCAGAUUUUGACCAAUUUAAAGUAACUUGCAAUUGUCUUUUAUUAUAACUUAGAUUUCCACGUAGAUCUCGAUCUUCGUUCCAUUUGUCUUGCAAAAAUUGGUGUAAUUGACGAGGGAUGUAGGGGAACACUUAAAGAGGAGGAUAAAAAUGUUUUUGAAAGGUAAUCUAACUAACUUAGAUGCAAUAUCCACCUUCAUGUGUCUUUUAAUUUGUCUUCAUAUUUCUUAUACUUCUUGUUAUUAUGUUAUUGUAGUUUAUCGGUUGAAGUAUUUCACUCUGAUGAUUGUAAAGGAGAAGCUGAUGCAACGGUAAGCCCACAUGGAUUCUCAUAUGCAUCACUAAUGUGGCAAACGUAAACAUGUAAAUUUUUUCGACAUGUGUGAUAGCUAUAUUGAAGCUGAUGCAACGGUAAGCCCACAUGGAUUCUCAUGUGCAUCACUGAUGUUGCAAACGCAAACAUGUAAAUUUUUUCGACGUGUGUGAUACUUGUGAACCCACCGAUGAAUGUAUAAUCAAUGCAAUCGACAAAGCAAUUAAGGAUGGUGUUAAGGUUAUUUCGAUGUCCCUAGGAUAUGAUGCGGAAGUAGCACAGAAAAUUCGACAUCCAGGAAAUGAUGUAGUUGGGUUGGAGCUAUUACAUGCAAUCGAAAAAGAAGUGUUAACAAUUGUAUCUAUAGGCAAUGAAGGGCCAAUCAAAGAAUCAGUUGUGUGUUGUAGGCCAUGGACCAUGAUAGUUGGUGCUUGUACAAAUGGGAAUAUACUGGAAACCAUAGUAGAGAUUGCCAUAAAAGAUGAGAAUGAAGGCUUCAUGUUGCUAUAUACUAGGUUAAAGGUACUAUUAUCUGGGUUUUAUUAUUAAUACAUAUAACAAACCUCAUUCAUGUCUAACAACAUUGCUAAAUAUUUAUUUCAUACUUGUCAGGGAGCUUCUCUCAACGUGAUUGACACACAGUUUCUUAAACUGAGGUACACAUAAUUAGAGUUUUUCAAUCAAUCAAUUAAGUUUUAUUUUCUAUUAAUUAAAGUAGAAUUAAUUUCACAAUUUUUAUUGCAUAUGUCAAAUGAUUAUUAUUGUGUUGUGUCACAGGGUUGAUGAAAAUGCAUGGAGUAAGGAGGGUUUUCUACAUGCAUCCAAUGAGGAAUGUUGCUUGAUUCCAGCUACCCCAAAUAAAAGCUCAACAUUGUUGACAUGUUUCAAUGUAACGCCGGAGGUUACAAUUAGUAAAGCACAAAUGCAUCAAUUGCACACAUUAUAUAUGGAACAUGGGUAUAUAUUUUCUCAUCUAUCCUUGAUUUACCUGAAUUUAAAGGGUUAUUAAUUGCAUGCUAGUCUAAAUUGAUGAACUGUUGCCUAGCAAAAAAAUAGAGUCCCUAUAUCUUUGUGGUUAGUUGAGAACACUUGAUAAAUGGUACUGCUGCUUGUCUGACUUGCUACUAUUUGACAUAAAUUAUAUUCCUGUUGACAGGGAAUCACUCUAUGUACGAUUUCUGAAAAGUAAAUAUCAAAACGAUAAUCGAAAUGUUUUUAUGUCAAACUUUUCUUCGAGAGGUCCAUCAAGGUUAUAUGAAGAUAACAUGAGUGUAAGUUUUCUUUCUUCUUUUUUACAUUAUUCUUCUAUUUUAGUUGCUGGGAAUUUCCUUGUAUUUGACAAUUUGUUUAAGCAUUUAAAAAGAUGGUCUUGUUUUUCUGGUGUUAAAUGUUAUUGACAUUUCAGAAACAACAUAUUGUUAAUAAUUUAAGUGUAAUCAACUCUCUUCAUUCUUAUGUACUUCACCCUAGUCAAAGUCAUAAUAGUUUUUUCAUAUGAUUACAACUGUGUGCAAAUAAUUCAAUACUUUAGAUUAAGCGACAUUACUUCAUUAUGAUCUUGUUUUUUUGGUGUUGAAUGGUAUUGCCAUUUCAGAAACAACGUAUUGUCAAUAGUUUAAGUGUAAUCAGGGACUUAAAAAAACACAGAGGUUAUAACUCAACCUUAAAAAAUUCAUAACUUAAGCUGCAUAUAUCGGUUUCUUAAGAUUCAAGAUGCUCUAGAAACCCUAUAAAAUUUUCUAAAACCUUGUAGCUUCAUCUAUUUUAGAUUACCGGUUGUUCUACGACAAAAUUUUGCUUUAAACUAUAUGCAAGUUUUCAGUUUUCUUAUUUGCAUAUUUUUAUGAUUCAAGAUGUUCAGGAAACCUAUAAAAUCUAAACCAUGCAGCUCCCUCUAUUUUAGAUUACCAGUUCUAUGACAGAAAUUUGUUUAGAAAUUUGCUUUAGACUAUAUGCAAGUUUUCUGUUUUCUUAUUUGCAUAUCUCUUAUAUAUUAUAUGACUAUAUGUAUUUUGAUUAUUUGUGAAAUAAAUUGUCAACGUUUUUGCAGCCAGACAUAGUUGUUGUAGGUAGUGCAGUCCUCGUGUCACAUACCACUUUUGUUCCAUUAAAUAUGGUGGAAGGGUGGUAUCGAAACUGCAUAAUUGAGUCAGGAACGUCGUAUGCUUGUCCACUAGUAGCUGCAUAUGCUCUUAUUGUAUAUUCUUGCCAUCCCGAAUGGAGUCCAUUAGAAGUCAAAUCAGCUCUAAUAACCACAGGUAAUUUAAAAUAAAAAAUAAUUAGUGAUAAUGUGAUACUGCAUGUUAUUCUUAUUAGAGUAAAGUGCACCACUUUGGGUGUCAACCCACUUGAAAUAGUAGACUUUUAAAACUACCAAUUGCUAUUUUAGAUUUAUAACUUUUUUACAAUGUAUGUACUUUCGUCGAAUUAAUUGAACACUGUUAGGAAAUUCAGGGGUAAAUUCAUCGUUUACCUAUCAUCUUCGUUCAAGAAUUCGUAUGUUACAAAAUUCAAUUAAUGUAUAGACUUUUUAGUUAUGUCCUUUUAAAUUGUUUUCACCAAAUUAUAAUAUUGAUAGUGAAAAUCAAUAUCAAAGAAAAAGAUGACUAUGUCAAAACUUGAAUGAUUUGAUUUCACUAUGAAAUGAAAAAGAAAUUCAAAUUUUAAUUUCUCAAAAGUUUCAACAAUGAUGGAGAUGGGUUUGAGGAAGAAGAUGAUGACAAAGACUGAAAUGCCUUUUAAAAAAGUUAAAAAUUAACGGAGUGACAUAAGUGCACACAUUAUAAAAGUUAGGUAUGUCAAGUGGUAGUUUUAGAAGUCUAGUGUCAAGUGGUGCGGCACAAACUGUAAUUUACUCUUAUUAGUUAUUAAACUUUUAUAUAGUUGCCUUUUUUUUGUUAACAUUAAAAUGUACUUUUAUGUAGCUUCAAGCUUUGCAGCGACAUGCAUCCCAGGUAGCGAAUUCGCAUAUGGCGCUGGAUCAACUAACCUGGAACUUGCUCUGAGUCCAGGCCUUGUUUACAAUGAAAGUUAUGAUAGCUUCGAAGAGUAUGUUGAACAUAGGCGUACAAUUUUUGACCUGAAUCUCCCAACUUUUGUGGCGUCUUUCUCUUAUUCUCAUUUGAGUUUUGAGCAAAUUUUUAAACGUGAACUAACAAAUGUUGGUGAAAGUGCUGAGGAGUACACAUUCAGUGUCCAAAUAUUCAAGAAUACAUUAGAUCCUGAAGUUGAGAUCAAAGCAAUACCUAGCUGUCUAAAAUUUGAGCCUGGGGAGAAGCAAAAAUUCGAGUUGCACGUGAGAGUUCUUCCUUAUUCUUGUCCAGGAUCUGAACUAUCUGGGAUGAUUAUUUGGGAGUCAAGUACAGGUGGGCAAACCGUUCGCAGCCUGAUUCAUCUUUAUCAUCUAAGCAAGUUUGACAAAUUAGUUUGGUAUAAGAUGGACGAUGAUGAAAAUGAGAUGGACGAAGGUUGGGUGGACGACGAGGAAUGAAGAUACUGAGCAUUAUAUAUAUUCUUAUGUAUUAUGUAAUUGGACUCUUUAGUAUUAGUCAGAAACCUUUUUUCUACUUGUGUUUAUUGAUUUGCAAUGUUUUAGGGGCUUGAAAAACAAUAGUUUAAUAUUUUCUUAAAGAUGCAUCCAAUAUUAAGGCUAAAUUACUUUCAUUAGAACUGAAUCGAAGAUGCAACCUAUAUAUUUGCCAUGGUACUCAUUCAAACAGCUUCCACCAGUUUUUGGAGGGCCUUAGGCAUAUUAACAUAGGUAAAGCAAGCAACGGCAUGGUUGAAUACUUAUAGUUGUGACAUGAAACAUAGUCUAUGCUCUAUAGCCUGGAAGGGGUAAAACACUAGUAGCUUAUUAUAUUAUUAUUUAUGUUUGAGUUCCAGCAUCAGAUAUUAUGUAUUAAUAUCCUGUUAAUUCACAGAGGAGCUCAGAAAGGUUGAUAAUCUGUUAGAAAAGUUGGACAUCGAUGACUGAUGGUAAUGAUCCUAUACAAACUUUUUAUGUUUGUGUCUGUGUUCUCUAUUCUGUUUUCAGAAUUUUUAUGUCUGUUCCCUGAUUGUUUUCAGACUUCGUAUUUCAUGACCUGUUCUGUGCAGACUGUUUAAGUGUUUGGGUUUUGGUUUAGUGUUUACCGUGUCUAAUCAAUUCUGUGUUCUCCAACUUUUCUGCAGUUUUGUGUUCUAUGUAUAAUGUCAAGACCUUGGUUGCGAUUCUGUGUUGUGUGCAGACUGCAGACCUGUUUCUAUGUUUCCCAGCCCAACAAUGAGGCUUCCUCAGCUCUUACCAAUUACCAUACAUUUCUUAGUGUGAUAGAAAAGAGUUAAACUUAAUUUGGCAACAGUAAAGUAAUUCUAUUUCCUUAAAUUUUAUAUGUGCAAUUAGGUUGCUGAAAUAUACAGUAGUUUUCUACCUCCUUUGGUAACUGCUGUCAAAUUUUGUCAAAAACUACUUUACAGAUUGUAAACAUAAAUGCCAACUAGGUUUGCGAUUAAUGAUUGAACUACUUCAGUCAUUAAAUUGUGAAUAAAGAAUUUCUAUUUUUUUGGUUUCUUAAUUGGCAUAUCUCUGUUUCAGCGAGUUCUAUUUUUUGAUUUCCUGAUAGAUUGCCGAUGGAAUUUUGUCUCUUGACAGCAUAGUGCUGUUAGUGUUGAGGGUUUUAAAGUUAGUGGAGUUCAAGGUAUCUGUGUUAUUAGUGAUGAUUACAGAGUAGUAUAAUGUUUAGCAAGGUUUUAGGUGCAGUAGAUUUUGUCAGUCCUAUUUUAGUUUGGUUCUGCGUUCAAUUUUCAGACUUUUGUGCCUGUGUUCCCUGUUUGCAGUCAGUCCUGUAUUAUGUGUGAUAUCCGAACCCGAACCCGAAAAUUUUCAUCAAACCCGAACCUGAACGGAUUUGAAAAACCAUAACCGAACCCGAUCCAACGGAUUUCGGACCGGGUUCGGGUUUUAUCCAAACCCGAAUGAAUUACCAAAUCCAGAGCGACGAUUUGAAAGAUGAAGCGGCGAAUAAAGUUGAACCACCAGAUCUAGGGUUCUGUAGUUGGAGGCGGAUCUCAGACUCGGACUCGGAGAAGCAGCAGCAGUGGGGUUCCAGGCGAUUUGAAAGAUGAAACGGAGAAGCGGCGAGGCGGCAAUUAGGGAUUCAUGACUGUGAGGCUGAGGCAGUGACUAGUGAGGCUCGCUUAGCUUUAACGCUUUGAACAAUUCAAUAGCAAUUUGCACGAUUGCACGUGACUAAUGAAUGACACCUAAACUACUUAAUAAUAUUGAGUAAUAUAAUAUAUAAUAUAUUGAAUAAUAUUUAUGGUCAAAAAUUAUAAAUAAUAUAUAUAAUAUGUAUAAUAUGAGUUAAGUUCUAUGGAGUACAUAAAAACAUUGGAGUAUUGGAGUACAAAUCAUAAUUUUUUAGUUUGAUCCUAUAUAAUAUCUUUGAUUAUCCAAAUUUUGAUAUAAUCUAUCAUUUAUAAGUUGUCUUGCACAUAAUUGUCAAUUAAUCAUUAAUAUCUUUCAACUUUAACAAGUAUUAAGAUUAUUGUUCUGCUUAUUAGUUAUAUUGCAGAACAUAGAAUCCUAUGAUUUAUAAAAGUAAUUAUUCUACCAUUUGAUCACGAUGUUUAUGUUCCAAAACAUGAUGUGCAGGUUGUCAAAUAUUUACAAAUAUUAUUGGACAAAAAAAAUUGAAAUUUAGAUGACUAGAUUACAUUUUAUCAAAUUUUGUACUCCAAUACUCCAAUUUUUUUUGUACUCCAUAGAACUUAACUCUGUAUAAUAUAUAUAAUAUAAUAUAUAUUAUUCGGAUUUUUUUUCGGGUUUCGAGUUUGGAUCAGGUUCUGAUCGGAUUUGGAUUUCGGGUCGGGUUUCGAUACGGAAUACCUAAUAUCCAAAUCCAAAUCCAAACUCGUUCGGGUCUAAAAAUAAAAUCCAAAUCCAAAAUAUCGGUUUCGGUAAAAUCCAUUCGGGUCGAAACGGUCGGGUAUCCGUUCGGAUCGGUCUUUUCUGCCAUCCCUACUGUAAAUAUAACCCCCAUAUUGCUUUUUCGUUUUCAAUUUUGUACACCUCAAAAUAUUACAGUUUGUGCCUCUACUUGUGUUGGAUUUUUAGUUGUCAAUUUAGGCAAUUCAAAAUGGUUUUUUAGGUAUCAAAAAUAGGUACAAAAUGCGGAGCUAGUAAUUAUUGAAUUGUACAUCUUGUUUUACAGGAAUAAAGGAAUGAAGACGGAUAGUCGGUGAAGGCCCUAGAAUGCAUGAUUUACUACCAUACUUUUUUUUUGGCAUUUAGAACUUUUUGGAUGAUGAAUUUAAUGGCGUUGUUUAAGUCUCUGGACAAUGUUUGUUUGAAGUUUGUCAUUACUUUUAUUCAGUUUGUGUAAACUUUAAUGAUAAGGUUGGAGUUUUUUUUUUGAUUGUAAGUAAGCUAUAUUUAUUUAAAUAUAUUGUGAUGUUUUUUUUUGUUUUUAGCUUUUUCCGGUUGUAAAACCGGAAAACCGACCGAGGUUUUAAUUACAACCGAAAAACUGAACCGAGGUUUUAAAAACCGAACCGCAUGUAAUUUUUGAUUUUUAAAAUUAAAGAGUUAUGAUUCGGAUUUUAUCAAAAAAAGGAGCGUUCGCGCUCCCCUAGCAGGUAUAAUGCCAAUAAUUAUAAGAAGAUCAAGUGAAAAUUAUAACCCACUAAACGCCAAAUAACCAAUCUUGACUUUUUUUAAAAAUUACCAAACUUGUUAUGCUAGUUGUCACAACGCUCACAAGUCGCACUUUUUUAUGCCUUUGAUUUUUCUUAGGUAAAUACUCCUUCCGUUUCAAAUUGAUUGACUUUUACACAUAGUUUAAGGUGCACUGACCGCAUAUUUCAGUUUAAUAUUUUUUAAAUUCUUUUUUGUGAAUAAAAAUUUAAAUUUAAAACUUUUAUUCAAUUUUUUUUUUGAAAAAUAUUGAACCAGGCUAUUUGGUCAAUACACAUUAAAUUACGCGUAAAAGUCAAGAAGGACAAUUAAUUUGAAAUGGAGGGAGUAUUAUAUUAGUUUGAAACCUUCUAUUAAAUUAUUUUAUAUUAAGGAUUAGAUAAUGAAAAGUAAAAAAAAAAAACUAAAAAUGUAUUAAAUACUGAAAAGUAAUUAUCUAAAACAAUAGCCCGGAUUUUAUAAAUCAACUAUUUUAUGUUUAUAUUAUUAUGUUUAUGUUUUUUUGUUUAACUAUAAGCUUGAUUAGGGUUUAAAAUUUGAAAAGAUGAUUCUUGUCGACAAAAAGUUGAUCACUGACGGUAUCAAGAAUGGGGAGAAGGUAAAUGCAAGUUGGUUUCAAUUUUUAUUUUCGUUUAGUAUAUACCCAUUGCCUACUUACUUUUCUAUCUCCUGCAGUAUCAAAUCUACCCAGAGGAUGUCGACAUCAGUAGAGUUCCUAGGAUUUUUCGCAGCUCCUAUGCUAAUGGCCAUGUGUUCUACACUCUACAGCUUUCCUCAAGAUGAUCGUGAACAAUUAAAAAUGCUAGGGCAACCCAGAUCAUUUCGAGGACCGCGUGUACAACGGCAUUGUAAGUGAAUGUUCAUUCUUGUGUGCUCUGUUAUAAUUAUGUGUAUUCGAGUUUGUUUGAAAAAACAUUGGAGUAUUGGAGUACAAAUCAUAAUUUUUUAGUUUGAUCCUAUAUAAUAUCUUUGAUUAUCCAAAUUUUGAUAUAAUCUAUCAUUUAUAAGUUGUCUUGCACAUAAUUGUCAAUUAAUCAUUAAUAUCUUUCAACUUUAACAAGUAUUAAGAUUAUUGUUCUGCUUAUUAGUUAUAUUGCAGAACAUAGAAUCCUAUGAUUUAUAAAAGUAAUUAUUCUACCAUUUGAUCACGAUGUUUAUGUUCCAAAACAUGAUGUGCAGGUUGUCAAAUAUUUACAAAUAUUAUUGGACAAAAAAAAUUGAAAUUUAGAUGACUAGAUUACAUUUUAUCAAAUUUUGUACUCCAAUACUCCAAUUUUUUUUGUACUCCAUAGAACUUAACUCUGUAUAAUAUAUAUAAUAUAAUAUAUAUUAUUCGGAUUUUUUUUCGGGUUUCGAGUUUGGAUCAGGUUCUGAUCGGAUUUGGAUUUCGGGUCGGGUUUCGAUACGGAAUACCUAAUAUCCAAAUCCAAAUCCAAACUCGUUCGGGUCUAAAAAUAAAAUCCAAAUCCAAAAUAUCGGUUUCGGUAAAAUCCAUUCGGGUCGAAACGGUCGGGUAUCCGUUCGGAUCGGUCUUUUCUGCCAUCCCUACUGUAAAUAUAACCCCCAUAUUGCUUUUUCGUUUUCAAUUUUGUACACCUCAAAAUAUUACAGUUUGUGCCUCUACUUGUGUUGGAUUUUUAGUUGUCAAUUUAGGCAAUUCAAAAUGGUUUUUUAGGUAUCAAAAAUAGGUACAAAAUGCGGAGCUAGUAAUUAUUGAAUUGUACAUCUUGUUUUACAGGAAUAAAGGAAUGAAGACGGAUAGUCGGUGAAGGCCCUAGAAUGCAUGAUUUACUACCAUACUUUUUUUUUGGCAUUUAGAACUUUUUGGAUGAUGAAUUUAAUGGCGUUGUUUAAGUCUCUGGACAAUGUUUGUUUGAAGUUUGUCAUUACUUUUAUUCAGUUUGUGUAAACUUUAAUGAUAAGGUUGGAGUUUUUUUUUUGAUUGUAAGUAAGCUAUAUUUAUUUAAAUAUAUUGUGAUGUUUUUUUUUGUUUUUAGCUUUUUCCGGUUGUAAAACCGGAAAACCGACCGAGGUUUUAAUUACAACCGAAAAACUGAACCGAGGUUUUAAAAACCGAACCGCAUGUAAUUUUUGAUUUUUAAAAUUAAAGAGUUAUGAUUCGGAUUUUAUCAAAAAAAGGAGCGUUCGCGCUCCCCUAGCAGGUAUAAUGCCAAUAAUUAUAAGAAGAUCAAGUGAAAAUUAUAACCCACUAAACGCCAAAUAACCAAUCUUGACUUUUUUUAAAAAUUACCAAACUUGUUAUGCUAGUUGUCACAACGCUCACAAGUCGCACUUUUUUAUGCCUUUGAUUUUUCUUAGGUAAAUACUCCUUCCGUUUCAAAUUGAUUGACUUUUACACAUAGUUUAAGGUGCACUGACCGCAUAUUUCAGUUUAAUAUUUUUUAAAUUCUUUUUUGUGAAUAAAAAUUUAAAUUUAAAACUUUUAUUCAAUUUUUUUUUUGAAAAAUAUUGAACCAGGCUAUUUGGUCAAUACACAUUAAAUUACGCGUAAAAGUCAAGAAGGACAAUUAAUUUGAAAUGGAGGGAGUAUUAUAUUAGUUUGAAACCUUCUAUUAAAUUAUUUUAUAUUAAGGAUUAGAUAAUGAAAAGUAAAAAAAAAAAACUAAAAAUGUAUUAAAUACUGAAAAGUAAUUAUCUAAAACAAUAGCCCGGAUUUUAUAAAUCAACUAUUUUAUGUUUAUAUUAUUAUGUUUAUGUUUUUUUGUUUAACUAUAAGCUUGAUUAGGGUUUAAAAUUUGAAAAGAUGAUUCUUGUCGACAAAAAGUUGAUCACUGACGGUAUCAAGAAUGGGGAGAAGGUAAAUGCAAGUUGGUUUCAAUUUUUAUUUUCGUUUAGUAUAUACCCAUUGCCUACUUACUUUUCUAUCUCCUGCAGUAUCAAAUCUACCCAGAGGAUGUCGACAUCAGUAGAGUUCCUAGGAUUUUUCGCAGCUCCUAUGCUAAUGGCCAUGUGUUCUACACUCUACAGCUUUCCUCAAGAUGAUCGUGAACAAUUAAAAAUGCUAGGGCAACCCAGAUCAUUUCGAGGACCGCGUGUACAACGGCAUUGUAAGUGAAUGUUCAUUCUUGUGUGCUCUGUUAUAAUUAUGUGUAUUCGAGUUUGUUUGAGAUUAUAAAUUAAUUGCAGUGAGUUACAAUCGAUCGAGAAAUCAAGGAUACUAACAAUCUCCCACUUGCCAUGGGAAAUCCACAAGGACUUGCAAGGUCAAGAAAACACAAACAUAAACGGUGUAGUUGAAAACAAAAAGGAAGAGAUGUAAGAAGAACAAGCUCAGGAGAGAUAUAGCCGAGGAAUGAAUCACAUUCUCUGUGGUUGCAUGAGGAGAAACUUUGGUUCAACCCCAAGAGCCACGACUAGCCAUGCUUUAGAAAGAAUGUUUUCUACUUCUAGGGUUGAGCCUGAGGAAGGUUUCUUAUAGAGUAUUAGUGCCAUAUUUUGAUAGAGGGUGAUAUAAAGACGACUACAUAGCCGUGCAAGUUUCCCCUCAUAUUUCAUUUUUCUUGGGAGAGAGAUGAGUCAUAAUAGUCAAGUACAUGGAGCUUAUAUUUACACAAGUAAUGGUAAUUAUGCAGGAUUUCAUUAGGAUCAACGGUCAAGACAGUAAUUUCGAACGUAUUGUUUAAUAGAAAAAACAAAAGAAACAGAGAAGAUCACGAGAGAUGAAGUAGGCAAAAAUACAAAAGAAUGCACUACAAAUUUCAUCAUUUUCUGCAUUGAAAAAAAUAUAAAAGACAAAAAUACUGGAGGAUGAAGAUUACAUGCAUAUUUUGACUGCAAGGAGAAUCCAGUACUCCAGUAGUGGUCCCUAUAGUACUGCUGCAUUGUAUUUUCAUUUACUAAAUAUCUAAAAUAUGCUUAAUACUGUAUUUCUUUGCAGCUAGUGUUCAAACUUGAAACAGAAGUGCACUAUUCCCCCGACCAGUAUUAUCCUAAUCCCUAAGUAGUCUCAAUGCAUAAAAAGUUACUCCCUCCGUUCCAACAGGUUGUUUACGUUCACUGUUUGCACGUAUUUUGAGGCUCUUAUAAAGUAUAGUUCGAUAACGUUUUUUUAAUAUAUUUUUUUUGUGAAUAUAAGUUUAAACGUCUAACUUUUUUUCAGGAUUUUUAAAAAAUAUAUAUAUAUAUUAUGGACCAGGUGGGACGGAGGUAAUACAAGUUGAGAUUAAAAAUAUAUAGAGUGCUAGGCAUUAUAUCUCUUAUAUAGAGUACAUGUUUGUUUUGUAUACUACCGACUAUAAGUUAAUAGGUUGGGUUCAUGUCGACUCUUAGAAACUAUUAUGUUGCUUGCAACACAUAUAUAUAUAUAUGCACUUUAUAUAAACAAUUUGAAGAUUUUCACAUAUCUGUUCCUAAUAAGCAUUGAUUGAAUAUUGCAAACAAUCGUUGUCAUAAACAAAAACUCGAUUUCCAUGGGAUAAUUAAUACCUCUUACAAAACAGUACGUACUAUAUAAAUUAGCUAAAGUGUAGUAAGUAGAGGGUGACAUAUAGAAUGUGCAGAGGUGCGGGGAAUAAUAAUAAUAAUGUCUGCAGCCGUGUAGGUGGAGGGUAAUUAAGAAGAAAGGGAAAGAAGAGAACAAAACAAAACCCCAGAAGAAGUUUGGGCUAUAUAUAAAUAAAUAUACGGAAUACAGUAAGAUGGUUGUUCAGGGCUCCUUUACAUUUCUAAUCAGCUUGAACGUAAAGUUUUCAAAACUAACCCCAAACUAAAUGUUAACCAAAGUAUAGGUCGGCGACCCCUGUGAUUAUUUUGCAGCAUGGGUCGCCUGUGUAUAGGGCGACCCUCACCGCUGGUUUGUUAAAAACUAAAAACGGGGAAGCACAUGGAAUGGUACAACUAACAUGUUAUGUUUUUUGAUUUUUUUUUCAUGUAAUUUUUGAAUGGAUUUGUGAAUAAGCACAUAUUUGUAAAAUAAAAAUAAUAAUACUAUAGUUAUAUUAUUUAUAUAUAUUAUAAUAAUAAUAAUAUUUGUAAAUUCUGAUUAUAACCGUUAUAUUUUUAAAUUCCGAUUAUAAUAAUAUCAUCUUACGAAUAUUUUUUUUCAAAGAAUAUUUUCUUCUUUUCUUUUCGAUUUCGUUUAUUAUGUUAACCCUAUUUGUAAAUAUAAUUCGAAUAGUUAAUAUUUUUAAAUAUUAAACAAUAAUAUUUGUUAAAAAAUGAGAAUAAUAUUUGUAAAAUAAUAUUGUUAUAAUGUAACACCCCAGUCCCACAUCGAGUCGUGUGAAGACUUUAGUUCAGUUUAUAAGCAUAAGUACUACUACCAAUUGCACCAACAAAUUAUGAUCUUUUGGGGGCCUGUGGUGGGCUUGUGGAUUACCCAAGUUGUUGCAAUUGGACCAGUUUAUUUCGGCUUAUUUCGGAUUCGGAUUUCGGGACUUGACCCGAUUUGCGAAAAAGACUCGGGAUUUGACCCAGGUUGUUUCAUAUGGUAUUCAGAGCAGGCUCUCGAAAACUUGAUUCGUCAAGUUGCCGGAGGUGGGGACACGAAGGCUGGUGGUAUUAUCCCGCAAUGGACAGAGAUCCGGAGGCGGGGACACGAAGCCAGCCGGUAUUAUCCCACAAUGGCUAGAGAGGUUCGAUCUGGGCCUAUGGGCUAUCCGUUUCGGCCUGACGAGGACGUCAGGAAUUUAAGUGGGGGAGUUUGUAACACCCCAGUCCCACAUCGAGUCGUGUGAAGACUUUAGUUCAGUUUAUAAGCAUAAGUACUACUACCAAUUGCACCAACAAAUUAUGAUCUUUUGGGGGCCUGUGGUGGGCUUGUGGAUUACUCAAGUUGUUGCAAUUGGGCCAGUUUAUUUCGGCUUAUUUCGGAUUUUGGGACUUGACCCGAUUUUCGAAAAAGACUCGGGAUUUGACCCGGGUUGUUUCAUAUAAUCAGAAUUUAUAAAUAUUAUUUGUAUAAUCGGAAUUUUCAAAUAUUAUUGUUAUAAUCGGAAUUUACAAAUAUUUGAAUUCUUUUUUUUACAAAUAUUAUUGUUUAAUAUUUACAAAUAUUAACUAUUCGAAUUAUAUUUAUAAAUAGGGAAAACAUAACAAAUAAAAUCAAAAAAAAGGAAAACAUUUGUAAAAAAAAAUAUUUGUAAUAUAAUAUUAUUAUAAUCAAAAUGUACAAAUAUUAUUGUUAUAAUCGGAAUUUUCAAAUAUUAUUGUUAUAAUAGGAAUUUUCAAAUAUUUGAAUUCUUUUUUUACAAAUAUUAUUAUUUAAUUUUUAAAGAAUGUUAACUAUUCGAAUUAUAUUUACAAAUACGGUUAACAUAAUAAACAAAAUCGAAAAAAAAAUAUUUUUUUAAAAAAAUAUUCGUAGAAUGAUAUUUUUAUAAUCGGAAUUUACAAAUAUUAUGAUUAUAAUCGGAAUUUACAAAUGUUAUUAUUAUAAUAUUUAUAAAUAAUAUUAUUAUAAUAUUAUAAAUAUUAUUUUAUAAAUACGUGGGUAUUCUUAAACUCAUUCAAAAAUUACACAAAAAAAAUUACUACCUCCAUCCCAAAUUAGAUGACCCUGUUGACUUUGGGCACGCAACUUUAGGUGCAUUGACCGUCUACUUCUGAAAUUUAUUUUUUUAAUUUUUCUUUUGUAAAUGAAACUUUCAUAUUUUAAUUUUUAUUUGCAAAAAUAAAAUUUUAAAAACAAGUCAUGUAGCUAUGCGGUCAAUGAAGUUUAAAUUGCGUGCCCAAAGUCAACAGGGUCAUCUAAUUUGGGAUGGAGGGAGUAAUCAAAAAAACAUAAGGGCAGACAUUUGAUCGCUCUAGUUUGUUUGAUUUACUCAGGGUCGCCCGAGUUUGGACGCGCACAGGGGUCGCCCCUGCCAGGGGCGACCUAUACUUUGGUUAACAUUUAGUUUGGGUCGCCCGAUUAUAAAUGAAUUAGACUGGUUAGUUUUGAAAAGUUGAACGUAGGCUGGUUAGUUUUGAUUUACGUUCAAGCUGGUUAGAAAUGUAAGGGAGCCGUUUUUUAGAGCUUCAACUUUAUACGACAACUCUCUCUGCUUGUUCCCCUUUUCAUACAAAUACAAAUACAGAUACAGUGCAUUUUUCAUAUAUAAUCAAUUUAUUCCCCUACCUAGCUAGUAGUUGAACUGAUUAAUUAUCCUGUCCACGCAUAGAGUAUAUGUAUUUGUGUGUAGUUGUCCUCACUCACAAAUCACGGUGAUGAAGGAGGCAGCAGUAGCCAACGAUGUAUUGGUGUGGUGGUGGAGCUCUUGUACCGCUUUGUGGGAGAUCGGGAGUUCGACUCUCCACGUGUGCGUGUGUAAUCAAUUAGUAAAAAAAAAAAAGGAGGCAGCAGUCCCAUGUGAAUCUAUAGUGAUCCUCUUUCAGGUUUCUGCUUAGCCAUGAACAUUUGCUACUAAAUUACUAAUGGUCAUGCCCCUAUGUAACAUCCAUUCUCAUAUUUAAUUAAUACCUCUGUUUAUUUUUUAAAAAUGUUUAUUUUUUAAAAAUAAACAAUUUCAAUUUAGUGUUCAUGUUUCAAUAAGCAUGUGAUAGAUUUCAAAUAUUUUAACCGGAUGAUUUCUAGUUUUUUUUUCCCACCAUCUACUCGUUUAUUUCGAACCCAUUUGAGGUCACUUCUGACUUUAAAUUAUAAAACAUUGGUCUGUGUAAUAAGUUAUAAAUAAAUGAUUUAAAGUAAAAAAAUUAAAUUUAGUCCAGAUUUUGGCGGGAGGUACUUUGUAAUAUGUGCCAAAAUUCUGGAUAGUACUGAUAAAAAGGGUGGUAAAUUUUGCCCAUAAGACUUCUUUUCUUCUGUAGAGGAUGAUACGACAAUGUGUGUUCCUGAAAUUUGCUUCUAUAUUUAGUCAUUAAACAUGAUUCUUAUAAGUUGCUACUAACACUAAUAAAAGAGAGAGUUUCAACUAAACUAUACUCUUCAUAAACUAUUUUAAACUUUUUACUAAAGAAAAUUAAAUGCUUAAAAUUUUAUUUAGAAAAAUAAAUAAAAAUAAGUUAUAAAAAUAUAUUUUUUUUUCAAAGUUACAAAAAUAUACUUUAUAUAUACUUAAGAAGUGGGAAAAAAAUGGAAUAAAAGUGACGGAGAAAUGUACUAAUUAAAACUAUAUAUUUAACUUGGGCUAAACAUAGAAUUGGCAAUUGAUAGAAAUUGGGGGCAAACCCAGCCCACCAGGAUUCAAGCUGCGACAUUCAUAUUUCAUUCUUCAAUCUUCACCCCUUUUUUUCUGCUAAAUCAUUCUUCACUUUCCACACAGUACAAUCAAACGUAAUACCCUGGUUAUCAUUUCUUAGUACCCUAGUUAUCAUUUGUGUUUGUGACAUUACGGCUAUCCUGAAAGCAGAUGGACAUAGUAAUUGCGACUAUUUACUAGGCCUGGCAAUUUGACACGUAACACGUUAACACGAAACGAAACGACACGAAAAAAAUGGAUACGGAUUUUGAUUAAAAAAUAUAUUAAUAUUAUUAUAUAUAAUAUACACGAAAAGUACACGAAAUAUACACGAAACGGAUACUGGUUUCAAAGUACCUUCGAGUACACGAAAAUACACGAAACGAAAAUAUACGAAACGAAACGAUUACCACCCCUACUAUUUACCAACAAUUUAUUUUACCGAUUAUGUCUUCAAUUAUUUGUCUCACUCUGUUGGAGUCCCAUUCCCAUCAGCUAAGGCUGAAUAUUCGAGCAUCUCCAUGACCCUGAAUGAGGUCUGAUAUAUAAGAACCGCUCUAAACUAAUAUUAUUGGCACCAAGGUUGUCGGAAAUCGGUCCAACUCGGUUUGGUUCCGGGAAAAUGAGUACUCGGAACUCGGGAAAGUACUCGGAAUGAGUUAUCGGAUUACUAAUCGGAUUAUUUUUUAAUUAUUUUUUUCUCUCAUAUAUAGUUAUAUACUGAUUAAUAAUAAAACUAUUUAAUAAUAUUAAUAUUUUAAUAACACAAUUGAAAUAAUGAAGUUCAAAUAAAAGUUACUUGUUUGAUAGUUUUUGACAUAAUAAUCAUUCACAAGUUUUAAUGAUAAAACACAUAAACUUUCUAAUUAAUGUUAAUACUUUGCAAAAAAAAAAAAAAGACCAAAACAUAUAAAAAUUUACGUUUAGUCUCUUUUGAAAUAGUUUCAAACAAAACAAUAAAAAAUUGAUAAGUCAAACUCGGAUUUGACCUCGAGUACUCGGAGUCAAACUGAGUUUUGACCGAUUUUUUAAUAAAUCGGUUUUGAACCCGAUUACUCAGAACUCGGAUCGGAAGAGGGGUUAAAAACGAGUACUCGGAAUGAGUAUUCGGUCGACUCGGCGAUUUUUAGAACAUUGAUUGGCACACACAAAAAUUAUGCUUCAGAGAGCGGGUCACAUGAGAGAAAUUUACAUAUUUUUAAACUUUAAAUAAUUAAAAUUUGUUUGACACAUAACAGCAUAUACUAAAAGUAUUUAAAUUAUCUUUGUAAGAUUUUUGCUAUCUCUUGUAUUUUUAUUUGAAAGCUAGCUAAGAAAAUUAUUUAUCUCUGUAUAACAUGUUCUAGAAGCUUAUAUACAAGAUAUUUCCCUUUUUUUUUGCUAGAACCUACUCUGAGCAUGUUUGGCUGAGCUUAUGACUUAUUACUUAAUGUGACUUAUCUGAUAAGCUGACAGUUUAAAAUAUCUGUUUGGGUAAUUUAGGCUUAUGAGUGACUUAUGAGUUAUUAAAAAUAUAAUAAUAAAAAUAAAAAUGAUUUAUGAGUAACUUAUGAUUUAGGAAUAAUUUUUAUCAUAAAAAAAAUCAAAAAAAAAUCACCACUGAUAAAAGUACCUCAAACCAACUUCUGGCUUUAAGUCAGUUUUUGGCUUAUUUCUGACUUUAAGCUGACUUCUAACUUAUUACACAAACGGACAUUUUUGAGCUUAAAGCCAGAGCCCAGGCAAACACCCUGUAUGACAAGUCGGAGCGGUUUUGUACUUUUACUUUUUAAACACGGUAAUGACAUUGCUCGCGCCUCACAGUCGAAUAUCCUUUUCUAUAGAGUAUUUUUUUUCAAACAAAUGUCAAAAACUAAAUUAUGAUUACAUAUUUUUACAGAAUGAAAAUAGACUCUGAUCGCAAGGACGGUCUAUAAUUUGGUCGUUCAAUUUUUGGUUAUCACUUUAAUCAUAGUCACUUUAAUUAUAGCCGUUGGUCUUAUUAAUUAAAUGAUCUAUACCGUUAUAUCUAAAUAUUAUAAAAGCAUAGUAUAAAAGUUCACAGGUUCAAUUCCAAUCAACAACAAACAUUUAUAUUAUUAUUUAUAAACCUACAAAUAAAUUCUAGGUUCGAAUCCCGCUAACAACAUAUAUUUAUAUUAUAAUACAUGAAUAUAAAAAUAAAUAAUAGGUUCGAAUCUCACGAAAAAUAUAUAUUAUUUAAUUAAAUAAGUUGUUGAAUCACGUCAACAAUAAACAUUCAGGGGUCAUUUGUUAAAUCUGAACAAAAAAUUCUGAAGGAUUGAUAUUUCUGGACCGAUGAUAAUCUGAAUGCUGGAUGAGCGAUAUCAUUUGUUAAAUUAAAGUUACAAAAUUUCUGAAUGAAUGUAAUAGUAAAAUUUUAUAAUAAAAAUAUAAAUAUAUUUUAAUGAAACUACUAAGCUUAAUAUUAUAAUAAAGAUAAAAUUGUAAGAUCUAUUUAUUUUAUAAAAUCAUUCUAAUAGAAUUAAUUAUAUAAAUAAAUAUCAUUAUAAAAUUAAUUUUAAAAUGCUUAUUCUUAAAUAAAUAACAAAAAGUUAAAUAUAGAUUAGUUAUAUUUAUAAUAUAUAAUAAAAUAUAAAAUGGAAUAAUUAUACAGGAUUAUAACGUCUGAAAAGAAGGAUCAGGCAACAGCAGAUGAUGACGACCAGCCCGGAUGUAAUCCGGGCCGACCCUGAGUUACAAGAUGCCCCAUGCGGGCUAAAUUUUUUUUGCCCCUCUAAUAGAACCAGGCAACUUAUUUUAGUAUCUUGUAAGAACAAAUCUAAAAGUCAUGACUUAAAAAUUUUCCUUCUCGCAUUUUUGCUAGCAAAAUCAUCAAUCAACCCUUCGAAAUAAGAACUUGCAAGAAUAUCCUUCUCGAUCGAUAGCAUAGCCAACCCAUUCAACCGUUCUUGUGACGUCCUAGAGCGGAAAUACGACUUAAUCAAUUUUAACUUUGAAAAACUUCGCUCUGCAGAAGCGACUGUAACCGGAAUGGUUAACAAUAUUCUAUAAGCUAUUGUUGCAGUCGGAUAGCAACCUUCCAUGCUUUUCAAAAAAUUCAACAUAUCAAUCACUUUUUUUACCUCUGUAGGCAAGCUUUCUUCAAAAUUCUUAACUCGAGGAACAAGAUAUUUCCAUCAAUAUCAGAAACAAAAUCAUGUUUUAAAAUUCUUCAAGAUUCAUGCAGGAAGCCUUUAGACUAUCGUCACUUAAACACUUCAACUUUGUCAAAUUAAAUAGAAACCCAAAAAUCUGCUUAUAUAUUUGAAAUUGUUCAAACCUGGAUUGAAAUGAUGUAUCAACAUGAUCCAGCAGGCACAAGAAAUAAUUCACUCUAAAAAAUUUGAUAAAACAACAUCUUCUUCACCACAUUCAUCGAACUGUUUUCUCCUCUUUUCGGCACGUUUUUCACGGAAAUUAGGUUCAAUCCCCAACUCAGCUGCAAUUUUCUUAGCUUUAUUCAUACCUCUUUCAAAACCAUGCUCCCUGCACUUUUGAAAAUAAGAUAUCAGCCCUUUUAAUUGUGUAAGAGCAUCUUCAGCAGUGUCUUAGUGUCUUCCUUAUAAAUAUUAUAAAAUAUUGAAUCCUAGUGAUUUAGGACAAGAUUUUUUAUUUCAACUCCAACAAUGAUCCUUAUAAUUCAUUCCUUAUUAUUAUUAUAAUAAUAAAUUUGGAAAGAAAUUGAUAAAAGAUGGAAGGAAGAAAGAGAAAAUAAGUUACAAUAAGAGAGAGAAAUGAUUUUUUUAUUAAAGAAAUCAAAUAAGGCAUGGCUAGUGGUGCCUUAUUAACAAGGCAUGGAAGAAGGAUCCUAGUGAUUUAAGAGCAUCUCCAGCAGCAUCUUAGCCCAUUCCUUAAAUAUAAUAUAAAAUAUUGGAUCCUAGUGACUUAAGAUAAUAAUAGUUAUUCUCACCUCCAACAAUAUUCAUUAUAUUCAUUCCUUAUAUACUAUUUUAUUAUUAAAUAAAAGUUACCAUUAUUGCAAUAGGUGAAGAGAGAGAACAUGUUUGUAUUCAAAAUUUAUUAUAAAAUAAGAUUUAGGUGAGGAGAGAGGUUACCUGAAAAUAAGGCAUGGCUAGUGGAUCUUAGUGAUUUAGGGAAUCACUAAGAUACUGUUGGAGUGGAUAAUUUUCCCAUAUUCCUUAUAUUUUGGUUUAAGAGUUCAAAUAGGGAAGCUGCUGGAGUUGCUCUAAGGCACCUCUAAGACACUGCUGGAGCACUAAUUUAUGUCACAUUCUUUAUAAUUGGACUUGGGACAUGAAAUAGGGAAGCUGCUGGAGUUGCUCUAAUAACCAGAAGCCAGAAGGUCAAAAUAUUUUAUAUCACGGGCCCCUGGUGCUCCCCUGUUUGUGAUGUCUAGUCACUAGCGUGUUUUGUGUGUAUACACUAAUUAGAGAUUUUAGUAAAUAACAUUAUAACAUGCUCAAACCCAAUAUAUCUAUUUUCCCUUUUUUAGUUAUUAAUUUAUGUUUCUUAAUAGGGAAAAUAGAUUUUUUUGCCAGUCAACUUAUUGUGCUUUUAUAAACUUAACACUUAACUAAAUUUUUUUUCCUUUUAAUCAUUAAUGUUAGGUUUGGAUUUAUUUUUAAUCACCAACUUAGGUUCGGCUUUGAUUAUUAACAUUAUGAUAUUUUUUUUUGUCACUAAACUUAUCGCGUCUUUAGAAACUAACUACUCAACCAUAAUUUUUUUUAUUUUACUCACUAAUGUCAGGUUCAGCUUUUUUUUGUCAGUGAAGUUAGCUUCGUAUUUGAUUAUUAGCACUACAUUUUUCUGUGUAGCAUUAUUAAAUAUAGUGGUAGUUGCAUUUGUCAAAAAUAAAAUAAAAUAUAGUGGUAGUCUGUAAUGUUCUGAUGAUUUGAUAUAUGUUUGUAUAUUUAUAUAUAGUACUUUUUAUGUCUUCAAGGUCGUUUACCUUGGGUGAUAAGAAUUUUAUACGUAUUUUAUGGCUUUUAAAAGAUGUAAUUUUAUAAAUAUUUUUUUUUCCAAAUGAAAAUUCAUCGUUUAAAUUUUUACACACAAAAAUAAGUUAUGAAACUAUGUUUCAUAAGAGUCUUAAAUAAGUACUAAGCAUAAAAAACUGUGAACUAAUGAGUGAGAAGAAGGGAGUAAUAAUAACAUAAAAUGAUGCAUUAUAGAGAAGUGAGAACAAUUAUCGAGAAUUAAGUUUUCUUAUCUAUUUAUUUAUCUUGAAAAUUGUAAUAAGAUAAAGUUAUUAAAAUUUUUGAAGAUAAAUUUUAGAGAGAUUUUUAACUGAGUUAGUCGAUUGAAACUUUAAUAACAAUAAUGAAAGAUGAUGCAUCAAAUCACUCAAAUACACUUUAUUCUAUUAGAGAGGGUGAAUUGUUUGAAGUCAUUGAUUUCAUAUUCAUGAUUUAUUGAAUUUUUAGAAUUCUAAUUACAUUUUUUCCUGAUUUUAAUUUUUCAUCGGCUCAUUUUAUAUUAUUAUUGCUAUAUAUAAAGAUAUAAACAUACGACACAUCAUCAAAAUAAUGCAUACUAUCACCAUGUAUAAAUGAUGCUACAAAAAAUUAUCAUAAUACUAGUAAUCAAAUCCAAACCUAAGUUGGUGGCUAAAAAUAAAACCAAACCUAACAUUAGUGAGUAAAAAAGAAAAAAAAUUAGUUCGGUGGUAAGUUUUUAAAAACACAAUAAGUUGAGUGUCAAAAAAAUCUAUUUUCCCUUCUUAAUAUCUUUUUAACACUUGACAAAAAAAAGUUUUGUUUUUAAAGUUUUUUAGAUUAUUCUCUUUUUUUUUUGAAACUACUAUCUUAAAAAAAAAAAAAAUUACAACUCUUCUCUAAUUUUUUUUUUAAAAAUUUUGCCCCCUAAGGAUGGAUGCCCCAUGUGGUGGCUUGUACUGCUUGUCCCCAGGACCAGUCCUGGAUGUAAUUUUGAGGGGGUACUGGUCCAGAAAAAAAAGGUAUAUUAUAUACUUAUAUAUAAUAAGCGUAAGGGAGAUAAUUUGGUCGCAUGGUCACAUGGUCCAAAACUUUAUCAUCCGUUGGAUCGUAUAUUGAACAAAUAAGCACCGUUAGAUUUGAACAAUAUUAACUUCUAAUUCUAUAAGGCAACUGAUAUCUACCUGCAUGUUUAUAAUUUCUUUUCAGAAUCCAAAACAAAUUCUGUCUUUCACAUGUUUAUGAUUUUUUUAAUUCAAAAUAAAUAUUUCCUACCGGUUUUAAUUGUAUAAUCAUAUAAAUCGCACGUCACAAAAUUAUUUUUAUCUAAUAUAUUUUAAAAUAAUAAGUCGGAUAUUUUAAUCCAAAAUAAAUAUUUCCUACCAGUUUUAAUUGUAGAAUCAUAUAAAUCGCUCCGUCACAAAUUUAUUUUUAUCUAAUAUAUUUUAAAAUAAUAAGUCGGAUAUUUUAAUCCAAAAUAAAUAUUUCCUACCAGUUUUAAUUGUAGAAUCAUAUAAAUCGCUCCGUCACAAAUUUAUUUUUAUCUAAUAUAUUUUAAAAUUGGUAAGCCAAAUUUAAAUCAAAUUAUAAUAAUUCUAAUAUAAAAUACUUUUAUAUAUAUAAUCUAAUAGAAAUUGAUGUCACAUAUUCUACUCAAUAUAUAUUAAAAUUUGAUAGAAAAAAUUUAAUACUUUGGCAUGAUACAUAGGAGAAAACGAAAGGAUUGAUUACAAUAGUUUAUUUGAAGCCAUUAAUGGUUGUGACAGUAUAUUUUAUACUGCAUCGCCACUGUCGGAUGAUCCAACAUGUGUGACCAGUUUUUUUUACAGAAACAAGUCUGAAAAGUAGAACGUAUAUAUUUUUACAAUAAUUCUGACUUAAAAACAAAUAAUAAUUUCAAAUUUUAUUUAUUUGAAAAUUUUAAUUUAUUAUUUAUAAAUUAAAUUCUUUCACACCAUUUACAAUAUAUUUAAAAAGUUUAUAAAUAAUUAAAAAGCUCCCGUGCCUUGCACGGGCUAUAAGCUAGUAUGAAUAAAGGUAUAUAAGAAGAAAUCACAAUGUCGUCCAGAAAAAAAGGUAUCAUCCAGAUUAAAAAAAGUUAAUCAAACGCUCUGAACGCGCAUAUAUGAAUGAUUUCAUUCAUUUCUGUCCCGUUCACUCGUAAACAAAUGAGAUCUUAUAUUAUUAUCUAUAAAUAUUUAAGAUUAUUAUAAUACAAUACUUAAAGUAACCUGUCAUUUGCACGGAAAUUAAGCUAGUAUAUAUAAAUUAAUAAAAACAAUAUUUUUUGUCCUUAUCAGUGUAAAAUCUUAUAUCUGUCCCCUCUGAUUGAUCGUGCAGUCGAGCCUUUUGAAGGCAAUGGAUAGUAAGUUGAACAGUACACUUUAUUCUAUAAAGAAAUCUAGUUCAAAUUAUAUUACAAAUAACAAUUAUUAUAUUUAGAAGAAAAUAUAUAAAUAAGACUAAAAUUACAUCAUCUACAUAUUAUUUUAAAACUAAAAAACAAAAAUCAAAAUAAUCACAGACCAUAAGCACGUAUAAUCAAAAAGUUAGUUUAAGCCUUUAAGGUACAAAAUUAUAGUGGUUAAUCUGUUCUGUAUGAGGAAUAAAUAAUUAGAUACUAUAUUACUUGAAAAACAAUACACGUAAUAUAUAAACAGCCAUUUAAUACCAUAACAGAAACCAACCGAAAGUGACUACAACUUGAUUCUUCUAAUCAGUAACCAUGAAACUCGAAUGGUGACCUGAAUGGACUUCUCUUCCUUUUGAAUAUCUUUUUAUUUGUUGGAGAAGUUGAGGUAAUAAUUCAACAGAAACUCAAUAAACUAAAAAGACCGGUAGGCCACGAAUAGAUAUAAAUAUAUAAUAACAACCUAGAAUAUUUUUCCCAAGCAAAAUCAAACCAAUCAAUUUGUUUGCGUUGGAGACAACUGCCUAGUAGCUUCCACAGAAUAGAUUAAUUCGGUCUGAGAUUGUUGUUUAAAAUUAUUGUUAUAAUAAAUAUUUAUAACAAAUAAUUAUGUACACAUGUAUUAGGUAUUAGGUAUAAUGUAAAAACAUGCAAAUACUUUCCCUAAAGUAAAAAACAGAUUUUUUUUCCGUAAAUAUAAAAUUAUAAAAAGUCUGUAUUAUGUAAAAUCCACAAGGCACAAGCAUUUUUCUAAAAAAACGAAUCUAAAUUUUAACAAAAAAAAUUCUACCUGUUUUUCACUAAAAAGCUAAACAACAGUAAUCUUAAAGUUAUACGACUUCGUGCAUUAUUCUAACUAGCUUAUAACCCGUGUAAGGCACCGAGAGUUUUUAUAUUUCUUUAAAGAAAAUUAGAAUAAAAUUUAAUCAAUUUUAUUUUAAUUAUUAAAAAUCGUAAAUUGAUGAGUAUGAGAUACAAUUGGGUGUAUGCGAGUUGUAGUAGCAAUUUAGGUGGUGAAAGGGUUUUACAUGAAAGAAUUAUGUCUUCAAGUUAUUAAACGGUUUUUUAUUGUUUUAAUGUUAUUUAAGUUAAUUGAGGGAUUGAAUAGUGGAUUUAGAAAAUAGAAUAAAAAUAACCCAAGAAAGAGUAUAUAAUAUUAUUUAAUUAAUUUAAAUUUAAUUUUUAAAACUGCAAAUUCAUGAGUAUGAGUUGCAGAUGUAUGUUUGUAGCUGCAAUAGCGAUUUAGCUGUUAAAAGGGUUCCACAUGACAAAGUCAUUUCUUAAGGUUAUUGUUAUAUUGUUAUAUGCAAAAUUAUGGAGUCACUCGAUGGGCCAGGUCCAUAAGAAGGAGAUGGAUUUGGGCCACAAGAAACAAGAUUGAUAAAAGUCCAAGGUGACCCUGUGAAAAUAGAGGGCGCGCCCACUUGCCGAGGAAAGUUCAUUUAGCUAUGACACCGAAGGGCAGUAGGAGAUACUUCUUGUUUAGGGGGACGCCCUUAAGCAUGAGUAGAUCCCAUUGUUGAAAGGAUGAAGGCCUUAUCUUGUAGUCUGAGCGGUUGUCCUCCUUGGGAGGUAGAGGAUAAAGAGAAGACACACCCUGGGAGGCCCUAUCUCUGUAGUCUAGCGGGUUGUCCCUGUCGGAGAGUAGGGUAGUUUCCGUACAUUUGGGGUAAGCCCCAGGGCUAGGCCUCAUCGUAUUGGGCCCCUUUCAGGAGGGAGAUUCUAGAAGGGGAGGCCCAGCCCACAUGGGUCUCUUAGAAGAAAGAACUAUAUGCCGGCUUGAUCCCCUAUAAAUAGGGGUACGUAGGCAGAUUGUAGGCAUCGAUCAUUCUAGAGAGCUAUUCCAGUUAACGAUCUCGAACCCUUUGCUUACAAUUGCAGCCGCCUCCAUAACAAACAACCAACCACUUCCUACAUUCUCGCCAACAAGAGUCUUGAUCCACGCCGCGAACCUCAUCUUUGUUGACCUACCAGUUUUCUCCGUUAACAAAUUGGCGCUAGAAGGAGGGGCUAGUUCAAGAUUUUCCAUCAAGGAGAAAGAUGUCGAAUCACAGCGAGACAACGCCCGAUGGGAACCAACCGCCCGAUCCCAGAUCAGGAGGAGGCAAUAAUACCCCCGUCGACAAUACACCGGCGGGGAACACUCCUCAAGACAGAGCGAUCAUCAUAACAAAUGGGGAAUCUGUCGAUAUGCGACGCCCCAUCUCCAACUCGCCGCCGGUCUUCAUAAGUAACGAGGAGUUGCUUAAAGAAUUGCACUAUCUGAGAAACAAGGCGAGAGAGCAACAAGCGCUCAGAGAGCGAAUCGUUCAACUUGAAUCUCUUGUGCCCGGAACAAAUCGUUCCGGGAAGCAGCCCUUUGAAGAGGAAAGUCAGUCAGGCCACCACGAUGAUAAGAGGCAUGUGAUUGUUCCACAGAAUUUGUUUGCAUCAGGUGGCCAGACUACCGUCGGAGGAGAGGGUGCCAGAGAUGGAGGGAGACCCCCGCAAGAUAGACGAGCGGCUGCGCAUCUGGAAGAGGCCAGUCGGGAUAUCAACUCUCUGGCGGAAAGAUACAGAGGAAGAGUUAGUAGGGCAGACCUGCUAGCCCUAAUCAAGGAUCUUGAAGGUAGACCCGAGUACGCAAGUACCGGAUCAAGAACAACGGGCACGGGCCGAGAUGGACAUAGGAAGGAAGUUCCACACGGACCAGACUCAAGAAGCUAUGACAGAUCAACAGAACAAGAACCCUGGGGUUUGGGUGGAAGAACAGAGCGAGACCCAAUUGUGCUUGAAGGAUGGUAGAGUCAUGGAGGAACGCGCGAGCAUGCGACGCCUCCGGGCAAGGGAACGACUCAUCAACAGGUUCUUUUCUCAUCUCCUCUUCUAAAUUACAAUAGUUGUAUUAUAUUGCAUUCUAGUGGUAGUACAGGUAAUAACGUAUGGUUAGACAAAUCUUGAUCAGACCACUGCCGAUCCUCAUAUUCAAGCCUCAUCUCAGGCCAAUGCGCCCCCAUCCGCUCAGACUCACGCUAAUCAAUCCAAUCCUCUUGCCACGACAAGUGAUCUCAUGGCUACCGGAACACUACCAUCAAUGACUCCACCACAGUCAAAUGUCCAGACCAUUCCAGGCAUUGGAGCUAUUGAUGUCAACAGCCUUAGGAAGCUUCUGGCACACUUUGAUGGAGGCCAGACAUCUCUCUCAAGCCAAGCCCUAUCACCAUUCUCUGCCGAAGUGAUAGAAGCCCUGCUACCAGCCAGUUACAGAAACACCACGUCUGACCUAAAAUUUCAUGGCAAUUCAGAUGCUGUUGAGUUUCUUGGAAGAUUUAACGUUGAAAUGGGCAUCUACCAGAUACCGGAUCUUGUUAGAUGUAGACUCGUCACGGCCACUUUUAGAGAUAGCGCCUAUCAAUGGUUCCGGAAAUUAGAACCAGCAUUCAUCACUUCUUGGAUAAGCAUGCAGACUAUGUUCUUGACUCAGUUCCAGGCAACCGUCAAGUAUGCUCCACUAGUCACCACUUUGGCAAACAUCAAGCAGAAGGAGGGAGAGACUCUCCAUGCUUACUUCAAGCGUUUUAAUGCAGGAUCAUCCAAUGUUCGGGGGGCGACAGAUGAGACAUUGAAAAGUUUCUUGGUGGCAGGGCUUCGAGUAGGAACCGACUUUUGGAAGCACUUACAAGGUAAUGAUCCCAAAUCCUUGGCAGAUCUUUAUGCAAGGGCUGAGGCAUACAAGAAUGUCGAACAAUCAUUGGCUGAGAGUAGGAAGAAUGAGAGAAGCCCCGUUAAGGCUCGACAAAAGAGGAGAGACCGGUCCCCGAGCCCAGAACAAAGGGGGAGGCGACGAAGUCCCAAUCGGGUCAAUACCACUUACAGAAGGAACUACACGCCUCCUCGGGAUCAUGAAGAAAGUGGAGAUCGUUGGACAUCGCUCGCUGCACCAAUUGACCACAUCUUCGAAGUCAAUCGUGACAAGGGACUCUUCCGCAGACCAGCACCUCUAAAUUCUUGGCAAGCCAAGAAUAAGGACAAAUACUGUGAAUACCAUGAGUCAACCGGGCAUGAAACUCAUGAGUGCAGACAACUGAAAGAAGAGAUCGAAUCGCUAAUCAAAGAAGAUCACCUUAAUGAAUGGAUAGUUCGUGAAGCCCGAUCCUGGGGGGAUAUUCGAGCCAAAGACAAGAGGGGACUUGGCUAUACUGGUGAUCAAGAAAGGGGGAAGCAAGAAGACGUGCAGUUCGUUAAGGAAGGGAGCAUCCAUGUCAUUUUUGGAGGGCCACACUUGGCUGGUGAUGGAACCAAGGCUAUAGAGAGAUAUGCAAAGGAGGCUAAAGGUAGGCCCCUUAGCAAUGUACAUAAUUUGUCAUCUAGACCUCCUAAGAUCUUUAGAGGAGAAGCUAUUUACAUUACUUUUUCAGAGGAGGAUGCCAGAUGGGUUCAUCACCCGAACAAUGACGCCUUAGUGAUCGCCCUUCAAAUUGGUCCGAUGAAUGUUCAUCGGGUGCUUGUUGAUAACGGAAGAUUAGGAACAUACUUCAUUUAUAACAGACAGAGGGUUAUACUUCUAUAUAGGGAUGCCGUUUGGACUGAUCAAUGCUGGAGCGACGUACCAACGCCUUGUGAAUAUGAUAUUUAAGGAACAGAUCGGCAAGACUAUGGAGGUUUAUGUGGAUGACAUGCUGGUCAAAUCCAAGGAGGCGCAAGAUCAUAUUCAACAUUUAGCUGAAAUGUUUGACAUACUCAGGAGAUAUCGAAUGAAGCUGAACCCUCAGAAGUGUGUGUUUGGAGUGGAGUCCGGUAAAUUCUUGGGAUUCAUGGUAAACCAUCGGGGGAUCGAGGCUAACCCUGCAAAGAUCAAGGCGCUACUCGAUAUGAAGCCUCCUCAGAAUGUUAGGCAGGUUCAGAGCCUGACAGGAAGGAUAGCGGCAUUAAAUAGAUUUGUGUUCAAGUCCUCAGAUAGAUGCAAGGAGUUCUUUAAGGCUAUCAAGGAUGCAUGAAAAACGUUCAUAUGGACAGAUGAAUGUGAAGAGGCCUUCCAAAAGAUAAAGGAACAGUUGGGAAAGCCACCUCUCUUGGCCAAGCCAGUAGAAGGAGAAACAUUGAUCUUAUACCUAGCUAUUUCGAGAUACUCCGUCAGUGCUGUCCUUGUAAAGGUGGAAAAGGAUGCCCAAUUCCCGGUGUACAAUGUUAGCAAGAGGCUACAGGAUGCUGAGACAAGAUACACCAGCAUGGAGAAGUUGGUAUAUUCUUUGAUCUUAGCAGCAAGGAAACUUCGUCCAUACUUUCAGGCACACAAGAUAGAGGUAAGAACCUCCUAUCCUCUACGUCAGAUUAUGCGUAAGCCCGAAGCAACAGGAAGACUCAUGAAGUGGGCUGUUGAGCUAGGACAGUUUGACUUGGAUUAUAAGCCUAGAGUUACUAUCAAAGGUCAAGCCCUGGCUGAUUUCUUGUUAGAGUUUGAAGAUGAUACCCAGGAGUGGGCAAUAGUGCCAUAUAGUGCGGUUGUUGAACCCAUUGAUGGUCUUUUGGUCGAGGAUGACGCAUGGUGGAAUUUGCACGUCGAUGGAGCUGUCAACUCAGAUGGUGCUGGAGUUGGGAUAGUUUUGGUUAGUCCCGGGGGGUGUCGAUUGUUGAGCGCCAUCCACUUGGGGUUCCCCGCCACCAACAAUGAUGUAGAGUAUGAGGCUUUGAUUAAUGGCUUAUCCCUAGCCAUAGAAAUGAAGGCUAGGAACCUUAUUGUGUACAGUGACUCCAUGUCGGUAGUUCACCAGGUAAAUGGGGGGUUCUUGGCUCGAGGUUGGAGGACGAACUUAUACAUGACCCACACCCAAGAAUUGAUGAAGAAGUUCAAGGAGGUGCAUUUGAAAAAGGUUCCUCGUGAGAAAAAUGAGGGUGCUGAUGCAUUGGCCAAAGCAAGUUCGAGAAGGGACACCAAGCUCCUAGGGACCAUCCAGUUCUGUGUCCAAGAGAAGACAAGUGUAUCAGAGGUACAGAAGACAACCCGAUUCAGAGAGGAUUUGAUGGAAGUCGAGAAUGAUAUUGUUGACACGUGGAUGACACCAAUACUUAAGUUCAUCCAGGAUGGUCAGCUCCCAGAAAGUGUAAAGGAAGCCAGAAGUCUCAGAUACAGAGCAGCAAGAUUUGUGAUAUAUGAUGGUGUCUUAUACAAGAGAGGGUUCAACCAGCCGCUACUGAAGUGCAUUGCAGGGGAAGAUUACAAUUACAUCUUAAGGGAAGUACAUGAAGGAAUAUGUGGCAAUCACUCGGGGGGUAGUUCACUUGCUUUAAAGAUCCUUAGGCAAGGAUACUACUGGCCGACUAUGAGGAGUGAAGCAAGCAAGUUUGUGCAAGCAUGUGACAAGUGCCAGCGAUUUGCCACAUAUUCAUCUCGUCCUGCAGCAAGUCUGACUUCGUUACUCAGCCCAUGGCCAUUCGCUUUAUGGGGGAUAGAUCUCAUUGGAGAGCUUCCAAAGGCCAAAGGAGGAGUCAGGUAUGCAGUAGUGGCGGUUGAUUACUUUACAAAAUGGGCUGAGGCCGCGCCUCUAGCAACCAUUACUGCUAAGAAGAUAACAAGUUUUGUAUUCAAUUCAAUUGUGUGUAGAUUUGGUAUCCCGUUCAAGCUAAUAUCUGAUAAUGGGAAACAAUUUGACAGCAGGGAGUUGAAGAAGCUAUGUGAUGACCUGAAUAUUAGGAGAAACUUUGCAGCUGUGUACCAUCCACAAAGUAAUGGACAGACUGAGGCAAUCAACAAAAUCAUCAAACACAUGCUAAAAGCCAAGUUGGAAGAGAAGAAAGGAGAUUGGCCGGAGGAGCUUCCAAUGGUGCUAUGGUCAUAUAACACUACGCCAAGAACAACCACUGGGGAGUCGCGGUUCAUGUUGACUUAUGGUUGUGAGGCAAUGGUUCCAGUGGAGGUCAGAGCAGGUUCCUUCAGGAGAGACCACUUCCAGGAAGAGGCCAAUGAGGUUAAUCAGAGGCUGCAUCUAGAUAUGCUGGAAGAAGUCAGAAGGGAGUCGCAAGUUAGGCUGGCAGCAUAUCAACAAAGGACAGCCCGGUUCUAUAACAGUCGAGUCAAGCCUAGACCGUUCAAGAUAGGAGACUUAGUGCUACGUAAGAUGAUGCCAGGAAUGAAAGUGCCAGGUCAUGGAGUGUUUGGUGCAAAUUGGGAAGGACCCUACCGCAUUCGAGCAGAGAUCUUUGGAGGAGCAUACUACUUGGAGGACAUGCAGGGGGAGCCCAUUUCCAAGGCAUGGAAUGCUGAGCAUUUGAAGAAGUACUAUCAAUAGGAGUAACACGAAAUCUGCCAAUAGAAGCAGCAUGUAUUCACCAAACUAUGGCAGAACUCCCUUUGUAAUCACCUGUUAAGUACUAGUCUUUAUACAUUUCAACUGAUUCUGCUCCUUAUAGAGACAGGGCGCGCCCAACCUUAAGGCGCGCCACGUUAUUUCUAUCUUCUUGAUACGACUUUAAUAGUCUUGAUACUGCCUUAGCAUCUUAGUUUUUGAUAAUGUGAAGGAUCUCUAGAACAAAAUCAAACAAGGGAGUAAUCCAACAAAAGUAGUCUGAUUUGGUAGCAUACCUGGUCUUAGAAAGGGCGCGCCAAGCGAUAAGGCGCGCCGCUUUGUCAAAUAACGCGGAUGUUAACACAAGGUGUUGGAAGAAAGAUUGGCAACAUUUUACAGAUAAUACUUCACAGGGUACUUAUACACCAACAAAACGCGCCUCCUAUAUGUGACGCGUCCAAUCAAUUACAUACAGCUUAAAAAGGGAAAUGCAAAGAAACAAGACACUUGCAUAUUAAACUAACAGCAAUGGCGAUAAGCAGUUAAAAUAUAAGUCAGCAACAUAAGGGCGCGCCCUUAUACCAAAAUCAAAGUACCAGAUAAUCUCUUUUACAAGUUGCAGGGUUACAGGGACCCGCGCCCAAAUAAGAAUCCAGAUAAAUAAAAAGCAUAAAAAAAACUCAGACUUGGUCUUGGGAAGAGUCAUUAAGGUUGGGUUGCGACCCAGUCAUAUCAGCAGUUUCAACAGCCAGAGGUUCUUGAGGAAUAUCACCACCAGACUGGAUUCUGGGGAUUUGAUUCUCCUGAGAUUCCUAACCAUCUUGGCGCGCCUCAUGUGGGGAUGGUUGUUCCAGAAACUCUGGCAUAAUCAGAAGCAGCCUCCAGCUCAAUCUCCAAUCUCUUAUCCUCAAUAGCCUUGGUUUGUUCUACUUUAAAUUCCUCGAUCCAUGACCUGGUGGCAGGGACGAACUUACUUCAGUCGUAAUCGGGGUCCACAGCAAGGAAGCCAGUAACAUAGCUCCUGAACCCAUCUGCAAAAGCAAUACGACUGGUUUCAGCUUGUUGCCCCUCCAACUCCUCCACCUUUUUCUCCAAAGAGACAACUGUCUCACUUGCUGUGGACAGAUCUUGCGAUGUCUUGUUCAAUUCAACCCUGAGAUUGUCUGCAUCUGUCUUCAGCCUGUAGAUAUCUUUUACAGCCCUGUUCUUAAACUUUUCCAGCUCUGCCUUAUCUUUCUCAGCUUCAGAUAACUUUUUCUUUAGCUUAGCAGUUUCCUCAUUAGCAGUGUCAAGGCUCACCCUGAGCUUCUCAGUAUCAGAUGGGUUACAAGUCAAGUGGAAGAAAAGCUCAGCUGCGGCGCGCCUACAUGCAUCAGCCGCUUGCUCGCCAUUUCUCUGUUGCCAGUUCAUGAAUUUGGACGGUUCGAUGUAGCCAUCUGCUACCUUGGCAAAGCAGUCACCUGCAGCUGUCACUGGCGCCUCAUAGGGGAAUUCAGAUGAUGACUCCUGCAGCUUUGACCUCUUUGGGGUGUGCACAUCUAGCUCUUGACUCUUCCUCUUUUCAUGACCCCUCUUCUUAGGGGAAGGAGGCUUGGUAACCUGUUGGCUAACAGACACCUUGGGUGCCUGCUUAGAACUGGACGCGCCAACAUUUGUGGCGCCCACACCCUUUACGCCAAAUCCAGCGUGGAGCGAAAUAUCUGAAAAUAUGUAAAACAAAAGAAAUGUUACAAGCAACAGUGUAAGUUGAAAUAUAGAUAUGAGCAUGUUUAGCAAGCACGACAAUAAUGGGAAUAUAAACAGCAAAGAAUAUGUAAACAUAUAAAGGAAAGAAGGGUAACCAUAAUCAGGCGCGCCCUGAUCCAUGGCCUCAUCAGAUUCUUCUUCUUCUUCCUCAGCCUCGGGUUCUUCAACAACUCUAGCUUUCCUCUUUAUAGGACGACCCCCGUAAAAAUCUUGGUAUGGGCAUAUGUUUCCCACCGCUUCACUUAAAAACCCAUACUCUAUUAGACGCUCGGUGGUGACCAAAUGGUUGAUGACCUUGGCCUCAUAGGGAAGAUUGAUAAUAUUUUCAGCACACCUUUUGGCGCGCCCAGACAAAACAUAUUGUUUUCUUUCAACUAAAUAUAAAGGAGAGAAGAAUACUUAAGUACAUGAAUAAUUAAGAGGAAAGAUAUAGGAAAUAAGGCGCGCCUAGAUAAGGAAGGAAAAGCUUACUGGGUUGUGUGUUGAACUGAGUUCUAACUCUCUCAUCCGGCCAAGUAUAGAAGAAUGGCUCCUUCCAUUUCUUCUCAUUACUAGUUUUGCCCUCAGACCAUCCAGUGGAAUUAUGAGUCUUCCACACCACAAGAUAGUAGUACCGAGACUGGACGCGCCCAGUCUGAAGAAAUAACUCAAGUCCUCCAUUGUAGGCGUGCGUUGGUUGUGAUCUCGAUACAGCAUGUACAGGGCAAUAGAGAGUUUCCAGCCAUUAGGGGACAGUUGAAUUGGAGCAAUAUCAAACCACUCGAUUAUUGAUCUGAAGUACGGAUGAAGUGGGGGGACCAAUGCCAAGCUUCACCAGCUUUGGUGUAAGGACCAUCCUCGGAAUGCGAAGUCUAGGAUUAUAAUCAAAGAUAUGAGGCCUCAUCCAGGGGUGAGGGCGCGCCCAGAUGCAACCUUUGUCAUAAUACCUGAGACACCACUCGAUCUCUGCCUUAGAUGCAGUGGAGGACAAACCAACACAAGCUAACUUGCCUGCCUUCUUACGCCUUUUCGCCUUCAAUGCCUCGCGAACUUCUUCUUCCUCAUCCCAGUCAAAAUCCAAUUCACUAUCUAGUAUCUGGGGAUGAGCAUAAGGAUUACGAGAGGGAAGUGGAGAAGGAGGGCGCGCCUCAUCUGACGGAUCGUCUUCAGUCAUAGCAUGAUAGAAAUUCCUGGCUUCUUCCUCAGCCGCAGCCUCUUCAGAAUCCUCAUCAGUAUUAUCAUUAUCAUUUUCUGACUCCUCCUCACCAGUAUUGCCCGGUUGAUUGUCGCCAGAUUCAACAGUUUGAUCCUUCUUAGAAGAAUUACGAAGAUCCUGCUCAUCUUGGUCUAGAAGUUCGUCUAUGUCGACUUGAUUGGUCUCUAGUAACUUAGGAGAAGAGACCCCAAUUUCAGCCAUAACCACAACUGGUCGAGGAGGAAAGGAUCGUAAUGGGAUGGGUGAAAGAAGAUCUGGCGCGCCCAGAUUAGCCAGCUGCAAAAGAGAAAGAAAUGGGAAGCAAGUUGUAACAACUGGGCGCGCCAAGAUGAAAAUGAAAUAGACGAAGAAGAAUUUAUAGAGUAAAUAGAACAUCAUAAAAAAGGUCAUGUAAGAGAGAAAGAAAGAGGAGAAGAUUAAAAGACACAGGAGAACUCCAAGCUACAGUCACGAUGAUAUGAACAAAUAAUAGGAAACAGAUGAUAGUGAAAGGAAAUAGGCGCGCCCCAAGAUAAGGUGCACCACAAUAAUAAAGAAAGGGCUUAACAGAAUAAAGCAAAGAGAAGUAGCUAUAACCCUACGACGCGCACCUAUGUGGAAAAAGACGAGGGAUCGAAUGCUAUUGCUAAUAGACGCGUUUAGUCUCUAUGUUCAACAUUACGGGUACCGCAAACACAUGUUCAAGAUCAAGGAGCAUCAAAAACAAGAUCAAAUACACAUACAUACACAUAUAUAUACAGCAAAGCACAUGAAGAACAACGAAGAAAAUGAAAAGUCACAUGCAUGGAUCUAACAAGAUACUCGGUGAAUAGCAAAGAAAAGGUAGGAAUGUGUACCUUAAGCUGAGGAGAGUUGUGGGCUGGCCUUGGAAUUGAAAACGGAGCAGCAACGCGGCCUAGAGAGCUCGAACAAAGAAACGGCGGCGAGAGGUUUUUUGAAGUAAAAAGAGAUGAAAAUGAAGAAGUGAAAAAGAUGAAACCCGUAUUUAUACUCGGGUAAAAGAAAGCAGAAUUAAAAUAAAUUAAAAAUACAAAGAAAGUGGAGUACAGCUGUUCAUGAUAAGGGUUUUAACGGUCAGUAUCAUAAGGCGCGCCUAAUUAGGUCGCGGACAGUCGAUAGGAAGAAGAAGUCAAAGAAGUAAAGAUUUAAACAUCUCGCCAACAUUUUCAACAUCACCAAGAUCUGGGGGGUAGUUGUUAUAUGCAAAAUUAUGGAGUCACUCAAUGGGCCGGGUCCAUAAGAAGAAGAUGGAUUUGGGCCACAAGAAACAAGAUUGAUAAAAGUCCAAGGUGACCCUGUGAAAAGACAGGGCGCGCCCACUUGCCGAGGAAAGUUCAUUUAGCUAUGAUACCGAAGGGCAGUAGGGGAUACUUCUUGUUUAGGGGGACGCCCUUAAGCAUGAGUAGAUCCCAUUGUUGAAAGGAUGAAGGCCUUAUCUUGUAGUCUGAGGGGUUGUCCUCCUUGGGAGGUAGAGGAUAAAGAGAAGACACACCCUGGGAGGCCAUAUCUCUGUAGUCUGGCGGGUUGUCCCUGUCGGGGAGUAGGGUAGUGUCCGUACAUUUGGGGUAAGCCCAGGGCUAGGCCUCAUCGUAUUGGGCCCCUUUUAGGAGGGAGAUUCUAGAAGGGGAGGCCCAGCCCACAUGGGUCUCUUAGGAGAAAGAACUAUGUGCCGGCUUGAUCCCCUAUAAAAGGGGUACGUAGGCAGAUUGUAGGCAUCGAUCAUUCUAGAGAGCUAUUCCAGUUAGCGAUCUCGAACCCUUUGCUUACAAUUGCAUCCUCCUCCAUAACAAACAACCAACCACUUCCUACAUUCUCGCCAACAAGAGUCUUGAUCCACGCCGCGAACCUCAUCUUUGUUAACCUACCAGUUUUCUCCGUUAACAGGUACUACAUGGUGGUUGUACAAAGUAAUAAGACGAAGAAAACUACGUAAACAGCUUAAGAAAAAGUUCUUUGAGAGAACUGGUGGUCUGCUAUUGCGUCAACAAGUAUCUUCUAGUGAAGGUAACAUGGAGACAAACAAAUUAUUUACUUCAAAGGAGUUAGAGAAGGCAACUGACCACUAUAAUGUAGAUCGAAUCGUUGGACAAGGAGGACUGGGUACUGUCUAUAAAGGAAUGUUGACAGAUGGAAGAAUUGUUGCCGUGAAAAAAUCCAAGAUAGAAGAUGAAAGCAAACUUGAACAUUUCAUUAAUGAGGUUGUUAUUUUAUCACAAAUAAAUCACGGAAAUAUUGUAAAGCUAUAUGGAUGCCGCUUGGAGACAGAGGUCCCUUUACUCGUUUAUGAGUUCAUCCCCAACGGAACACUGAUGCAGUAUAUCCAUGACCAAAAUGAGUACUUUCCUCUUACAUGGGAUGCCCGCGUACGUGUAGCCACAGAAGUUGCAGGAACUUUAUACUAUUUACACUCCGUGGCAUCCAGGGCCGUGCCUGAGGGUGUGCGAGGUGUUCGACGGAACAUGGCCCAAAUUUUUGACGGGCACAUGUAUUAUAUAUGUAUAGGUAUGUAUUGUUUAAAAAAAAUUAUUAUUUAAGCAAAAUUAAAAAAUGUUAUAUUAGUCUUAGUGAAAAAAUAAUUUAUAAUUUUUUUAAAAUAAAAUUAAUUAAAAAAAUAUGUAAUAAGAAUAUUAAUCUAUUUAAUUAGUAAUUUAGACUACUAAUUUUAAUAAUUAAAUACAACGGUCAACACUAGUUUUCGUUUAGACAACUUGUACAUUAUAUUAUUUUUAAUAAUUCAAUUUUUGGAUAUGUAAUUUAUUUUAAAAUAGGUUUCUAUUAAAUGUUUAUAUAUUCAAUGAAAUAUGUAUAUAUUGCUUAAAAAUAUGUUAUAAGAAUAUUAAUCUAUUUGAUUAGUAAUUUAGACUACUAAUUUUAAUAAUUAAAUACAACGGUCAACACUAGUUUUCGUUUAGACAACUUGUAAAUUAUAUUAUUUUUAAUAAUUCAAUUUUUGGAUAUCUAAUUUAUUUUAAAUUAGAUUUCUAUUGAAUGUUUAUAUAUUCAAUGAAAAAUUUAAAUUAGAAUUAAUUAAUCAGUUAGUUAAAGUUUUACAUCAAAAUUUAAUAAAUUUUACAUUUAAAUUAGUUUUUGUAUGAUUAUAUUUAUGAUUAUAUUUUUUAUAAUUAUUAUAUCUUAUUAUUUUUGUAUUUGUUUUUCUAGUUUUUUAAUUUUUUAUAAUUAUAUCAAAAUAAUAAAAAAUAAUUUUUUAUUAUUAUUUUACGUAAUUACUAUUAUUUUUUUGUUGUUGGGCACAUAUUUUUGAUUUUGCACAGGGCACCUGAAAUCUCAGGCACCGCCCUGGUGGCAUCAAUUCCAAUAUAUCAUCUAGAUAUUAAGUCAACAAAUAUACUUAGAUCCCGAAUAUUUCCAGUCACUUCGAGAUCAAUUUCUAUUGAUCAAACUCACUUGACUACCAGAGUACAAGGUACAUUCGGUUACUUAGAUCCCGAAUAUUUCCAGUCAAGCCAAUUUACAGAGAAGAGUGACGUUUAUAGUUUUGGGGUAGUUCUUGCGGAGCUUUUGACAGGAAAAAGACCAAUUUUGGUAGCUAGACAUGACAAUGAAGCACGAAGUCUAGCAACAAUUUUUUCAAUAGCAAUGGAAGAAAAUCGCCUAGAAAAAAUUCUUGAUUCGCGGAUUACCGAUGAGGGAGCGAAGGAAGAGAUGAUUGGAUUUGCUAACAUUGCAUAUAGAUGCUUAAACUUGAACGGGAGGAGAAGGCCAACAAUGAAAGAAGUUGUCGCUGAGCUUGAGAGUAUCAAAAAUACACAUGGAUCAGCUACUGUUCGACAACACUCUAAAGAGUUUGAAUAUAAAAUAAAUGAACUAAAUGGGUCCUGGGUGUCGGACUUGACUUCAACUUCUUCUCGUUCCACUGUAUAUAAGAGUCUCUCUGUAGAUACAGAGCCUCUGAUGACAAACCAGUGAUACCAAGAUGCUGAAUCGAAAGCAUUUAUAGCGACAUCAUGUUCUAUUUGAACAUUCGAAUAAUGUAAAUCAAGUAUUGAUAUAUGAACUGAUUAUGAGAAUGAAGGUAAUUAACUACACUUGGUUAUUUUAGAGACUACACUUGGUUAUCCUCACGCAACUUGUUUUUUGAGGGUUGCAUAAAAUCUUACAGUAUGAAAAUUGUAACUAAUAAAAAAAAGGAGACCUAAAACUCAAAGAUAAAAAAAAGACUAACCUAUAGAUUCUAAAAGCUGCUUCCUCUGUGGCGGUACUCUCAUACUUGAUCAAACGUUGCUGAUCUCCAAAAGCAUAAAAUAAAUCAAAUGAAACUACAAUUAUUCGCUCUACCUGCUGAUCUGGUAAUGAAUAACACCAUAGUUCUGAAGGAAACUGAAAUCGAGCCUUCUGCAGGGUGGAGCAGUGCUUAGAAAAGAUAGAGUUAAUAUAACAGCAGGGUGCUAGUCUGCUAGACAUCGGCAGACUAAGGGUCUGUUUGGGAGUGUUGUUAAAAAUUGCUGUGAUGUUAGAAAAAGUGCUGAUAAAAUAAGUGCUGUUGUAGAAAUCAGAUAACUGUUUGGUAAUUUUUUGAUAUUUACUUAUUUUGAGUUAUAACAUAAAAAAAUAAUGUUUUUGGUGAGGUUUUAUAAUGAAAUCUAUAAAACCUGCUUUUUCUAACAGCAGCUUUUCAGCUAAAAGCUGCUGUUCGGAAAAACUGCUUUUAGAUUUACCAAACAGUUUUUCACCUGCUUUUCAGCAAAAAGCUGUUGUUGCUGUCUGCAACAGCAACCCCAAACAGUACCUAACAAAAUUGAUUGAGAGUGAGCUAGACUAGUAGUCAUCUUCUUAAGUAGCACCAAUUUCUACUAAUUUACUACCAAUUUCUAGUUAAAGUAGUACUUCCAAGGUGCUGGAGAUGCCAGUUCCUCGCGAUCCUUUCUGCUUGGCAAUCUGAAUUGAGCCCUUUUGAGCUCAUUCACUGCUUGGCAAUUUCAUACGGUAUCCGUGAUGGAUUUUAUAUCAAAGUUAUCACUAUGCCAAAUACUAUUAUGUUACUACUUGAUCUCUAUUUUAAAUAUCUCUAUUUUAGCCAAUAGAAUCAUGAUAUAUAUAUCACUAUUUUAAAUUUUGAAACAUAUUAAACCAGAAAACUUAACCGAAUACGUGUGAGCCAUAUGGAUUACAAAAAUAUAUAGUGAUUAUAGUAAUUUAAUUUUUUCUAAAAUAUUAUUCUCAAAUACAUUCAGAAUGAUAUGUUUUAUUUUAAUAAAAUUGUUAUGCUAUUAUAUAAUUUAUAAUGAAAAAGAAAAAAUAUCUAGUAGCAGCACAUAUAAGUUUGUUUGUAGGGUCUUUGAACUCAUGAAAAUUUAAAAUUCUGAAUUCAUAAUUAUUUUAGACGUUUAAUGGAUAAAUGUUAUAUGUGUGAUGCUAGUUGGAGUUCUUGUGUUUCUAAUAAUAAUAGUUGUUUCAAUAAAUAUUUUACAGAUUAAUAUAAAAGUCCAAUAAAACUUUUAUGGUAAUCUUAAUUCAAAAUUAAUCUGUUACUAAAUUUUUUCUACAAUGUGUUUUUUUUAUGUAAACAAUGUGUGUUGUCAAUAGGCGGAGUUUGCCUUUGUCAUGAUUAUGUUAUCACGACCUUUUUCUUCUUUAAUGCAAUAUUAUGAACUGUUAAAUUAAAUUCUUUAGUAAUAUAAAUUUGACUAAUAUUAUCAAUUCAACUCCUUAUUUAUAUAAAUUCUUAAAUAUAAAAGGAGUUUUUCAAAAAUAUUUUAUAAAUUAAAUUAUUUGUGUUCUAAAAAGUAAAAUGAAUAGUUUGCUCGUGAUGUAAUUUUGUUGACUGAACAGUGAUUACAUUCCGAAAUUCUCGCCAAUAUAAGAGUAUUUCAUUAUAAUAUGAUAAUUAAUAUCAAAUAAAUAAAAUUAUUUUUAAUAAAAUAAUUUGAUAUUUUGAUAAUUCUGGUGUUUCAGAUAUAUAUUCUGCUAAUUGGUUUUGAUUAUUAGUAAAGAGCCUUAAUUGGGUAAUAGAAUCUGUUUGUAUCUCCAACUUGCUGAGAUGUCUAUGAUUUUCACUAUUUAGAGAAAGAUAGAAAUUACAUGAUAAGAAUGAAUUAUGAUAAGUAGAAAUUACAACUAUAUGAUAAGUAUCUACAACAUAAUGUAUAUCUAUCUAAGUGUUUUGGUGUCCUGUAAAUUAAUUAGGACCAGCUUAUGUUAUUUAAUACCCUCCAAGUUGGAGAGGGAGGAACUUCAGAGCGAACUCCCAACUGGGAAAUCAAACGACGAAAUUGAUCAGCUCCCAAUGACUUUGUAAAAAUAUCGGCUAGUUGAUCAGAUGAUGGAAUUUGUGUGGGACGGAUGAGGCCAUAUAAUAACUUUUCACGAACAAAAUAACAAUCUAGCUCAAUGUGUUUUGUAAGUUCAUGAAAAACUGGAUUUUCGGCAAUAUGAAUAGCUGCUUUAUUAUCACAAUAAAUCUUAAUAGGACCUUGUUGUGGACAAUUUAGAUCACGAAGCAGGUAAUGGAGCCAUUGGAUUUCAGCAGUGCAUUUUGCAAGGGCUCUGUAUUCAGCCUCUGCCGAUGAACAAAUUAACAACUCUAGGUUGUUUCUUCGAAAUCCAAAAAAAUAGGGCUUGAACCUAUCAUUGUAAAAUGGCCAGUGGUAGAAAGUCUUCUGGUAGGACAGCCUGCUCAAUCAGAGUCUGCAUAACCUUGUAAGGUUAAAGAACUUGCGGAAGACAAAAAAAUUCCAUAAUUAAGUGGACCCUUUAGAUAUCUAAGGAUACGAAAAUUAGCAUCAAGUUGUUCUUGGAUGUUGCAUAAACUGGCUUAGACAGUUAAUAGAAUAUGUUAUGUGAGGACGAGUGACAGUAAGAUAUAGUAAUCUACAAAUGAGUCGACAAAAAAUACCAGGAUCUGGUAAUAUAUUACCAUCAGAAAAAGGAUCUUGCGAUGUUGGUCAAUUGGAAAAGGUGACGUUGUUGCUCUUAUCAAACCGGAGUCUUUCAAAAUGUCGAGGAUAUAUUUUCUUUGGCAUAAAAAUAUACCUGAAGAGGACGUGGAAACUUCAAUUCCAAUAAGUAUGUAAGCUUUCCCAAAUUUUUGAGUGAAAUAACGAGCUUCCAAUCUCGUUAUCAGUGAAGAAAUAAAAUUUUCAUCAUUACUAGUGAUAAUGAUGUCAUCAACAUACACUAAUACAAAGAUAGAAAGUGUAUUAGCAUGAAAAGUAAAUAAUGAGUAGUCUGCUUGUGAUUGUGUGAACCCUUAUUCAAUAAGGACAGAAGAAAAUUUGGAAAACCAUUGACGUGAUGCUUGUCGUAAGCCAUAUAUUGUUUCCUUUAUUUUACAUACUUUUUGUUCAUCAUUCUUUGAAAAACCUGGUGGAAUACGCAUCCAAAUUUCUUCCUCAAGAUCACUGUGAAGGAAUGCAUUAUUAACAUCUAGUUGGUGCAAGCACCAACCCCGGACGGAAGCAAUAAAUAGUAGAGUCCAGACAGUGACUAACUUUGCAACGGGGGCAAAAGUAUCAUGAUAAUCAAUGCCCUCCUGUUGGGUAUACCCUUUAACGACAAGACGAGCUUUUAGUCGUUCAAUUGAGCCAUCUAGAUUAAAUUUAUUUUUUUAAAUCCACUUACAACUGACAACUGAUUUGCCUUUCAGUAAAGGCACAAUGUCCCAAGUAUUCUUUGAUUCUAAAGCUUGAAUUUCCUUAGCCAUGGCUUCACGCCAAUGAGAAUGUUUCAUAGCCUCGGUGAAAGUACGAGGUUCAUCAUUAGUAAUAACUAAUGUGAGAAAGGCUUUAUGAGAAGGAGUGAAUUUAUAUAAAUGAAAAUGAUGAAGCAAGAGGAUGAGGAUAAGGUGCGAGGCAUGUCUUACCAGAGCAAUCAUAGUCUUCCACAUAUUUUAGACGACCGAACAUUCUCACUGGACGAGUUGACUGAUGUGGAUGAUUGCGACCUUCAUCAUCCAUGAAUGUAAUUUGAUUAGAAGGAGACAUAGUAGGAAAAUUAUCAUGUCUUAUUGGUAAAGAUGAAUGAGAUGUAUCAUGUUCAUUUUUCAAAACAUGAUGAGUUUGAUCAUGUAUUAUAGGCACGUUGUUAGAAUUGGCGUGUCGAGAAAAAGGAUUGAUAUCAUCUAUUUCAUUUUUGUCAUGAAAAUAUGUUGGAGGAUCAGGGGAAGAAAAACAAUCAUCCAUCUUACGAGAGUCUUUAUGAAAUGAAAAUUUGUCUUCAUGAAAAAUCACGGCUCAAGAGACAAAAAUUGAUUUGGACUCUAAAUCAAGAAUUAUAUAUCCUUUGUGAUUGAAAGGAUAUCCUAAAAACACCCCGACGCGAGCUCUUGAAUCAAAUUUUCCUUUCGGAGAAGGGUUGGUUGCUUAACAAAGGCAACCGAGAUGUUUGUAACUUGGCUUUGACCCCAUACUUAAUUCAUGGGGAGUCUUAUUUUGUAAUACCGGUGUUGGCAUUUUAUUAAUUAAGUAUGCUGCUGUGAGAACACAUUAACCCCAAUAUGAAAUUGGUACAUUUGACUGAAAUGAUAGAGCUCGAGCGACAUUUAGGAUAUGUCGAUGUUUUAUUUCAACAAUCCCAUUUAGGAGAUGUUGAUGAUGAAGAAGAAUAACCUCGACAAUCUCAAUAUCCCCGUGAUUUCAAGACUACUCAUCAAGCAUGGAAAGAUGAAAUGAUGAAUUUCUUCAGGAUCCUGAACAAAGAUUAUUCAAGUAGUCUACAUUAUGCUCCUUAAGUUCUUGAUGAUCCAUUAAGAUUCAAGGACAAGGAUCAAGAAAUUCAAUUUAAAGUUUGUCAAAACUGAAGACUGAAGUUGUGAAGAAUAUGUACCUUAAUGUGGUGGGCUCCCUGAACAAUUUGGAAGCUUUGUUUGCUCAGAAAUAUGAGCUUAUCUUGAUUAGCAUAUUGAAUGAAGAUCCCAAGCUUGAUGAAGAAAAAAGAUCAACCUUAUAUGUUGUUCUUAGAAAGAAAUUUAAGAAGAAAAAUGAUGAAAUGCACUUCAAAUGUUGUUCUAGUGGACACAUAUUGUGGUUUACAGUUGAUGGCGCAAGGAAAUUCACUUUAUUUCCUCUUAUGCAAAGAAUUGAGGUAGUUGAAGACUUCGUUGAGUCUGCUAAUGAAGCUGUUUUGGUUGUUGAUCUGAAUCAGUUAGUCACAGGACUAAAGAAAAGAGAACAGAAAGCAAGGGAGGAGAGGAGAGCUCAAAAAUGAGCUAAGUACUAAGUUCUUUUAUCUGCUAAGUCUACCAAAGCAUGUCAUUUGUUCAUACAAUUGCCAUAUCUGGGGUACAAUUGAUUCAGUUUCUUUAACAUUUUUCAAAAACAAAGUUAUAACUAUUCUGAUCUAUGUUAAUUAAGUUGACCGCAUGAUUGUAUUAAAAAUUUGUUGUAUUGUCCGUAAAAAUAAAUCGGGGGAGAUUGUAAGGAUUUAUAGGUGAUAGGUAGCAGUCAAAUUAACAUUGUAUUUACUUAGAUUAUUCUAAGUAUAACAUACUAUCACAUCCAAAGCAUGUCUAAAGUCGCACAUUAGAAUGACAACAAGAAUAAAGGAAUGUUACUGUCAGGUGGUUGACAGUAGUAAUACAAAAGACAGACAGUUGAAGAUCACGACAGAUGAUUUAUACACUUAUUAUAUUAAUUCAAUUGCCAUUUUUAAGUAUUUGAUUCAAAUAAUAAAAAACAUUCUUUAAAGAAAAAAUAUAUUUGUUGACAUAAAAAACUGGACAACAACAUUUUAGAAAUUGACGUAUACAUCUCUCGUAAAAAUUCAGAGCUUAAUUCGCUUGUUAUCAUACAAAAAAAAAUUCACAAAGUCGAGAUAAUACUGCAAUUCGCGUAUCUCUGCACCCGUUUACUAAUAAAUUCAUAACUUCCAAUAUAUAUGGACAUAAAUCAUAAACCUUUGCAACGAAUUUCUUCAAACUAAAAUAAACAACUUUAAUGUAUAAACGAGAAGCUAAAUCGGAUCUUAAGCUCGUAAUUUUACCUGUGCAAAUCGGUCUAGAAGGCUGUCCAGGAGCAAUGUUUGCACCUUCUCCUUUCAUUUCCAUCUCUGUCUCCCCACCUUUCUUCUUCUUUAGCUUGACAGUGGUAUGACGGUCUUGUACGUCUCGAGUGCUUUAAUUUGGCUACUUGAACGUCAAUAUCUGACUCCGUUAACGCCUUCGAAUCUUCGCUUGAUUAUGAAGAACACAAAGAAUAUCGUUUGUUUCUCUAGAUAAUUACAUACUUUAACUGUGUAUAUUGAGUAACUAUAUAUACUAGAUAAGCUAUAGAAAAAGUUAUUUAUAUUUACGAGAAAUUAAGACCACGUUUGAUCAUGUCGAUUAUAAAAAUCCAAUAUUUAAUCGGUAAGUAUCAAUUAAACUAAUCUAAUCGGACCCGGUUUUCGGAUAAACAUGAAAAUUGGAUACUUUAAUAAAUAUUGAGGGUUCAGAGACCCAGAUACACGUACUCUAAUAGAAACUAAUAUUAUAAUUAAAAUAUCUUGGAUAACGAAAAAAUCUAGGUUUCAUAUAUCGAGACAUCAUAUAAUAUUUUAAUAGUCGUAAAACUGAGCCGGAACUCGUAUAUAUAAAUUCGUACUCGGGAUCAAAAAAUUUAUCACACCAAAAGUGUUCGAAAUAUUCAAAUUAAGCUAGAAAUCACAUUUCCUAUAACUUCCGGAUACCAGAAAUGCUAAAACUGUUACGGUUGAUGGAUUUUCGAACACUCGAAAUAAUUAAUAAUUAAUUUAACAAUUAUCAAAUAAAAAUAUUCAUAAAAUCAUAUAAAAAUCAUCAAAUCCUUUGAAAAGUAUUCAAACAAUAAAUGACUUAUUAUGAGAAUAUAAAAAUUAAAACUCACAACUCUAAUACACAUAAACAUCAAUUAUGUGAAAUCAUUUAAAACAUAAAUUCACAGCAAAUUAAUAUAUACAUAUAAUAUUUAUAAAUUACUAUAAGUAAUUAUACAAAAAAUUAACACGUAACACUUAACCACGUAACAAUUAUACUCAUAUAACAAUCAUCUUGAUUUCAGAAACAAAUAUAUGAACUUCAGAUUUGAAAAGACAAUCAUAUAUCGAUAACAGAAUAACCAAGAAUUUAAAUAUAAAAUUUUGAAAAACAUUUUAAAAUGGAAUAAAAUAUUUCCUUUAUUUUUAAGAAAAUCCUUUUUAUAAUAAUAAACAAAGUUUGAAAAGUACGGGUCAUUACAUCCGUCGUCGUUUUUCGAAAGGUUUUCAACUUCUAGGAUAGUUUUGAAUAUGAUUUUCUUAUCAAAAUAUUGUGAUUUCUGGUCCCAAAAUUCUUAGAAUUUAGAAUAAGGCAACAUACUGUAAUUUCACUUUGUUUCGAGAUUUCUUAAAUUAGUUUUUUCGGAUCGUGUUUUAGUGUUUAAAUCCCAUAAUUAUAUAGUUUUGUCUCAUAAUUUUGUGAAGUGAAACUUUUAACCAUUUUUAAUUUAUUGAAAAUUGCUAUAAAUUUAAUUUAUCGCUAAAACAAAUUAUACACAAUCUAAUUGUAGAAGAUGGGUACGAUACCUUAGCGAACAUUCGGUGGCUCGAUUCGCUAUGACAGAAGCUGUAUAAUAUGCUACGAGAUAUGUUUUUCCCUACCAGUGUCUUCAAUCAGAAAUAGAUACUGGGAUUCAUAUGCCAAAUUCAGGUUUGCCUCAGAAUGAGGCUCUUCAACAUCUCUUAGAUAAUUUUAAUGCGGUUCCUCUAAAGUUGAAAUAGUAAAUUUCUUUCACGAUAUCCAGCACUCGAGAUAGUAAGGGAUUGUUACCAAAGAAGAUAUAUAUUAAACAUUUGUCCAAAGUAGAGUGUGAGAAAACACUAGCAAGUUCAAAAUUCAUAAACACUCAAGUGCCGAAAAAUCUAUAGUUGUGUAUUUAUGAAAAUAUCACAAAUUAUUUCUUUUUGAAUAUAAUUAUCUCGAAUGGAAGAAUAAUCUACCUGAAAUUUUAAAUAUCUUGUAUAUUACAUUAUCAUUUAAUAAUUGUUGUGAUUAAUUAUACAAGACGAUCGAAUAUGUUUGUAUUGUAUUCAACCUCCUCUACGUACGAUCAAUCUUGACUAGCUAGUAUAAAAUAACACUAAAUUAGCCACCAACAUAACCACCAGAGCCUUCAUCAAAAUGGUCUCCACAAUGAAUUUCGGUUGUGAAAAAAUGAGUCCCCCUUUUAAUAAUACACAAACAUAUGAAAUAUUAAUAAAUAACAAAACCUAUGAUAAUACACAUAAUUAAAUAACCAACAACUAUCACAAAUCAAACUUUUUCUCUUCUACAAAUCAAACUUUUUCUCUUCUACAACAGUAUUUUUAGACAUCCAAAACUUAAGAAAAUCAAACUUCAGGGAGGUGGUAUGAAACAUGGGUUUGAAAAAACAUUUUUUUCGCCUUUUAUUUUUUUCCUUGUUUAUAUAAUUAUAUCUAAAUUGUUAAUAAUAAAAUUAAUUAAUUAAAAAUAUUUAAAAAAUAUAAAAUAAAGAAUAUUUUUAAUUAAUUACAGUUAAUUAUGAUAAAAUAUUUUAAAUCAAUUCUAUUUAUUCCACCACUCAACAAAAUAAUAUCAUAAAUUAUACAUCAACCUCGUAUGAUGGUAACAGGAUUCUUAAGUCCAAUCACAUACCCCUCUCUAAUCCAACGAUGCCUUGUAGACUUGUAGUGAUCAUCUCUUAAAUUGACUGGGUGAAGUCCCUACCGUUGACCGGAGGACUUUUGAAUAUUCUCAUACAGAACACUUGGUCAUGAACUCUGCGGAAUCAAAACUUUACAAGAUAAUGGAAAUCUAAAUAUACUCGAGCCUACUUAAACUUCCCCAUAUUUUCGAGCAUACACUACAUUCUGAGGGCAAAGUUGUGGAUACAGAUGAUGCUUCUCAUGUUAUUGUUCCUAAAAGCAGCGUUGGCACAAAAUUCGUCGGUGGCAAAGCCUGCAGAAUGUCAAGAUAGAUGCGGUAGCCUUGUAGUUCCUUACCCAUUCGGAAUCGGAGCAAACUGUUCAGCUGCAGAUGCAAUGAGAAUACAUUGCAAUACCUCUUUUUAUCCACCAAAACCUUUCAUCCAGACUCGAACACUAGUAAAGGGCAUUUUGAAGCCGGGUCCAUUCGAUCAGCUGGAGGUACUGGAAAUAUUAAUCGAGGCAGGCACUAUUCGCGUCAGACAUCCAAUAACCAGAGAGUGUUCUAGUACAAGUAAUCGCAGUCCAGGUAUUUAUUUAAAUGAUCCCUUUUCAUACUCGAACACUGAAAAUCGAUUCACUGCCAUGGCUUGCAACAAUCUUGCUUUACUAGACACCCUACUGAUAAAAAAUAGUGGAGGCUGUGUAUCAAUGUGCCAGCAACGUUCACAGAAAGAAGACAAUAACAGUUGUCUUGGGGUAAAUUGUUGCCAAAUAAAAUUCCUGCCAUACUUGCAUUAUCUCUCGCCGUCUUUUUCCGGUCUGGGAAGUAAUUUAUCAGCCAAUUGCAGCGAAGGGCCAAGGUAACACACGUGUGCCACUCCUACAAUUAAAUUUAGUUUUCUUUUCUUUUUAAUUUAAAAAAAAAUAAAUAAUUUUUAUUGAUACAAAUUACAAGUAUAAGUAUAUCUGAUAUAUACUAUACAUAUGCAUUAUUUAAAAGGUAUUGUUUAAAUCAAAAUAAUAUAGUAGAGCUGUCAAAUAAUGACCAGGUUGAACUAAAUUAUUACUCCCUCCUCCCCCUGGAUACUAUACAUUGGGGGACCGGUAAGCGACACGCACUUUAAUACUCGUGUAAAGUAUAGCUGUGUAAUUUAUUUUUAAAAAAUUUUCCUUUUCUAAAUUAAAGUAUGGAUGUUAUAUUUUUAUUCAGGAAAAAUCUUAAAAUUAAGUUACAAAAGUAUAUUCUAUAGGAAUAUUGAAAUGCGUGUCGAGCAGUUGGAAAAAAACAUACAAAAUUAAAUGGGACAGAGCAAAUAUUAACAGUAUCUAACAUUACAAUUAAGUAAUAUAUACAAAUUUUAAGAGACCUAAAAAUUGUACUUGACAAACUCUGCGAAGAAAAGUAUUAGAUAUCAAUAAAUUUCUGUGAUUCAGAUUAUCCAGGACCAAAACCAAGAUGUAAUUUUAUCUAAUAUUUGUCCUUUCACCUCAUAGGUAUGAUCUCAAACAACAAUCAAAAUGUUCCUCAUAAACGAAUCUCUUGUUUUAUUAAGAGUAGAUAACUACAAGAUUGAAGCUUAUAAUCUAGUUAAAGAUGUGCUACACAUAAAUUAUUUGUUCUCCAGGCCAAAAGGAUAUUUGUGUCAAAUAAUAAUUAUUUUGAUAAUCAAGGGUUAAAAGAUUAACAGAUUCCAAAUUAAAGAGGUAGUCUCUAACAGAAUUGGUGUCCAUUUUCCCUCUAUUCUUUUUGGGAUGGAAUAUUUUAGUGCGACGAAUUCUCGACGGUUGUCGGUCGUUCAUAGGGUGACAGUUUUAUGAUUGAAUGUUGUAAACUAGCAGAGAGAGAAAGAGAGAGAGAGGACAAAGAAGACUAUCAUUCUAUUAUGAAAACUGAACUUGUAUUUACAAAGAAGGUAGCUAUGACUUAUAUACAACUGAGAGGAAUGUUCUAAACUGCAUCAUGUACAACAAAAUUCUGUCAUGAAAUGCCAGACUGACACAUUCUACAUGAGGCUAUGCAUCGUGUUGUUGUGCAACUAGUUUAGUGUGGUCCCCUACAACUUGCUUUGAUACUCCCUUAGUAUCUGUAACAUCCCCCCUCAAGUUGGGAGGCUGAAAUAGAUUGCAGACACCCAACUUGUAACACAAAAGCUGUAAAGAUGCUGAGCACAACGCCUUAGUGAAAAUAUCUGCAGGUUGGGCUGUUGUAGGGAUGUAUGUAGGCUGAAUCAUGCCAAGUUUAAGCUUUUCCCGAACAAAGUGACAGUAAAGUUCAAUGUGUUUGGUGCGCUCAUGAAAGACAAAGUUGUGAGCAAUAUGCAAGGCUGACUUGCUAUCACAGUAUAGGGAAACAGGUGUGAGCUUGUGGAUGCCAAAAGCUUUGAACAGACCAAGAAGCCAAGUUAUUUCACAGCAUAUCAGCCAAGCUACGAUAUUCAGCUUCUGCUGAAGAUCUUGAAAUGGUAUGCUGCUUUUUACAUUUCCAAGGAAUGAGGGGAGGGCCAAGCAUAAUACUAUAACCAGUUAAGGAGAGGCGAGACUCUUUAUCACCUGCCUAAUCAGAGUCGCAGAAAGCAGUAAGUUGAAGUGAGCGUGCAAAUGACAUUAAGAGUCCCUAACCUGGAAAGCCUCUUAGGUAUCUAACAACCUUGUAUGCUGCAACCAAGUGAUCAUGCUUGGGAGAGGCUAGGAACUGAGACAACACCUGAACAACAUAGGAUAUAUCAGGGCGUGUAAUAGUGAGGUAGAUAAGAUGACCCACUAGCUUGCGAUAGGAUGAGGCAUCAGAGUCAGAUAAGAAAGCACUAUUGUUAUCCUGCAAGGAGUGAUUCUGUUCCAUAGGAAUUUUGGAGGGGUUAGCCUGAAGAAGGCCAGUGUCAGUGUGUUAGUAAGGAUGUCCAGAGUGUACUUUCUCUGAUGCAAAUAUAUUCCUUUAGCAGAACGAGCUACUUCAAUACCAAGGAAAUACUUCAAGGGGCCCAAAUCCUUGAUUUGAAAUUGAGUGGCCAAGUAUGUUUUGAUCAAAGAUGAACUGUUACCAGUCACAAGUAUGUCAUCUACAUACACUAGGACAACAACAAACUGGUGCUUGUUAUGAUAUGUUAAAAAGCUGUUGUCUGAGUGAGACUGAACAAACCCGUACUUUAACAGAGCUUUAGAGAAUUUCUCAAACCAACAUCUCGGAGCUUGACGAAGACCAUAUAGAGAUUUGCGUAAUCGACAAACAAAUUGAUUAGGAUCAUGAAUAGAGGCAGUAGAGAGGACUGAGCUGAGUUGUAAGUAGCCAGGUGGCAGUUUCAUGUAGAUUUCUUCAUUAAUAUCCCCGUGCAAAAACGCAUGGGUCACGUCAAGUUGAGAGAUGGACCAGUCUUAUGUAGCAGCCACAACAAUGAACAAUCUAACUGUAGUCAUCUUUGUUACAGGAGCAAAGGUGUAAAAAUAAUCAAGGCCAUAUGUCUGUGUGAAUCCUUUGGCCACCAAUCGGGCUUUGUAGCAUUCAACACUUCUAUUUGGAUUGUAAUUGACUUUAAACAGCCAUUUGCAAUCCACAAUGUGCUUAUCAGGUGGUUUGGGAACAAUGUCCCAGGUAUGAUUGUUUUCCAGAGCAUUAAUCUCAAGUUUCAUGGCAUUUAACUAGUUAGUGCCUAAAGAAGCCCGCUUGUAAGUAGUGGGAAUUGGAAUGGAAACAGUAGCAACCAAAAAACAUUUGUAUGCGGAAGAAAAAUUGUCAUAUGACAUGUAUGACUACAAAGGACAAGAAGUUUGAGUACCUGAGACCAUGUGAGAGAAGAUAUGAGCAGAUUGAGUGAUCAUAGAAGAUGAAAGUCUUGUAUAAUCCUUAAGGUGGGCAGGAGCUCUUCUUUUUCUGACAUGUUUAGAUACAGCAAUGGGAGGUGUGGUACUGGGGGGGGGGGUAUUGUGAGGUGGUUGAGGUAGGAUUAUAGGUUCUUUUGCAGUAUCAGAAGCUGGUGUGUGCAGCACUGGUGGAGGUGUUGGUAUAGCUAGAGUGCUCAUGAAAGGGGUAAACAGUUUCAACAAACUGAACAUUUCUUGUGACAAAGCACUUCCUACUCUGAAGAUCAAUAACUCUAUAUCCUUUUUGAUUGAAGGGGUAUCCAAUAAAAUCACACUUGAUUGCUCUGGUAUUGAAUUUAUCAGGAAUAUCACUGUCAUUGGAUAUAUAACAGAGACAUCCAAAAGCUUUGAGGUGAUGAUAUUUAGGUGACUUUUGAAACAGAAGCUCAUAUGGAGACUUGAAGCCAAGAGUUUUAUAGGGAAGGAGAUUAAUAAUGUGAGCAACAGUUAGUACACAGUUACCCCAAUAACUAAUAGACAGUUUAGAUUGAAACUUGAGUGCUCUUGCAACAUUUAAAAGAUGCACGUGUUUUCUUUCAACUAGACCAUUCUGCUGUGGGGUUCUAGGACAACUGUUCUGGUGGAUUAUACCCAAGGCAAGAAGAUGAUUCUGUAAAUCUUUGUUUACAAUUUUUGUGCCAUUGUCAGAUCUUAAGACUUUAACAGUUGUUUUGAACUGGUUAUUAACAUAAGACAGAAAGUGUUUGAGUAUGGGAGAAACUUGAGUCUUAUCAUUCAAAAGAAACAACCAAGUACAUUUUGAAAGGUCCUCUACAAUGGUUAGAAAAUGAUGACAUUUACCAUGAGUAGGGUACUUAUAGGGUCCCCAAACAUCAUAGUGAAUGAGAUCAAACACGGACACACUACAAGACUCACUUCUAGGAAAUGGUAGCUUAUACUGCUUAGCUUGAUGAAUAUCACACUCAUAAGUCAUCUUAGGUAAAUGCUGAAAACUAGAUAUACUACUAAGUACAUGAUGAGAAGGAUGUACUAAUCUAUAAUGCCAGAUAUGGUGUUCUGUAUCGUAGGAGGCAACAACAAUAGUAAUGGGAGAGUAAGAGGACUGGAGCUUCAAAGUAUUCAGUCUGUACAGGCCAUCUUCUAGAUCACCAAUCUGCCUCUUCUUCUGAGUAACAUGGUCCUGCAUAAGGCACUUAGUAGCAGUGAAUUGAAGCAAGCAGUUAUUAUCAACAUUGAAUUUGGCAACUGAGAUUAGAUUGCACUUCAAAUGAGGAACAUAUAAAGCAUGCUUCAAGACUAGAUUGCAAGGAAGGAUAAUGUCACUAACAUGAGUGACAUUACCAUUAGGUAAUUGAAGCUGAGACUACAUUGGUUGAAUAUUGCUUAUGAUGGACAUAUGUGUUGUGAUAUGAUGUGUGGCACUUGAAUCAAUGAUCCAAGUGGUGCUAACAGGAGUAGUUUCUGUAGAAUUAAUCAUAACAGCUGAAUGUGAAGUAAAAGCAGGAGACAUACUGAUACCUGCCAUAUGUGUGUUUGCUGGAGUGGCAUUUAUUUGUGCUGCAGUAUUUGCCUGAAUCCGAGGAGCAUUGACCUGAGAUUGCUCUGUGGUAGUACCAGUAUUUGAGGCCUGCAUACGUGCCUGAAGCAUGUUGAGGAGAUGAUCACACUGCUGAUCAGUGAAAUUAGGCAUAGCACCUGCUGUAGUGGGCUGUAGUGGACUGGACAUUGGUAGUUGAAGGUUUCUUGUUGUUAAGAUUGCGUGGCUUAGGCUUUGGCUGUCCAUGAAGCCUGUGCCACUCAGGGUAGCCAUGGAGACAGAAACACUUGUCUUUAGAGUUUCCAGACAACUUACAAUAUUCACAAGUCAUAGAGACAUCUGGAGCCUUCUUAUAAGUCUUUGUUUUACCAGAAUUGUAUUGCUGCAACUUAACAUUCAUAGCAACAUUUUCAGGCACUAGUGGAGACACCUGGUUAGCACAGUCUCGCUGAUUUUCUUCUUGAAGCAAAAUUGCAUAAGCAUUGGCAAGAUCAGGUAGAGGAUUCAUUAGGAGAAUUUGGCCUCUUGUAGUGGUGAACUGAUCAUUUAAUCUCAUGAGGAAUUGGCUCAGUUUUGUGAUAUGUUCAUAAUGAUCAGGUUUCACAAAAGUAUCACAGUUACAUCGAGGAAUACGAGAAACAUUAUCAAGUUCAUCAAUAAGACCUCUGAACGUAUUGAAAUGGGCAGUUAUAAAUCUGUUACCUUGAGACAGUGAUUUUAGCUCUUUUCGAAGAUGAAAUAGACGAGGAACAUUAGACUGUAUGUAGCGAGCUGCUAAAUCAUCCCAGAUCUGUUUGGCUGUGGUCAUGUAAACCACACUUUUCCUAGUUUCUGAAGAAAUAGAGUCGAGAAGCCAUGAAGCGGUUUUAGAACCAUCUAAUUAUUCUUUACAGUAUUUAGGGUACAAGUACACUACUUCCGUAAACUUUGCUUCAUUAUUAUUUAGUUCAGUUUUAGUUUAGGUUUAUUUUGUAAAAUGAAAUUUCAUCAAUAAGAAUUCAAUAUAAAUAAGAAUAAGGAGUCUUUAUGUCGCGUUACUGGGGACUCGUUUCAAAAAAAUUCGCCGCUUGGGAGCUUUAUUACCUUUCAUGAUAAAUUGGAUAAACUAAGAAAAAACAAAAAAAAAGCUAUUGAAUUAACUGAACAAGUAGAUACAAAAGGAAUUCAAGUACCAAUUUCAGGACGUAUCGACGGAAAAGAAAUUACGCGUGUCGAAUGGAUCAGAGAGGGCAGGGUUCCCCUUCAAACCAUUCGAGCUAAAAUAGAUUAUUGUUCUUAUACAGUUCGAACUAUGUAUGGAGUUUUAGGCAUUUUUAUGAUCCUUCGAUAAAAUCCACAAAGCUAUCAUCUGAGCAUUAGCUGCUGGUUUCACUUGAGAACCAUCAAUAAACCCUAACUUGAGUUUAGAGGAGGGAGCGAUCUUAAUACAUCGACUCCAGGUACUGUAGUUUUGAUCUGUGAGCACUUCAUUUACAAGAAAAAUGCCAGGAUGAUUUGAAGAACUUAAGUAGUGAGGAUGAUUAAUAUCAAUAACCGGUGCAGUCGCCAUGGAAGCUGUAUUUGAAGCGGAGCUAGCUAGUACUGCUGCAUAUGAGUACAUGAACAAAGAAGAUAAUGAUUAUUUGGAUGUGGUGAGCUAGAUUCAAUACUUACCUCGCUCUGAUACCAUGACAGUUUUAUGAUUGAAUGCUGUAAACUAGCAGAGAGAGUGAGAUUGAGAGAGAGAGAGAUGACAAAGAAGACUAUCAUUCUAUUAUGAAAACUAAACUUGUAUUUACAUAGAAGGUAGCUAUGACUUAUAUAAAACUGAGAGGAAUAUAGAGUGCAUCAUGUACAACAGAAUUCUAUUAUGAUAUGCCAGACUGUCACAUUUUAUAUGAGGCUAUGCAUGUUGCUGCUAUGCUGCUACUUUAGUGUGGUCCCUGCAACUUGCUUUGAUACUCCACAUAGGGUAUUAGCGACACACUUAUCUGCCAUCGCCGAAAUCAGUCAUUGUUGAUCAAAUUUAGCGACCAAGGGAUCAUUUGUUUACAUAUUAAUGGGGAUGAAUAAAUAUGAAUGGAGUGAUACUGUUUGUCAUAUUUCUUGAAUAUUAGCUGGUACGAGAGAAUGAUUCUGAAUAGUUGCUAACUUGGUAACGUAGGAUUUGAAGGCCGGAGCUCAGACAACAUAUUUUUAUAAUUACACUGUUUUUAGGACUUUCAUCUUGUUUUACUAUCGGUAGAAACAUACACAAUUCUGGAACAUAUGCUUGUACUUAUAUCUCUUUUACUCUUACCUUUUAAGUAUAUUAAAUUAGUUUUGAUUUUAUUAUUACACCCGUAUAGAUUUUCAUGUAAUGUUAUAUUUAUUGAUUAAUUUAUAUUAUAGCUAUUUUUUUUUUUUUUGAAAGAUAUAUUAUAGCUAGUUAAAACAGUUUUUUUAUUUAAUAAUAUUAUAUUAAAUAACAAUUUUAUUACAAAUCAAAAAUAAAAAUUAAUAUCAUUCAAAUGUUUUUUUUCAAAUGAAAUUAUUCAUUCAACUUUGAGAUAAAUAAUUCACUCAGAUCAUUCAGAUAUAAUCAUUCAUCAAUUUUUCACUUAGCGGUCGCUCGUGGCUUGCCCUUGUGAUUUUUUGCACCUAGUAACUUUGACCUUGUUUAACUGGAAGUAAUUCAACACUAUAAUAUUGAUACACUUUCUAUCUUUCUAUUUGAUUUUAUAACUUUUAUUUCAAAUUAUGUAACUUACACUUCCCACGCAUUCUAAUUUACGGUGAAUUACCAUAAUCUAUGUCUUUUUAGUGGGUUAGGGUUUUGAUACUUUUUAUUUAAAUUUUUAUUUUCACGCUUUCUAUAUUCAUAUUAUUAUAAUAGAGCGAGGUUCAAAUUAGAAUUCAUAUUAAGUUAGAACUUAGAACUCAUAUAAAAUCAUUAGAUUAUUGUUAAAUCAAUGGUCAUGAUCAAAUACCGCAUUUAAUAUUAGUUAUUUAAUAUUUUUUUUUACCUAAUUGUAGGUAAUUAAUGAAUGCAUUAAUUAUAUGUAUUAAAAUUUAAUAUUACAUUCAAAUCAUAUUACUUGUUAUUAUCUUUCUAAUGUUCUGCAGCAGUAUUUCCAAUGUGCUGCAACAAUAUCAGUAUAAUUAUUAAAUAAUAUUGUUUUUAGUAUAUUAUUUGUUUUGACAGUUGAGGGUUUGUGCCGACUGUAUUAUAUUCAAGUUAAUGAAAAAAAAUGUUGUCAUUUAAUUAAAGUUCUAAGGUUCUAAGACUAAGAGGUUCUACGUAGAAUCCAACCCUAAUAUAUAUAAAAAAAAUUGUAUAUAAUUAUUCAUAUAUAUUUAUUAAUUUUAAUUUAAUCUUACUUAAUAUUUUGUGUCAUAUUUUUUAUUUAUAAAUUAUCUGUAUCAUAUAUUAUUUCAAAUGUAUAUAAAUAUUUGUAUUAUGAAUUAAUUCAAACUUGGUUUUAAAAUUUCCAACGAAGUUAUUAGUGUAGUCCUUGAUUUUUUCCGAGGAAUUUCAACUGACUUACUCAAAACAUCUCCAGUGUAGAAGCUAAAACUCUUAUCUAGAAUAUGGUUACCUAAAAAUUUAUUGAACCUCCUAAGGAUUCAAGAACAUAAUUAGCUAAAAAUCUAUAAUCAUUAUCUAUAUUUAAAAUAUUAUUUUUAAUUAAUUUUAAUUAAAUAUAUACUCAAUUAUAAAUUUAACUAAUUUUGUUCUAUAUUGGUGAAAAUAAAAUGAUAUAUUUGAUAAUAAUAUAAUAACAUUUUUAUAUUUAUGAUAAUAUUUUUAAGUAAAUAUUUCAAAUUAAAUUUAAAUAAUUUUUUUUGAAACUUAAAAUUAAAUAACUAUUGAUCCUCCGUUGGUAUUAGUUAUAACAAUUAGUUAUAUUUAAAAUAUUUAAAAUAUAGUUAUAUUUGUUAUUAAUUUUAAAUAUACAAUUAAAUUUUUUGACAAAAUUUAUUAUAUAUUAGUAAAAGUAAUAUUAUUCUAUUUAAUAAAAAAAUAUUUAAUAAUAAUAUUAUAACAAUUUUAUAUUUAUGUUAAUAUUUUAAAUUAGAAAUAAACAGUGAUCAUGAUUAAAACAUAUUUUACUAUUUGAAAAUUUUCAAAAAUUUAUUUAACAAUAAAUUAACAUUUAUAUCCUUAAUAAUAUUAUAAUAUUAUGCAUUUAAAGAGUGCCUUCAAUUUUUUAAAUUAAAUUUUUAAAAAAUGAUUUAAGAUAUUAUAUUAUAUGUUUUAAAUAAAAAUAAAAAUUAAAAAAAGUUUUGGGUUAGAUCACGGAGGAGAUAUUUUAAGUUGAAGAUAGGUGGAUUGGUUUAGAUGAAGACGGGAGGAGUACCAUUUUUUAGCUAGAUAAAAUUAUAAAUAACAGGAACAUCCGAUGCUCUAUUGUUUAGAUAUCAGGUAUAACAUAUUAUACUUAACAGGUGUAUAACAUUGGAGAUAAGGUUAUAAGAUGAUCCGGGUGAUCCACCUCGGUACCCCUUUGCUCUGAAAUUAUUUUAUUCGGAUAUAAACUGAUCUCGGAUAUUUGAGAUUCAAAUAUGAACCGGAUAUGAUCCGGUAUCGUAUUUUUUAUUUUUUAAUCGGGUAGUUUAUGAUCGAACGAAUAUGAGGCGGAUAUGAUACACUAACAUCAAAUAUCAUUAUUAUUUCAAUUGUUCAAAUAAUUAUCAUUUAGUUUAAGUAAACAUCUAUACUAUCUAUACUAUACUAUAAAAAACCAACAUGGGUAUAAUUUGUAGUUAUACAAAAUUUUAGUUUGGUAUUCUCUCUUGGUAGUCUCCUCCAAAACUAAAAGUCGUACAUGUAGAUAUCUAUUAAAGAGUUUCAUAUACUAAAAACACUCCUUAUGUAUAUUAAUAUCUUUAUAAAUAUAAUUUAUAAUUAGUUGAAAAAAGGGAAACUACUGUUAAUAACAUAUAUUAAUAUUAAAAAAUAGUUAUAGAUAAAUGUAUAACUAAUUAUAAAUAUACAAUUUUGAAUAUCUUUUGUCUAAAAUACAUAUAAAUAAUUGGAGAUGCUAUUUUUUAAUUAUAACGUAUUUUACUCGAAAUUUAACUCUAAUGUAUUCUAUUUCAUUACAAAGACGAACCAUUACGUAACAUAUGAAGAUAUGUGAAAUAUGAAAAUUUUGAUUAUUAAUUGAAUAAUAAACUGUCACAUAUUAAUAUCAGAAAAAUAUUUAUAGAUAGAUAAUAAAUUGUGAAAGCUAAAUUUCCGUUAGUAGAUAUAAUCAGCUGGUUAAUAUAAUUUAAUUAAAAUUCAAUUCAUUAAUACUAAAAUACUAAUAAAAUGGUGUUAAGAUUUAAAUUAUAAUUAACAAAUUAUGAAUUAUAUAUCCGUGCUUUGCACGGGUUAAAGGCUAGUAAUAUUAUAAAGUAUAAUAACUUUAAAUUAAAACUUAUAGUUAUAUGUUGGUAUAUAUCAUUUAUUAAAUAUAUAUGAAGAUAAUAAGCAUGAUCACAUUAAAUAAAUCAUAUUUAAUGAAGAUAUAAACUUAAAUAAGUUAUUACAAAUUUAUAAAAUGAUGACUAUUUACUUGCAAAUAUGAUGGUGAUAAAAUAUAAUAUGUAUAUGAGACGGAAUCUGAGCACCUCUGGAGUGCUGCACCCCAUCUUCUACCACUUGAUCUACAUGCCACUUGAUCUACAUAAAACAUGUGAUUCUAAAUGAUAUAACAUGUAUUUAUAGAAAUUUCGGGGGGAGGCAGGUCCUGAUCCAAUGUGGCUCCGCCAUCCGGGAUCAUAUAUCAUAUGGGCUUAUUUUUUCUGUCAGAUUUGAAUCGUUUUCAAAACAAAUAUGAGGCAUGUAUCAUAUUUUCGAGCCGGAUAUGAGCCGAGACACCGGAUAAUUCGUAUCGAUUUACAACCCUAAUUGGAGAAGCAGUUAUUGCAAAUUAUUGGUAAACCAAAAGCUUUUGUAAGUAAGAUUUUUUAAUUUUGUUUUUAUAAAAGUACAUGAUUUACAUUUUUAUAAAGAACAAAAAUAAAUCCAAAACAAGCCGAUGGAGUAUAUUUUAGUGGCUAAAAUCUUUCCUCUGCGCCACUUAAUGCAGGUAUGCUUUCAUUGUUGAUCAGCAGUGGUUCGGGGGGUUGAAAGAUAUCAACAGUGUGAAAAAAUUGGAAAAGGUUCCUGUUGUGCUAAAUUGGGGAUCAGACGAUGCCAACUGUAGAAACUUUGGUUUAGAAACAUAUUCUUAUUACACUGCCUCCAAUGCCACCUUGUGCGGAAAAAAUGCUUUCUGUACAAACAAAAGCUUGUGUUCAUGUAUAAAAGGAUACGAAGGAAAUCCUUAUUUGCAGGAUGGAUGUCAAGGUUAGCGAUUUUGCAGUAAAUUUUAUCACUUUCCGAAUCGUAUACAAGUGAUGGACUACAAUCAUGCAGGCAACGCUAUAAUGUUGAUCAUGACCAAAACAACACAUUUAAUUGUUUAUGUUUGAUAAGAGUUUUUUUAUGUCAGAUAUCAAUGAGUGUAGAAAUUCAACUUCAAAUUGGUGCACGCAAAUUUGUUUCAAUAUACCAGGAAGCUACAGUUGCUCAUGCGCAGAUGGGUGGGUCCUAAUUGGGAAUUUUACCUGUGAAAAGAUAGAGGUUCAGCGCAGUGGCAAGGAAGUUGCAGUCAUAGUAAUAGGUACUUUACCCUCUAAUUAUUUUGACGGAAUUGUUUAUGAGUUAUGACUGUGUGGUAGAAAUACCGGGUGUGAUUACACAUUGCAUAACUUUAACAGUGCUUGAAGAAGAAUGUUAAGCUAUUCUGUUGCUUGUUCAUUUGCAGCUGAGUUUGUCUACGACAGGCUUAUAGAUCUAAUUAAGCAUAAGAACGAACUCUAAGGUUGUGAGUUCACUUGGAUGUAAUGGAAUGAGGGGAAAAUGGAAUGAAAAAUUAUAUAGAAAUUAUAAGGAUAAAAAAGAAAGUUUGAGAUAAUAGUGACUAAAUGUGAAUGUAUUUAGAUUUCUUUUGAGAAAGAUAAGAAAACAUGAUGUAUAUAUGGAAUGAGCAUUCUUUCCAAAACAUGUGGGUUAGAAUUAUAGUUGAAAAUUUCAACUUGAAAUAGUAGGAAUGCAAUGAUUGAAGGAAUGAAAACUGUAUACAUUUUCUUUGAUCAACACCAUUUCAGAGAACAAAAUUCAUUUUAUUCUCACUCCAUUCCAUUCUCCCUCCGUUCCAUUCAAUCCAAGUGAACACAACCUAAGAUUGUGUUCACUUUGAUGAAAAUUGGAAUUGGCAUGAUGGGAGAAUGUAAUGAUAAUGUUUUCUCAAUUGGGAUGAAUAUUUUGGAUACAGAGAGAACAUGUCACUGUGUUAAAACAGAGAAGAUGUUUAGCACCUAAAGUACCUUCUUUUUUCUAUUUCUCUCAUUUUUCGCUUUUUGAUGGAGGGACAGUUAUAGUCUCUUUAUCUUUGAUUCUGUAUUUUUAUUCUAUAUAUAACACAAAUUAUGGUAUUGGUCACACAAUGUUUCGCACAUCAUUGUGUGAUCAAUACUCUUGCCAAUAUAAUCUGACUUCUUUAAUCAUGACUGGUACUGCAGCCUCAUGUUCUGGUCUAGGCCUGCUGGUGGCUACUAUAUUGUGGUUGUACAAAGUAAUUAGACAAAGAAGAAUACGUAAGCUCAAGGAGAAGUUCUUCAGGAGAAAUGGAGGUCUGCUAUUACAUCAAAAAGUAUCUUCAAGCGAAGGUAACGUCGAGACAACAAAAUUGUUUACCUCAAGGGAGUUGGAUAAGGCAACUGACCAGUAUAAUGUUGAUCGAAUAAUCGGACAAGGAGGACAAGGUACUGUCUAUAAAGGGAUGUUGACAGAUGGAAGAAUUGUAGCAGUGAAAAAAUCCAAGAUUGAUGAUGAAAGCAAAAUUGAAGACUUCAUUAAUGAGGUCGUAAUUUUGUCACAAAUAAACCACAGAAAUAUAGUAAAGCUAUAUGGAUGCUGCUUGGAAACACAGGUCCCUCUACUCGUUUACGAGUUCAUCCCUAACGGAACACUGAUGCAGUAUAUCCAUGAGCAUAAUGAAUAUUUUCCCCUUACAUGGGAUGUCCGCAAGCGUGUGGCCACAGAAGUUGCUAGAGCUCUCUACUAUUUACACUCUGCUGCAUCGAUUCCAAUAUAUCAUCGAGAUAUCAAGUCCUCAAAUAUCCUUCUCGACGACAAAUACACAGCAAAAGUGGCAGACUUUGGAACUUCAAGAUCAAUUUCUAUUGAUCAAACUCACUUGACUACAAAAGUCCAAGGUACAUUCGGUUACUUGGAUCCUGAAUACUUCCAGUCAAGCCAAUUUACUGAAAAAAGCGAUGUUUAUAGCUUUGGGGUAGUUCUUGUAGAGCUUUUGACAGGACAAAAACCAAUCUCAGCAGCUAGACUCGACGAUGAAGCACGAAGCUUAGCAACACUUUUUCUAUUGGCAAUGGAAGAAAAUCGUGUAUUAGACAUUCUUGAUUCACGGAUUACCAACGAGGAUGAGAAGGAAGAGAAGAUAGCAUUUGCUAACAUCGCGUAUAGAUGCUUGAACCUGAACGGGAGGAAAAGACCAACAAUGAAACAAGUUGUAGCUGAGCUAGAGAGCCUUAGCUAUACAAAUGGAUCACCUUCUGCUCAACAAAACUAUGAAGAGGUUGAAUAUAUAAAAAGUGAACUAUAUGGGCCUUGGGAGUCUGAUGUUACCUCAUCUUCCAUGAAUUCCACCGUGUUCCACAGUCUCAAUGUUGAUAUACAGCCUCUUAUGGCAGAACAGUGAUGCCGAGAUGCAGAAUAGUCUCAAUGCUGAAGAGAACUUGUGAGCACAAAAAAAAAUUGUGCUGAUGUAAUAAACUUGGUCUCGUUGGGACAAGCUGUUCAUUUUAGAGACCGGAUUCGCCUUUGUGUAUAUUUAUUUGUUUGUAUGUCCUAUAACCAAUGAGGAGAAGAUUGCUGGACUUGAAGUAUUUUUAGCUAUUUUUAGUUUUUGUUUUUGGCUCUUUUAGCUGGUUAUCAAUUAUUUGUUGGAAAAUAUGGGUAUAAGUCCCAUAUUGGUAAAUAAUAUUUUGAGCAUUAUGUGUGAGAUAUGAUGAUAUCUUUUUGAUAAUGGAAAUUAUUUUUUCCAAGUGGAAUUUGGCUCAAAUAUUAUGGCAUAAAUUAAUUUGAUUUUGUUUCAGAUUAAUUGAUAUGGUGUAUAUCUUGAUAUAUUUAAUCUGAUUCUGUUUCAGAUUAUAUAUGGGAUAUAAUAACUUGCAAAUAUUUAUUUGAUUCUGUUUCAUAUUAUUUAUGGAAUAGUGUGGCGUGCAAGUUUUACACCGAUUCUGUAAUUAAUGACGAUUAAUUAUGGAAAAGAGUAGUGCACAAGUCUUUCUUCACCUAUAAAUACCCAUAUAGGUUGAAGGGUUUCGAAUCAUCAAACACAUCCUCCUUCUCUCUCUCAAUACCACAACCUAAAUCUUUCCGGUGAUAGUUCUUUUGCUCGAUUCAAGCUCGCCGAAGGUGCCGUUCUUGUUAACGACAUCGCAAUCCGUUUUAUCCUGGGAAGCUUUCGUUCCGCACAUACGGUGAGAGGGCGAAUACGCUUUAAGGAGACAGUUUCGCACUGGACUCGGAUUUUCUUCAUAUCUUCUGUUUAAUCUGUCUCCUUCAUUCUUCUUCUGGUUCGCACACACAAACACAUAUAUUGGUUUUUUGCACAGAUUGUAUAACAAUCUUAAAGCGUAGUUUAUUUUACAUAUGUGACUAAUCCGAUCUGUUUGUGUUUUGAUUCUACGAAACCGAUUUGAUGGAGAAUAGUAAUGGAGCAAUACCUACGAGCAGUACGCCUGCUGAUCCCAACGCACUGGUUAAUCCAGAUGGGGGUCAGACACAGCAGUUGCAGGCUAACCCCAACGCACUGGUUAAUCCAGAUAGGGGUGUGCCACACGUUUCUGGGCCUACGCCUGCGGGCUACGAUUCUGGGCCUACGCCUGCGGGCUACGGUUCUGGGCCUACGCCUCCGGGCUACGGCUAUGGGCCUAUGCCUGCGGGCUAUGGUUCUGCGGGACAGAUGACCUUUGGUCAGUUCAGUGUUCCACUCGAUCCGGCAGGACAUGUUACUCCUCCAGUUGUGACUGCUGUGCAUACAGCGCCUGUUGUGCCAGUUGCGCCCUUUGCGCCAGUUAUGCCUCACGUGUCUACUGCUCACGCUGAAAGGCCGGAAAAGUUCAACGGAACGAACUUUAAACAGUGGCAGCAGAAGAUGUUGUUCUACCUGACCACACUGAAUUUGUCUCGCUAUCUGAGAGAAGAGACACCUAUGCUCACUGCUGAGAGCGAUACGCAGGCGGUGUUUGCUGUUGAUGCAUGGAAUCACUCCGACUAUAUCUGUCGGAACUAUGUGCUAAAUGGUUUGGCUGGCCCGCUGUAUGAUAUGUACAGCUCGAAGAUAACAUCUAAGGACUUAUGGGAAUCACUUGACCGUAAGUAUAAAACCGAAGAUGCCGGUGCCAAGAAGUGGAUUGGUGGCCAUUUUCUAAAUUAUUAAGAUGGUUAAGAAUGAUUAUGGAGUUGAAUAAUCACUGGGUGAACUGUUGUUCACACUGUGAGUGUAUUCGGCAACUGCAAAUUACUCGCUUUAUUUUAGUGAAGUAGUUGCAAGCUUGCAUCGUGCUUUAAUUAGCGAAAGAAAGCGAUUUUGAUCAAUUCAGAAUGUCACUGAAUAUGAAGAUAUUAGUUGUUUGGACACUAAUCAUAUUAAACAAGAUAUCCUGAAAGGAAAUAACUAGAUUUCCUAUUAAGUUCUAGAAUGUAUGAAACAUUCUUAAGAAUGAUGAAGUUGUGGGGGUAUCUUGACGAGAAAAUUGUAGAAUUUUCUGCGAGUUUUAGAAUGUGGAAAACAUUCUUAAAUAUUAUUAAAAUGUGGGGGUAUCUAGAAGAUGUCUUGAUACCAUUACCUGUAAAGGUAAAAGAAGAUCCAAAAUAAUUGAGAUAUUUUGGAUUGAUAUAGACAAUGGUUGUGUCUGAUUACAUCCUGCAUGUGAAUCUAAAUUUGAGAUUCACGAAAGUGGAUAUUUCGGAGUCUGAGGAUACUUUGAUAAGAAUUCUGCAAUUUUGUAGAUCCAUAAUUAAUCCAAGUGAGUUUGUAAGCUCUCUGAUAAAAAUGAGAUUGAGUAACAGACUUGAGAUAUACAUAUGGUAGCCUCGAAUGUCUGAAAAUUUGCUCAACGGAGAACCACAAAGCUUGUAGCAAGCUAUGUGUUCCUCUAGUAAUUCUUUGAUGAAAGAAUACAUUAAGGGGAGAAUUGACUAAAGUUAAGAAGUCAAUGAGUCAAAAAAAAAAAUCUGACAUGCAUGCUAGAAAAUAGACUGUGGUGGUAUACGGAUAAUUUAAACUCUCUAUAUCCUCUAUGGGGGAAAAGGGUGUUAAAGAAUAGAGAGAGUGAUUCUACUUUGUAGAAUCAUAUUUAAAAUUAUGUGGAUCUUCUUGUGAAGAUGCUAUCAGGACCCAAAAUUUUUUAAAUUAAAAAUAGACGUGCGGGUUAAAGGAAAAUACAAGGUCAGACUGAUAAUUUGGUUUACAGUCAAAGUGAAGACCUGAUAUUUUUUAAGAAAUAUUCUUGAUUUAUGAGAAUAAGGUUCAUUAAGAUGAUACUUAAAAAUUGUCGCUUUGCGAAAUUUGAGAAGUAAAUCAAAUGAACAUUGAGAUAGUCUUUCUAAAUAGAUAUUUAAAAUAAAUCUACGUGAGACAACCUGAGGGUUUGUUGCUAAGGCAAGUGUAGAAAGACUAUGACCAGGUGAAAUAUUUUGUGAAAUCAAAAUAGACACCCAAACAGUGGCAUGCGGAAUUUGAUAUUGCUAUGAUAAGCAAUGGCUUCAAAUUAAAUGACUUAAUUUUCCACUUUGAGGACGCUCAAAUUUGGUAAAUAGAUGAUUUGUAUUACCAGUUUGGGGACGCUUAAACUUGGUAAUAAGGCAAAUUGAAAUUGCUAAUUUUUGGGACGCUAAAAAUUGGUAAUAUCAAUAUAACGAAUUGAAGCCUCUGAUAAUUGGUAAAAUGAUUACCAAAAUAUGAAAUAUGCCAAUGUUGAGAUGUUAAAUUGAUAAAUAAUCAAUAGAUUGACAUAUGAGUUUACACCAUUUACGAAAGAAAUGGUAGUCGUAUGUAAUUGCGCGCGAGUGAUCUGAUUAUUACUAAAAGUAAUGAAGAAAGGAUCAUCUUGAGCAAUUUUAAUGAGACUUGAGUUUUAAUUUUUAUGAUUAAAAUCUUAAAAACUUUAUUGAGUCUUCGAGGACACAAGUCAGACGAUAAUGACUUGAAUCUUGAGACGAUCGCUUGAUUGAUUUCUAAUUUGAUUAGAAUCAUGCUGGUAUGGAUUUUGUAUGAAUCCUAGGAUAACGAGAACGGUUAUGUCAUGAUGACAUUGUAUGUGGAUGAUCUACUUAUUGCCGGAAGCAAUGAUAAAGUGAUCAAAUCCACAAAGGACAUGUUAAAAUCAAGAUUUGACAUUAAGGCAUGGGACUGGCAAAUGUAAUUCUAGGAAUCCAAAUUUCUAGAACAUCAGAGGGUCUCGCACUAAGUCAACCUCAUUACAUUGACAAGAUCCUUGAGAGAUUUCUUAAGGAUGAUACUGAGAAAGCUAGGACACCUGUGGAUAUGACUUUACAUCUAUCCAAGAAUAAAUGUGAGGGGGUCUCUCAGUUGGAGUACUCUAGGAUAAUUGGAAGUCUGAUGUACUUAAUGAGUUGUACAAGACCAGACAUUGCGUACUCAAUUAGCAAGUUGAGUAGGUUCACGAGUAAUCCUGGAGAUGAUCACUGGAAAGCGAUCAUAAGGGUACUAAGGUACCUAAGGGGAACUCGAGACUAUGGACUGCACUAUGGCAGAUACCCAACAGUAUUAGAAGGAUAUACUGACGCAAACUGGAUAUUCAGCAAGAAGGCACUACAGUCUACGAGUGGCUACGUGUUUACACUAGCUGGAGCAGCAAUAUCAUGGAAAUCCUCCAAACAAACGGUAAUAACUCAUUCCACAAUGGAAGCUGAGUUUGUGGCUCUAGAUAAAUGCGCUGAAGAGGCUGAAUAUCUACGCCAAUUUCUGGAGGAUAUUCCAAGAUGGCCGAGGCCUGUGACUGCAAUAGGGAUACACUGUGAUAGUCAAUCCGCUAUUGGCAGAGCACAGAGCACAAUGUAUAAUGGGAAGUCCCGUCAUAUACGACGACGACAUAGUUCCAUUAGACAAUUAAUCUCAACCGGAAUUAUCACUAUUGACUAUAUACCGUCAAAGGAUAAUAUUGCGGAUCCGCUAACCAAAGGGUUACCAAGAGAAGUGGUUGAGAAAUCAUCGAGAGGAAUGGGUCUUAAGCCUAUAGCUUAACGGCAUCAUGGUGGACACCCAACCAUUGCUGACUGGAGAUCCCAAGAACUUGGUUCAAUGGGACAACUAAAUCAUGAUGACCAAAUCACUGUGGGGGUAACCCCUGGCCUGUUCCUAUGAUGAAGAAACAGUGAGACCCGUAAGGUACGAGGUUAAGCCUUGAGCUUUUAAUGAUCUUUGGUGAAUACAUGGAGUGGUACACGCAUGGAAUUCAGUUGAGUAAAUGCGGGUUACUCUAUAAGAUAAAGAUCACCUAUGUAGGAGAGAAGUGGGGCCGCUUCAAAGGAGAAUUGCGAGGCACAAUUCUUUAGAAACUCCCGCAGAACCAGGACGAUGUUCCAUGGCCAAAAUGGACAUACUCAUGAGAGCUGAACGAGUCAGAAAGGAUAUAGUGAUAAGUAUAUCAUCGUUUACACAAACGGUCGAACAGUUCAAGGACAAGCACGUCUACUGUCUACCAGUAAAGUCGGUAUACUUACUCAAGCGAAGGUUCAAAGAGCAUUCUCUACCUGUCGUAUGCUAUAUCUGAUCGAAGAAAACUAUCACCAAGUCAAACCUUGUGUCUGUCUAUCUGUCUAUCUGUCUGGUGUGUGCUACUACUAAGAUCACCAAUCUCACCCAUGUGGGGGAUUGUUGGAAAAUAUGGGUAUAAGUCCCAUAUUGGUAAAUAAUAUUUUGAGCAUUAUGUGUGAGAUAUGAUGAUAUCUUUUUGAUAAUGGAAAUUAUUUUUUCCAAGUGGAAUUUGGCUCAAAUAUUAUGGCAUAAAUUAAUUUGAUUUUGUUUCAGAUUAAUUGAUAUGGUGUAUAUCUUGUUAUAUUUAAUCUGAUUCAGUUUCAGAUUAUAUAUGGGAUAUAAUAACUUGCAAAUAUUUAUUUGAUUCUGUUUCAUAUUAUUUAUGGAAUAGUGUGGCGUGCAAGUUUUACACCGAUUCUGUAAUUAAUGACGAUUAAUUAUGGAAAAGAGUAGUGCACAAGUCUUUCUUCACCUAUAAAUACCCAUAUAGGUUGAAGGGUUUCGAAUCAUCAAACACAUCCUCCUUCUCUCUCUCAAUACCACAACCUAAAUCUUUCCGGUGAUAGUUCUUUUGCUCGAUUCAAGCUCGCCGAAGGUGCCGUUCUUGUUAACGACAUCGCAAUCCGUUUUAUCCUGGGAAGCUUUCGUUCCGCACAUACGGUGAGAGGGCGAAUACGCUUUAAGGAGACAGUUUCGCACUGGACUCGGAUUUUCUUCAUAUCUUCUGUUUAAUCUGUCUCCUUCAUUCUUCUUCUGGUUCGCACACACAAACACGUAUAUUGGUUUUUUGCACAGAUUGUAUAACAUUAUUAUCAUGAUAUUGGAAGAGGUUAGCUUCGUCUUGGUUUACAGACAGAGACAGGCGGACAAGUCUAUUUAUUGACUUGAUAUGUCUUCAGAGCCCAUGUAAAUACGCAGGACUAUACAGCUCCUAAAUCUGUAUAACUGGCGAGAACACAAAAACUAUUGUGGUCAUAUAAUCUCCAAUAGUUUUUGUGUCAAAUUAGCUGAAUUAAACAGCUGCAUUAUUCCUGGCCUCUCUCUAUAAUGAGGAAAUGGUUGUCUAAGUGAAUUAUUCCUGGCCUCUCUCUAUAAACACAAAUCCAAUUAUUUCUAAUUACAAUCUGAAAUUAUUAUGACAAGGCCUAAAGGUGUAUCUAUUGGAAAUUAUUGAUUAAUAUUCACAUGAUUGCAAAUACUAGCAACCGGUUAUCCAUCUUUAUAUUCAUCUUUUGUACAACUUAAUUCCACCCCAGAUAACACUUUAAUGUUGAUUUCUAGAUGAUAGAAGCCUAUCUCUCAAAAAGUAGCAUAAAAUUAUUUUUUCAUUUCUUGUUUUUGUAUAUCACACGUGUACAACAAAAUAAGUAUUUUCGACCGUGUUUUUAAAUUCGACCGGUCGAAAAUAGCUAUUUUCAACCAGAAUUUGACGAUAAAAAAUAGCCGCUUUUCUUCUAGUGCAAAUAGGUAUUGUGGAUGCUCGAAGGUGAUACUUCCAUGAAUUAUUGCAUAUAAAAAGUAGCCUUCCCUUUGCAUAGUUCAAAAGAAUGAUUGUCCAAUGACAUUAUCAAGGCAAGCCAGCUGCAAUUUACAGAGUACAACUCCGGGACAAAUACUACAUACUUCUGCUGAUGAUGUCAUUUAUAAAAUGAUAGGCCUCCUAGUAACACAAAGAUCAUAACGAAUAAACCAUCAUUCUCAAGUGCAUGGUCUUGUUAAUUGUAGAAAACUUUCAUUCUUUUCUGGGUUGAAUAGAAUGACAAUUUUUUGGCAAGAACUUUGAACCUGUACAGACAGGCUCAGCAAUUUAACAUGUUAUUAACUAAAAUGCAUUGUCUAUGCUAUAAUUCUUGAAAUCCAUAGUAUUCAGCUGUUUGGCAAUUACCAGAUCUUUUUCUCAUUGCCAGAAAUUGUAGCUUUUUCUUCUAAGAUAUUAUAAAAUUUGUGGUUUGUCUAGUAUUUGAGUAAUUAAAUUACUAAUUAAUGGGAGAAAACCCAUUAUUUGCAUUCAUACUAAAAGAAAUUAAGUUUAAUGCCUCAUUCGUCAAAGAUAAUUUUAGUUUGAAAUAUGUUAGGAUGAUCUUUGUUCCUCCGGUCUAAGUUUCUUUAUCACUGUAGAUAUUCUGGUUUGAUAUCGAUUUUACAGAAUCAACGGCAAAAAUUUAAAGCAAUCUGGGUGUUUCGAAGCCAUUUUUCAGCUUCCAGUUCCAUAUUCACUACGUAUUUUAUUGCAACAUGAUUAAGUUGGAAUCAUAUUCAAUUUUUCAUCACUUUAUUUAUCUAUAGAUUCUCUUGUAGGUUGAUGCAAUUGUGCUCCCUCGUGUCUUCUUUCAAAUAUAUAAAUCUGUGUUUUAUAAUUUCACAACAAAUCAUGUGUUCCCAUGCAUGUGCGUCGUUCUAGGAUUCUACAAUCUCUAGUGUGCGUGGUGUUUGUUCCUGGAGCUUGCUAAAUUUUGUCGGAAUUCAACAAAAUUUUAGUAGGCAAUUAACCAACUUUACCAACACUAUGUUAGCCCUCACUAUCACUAUUUCCAUCAUUAAUGUCCCAAAUAUCCUAAAUAUAUCGAAAAAAUGGCCCUCAAAUAUCAGUUAGUACGUUACAUCAUGUAGAGUUUUGGAUAUUUACCAGAAACGCUACAUUGUCCAGCAUUCUGUUAGCGUUAACCUCACCUUAGCGUCUAGGUUAACCAUAUCGAAUGCUACAUCGUGUAACGUUUUGCUGGGGUUAAAACAACAAAACACUACACGGUCAAACGUUUUCUUCCUCAAACUGAAAACACUAGAUUAUCAUGCGUUAAUGACUGGUAUUUGGGGCCAUUUUUUCCAACCCUCAUAUUCUGGGCAUUACUUCCGGAUUUUAUGAGAUCUGGGGCCAUCUUUCACAGACAACAGCAGUACUAUAUUUCCCCAAGAUUUAACUCUAGUGAUUCUAACGCUAAUACUUGGAUGUUUUAGCUUAAAGAGUUAUUUUCUAAAAAAUUUACAUUUAUUUAAUAUUUUUUUGAAAUUAAAUGUUUUAUAAAUUCAUCAAUGACUUGCAGUACUAUAUACAUUAGAACAAUGUUUAAAAUCAUGUCAUUUUUUAUUCGGUUGCCAUAUCACAGAAUUUGCCUGAACAUGAGCUUACUAUAUAUAACAUUGGAACCGAUGACUUGCCUUCUCGUGCAAUACCAUUGGAAUAUGCGGGAUGAGUGAGAGGUUUAGGAUGUGGUGUGUCUAAAACAUUACUAAAAAUAACAUCAACUGCGAGUGAGCUAUUAAAAUUGAAAAAUUAUGUUUCUUACUUGAAUGAAAUUAAUGAGAUGAGAAGGAAGGGUUGUAAUCCGGUGGCGCAACCAGAAGGUUCUAGCCACAUGGAUAAUGAAGUUGCUUGUCAACAUGAUGAUGAUGAUAAUCUUGUUUUAGGUGAAGACCUUCCUCAGGUAUUCAUUUAUCUUUAAGACAUUUAUUUGUAAAUUAUUCUAGCCAUCCUGGUAUGUCUUUCCAUAUAAGGGGAAAGUGAAUCAUGAGAAAAUUAUUACUUAAAAUUUAGUUUAAUUAAUUGUUGUCGUAAUUUUUCAAAAUAUUGGAAAAAAAUAUUUGCUAUUUGUCUGUGGAUCCUGAUCGUAGAUAUGUUGGAUAAUGAAUCUUGCACAAUGACCUUAAGUAAUAAUAGAAUCCUUCAUGAUAUUCCACUUGAAGAAGGAUAUGUUAGGAUUCAGUUUGAUCGAGGUGGCAAAAAAGUUCGAGUACAAUACACAGCUACCCAGACUUUAUGACGAGGCCAACCUUGUUGGAGAAGAGCACCUGGAUAUUUUCUUGCAUGGCCACGUAAACUAAUUUCCAAGAAAUCUCAGGUUGAAUACAUUAUCUAUAUUGAUUGUUAUAUGUCUUAUAUAUUCAUCUGACUUCUACGUUAGUUAUUAGUUCCUUAAUUAUAUGAUUUUUUUAUAUGUCCUGGAAAAAGCUAAACAUGCUAUGAGACAAAAGAAACUUGAGGAUAAAGAUAAAAAGCAAGCAUGCAAUUAAAGAGAAUGAGAAAACAAGCCAGUUAAUUGGUUACGUAUCUUCGAGACAACUUGGUUAUCCUCUCAUAAGAUGAUAUUGGUCAUGAUGGAGUUUUGGAGUUUGUUCGUCUUGCAAUUCAGUUCGCUCGUGUUACUAAUAUACAAGUUGACAUGAGACUUUACUGGAUCCGUGGAUUAAACAUUUUAAUUAUAAGGACAAUGUUAUGGAGGUUCUCGAUGCCCAAUGGUUAAGCACCUCCACAUUCACCUUUUAUAUAAGGUAUAGUAUGAAUACUUAACAAAUUUCCUGAGUUGACAACCAAGUUCUAGAUAUGAUUUCCCUUAUUUGAAGGGACUUGGGUGAAGUUCUCUUUUGUAUCGCCUCAUAUUGUGUUUCACUCGGUAGAUAACUCUAGUUCAUCCUUGACUAAGUGUUUGCUGCAACAUGUUGAUCACAAAGACUGCCUACUUUUUGUGCCUUAUAAUGUUUCGUAAGUUACAUUUGUUAUAUAUAUAAAUUUAUACAAACAUAGAUAUAACAUUAUUAAUUUUUAUUUAUUUGCUUCUAACUACAAAAAAAAAUGUAGAAAACAUUGGAUCUUGGCCGCUAUUAAUCCAACAACAGAGAGCAUUCACUUUAUGGAUCCAGCACCAGUGACCAAUCUGAUACAUUUCAAGAAUGUGAAAGCUCUUGUAAAGACGUUAUUAAAUAUUUGAAUUAUUCACCAUACGUUUAACAACCUAAAAUGCAUGUGGUUCCGGUGCUUUCAUGUGAUUUAUUUUUUGUUUACAUUACAAAAAUUACUCCAAAAUAGUCUGAUUUUAUAUUAUAAUACUAUAAAGUUUAUACCAAAAAAACAGCAUGAUCUUAUAUCGUAAUGAUAUAAAAAUUACAGUAAAUUAACUUAGGAUACCAGGUUGCCUCGAGCACCUCUUAAAUCCAAUUUUUAUACUAAAUUUGACGAAUCCAAAAUAUAUAUUUUGUGUUGGUUAACAAUAUCUAUCUAUCUAUCUAUUCUUGAACACAUAAUGAUUCUUCCCCACACAUGCUUGAUCUACCCAAGCUAUAGCUAAAAUAAAUACCGAUACUUAUUAAAACGGUUCUAAUUUGGUGACAGAAAGUAACUAAUCAAAAUGCUGAUGAGUGGCCAAAUAAUAAGGCCAUUAGAGCAUCUUCAACCAUCUAAAACCCUUGGCUAAAAGGUGAGUUGGCAUACUUAAAAUAAAAAAAUUUAGCCAACAGCUCCAAAAACUCAACUCCAACCAUGAUCAGCUGUUGUCUAUAAAUUUAGCCAACCUCCUAUGAAUGGCUAAAUUUAUCGAACCUCUACAGGUCUGUAAGAAAAUUUGUAGGAAGAUUGUAAAUCAUUUAUUACCAUAUUGAACUGAUAUAUUCUAUUUUAACAAUUUAAAAUAUUAAUAACAUACUAUUUUUAAAUUAUAACCAACCAAUAUAACCAGUACCAUUGAAGCAAAAUGUCUUACAGGUUCAGCAAAUUUUACAUAAUGUCUUACAUGUUCAAUUUAGCCAACGAUUAUAGCCAACACCGUUGGAAAUGCUCUUAGGAGAAUUGAAGCUUCCUUCUCGUCUUGCGGAAACACAGCGUAGAAAGCCAAGUUCUUGCUCAAACUCAACAAAAAAUCCUCGAGACAAAGCGUCUUUUUGUCCUGGUGAGAUGAAAAUUUUUAGUGCAUUUAGCGACCAUGGAUAAAAAUAGAACAAAAAGAGUUUCUGGAGGUUUCAAUUCUAAUUAGGACUUUUAGAGGAGUGUUUGAGCUGCCCUUGCGAGCGGUUGUUUGAGGGAUUGGAAGUUUUCCUAAUCCUAUUCGGAUUCUCUGAUUGGAUAUAUAUAUAUACUCACACACACUUAUAGAUAUAUAUAAUCAGUGAAUAACCAUGUCUAUGAACCUCGUUGAUUCAUCAUCUAACGAUCCGGUUAUUUCAGACGAUGACCUUUUGAGUUUGAUACUAUUGAGAGUCCCUAUACCAUCAGUUUUGCAAUUCAAAUCUGUAUCAAAACGUUGGCUCUCUAUCAUCGAUACUCCCCGCUUCUCUCUCCUCCGUAAUGCUCUCCCUCUCCGAACCUCUGCCCUAUUCCUCCUACCCCCUAUUUCCUUUUAUGGUGUACCCGAUAUCAUCCAUUUUGUUCCCCUGGACGACCACACCCACAUAACUUCCCCCUUCAGAAACCUCACUUUUCUCGGUGAUCCUGGCUUGCUUUCAAAAAUACGUAUUGUGCAUUCUUGUGGUGGACUGUUGUUGUGUUCUUCUGGCCCAUUAUGUACCUCACUCUCAGAAAUUACAGAAUACAUCUACAACCCCACCACCAAUCACUUACGAACCCUUCCUAAACACUGGCCUCUUCAUUAUGGCAGUGCCUUAGCUUUUGAUCCAUCAAAGUCACCUCAUUACAAGGUUCUUAUUUGCGGUUCACCCCCUGAUUUGUCUACCGAUCACGGCCAGUUUCAGAUCUACUCCUCCAAAACUGGGUCUUGGAGGGCCUCCGGUCACCCUUUCAAUCUUACAUGCAAGGCUGAUAAACUUGCUUGGAGGAAUAGUGUCUUUUUCAAUGGGUGCAUCCACUGGAUAAGUAAUUUGGAAUACGGUUGUUCCUAUUUUAAUCUGGACGAAGAAAGGCUACACACGAUGCCCAGACCUCCUGUUGGUCAGGAUUUCUUCGUUGGGGUUUCUCAAAACCAUUUGCAUGUUAUUGAGGCUUGUCCUCGUGAUAAUUCAGUCCAAGUGUACGAUAUGAAGUAUGAUUACUCGGGCUGGCUUGUUAAGUACAAGGUUGAUCUUUCUCCGGUUUGUCAAGUCUUUCCAGAGAUGUACGGUAAUUGUAGUUUGGUUAAAGUUCUCUCUCUGGUUAGAAGAGAAAAUUUUAAGGAUGAUUCUUUCUUGGUAUUUAAGAUACCUGGUAAGGUUAUACGCUAUAAUAUCGUGGAUAGAACUUUCAAAGCCAUAUGGGAUAUUCCCGUACCUGAUCCCCUGACGAGUACCCCCGGCGACUUCAAAGCUUUUCAGUACAUCGAAUCUCUCUCCUACGUGUAAGUGUUGCGUCGCUACUUGCUGGAGCUUUAGCCACUCACUAUGGAGUCAGUAAUUUAUUAGUGUUAUCGCUUCACCUUGUACUGAAGCUUCAGCUAUAUGUUUUCUUUGAGCUUCAAUAUUUACAAGUUAUAUAAUUUGAGUUUGUCAAUGGUUUCAUUAUUCAUUGUCGGACCAGGAAUACUUUAUGCACUAGGUCGAAGAAGUGAACACUGUUUUGCUAAUGUAACGUUUUGGAUGCUGAUCUUCUUUAAAUUAAAAUCUGGUCUUCAUAAUGUUUUAUUUUCUAUUUUAUGAAAUAUCAAGCAACUUUACGACAAUAUCUUUUUCUAGUAUAUGUGUUUGAAUAAAUCAUCUGUGUGUAUUUUGGAAUGAUUCUGAUCUCAGAGCUCAAUCCACAGAAUUCAUUCAGAAGAAUAUUGUGGCGUAUUUGUUCAAAAAUUGUAUGAAAUUGACUAUCUGUGCUACUGCUAAUUUCAACUGAGGGGAGCAUGCAGCUUAAUUUUAUUAUCAAUGAAGAAUAUAUUCUAACUAUACAGAGGAAAACAAAAACUCCCAGACAAAAGAAGUGACCAAAGAUAAUACUAAUUCUUGUUAUUGUACUGUGUUUUAUUGAAUGGUCCGGAGGGUUAAAGCUAUUAAGUGUUUGUUUUCUGUGUUGGGACUUCAAUUGGAAGUAAUUCUGAAAGAUUUUUCAAAAUUAGUUGAUGAGUUUCUUUCAUGGUAUGAGGUCUAGGACUUAAUAUAUUGGUCGAUUGUGGUAUGAUGCUACUUAACACGGGGUCUAGCAAUAAAAAAUAAUAAAUAUAUAUAAUUGGCCAGGUUUACAAAAAAAGAACUCUAAAUUAGACCGAGGUUUUGAUAAGAUACGGUACUCUAAUAAUCUGAUAUAUGUAGAUAUCAUUUGAGUGUCCGUAUGAAUAAAAAUCAAGGGGAAAAAAUAACAAUUCAGUGGAAAAUAAGGCCUUUACCAUAUUAUUAUUCAUCAAAUUUGACUUGUUAAAACAUAAACAGAGGACUCAACAGGAGGUGUGGUGAUGUUAAUAGCAUCUUGAUUAGAAAUAUAUUUUCUUAAGUGUCAUUGCAUCUAUUAUGAUAUCUCAAAUGUGUGGUGAAAGAAGGAAAAAAAAUGCUUUACUAUAUUCUUUGAAUUAUAUAAAUAUCUAAAAUAAGAACUGUAUAUCUGGCUACGAUUAGAGUUUUAAAGUAUAUUAGCUUGUUAAAGUAAUAUUAAGUCUUUGAUUUGCCUAUUAAUGACAAGGUUGUGGGAUUCAUGGGAUUUUUCUCUGUUAAUUUCAAGGUUCAGAUCAGGCAAGUAUCCUAUUUUCUCUCUUUUCUUUGUACAUUCUAAUCAGAAUUAUUUACUACUGAAUAGUUUUUUUCCCCCCUCUUAUUUUGUUCUUCCUUGUUCUGGAAAUUGGGAAUAAAAGUUCUGGAAAUUGGGAUAGAUUUAUUCUGUCAUAUCGCAUACUUGAACAACUUGUGAAAAAAAUAUAUUCUUUUAAGCGACAAUGGUGUUGACUGAAAUGAGAAAUCAUAUCGAGUCAUAUUCAAGUAGCCUACAUGGCUAGGUAAACAGGGCAGUAUGAAUUUAAGCUAAGUUAUACUUAUAACAAAGUGGUGGGGGUUUUGCAUUAUUCUUUCCAUGUUAGGAGUCUUCUAUAAAGGCAAGUUCACUGAUUUCGUUUGUUAUAUGCAUAUCUACCGGGAUCUUUUACUUCAAGUAAGUGUUUUUAAAUUCUUUAUUGUCUUCAUGUGAACUCUCAAGAGUUUGUGAAUUUUGUCUUCAUGAGAACUGAUAUUCAUUGUUGGGUGUUCUUAAUGAUUUGUCGACCCCUUUAUAUCUUGACUUUUGUUUAUUACCUUGAUUGUUAAGGGGAAAACUCUUAUGAGAUGGAUCAUUGAGAAAUCUUUUCUUUAUCAAUAUUUCUUAUCAGUUUGAGGAAUAUCAUGAACUUUAGUAUGAGGAAUAUCAAAUUCUCAUUAGAGCUUACUUCAGUAUCGUUCUUUACAUACUGAAGCCAUAAGUGGCUUCCGAAAUUUUUGUAGUUAGUGUACUAAAAUCUAGUAGAAGUCAUUUUUACUUACCCAGAAUAAUAUUCUUGCUGAGCAUAUCUCUAGCUCACACUUGGUUUUCUUUGUUGUGUUUUCCCCCAGUUAGACAUAAGGUAAAAGAAGCAUCAAAUCCGAGGAAAAAAAAGGAAGAAGUAUGUCGAUAUGCAAAGGUCUAUUCAUUCUUUGGACUAAAGAGGUAAUUUGUUAGUUCUUUAAGGCUUUGUUUGGAACUCGGAAAGUUGGAGGUAGUAUACUUUACCAUGUAAAAUGAAAUACAAGGAAAGUAAAGAUGGAAGUAAAAUGUUUUUCAAAAGUCUCUAAAUAACAAAGGAUUUACCAUUUUACUUCCUAUUUUUAUUGCUAUCCAAACACAACAAGGAAUCUAUUUUACCUUGUAUUUCAUUUUACUUGUAUAGUUGUAUUUCAUUUUACUCCCAGCUUUCCGAGAUCCAAACACACCCUAAGCAAAUAAAAACAUGUAGAGUGUAUGAAGUGGGCGUAUAUACAUGUAACGAGAAUGUUCUUGUAAGAUACAGUAUUGUAGGUUACUUUGUGAUUCCUUGUCUAAUUAAAGGACUUUGUAGAAUUGUUUAUUUAAGACUACGUUAUGAGAUGUAAGAUCAAAUCUGGGGAGUUACAAGUUGUUAUCAGAGCCAUAGCUUAUAUCUCUAGGUUCCACUAAUCUAGGGAUAUACACUUAAGAGUCCGAACAAUCAUUAGAGAGAACGAGAUAAAGUUUAUUUAUUAAUACCGGAAGCAAAAUUCCGUUGAACGUUUCUUUCUUCCUUGUUAACUGUUUCCAAUUAUUUGACAUAGUGGUCAUUCUCCAGUCUGCAUACGUAUCAUUUUCUCUUUCACUUAUACGUGUUUGGGAACUAAUUGGNAACAGGAGGUGUGGUGAUGUUAAUAGCAUCUUGAUUAGAAAUAUAUUUUCUUAAGUGUCAUUGCAUCUAUUAUGAUAUCUCAAAUGUGUGGUGAAAGAAGGAAAAAAAAUGCUUUACUAUAUUCUUUGAAUUAUAUAAAUAUCUAAAAUAAGAACUGUAUAUCUGGCUACGAUUAGAGUUUUAAAGUAUAUUAGCUUGUUAAAGUAAUAUUAAGUCUUUGAUUUGCCUAUUAAUGACAAGGUUGUGGGAUUCAUGGGAUUUUUCUCUGUUAAUUUCAAGGUUCAGAUCAGGCAAGUAUCCUAUUUUCUCUCUUUUCUUUGUACAUUCUAAUCAGAAUUAUUUACUACUGAAUAGUUUUUUUCCCCCCUCUUAUUUUGUUCUUCCUUGUUCUGGAAAUUGGGAAUAAAAGUUCUGGAAAUUGGGAUAGAUUUAUUCUGUCAUAUCGCAUACUUGAACAACUUGUGAAAAAAAUAUAUUCUUUUAAGCGACAAUGGUGUUGACUGAAAUGAGAAAUCAUAUCGAGUCAUAUUCAAGUAGCCUACAUGGCUAGGUAAACAGGGCAGUAUGAAUUUAAGCUAAGUUAUACUUAUAACAAAGUGGUGGGGGUUUUGCAUUAUUCUUUCCAUGUUAGGAGUCUUCUAUAAAGGCAAGUUCACUGAUUUCGUUUGUUAUAUGCAUAUCUACCGGGAUCUUUUACUUCAAGUAAGUGUUUUUAAAUUCUUUAUUGUCUUCAUGUGAACUCUCAAGAGUUUGUGAAUUUUGUCUUCAUGAGAACUGAUAUUCAUUGUUGGGUGUUCUUAAUGAUUUGUCGACCCCUUUAUAUCUUGACUUUUGUUUAUUACCUUGAUUGUUAAGGGGAAAACUCUUAUGAGAUGGAUCAUUGAGAAAUCUUUUCUUUAUCAAUAUUUCUUAUCAGUUUGAGGAAUAUCAUGAACUUUAGUAUGAGGAAUAUCAAAUUCUCAUUAGAGCUUACUUCAGUAUCGUUCUUUACAUACUGAAGCCAUAAGUGGCUUCCGAAAUUUUUGUAGUUAGUGUACUAAAAUCUAGUAGAAGUCAUUUUUACUUACCCAGAAUAAUAUUCUUGCUGAGCAUAUCUCUAGCUCACACUUGGUUUUCUUUGUUGUGUUUUCCCCCAGUUAGACAUAAGGUAAAAGAAGCAUCAAAUCCGAGGAAAAAAAAGGAAGAAGUAUGUCGAUAUGCAAAGGUCUAUUCAUUCUUUGGACUAAAGAGGUAAUUUGUUAGUUCUUUAAGGCUUUGUUUGGAACUCGGAAAGUUGGAGGUAGUAUACUUUACCAUGUAAAAUGAAAUACAAGGAAAGUAAAGAUGGAAGUAAAAUGUUUUUCAAAAGUCUCUAAAUAACAAAGGAUUUACCAUUUUACUUCCUAUUUUUAUUGCUAUCCAAACACAACAAGGAAUCUAUUUUACCUUGUAUUUCAUUUUACUUGUAUAGUUGUAUUUCAUUUUACUCCCAGCUUUCCGAGAUCCAAACACACCCUAAGCAAAUAAAAACAUGUAGAGUGUAUGAAGUGGGCGUAUAUACAUGUAACGAGAAUGUUCUUGUAAGAUACAGUAUUGUAGGUUACUUUGUGAUUCCUUGUCUAAUUAAAGGACUUUGUAGAAUUGUUUAUUUAAGACUACGUUAUGAGAUGUAAGAUCAAAUCUGGGGAGUUACAAGUUGUUAUCAGAGCCAUAGCUUAUAUCUCUAGGUUCCACUAAUCUAGGGAUAUACACUUAAGAGUCCGAACAAUCAUUAGAGAGAACGAGAUAAAGUUUAUUUAUUAAUACCGGAAGCAAAAUUCCGUUGAACGUUUCUUUCUUCCUUGUUAACUGUUUCCAAUUAUUUGACAUAGUGGUCAUUCUCCAGUCUGCAUACGUAUCAUUUUCUCUUUCACUUAUACGUGUUUGGGAACUAAUUGGAGACUUUCUAUCUUUAGUUGGAUCCACAAUUCUAGUUUUUUUUUUUCGAAACUUAAACUACUUGUACCAGCAUUUGAUGUAGCCUCCUAAACUUUCCUGAUUCUGAAUCUUUCCAUAUUAGAGUUUUAGGAGAAUCAUAGAAAUGACCCUGCCUUAUUAUUGUUGGUGGAGUAAUGAGUUUUGAUGUAAGAGUGAUUCCAAGGAGAGAAUAGUAUGGCAUGCUAAACAUGAGCAUACAAGAUCUGGAGCCCAAGAAAAUGACUAAGACAAUAGUGCACAUAAGUAAAUGUGAAUGAAUAAGCAUGGGAUGAGAGCGAUGUCUAAACACCAAUCGGUCUAGUUUAGCUUGAGCACCAACCUAUCCAUAAGACAGUGACAUGUAUCGUAUCCAUAUUUACACGAAGUUGCACCAAUGCCUACUUAACAACAUCUGAUUUGGCCACUACGCUCGUGACGGAUCAGUUAAAUCAGAACUUGUUCAGCAGUAACAGAAGUGGGGAUUAUACUGUGGAGAUGACCACUUGAGAGCUUUAUAUGUCUCUUUCCUCAUUCGGAGAAGACCAGAUACAGUAGCUACUAGAGUGCCACAGUGGUUGUUGAGAUCAGUCUGCAAGAUUAAAAGUUUAGAAUCCUUCAUAUAUAUAUUGGAGGAUAACUGACGUGUGUCAUAAGGUAGUAGAGGAGGGAUAUCAAUGAGUGGGUUUUGAUCAUAUGAUUGUCUGAGUCACUUUAUUUGAUCUUUUUAUAUAUCUACUUUGUGGGGGAGCGGAACAUACUCUUUUGCAGUUUCAGAUGGAUCAACAAAUUGCAAGAGGGGAGCCUGCAUCCGUUUUCUGAUGAUGCGUUGGCAGAUUUGAUGGUAGUGUUUACUGCCAACAUUAAUUUGAUGCGAGUAUCUUUAGGUACUUGGGAUGAGCCUUAGGUACUCAGUAUUGGUUGUAUGUAUCCGGAUGUUAACUAUGGGAGUGUGACUAAAAACAUAAAAAUAUAUGAUAAGCAAAAUUAGGCCAAUCUCUGGGGAAGGUGAAUAGAAGAAGGUAGUAGUAAGUAAUUAACAGAAAGGAGAGUAUUUGGAGUUAAUGUGCGAGAGUUAAGCUUUAACUUGGUAGGUGUGUUUGUCCUGGAUUAAGAUGAAUUGUAGAAGGGGAGUUGAAUAUAAUUUACCGAUUCUUUGACUGGUUUUCCUUCAAAUAUGAAGUGACAGCAGUCUCCAGAAUUUGCCUGCAACAUUAGUUAAAUUAUCAUGUAGUUCUUGUCAUAUUUCAGGGGAAACACCAAAACCUGCAACCUUACCGCAGCUUUUAGCUCUGUGGCUGUUUCUCGGUUGCCUAUGAAAUCUGUUAAGGUAUAAGGCCGAUACGUGUCUGCCCAAGUGAAUGGCUUCCUUUUACCCUCAGUAUCACUUUGUUCUGUUGGGUUCAUCUCUUUUGUUUCUGAUGUUUCUGCUGGCUGUGAUACUUGUGGUACUGGUGGAAGUUGUGUUUGUGACGUUUGUAGCUGUGAUGGUGCUGCAUGGUCUGUUGGUAAAUCUCUCUCCCUCAAUGGCUUCCCCUCGUUAAAAAGAUGGGCUACGUUGCUUUUAGUUAAGGUGCUUUUAACUUCUUUCCCGGAAUCUCUGUCCUUUGAAAUUCUUGAUUGUGAUGAUGAGGAAGAAGAUGAAACAUAUUUCUUUACCUUGUUUUUGAAAAAGAAGCAAAACGUUCCUAAUUGUUGCAUCCUGACAAUGAAACUUGAUCUAGUGCUGGAGGUAACAGAAGCUGCCUCAUGGAUCUCAAUCACUGGAACUUUUUCCUUCUUGAUAUCUAGAGUAAAGUCAGUCAGCCCUACAUAAUAAGGACUAAUAUGAAAAUACCUCUUCUCCUCUAGAAUUGCAUUCCUUCUAUUAAAUUCCUCGAGGCUUGAUUCUGUUAGAUCUGAGCUCUUCUUUUUUGUAAAGAAUCUGGUGGCUUUCUGGGACCAAGUAGAUCCUUUACUUGUAGCGCUACUAUCAGAGGAUUGGUCAGGUGGGAAGAUAUCUGGCUUAGAGUGACUGGGAGUUGACUCGUGGCCAGUGGUUGGAAUUUUUUCUUUAUGGAUGUCUAGAGUGAAGUCAGUGAGCCCUUUAUAGUAAGGACUACUGGCAGUAUAACCCUUCUCCUGUAGAACUGCAUUCCUUUUGUUUAAUUCAUCAAGGCUUUCUUUGUUUAGUUCUAAGUUAUUCUUUCCGGAAAAGAGUUUGGCUACUUUUCUGAACCGGCUGUUGCCUCCUGGAAUGGUGCUAGGCUGGGCAGACUGGUCUGUCGAGAGAACAUCUUUUUCAAACUUAUCAGAAUUUGCCUCGUAAAACUCGAUUGCUGGACUUUUUUCUUUGUUGAUCUAGACUGAAAUCAGUAAGACCUUUAUAAUAAGGACUUCUUCUAGUGUACCUCUUUUCUUCUAGAACUGCAUUGAUUUCCUCAAGACUUUGUCCAGCUAUGUCAGAGUUCUUUAUUCUUGUUGAGAUUUUGUCUUUUGCAAUGAUGCUUUCUGCUAGGCCCGAAAAGCUUCCGUCUUAGAAAAGGCAGAGGAAGCUGCCUCAUUGAUAUCGAUUACCUGAACCUUUUCUUUAUUGAUAUCUAGAGUGAAGUCUGUGAGCUCCUUGUAGUAAGGACUGCUAGAAGUUGAAUACCUCCUCUCUUCGAAGACUGCAUUCCUUUUUUUAAACUCCUCGAGGCUUUCUUUAGGUAAUUCUGAGUUCCCUUUUUUGGCCGAGAUUCUGCCUUUUUUCAACCAAGUAGUGUUUUUCGCAUGAGGGGCUAAAAUGGGAAGCAUCAUGGAUUCCAUUUAAUAGAACUUUUUCUGUAUCAAUAUCUAGACUGAAAUCUGUGAGACUUGUCUAUAACAACAAGCCUUCUCUUGUACUCCUCAAGUUUGUUAAAAGUUAAACUUGAUUAGUCUGAUUCAUGUAUCUAGUAUGUUAUUAAGUUCAUGCAUGUGUGUUGAUGUCUAGUUCAGUGAAUUAAGGAAGACCAGGAGCUAAUCUUUAUUACUUAUUCAUGUACCCAACUUGCUGCUGAAACUAUAAAUUGGCAGUCCUACAAUCAUUUCUAAUAUAUAAGAAAAAGUUUGUUAUAUAUCAGUAGUCUCCAGUUUUUCAGAAUAUAUAAUUUCUUCUGUUUGUUUGCCAACAGAGUGGCAUCAGAGCAAGGUUAAAAAAGAAUGAGUAAUUCGUUUCCUUUUGUUGUGCCUAAACUUACAAAGGAAAACUAUGGUCAUUGGUGUCUUCGCAUGAAAGCACUGCUGGGCUCACAGGAUGUGUGGGAUACUGUUGACAAAGGUGUUCAAGAACCAGAAAAUGAAGCUGCCUUGAAUCAAAAUCAAAAGAAUGCGUUGCAGCAAAUCCGGAAGAAAGAUCAGCAUGCUCUUUCCAUCAUCCACAUGGGCUUAGAUGAAUGUUUGAGAAAGUUGCUGGAGCCACAAAGGCAAAAGAAGCCUGGGAGAUACUCGAGAACAAUUUCAAGGGAAUUGAUAAAGUAAAAAAGGUUCGUCUUCAAACUCUACGUGGUGAAUUUGAAGCAUUACAAAUGAAGGAAACUGAAUCAGUCCAAGACUAUUUCACAAGAGUAUCGUCAGUGGUCAAUCAAAUGAAGCGCUACGGAGAGAAGAUUGAUGAUGUACGUGUUAACGAUAAAAUUCUCAGAUCUCUAAACACUAAGCUACAGCUUGUUGGAGUCUCCAUUGAAGAAGCAAAAUGAUACGGAAACCAUGACGGUAAAUCAACUCAUGGGAUCUUUACAAGCAUAUGCAGAAAGACUAAUAAAGAAAGAAGAGCCAGAUUCUCAUGCACUUCAAACUAAUGUCUCAUAUAGAGAAGAUAAUAUGAAGGAGCAGGAUCAAUUCCAAAGAAGAGUACAAAAUCGUGGACGAGGAAGAGGCCGUGGCAGAAGUGGAAGUUUUGCUCGAGGUCGUGGUCGUGGCCGUUCUACUGAAACCCAAACUUUUAAUAAUGAAAGGACAUCCAACUACUCAAGAGGACGUGGGUAUCAGGUUCCUAGAAGAGGUGGAGGCAGAAGGUAUGACAAAUCAAACAUUCAAUGUUAUGCUUGCACAAAAUAUGGUCAUUAUGCCAAUGAAUGUAGGAAUUCCAAUGUUAAAAAAGUUGAGCGGGCCAAUUAUGUUGAAGCAAAGGAGGAGGAAGAAUUACUUUUGCUAAUGGCAACAAGAGAAGAACAAGAUAGAAAAGUAUGGUAUCUUGAUACAGGAGCAGCAAAUCACAUGAGUGGCAACAAGGAGCUGUUUUCAACUUUUAAUGAAAUGGUGACGGGAAAUAUUGUUUUUGGAGACAACACCAAAGCACCAAUCCGAGGAAAAGGUGAUGUUCUUAUUCGGUCCAGAACUGGAAAUCAUAUUCUAAUUUCUCAAGUUUAUUAUGUUCCUAAUUUGAAGACAAAUUUAUUGAGUUUGGGACAAUUAGUUGAGAUGGGUUAGGAUAUUCACAUGAAAGACAAUCAUUUGACUUUGAAAAAUGAUUUGAAUAUGCUAAUCGCAAAAGUCCCAAUGGCAAAAAAUAGAAUGUUUUUGCUAAAUAUUAAAGUUGAUCAUCCAAAGUGCUUGAAAACUUGUGUUGAAGACACUUCAUGGAUUUGGCACUUGAGAUUUGGCCAUCUUAGUUUUGAAAGUCUAAAGUUAUUAUCAAAUGCAAACAUGGUGUAUGGUCUGCCCAGAAUCAAUCAUCCUAAUCAUAUGUGUGAAGGAUGUCUUCACGGCAAGCAAUCAAGAAGAAGCUUCCCACAGAAGGCGAAUUUCCGAGCAACAAAGCCGCUGGAACAUGUUCAUGCUGAUAUAUGCGGACCCAUCAGACCUUCAUCAUAUGGUAAAGCAAAUUAUUUUUUGCUUUUUAUUGAUGAUUUUUCUCGCAAAACAUGGGUAUAUUUUUUGAAGACAAAAGAUCAAGCUUUUGGUGCUUUUAAGGAAUUCAAAGCUCUUGUGGAAAAGGAAAUGGGUUGUUACAUCAAAACUUUAAGAACUGAUCGAGGAGGAGAAUUUACAUCAACUGAAUUUAAUCAGUUUUGCAAAGAUAAUGGAAUUCAUCGAUUUCUUACUGUUCCACGAACACCACAGCGAAACGGUGUUGUGGAGCGCAAGAACAGAACCAUUUUAAACAUGGUUCGUAGCAUGCUUAAAAGCAAAAAUUUGCCAAAGGAGUUCUGGGCUGAGGCAGCAGCAUGUGCUGUAUAUUUGUCAAAUCUGGCAGCAUCAAAAAGUGUUCAGGGUGUGACUCCUGAACAGGCUUGGAGUGGUAAAAAGCCCACAGUUUCGCACUUGCGCGUCUUUGGAAGCAUUGCCUACAUACAUGUUCCUGAUGAAAAAAGAUCAAAGCUUGAACCUAAAAGUGAAAAGCGUGUUUUCAUUGGCUACGAUCCAGGUACAAAAGGUUACAAGUACUAUAAUCCCGUUAGUAAAAAAAUUACUAUCAGUAGAGAUGCUCAAUUUGAUGAAAAAAGUUGUUGGAAUUGGAAUAUCCCUCAAGAUGAAGAAUUUGUGGUUUUUCCUCUCCUGGAAGAAGAAUCAGUUGAAAUAGAAAAUGCAGCGACACCACCUCACUCACCUAAUGUUUCUCAAUCAUCUGGUAAUGAUGAAUCUUCUGAAGGGCCAGUUCGUACAAAAAGACUUUCUGAUAUUUAUGCAGAAGCAAGUGAGGUUGAUAAUCCAAGUUCCUAUAUCGAUGAUAAUCCAAGUUGUUUCUGUUUAUUUGCUGAAACAGAGCCACUGAAUUUUGAAAGUGCGGAAAUGAAUAAAGAUUGGAAGCAUGCUAUGGAUGAUGAAAUUAAAGCAAUAAAAAGAAAUGAUACAUGGGAGCUUGCUACACUUCCUAAAGGUCAUAAAGCAAUUGGCACGAAAUGGGUAUAUAAAGUGAAGAGGAAUGCGCAGGGAGUUGUGGAGAAAAAUAAAGCGAGACUUGUCGCCAAGGGAUAUAGUCAGAAGCAUGGAAUUGACUAUGAAGAUGUAUUUGCCCCUGUUGCACGCUUGGAAACGAUUCGAUUAAUUAUCUCCAUGGCUGCUCAAAACAUGUGGAAUAUAUUCCAAAUGGACGUCUGCGUUUUUAAACGGCCAUCUCGAAGAGGAAGUAUACAUCCAACAACCUGAAGGAUACAUUAUUAAAGGUCAUGAAGACAAAGUCUUGAAGUUAAAGAAGGCAUUGUACGGACUGAAGCAAGCGCCUCGCGCGUGGUAUAGCCGGAUCGAUAAGUAUUUUCGAGAUCAUGGUUUUAUCAAGUGUCCAGAUGAGCAUGCCCUCUAUAUUAAAAAUGAUGGGAAUGGAGGUUUUAUGUUAGUAUGUUUGUAUGUAGAUGAUUUGAUAUUCACGGGAAAUAAUGCACAGUUGAUUGAAUAGUUUAGAAGGGCAAUGACGCUGGAGUUUGAAAUGACAGACCUUGGUCUCAUGUCCUACUAUUUAGGAAUGGAAAUACAACAAAAAGGAAAUCAAAUUUUUGUUUCCCAGAAAGGUUAUGCAGAAAAGAUUCUUAAAAAUUUCAGGAUGGACAAUUGUCAGCCCACAAGUACUCCAAUUUCUUGUGGAACCAAGUUGUCUAAUUUUGAUGGCAGUGCCAAAAUCGAUCCAUCACUUUUUCGAAGUCUUGUUGGAAGCCUCAGAUAUCUAACAUGCACACGACCUGAUAUCCUUUAUGGCGUUGGUCUGAUCAGUAGAUAUAUGGAAACACCUACUAUCACUCACAUGAAAAUGGCGAAAAGGAUACUGCGUUACGUCAAAGGUACUCCUGAAUAUGGUCUGACUUAUUCUCCAUCUACACAUUUUAAACUUUAUGGAUAUAGCGAUAGCGAUUGGGGAGGAGAUGUUGAUGAUCGCAAGAGCACUACUGGGUUUAUAUUCUUCCUGGGAGACACUGCUUUCACCUGGUGCUCAAAGAAACAGCCUAUAGUGACUCUCUCCACUUGUGAAGUUGAGUAUGUUUCUGCUGCAUCAUCAGUUUGUCAUGCAAUAUGGUUGAGAAGAUUACUAAAGAUGAUUCACAUUCCUCAAGAAGAAGCAACACCCAUAUACGUUGAUAACAAGUCUGCCAUUGCGUUGGCAAAGAAUCCUGUUUUUCAUGAUCGCAGUAAACAUAUCGACACGAGAUAUCACUACAUAAGAGAAUGUGUUGAAAAGAAAGUAGUGGAGCUGACCUAUAUCAAGACAAAUGAUCAGAUUGCGGAUAUUUUCACAAAGCCGUUAAAAUUUGAAGAUUUUGUUAGACUGCGUGCUUGGAUUGGAGUUACAAAAAGAGAUCAAGUUUAAGAGGGGGUGUUAAAAGUUAAACUUGAUUAGUCUAAUUCAUGUAUCUAGUAUGUUAUUAAGUUCAUGCAUGUGUGUUGAUGUCUAGUUCAGUGAGUUAAGGAAGACCAGGAGCUAAUCUUUAUACUUAUUCAUGUACCCAACUUGCUGCUGGAACUAUAAAUUGGCAGUCCUAAAAUCAUUUAUAAUAUAUAAGAAAAAGUUUGUUAUAUAUCAGUAGUCUCCAGUUUUUCAGAAUAUAUAAUUUCUUCUGUUUGUUUGCCAACAAAGUUUUGCUUUAGUUAACUCUGACUUCUUUCCUGUUAAGAGUUCAGUUGGGCUUUUAGGCCAAGUGGUUCCUUUAGCAGAGGUACUAGUCUGAGGUGACUGUUGAGACGAGUGAAAUUCAGGUGAACAUAGGGCUACUUGUGUUAUGAAUCCAUCAGGUGCAGUUAUGGAACAUGCUCGGCAUUGAAAAGCAAAAGCUUUAGAAAACUUUUUUAGGUUAAUGAGGGAGAUGAAAUAUAUACAUACAGGUAUGGCAUGGGAGCUGUCAGGUGUUUUUGUUUCGGUUUUUAGGUGAAAACAUCAGUAUCUCGUGAUGAAACCGAGAAGGUGCAGAGUUUUUAAUUUAAAAGAGAAUCUGAAUAUGAUGUAAACAAUGUUUGUAGAUUGGAUGUAGUAAAUGAUAUAAAUAUUAGUGCCUACCUGUACCUCUUUGUAGUUUCUGUUAUACCUGAACUGCUCAAGAUUCAUUGUUUUGUCUGCUUGCAUCAGCUGUGAAUAUUGUUAGCGCUUGUGAAACUCAAUUAUCAGGAGUAUAUAUUUUCGUAAAAUUAUCCUGAUAGUAAUACGAAGAUAGCGAAUAUCAUAUCACAAGUAAAGGUAAAUAAAUGAUAGAGAAAUAUAACUUUUAGGAGUAUAGAGAACUUGUUUGUCCAUAGUGUAUGUAGUUUUGUGUUGUGAUCUUGUUUCGUUUUAAGGUGAUUUUUGUCGUGGAGAUUCAUAAUCCGACCGUUAAUGUGAAAGUUAUUAAUCUAACGGUUGUUGUUUAAUCAAAUAAAACAAUUACAGACAAAAAUAUAGAACAGUAAAAAAUGCGGGGAGUUGCGCACAAUACACACGCAUACAUAGACUGCCUGUGACAGAGAGAGCGAGCGAAUGAGCAACCAGAAGGAAAAGGUGAAACAGGAAGGUUAUCACAAGCAUAGAUUUUCAGAUUUGAACUUCUGUACGUGGAUUAUCGCGAGCAUCGAGUAGGACAUCUUGGAAAAAGGUACUAAUUAUCACCAUUUCUUUGAUUUCAACUUGUUUUCCAUGAAAAAUUGUAGAAGAUAUAAACGUAUGUAUGUUUUUUGUAGAUUAGGUAUGAUUCUAUAUGCAUAUGUCUUUGUAAGAUUGAAUUAAUUUCAUAGAUUUGAUUUUAUAUAUGAAUUAGCUAAUUAAUUCGAUUUUUAUGUGUAUUGUUUAGAAAUUUAGGGUUCUGACCAUUUUUUUGUAAAAUUGUGGUUCUAGAGUAGAAGCAUUGAUGUAGUUUUAUGAAAUUAGUUCUGUAUGAAUUUAUUUAUCGGUUUUCUUUUUGUUUUAUAAUUAAUGUUCUGUAAUAGAAUCAAAAUUUGUGAAGUUGUGCUUCUACAGUGGAAGCAUAUGUAUUUCCUGUCUUUAUUGACUAGUUAAUGCUGAGAUUAAGGGAGUUGUGCUUCUAUAGUAGCACUAUUUUUAUUUUUCAUUUUAGUCCAUAUAUUGUAAUUCUACUAUAGAAGCAUAUUUUUUGUGUUAGAAACAUAGAAUUUAUGUGCGUAGAUUUUGAUUCCGCAGUAGAAUCAUUUUUUUUGUACUUUUAUAUUGUUGCGUGUAGAUUCUGAUUCUAGUAUAGAAGAAUAUUUCAUGUGCGUAGAUUUGAUUCUAUUAUGGAAGCAGAUAUAUAAUGAUUUUAGUAUAAUCAUAUAUUUUUAUUUUUUUAGAAUUAUUAAGAAUAUUCGUACAUUGUUAUGUUAUGGUUUUAUAAUAAAAUAAAUAUGAUUCUGUAGUAGAAUAAGUAGCGGAAUGAUUCUAUAGUAAAAUCAUAUAUUCCUAUGUUUUAGAAUAUUUGUGUAGUUAUCUUAUGAUUCUAGAGUAGAACAAAGCCUUCUUUAGGCUUUGAAUUAUUAAAUUUCUAAAUAGAAUCUCUCUUUCCAGCACAGGUUUGUUUACUUCCCAUGUUCUCCUCAAUUACUUCAAUCACACACACACACACAACUACAUAUGAGACUGAUUCUACUUUUGGUGCAACUAAGAUUUUAGUAAAAUUAUUAACAUGAUUUGCACCAAACAGGAAGUUAAUUGUUAUGAGGUGCUGCAAUGUGUGACCAAACGACGUGUCCGUACAUGUGGAGAUUGACGGUAAUGUUACAAAGACGGGCAAAGGGUGUUAAAUUGUAGGUGAACAGUGUUGAUUCAUUGGUGAACUGCAAAGAGGAUCAUUAUCCUUUUGGUGCAGUGUUGGGGAGUUCUCUGAUGUAGUUUUCAGUGCUUGAAGCUCUUCUAGUGUGGCUAAACUUCUGACAUUUGUGAUUCUGGCGUUGCUUUAGGCUCGGAACUCGGGCACUGUAAAGUAAGUGUUAUUUUAAGGAUUCAAAUUUGUUCUGUUAUUUUGAUCCGUCGUCUGUCAGCUUCUGGGUUCUAUUUGUUUGCCAAUUGAUAUAAACCUUAUUGUUUUUAAGUAACUCUAAAUUACAAUGAAACAGAUUAAAUAUAUACAAAGUAAAUUUUAAGAGCAAUUCCAACAAUGUCUUAAAUUGAUGUCCUAAGUUAGAAUUUAAGGCAUUUGGAUGAAAUGUCUAUUUGGAAAAUAUAUCAAAAAGAUGUCCUAAAUCACUAGGACACUAUUUUUUAUUGUAUUUAUAAGGCACUUGUUAGGACAUUGUUGGACUUGCUCUAAGGGCACAAAACAUACAAGUUAUAUCAGUUUUAUUACCAUCAGAUCCCUUAAGAUCCUUUUUUUAUUCAUCGGCUGAUGUCAUGGUUUACUCCUGUAAGUGUUUUUGUAUUGUGUUGGUGUUUUAUAGAAUGUAACUGCUAAGAACAGCCAUAUAACAAGAUAAUAUGUGUACCUUUAUUUUAAGCGCUCUUCAUGGUCUGAAAUUCCUAGAAGUUCAAAUCUCUAUGGUCAGAGUUUACCUGGAAAAGUUUCCUUUAGUGAGAAUUGAGGAAGUGUGGCAGACACAGUGGCUCUGCUUUUAGUUCCAACAAGUCGUUUCCAUGUGAAUCUGAACUCAUGCACAUGAAGAGCAAGUCCAGGCUGAUUGAUCCACCGGAGCAAAAUGACAGUUUUAAGAGAAUCAUGAAGUCUGGUGGAUGUAUAGAGGAAGAAAGUGAUGCUCAUGAUGACGAUCCUCAUGUGAAGGAAGAUUUUCCAGAGGAGUUUAAUAUGAACAAGUUUAGUAAGUGGGCUGUCAUUCAGUUUUUUUUGCAUGAUUUAUAUAUUUAUAUGAUCUUUCGUCGAACUUUCUGAUUUGGUCCUUUUAUCAGUCAAGUUUAUUUUGAAGCCUGAUCCUGGAAAUUCACAGGAUUAAUAGUAGAAGCAUAUAUGUGUUAGUAAUAAUGUGGAGUAGUGGCUGCAUAGUAGAAUCUUAUAUAUAUAUUUGGUUCUAUAAUUAAUCUGAUCAUAUGAGUUUUGGUUCUAUAGUAGAAGCAUAUGUGUGUUAGUAAUAAAAUGUCUUAUUUCUUUAUUAAUCAAGGCUUCUGUCAUAGAAACAAAUUGUAUAAAAUUUGUGACUCUAGAGUAGAAGCGUCUAUGUUUUAGUUAAUUAAAGGACUAAUUAUCUGUAUGGAUUUAAGGUCCUAUGAUAGAACCAAAAUUUAAGGUCCUAUUAGUAUAGAAGAACUAUUUAAGGUUCUAUAGUAGAACCAAAUUUACUCUAGACCUGUUUAUUAGAUUUGUGUAACUAGUAUCAAAAUGCUAAAUUACAUAGUAACUCAUACUGUUCUACAUUGGAAUACAGGCCUAAAUAUUGCUGGAGGAAAAAAAAAGGAGGCCUAAAUCUGAAAAAUAACAAAAACAAGAGUGAAAACACAUAUAUUUUUACUUUAUAUACCACUUCAAAUAACACAAAAAUUGCGAUAUGAUUUUAGCAUUCUUGUUUAGCAAAUCUUAUAAAUCUGCUAACACUCUCUUCACUGUUGCAGGACUCUCAGCCAAGGACAAAUACGGGGACAGGUAACCUUUGUAGUAAGAAUCUCCAUUAGGAAGAAGACUUAAACGCCUGAAUUGAAUACAGAAAUAACAAAUAAGGAAACAGAAGGAAUUACACGAGAGAAUUAAGAUAUCAACUGCAUUGAAAUAAACUACACUAAUAUUUGUAAGCACUUUCAGAUGCAUAAAUGUUUGAAGUUUCUUAUGAUAUACCAUAAAAAUGUUGGUCCCAUUUGAAUUUAUGAUAAUUAUAUAGUUAGAUAGUAUAUCUUAUCUAUUUUAAAAUUUAUUAUUCAGUAAUUUGAAAUUUUGAAAUGAAUAGUUCUUAAUUUGUAGUAAAAAUUUUGUUAAUUUGAUGACAAAAAAGUCAGACAUGACUAAUAUUUUGUGGUGGGAAUUAAAAAGAUCUGGCAUACUGACCAUUUAUGUUUUCCUCCUUUGAAUAUCUCUGAAUAAAUUUCUGUUGCAAAUUGUGGAGAAGUCACAAACUAUCAACUCAAAAGUUACUUCUUCUGGAGCCUUGAUCAUCUUUAUAGCUUCGCCAAUUCCAUUAUAUUUUACAUCAUAAACUUCAAAGCCAAAUACUUUAUUUGACCAAGCUAGACAGGCAAAAAGUGUGGACUGUGGAAGGACAGGGGGAUCACCUUCAUCCAUCUUCAAGUUCAAGAAGUUUCGCUGGAACAACAAUACUUCUAACUGGAGAAACAAUUACAACUGCUCCUUCACAUCCUGAAACUGUCACGCAUAAUAUCACAUUUUGGACAUAUGGGUUCACAAUAGAUGAUGGUCCUUUGCGGAGGAUGGAUGAUCCAGAAAAUGCAUCCUUCUUAAAGGUACUAUAAGUUUUUCAUAAAGGAAUUUUAUGUGUUUGUGCUUGUUUAUAGCGUCUAUAGUAGAAUCACAUGAGAAUUUAUAUGUGUUUACUAGAUCCGGCUUUUUGAUCAUGUAUGUGUAUGUAUUGUUGUUUUUGAUCCUAUAGUAGAAGCACUAUUUUUAUAUUUCAUUGUUUUGUGUAUAUUGUAAUUUUACUAUAGAAGCAAUAUCUUUUGUGUUAGAGUCAUAAAUUUAUGUGUGUAGAUUUUGAUUCUAGAGUAGAAGCAUUUUUUUUGUACCUUUUUUAUUGUUGUGUGUAUAUUGUGAUUCUAGUAUAGAAGAAUUAUUUCAUGUGCGUAGAUUUUGAUUCUAUUGUGGAAGCAGAUUUAUAAUGAUUUUGUAGUAUAAUCAUAUAUUCAUAUUUUUCUAGAAUUAUUAAGGAUAUUUGUACUGUGUUCCGUUAUGGUUCUAUAGUAAAAAAAAUAUGAUUCAGUAGUAGUAUAAGUAGCGAAAUGGUUUUGAAAUAAAACGAAAUCCAUUCUUACCACAUGCUUUUAAUUUCAUAUAUUCGUAUUUUCUUAGAUUUUUUCAGAAUAUUUGUGUAGUAUGUAAUCUUAUGAUUUCAUUAUAUCCGAGUCCUGAUUUCUCAGAUUUUCAUAAGUUUAAUUAGUUUAGCCAGAUGCAAGUGAUCGGACAAGGCUUGGUAACAGAUUUGAUUUUGCUAAGAUUUCAACGUGACUGCUGCUGCAGGGUAUUGCAGAGGUGGGCUGAUCAUGUCUGGCACGUUGAACAUAACAUUUGGAGGUAUCACUUGCUCUUCGAGUCCACGGUCUUAAUCCAUGCCUAAGCUACUUCCUUUUCUGGCUUUUACUAGACUUAAUUCUCUGUUGAAUGCAGGGCUAUGAUAUUGUAUGUGGUAGCUGGUGCAUUCUCAAGGCGUUGGUGGCACUUUGUGAGGCGUAACAACCAGAAGCAGCUGCCAUGUUCAUAGUUGCUUUCCAUUAAAUCCAAAAGGCAUUGGCAUCUGAUUCUGAAUCCAAUGACGAAUCAGGUCCAGCUGUCAAGGAACCUGUGCCUACCUUGCCAAGGUUGAACUCAGAUAAUGAAGAUGUUAUCGCUGUAGGAGAAUAUUAUGGAGAAGAUGAAGAUGUUAUCGCUAUUAGAUAAUGAAGAGGUAUCGGGGUUUCUAAUCAUUUUUAUAGGUGUCUAGUUAAGUCAACUGAGCAACCUUGCUCGCGAAAGCAACAUAACAAAUAUAAUCAUUGAGGCUGAUCGGCUUCACACAAUGUUUCUUGCUAUGGAUGAUGCCAAAGCUGUACUCAUUAAAUUGGCAGAUCGAUUACAUAAUAUUAUGACACUAGAUGCAUUACUAGUAACUAAGUAAAAGAGGUUUGCUAAAGAAACAUUGGAGAAUUUCUCUCCUCUUGCUAAUCGCUUAGGAAUUUCUAGUUGGAAAGAGUAGAUUGAGAAUCUUUGUUUUAAAUAUCUAUAUUCUGGUCAGCACGAACACCUGUCAUCCCAACUUGUGAGAUCAUUUGACGAGGCAAAAAUCACUUACUCUGCUGAGAAGCUGGGCCAAUCUCUAAAGGAUGAAGGCAUUUGUUCUCUCAGGGCGGCACAAAAGGUUGUAUAGCAUCUACUGCAAAAUGUUGAAGUAUGUUGUCUUCUUUACUCUUAAUACUAACAACAAAGAAUAUUAGUAGUAUAAGAUAGUUUCUUAAAAGUUGUUAUGCAAGUCUCUUGGUUGAUGGCUUAUUUGUAGAGUUGAGGUUAGUCUACGUGUCUGCUCACCAUGAAAGCAUAAUUAUUUUCCUCCCAAUCACAAUGUAAAUAUAUGUGAACCAUAGACUUUUGUUUGUGCAUUUGUAUGUAUUUAAUUCCACGGUAUCUUUAGCUACAGCUUGAAUUUUUUUUUCCCUGUUCUAAUAGGUAUUCUAUAUCUCAUUAUUGAUGUGUUACUUUGUGCAGAAAGAAUCUAACAGUGGAUGAAGUUCAUGACAUAAAGAGCUGAGGCCAAAGCUAAAUCAUGAGCCUAUGCUGCAAGCUAAAUACGGGUGAUGUUGUAGAAGCUUAUGAUUCUAUUUUGUGAAUUUGUUUGUUCCAGAUGUUGGACUUCAUGAACCAGAAAUGCUCUGUUCCUGGGAAGUUUCUGCCGGUUGGUUUAACUUUCGAAAUGUAUGAAAUAGAAGCAAUUUUCGAUUUAAGUUAUAUACCCUGCAACACUUGCCUACCAUAUAUUAAAGAAACUCACUUAUUUAUCUAGAUUGACUUUGUUUUCUAGAUUUUAGAAUUAGUUUAACACUAAUUAUUAUUAAAUGGUUUGUUAUUAAUUGUAUGUUCUAGGUGAAGCAGCUGGAAUGAAGGGUUAUAAAGUAAAGGAUAUAUUACAGUUAAACCUUUUAAAGUAAUAACGUUGGAACCAACGAAAAAAAUUAUUUUAUCGAGUUUAUUUACUUUAUUGAGGGUAAAAAUACACUAUUUACAUUAUAUUGGGAAUAAAAAAAAAUUAUUAUUUUAGUGAGGAUAUCACUUUAUCGAUUAUUACUUAAUCGAGUUUCAAAUGUACCCCAAACUGCAGCAGCUAUGGACUCAAUAAUAGCAAGUGAUCUCCGCACACUGGUUUUGUACACACCUGGCAACUCAGAGAAGAAGGAAGUGCCAAAUUUUCUUGUAAAUUUAAGAACCAAUUUUUUUUGCAAAUUUAGCAUAUUUUCGAUACAUGGAUUAGCAAUUUAACAUUAUCAGGAGUUUGGUAUUCCAAUCAGGAGUUAGUCAGAUCACCACUUCCAUCUUUUGGUGUAUAGGUAAUUAGGCAUUUUGUAAAGAGACUCUUUGGUAAUUUAUCCAUACACAUUCAAGUUCAAGUUGAUGAUGAAAUUUUCCUACUUUAGGAAAACUUACGGGGUCAUAAUAAUUUAAUCAUAAACAUUUGCAAGCUUAUUUAUUUUUUUGUUAUAAAUCGUAAAGAAUUUUCUUGCAAAUUUCCAAUAAAAUUUCCUUGCUAGUUUGGUUCUACACCUGAUUCAACACUUUUGAAUUUAUAAUAUGUCAAUUGUACAUUAUGAUUCUAUAUUAGCAUCAUAUCCAGACAAGAAUUAUAAAUAAAAAUAUGCCAAAAAAUUAAUAAUUUAUGUUAUAUAUUCUACACAAAAAUUAAAAACUAAAUAUGGUUCUAUAAAUGAAUUAAUAAUAAAAUCUUGACUUAAAGUAAUUACGGUUUACGCUCGAGUGAUUAGGUCCUAAAGGCCUUAAACUCUCGGUCUUAAACCUUAACCAUCAGCCAAUUUAAAUUCAAGUAUAAAUUAUUCAUUCUAAAAUCAAAAAAUGAACCCUCAAAUAUUAACAACUGUUAAUUUACGUUCAAAUUAUUACUUUACUAAACUGUUAAUUUACAUUAGUGUCUUGAUUCUACAACCUAUAUACUAUUUCAAUUAGGACUUGUUAAAAAGAUUACAUCAUAAAACCAAACCUACCUACAAUAUAGAAAUAUGGAAAAAAAUUAAAGUUUUAAUAAAUUAACUAUCUUGAUUCUACAACAGAAUCUAAAUUCAAGAAAUAAUUUCAAAUUGUAUUAUUUACAAAAAAAAAAAAAAAAAAGAUUUCACAGUAGAACCAAAACUACAGUAAGCUAAAAACCAAAUUAUUUAAACAACUGAUUUGAUUCUAGAACAAGACAAACAAAAUAUAAUACAAAUUAAAUCAAGAACAUAUCAGAUGAAUAAUAAAACUUAAAAUUCAAAAUUUAACAAAUCAAAAUUCUUAAUGAAUCUACCGUAUUUUGCCACAGAAAGACAAUUGCGAAAACCAUGUCUAAUGUCUCCCUGAAAAUAAAUAUACAGGGGAAAUAUGAUAAUACAUAAUUACAUCCAGCAUGAAAAAAAUAGCAUAAUCUCAUAUUUGAGUAAACUUAUAUUUUCAUGUUCCAAGCUGAUAUAUUCUUCUCAUUCAGCCUGUGCAAGUGAUCAAUGAUAAUAACCUCAUCUUUCUUCUUAUUGAAAUUAGUCGAACUCCAGGACUGUUCCGGGCUACAGAGUUCUUCCGAGGUGUGUUUGUAGCAGUAUCAAUCACUUUCCCACCCUUUGGAAAAAUAGUUGCCUUUAAGCUCAGCACGCAUAAAAGCCCUGACACUCUGAAAGAGUUACCAACAGAUGAACAUUUAAUUACAAGAAAAAUAUAUUUGAGAAUGUUCUUAACACACAUGUCACAAUAUUACAUGUUCUUAUCAGGAAAUGAACUAAGCUAAUAUACAUAAUAAUUUGUAUAAUGGCUAAUUUAUCAUCAGUUCUACAUUAUUUAACUAUGCAUUGAUUUACUAUUAAGCAACAAAAUGUAAGCAACUUCAAGUUCCUUAAUUUUUUUACUAGUGUGCAGUAUCCACAAUGUCGCUUUGUUGAUAAUGACAUGAAGAAGUAAAGAAAGCAUCUAUCGUGGUUCAUCAGUUAUAGAACACAAAUUGAACCCUUAGAAAAUCAAGGAGGGCCUCAGCAGUAGUGAGGUUGCUCCUAGUGCCAGAAGAACUCUAGAGUUUGAUUCUGUCCUCCCACUGUACCCAAUAAAAUGAACCUGUGACAACUAUAAUAGGCUAAUCUACAGAACCAAAGAAGUUCAAAAGAUAGGAAAUAACUAUUCUAUACAUUCAGCUGAGGAAAAUUAACAGACUACAGUUUAACGUUUUCGAAUUAUGCAAGUACGAAAAUAUGCCCAAGCACAAGAGUUUGGCAAUUUUGUGGUCUUGCUUUAUCUGGCAAUACAGUAUGAUCACCAAUCCCACAUUAAGGGAGAAGGGAAGCCGGGGCUUUUUUAUAUGUAAUGGAUGUAUCAGUUUAAGGCAAAACAUGAAAAAAACAAAAUAUAACAUGUCAUAUAAGAAAAGUCAUUGCCAACCAUAACCUCCACUGUGACUUACAUUGUAUGCUUGAAUGCAGUUUGAAUUCGCGUAGCUGCAAGAUCCUCAACUGAGACCUCAGCAUCCCCGUCAGGGACAUGAUGAGAAAAAUUAGCGGACUUCAACUGAAACCUGUCGUGAAUCAUAACCGUAGGCUGUGGCGCCACCUAGAUAGCAACAACACUCCCAGGCCUUUCAAAUUUCAAGUGCUUGUUUUGAAUUUAGGAAUCAGGAUUGCGAUUUGUGUGCUUGUUCAACCACAUCAGUUAAAUAGAAUACUAGAAUUACUCCUUUCUCAACUUCCUUUCUAUCAGAGUUUUCAUUCCAUGCAAUUGAGACUUCCAUCCCCUGAGAUUUCUGUUUGGGCCACAAUCCAGUGUCCUGGGUGUUUGCCGACUGUAAUAUCAUACACGUUGCAGCAUAAUGCAAAAGAAUCUCCCAGCCUUCUUCACUUACAUUAUUAGAACACCCAAUCAAGAUGCCCAAUGAAAUUCUUCUAAAUAACAUAUCUUGCCCAAGUUUUGCACAAGGAGCAGACUUUACUUCAAUUGAACUAUUAACAAUAUUGUAGAUAUGUUUACUAUACAUGUCCCUAAAGUCAUUGAUCCACAAUCGAAUUAUCUGACAAUCAUAUUCCUUCCCAUGCACACCAUGGUAAAUUUUAGGUCUUUUGAGCUUCUUAGGGUUCGUAUGUUUAGCUAAACCAUACUGCUUGGAAGGGAAGUUACCAGCCAUUUUCACUAAAUUCUGGGCUAGGACAUCCUGAUGGCUUUUACCAAUGGGGUUCAGAAUCCAGGAAAUGUACCUUGCAGCAUCAGAACAAAGUGGUUCUGCUUCCUCUGUAUCCUGUGCGAAAGCAGCCCCAGAUAUAAAUGUGGACCCGAAACUGUCUCCUGAGCUUUUAUUUAAGUAAAGUACCACACAGGAAAAAUAAAACCAAUCUGGAAAGUUCAUCGUGAUAGCCCUUCCAGAGAAGGAUCGAAAUAUAUUAAAAAAUUCAGUUGACGCCAAUUUUGUAUCAGCACGAACAAAGUAUUACCACAUAGACUUGUGAUCCACCAAUGAACUUUUAGUUGCUGCCUGGUUAGGAGAACAUCUUUCGUCCUGGACUUGUGACUUGCUUAUAUAAUGAACUAACUGCAGCAAACCUCCAGAUGUCAAAGGUCCAGCCAAAAUCUUCAAGAAUUGGCGACUGCGGGGAAAAUAUGCAUGAGAAAAUGGCAGCAGCAUUGAACUCACAUCUGCUAAUAUUCCCCAUCUCAUUGGUCUGGAAAUGAUAUCUAGUACCAACGAGACUAAUUUAAUUUGAAACUCCAACAAAGAAGCCAAACCCCUGUAUGUCAACCAUGUGAAGAAAUUAGUUUGACCCCCAACUUACAUCCUCUUUAUCAACAGGUUAUCUAUUUUAAUGUGCACUGAGUGUACUACAAAAUAGAUGCAAAAUGUAUAACCUGAUGCAGCCCAUAAUCUGCUCCCAAGCAUGAUAAAGUUUUAUCCAUCAUAAUUCAUCAGUUCAUGUUCACUAAAUCAAGUUUUAUAAGUUUCUGAGCUGGCAUUGUAAUAAUAUAGCAUCAUAGACAAAGUUACUCAGCAAGCAUGCAAAAUACAAAAUUUUGUGUGUGUCUGUGUGUGAGAACACAUAAGCAAUUAGGUACUUGGUCUGCCCUAUGAAACAAAGAUUAUGCUCUCAUCCAGGGCGCCGGGUUCUUGGGGGUGCGGGGAUUCUCCUCCCACUUGGCGGUGAAAGAAAGUGAUGUAGAUUACACGUAAUGGGUGUCUAAUUACUUUACAUCAUAUUAAUGUGAAUUAAGUAAUUAAGUAAUAACUUAAUCACCUAACUAUUUUAUAAUGAAUCAGCUGUGUUAUUGAGUAAUUUUUAUUAAUUAUUAAAGAGAAUGAACUUAUUUAUUUGACUAUUUAGUUUAAUUAGAAUGCAACUCCUGAAAUAUAUGUAUAAUAUAUUUUUUUAUUUUUUAAUAAUGUAUUAAUUCACCCGCACCCGAAUCCACGUAUUUUUUGGAUUUGUUGAAUUACCAUCUCCAUACUACGCAACCCCAACCCUGCACUUACGUUUCUUAGGGUCCGCCAAAAUGCAUGUUCGAGUCACAGAUCUUAAUAAGAAACACAUCUCCAUAUAGAGGCAUUAAACUCAAGCGAUAUAAUCCAAAACAUAUGCUGUAAAAGUUUCUAACAAGUAACAUCAUCUGAAGCUGGGGAAAGGCUCAAAACUAUAGAGCUUCUUGGAAAGAAGCACGUGUUCAGGAUGUUACAAUCAUAAAUAAAAAAUGGAGGGAAACAUUUUGAACUGUUUUUGCACAUUAAUGAAGUAAAAGCAACUAUCCAAUACUGCAAGUUUUAUCAUUUUUAAUAUAAUUUAAAUCUGAAAGUCCUCAACACCUGCCCAAAAUACAUAUUAUGAUAUUAUCGAUAAGAUAUUAGCACAAUUAUAUGAUUAAAAAGACUUGCAUCAAUAAAAACCAGUUAUGCAGCAAGCUCCUCGUCUUGAUAAACAUAAGAGGAGAAAAUGCUAAAGAUAGAAUUGUAGAACGCCGUUCAAUCCUUUCACAAAGCUCAGUAUCAAACAAAUAAAAGGCCUUCUAAUAGAUUCUUGCAGGAUCUGUGUUGCAUCAUUCUUCAAAACAAGAGGGUCGAGAUACCAAAACAUCAACCUGAAGAAGAUAUACAUAAAAAGUCAAGAAGCUUGAAAAUUGCAUACCUCAAUCAAGCAAAAAAUGCUGAGCGGGUAAUGUCAUUCUUUUAUAUUCCAUUAAUUGACUUCAUUCAGCACUCUCAACACCAACAUUACAAACACAAUUGUCGAAAUGUACAAAUUUAUUAAGACACCCCUUUGUAUAGUAAUGUCUAAAUUCAUCAGUAGAACCUUAAGUUCACCCUUGUACAGCAAUGAGAUAAAUGAACAUGCCAAGGUUGCAUUCACUUGAAUGAAAUGGAACGAGAAAAGAAUAGAGUGAAAGAUAUAAAGCAGUUUUAUGGAGAAAGAAUAAUGUAUAAGACAUAGUGACUAAUAUGUGUGAGCCUAAUUUUCUUAUGAUGUAAAUUGUAAGGAAAUUGAUAAAGUGAAAUGGAGCAUUCGUUCCAAAUCAUUUGGUUAGAUUUUUAGUUCCAAUAGUAUGGAAUGGAAUGAUUAAAGGAAUGAGAAAUAUAGACAUAUUUUCAUUUCACCCCCAAAUUACAGUACAAAUUUCAUUCGAUUCUCCCCCAUCUCAUUCCAUCCAAGUGAAUGCAGCCUAAGAGUAUACCUCAGUGGAAUCUCCCCUUUCUUAACAGUCAGUUCUUUUGGCAAAUAGUGCAGCAGCUUUGAUAAAUCAAGCGUUCUUCUAGCACCAGGUCUUACAUCAAUAACAGGACCUAAUUCCUUUACAUGUCGAAAGCUGGAUGCUGAUACUGCCACUUUUACAACAGCAUACAAUAGUGAGUCACAAAUGAUCCCUGCAAGGUUACAACACACAGGAAAAAAAAUAGCAUUAGCUAAACAUCUAUCAUGAUAAACGCAAUAUUACAUACCAUCCGACUCCUUCACAAUUAGAACAAACAUAUAGCACCAAAAAUUAUCAUAAUAAUAACAAAAUUUAAAAAUCGCCAAUCAGUGUGUAUGGACCUGCAAUGGUCUAAUCAGACAUUUUGCAUUGAUAUUCGAAGCCAUAUUGACAUGUCACCAUUAGAUACAAGAAGGUGAUUAAUCUAAAUUCAACGCAUAAAAGUCCGACAAUCACGAAACGCAAGUAAAAUUAUGAGUGGCUAAGUACAUUGCAAUUUGGCAAACUUCAAACGUGAAUAACAUUUCCAGAUAACUAAGUACAGUGCAAUUCACCUCUUCCGACACGCCACGUGCCUUCAAUUUGCCCAAAAUAUCGCCACACGUUUCCAUCAAUUCCCCAGCAUCACGACACGAAAUUAAGCAACCAAUAGACAAAACUGCUUCUUCACCACACCGAAUAGCCUUGCAAUUAAUCGACGAAGACAAAACAGAAACAAUUGUCUUGACAGAAUACUCAAUCAUCGAAUCAAAAACCUGGAACAAAUCAAAACUGCUUAACAAAACAUCAAAAACCUUCACACACACACAGGGAGAGGGCGAGAGGGGGGAGAGAGAGAGAGAGAGAGAGAGACCUGUGGACAAGUAAAGCACAUGAGUGAGAGAGCAGUGUCCAAAACCCUAGUCCUAGAAUGAUAAUUAAAAUUGAGAGAUUGGUUCAAUUUUGCAAUUGAGAGAUCAAUUGAGUUAUUAAUCUCUUCACUUUCACAAGCUUUAAGAUUCAAAGCAUAGCAUUAGCACCGCAACAAGCCAACAACACUGAUCAGAAAUGAAACAGUUUCCCGCUAAAAUUAAAGCGACAGGCCUCCACUAAUGGGCCUGGAUUCAGAAUGAACCUUGCCCCCAAGUACUUUCAUUUGCAGAGAGCCCAACCCAACCCAGUACCGAAUGUAUUCCUCGAAAACCGUACCGAAUAAUCGAAAUUAUUUUGAUUUGGUUAACAGGACUAACUAUUUCGGUUCGGUUUUCAGUAGCCAGAUAUCUAAAAUUUGGUAUUUCAACUUUUCGGUUUUUAAACCUCGGUUAUCCGAAAAUCGAACAGUUAACCGAUAUUUUUAUUAAAAUACUAUUUUUUUUGCCAGAAAAAUACUAAUCAUCAGAGCGUGAAAAUAGAUCGGCGCCAAAAACACAUGAGAUCUGGACUAUACGGUCGCCGGAGGUGAGUCGACAACGAGAACAUGAUUCUCGGAUGUUGUUUGACGACGAACACAUCCAACACGCUCAGAUUCAGACGCAGCCGUCGAGCUCUGAAAAUGACGAUCUAUUACAACCGGAAAAGGAGUAAAGGGAAGUUAGACUCGAUUUUGAGAAUGAUAUUGGUAGCAGUAAUGAAAUCUCUGGCGCGAAUUAAAGCAUAAGCAAUCUUCGAUGAGACGCCGCAAUCGAGUUUGAGCAGAGACUUGAUGUACUUAGAUCUGAUUGAAAAAGGAGGCGUGGAACCAUUGAACCGAUAUAGUAUUGAAAUUUUCAGAAAAUUAUCUAGCACAACCCUCAAGUGGUUCAACAAUUUACCGCCAUGCUCCAUCGCCUCUCGUAGUUCAUCGGGCCACCAGCUUAUCGGCUCACCAGCUCAUCAACGUCCUUAAAUCCAGCUCCUAGAACUUUCUUAAAACUCACAACAAAAUAUCUUAUAUCUUACUCAAAAAUAUAAGAUAUUUCGCCUCUCCGCUCCAUUGGCUCUCGGAGCAUCCUUGAAAGUAAAAGGCAUAGCCCCAAAAUGGCUCCGUAUUUUGCCUCUUCGCUUGCUCCAUCAGCUCUCGAAGCAUCCUUGAAAGUAAAAGGAAUAGCCUCAAAAUGGCUCCAUAAUUCAGUUUUUUGCUACAUCAACUCUCGAACAAUUAAAAGUGGGUUUCGCACGAAGCAGCUAUGUUUUGGAAGCGUCCAAUUUUUGAUGCGCCCCUCUAUGAGGCGCACUUCUUGUGAGGCGUCUCGUUUGUGAAGCGUCUCAUUCGUGAAGCGUCCUUAAUUACAGCCCUUGGAGCGUCCUUAAUUGCUUUUUGAGCUUCCAAUUCUUGAAGCAUUCUUAAUUGCUCUUUGAGCGUCCAAUUUUUGAAGUAUUCUUAAUUGCUCUCCGAGCGUCCCAAUCUUGGAACGUUAUGCUCUUGAAGCGUCACAUCCUUGAAACAUCAUGCUCUUGAAGUGUUCUUAAAUACAAAAUACACCUCUUAAAGCGUCCAGCUCUUGGAGAGUCCUUAAAUUCAACUCUAAGAGCUCUUUUAAAGCUCUUUUAGAUGAUGAUAUUAUAGUGGAUAAACACUUCACCAACUCUCACUUUGGAGGCCUCGAGGUCCCCACCGAUAGUCCUUUAUGAGAAGAUGGUGGAAGCCCAAAAAAUGACUGAAACUUGAAGAUUUUUAUAGAUUUGUCUCGAGAAGAGGAUGCUAAAGUGGUUCGACGACAUACAUCUUCGCUUCAGCGGUUCUGCUUCAUUAUUUCUCUGGCUUCUAAAGUAUUUUAAGCUCUAGUUGUCCUUAACCUUCAAGGUCAAACCGCCUCUUCGCUUCAGUGGCUCUGCCUCCUUACUUCAUCGGCUCCUCCAACGUCCAAAGCUCUAGUCGUCCAUGACUUCCAAGGCUAGCAAACUCCUCGCCUCAUAGGAGGGUGCCUAUUAGUUGCUUCUUGAAGAGUUUGAGCAGAGAGAUGAUAUUCUCAUAUCUGAUCGGAAAAGGAGGCGCUGAAAUAUUGAACCGAUGAACCAUGUGGCUCUGUCGUCUACCUCAUCACUACAUCGCUUCACUAGCUCGGCGAGCAUCCUUUAAAUGGCAGGCAAAGCCCUACAACGGAUCUCAGGUAUAAUGCAUCCUCACUACAUCGCUUUACUAGCUCGGCGAGCGUCCUUUAAUUAGGCAGGCAAAACCUUACAACGGGUCUCAGGUAUCACGCCCCAAGGCUUCAUCUGCCCAAACACAUUACCUCCAAGAUAAGCCCGAUUCGCGGACAAGCUAUUAUGUGAAUCAAGGCAUCUACAUCAACUUCCUUAUCUGUAUGCAAUAGUCUGCCAACACUUUUCACUUGAAAAAUGUCAAGGGACAGCCCCAACGAGGGCAAAAUCCGGAGCGCAUGAUAGCUUACUCUCAUAUCCAGUGUUUUCAUUUACCCAUUAGAUGAAAAUUGAGGUAAUCGCCAUAAGAUGACCUCUUAUUCAUGCUGAAAUCGAUCAUCAAGCCUGAAAGCUAGAAGUGACAACAUUGAUAUCAUCACCAAAGACAGUUCUCCGAGCUAAGCUCAUAGCCCCUCUACUUCACUCGGUAGUUUAUUCUUUUAGCCAUCACGUUCUUUCAGCAAUUAUCAUUUAUCACCAUCAGAUUGGCUUCGAUUGUUUGGGAGAAAGCAACUAGAGAGGAAAGAGACUCUUUGUUCGCAAGGAUCUCAUCAACCUUCACUGCAGCUUCCAGCUCUCCAACUUCACUGCUUUUAUAGCCUCCCAAGUUUUUAUGCAAGUCAACAGUCCUCGCCACAACGGUCAACAUCAACCUCACCACCUCGUGUACCUCCUUACAGAAAUGGCUCACCGCCUCCACGCCACAAUAAACUUGUCAAGCAACAAAAAUUACAUGCGGUAAAAACGCUUUCCAAAAUAAUCUAAUCCACAUCUAAAGAUCUGGAACUACUUUAGUGGGGGACUAAUGUUGGGCCUCAGCCCACUAGACUGAAAGCCCAUUUACGGGCCCAAGGACAUGUGGUCCAAACUACACACAAGUAUUAGACAAGUAGUAUAAAUAGAGAACAUGUAUCCCCAAGAAACGGGUUGGAAAUUAAGAGAAAAGAGCCUCCCUUAUAAUAUCUCAAUUCUCAACAAUUCCUAGGCAACAGGCAGUAGUACUGUAUUCUCAGUUUGUGUAGUUUGUUUUGCUUAGUCUCUGGCCUUGUAAAAUGGUAUUUUCAUCUUUGCCCUCACUUGCUCUACUCAAUUUUUGAUAGUGUAAAAGCGCAGUUGCUGUUUUUUUUAUAUAACUAUUUUGGUGUUAAACCGAAACACAACAUUAAUUUUCCAAUUUUCUAAUUUUUUUUUAAAUAAAUUCGGUUAAUAAAUGCGGUUUUCGGCAAUAACCGAAAUUUAAAGUUCGAUUCAGUUAUAAAACCGAAAUUGAUUCGGUUCAGUAUUCGGUAGAGAAUUUUGAUGAAUUUCGGUUUCAGUUAACCAGGAAAAAAAAUCGAUUUUGGUUUCACUUAACCAAAUGCACACCCCUAAAUAAAGGAUCAAAUAAAGGAUCAGAAAAGUUUAGGUUUCUCUCUCCAGUUUUGAGAGGUUCUCGUCUAGCCAUCACUUCUCCAUUUUCUAGAUCUUCAUCCUCUUAUCAAUUAAAUCAUCUUCGCUCUUCUAUCCUCUCUUUCAUAUUUUAGUUUUUGAAUAAAAAAAUCUAAUCCUUUUUGGGUGAGAUCUUGCUCAGUACCUUGUUAUCAAGUUGUUAGUCGUACCCAUCUUUUUUGGAUGUUAUGUUAUGUGUUGAAAUUAUUGUUUGGAUACGGAUGUGAUCUAUAAGACUCGUAUCGGUUCUGGUAAUACCGCAAUAGCUCAUCUUUCGCAACAAAAAUUUGUUCAUAUUUUGGGGUAUUUGAUACUCCAUUAUCAGUUGAUGUAAUUGAUAUUUUUGCAUGCUAGACUACAUAUGAUUAGACCUGGCAAUUCGGUACAUGACACGAAAACACGACACGAACACGACACGAAAAGUUUGGGUUUGGUUUUCAAUAUUCGGUACACGAACACGAAAGUACACGAACACGAAAAGUACACGUUACUAUUAGUGUCGGGUUCGGUUUUUGAUAUAAGUACACGAACGACACGAAAGUACACGAACUAAAUAAAUAAAUAUAAAUUAAAAAAUAUAUUAUACUUAUUUAUAUAUAUUCUUUAAUCAAUUUCAGUUCUGUUAUUUCAUUUCUGUUAUCUUAUGAAUUUAUUAUAUGUCUAAUCUAUUGUUUGUCACAGAAAAAUUGUAAAAAUAAUAAAUUUAUUGUGAAAUCCGUGUACUUUCGUGUACAAAUGUGUAUUUCGUGUACAUUUCAAUCGGACUGUUCGUGGUACACGGAAGGUACACGAAAUUUUUCGUGCACUUAACGUGUACGGUUAGUGUUGACACGAAAUAAUUCGGUUCGUGUACGUUGAUAGAAUAUAUUUUAUAUAUAUUCUAGAUGAUUUUAUUCUCAUAUUUAAUUGUAUUUUGCAUUGAUUUGGAUAUUUAUUUAAUAGAUUUUAAUGUUUUUAUUGUAGAGUGCAAGGAAUUCCUAAAGUUGGAAGGAAUUGAAGAAAUAAAGCUUAAUUGGACUCAAAUUUGGAUGGAAAUUCGGAUUUAUUGGGCUACACGUAUUAUUUCGCUGUUUGAGCCAUAUCUGGAGUUCCGUACAUCAGAUUUUGACGAUCUUACAGCCCACGCGAAGCUUAGAGAAUUUUCUUUAUGUUAGGUCCAAUCAGACGUAGAAGGGGGGGGGGUUGAAUACGUCGUACCAAUUUCUUCGAUUUAAUUUAAUUGCGGAUAAUCUGUUUCAGUCCAUGUUAAAUCAAUCGUAAAUAAAUAACUCCAGCAAGUCGGGGAAUAUUCUUUGUAUUAGAAAUAAUCCUCGGGUGCUACAAAUUCCAACACAAGUGUCGGCUGCAGAGACUACAAUCACUCUAUUACAAACUCUCGAUAAAUACGAUCUUCUAAUUUAACUCUCGAGAAUGUGUAUAGUGUGUGCACUUACAAAGUGUGUAGUUAGUUUCAAAUGAAACUACAAGGCUCUAUUUAUAGGCUUUACAAAAUCUAACCAUGGUUAACGAGUUCGUCCUGGACGACUUGAGUUCGUCCUGGACGAAUUCAUUUUAACUGUAGUUAAAAUGAAUUGUCCAAAAUAGAAACUAACUCAAUUAAGCUGAACAUGCGCCAAAGGAAAGUCAAAGUUUGCGCUGGUCAAACCUUGCGCUUCCAGUGUUCCACUGUAUGUGAGAAUUACUUAGAAAAUAUUAAGGCACUUCAAUUUGUACCACAGUUGAGUCAAAGUUUGCGCCAGUUUAGGUCAAUACUUGCGCUAAUAGUCUGUUCAGAAGAGAAGUCAAAGGUUGCGCUUCUCUGAUGGUCAAACUAUGCGCCAAUACUUGUUCCCCUGUAGUUUUACUUAGUCUUCAAUACAGAAAACUAGUGUUUUGACUCUUGGUCAAAAGCUGCGCUUCCCAUGGUGCAUAGAGUGAGUACUUAGAAUUUUCUAAGGGAGGGGGAUGCGCAACAUUUGACUAAGUCAAAUGUUGCGCCUUCAGGGAUACAGUGUAAGUGUGUAUUUGCCUUGGGCAAAUUCACUUCAAUUAGUGAACUUGCGCUUCAUUGUCACAAUAUGUACAUAUUUAUAUAUAUAUUAAUUAAUUGUUUGUUACUUGAAUUAAUUUAAUUCAAGUGACUUAAUUAAUAUAUAUAUAUAUAUAUAAACAUAUUUAAUUAAUAUCUUUUGGCAAUAACUUCUGGAGCAGCUUAAUUGACUUGAUCAAUUAAUUUGUUGAACGAAUCCACUGAAUACUUUCGAACGUCCUGACGUCCUGUGCACUGGUCUGGUUCACGAACGACUUGAACUGAAAUAAUUCCUUGAAUUCUUUUGCUUGAUAAUAUACUUGAUCAGUCAUUCCGGGUUAGGUGUUGCUUUGAUAAAUUUGAUUAUAAAUAAUCAAAUCAAAUAUACUGGAAUCUUCUGGUCUUUGAUACUUGAUCUUCAGGCAAUCUUGAUAGCAGACACAUUGAACUUUAUUCUUCACUGAGGCUUGAACAUAUUAAUGAACUUCUUUCAGUGGACGGAUGCUUGUCUCAGAUAUCUUGAUUGUCUUUGUCUGUUCGUAUCGAAUCUCCAACCUGUAGAUUCCUGUAUCAUACUUACGUAUUGUUUCCUGUCUUUAGUUGUGUUGAGUUAUCGUAAUUACAGUUACGUUACAUUAUGCUUUACACUUUAAUUCAGAGAUGGUCCAAUAUCCAAAACCCAACUGGAAAAGCCCAGAAACUGUGGAGAAAACAGACCUGCGAAUUUUAGUUACAGACUCCUAUUCGGUUUCGGAGACUGCCUUGUAAUUUCAUAAAAGCAUUAAAAUACUUUUAUUUUAGAGAUCAAUUAGUUUUUAUUAGAGAUACAUACAUAGAGAUAGAGAGAGAAGAGAGGAGACUUUUAAUGUCAAGCUUUUGCUUUUCCCUUUCAGUAUGGAAAGGAGGAGGAAUUCUGCUAACCAAUUCUGUAGGAGUAGGCAAUGAUUCUUUCUCCCCCUUUUUGUUAGCAGCAAGUGUAGUAGAUGGACUGGGAAGAGAAACACCACUUGUGUUUUGUUAGUUUAAUUAUGAGUGAGUAGAUUUAUAAUCCGGGGUUAAGUUGAACCCUAGCUAUGAUAGAUGCAUGAUUCCCCCAACCCCAAAUUGAUUAUUUAAUUGCUCUUGCUUAUUGAGUUGUGUUAAUUAGCAAUUGCAUGUCAGGUAUGAUUAUGUGAUUUGUUCGAACCAAUAUCUAUUUACCAUCGGAAGUUGGAUUUAGAUGGUUGUGAUUUAUCCAAUAAGGACAUGAAAUUCUUCAUGGAAAUAGGUAGAAUGAAUUGUUAGAAAGCCAGGAUGCUGUGUUUAAUGUCUCUAAAUUGCAUGAUACCAUGGAAAUAGGCUUGAUUGUAUAUUUAGAGAAGCUAUUAAUACUCGGAAGAGAUUAAUGGUAUUUUAUAGGGCGCAUCUUUCCUCUUGAGUAUUAUAUCUGAUUAGUUGGGGUUGGGAGUCGUAAUUGCAUUGAUUCAUGCUAGUGGGGAUACUUAAUUCUGGAUGUUUUUAGUUAUUUGAUAAAAUCCUAAAUUGCUCUAAUAUAAUUAGUUUAAUAAAUCUCAAAAUAUUAUUGUGGUCCUUGCUUAGUUAAAAUUGGUCAGAAAUAACUAGUGUUUGACACAUUUGUCUCUGUGGGAUCGACUCUGACUUGCCCUGCUACAUUGUUAGGAGGAAUUGUUAGAAUUAUUAUUUAAUAGGUAUACGACAGCCUUGUCAUACGUGUUCCAGAACUGAUACACGAAACCGAAACAGUUCGGGUUUGGAUUUAGAGUUCAGUACAUGAAAACACGAAAGUACACGACACGAACUGUUUGCCAGGUCUACAUAUGAUGCUUAUGUGAAGGUCAAUGCUACUAGUUUCAAAACUGAUGUAGGUUGGAUUGGUCUAGAUGUCAUUGUAAUACUUGAAUACUUGUUUAGCUCAUUCUUUGUUUCACAUAGUUUUGGAGUUUGUCCCGACUAGGUUCCGAUAUUUUUUUGUUAAAUAUUUUAUGUUAAUAAAAUCAUUUAUUUGUCCAAGAAAAAGGAACAGAAACAAAAAACUUCAAAAAAUGUAUCUUCAACUAUUUUUGUCGGUUACAAUGUCAUCAAAUUUAUUUAUAUCAAUCUCUUGCAUCAGUCUUCUUCAAGUGUUAUCAUUUGAUCAUCAGCCUUAACACUAGUGCGUGGGAGCAAUCUUGUAUACAAUUAUGCGUUUUUAAAUAUCAACGGCAUCAAAUAUUAUAAUUUUUUAUGUGCUUCGGCCAUAUUCAUGUAACCCUACUAAAACACAAGCAUCCUUGUAAAAACAAUACUAGCAGGAUGAAAUUCUACAGGAGCAAAAAUAAACACAAAAUCAGUGGACUCAAGCGCGCAAUCCCAUCUUCGCCUUAUGUUUUCUCAAAUGAUCUGCACUAUCAGGGUUUUUCUCUUUCUAAAACCCUUCCGAUUCUCAGAUACCUUCAAUAGCUACUGGGUGUGCUCCGGGGGAGAGUAUGCAUUUUCUACUCAUUUUUGUUUGUUCUCUUGGUGUGUAUACACGGUUCUUGAUGUGGUUAUGUGCAGAUAAUAGAUACCGAUCUUUGUAUGUAUAAUCAUGUGCAAAGGUGGAUUCUUUCUUGUGUGAUCUGUUAGAAUAUAUGUUCUUUCACCUUCAGUUUCGUAGAUUUAUUUUUUGUUUGAUUAUCUUGUUUUGUCUUUUUCUGUUCUUGAUUCUUCUUGAAAAAUUAUUGAUUUGUGUGAUGGAUAGUUCUGUAAUUGUUUUGAUUUUUUAAUUGGUGAUCUAGGGGUUUGUGUUUUAUUAAGGGUUUUUAAUUCUGAUUGUUGCACAUAGAACUAUAUGGUUUUUAGUUUUUCUCUGGUGUCCGUGAUGAUUGUUUGUAGUUCUUGGAUAGCAGUGGUGGAGGUGGUGACUUAAUUAGGGGGAGUGGUAUAAUUAGAUUAGUUUGAUUGACGAAUUUUGUUGCUUGUUUGUAGUUUUCCUUAUAAUUUUGGAUAUUGUUUGGGGAUAUAGUAAUGUAGACCUUAACUUUAGUUUUUUUUGAAUGGCAAGUUUGACAUUUUUAAAAUUCGUUUUUUUAGAAUUUGACUUUUUCUAUGUGUUAUAAUUUGAAUUUUUGUGUCUUCAUUAGAAAAUUAAUUGAUAAUCUUUAAUGUUGAUUUUGUACCUGAAUUCUAUUAUUCAUGGGGGCCAUAAAAGAUGGCUUUAUUGUGCCUUAAUGAGGUAUUAUUGCACCAUUAAUGGUUGACUGUUUAAUUGGUGUAUACCAAAUUUAUAUUUAUCCUAAUAUUGAUGAUUAGUUAAAAUCGUGAUACAUUUGUUUGACAAAAUUUUGUCUUAUAUUUUAGUAGAUAUAUGUUAGCUAUGUUUUAUAUUUUCAAUUAAUUUUCUUAUUUAUAUUUUAAAAAUUUAUUGAGAUAUCAGUUAGUUAUUUUUUGAUGAGAUUUAUUCUUUAUUUUGUAUUAUUUUCUUAUGUAUCUAACCAAAGAGAUCUCAUUAUCUCUUUGGUGUAGAUGUUUUAAUAUUUUGUUUUACAUAAAUUUUAAUUUUAUUUUUCCUAUUUCUUAAAAAUUAUAUCAUAUUCAUUUUAUUUUCUGAUCAUGAGUUGGUUGACUUUUUCCUUUUCGUUUUAAAUAAUUUGAUUAUUUAUUGUAUGUAUGAACUUAUUAUAUUCUUUUAUUUUAUUGUAUUUUUUCAGGACACGCGAGUGGAAGGAAGAAGUGGGACCUUUUAUGGGUGUUUUCUUAUCGAACAUUAAAGAUUUAUUGUCUAAGCGUCCCCGGUCAUCUUUGCAUGUCCGAGGGUUAGAUGGUAAACUUUCUUGAACGAAAGGAACUCCUGGCAGCAGCUUUGUAUUCUGAUACAUUCGUUUAUACGAGAAAGUAUCUUGUGACAAAAAAAAAAAAACAAUUUAUUUAUUUUAGGCAUUUCAACUGCAAAAUCAUUUUAAACUAUCCUAUAACUUUCGCAAUAUGCAAUUGUUCCCUUGUUGAAAGCUAAUGAUCAUACGUCAAAAAAUAACAAUCUUUUAAAAAUAUAUUCAAUAUACAAUUUUUGUUUUGAAAAUACGGUGUGUAAUCACGAAUGCACUCUCAAUUGCAACUUUUACAAAUUAAAAAACUAAUAUAUUUUGAUCAAAAUCUUAUAUAUAAUUUUAACCAUAUUUUUGAAAAUAAAUUUAAAAAUAUAAAUAACUUCACAGAUUUAACUCCUGAUUAUUAAUCGAGUAAAUAUUUUAGAUUCGUCGGCUUUUUUUAGUUCCUAACCAUUAAAAAUAAGGGGUUGGAGUUUGAUCUCAUUCUUUGAAUAUAAUAAUUCUAUGAGCUAUUGAAUACAGAAGAUUAAUUAAUCAAUAUAAUACUCCGUGAGCAAUUGUGAAGCUAAACACAUGAAAAACAUAGAGAUACAAGAAUCAGUAAUGUUUGUUGCACUAUGACUUAUUAGUACCACUGAUUCGCUGUAUACCAAUCUUCGAUACAAUAAGUCUAAAUCUAUCUCUUCAUCUAUAUGCAUAUAUUCCAAAUGUGCGGGUAUGAAUAAUAAUAAUAAUAAUAAUAAUAAUAAUAAUAAUAAUAAUAAUAAUAAUAAUAAUAAUAAUAAUAAUAAUAAUAAUAAUAAUAAUAAUAAUAAUAAUAAUAAUAAUAAUAAUAAUAUAUAUUAAUAUCAAUAUUUGAAAGUUUUAAGUUAGGUACCAUUAAUAAAUAUUACAGGAGUAUCAACUAUCAAGCAUUGUUGGCUUGCUGCUACACAAUCAAAUUGAAGUAAAACAAAAGAGCUCCUGCACCUUUUUUUCCUUUCACCAAUUUCUCCUCCGACUACUUGGGAUGCUUUAGCAAAGGCCUUUCUACUUAAAUUCUUUAGCCAAAAGAAGACUGCCAAGCUAAGGAAUGACAUAUCUAAUUUUCGUCAAGAAGAUGAUGAAUCUCUUCAUGAUGCUUGGAAAAGAUUCAAACGUCUCCAAAGACAAUGUCCUCACCAUGGAAUUCCUGAUUGGUUGCUGAUCCAAACAUUCUAUAAUGGGUUGACACAAGAGUUUCGAAUCUUUAUCGAUGCUGCAUCUGGCGGAUCUGUUAUGGCAAAAAGUACCGAUGAAGCAAGAACUCUUUUGGAUGAGAUGGCGUCUAAUGAUAACUAUCCGUACAGUGAUCGAAAUCAAUCUAAGAAGGGUGGUAAGUAUGAGGUUGAUUCUAUAACCAUGCUCAAUACUACUAUGCAAGCAGUUGUUAAGAAGAUUGUGCAAUUAGAUGCCAAAAUUGCACCUACCGUUGCUUCUUGUGAAAUUUGUGGGGUACAAGGGCACAAUCAACAUGCUUGUCAAAACAAUUUACCUGAUGCAGCUAUGGAGCAAGCAAAUGCCCUUUACAAUCAAAAUCAAAGGCAACAAUAUAAUCCUUAUUCCAACACGUACAACCCAGGUUGGAGGGACCAUCCAAAUUUCUCUUACAAGAACAAUCAGGCGAACCCUCCGCAAAAUAACUUUUCUCAUCCACCAGGUUUUCAACAGGGAUCAUCUUACACUACUAGAAAAACGUCAAUAAACAUCGGUUAAACACCGAUGUCUAUGAAAAACAAAAAACGAUGUCUUUGUGGGCGAUGUUAAAGGUCCCCCCAUUUAACAUCGGUUUUAAACUGAUGUAAAAGAUGACAAUGACAUCGUUUUUUCAGUUGUAAACUGAUAUCUAUCUCUUGAUGUUAAAUUUUUAAUGCACAUCUAUAAUUUAUAUAUUACUAUAAUAUGAUAGUUUUAUCAAUUUAAAGAUAUGCAAGACAAGCAAAAAUCUUCCAUUUUCCUUAUAAAGUGAUGUUACUAACAUCUCUCACAUCAGUUUUCGAAAUAAACCGAUGUUAGUAGAGCUUUUAACAUCGUUUCUUAAGCUAGAACUAAUGUCUCUGUAGAAGGCACUGAUGUCUAUGAAAAUUAAUAACAUCAUUUCCUUUUUUUACACUGUUGUGUAAAGUCAUAUUAAUUUAACAUUAUUACUUCCUUUUAAAAUCGGUUGCUUUGUAAUAAAUGAUGUCUGAUUACCUGCUUUUUUAUGCAAAUUUUGAAAAAAGAGGUGCCAAAAACAUUACCAAAACCAAAAUACUGCAAAUCAAACAACCAAAUUAACAUUCAAAUAAUCAACUUCUAGUAUACAUCCAAACAUCCACGAGCAUCCAAAUUAACAUCCACUAAUCUUCAAAUAUCAUCCACACUAAUAUAUCCCAACAUAGUAAUACUAAACCAUCAACAUCAACUACUACUACUUGACAUUCAUCCAUGAUCUUUUCUAACUGUAUUAGCUACAAUAUCCGAAAAAAUGCAGGCGAAAUAGAGCACAUGAUCGCCUCGGCACGUCCAUGGGCUGGCUGGGGAAAGCCGUCAGGCUUCUGAAUGACUUGAAGUCCUAGGAAGAAGGACAAUCAGUUCCUAAAUGCACCAAUGCUGAUAAUAGAGAACUAACUACCUGAAUAAUAAUAUCGUUAUGUAUAGAUCAAUGUGCUGAUGAAUUAGCCACAUAUUAGCCACAGGGUAACCUGGAUACAAGUAACCAAUGAUAUACUCUGUGAUCACAUUCAGGCCUGGAGUCUGUGGAUGACGAAAAGAAUUAGGAGUAAAAACAAUUUUAAUAUCAUUAACUUAAAGAAUAUUAAGUGUUCAUAGAUAAAAGCUGAUCUCUCAUAAAAACUUAGAAUGUACACACUCGGUCAGGCAAGAAGCAAUUACAUGUAAUUACUAUAUACUGCAAACAUUAAAAUAUAUCUUUUGCAGCUAAGAUGGUGGUAAAAUAAUCCCAGACUAUAAAAAUUGUAUUGAUUUUGUUAAUAACUAUUUUGGCCCAUCACUGUUUACAAGUCUACCGCAGCAAAUGCGUUAUAAGUAUAUCUAAAUAUGUAUAAACAACUUUCAGGGCACAAUAAGUAAAAUGUUACAUAGAGUGAUGGCGUGAUACCUGAUUAGUCGUGGCAGUGAUGAUCCCAAUAGGUAGGGUGAAAAAGAUGGCAAUACCACAUGCUAGCAAGACACCCCACCAUGGUAACUGGAGUUGGGCUUUGUAAUAUUCACAUACAAAUAUGGUUGCUACAAUGUUUGUCAAGAGAAUGCAGCGAACCACCAUUCUGGAACUUGCUUGUACUUUCUCAUAAGCCUUGUGUGCACAUCCAUAUGUUUAUUUUGGAAAACGGACUUGCUCUGCUGCCAUAGUUCUCUAAGACCUUGUAAAUGUGAGUUAGAUUAUAUAACAGGGUAGUUGCUCAAGAAAGAUAGCCAAUUAUGUAGGUAUGCAUACACAAACAAUGAAACAUUAUAAAUUACUAAACAAAAGCAAUAACAAAUCACCACUAGAGAUAAUAUUUUCAAAUCAAAAUGAGCAAAAUUUACUAAAAGAAAACAUCACAAAAGCAAUUUUCUUCCAUGAUAUUCUCCACAAACUUGCAAAACCACAAGAUAUAGGGUAUUGAAAAAAGUAUAAUCUGAUUCACCAAAAAGAUAAUGUAAGAUUAACUUGGAAGUUCAAUUUACCUUCCAGAAAAAGAUAAUGAGCAAUUAUGUAGUUUUUAUGUUAGUUAUACACUUGUUCUCUUGUCAAUUGGCCUUUAUGUGCAAGCUAAUAUAAGUUUUGAACAAGAUCCCUUGUGAUAUCCAGAAAAAUCAGGACUAAUUCAAAAAUGACUUAAAAGUGACUUGUUUAUUAAAAUUUAUUUCCUUAUAACAAAACAGGUGACCCCUAACACAAACAUUGAGAUACUUGUAACUUGCAAAAUACCUGAAAAGCGAGACCUGUACAAGAUUUUGCGGCCACCACAUAGCAGCCAGCUCCACCUUAAAAUUCAAACUUAGAUUAACAUGAAAACAUGAAAAUAUGCUCAAUAAAAUUACUACUAACAACAAUAAUAUGCUCAACAUCAUAUUAUUACAUCUGAACUGCAACAUGAGAAAUUUAAAAAUUAGGACAUGCUCUGUAACAUGCACAAUAAGAACAAUCACUCAACUAAUUACAAAUUUAAAAAUUAGGGUUUCAAACUGAAACCCCCAAUUCUAAAAUUAGGGUUUAAAACUUACCCAAUUCAAGCUUUAACCUCCGAAUUAGCUCUAAACUCCCACUUGAACUCCGAUUGGAACUCCGACUUGAGCUCCGACGACCCUAUAACCUUCAACUUAGCUCUAAACUCUAACCCUUUAACCUUGAACUCCCGACUGUAACUUCGACAGAGAGAGCUAGAGAGACAACCCAGAGAGAGAGCGCUUCCACCAGAGAGAGAGCGCUUCCACCAGAGAGAGAGAGAGAGCAGCUCCGACCAGAGAGAGAGAGAGAGAGAGUGACGAGCGAGGAGAGGAGACUGAUGUUUUUGUUUUUAUGUUUUAGUUUUAAGUUUUAUGUUUUAAGUUUUAUGUUUUUGAUUAUAAUUUUUAUUUAUUUUUAAUUACAAGAUGCACUUUGAAAAGAAAAGAGCGGGGGUGGGAAAUUUUGCUAAGGCAAAAAACAGGGGGGAAUUUUUAAGAGGGAAUAAAUAUUUGGCUAAGGGGGAAAAACGGGGAAGGCGCGCUUGUUAAUUUUUUAAAACAGACUUAUAACAUCGGUUUGACUAAAACCCCGAUGUUUAUAUUAACAAAAGACAUCGCUCGUUAAAAACUGAUGUGGAAAACACUGUUUACAUCGGCUGCAAGAGCAACCGAUGUCUAAGGGGCGAUGUCUAUUCUACUUUUUCUAGUAGUGAUUUUCAACAGGGAUCAUCUCAGAAUGCAACAGCUCAACCACCGAAAUCUAAUUUGGAAUCUCUCUUAGAGGGAUUUAUGGUUUCACAGACACAGAUCAAUCGGGAUAUGCAAGCUCAAAACAGAAUGCUAGAAACUUCAGUAGCUCAAAUGGCUCUACAAUUGAAUCAACUUACAAAGUCCCAAGGCCAACUUCCUGGCCAAACUAUUCUACUUAAAUUCUUUAGCCAAAAGAAGACUGCCAAGCUAAGGAAUGACAUAUCUAAUUUUCGUCAAGAAGAUGAUGAAUCUCUUCAUGAUGCUUGGAAAAGAUUCAAACGUCUCCAAAGACAAUGUCCUCACCAUGGAAUUCCUGAUUGGUUGCUGAUCCAAACAUUCUAUAAUGGGUUGACACAAGAGUUUCGAAUCUUUAUCGAUGCUGCAUCUGGCGGAUCGGUUAUGGCAAAAAGUACCGAUGAAGCAAGAACUCUUUUGGAUGAGAUGGCGUCUAAUGAUAACUAUCCGUAUAGUGAUCGAAUUCAAUCUAAGAAGGGUGGUAAGUAUGAGGUUGAUUCUAUAACCAUGCUCAAUACUACUAUGCAAGCAGUUGUUAAGAAGAUUGAGCAAUUAGAUGCCAAAAUAGCACCUACCGUUGCUUCGUGUGAAAUAUGUGGGGUACAAGGGCACAAUCAACAUGCUUGUCAAAACAAUUUACCUGAUGCAUCUAUGGAGCAAGCAAAUGCCCUUUACAAUCAAAAUCAAAGGCAACAAUAUAAUCCUUAUUCCAACACGUACAACCCAGGUUGGAGGGACCAUCCAAAUUUCUCUUACAAGAACAAUCAGGCGAACCCUCCACAAAAUAACUUUUCUCAUCCACCAGGUUUUCAACAGGGAUCAUCUCAGAAUGCAACAGCUCAACCACCGAAAUCUAAUUUGGAAUCUCUCUUAGAGGGAUUUAUGGUUUCACAGACACAGAUCAAUCGGGAUAUGCAAGCUCAAAACAGAAUGCUAGAAACUUCAGUAGCUCAAAUGGCUCUACAAUUGAAUCAACUUACAAAGUCCCAAGGCCAACUUCCUGGCCAAACUGAACAACCACCAAAAGGUCAUAUCAAUGCUGUAACUUUAAGGAGUGGCAAGGAAUUGCAAGAGCCAGAGUUAAGAGUGAACAAAAGCACUGUGGAUGCUCAAGAAGAUGGUGAGGGAAGUAUGUCUGAAAUUGUCACAGAGAAAAAGGCAUUGGAAGAAGAAAAGAAAGAACCUGUUGUUCCUAUUACACCAUAUGUGCCACCAGUUCCUUUCCCACAAAGGUUGGCAAAAGCUAAGCUAGAGAAGAAGUACGGUAAAUUUCUUGACAUACUACAGAAGUUGCAUAUUAACAUUCCAUUCAUGGAUGCUAUAGUUGAGAUGCCUUCUUAUGCAAAGUUCCUUAAAGAUAUUUUGUCAAGAAAGAGAAAAAUUGAAGAGACUUCUACUAUUUCAUUGACGGCAGAGUGUAGUGCUAUCUUGCAAAAUACUUUUCCGAAGAAGCUAGCUGAUCCGGGUAGUUACUCUAUUCCUGUGAAACUUGGUGAUGUUUAGAUCAAAAGAGCUUUAUGUGAUCUUGGGGCAAGUGUAAGUCUAAUGCCAUUGUCAAUCUGCAAAAAUCUUCAAAUGGGUGAACUGAAACCCACGUGUAUAUCCCUACAAUUGGCAGACAGGACUGUGAAGUACCCUCUUGGUAUACUUGAAGAUGUUCCUCUCAAGGUAGGGAAAUUUUAUAUCCCAUGUGAUUUUGUUAUCAUGGAGAUGGAGGAAGAUGCAAAUAUUCCUAUCAUUCUUGGGAGACCAUUCUUAGCUACAGCUGGGGCUAUUAUUGACAUGAAAAGUGGAAGGAUUUCUUUUCAAGUGGGAGAGGAGAAGAUGGAAUUUCAGCUUCAGAACUCAAUGGGUCAUCCCUCAAUGGAUGAAACUGUAAACAGGGUGGAUGCACUAGAAGAAGCAAUCAAUGUCAAAAUCAACACUUUAUCAUGUGAUGAUCCACUUCAAGCUGUUCUUUUGGGAGAAAUUGAUGCUGAAAUUAGAGAGUGUGCGGACUAUACGAAAUUUCUUGAUGCAACACCAACAGUCAUGCAACCUCAUCUCAAUGUACUAAGCCAUGAAGAUGUGAAGGAGAGUUCUACGCCUCCUCAGGUAGAACUAAAACCACUUCCUGCAUCUUUGAAAUAUGUGUUUAUGGGUCCUAAUAGUACAUAUCCUAUUAUUGUCAAUGCUGAGCUUGAUGACAAUCAAAUUGAGCGUUUGCUCAUGAUUUUAAAAACAUAUAAAAGUGUCAUCGGGUACACCAUUGAUGAUAUUAAGGGCAUCAACCCAUCUUUGUGCAUGCAUAAAAUCAUUCUUGAGGACGAGCAUGCCUCCUCUAGAGAACCUCAAAGGAGACUUAAUCCUAAUAUGAUGAAGGUAGUCAAAAAGGAGGUUUUAAAACUUCUUGAUGCAGGUAUAAUCUACCCUAUCUCUGAUAGUAAGUGGGUUAGCCCUGUACAAGUAGUUCCAAAGAAAGGAGGAAUGACCGUUGUCAAAAAUGAUAAGGGUGAGUUAAUUUCUACUAGAACUGUAACUGGAUGGCGUAUGUGUAUUGAUUAUCGUAAAUUGAAUAAGGCCACUAGAAAAGAUCAUUUUCCUCUCCCUUUUAUUGAUCAAAUGCUUGAAAGGUUGGCAAAACAUUCCUUUUUAUGUUAUUUGGAUGGAUAUUCAGGUUUCUUUCAAAUUCCCGUCCAUCCGAAUGAUCAGGAAAAGACGACUUUUACAUGUCCAUAUGGUACGUUUGCAUAUCGUAGACUACCGUUUGGAUUAUGUGGUGCUCCUCCAACCUUUCAACGUUGUAUGAUGGCAAUUUUCUCAGAUUUUAUUGAAAAUAUUAUGGAAGUUUUUAUGGAUGACUUCUCUGUUUACGGAACAUCUUUUGACAUCUGUUUGCAUAAUUUAGAAAAGGUGCUUCGUAAAUGUAAGGAGGUUAGUCUAGUUUUAAACUGGGAAAAAUGCCAUUUUAUGGUACAAGAGGGAAUUGUUCUGGGUCAUGUUGUCUCAAACAGAGGCAUCGAGGUCGAUAGAGCUAAGGUAGAGGUUGUCGAGCGCUUACCACCCCCAACCUCGGUGAAGGGUGUAAGAAGUUUUCUUGGUCAUGCGGGAUUUUACCGCCGCUUUAUAAAAGAUUUUUCAAAAAUUGCUCGCCCUCUAACUGAGCUCUUAGGCAAAGAUGUCCCUUUUGUUUUUAAUGAUGCUUGUGUUGAGGCCUUUGACAGGUUAAAGAAAGCUCUUAUCUCUGCUCCAAUCAUACAACCACCAGAUUGGAAUUUGCCAUUUGAAAUCAUGUGUGAUGCUAGUGAUCAAGCUAUUGGUGCGGUCUUAGGACAAAGGAAGGAUGGAAAGCUUCAUGCCAUAUAUUAUACAAGCAAGACCCUAGAUGGAGCUCAAAUGAAUUAUGCAACAACGGAAAAGGAAUUGCUAGCAGUGGUGUAUGCUAUGGAAAAAUUUCGGUCAUAUCUUGUUGGCUCGAAAGUUAUCGUUCACACUGACCAUGCAGCACUGAAAUACUUGAUGAACAAGAAGGAUGCAAAGCCUCGCUUGAUUCGUUGGAUUCUACUUCUUCAAGAAUUUGACUUAGAAAUUAAAGAUAAGAAAGGGGCUGAGAACGUAGUUGCUGAUCAUCUUUCGCGUCUUGUUCUUGAUGGUGAUUGUACAAAAGACCCUCCAGUUGAUGAUUCAUUUCCUGAUGAUCAUCUAUUUUCUCUUGCAAGGAUAGAUGUUCCUUGGUUUGCUGAUAUAGCUAAUUAUUUGGCUAGUGGUACCAUUCCUCAUGGGUAUUCAUCUCAGCAGAAGAAGAAGUUCUUCUAUGAUGUGAGGAAGCACUUUUGGGAUGAUCCCUUUCUCUAUAAAUCUUGUGCAGAUGGUGUCAUUAGAAGAUGUGUUCCAGAAAGUGAGAUUUCCUCUAUAAUCUCACAUUGUCACGAUUCACCAUGUGGAGGCCAUGCUAGUACUACUAAAACUGCUGCAAAGAUUCUUCAAUGCGGUUUUUACUGGCCAAAUCUCUUUAAAGAUGUUCAUCUCUAUGUUCACUCAUGUGAUCGUUGUCAAAGAACUGGAAAUAUCUCGAGGAGAAAUGAGAUGCCUCUAAACAACAUACUCGAAGUGGAACCUUUUGAUGUUUGGGGAGUUGACUUCAUGGGACCAUUCCCGUCAUCUUUUGGGAACAAAUACAUCUUACUCGCUGUUGACUAUGUUUCUAAGUGGGUUGAAGCCAUUGCAACUCCCACUAAUGAUGCCCGUGUUGUGAGCAAAUUCUUCAAGAAGACAAUUUUCCCUAGAUUUGGAGUGCCAAGGAUUCUAAUUAGUGAUGGAGGAAAGCAUUUUCUUGAAAAUCGCUUUGAAGCUAUGUUGAAAAAAUAUGGAGUACAUCAUAAGGUAGGCCUUUCCUAUCAUCCUCAAACUAGUGGUCAAGUUGAGAUCUCUAACCGCGAAAUUAAGACCAUCUUGGAGAAGACGGUUGCAAAAUCAAGGAAAGAUUGGUCUAUGAAACUUGAUGAUGCACUUUGGGCGUAUAGGACUGCAUUUAAAACUCCUAUUGGGACAACUCCGUAUAGACUAGUUUAUGGGAAACUUGUCAUCUUCCAGUUGAGUUAGAACAUCGUGCAUUUUGGGCCAUUAAAAGCUUAAAUUUUGAUCCACUGGCAGCUGGUGAGAAAAGACUUCUUCAACUUAAUGAGCUAGACGAGCUUCGUUUUGAGGCUUAUGAAAGUUCUAAGCUCUACAAGGAGAAGACAAAAAGAUGGCAUGACAAGGGUCUAUUGCGCAGGGAAUUUAAUGAAGGUGAUUUGGUUCUUUUGUUUAAUUCAAGAUUGAAACUCUUUCCUGGUAAGCUUCGUUCCAGGUGGUCUGGUCCAUUUAAAAUUCGAAAAGUUUAUCCAUAUGGUUCCAUUGAAUUAUGGAAUACAACUGGUGGGACUUUUAAGGUGAACGGCCAAAGAGUAAAACAUUACAAAGCUGGUGAGCCAAUUGAUGAGAAGGUGGAGAUUCUGCUUUCUGCCCCUUCGUCAGAAUAAUUCUUGAGGAGGUCGAGUUAAAGACCUUAAAAAAGCGCUUCUUGGGAGGCAACCCAUGAUUUUAAGGUUAGUAAUAUUUAUUCUAAUUUUUGUAUUUUUUUUAGAUUAGAAAUUUUUAUUUGUAUUUUAUAUUUUACUCCCAUAAGAUGCCUUGAUAAUUUUUGUGUGAAGUGUUUCAGAAAAGAGAGAAUUUACAUAAUAAAAAAAAAGAGCGCAGAACCUCAAGAUGGCCGUUCAGCAUUUGUAAGUUGGGCGUCCUCCUACGGUCUUUUUCUUGCGCGCUACACUGAUAUUACAGUAGCUGAAGACGAGCGUUUUGUUUUAUGUGAACGGGCGUUUUCUUCUACUGUCCAACACAUAUUUUUUGCGCUUGUUAACUCUACUCAGCCGGUGUCCAAUUCAAGUGUAUGAGCCCAUGCAUAUCUUGGUUUAAUGCCCAGCAGCACAAUCACUAGUCCAGCGGGCCAAUUCAUUUUAGGCCCAAGUCCAUGCUCCUUCUCUGCUUCGCCAAACUGAUUCAGGCCCAAGUCCAUGCUGCUUCUCUGCUUCGCGUACUACUGCAAAUAGGUUACACUGAAUCCAGCUGAUUAAUUAUAAAAAUUAAGUUGAAGGACAGAAUCGAACCCAAGCAACUGUUUUCUAAGUGCAGCUACACAACCACUUGGGCAAUUGUGACAUUGAGAAAAACUCCUAAAAUCUAGUAUUUGGAGCCAUCUUGGAGCUGGAAUAUUAAUUAAAUGGAGCCUAUUUUUCACAUUUUUUCCUGAGCGACACUUCGUGCUUAUGCACUAGGGGAGUAUUUCUAACCUUUCUUUGUAUAAUUUUUACUUUAUUCUUUUUGUAUUUUCAUAGAAUUUAUAUUAUUAUUAAUUUAUUCAUUGAGGACAAUGAACCAUUUAAGUGUGGGGAUGAGUUCUUAAUGAAUGGAAAAAAAAUCCAAAAAAAUUAUAUAUGAAAAAAAAAAUUAUUAGAAAAAUUAGAAAAAAAAUUGUAUAUUGCCAUGUCUUAAGUUUAGGAAAUUCAUGAUAGUUGCAUUAGAUUAGAGCAUGUAGUUUUUUUUAGUAAUUUUUUUUUAUUUUUAAUUUUUUAGUUUGCAUUUGCAUAAUUCAUGAAAGUAUAUAACACCAAGUUAAUUUCUUGUGAUGAGUUUAUUUGCAUAAUUUCUUGGCUAGUAGUCUUGAUCAUAUGUGAUGUCUUGCAUGCUUAGAAAUUGCUUGUGCGGAAAUUUUAAUUACACUAUAAAAUGCUCUAGAGAUGAGACUUAGGCUAGCUUAAUUCUUGAGUCUUUGCUAUGAGUCGGGCGUAGAAUUUUGACUAUUCCCUUCUGAGCUUAGAGUAUGUAAAUCUUAAGUUUUGGGAAGCUGUGGGAUGUAUAUGCCUUUCUGAAAAAAAGAAAAAAAAAUUGAAUAUUGCAAUAAAGUAUCGAGUACUCCUUUGAGAUCAGUGGGUGACAAUUUAAUGCCAUGUGAAGGGGACGAUCCAUGUACCUGUGCUGGUAUUAAGUGUAAUGGUAUUAGAAAUAAAAAAUUUCUUGGUGACUUUUCACAACCCUUGGUUACUGGAGAAUUGCUUGAUAGAAAAAAAAAAGGGAAAAAAGAAUAAGCUAGCGAAGUCUUAUGGUGGUCGUAACUCACUUACCCUGGGAAGCGUCCCGACCUUAGACCGAGCAUAGAAAAAAAAAGAAGAGAAAAAUAUAAGAGAGGCUAGGGGUGAUCGCGGUGCGGGCGGUGCGGUUUUUUGUUAAAACCGCGAACCAAACCGCGCAUGCGGUUUGGUUAAAAACUCAAACCGCAACCGCACCACGCUAGUAUAAAAACCGCGUAAACCGCACCACGAAAAUGCGGUGCGGUGCGUAGAGAUCAAUUNNNNNNNNNNNNNNNNNNNNNNNNNNNNNNNNNNNNNNNNNNNNNNNNNNNNNNNNNNNNNNNNNNNNNNNNNNNNNNNNNNNNNNNNNNNNNNNNNNNNNNNNNNNNNNNNNNNNNNNNNNNNNNNNNNNNNNNNNNNNNNNNNNNNNNNNNNNNNNNNNNNNNNNNNNNNNNNNNNNNNNNNNNNNNNNNNNNNNNNNNNNNNNNNNNNNNNNNNNNNNNNNNNNNNNNNNNNNNNNNNNNNNNNNNNNNNNNNNNNNNNNNNNNNNNNNNNNNNNNNNNNNNNNNNNNNNNNNNNNNNNNNNNNNNNNNNNNNNNNNNNNNNNNNNNNNNNNNNNNNNNNNNNNNNNNNNNNNNNNNNNNNNNNNNNNNNNNNNNNNNNNNNNNNNNNNNNNNNNNNNNNNNNNNNNNNNNNNNNNNNNNNNNNNNNNNNNNNNNNNNNNNNNNNNNNNNNNNNNNNNNNNNNNNNNNNNNNNNNNNNNNNNNNNNNNNNNNNNNNNNNNNNNNNNNNNNNNNNNNNNNNNNNNNNNNNNNNNNNNNNNNNNNNNNNNNNNNNNNNNNNNNNNNNNNNNNNNNNNNNNNNNNNNNNNNNNNNNNNNNNNNNNNNNNNNNNNNNNNNNNNNNNNNNNNNNNNNNNNNNNNNNNNNNNNNNNNNNNNNNNNNNNNNNNNNNNNNNNNNNNNNNNNNNNNNNNNNNNNNNNNNNNNNNNNNNNNNNNNNNNNNNNNNNNNNNNNNNNNNNNNNNNNNNNNNNNNNNNNNNNNNNNNNNNNNNNNNNNNNNNNNNNNNNNNNNNNNNNNNNNNNNNNNNNNNNNNNNNNNNNNNNNNNNNNNNNNNNNNNNNNNNNNNNNNNNNNNNNNNNNNNNNNNNNNNNNNNNNNNNNNNNNNNNNNNNNNNNNNNNNNNNNNNNNNNNNNNNNNNNNNNNNNNNNNNNNNNNNNNNNNNNNNNNNNNNNNNNNNNNNNNNNNNNNNNNNNNNNNNNNNNNNNNNNNNNNNNNNNNNNNNNNNNNNNNNNNNNNNNNNNNNNNNNNNNNNNNNNNNNNNNNNNNNNNNNNNNNNNNNNNNNNNNNNNNNNNNNNNNNNNNNNNNNNNNNNNNNNNNNNNNNNNNNNNNNNNNNNNNNNNNNNNNNNNNNNNNNNNNNNNNNNNNNNNNNNNNNNNNNNNNNNNNNNNNNNNNNNNNNNNNNNNNNNNNNNNNNNNNNNNNNNNNNNNNNNNNNNNNNNNNNNNNNNNNNNNNNNNNNNNNNNNNNNNNNNNNNNNNNNNNNNNNNNNNNNNNNNNNNNNNNNNNNNNNNNNNNNNNNNNNNNNNNNNNNNNNNNNNNNNNNNNNNNNNNNNNNNNNNNNNNNNNNNNNNNNNNNNNNNNNNNNNNNNNNNNNNNNNNNNNNNNNNNNNNNNNNNNNNNNNNNNNNNNNNNNNNNNNNNNNNNNNNNNNNNNNNNNNNNNNNNNNNNNNNNNNNNNNNNNNNNNNNNNNNNNNNNNNNNNNNNNNNNNNNNNNNNNNNNNNNNNNNNNNNNNNNNNNNNNNNNNNNNNNNNNNNNNNNNNNNNNNNNNNNNNNNNNNNNNNNNNNNNNNNNNNNNNNNNNNNNNNNNNNNNNNNNNNNNNNNNNNNNNNNNNNNNNNNNNNNNNNNNNNNNNNNNNNNNNNNNNNNNNNNNNNNNNNNNNNNNNNNNNNNNNNNNNNNNNNNNNNNNNNNNNNNNNNNNNNNNNNNNNNNNNNNNNNNNNNNNNNNNNNNNNNNNNNNNNNNNNNNNNNNNNNNNNNNNNNNNNNNNNNNNNNNNNNNNNNNNNNNNNNNNNNNNNNNNNNNNNNNNNNNNNNNNNNNNNNNNNNNNNNNNNNNNNNNNNNNNNNNNNNNNNNNNNNNNNNNNNNNNNNNNNNNNNNNNNNNNNNNNNNNNNNNNNNNNNNNNNNNNNNNNNNNNNNNNNNNNNNNNNNNNNNNNNNNNNNNNNNNNNNNNNNNNNNNNNNNNNNNNNNNNNNNNNNNNNNNNNNNNNNNNNNNNNNNNNNNNNNNNNNNNNNNNNNNNNNNNNNNNNNNNNNNNNNNNNNNNNNNNNNNNNNNNNNNNNNNNNNNNNNNNNNNNNNNNNNNNNNNNNNNNNNNNNNNNNNNNNNNNNNNNNNNNNNNNNNNNNNNNNNNNNNNNNNNNNNNNNNNNNNNNNNNNNNNNNNNNNNNNNNNNNNNNNNNNNNNNNNNNNNNNNNNNNNNNNNNNNNNNNNNNNNNNNNNNNNNNNNNNNNNNNNNNNNNNNNNNNNNNNNNNNNNNNNNNNNNNNNNNNNNNNNNNNNNNNNNNNNNNNNNNNNNNNNNNNNNNNNNNNNNNNNNNNNNNNNNNNNNNNNNNNNNNNNNNNNNNNNNNNNNNNNNNNNNNNNNNNNNNNNNNNNNNNNNNNNNNNNNNNNNNNNNNNNNNNNNNNNNNNNNNNNNNNNNNNNNNNNNNNNNNNNNNNNNNNNNNNNNNNNNNNNNNNNNNNNNNNNNNNNNNNNNNNNNNNNNNNNNNNNNNNNNNNNNNNNNNNNNNNNNNNNNNNNNNNNNNNNNNNNNNNNNNNNNNNNNNNNNNNNNNNNNNNNNNNNNNNNNNNNNNNNNNNNNNNNNNNNNNNNNNNNNNNNNNNNNNNNNNNNNNNNNNNNNNNNNNNNNNNNNNNNNNNNNNNNNNNNNNNNNNNNNNNNNNNNNNNNNNNNNNNNNNNNNNNNNNNNNNNNNNNNNNNNNNNNNNNNNNNNNNNNNNNNNNNNNNNNNNNNNNNNNNNNNNNNNNNNNNNNNNNNNNNNNNNNNNNNNNNNNNNNNNNNNNNNNNNNNNNNNNNNNNNNNNNNNNNNNNNNNNNNNNNNNNNNNNNNNNNNNNNNNNNNNNNNNNNNNNNNNNNNNNNNNNNNNNNNNNNNNNNNNNNNNNNNNNNNNNNNNNNNNNNNNNNNNNNNNNNNNNNNNNNNNNNNNNNNNNNNNNNNNNNNNNNNNNNNNNNNNNNNNNNNNNNNNNNNNNNNNNNNNNNNNNNNNNNNNNNNNNNNNNNNNNNNNNNNNNNNNNNNNNNNNNNNNNNNNNNNNNNNNNNNNNNNNNNNNNNNNNNNNNNNNNNNNNNNNNNNNNNNNNNNNNNNNNNNNNNNNNNNNNNNNNNNNNNNNNNNNNNNNNNNNNNNNNNNNNNNNNNNNNNNNNNNNNNNNNNNNNNNNNNNNNNNNNNNNNNNNNNNNNNNNNNNNNNNNNNNNNNNNNNNNNNNNNNNNNNNNNNNNNNNNNNNNNNNNNNNNNNNNNNNNNNNNNNNNNNNNNNNNNNNNNNNNNNNNNNNNNNNNNNNNNNNNNNNNNNNNNNNNNNNNNNNNNNNNNNNNNNNNNNNNNNNNNNNNNNNNNNNNNNNNNNNNNNNNNNNNNNNNNNNNNNNNNNNNNNNNNNNNNNNNNNNNNNNNNNNNNNNNNNNNNNNNNNNNNNNNNNNNNNNNNNNNNNNNNNNNNNNNNNNNNNNNNNNNNNNNNNNNNNNNNNNNNNNNNNNNNNNNNNNNNNNNNNNNNNNNNNNNNNNNNNNNNNNNNNNNNNNNNNNNNNNNNNNNNNNNNNNNNNNNNNNNNNNNNNNNNNNNNNNNNNNNNNNNNNNNNNNNNNNNNNNNNNNNNNNNNNNNNNNNNNNNNNNNNNNNNNNNNNNNNNNNNNNNNNNNNNNNNNNNNNNNNNNNNNNNNNNNNNNNNNNNNNNNNNNNNNNNNNNNNNNNNNNNNNNNNNNNNNNNNNNNNNNNNNNNNNNNNNNNNNNNNNNNNNNNNNNNNNNNNNNNNNNNNNNNNNNNNNNNNNNNNNNNNNNNNNNNNNNNNNNNNNNNNNNNNNNNNNNNNNNNNNNNNNNNNNNNNNNNNNNNNNNNNNNNNNNNNNNNNNNNNNNNNNNNNNNNNNNNNNNNNNNNNNNNNNNNNNNNNNNNNNNNNNNNNNNNNNNNNNNNNNNNNNNNNNNNNNNNNNNNNNNNNNNNNNNNNNNNNNNNNNNNNNNNNNNNNNNNNNNNNNNNNNNNNNNNNNNNNNNNNNNNNNNNNNNNNNNNNNNNNNNNNNNNNNNNNNNNNNNNNNNNNNNNNNNNNNNNNNNNNNNNNNNNNNNNNNNNNNNNNNNNNNNNNNNNNNNNNNNNNNNNNNNNNNNNNNNNNNNNNNNNNNNNNNNNNNNNNNNNNNNNNNNNNNNNNNNNNNNNNNNNNNNNNNNNNNNNNNNNNNNNNNNNNNNNNNNNNNNNNNNNNNNNNNNNNNNNNNNNNNNNNNNNNNNNNNNNNNNNNNNNNNNNNNNNNNNNNNNNNNNNNNNNNNNNNNNNNNNNNNNNNNNNNNNNNNNNNNNNNNNNNNNNNNNNNNNNNNNNNNNNNNNNNNNNNNNNNNNNNNNNNNNNNNNNNNNNNNNNNNNNNNNNNNNNNNNNNNNNNNNNNNNNNNNNNNNNNNNNNNNNNNNNNNNNNNNNNNNNNNNNNNNNNNNNNNNNNNNNNNNNNNNNNNNNNNNNNNNNNNNNNNNNNNNNNNNNNNNNNNNNNNNNNNNNNNNNNNNNNNNNNNNNNNNNNNNNNNNNNNNNNNNNNNNNNNNNNNNNNNNNNNNNNNNNNNNNNNNNNNNNNNNNNNNNNNNNNNNNNNNNNNNNNNNNNNNNNNNNNNNNNNNNNNNNNNNNNNNNNNNNNNNNNNNNNNNNNNNNNNNNNNNNNNNNNNNNNNNNNNNNNNNNNNNNNNNNNNNNNNNNNNNNNNNNNNNNNNNNNNNNNNNNNNNNNNNNNNNNNNNNNNNNNNNNNNNNNNNNNNNNNNNNNNNNNNNNNNNNNNNNNNNNNNNNNNNNNNNNNNNNNNNNNNNNNNNNNNNNNNNNNNNNNNNNNNNNNNNNNNNNNNNNNNNNNNNNNNNNNNNNNNNNNNNNNNNNNNNNNNNNNNNNNNNNNNNNNNNNNNNNNNNNNNNNNNNNNNNNNNNNNNNNNNNNNNNNNNNNNNNNNNNNNNNNNNNNNNNNNNNNNNNNNNNNNNNNNNNNNNNNNNNNNNNNNNNNNNNNNNNNNNNNNNNNNNNNNNNNNNNNNNNNNNNNNNNNNNNNNNNNNNNNNNNNNNNNNNNNNNNNNNNNNNNNNNNNNNNNNNNNNNNNNNNNNNNNNNNNNNNNNNNNNNNNNNNNNNNNNNNNNNNNNNNNNNNNNNNNNNNNNNNNNNNNNNNNNNNNNNNNNNNNNNNNNNNNNNNNNNNNNNNNNNNNNNNNNNNNNNNNNNNNNNNNNNNNNNNNNNNNNNNNNNNNNNNNNNNNNNNNNNNNNNNNNNNNNNNNNNNNNNNNNNNNNNNNNNNNNNNNNNNNNNNNNNNNNNNNNNNNNNNNNNNNNNNNNNNNNNNNNNNNNNNNNNNNNNNNNNNNNNNNNNNNNNNNNNNNNNNNNNNNNNNNAGAAGCUAGCUGAUCCGGGUAGUUACUCUAUUCCUGUGAAACUUGGUGAUGUUAAGAUCAAAAGAGCUCUAUGUGAUCUUGGGGCAAGUGUGAGUCUUAUGCCAUUGUCAAUCUGCAAAAAGCUUCAGAUGGGUGAGCUGAAACCCACACGUAUAUCUCUACAAUUGGCAGACAGGACUGUGAAAUUCCCUCUUGGUAUACUUGAAGAUGUUCCUCUCAAGGUAGGAAAAUUUUAUAUCCCAUGUGAUUUUGUUAUCAUGGAGAUGGAAGAAGAUGCAAAUAUUCCUAUCAUUCUUGGGAGACCAUUCUUAGCUACAGCUGGUGCUAUUAUCGACAUGAAAAGUGGAAGGAUUUCUUUUCAAGUGGGAGAGGAGAAGAUGGAAUUUCAGCUUCAGAACUCAAUGGGUCAUCCCUCCAUGGAUGAAUCUGUAAACAGGGUGGAUGCAUUAGAAGAAGCGAUCAACGUCAAAAUCAACACUUUAUCAUGUGAUGAUCCACUUCAAGCUGUUCUUGUGGGAGAAAAUGAUGUUGAAAAUUGGGAGUGUGCGGACUAUAUGAAACUUCUUGAUGCAACACCAACAGUCAUGCAACCUCAUCUCAAUGUACUAAGCCAUGAAGAUGUGAAGGAGAGUUCUACGCCUCCUCAGGUAGAACUAAAACCACUUCCUGCAUCUUUGAAAUAUGUGUUUAUGGGUCCUAAUAGUACAUAUCCUAUUAUUGUCAAUGCUGAGCUUGAUGACAAUCAAAUUGAGCGUUUGCUCAUGAUUUUAAAAACAUAUAAAAGUGUCAUCGGGUACACCAUUGAUGAUAUUAAGGGCAUCAACCCAUCUUUGUGCAUGCAUAAAAUCAUUCUUGAGGACGAGCAUGCCUCCUCUAGAGAACCUCAAAGGAGACUUAAUCCUAAUAUGAUGGAGGUAGUCAAAAAGGAGGUUUUAAAACUUCUUGAUGCAGGUAUAAUCUACCCUAUCUCUGAUAGUAAGUGGGUUAGCCCUGUACAAGUAGUUCCAAAGAAAGGAGGAAUGACCGUUGUCAAAAAUGAUAAGGGUGAGUUAAUUUCUACUAGAACUGUAACUGGGUGGCGUAUGUGUAUUGAUUAUCGCAAAUUGAAUAAAGCCACCAGAAAAGAUCAUUUUCCUCUCCCUUUUAUUGAUCAAAUGCUUGAAAGGUUGGCAAAACAUUCCUUUUUCUGUUAUUUGGAUGGAUAUUCAGGCUUCUUUCAAAUUCCCGUCCAUCCAAAUGAUCAGGAAAAGACGACCUUUACAUGUCCUUAUGGUACGUUUGCAUAUCGCAGACUACCAUUUGGAUUAUGUGGUGCUCCUCCAACCUUUCAACGUUGUAUGAUGGCAAUUUUCUCAGAUUUUAUUGAAAAUAUAAUGGAAGUUUUUAUGGAUGACUUCUCUGUUUACGGAACAUCUUUUGACAUCUGUUUGCAUAAUUUAGAAAAGGUGCUUCGUAAAUGUAAGGAAGUUAGUCUAGUUUUAAACUGGGAAAAAUGCCAUUUUAUGGUACAAGAGGGAGUUGUUUUGGGUCAUGUUGUCUCAAACAGAGGCAUCGAGGUCGAUAGAGCUAAGGUAGAGGUUGUCGAGCGCUUACCACCCCCAACCUCGGUGAAGGGUGUAAGAAGUUUUCUUGGUCAUGCGGGAUUUUAUCGCCGCUUUAUAAAAGAUUUUUCAAAAAUUGCUCGCCCUCUAACUGAGCUCUUAGGCAAAGAUGUCCCUUUUGUUUUUAAUGAUGCUUGUGUUGAGGCCUUUGACAGGUUAAAGAAAGCUCUUAUCUCUGCUCCAAUCAUACAACCACCAGAUUGGAAUUUGCCAUUUGAAAUCAUGUGUGAUGCUAGUGAUCAAGCUAUUGGUGCGGUCUUAGGACAAAGGAAGGAUGGAAAGCUUCAUGCCAUAUAUUAUACAAGCAAGACCCUAGAUGGAGCUCAAAUGAAUUAUGCAACAACGGAAAAGGAAUUGCUAGCAGUGGUGUAUGCUAUGGAAAAAUUUCGGUCAUAUCUUGUUGGCUCGAAAGUUAUCGUUCACACUGACCAUGCAGCACUGAAAUACUUGAUGAACAAGAAGGAUGCAAAGCCUCGCUUGAUUCGUUGGAUUCUACUUCUUCAAGAAUUUGACUUAGAAAUUAAAGAUAAGAAAGGGGCUGAGAACGUAGUUGCUGAUCAUCUUUCGCGUCUUGUUCUUGAUGGUGAUUGUACAAAAGACCCUCCAGUUGAUGAUUCAUUUCCUGAUGAUCAUCUAUUUUCUCUUGCAAGGAUAGAUGUUCCUUGGUUUGCUGAUAUAGCUAAUUAUUUGGCUAGUGGUACCAUUCCUCAUGGGUAUUCAUCUCAGCAGAAGAAGAAGUUCUUCUAUGAUGUGAGGAAGCACUUUUGGGAUGAUCCCUUUCUCUAUAAAUCUUGUGCAGAUGGUGUCAUUAGAAGAUGUGUUCCAGAAAGUGAGAUUUCCUCUAUAAUCUCACAUUGUCACGAUUCACCAUGUGGAGGCCAUGCUAGUACUACUAAAACUGCUGCAAAGAUUCUUCAAUGCGGUUUUUACUGGCUAAAUCUCUUUAAAGAUGUUCAUCUCUAUGUUCACUCAUGUGAUCGUUGUCAAAGAACUGGAAAUAUCUCGAGGAGAAAUGAGAUGCCUCUAAACAACAUACUCGAAGUGGAACCUUUUGAUGUUUGGGGAGUUGACUUCAUGGGACCAUUCCCGUCAUCUUUUGGGAACAAAUACAUCUUACUCGCUGUUGACUAUGUUUCUAAGUGGGUUGAAGCCAUUGCAACUCCCACUAAUGAUGCCCGUGUUGUGAGCAAAUUCUUCAAGAAGACAAUUUUCCCUAGAUUUGGAGUGCCAAGGAUUCUAAUUAGUGAUGGAGGAAAGCAUUUUCUUGAAAAUCGCUUUGAAGCUAUGUUGAAAAAAUAUGGAGUACAUCAUAAGGUAGGCCUUUCCUAUCAUCCUCAAACUAGUGGUCAAGUUGAGAUCUCUAACCGCGAAAUUAAGACCAUCUUGGAGAAGACGGUUGCAAAAUCAAGGAAAGAUUGGUCUAUGAAACUUGAUGAUGCACUUUGGGCGUAUAGGACUGCAUUUAAAACUCCUAUUGGGACAACUCCGUAUAGACUAGUUUAUGGGAAACUUGUCAUCUUCCAGUUGAGUUAGAACAUCGUGCAUUUUGGGCCAUUAAAAGCUUAAAUUUUGAUCCACUGGCAGCUGGUGAGAAAAGACUUCUUCAACUUAAUGAGCUAGACGAGCUUCGUUUUGAGGCUUAUGAAAGUUCUAAGCUCUACAAGGAGAAGACAAAAAGAUGGCAUGACAAGGGUCUAUUGCGCAGGGAAUUUAAUGAAGGUGAUUUGGUUCUUUUGUUUAAUUCAAGAUUGAAACUCUUUCCUGGUAAGCUUCGUUCCAGGUGGUCUGGCCCAUUUAAAAUUCGAAAAGUUUAUCCAUAUGGUUCCAUUGAAUUAUGGAAUACAACUGGUGGGACUUUUAAGGUGAACGGCCAAAGAGUAAAACAUUACAAAGCUGGUGAGCCAAUUGAUGAGAAGGUGGAGAUUCUGCUUUCUGCCCCUUCGUCAGAAUAAUUCUUGAGGAGGUCGAGUUAAAGACCUUAAAAAAGCGCUUCUUGGGAGGCAACCCAUGAUUUUAAGGUUAGUAAUAUUUAUUCUAAUUUUUGUAUUUUUUUUAGAUUAGAAAUUUUUAUUUGUAUUUUAUAUUUUACUCCCAUAAGAUGCCUUGAUAAUUUUUGUGUGAAGUGUUUCAGAAAAGAGAGAAUUUACAUAAUAAAAAAAAAGAGCGCAGAACCUCAAGAUGGCCGUUCAGCAUUUGUAAGUUGGGCGUCCUCCUACGGUCUUUUUCUUGCGCGCUACACUGAUAUUACAGUAGCUGAAGACGAGCGUUUUGUUUUAUGUGAACGGGCGUUUUCUUCUACUGUCCAACACAUAUUUUUUGCGCUUGUUAACUCUACUCAGCCGGUGUCCAAUUCAAGUGUAUGAGCCCAUGCAUAUCUUGGUUUAAUGCCCAGCAGCACAAUCACUAGUCCAGCGGGCCAAUUCAUUUUAGGCCCAAGUCCAUGCUCCUUCUCUGCUUCGCCAAACUGAUUCAGGCCCAAGUCCAUGCUGCUUCUCUGCUUCGCGUACUACUGCAAAUAGGUUACACUGAAUCCAGCUGAUUAAUUAUAAAAAUUAAGUUGAAGGACAGAAUCGAACCCAAGCAACUGUUUUCUAAGUGCAGCUACACAACCACUUGGGCAAUUGUGACAUUGAGAAAAACUCCUAAAAUCUAGUAUUUGGAGCCAUCUUGGAGCUGGAAUAUUAAUUAAAUGGAGCCUAUUUUUCACAUUUUUUCCUGAGCGACACUUCGUGCUUAUGCACUAGGGGAGUAUUUCUAACCUUUCUUUGUAUAAUUUUUACUUUAUUCUUUUUGUAUUUUCAUAGAAUUUAUAUUAUUAUUAAUUUAUUCAUUGAGGACAAUGAACCAUUUAAGUGUGGGGAUGAGUUCUUAAUGAAUGGAAAAAAAAUCCAAAAAAAUUAUAUAUGAAAAAAAAAAUUAUUAGAAAAAUUAGAAAAAAAAUUGUAUAUUGCCAUGUCUUAAGUUUAGGAAAUUCAUGAUAGUUGCAUUAGAUUAGAGCAUGUAGUUUUUUUUAGUAAUUUUUUUUUAUUUUUAAUUUUUUAGUUUGCAUUUGCAUAAUUCAUGAAAGUAUAUAACACCAAGUUAAUUUCUUGUGAUGAGUUUAUUUGCAUAAUUUCUUGGCUAGUAGUCUUGAUCAUAUGUGAUGUCUUGCAUGCUUAGAAAUUGCUUGUGCGGAAAUUUUAAUUACACUAUAAAAUGCUCUAGAGAUGAGACUUAGGCUAGCUUAAUUCUUGAGUCUUUGCUAUGAGUCGGGCGUAGAAUUUUGACUAUUCCCUUCUGAGCUUAGAGUAUGUAAAUCUUAAGUUUUGGGAAGCUGUGGGAUGUAUAUGCCUUUCUGAAAAAAAGAAAAAAAAAUUGAAUAUUGCAAUAAAGUAUCGAGUACUCCUUUGAGAUCAGUGGGUGACAAUUUAAUGCCAUGUGAAGGGGACGAUCCAUGUACCUGUGCUGGUAUUAAGUGUAAUGGUAUUAGAAAUAAAAAAUUUCUUGGUGACUUUUCACAACCCUUGGUUACUGGAGAAUUGCUUGAUAGAAAAAAAAAAGGGAAAAAAGAAUAAGCUAGCGAAGUCUUAUGGUGGUCGUAACUCACUUACCCUGGGAAGCGUCCCGACCUUAGACCGAGCAUAGAAAAAAAAAGAAGAGAAAAAUAUAAGAGAGGCUAGGGGUGAUCGCGGUGCGGGCGGUGCGGUUUUUUGUUAAAACCGCGAACCAAACCGCGCAUGCGGUUUGGUUAAAAACUCAAACCGCAACCGCACCACGCUAGUAUAAAAACCGCGUAAACCGCACCACGAAAAUGCGGUGCGGUGCGGUUUGUACGCUUAAGAAUAAAUAUUUUAAGUUGAAGUUCGAAAUAAAAUUUAAAUAUAUAAUAAUUAAAAUUUUUUUCUUGUAAUGAAUUUAUAUGAUAUUUAUCAUUUCAAAACUACAACUACUAAAAAACACAAUCAAAAAUGUAAAUAUGAGUACUAAUUACAAAGAGACAUAUUAUAAUAAUAUAAUCAUUUUAUACAAAUUUGGUAUAAUAGUAAUGCGAGAUUGAUAAAAUAAUAAUUAACUAUUAUUUGAAAAGAUUUAACAAAUACAUGUAACAUAAUUAUAAAUAAUAUAUAUUAAUAUAAUAUAAUAUUAUUUGACACACACUAAUAUAUAUAUACACACACUAAUAUAUAUAUAUAUAUAUAUAUAUAAAAUAUAUAUUUUAUAAUAUCGCGGUGCGGUGCGGUUUAAACCGCACUACUAAUAUGUCAAACCGCAACCCGCACCGCACCGCGCGGUUUGUGAAAAGUUCAAACCGCAACCGCACCACAAAAAUUAAAAACCGCGUUUUGUGGUGCGGUUUGGUGCGGUGCGGGCGGUUUAUGCGGUUUGGGCGGUUUUCUGAUCACCCCUAAGAGAGGCAUAUUCCUUGGUGACCCUAGGCUAUAUAGUUGACUCUAAUGUAACGAAGUGUUUAAGCUUAGUUCUGAUUAACGGCUCAUGGUUAAGACUCUAUUGAAGUUUGUUGGUCUCUGUUUUGUUUCAUUAGAGAGCAUGCUAAGCACACACGAUACAGUCCGUACUUGUAGUGGAUGAGUUGCAUGACUAACAUGUGAGACAGAUGAAUGCCUUGAAUGUUGCCUAUUCUGAAGAUUAUAUGUUGACGAGGUUAAUGCUUUCAUGAUUGUAUAUGCAUAUUCUUUUAGUUGCAUUCAUAUUAGUUGCAUUCUUGAGACUUGGUAGAAAAUAUUGGAUUUUGUGGGUAUAUCUUCUACAAACCCUCACGAGACAAAACUCGUCCUACUAGGGCUGCCUAGGGGUUUAACGGCUUGUUGCAUGCGCUCAAUGCAAUCAUGUCAUCUACGAAAAUGAUGGUAGUUAGUUAUAGAUAUUUUAGUUCGCUUACUUGUCCGAGGACGUGCAAAUGCUUAGUGUGGGGAUAUUUUGAUAGAAUAUAUUUUAUAUAUAUUCUAGAUGAUUUUAUUCUCAUAUUUAAUUGUAUUUUGCAUUGAUUUGGAUAUUUAUUUAAUAGAUUUUAAUGUUUUUAUUGUAGAGUGCAAGGAAUUCCUAAAGUUGGAAGGAAUUGAAGAAAUAAAGCUUAAUUGGACUCAAAUUUGGAUGGAAAUUCGGAUUUAUUGGGCUACACGUAUUAUUUCGCUGUUUGGGCCAUAUCUGGAGUUCCGUACAUCAGAUUUUGACGAUCUUACAGCCCACGCGAAGCUUAGAGAAUUUUCUUUAAUUCAGAGAUGGUCCAAUAUCCAAAACCCAACUGGAAAAGCCCAGAAACUGUGGAGAAAACAGACCUGCGAAUUUUAGUUACAGACUCCUAUUCGGUUUCGGAGACUGCCUUGUAAUUUCAUAAAAGCAUUAAAAUACUUUUAUUCUAGAGAUCAAUUAGUUUUUAUUAGAGAUACAUACAUAGAGAUAGAGAGAGAAGAGAGGAGACUUUUACUUUUCUUCUUGUUCAAGAUUUGAAGCUUGAAGGUUGUUUCUCUAUUCUCAAUAAUAGUUAAAUUAUGUGUUUUUAUUAUAACUUGUGUUUUGUUAGUUUAAUUAUGAGUGAGUAGAUUUAUAAUCCGGGGUUAAGUUGAACCCUAGCUAUGAUAGAUGCAUGAUUCCCCCAACCCCAAAUUGAUUAUUUAAUUGCUCUUGCUUAUUGAGUUGUGUUAAUUAGCAAUUGCAUGUCAGGUAUGAUUAUGUGAUUUGUUCGAACCAAUAUCUAUUUACCAUCGGAAGUUGGAUUUAGAUGGUUGUGAUUUAUCCAAUAAGGACAUGAAAUUCUCCAUGGAAAUAGGUAGAAUGAAUUGUUAGAAAGCCAGGAUGCUGUGUUUAAUGUCUCUAAAUUGCAUGAUACCAUGGAAAUAGGCUUGAUUGUAUAUUUAGAGAAGCUAUUAAUACUCGGAAGAGAUUAAUGGUAUUUUAUAGGGCGCAUCUUUCCUCUUGAGUAUUAUAUCUGAUUUUUUUUUUGUCAGGGUCUACAUGCUCGUAGAUGAGUUGUAUCAUAGAUACAAUAGCCGCAUCAGGGAUUUCUUUGAUCUAAAAAAGUUUAUCAUCUAACCGAAAGAUACGCAAAGAUAUCUCCGGACGUUUAGAUAAUAAGACUUUAAAGACUCAUAAGAAAACCCAUAAGGUCUUUUUCCAUGAUCCUGAAAAUCAAAGUAAACAAAGAGAAACAUAAGAAUGAUAAUAUAAGAAAAAAGUAAAAAUUGUGGAAAAAUAAACGAAUUAUAACAUAUAAUUCCUCACAAAAAACAUAACAUCUUAUUCAAAAAAAUAAGAAAUAUUAGAACUUAUAAAGAAAGUGAUAUAAAUGCGAAAAGAUUAAAAAGUCUAACCAAAGUGAAAACUUUGGUUAGACACAAAGUAUUAAAAUAUUCUUGUGAAACAAUAAUAGCAAAAACAAGUCUCGUAAACUAAGUAUAAAUACAAUAGCCUCUCAAAUACGAAAGAUUCGGGAAUAAAUGGAUUUUAAAGCAUCUAUAUUAGCAAGAUCGAUAAUUACUCCUAAAAUAUUGUUUAUUGAAUGUGAUCAUAUCAAGUCUAACUUAAUUUUAUUAUUAAACCUUCCUAAAAUGAGAGCCUACUCUAUGCUUUAAAAAACCUGAUAUGACUCCUAUAAACUUUUUAUAUUUUUAUAAUCCAUCAAUCUAUUCAAUCCUAGUCCGUUUCAUUAAACUAAUUAUGGUAAAAAUUGAAUGUAUUGACUCCUAAAUAAUGAUUUUUAAGUUAUCCUAAUUAAAUAUCUACCGUUAUACACCCUCCUUCCACUAACCAGAUCUUAACCUAGGUAAAACUUAUAUGCUAUAACAUAUAACAUAUCCACACAUAUGCAGCUUACUGGUUCCAUCAACCAGACCCCGUAAAGGUACCAGACCCCAUUAAGGUACCGAAUUCCUCAUAAUAGGAAACAAACAAACCAUUCUUAAUAGCCUGCGCAACUCAUAUGUUAUGAAACUUCAUCCAUCCACCGGAAAUUGUUGCACACCUUCGAACUGUAGGAUACCUUUGAAAAGCUAACAGAUAAUAACACGUUAUAGACAACACUAAAAACAUCUGAUCUAAGUCAAGAAACUACCAAAACAUCACUGAAAAACAGUCAAUUCAAAAUCCACAGUUAAACCCACUCACACAAGCGAAAAAACAAUUGCCCACAAUACAAUGAUAGAAAAUACUGCUCCCCAAAUAACAGAUCCCAGACAAAAUAUUACCAAGUAAACCAUGCAGUUGACUUCAAAUUACAGCAUAGUCUCAUAAAAACCAAGAGAACACUUAAAACAAUAACAAACAAAGAGGGUAUUUGCACAAAUCAAUUAACAAGAAGAAUAAUCAAUCAAGUACUGACAUCAAAAAUUCCAAUCCCUGAUAUCCUUUCUCAUUGCGACAUUUGAUCGAACAUAUGGCAGGCAAUAGAGAAAGACACACAUAAGUCGAAAUACAGAUAAGUUUCAAGUUACCUGACAAGACUAUACAAAUAAUGAAGCAAUCUCUUACUUGGUUUUGACCAUACAAAACUUAUCUCUCUGUCUCGGGCUGAGACCUCCUCCGUUGCCGUUCUCGACGGCGAGGAUUCCGUCAGCUCCAGAUUCGAACACAUCAGCUUAUCCGAGUAUUAUAUCUGAUUAGUUGGGGUUGGGAGUCGUAAUUGCAUUGAUUCAUGCUAGUGGGGAUACUUAAUUCUGGAUGUUUUUAGUUAUUUGAUAAAAUCCUUAAUUGCUCUAAUAUAAUUAGUUUAAUAAAUCUCAAAAAUAUUAUUGUGUUCCUUGCUUAGUUAAAAUUGGUCAGAAAUAACUAGUGUUUGACACAUUUGUCUCUGUGGGAUCGACUCUGACUUGCCCUGCUACAUUGUUAGGAGGAAUUGUUAGAAUUAUUAUUUGAUAGGUAUACGACAGCCUUGUCAUACGUGUUCCAGAACUGAUACACGAAACCGAAACAGUUCGGGUUUGGAUUUAGAGUUCAGUACAUGAAAACACGAAAGUACACGACACGAACUGUUUGCCAGGUCUACAUAUGAUGCUUAUGUGAAGGUCAAUGCUACUAGUUUCAAAACUGAUGUAGGUUGGAUUGGUCGAGAUGUCAUUGUAAUACUUGAAUACUUGUUUAGCUCAUUCUUUGUUUCACAUAGUUUUGGAGUUUGUCCCGACUAGGUUCCGAUAUUUUUUUGUUAAAUAUUUUAUGUUAAUAAAAUCAUUUAUUUGUCCAAGAAAAAGGAACAGAAACAAAAAACUUCAAAAAAUGUAUCUUCAACUAUUUUUGUCGGUUACAAUGUCAUCAAAAACAAUUUAUUUAUUUUAGGCAUUUCAACUGCAAAAUCAUUUUAAACUAUCCUAUAACAUUCGCAAUAUGCAAUUGUUCCCUUGUUGAAAGCUAAUGAUCAUACGUCAAAAAAUAACAAUCUUUUAAAAAUAUAUUCAAUAUACAAUUUUUGUUUUGAAAAUACGGUGUGUAAUCUCGAAUGCACUCUCAAUUGCAACUUUUACAAAUUAAAAAACUAAUAUAAUUUGAUCAAAAUUACAAUCUUAUAUAUAAUUUUAACCAUAUUUUUGAAAAUAAAUUUUAAAAUAUAAAUAACUUCACAGAUUUAACUCCUGAUUAUUAAUCGAGUAAAUAUUUUAAAUUCGUCGGCUUUUUUUAGUUCCUAACCAUUAAAAAUAAGGGGUUGGAGUUUGAUCUCAUUCUUUGAAUAUAAUAAUUCUAUGAGCUAUUGAAUACAGAAGAUUAAUUAAUCAAUAUAAUACUCCGUGAGCAAUUGUGAAGCUAAACACAUGAAAAACAUAGAGAUACAAGAAUCAGUAAUGUUUGUUGCACUAUGACUUAUUAGUACCACUGAUUCGCUGUAUACCAAUCUUCGAUACAAUAAGUCUAAAUCUAUCUCUUCAUCUAUAUGCAUAUAUUCCAAAUGUGCGGGUAUGUAUAAUAAUAAUAAUAAUAAUAAUAAUAAUAAUAAUAAUAAUAAUAAUAAUAAUAAUAAUAAUANNNNNNNNNNNNNNNNNNNNNNNNNNNNNNNNNNNNNNNNNNNNNNNNNNNNNNNNNGUGCAAUUAGAUGCCAAAAUUGCACCUACCGUUGCUUCUUGUGAAAUUUGUGGGGUACAAGGGCACAAUCAACAUGCUUGUCAAAACAAUUUACCUGAUGCAACUAUGGAGCAAGCAAAUGCCCUUUAUAAUCAAAAUCAAAGGCAACAGUAUAAUCCUUAUUCCAACACGUACAACCCAGGUUGGAGGGACCAUCCAAAUUUCUCUUACAAGAACAAUCAGGCGAACCCUCCGCAAAAUAACUUUUCUCAUCCACCAGGUUUUCAACAGGGAUCAUCUCAGAAUGCAACAGCUCAACCACCGAAAUCUAAUUUGGAAUCUCUCUUAGAGGGAUUUAUGGUUUCACAGACACAGAUCAAUCGGGAUAUGCAAGCUCAAAACAGAAUGCUAGAAACUUCAGUGGCUCAAAUGGCUCUACAAUUGAAUCAACUUACAAAGUCCCAAGGCCAACUUCCUGGCCAAACUGAACAACCACCAAAAGGUCAUAUCAAUGCUGUAACUUUAAGGAGUGGCAAGGAAUUGCAAGAGCCAGAGUUAAGAGUGAACAAAAGCACUGUGGAUGCUCAAGAAGAUGGUGAGGGAAGUAUGUCUGAAAUUGUCACAGAGAAAAAGGCAUUGGAAGAAGAAAAGAAAGAACCUGUUGUUCCUAUUACACCAUAUGUGCCACCAGUUCCUUUCCCACAAAGGUUGGCAAAAGCUAAGCUAGAGAAGAAGUACGGUAAAUUUCUUGACAUACUACAGAAGUUGCAUAUUAACAUUCCAUUCAUGGAUGCUAUAGUUGAAAUGCCUUCUUAUGCAAAGUUCCUUAAAGAUAUUCUCCUCCGACUACUAACAUUUUAUCGAACAAAACAUACACGAUAUGUCCCCAUAUAUUCUCGUUAAAUUUAGAAAAGUCAUGAUACUACGAAAUAUAUCAACAAAAAAUAAGUCAUACAAAUAAUUUUGGUUACUAUUGUUGUAUGAUAAUUUUAAAUCUGAUGAUACUGAUAAGAUAAAUAAAAUAUCCAAUCAUUAAAAAAUAUAAAUUCAUUAUCUUUUUUCUUCUCCAUUGAAUACAAAAUGAUACUACUUUUGCUAAUAAAGAAAACCGUACUGAGUCCUCAAUUGGUCCCCACAAAAUCUUCACCCAAAAAACUUGCCAGCAUGUCAUCAUCAAAAUCAAACCCACUUUUCCUACCAUCCAUCUGACCAUCCCCUUCACUCACACUCUCACGUGCCACCACAACCUUAUCACGCGCGCCGCCGUGUUCCAUUAUUCCACUCUUCCCACUAUCAAAACAAAGACAACCUAAGUCAACACUUGCCAUGACCGACGAGUUAGCGUCAGAAAAGGAGGACCCACAUGACUCAUCACCGUUACUAUUUAUAGUAAUGUAUGACGCCGACGCCUGAAAUAUCUUCGGCGAGCUAAACGGCGUGGAUGAGAUUUUCAGUUUGAAGGGAGGUGGAGCAACGAACUCGGUUUCGAAGAUCUUAUAGAGCUCAAUGGCUGAGUCAUCGUCCAUGUUGAGCCAUGCCAGCAAGUCUCCGUCGUCUUCUUCUUGCUUCACCAGAGUUUUUGGUCGUUUUUCGACGAAGGUAUCUUGUUCUUCGGCACCUUCUGGAGAUGAAAAUCCACGUUUGGUUCUUGCUGUUUGCUCCAUCAUUUGAAACAAAAUGAGAGAAUGUGUUGUUAUGUGUGUGGCUGCCAACACUAUUUUACUAUUUAUAUGAAAAAAUUGACUGCAGAAAUGGAAAAGUGAAUGCAAAUGGGAUUGAAGAGGAACAUAUUAAUCAAAAUAGAUUUUAAAUUUUAGGAUAUUCCUAUAGUGAAUAGAGCUUUUUUUUUCCCAAUUCAUUGCAUCAAGGUAGAUAUACACAGUCUGUCUGUUUGUAACUGAGUCAUUGAUUGAAUGUAGAAGAAAUCCGGUCAGAAUAGAAUGAGAUAUGCGAGAAAUUUAUGUAUUUAGAUGCACGAGUCAUUGAUCAUUUAUGAAGAAAUUCAGUCUGGAUCGAAUAUGAUAUACGAAAAAAUUUCCGUUUUAUGAAUUGAUUAAAAAUAUACUGAGUUUUCAUAUGAUCGAAAAUGAAUAAUUAAUCAUAUUGAGAAAAAGUUGAACGCGAAAAGAAAAGAAAGAUAUAUUCAUGUAAUCAACAUUUUACCAAAGUGAAAAAAUAUUUCUUAACUCAGAUAACUAGAUUGUUUUGGAUUGGAAAUGUUUUGGUUUAGAUGUAUAUUUGUCAUAAUAUAUUUUAUUACGAUCUGAUUCGAAUCGACAAUUUAGUUCAUGUCUAAUUUCUGUUUUAGAUAAUUUGUAUUCAAUUUGAUUUGGAUUCGGUUCAUUCCGGUUCGAGUUAAAUUUAGGAAGAAAAUGAUAAAUUUUUAAUUAAGAUCAUAUCAAAUUCAAAUUUUAGUUCUAAUCUGGAUUUUCUUAUUCUGAAUAAAUUUAAUUUAAACAAAAAAAUUGGUUCCUGUUAAUAUUGUAGUAAUCUUAAUUUAUCGUCAAACAAUGUUAGUAUUGCAUAUAAUCUCGAUACACUUGCCUCAUUUCAAAUGAUUAUAAUUCGAUUUAGUAUUAUUUGAAGUUUUAAUAUCGGCAAGUGCAUAUAAUUUUAUUUUGACAAACAUAUAACAAUAUCGCAUUGGAUUCUAGUUUGUAGAAUAACAUUGAUUUCUAUUUUUUAAAGUGUUAUAUGUUGGUCAAAAUAAAAUUAAAACUUCAAAUAAUACUAAAUCGAAUUAUAAUUUUAGCUAAUAUAUAUAUAUAUAUAUAGUAUAUAUAUAUAUAUAUAUAUAUAUAUAUAUAUAUAUAUAUAUACAUAGACAAAAGUUAUUUGGAGUACUAUAAUUAUUUGGAGUCUUGGAGUCCAAAUCUAAGCCCUCCAUUCUAAAAUGAUCCGACGGAUGGUAGUUUUAUUGUUUUGUUUUUAUGAAAAUAUUUUAUUUUUAAUUUCUUUCAAGCAGCGGCAAAGUGUGUUAUGUUUGUAUUGUUUCUGCGGACACUGCGAGUCAGUCGGCGGUUACAACAAGAUGAGAGUUUUACGGAGUUCAGUAUGCAAUCGUGUCCUGCAGUUGUUCUAUCAAUUUCUAAUAUCUUUUUCACCCUUUCGUCCAUGUAGUAGCAGCUUCGAUAAAAGCGUGCAUCUGCAGGACAUUACUAUAAUUUGCAAGACACACGUUAUGUGGAACAUCAAGAACAAGAAAACGAAUUUAAAUUUUCAAUAAACUAACUCAAAACAAAAUACCCAAAUGUGCCCGGUCUUAAAUGUUCUACCCUAACAUAACAAUUUUUAUACGAUUACCCAUUGAUGCUCGUAGAACUCUGAAUCACUGUAUACUCUCUUACAAAGCCCAUUAAAAUCACACCCUCAAUCCCCCCACCAAUUUCUAAAUAAGCCCCAAAAAAGAAGCAGAUGGUCACGAUUGCUUCGAGGCGCGAAACGCAGGACUACCCAUUGAAGUACAAUGCUGCGAUCAUACAGUACUGGUAUGAUAGUGCUCGAAAAUUCGGCAUGCAAACCAAAAGUGAAGAACAUAAAAGAUGGGGAGAAUGGUGAGUACUUGAACUCAUAAUGCCGAAAUCGUCCUGCAAAAAACUACUGAGUUGUUGAAUGAGGUCCGUGGAGUCCCGCACCUCGAUUUUAUCCCAGCGAAAAUCAAGCCCUGGGAGGAUGCGGGAUAUGGGUUGGAAUUAGCGUUUAAAAUUGUAUAAAACUGAUUUUGUAGUAUUUUGCUCCAUUAAAUAUCAGCCGCAGGAUUUUUUAAGAUCUAACGGUAGAUCUUAAGGACUCCAAAUUCUCACUAAUUUUAGUACCCCACAGAUCUCCACUCAUAUAUAUAUAUAUAUAUAUAUAUAUAUAUAUAUUUAUAUACAUAUAUAUAUAUAUAUAUAUAUAUAUAUAUAUAUAUAUAUAUAAAGUGAUCAAAUAGAAACCAAUUUUAUUCUAUAAACUAGAAACCACUCCUUCGAUACUCACUAUUUUAUGCAGUGAAAUCAUCAGUUAUUAUCUUUGAUAAUUGAGAAUAUUUACUUAUAAUUAAUAUUGGUGGUCAAUUACCGACGAUCAAUUAUAGUUGUAGGAGGUAGCAAAUGACCGGAUGAGGUUUGUGCUGGUGGUAGAUAGUCGUUGGUGGUGGUAAGUUAUGAUGACAAAGGGUGAUAGACAAAUCAUGGUUGUUGGUGAUAGCGGGGUUAGUGGAAAGGGUUGAUAAAGAAGCUAGGAGCUUCAUCAAUUCCGUAUGAUUGAAGAUGAUGAUGAUAGACGUUGCAUAUAUGUGUUUUUUAUAUAUUUAUAUUUGUCAGAUUUUGCAUAUAUAAAAUAGUGAGUUUUGAUAUACAAAUGAGUAAUUUAUGUAGUUAAGAACAGCGAUGAAAAACUGUCCAGGGACUAGUUUCCAAGCUAAUUUAGUUUCUGGUGGAAUAAACCCACACACACAGAUAUAUAUAUAUAUAUAUAUAUAUAUAUAUAUAUAUAUAUAUAUAUAUAUAUAUAUAUAUAUAUAUAUAUAUUACACAUAAUUUAUAUAAUUAUUUAUAUAUAAUAUGUAAUGAACAAAGUGAAAUGGAGGCAAUUUUGGCGGAAAAAAAAAGGUAUAAUGGAGGCAAGGUAGGUUACCUGGAAGUGGGGUUGAAGUGUGCUGAGGUUAUUUUGUUAAAAUUAUUUUGUCCGAACGUGUUCCUCCACCGAACACUUUUUUUUUAGCAUCACUACAGUUGAGUCGCUAAUCUUCUUCUAUCAUGAUACCUACAAAAUAUAUAAGUUUUAUUAUUAAUCCAAUCUUGUUUAAAUUCGAUAAUAUAAUAAUGUAGUUCAUUAUUAAAUUUGAAGUCUAUAUUGAAUCAACAUAUAUUCUCUAUUAUUUCAAUUCAGAAGUAUGUUUCUUAUAUAUAUUUAUUGCGAUUUUAAAAUCAAAACCGAAAUGAAUGAAACUGAACCGAAAUUUUUCGAAGCCGAAACUUAUCCGGUGGUUCGGUUGCAGUUUUUAAUUUUAAAAAUUGAAUAUUUGCGAUUUCGAUUACAGUUUUACUCUAAAACCGCACCCAUCCCAUGAUUAUAUGUUUGGUGGGGUGGUAAAGAAGUACUGCUAUAAUUACAUUUACUGAUUUACCAACAAACUUUGCUUUAUUAUUCUAGAAAAAAGAUGAAAAGUACUUGUAAUUAUAGUGAAAGAUGAAGUACUCUUUUAUUUCUCGAGGCAGAAGAAAUGGUACAGAGACACCGGGAUACAGAGAUUUAGCAUCAUCUUUUGCUGACCCUGUCAUUCUUAUCAUUAUCCUCAUUGCCAAAAUUAGUAUACGAACUUAUUCUGGAAAAUGUAUUUAUAAUUUCCACAAGAAUCCGGAAAUGAAACCAAAUUUUUUAUUUCUGUGUAAUUGGGAUAAAUUUUUUUCGGUUUGGAUUUUUAAUUUUUUUUGGCUUGAAUUGUUUUGCUUAUCCUUGCUAUCAAACUCAGGGUCCGGUGCCGAAUGAGAACUGAGAAACACUGUAAGAAUAGGAAUGCGGGUGGAGUCACGCUGUUUUUCAAACAGCAAUAAGGAUAACUAGUUAUUUAGGCUAUACUUCUCAUUGCGAUAGUUGCUCUGUAUCUCGAAAUCUUAACAUAAAUAACCAUGCACUACACAUUCAAAUUCCACCCAUUAUCACAGUGCUCAACAUUCAAAUUGCGAUAUCAAAAACCAGCAGUCACUUACCAGCUCAUUCUUCCCUACAUCUCCAUAAACUAAUGCAAUAACAGAGUCUAAAGCUAAAUUAGCUACAUCAAAUUUUAGGGGACUUGGAAGUACACUCCACCACAUGAGCUUUAUACUGCUCAAGCUCAGCCAGAACCUCCUCCUCUGGUCUGUAAAUCAAGUCACUCAUGCGCCAUAUCUGUACUCGUGCACAAAUUCACCAUAUUACCAAAUACUGCAGAAUAAGAGUGUCAAUAUACAUGUGGUGUAUUAUGUCAUACCUGUAGUGUACCACCUCCAUUAGAGGUGUCAACGUCGUCAGAUACACUGACGACUGUCCAUGGGUCCGACGCAUUCCAAUGGAAGUCAACAACUUUAUCUCUGGUUAGAACAAGUGCUUACAUGAGCUCCACAAAAUAUUUAAAUUUCAAAAAGAAUUAAGCAAAAGGUGGUGUCACCUUGCAAAAAAACUAGUCCAACUAAAUUUUGCACAAUGUCAAAGAUGAAAUAGUAUGGUCACAACAAAAAGUUACAUAUUCCGAAUUGCAAAAACCUUACGUUGAUUACUUAAAAAAGUAAGCACAUAUUUAGUCAGAAGGGGUGCAUAUUUAUCCUGCCAUAAUUGUACGCAACGAGAUCUUGCAUCUAACAAAACUGAUAGCAACCUCAAUUUCUAGAAUACCUGUAAUAAAUUGAAUUCCCAGCACUAAAAGUUUGAACGGGGUAACGUAUGAAUGCUUGAGUACAAAGUGUUAUAUGCAUGCUUGAGUACAAAGUGUUAUAUGCAUCAGGGAAUAGGAAUAUAUAAUCCACGCUAAAAUAGCUAGUAAGCAUUUCACAAUUAAUCAGUUUCCUUUAACUAUUAUUCAAAUACACGGAGCUGGAUAUACAAGACGCCAUGCAUCAGGGAAUAUCAUUAUAUAAUCAACGCUAAAUAACUAACAAGUACAUAACUAUUUUAGUAUCCUUUACCUAUUGAUUUCAAUAACAGGGAGCUAUAUAUACUAUAUGCCCAUAAUAUCAUAUAUCAGAAGAUAGUAUAAUAUAUCCAAAUAUGUAUUAUAGAGAAUAACAUUUAAUGGGGUAUUAAUUUAGAGAAGAAGAAAUAACUUUCAAUAAUACAGAAAAGAUGAGAGACAGGGGAAAAAAAAUAAUGCAAUUAAAAUGUAAAAAAAUAAAAUGAGACAUCAAACCUGUGUCCUGCAUGCUUGAAAAAUAACCCUGGAGGACAAUUAGGCGAUCUGGUCCCUAGUUCCUUUUUCCCAAUCUAAUGGCAAAAAAAGAUGAAUUGUCAAUGUAAAUCAACAUACUCUGUAAAAUAUUUUAUGGCAAAUGGUGAUACUCAAGGUGACUUGGAAAUAGCAUGAGAAUCAUCUCAAAAACACUUAGUUUUAGUUCUAAAUCGAGCGACGAUCUACAUAACAAUCACGCAACCAAACUCAUAUGGCUCCCAUUAGGCAGCCGGUCAAUUUUCUACAUUUUAAAUAUGGCUUGCAGAACAAAUCCGGAUGGUUGGCUACAAUAAAGCAUAGGGUCAUUCAAAUUAUUAUUGUCUAUUUCUAUUUUGGAUGAUCACGAAUAAAUGGUAGAUAUUAUUUGGGUGGUAUUGACGUUCUACAUGAUAUUAGUUAUAGUUGCACAUCAUACUUCUAUGCCUACAAAAUAGUCUUGACAUUGUAAAAAUUUCUCACCCUCUCAUAAUCCCAGAUGUUCAGAGAACCAUCCUCCGCAGAGCUUCCAAAUACAGAUGACUUGUCUGGGCACCACUGAACAUUAACCAAGUGAUUUCAGUCAACUGAUUAUCUCUAUUAGUUAAAAACAAUAAUUUCCAAGCAUAGCUAACAAAACGCAAAUAUCAAUUUGGAGCUUAGAAUCAAUAAAUUUACCACCUGAACACAGAGAACAGCUGCUUUGUGAUCUUCAAAUUUAUGAACAGGAGAACUUAAAUUUCGGCGAUCAAACAUGCAAACAGAAUGAUCUGCAGACCUGAAAUAAUCCACAUAACAAAAAAUCACCUGCAUAUUGUAUGAACAUGUGCAAGGAAGAGAGACAUUGCUGGAAGGCAAAUGUGUCUAACGCAGACCACUGUUAUAAGAAUUAAAAUAUAUAUAUGUAUUUCAAAAGAAAAACCAAAAGGAAAGAGAAUAAAUAGGAAAGACGAGAUUAUACCCAGUUAAAAUAAGGUUUAUAUCAAGAGGAUUCCAAUCAACACAGUGAACAUCAGCAUUGUGAGCCUUUUCAACCUAUUAACCAAAAGCAUAGCAGGACCACUAAAAUCAGAAAAACAUUUACAGAAAAUCUGCAAGUACAUACAUUUUAGGAGUCCAAGUCAUGUAAGCUUUUAACCUGGGCAAGAUCAUGUAUUUUUCCAACUAUAGAUUAGUUGUUCCUUUUUAAAUGUAUUAAAAAUAUUCAAACUUGUGUAAAAGCUUUCAAAGACCUUAAACAAAUGUUGCUAAUGGGCCACGCCAUAUUAAGGAGUAUAAUGCACCAAGUGCAAAGAGGUCAAACUUGAUCUAAAACGAGCUCAACAAGAGAAAGCAACCAACUAUAGUGGCACAAAUUGAGUAAUGUAUGAGUCCAUCAACAGUGAAACUAGGUCCGUAGUAAUUAACCAGUGUAGUGAAAAUAAAUGCGUUUUAAAAGGACAAAAACUUCAUUUCACCACAAAUGCAACCUAAAAACAAAUGUCCGAGGAAUCCAUGUCAACAAUUGGUAAGUUAUGAUCCUAGAUGAAUAUGAAAAAGAAAGCUGAACAACAAUAUCUUCUCUACACCUAACAUUAGCUGCAUAAUACAAUAAGUUCUGGGCAUUCAGUGAGAAAUAUUGUUCAUAUUUAUAAAUUUCUAAAAUUAGUUUCUGCUCAAAUGUUCGAAUUUCAAGCAUGCUGACAAACGGUAAGAAUUAAUACGCAUUAAGCGCGGACUUGAACUUAAACUGUCAUCAAUUAAAGAAGUACUAUCUCACAACUUCUGUAGAACUACAAGAAAAUAGUAUUAUCUUCAAAGUUUUAACAAGAUAGCACUUUGGACCCAACAAUCAAUACAUUGUCCCUACGUGAAUCUCAUGUCCAUUGCUUUUAACCACAUAUCAUAACAAGAUACAGACCAAAGAAUAGCUAAAGAUGAUAUCAUUUAAAGUUUGAUUGCUGAUGAAUAUUCAAAAUAUUCCUGUUUGAUGAAUCAAACUGAUUACAAUUUAAUUGAUCACAUAUCUAACCUUGAUUACAGGGUUGGAACCAGUUCGAGCAUCCCAAAGUAUCAGACAUGAAUCAUCUCCAACGCUGCAAAAUUCCUGUGCACUUUAUUAAUGGAGAAGAUGUCAGAAUCAUAAAAAACUUAAAAUAUAAAACAUAGUGGCAGCAAACCAGUUAAUGUGAAGAGAAAAUUUUAAGGGUUAAGAGACUCAUAUAACUUAAUCCUACAAAAACGGUAUGAAAAAAUUUAAGAUGCAAAUAAGGACCAGAAAUACUGUUAUAGCCUAUAGGCUCAAAAGCAAUUCAACAAAAGACAUUCAUGAGCUUGAAAUGAUAGUCAAGUAUAAGCAAGGUACCUAGAUGGGCAAAAUUGCACGUCUUCAACAGUAUCCUCGUGGCCUUUAAAUAUCCCGCGAGGAGCGAUAGAAGGGUUUUCAGCAGCUUUAAUAAUCGACCCGCCAGAAGCUGCAGCUAUAUGAUCUUGCAAACUCCACAAGAUUACAUUUUUGUCUUUCCCUGCCAUUAAAGAACAUCAUUAGUGCAGAACACAGUGGAACCUUAGCUCAUUAGUGCACAGUCAAUAGUGCGUCAGUGACUAGCCAAUUUGUAGGUAAGGGGACUUGUUUUAAUGCUGCCAUCUCAAUGUGCGGAUAAAAAGCAGGCUAAGCAUUCAUAACACAGCUUGUUAUAGCAUGAAAAGAUAAUAAUAAUACUUAAGAUGUGAUGUUUUUGGAUGAAAUAACAGUAACAACUUCUAACCUCCAGAGAGCACAUAUGGCUCAGUAGGAGACAUCGCAAGGGCAUAUUCUGCAUUAUCCUCGUGCCCAGUCAGUACCUACAGACAGGAACAGUGAGCAAAAGAUUUUACAGAUCAGAGCACCCAGGAAACUUUCAAGUGCACAGUAGCUUUACCAAAAAUACCUAGAAUGCCUAAAAUAGUUUCACAAAAAAUGUAGAAGCAGUGAGCAACUAGUUAAGUGCCUACAUGCUGUAUGGUGUGCUGAAAUAUGGGAGAGGAACCUAAAAAUUCAUAUAAUUACAGAUGUCAUUGACAACACAUCUUCAUAUUGGCAUGAAAUAAAAUUUAUUACAUAAUGACUACGCAUGAUAAGGGUGAAAUAAUAAGACAAGAUGAGAUAAUUCAGUCUGGCAAAAGGAAACGCACCAAAUCUGGGCGAGAUUCAGCAGCUCCAAAGACUGCAUGGCGGUUCGGUUGAGCCUCAAUAUCCCAUAUGAGAACCUGAUUCAAUAACAAUCAAAAAGAGAUUUGAAAGAUAAUGUUACUUUUUAACAAUAUAAAAAGAAAAUGAGAAUGGAUCAAACAACCAUUUAUUAAAGUAGCAUGGGAUCACACAACAGUGAAUAAUAUACAGGGUAAUUUGAUCUCUAAUUGAUAGAUAUAAUUUUCACAACCUUAGAACAUGCGUAUAUAGUGAAGAUGGUAAAUCUUCAAUGCAAUAAUACAAUGACUCGGAUGCAUCCAUUUGAUCUUAAUAAAUUUCUGCACUUACCUCCGGACAGUCUGUAUGUGUUGCCACAAUGCUGUUGUACUGAGGAAACUCUCUUAUUCUGUUCACCUGCAACAAGAUUUUAGUUAUUAUGGCAAAAUAACAUCUACUACUUAGUACUUGCCAAUAUCAGGAUUCAAAUGUCCUUGUAUUCAACAAAUUAAGUUUUCUAGUGUGUGCCCAUGGACACACAUUAACAACCAUUUUUUAGUUAGGUGAUGCAUUUUCAUUGGCUACAAAUUCAUUAAUAAUGAUGGCCCCACUGCAUGCGCAAAAAUCUCCACCAAUUAAAAUCUUCCACGUAAGUCAAAAGUAGUUGUUAGUGUGUACCCAUGGGCACACACUAGAAAUACCCUUAAAGGGCGUUUGGAAACAUGCAUUUCAUUUCAAAUGAUGGAUGAUUUGAGUUGUCAUUUCAAAUUUUCAGAUUUAUACUAAUAUUUUAAUGUCUAAAUUUCAUAUAAAAUCCAAAUCCAAAUUCCCAAAUAGGUUAUUUGAUCAAAUCCAUAAUUUCAAAUGAGAUCUAGGUUCCCAAACGGGCCAUUAAAGAAAUUAUGGAGCAUGUGAGUAAAGGAGUAAACUAUCACCGUAUCCACCUAUUUUAUUAGAUUGACCAAUAAAUAUGUCACAGAAGUUAUAGGUCACAUAGCAUAUGGCAGAGAAUUAAACAAGGUGCAACAACUAAUUAACUACUUCAAGCGUGCUGGACAGUUGUGGGAAGAUAGUUUUGGUAGCACAAUUUCGCCAAUGGAACGAAACACAGAUAUAAAAGGAAAUUUGACAAAGCUACAAGCACUUCCACUACAAAAAAACAUCUCCUGUUGAUGCAUACCUCUCCGGGAUGUAUUAUAGUUUUGUACUUCUUCACGAACGGCGAGCGUGAUUCCUCAUUGAACUGAAAGAUUCAGGUAAUUAGGGAGACAAUACAAGAAGGUAUGAGGAGAGAUAAAAUAUAUGGAAUGAAAAGCAUUACAUUAGCAAUGUGGUCCCCUGCUGCGACCCUUUUUUUAACUACAUCACAGUUUGCAAUAACCAGUGUAUUUGGUACACUGCCAUCAGUCUACAAAACAAGAAGAAAUUAUGAUAGGAGCUGAACAUGAUACAAUGUGGCUUAGGAGUUCAUACAUUAAAGAGAGGCAUAACUGACCAUAAUUGUGACACUUCACUUAUAAAUGAAUUAGCACAAAGAAAUGAUGAAUUAUUUACCUGUUCGGAGAGGUAAAUGCGUUGUCGAUUCUUUUGGUUUGCUUCCUCAAGCAGAGGACCCCACCUGAACACAAGUUGAACAUGCAUGUACAUUUUAUGAAUUUUAAUUACAAGAUUUAAACUACUUCCAGAAAAACUAUAAAGAACUUUCCAAGUCAUUUAUCAAAUUAAAGAGUGUAAGAAGCAUUUACUAGCUCCAUGCGAAAAUAUAUCCCAUCUUUUACUUACAAUCAUUUUAGCAACAAAACAUAAAAUAGAUCCCAAUCACUUAAACCAGUUAGCAACCCCUUCCCUGUACCCCCACAGACUUAAAUGAAAAAAUGCUCCUGUAGGCUUUGCAAGUAAAUUAAUUUGCUUCCCAGUGUUCCUUCACCCCCAAAAUAAUUCAAAAUCAACAGAAACAACUAUUUAACUAUUUGAACAGAAUAUCCAUCACAUUUAUCACAUUUAAAUAUCCUUUUGAACACAUACCAAAAUCAGAUUUUAUUUUUAAUUUUUAAUUUUAGACACGGCAAUCAGCGACUUAAUUCGAGAUUCUCAACCCACCACACUCAUGUCUAAAAAUAAACAUAAAAGGCACAAAAAAAUGAGCAUAAGCUCAAACACAAGCGCCUGUAUACUUAACCUAAAAUUUUCAGUUCCCAGCAAUCGAAGUCUCAUUAAUAGAAAGGCCCUAAUACACACACCCAUGUGUAUAUCUUAAAACAAACACAUGAAAUGCUCAAACUGAAUAAAAAUAUAGCUUAAACACGGAAAUGAACAACUCAAUUUGAGAAACCCUAACCACACAUCCUGCCUAAAAACAAAGCUAUAAAGCAAAUAAUUGAGUACAAAUAGUGCCUAAUUCUAGGCUCUCAGCUAACCUAGAUAUUCCAGCUCGCUGAAUUCCAAGUCUUAUUAGCAAAACGAAAAAAACAAUACAAGCAUAAACCCUAGAUACACAUACACACACAAAUGAACACAGUUUUUAUACAUAGAGAGAGGGAGAGAAAUGGGUAGAGAUUCAUAAACCCUAAACAAAAACUAUACAAACACAUCUAUACACACAGUGAGAGGGAUAUGGGCAGAGAGAGUGGGGGAGGGAGGGGGAACAGGGAGAGAGAGAGAGAGAGAGAGGGAGAGAGAGAGAGGGAGAGUGAGAGAGAUCUCAUAAAAUUAAACAUAAAGCGUAAUUGUGUAUGUGGGGGGGAGAGAGAGGGAGGGGGAGGGGGAGGGGGAGAGAGAGAGAGAUUACCGGCAAGAAAGAGAGGGCCAGAUGAGAUUGUGGUUAGCAAACCAGUCAUAAAGAACGGGAACAAGGCUCUUCCACUGAGUAUACUUAUCAUCCACACCAGCACCCACCACUUUCUUCUCAGCCGUGCCUCGCAUCUUCACAACAGAACUGCUCUUAACAGAAGACGGCGUCUCUCUCUCCUCCUUGCUCUUCGAACCCUUUGGCCUUCCUCUCUUCUUCGGCUGCUGCGCUGUUGGUGUUGAUUCCAUUGAAUCUCUCUCUCUCAAUUUCUCACUCUCUCUCUUUCUCUGACACUCAGAAACUUUUAUUGCAACCUCGCUAAGUUACAACCAGCAGCAACGGCUGGUCUUAUUCUCGGUUUCAAAUUCAUUUCGGGGGAUUUUAUUUUAAUUUAAUUUAAUGGGAAAAUAGAUUUUUUUGCCACUCAACUUAUUAUGUUUUUAGAAACUUGCCACCCAACUAAUUUUUUUUUCCUUUCAGUCACUAAUGUUAGGUUUGGAUUUUGUUUUAGCCACCAACUUAGAUUCGGAUAACAUUAUGAUAAUUUUUUUGUAGCAUCAUUUAUACAUAGUAAUAGUAUAUAAUAUUUUGAUGAUGUUAUGCUUAUAUCUUUAUAUAUAGCAAUAAUAUAAAAUGAGCCGAUGAAAAUUUAAAAUUAGGAAAAAUCAUAAUUAGAAUUCUAAAAAUUUAGGAAAAAUCAUAAUUAGAAUUCUAAAAAUUCAAUAUAUAAUGAAUAUGAAAUCAAUAAUUUCAAACAAUUCACCCUGAUAAGAUAAAGCGUAAUUGAGUGAUAUGAUGCAUCAUCUUUCGCUAUUAAAUUAGUUUCAAUCAACUAGCUCAGUCUAAGAUCUCUCUUAAAUUUACCUUCAUAAAUUUUAAUAACUUUAUCUUAUUACAAUUUUCAAGAUAAAUAAAUAGAGAUGAAAACUUAAUUUACGAUGAUUGUCCUCUAUAAUGCAUCAUUUUAUGUUAUUACAACUUUCUAUGUCUCUCUCAUUAGUUUACAGUUUUUUCUACUGCUUAGCACGUAUUUUAAUACUAUUAUAAAACAUAGUUUCAUAACUGAUUUUUGUGAUUUUUGGUGUAUGUAAAAAUUCAAAAGCUGAAAUUUUAUUCAGAAGAAAAAAAAAUUUAUUUAUGAACUACAUCUUUUAAAAGUCAUAAUAUGCGUGUAAAAUUCUUAUCACCCAAGGUAAACGACUUUAGGGAUAUAAAAAGUACUAUAUACAAAGAUACAAACAUAUAUCAAAUCAUCAAAAUAUUACAGACUACCACUAUAUUUUAAUAAUGCUAUACAAAAUUAAUAUAAUGUUAAUAAUCAAAUUCGAACCUAACUUCAGUGACAAAAAAAACUGAAACUAACAUUAGUGGGUAAAAUAAAUAAAAAAUAUAGUUGAGUGGUUAAUUUCUAAAUACGCAAUAAGUUUAGUGACAAAAAAAAUUAUCAUAAUGAUGGUAAUCAAAUCCGAACCUAAGCUGGUGGCUAAAAAGAAAUCCAAACCUAACAUUAAUGAGUAAAAAGAAAAAACAAAUAGUUGGGUGGCAAGUUUCUAAAAACACAAUAAGUUGAGUGGCAAAAAAAUCUAUUUUCCCUAAUUUAAUCUAGUAUUUAAUAUUACAAAGAUACAAUCUUUUAGAUUUUUUAUUUAUUCAAAAAAAUCAUUUUAAAUUAUCAAAUUCCUUCGUUAGUAAAUUUAUAUAGACUACAUAUAUAAAAUUGUGUUUCAUGGGUAUUUAAUUUGAAUUUAAAAAAAUAUAUUAGAAUAUCUAUAUUUUCAAUUAAGAUUUUAAAUGAAAUUUAUAUUAAAAUGAUCAUCCCUUAUACUCAAAUAUCUCACUCAAACACACCGUUCUCAACAGGAACUCGUUUAAAUCAUUAUAUAUCUUAUUAUGUUGAAUUUUUUAACAAUAAUUAUAGAAAAAUUGACAAAAUUAAUACAGGAAAUUUUUAAUUAUUCAUUAUUUUUGGUGUUUUUUCAUAUAUAUACUCAGUCGUAAAAGACUUUUUGUAUAAAUAUUGUUAUUUUUUAAAAUAAAUUGUAAAAAUUUUAUCUUUCAAAAAAAAUUGCAAAAAUAGGAUGGUUGCCUUUGCAAUGAUAUUUACAACUACUAGCAACCUUGUAUGCAACCACAAAUGUAAUUGGAAAAAUCUGUUCAAAAUUACAUUUAAUUGCAAAAUAAAUUGCAAGUGAUUGCAAAUGGUGAAAAAUGAGUGUCCUGCGGGACACAUAUUAAUAUCACAAAAACAACUGCAAAAACAACUAAAAACAGCUACAAAACUAAUUUUAAAACAAACAAUUAAAAUUGAAAACACUUACAAAACCAAUUUAAAAACAAACAAUUAAAAUCAGUUACAAAGACCAUAAAAAAAACAGUUACAAAAACCUUCUUUUAUUUCAAAGUAGUGUGGAAAUUUUAACAAAAAAAAGAAAGGAGCGAGGAAUCGGGAAACUAAGGAUCAGGUUUUAUACUUAAGACAAUCAAUCACACGUAAAAAUCGUUUAUAUGUGUGUAAGUAUAUCUAUAUGUAUAUGUGUUUGUGUUGUGCUUGUUGGUGAUUUGGAUUGGGUCAGGCGGCGGCGAUAUCAUUGGUGGGAGAGCUUAGAGACGUUGAUGGAGGUUGAAGGAAGAUAAAGGUAGUGAUGUGGUGGCGAGAGAUUGGGUAUGGUGGUCGUGAUGGAAAUCGUUGGCCGGCUAUGCAUUUUUUGAAUGAGAGGGAAAUGAAGCGGGUGGGAGAAAGAGAGAUAGGGGAGAAAAGAUGAUAUUUUUGUAAUUUAAUUCCUUGUAUGUGUUAAAAGAUAGUAUAUUUGCAAGAUUUUAGACAAUAGAGUAUAUUUGAUUAUAAAUAUUCAAAAAUUGUAUAUUUAUCAAAUUCUCUUAUUUUUAUAUUUUACCCACAAUACAUGGCAGGAAUUAACUCCGGUCUUCGCAUUUGCCCAUUUGUUGAUCUUCACAUUUUACCCACAUAAAAUUAAUUCUAGUUCUUUUUCCUUCAUUAUCUUCAAUAUUAUUUUUACAAAUAUAAUUUUUUUUAAUUUAGUUGGACAACACAAGAAUACGAGUGUACCUUCAUAAAUCUAAUUAUUGUUUAGUAGUACUUAUGUCCACUACGCAAGGGUUUUGAAAUUGAAGAAUUUUUUUUACAUUAUAAUAUAAUUCAAAUAAUGUUGCUAUACCUUUGUGCACUCAUAUUUUGUUUUACCUAUCAUAUUAUGUUCUUACAUUACUAUCAAAUUAGUCAAACUACUGCUUCUCAUUUAUAAAAAUAUAAAUAUUCAUUAUUGUAAAAUGACAGAAUCAGAAAGUCGAUCUUCGAAAUUUACUAAAAUGAAUAUACUUAGAGUCGAUUUAGUUAUCUUAAAUUUUGUUUUGUAAUUCGUAUCAUAAAUAUAUUACUCAAAUAAUAUUGACAAAAUUUGGUCCGAAAGUUCUCAUAUUCUAUUUGGAAAUGUAAUCCAUUUAUAUUUGAUUAUGUUUAUUUUAGUGCAGGGAAAUAGAUUUUUUUGCCACUCAACUUAUAGCGUUUUUAGAAACUUACCACCCAACUAAUUUAUUUUUUCUUUUAAUCACUAAUUUUAGGUUUGGUUUUAUUUUUAGCCACCAACUUAGGUUCGGAUUUGAUUACUUGCAUUAGGAUAAUUUUUUGUAUCAUCAUUUAUACAUAGUGAUAGUAUGUAAUAUUUUGAUUAUGUGUCGUAUGCUUAUAUCUUUAUAUAUAGCAAUAAUAAUAUAAAAUAAGCCGAUGGAAAUUAAAAUCAGGAAAAAUCGUAAUUAGAUUCUAAAAAUUCAAUAAAUAAUGAAUAUGAAAUUAAGACUUCAAACAAUUCACCUUCUCUCGUAAGAUUGUAAUCGAGUGAUAUGACGCAUCAUCUGUCGCUAUUAAAGUUUCAAUCAACUAGCUCAGUCUAAGAUCUCUUUUAAAUUUAUCAUCAAAACUUUUAAUAACUUUAUCUUAUUACAAUUUUCAAGAUAAAUAAAUAGAGAGGAAAACUUAAUUUUCGAUGAUUGUCUAUAUAAUGCAUCAUUUUAUAUUAUCCUUACUCCCUCCGUCCCUCUCAUUACUUUUUUCUACUGCUUAGCACGUAUUAAGACUCUUAUAAAACAUAGUUUCAUAAUUUAUUUUUGUGAUUUUUUUUGUGUGUAAAAAUUCAAAUGCUGAAUUUUCAUUCGGAAGAAAAAAAUAAAGUUAUAUUUGAAACUACAUCCUUUAAUGACCAUAAAAUGCGUGUAAAAUUCUUAUCAUCCAAGGUAAACGACCUCAGAGACAUAAAAAGUACUACAUAUAUAUAUAUACAAACAUAUAUCAAAUCAUCAAAAUAUUACAUACUACCACUAUAUUUUAAUAAUGCUACACAUAAUAUGUAAUGCUAAUAAUUAAAUCCGAACCUAACUUCAGUGACGAAAAAAAAGCUGUAUCCAACACUAGUGAGUAAAAUAAAAAAAAUAUAGUUGAGUGGUUAGUUUCUAAAGACGCAAUAAGUUUAGUGAUAAAAAAAAUUAUCAUAAUACUAGUAAUCAAAUUCGAACCUAAGUUGAUGGCUAAAAAGAAAACCAAACCUAACAUUAGUGACGAAAAGAAAAAAUAAAUUAGUUGGGUGGUAAGUUUCUAAAAACGCUAUAAGUUGAGUGGCAAAAAAAUCUAUUUUCCCUUUAGUGUACUGAUAUGUUCUUGUCCUUUUCUCUUAAUUUCCAAUAUGGAUAAAUCAUUUUACAAAAAAUUAAUAAUUUUAAAAUAAGAAUUCAAUUAUGUAUUAGUCAAAAAAGCUUUAAUUUAAUUAUUUGAACAUGAUGUUUUGAAAAAUUUUAAAUUAGUCCAACUAAUGCUUCUUAUUUGUAAAUCAAUGUAUAAAUCUUCCUUGUUGUAAAAAUACAAAAGGGGACAGUCGGUGUUUAAUGGUGUAGAAAUAUCCGACUAAUGCCUGCAUAGUUGGUUUAGUUAUCCUAAAUUUUGUUCCGUAAUUUGUAUAAUAAAUAUAUUACUAAAAUAAUAUCAAAAAAAUAUUUGGUUCCCAAGUUAUUAAUUUAAUAAAGUUCCUUGUUUGGCGUGUGAUAGAAAAGUUUCAAUGUUGUACUUGAAAAUGUAAUCCAUUCAUAUUUGAUAUUGUUUUUUCUUGUCUGUUUAUUCUAGUGUAGUGUUAUGUUCUCUUUCCUUUUCUCUUAGUUUGUAUGAUGGAUAAAUUAUUUUACCAAAAAUUAAUAAUUUUAAAAUUAGGUAAUCAAAAAAGCUUUACUUUUAAAAAAAAAAUUGUUGUCCAUAAUUAGUCUGAAUUGUAAUAUAAAAAAAUGCAAAAUGUUCUUAUCAUUUAUUUAAUUUUUAAACUUUUGUUUUCUCCUGAAAUAAUUUUGAUCCCCAAAAAACAUUUUACAUAAAUUCCGCAUACCCCAAAAAAUAAUAAAAUGGUGAAUUUAAAUUUCUUAAUCAAAUGGUGCCUGCAUUCACUUUAGUGAACUUCCUACCUAACUUCCUACCUCCGUCCCUAUUUAUAUGUCCACUUUGGAAGUAAAAUUUUGUCCCUAUUUAUCUGUCCAUUUAUACUUUCAAAACUAAUUUAAUGAUAGUUUUUCAAAUAUAUCUCCAUAAUUUCAAUUUUCAAGGCUUGAUUUAUUUAAAACUUGGUUGAAUUCAUGUUUCCAAGACAUAAAGUAGGGAUAUUCCACCAUUUUCAAGAUAUUAAUUAGAGGUAUUUAAUGAAAAAGUUCAUACAAUCAAUUGUUUCUUGAUAUGUGUUUUUUUUUUCAAAAUGGACAGAUAAAAAGGGACGGAGGGAGUAACAUCUAAUUUGUAUUCAAUUGAAUCUUGGUAAUGAUUAUAUUAAACACCUAAUUGUUCAUUACAGUGCACAAAACUCAUUCUCUGUCCUCUCACAAAGCACAAAACUCGUUCGUUGUCUUCUUACAUUGCUUUGCCGCUUCAAUCUGAACUUUGCGUAGGUAUGGUUCUCAUUCUAAUUCUUCAAUUUAUAUUCCUGUUUCAUUGCCUGCAUGCAAGUCAGAUAUAGUUUUAUGUUUUAAUUUAUAUAGGGCUAUGGAAUUUUCGGGUGUUAUUGUAGAGAAAUUUAUUAAAUUCCUAACAAUGGCGGAUACAAUCUCAGAUGAAAUGGUUAGUUCCCUUUAUUUUCUAGUAAUUGGUAUUAGGUGUUCCUUUUUUCAUUUUCUUUAUUUCACAGAAAUUGCUGACGAAGAUUUUGAACAAAGAUGGUAACCGUCUUGAAACUUGUUUCUUGUUGAAAUUCCGGAAUAGUUAUGAAAUUUCGGUUAUGCGCAACGAAGAGAAAGGGACGAUAUUUGGCCUUUCUACUUUGUAUGAGGAUUUCACAAUCAUGUUGUACACAUAGCAUUCCAUGUUCCGACCGAUCUAUUCUGCAAAAACCUUAUUUACCAUUCUCUGGAAAGUUGCCCCGUAUUAUUCAGACCGAAGGACGUCUUGAUAUAGGUAUAUGUUCUAUUCGGGGUGAUGAAUACUGUCUUGGGGAUAUCCUCGGCAAUCAUUGCAAUUUGAUGGUACCCGGAAAAAGCAUCCAAAAACUUAAGAAUCUGAUAUCCCGAAGUGGCGUCUAUCAGCUGAUCAAUGUUUGGCAAGGGGUAGUGGUCCUUCAGGUAGUUUUUGUUCAGAUCAAUAUAAAUGACACACAUCCUCCACGUGUUAUUCGAUUUCUUGAUAACGACCACAUUAGCUAACUAGUCCGGGUACUUAAUCUCCUCUAUGAACUUGGGCUCCAGGAGUUUCUCUACUUUGGCCUCAAUCACCUUCUACCUCUCCAUUGCAAAAGUUCUCUUCUUUUCUUUGACAGAUUUAGCUUCAGGAUCCACGUUAAUUUUGUGUUGUGCGACCGAGAGGUCUAGGCCUGGCAUAUCUUUGGGCCCCCAUACAAACACGUCAUGAUAUUGGCAGACUACCCUUAUAACAUAUUUCUUUAGCUCAGGCUCUAUGUCCUUUCCGAUCUGCAUAACCUUUCACAAACACCCUGCAUAUAGCUCUACCUCCUCGGUUUUCGCUCUUGGUUCAACUAUUGGGCAAGACAUAUCAGCCCCAAAUUUCUCCAGCUCAAUGUGCAUGGUAUGUCAGUCGGCCCCAAAUUGGGUAGCAAAUACGUUGACAUCAAAUUUCAUUAUAUUCGUGAUCUUGUCAGAGAUAAUGAAAUAACAGUUGAAUUUUGCAAGUCCGAAGGACAAGUUGCCGAUAUUCUUACAAAGGCUUUGAAGAAGAAAUUGGGUUUUUACUCUGCUGAAAAUUUGAGUGUAAGGGAGGCUGUUGGAAUUUAAACUAAAAGUGUUCAUUAUUUUGUUAAGUGUCCAGGUGUUUGUACAUGUAGUUAUAUUUUGAAUAAGUAUAUUGACCUAGUAACUUAAUGGGUAUUUACAUAUUUGAAGCUGUUAGCUAGCUUAAAUUCAGGAUAGUUGGGUUAUCUUUUUUGUGAUGUAGUGGGUCAGUUAGGAGUAUGUAGUGUAAUCACAUACUUAUAUGUGGUUUUAGUUAACCUAAUGUGUUAGGUUUAUCUCCAGAGAAUUUAUAUUAAAAGCAUUCAGUUUUUCUCCUGCAUUAGAGCAUCUCCAACGGUGCUCCUAAAUCAUUUCUUAAACAAUAAUAUAAAAUAUGGCUUCCAAUAAGUUAAAUACAUUGGAAAACGUGAGAACUCCAAUGCUACUCUUUAUAUUUGGCUCCUCAUUCACAUUUUAUAUUUAUUUUAUAUAAAUGAGAGGAAAAAGUUAACUAUAAGAGAUAAAAGAUUUGAGGGAAAUUAAUAUUAUAUUGAGUUAAGAGCUACUAGAUGCUCUUUAAAAGAAAGGAGAGAGAGUGGGCUCUUAAACUUUUAAAGAGUUUCUAAGAGCUCGUUGGAGCUCUAAUUCUUGACUUGCUCUUUAAAUUUAGAGUUAUGAGUUUGUUUAAAGAGCUCAUUGGAGAUGCUCUUAAGCUCUCUCUUGAGUUUUUUGGGUUCUAGUAUAUAAAUAUUUGCCUUAAUAUCUACAAUAUAUAUAUAACAGAAAAAUCUUUAAUUUAUGCAGUUCGAGAAUAAAACUGGACAUGGGAUUGGCUAAUGUUAUAGUUUAGCCAACAAGAUUAUAAAAGUGUUGGAGAAUGUCCAAUAGGGUUGGUUAUAAUGGUUGGCUAAAUUGAACCCGCAAGACAUCACGUAAAAUUUGCUAAAUUUAUAAGUGAUUUUGUUUCGAUAGUAUUGGCUUUAUUUUAAAAAUAGCAUGUUAUUAUUAUUUGAAUUUGUUAUAAUAGAAUGUAUUUUUAAUAUGUUAAUCGAUGACGUGACAUUUGGUACAUAUGUUUAGUGGUUCGACAUAUAUAGUCAUCCAUACGUGCUUCGGUAUAAUUAUACACAAGGAAGAGUAUGGUUGAGGUACGAUAUUUUCAAGUGAUUAUCUAUAUUUAUAUUUUUUAUUUUAAUAUACGAACUAUUUUUUAGUUAAGAGUUUUUCCCGAUUUGAUUUGAUUUGCGUUUAGCAAUUAAUAGGUGGAUGAAUAUGAAAGGAAGUCCAAAGACAGAGAUGCACAAAUACAAAUCCAUUAUCAAUAGAAAUAUCUCCAUAAAUUUACAUUUCUCUCUUCCUCAGCUAUUAAUUUUGUUUAGACUCAGCUGUGACUUUUAUCUGACAGGAAAUCAAGACUGGAAGCAACAUCUAUUGAGCAAUCUGAGCAGAGCAUCAGCCUUUCUUCGAGCCUUUAAAGAUCCAUCAGCAGCCAAGCUUUGCAGAGAAGGAAUGCUCCUUGGAUUCAUCAAUAAUCUCCUUGCAACUUCCUCACCACUAUCUUUACAUAGUCCUAAAAGAAGUGUUAUAGAAUUUUCCUUGCCCUUGGGGGAUCCAUAUCUUAACAAAUCAAUAAGAAGAGGCACCAAUACUCUGCUCUUUUUAAUUUCUUCUAGUCCUUCAGAGCACCCCAAAAGCAGUGCAAGAACUGCCAAUGCAUCAUCAGUUAUCCCUGCCUUGUCAUCCAUCAAGAGCUCAAUGAGCAAGGGAAUGGCCCCAGAAACCGCAACACAUGACUUGUUUAUGUUGUAAACGGCAAGAUUGAAAAGCGCGGUUGCAGCAUCCCUUUUCCCAGCUGUAGUUCCAUCUAUGAGAAGUUCCACCAAAGCGGGAAUUGCUUUUGGAUGUCCGCCAAUGAGUACCUUGUAAUCAUCAACCAUCGACAAGCUGAAGAUCGUUGCUGCUGCGUUUUCUCUGGCCUCCAUGGUUUUCCCCGAAAGAAGCACGUGUAUUAUGCUGUCAAGUGAACCUGCAGACAUUAUUAGUAUCUUGUUGUUGUCGAAUAUAGAAAGGUUUAGUAAUGCAGUGACUGCAUUCCCCUGGAUUCUUGAAUCAGGGGAGCCUAGCAGUGUGACCAGAAACGGUAUGGCUCCGGCUUCUGCAAUCAUUCUGCGGUUUUCCAUACCAGUUUUUGCUAGUAAACGGAGCUCGUAUGCAGCUUGUCUUUGGAUGUCUGGUGAUCCGGUUGCUAGUUUGCCCACAAGGAAUUCUGCGGUCAUCUUAACUGCAUCACUUGCGGUUUUUGUGGCAGAGAUAUGAUCGACAGCUUUAUCUUGUAACUCUCUCUUGCCACUGCUCCGGUCCAAGUCUGGAGGAGAGGAAGUCGAUUCACGUAUCGUUAUAUUGUUCUCUUCACACCAUUGGUGUAUAAGGCUCUUGAGUGCAUAAUUGGGGAUCAAUGCCAUAUGAAUUAGUCUCUGCCCGCUCUUAGGGCACGUGUGAUGCCCUGUAUUAAUCCACUGGGCAAUUGAGUUUCGAUCAUAAGUGUGUCCUGAUGCUACUAUCACCGGAUCUCUCAUCAAGUCUAGUGAAAUUGGGCAACGGUACUCAUCAGGGAUGUUGAAUGACGACUGAGACGACGAAGAGUGCUCGUGUUGCCAAUUUGAUGCUGAAGAUUGCUUCAGAUCCUCCGGGAUUUUCUCUUUGUUCUCCCUACUAAAAAUCAUGGAUUUUGACAAGGAAAUCAGAGACAUAAGAUUGUUGAUGUUGGAAACGACGAUAAGGCCACCUGUUCCUGCCUGCUUCUCUGCUUCAGCCUCAAGCUUCGAAAUCUCCUCCUCAAAAUCCAAUGGACUUCUCACACCAAUGCUGAUCAAUAUCUCUUUCACUCUGUUAAAAUCAUCUAAACCCGUGUUUCUCUUGUUCCUGUCACGAUAGCUACCCAUCAUUAGGAAAAGCUCCUCGCGUCUCUGAAUCUCUCCAGGCUCAACAAACAAUUCAACCCUCUUUGCUUGCUUGCGAAGAAGUUCAACUUGCUCUUUCGUGUCAAUUGUUAUCUUAAGCAAGCUAAGAGGUAAAAUAUCCAACGCACUUCCCAUCUCUUUUACUGUUACAUGAUAUUGAUUUGAUAAAAGAUCCGUCUGCAUGAGGUUCCACAACGCGCUACCUUCUUUACAACCAUCUAUCAAUAAUUUUACCCUUCUGAUCACCGAAAACAGCUCAGUAAGACACAGAAUUGAUGAAGGUGGAAGCGGGGCAUUAGUCUCCUGAAUUUCUUGAAACAAUGAAGAAAGCAGCUUGACCCUUCGUAUCAUCAUCGACACGUUCUUAACCUGUACAACCGGAAAUUUCUCAAUUGAUGCAACUUCAUUGGAGAUGUGAAUCAAUGACUCCAGCAAAGACCCUACUGGAAGAAAGCCUGAGGAAACCAGAGGAGGUAGAGUCAUAUCCAUGUAGUUCUACAGCACCUCAGGCUUCACAUUGACUUUAUAUUCAUUCCUAUUUACGGAAUCAAGCGGGGGCGGAUCUAGGAUUUAAACUUUGGAGGCAUCAAGAAAAUUUCCGGAAACCACUUAUAUAUUUUUAAAUUUUGUGGGGGCGCUUCUAUAAUUUUGAAAAAUUUAGAAGGAUGAAAAAAUGUAACAAACAAAAUUAGGGAGGGCACGUGUCCCUCGUGCCUAUUCUUAGAUCCGCCUUUGCGAUCAAGGCCUCGCUACGUUUAAAUUUCUUGACGACAAGUUCCAUGUUAGAAUAAUGUCAUGGACUAAUGACUUGUUCUGUUUGUCCUGUUAUUGUGGGUGACAUCUUUGGUGGCUAGUAGAACAAGCCUGGGUUUUCUGCCACUUGGAGGACUUAGCGGGUUAGUUAUAUUCUUCAGCAAUUUAAAAUGCACAAGAACAUUGACAAAACCUUGCCUUCUAUUGGUCAAUAGCUUGUGAGAAUGUGUUUGCAGACCUUAUAUUAAACUGUGAACAAGUAAGAUCUGUUUUAUACUCCCUCCGUCCCUCCCAUUUCUUAUCGAAUGGGUUGGGCACGGAAGUUAAGAAAUAUGAAUAAAUUAAUUGAAAAGAGAAAGAAAAGUGGGUGAAGUGGUGGGACCCGUUGAUUUUUAAUGUAUAAAAAAGAGAUAGUGGAGUAAAAUAAGUGUGAAAAAAAAAGAAAAGUGGAGAAGUGGUGGGACCUAUUGACCAUAUUUGGUAAGUUUUGAAAUGUAAAGAAUUGGAUGAGACAUUUCAAAAAUGAAAGUGUAAAAAAAUGGAAGGGACGGAGGGAGUAUAUCAAGAUUUGAAUGUUGCGCUUGGACAGCAGCGAAAUGACAUUGCAAGUUGAGUGAGCUUUUAUAAUAAUCUAUGCAGGUGAGGUUUACCUUGAAAUCAUCUGAGUCCAGACACCGCCAAAUUAGUUCUCAAUCACUCACACUCUUCGGCUCUAGGUGCCAGUUUGGCCCAUCCUACUUCCGAUAAGAAGUCGGUUUCUACUUUUCUUAACCCGUUUGUGUAAAAAAUUUGAAGCACUUAUAAAAAGUUAAGAAUGUUAACUUUUGUUGCAGGACUUCUACAAACAAUUUAAUCACUUAUAAGUUUUAAUUUAGUUCUUACUUUUAGUCCAAUUCUUUACUACAAGUAAGAAACACUUUUUUAAGAUUACUCAAGCGCUCCUAAAUUUCACGAAUCUUAGUUAAAAUAGGUUUUAGGAUUUUAAGUUAAAGUGUAUGCUCCACCUAUUUUAAAUAUUGUAUGAUUACUCUAUGUUAUUCCUAAAUUCGGAUUCUUAAAUGCAAAAUUUGUCCGUCAGGAGUGAAUCAGAUUAAGGUAUUUCGUAUUCAUGUUUCUCUGUGGUUGCGCAUAAGUAUUAGCCAUAAAGGUGAGUUUGACUCUAUUAUAUAUAUUAAGUAGGGUUUCCACUUUCCAUUUGUUGAAACCUGGAAACAGGUUAAUUUUAGUCAGUGUUAUGAAAAGCGCAAAUCGGCUCUAGGCGGUGGAAGGACCUUCUAGCGCUUAAGCGGUAAAGCGGACGCUUAAGCGGAAUCUUAAGCGGCCAAUAAGCGGAUUAAUAAAAUAUAAUUAAAUAUUUAAUUUUAAUAUUAAUAUAUUCAAAAAUAAUGUUAUAUUGUGGUAAGAAUUUAAAUUUUUAAAAAUAUAUAUAUAUUAAUUUUUUAAUAUAAUUAUAGUUAUAUUAUAUAAAAAAAUAUUUUAAAACUGAAAAAUUAGCAAGUCAAAAUCAUUUUGACCGCUUAAGUACCGCUUAAUCCGCUUAACGACCGCUUAAUCCGCUUAAUAGUCCGCUUAAUUUUCAAAAACGCUUAAGAACCCGCUUAAUACAAAAUCGAGACGUUUUAGGGCCGAUUCCGCUUAGGCGGCCGCUUAAGCGGCCGCUUAAUGCGCUUUUUAAAACACUGAUUUUAGUUUAGUCCAUUAUGCAAUAAUCUUUCGUGAUUUUUAUGUAAUUGGAGAGGUCAUAUCGCUUUCUCAGUAUUUAAAAUUCUAAUGACGAAGACGUUGACAAUAACAAUUUGUUAGAGCGAGUCCAAUAAUAUCUUAAUUGAAGCACUAAAUAUAAUAUAAAAAUUUAUGUCUCUAAAAAUUUAUAAUAGAUUUAACUAACAUCAACUCCAACAAUAUGUGUUAUAUGUUUAUUAUUUUAUUAAAAAUUCUUCUUUAUCAUAGAGAGAGAAAAAGAGUGUAUAUAAAAAUUUAUUAUAAAAUAUAGGAUAGUACAAGAAGAGAUGUGUAUCAAGAAUAAGUUUUGAAGGGGUUGUCCCAAUAAUAUAAAGCAUCACUGGAAAAUUUUUGGAUUAAUUUUUCAACAAAAUAUCCUAAAUUUUUUCAAGUUUAUUUAUUAUUUAUUUUUUAUUAUAAACUUGAUAAAAUCUAAAUAUAUUAUCGUAAAUAUUAGAAGUCAUAACCUUUUAGACAUUUCAAAAUAAUGUGUAAAACUCUAUAAAUAAUAUUUAUACUAGUUAAACUCAUAUUUCAAGAUACUUUGUAUGAUAUUUUUGGUCAUUUUAGUGACCAACUUGAUACGAUAAGCCACUUCACCACCUCAGUAACCAACUAGAUAAUUAGUCUUUUUAAAUUGACACUUGCUUAGUUGCGAAUUUUUAUGUCACGAAAAAAAAUUAGAAAUGGAAGUUAGUUUGGAAUUUUGAAAUGAGAAAUUGGGCAAAUUUUAUGUGUUCGGGAUAGGGGUGUUCAUCAAACCGCUCACAUCGCAUAAAUCGCCCGCACCGCUCCGCACCACACCGCAAAAUGCGGUUUUUCAUAUUCGUGGUGCGGUUGCGGGUUGAAAUUUUAACAAAUCGCGCGGUGCGGUGUGGGUUGCGGUUUGAAAUUAUACGUGUGCGGUUCAAACCGCACCGCACCACUAUUUUCAAAUAUUAAAAAUAUAUAAUAUAUAAUUACAAAUAUUUAUAUUAUAUAGAUUAAUUAUUUAUUACGAUGUUAUCUCCUAUAUGUGUGUAUAUAUAUUCAAGUUACUUAACUUAAUUUUAAUAAUUUUAGGUUAUUUCUAAGACGACAAAUAAAUAUUAUAAUUAUAUCUGUUUUCCAAUGAAAAAUUUGUUAGUGUUGAAAUCUUUUCAUCUUUAUCAUACUUAUAUUUUAGUUUAUAUUUCUUUUGAUGAGUAACAUAACUCUAAAUUUUUAAAUACAUAUAGUUUAAAAUUAUUUUUAUAUUUUAAUUCAAAAGUAUAAAUUCUUUGAAUGUGUAAACCACACAAACCGCACCGCAAUUUUGUGGUGUGGUUUACUCGGUUUUUAUAUUACGUGGUGCGGUUGCGGUUUACGAAUUUUCUCAAACCGCAUGUGAGGAUUGGUUUGCGGUUUUAAAAAAAAAUCGCACCGCACGCACCGCGAACACCCCUAGUUCGGGAUAUCCGGAUCAAAUGAUAGAAUACAUUUGAAUGUUGAGUUUUUCUUUCAGAAUUCGAAAGUUGAGUUCGAAUUAAGAAUUUAUUUAAAAUAAAUACUUGAUCAUUUUAGGAUGCAAAAUUGCAGUCCAACAUCAAUCCCCAUUGAAAUUGAUGGAAAUUGAUUUAUGCGGAAAAAAGAAAUAUUAAAUGUAUAAUAUAUGUAAGUAGUCUGAAUUUGAUGAUUCAUUUUUAAUUGAUUAACUUGACUUGGCAUAUUUAGUAAGUCUUGUAAGUAAAUUGUAUAAUUAAUUUUGGAUGACCCCUAAGAAAAGAAGUAAAGAGGAUCAUGCUCAAGUACUUAAAAAUAUGUUGUAUAAAUUGGUAUAUCAGGAAGACGUGUUUAAAACCUUUUUUUAUUAUUGUGUAAAUAUCGAUUGUGAUAUUAAUAAUGAGAAUUUAACCUCGGGUUUAAUGUUUAAUUUUUGUAGAGUAGAAGUUGGGAUACAAGAAACAUGAAUGUAUUUAUAAAAGUUGAAAAUGAUAAUGAUGGAUAUUUUAACAUAUGAAUGAAUAUUUUGAUAUCAAGUAUUGUUACUAAAAUAUUUGUGACACACGUUUAAUUGAUUGGAGUAAAAAUAUUUUUAAUUUGUUAUGUUUGGAUUGUCAUACACUCUUAAAAAUGUGGGAGCGAGGAAAAAGAUAUUUAUCAAAAUGUCAAGUGGGAUAUUGUAUUUGACUUAGUUUUGUCGAAUAUAAAAGAAAUAAAAUAUAUUAUUUAUAUAUUUGAAGAUUAAAAUAUAAUAUAUACGUGUGAUUUCCAAAUACGCAUUUAGUAUGUGAAUCAAUUGCAGAAUUUAUAAAUCAAUGUAUAUUAUAUUUUAUGUAUUGAUGAUGGCAAUAUUAAUUUUUAUUUAAUUGAGACCAGGUCUCGUGGCUUACAGAGGUUUGAGUGUUAUUGUGUUAUCCUUUUUGGAAGAGAUUUGCACCCAUCUCUCUUCUCCCACGCCUUCAACAUUGCAAUCUGUGACAAUGAUGGUUCUUAAUUUCUCCAUUCGUUUCUUCCACCGGACUUCGCUACCAACAAUGAUGAAUGUUUAGGUAAGUCCCAUGUCAAAAAGGCCGUGGGCUAAGAUAUUAUAGUCAUAUUGUAUUACACACUAUUUUAUUUAUCGUACACUAAGUCGAGGGUCUUUACAAAAACAGAUUCUCUAUUUUAAGGAUAGGAGUAGGGCCGCGCGUACAUUUUACCCUACUCAGACCCUGCUCUAAAUGAGAAUACUGAGUACAGAUGGUAAGGUAUGAUAUUUAAUACAGUAGCAAUUAUGAUUAUUUCAAUUUUGAAUUAUGAUAUCAUUUUUAAAUAUCAAAACAUAAAAAUAUUCUUAUAUUUAUUAUAUAUUUUACACUUUAUUUAAUAAAUGCUGUGUGUAUAUUCUGUUUGGAUAAUAAUUUUUUUGAGAUUACGUUGAUAUAUUUAUUGGAGAAAUUAUACGAUUCGCUUCAUAUUUUUAUAUUUAGACCUAGCAAUAUAGGCCCACAACUAUAUAUACAGUCCAAACCAAACUAAUUUUCAAAAUUUGGUCCAACAAAAAAUCACAUAUUUUAUUUUGAUUUGGUUGGUUUUGAAAUCACCUUUUUUAUCCAAAAUAUGGACCAAAUAUAUCAUAUCCAUAUUUCCAUGACACAGUGCCCUCCAACUUGGAACUUGUACCAGCUUUUAUCCCAUAAGGAUUGAGGCCUUGACAUCGUUUCACCCCGAAAGGAACAUGGCUGCUUGACGAGAAAUUAAUGAAAUUAUACACCUGGGGUGAAUAGGUAUUAUGGUUAAUAUACCUGAUUUUUAUAAAUUACCGAAUAAUUAAAAACUGUCGCAGAAAAUUUGCUGUUAAGAUUCAAGAUAUACAAUCAGUUAGCUAACAAUGCAUAUGCAAUGCAAAACAGAUAUAAAUAGUAAGCCAGCAACACCAAGAAUUUUAGUCAGGUUCGACCCGUAAUCUUAUUGGUCUAUGUCCUGGUCCCCUACCAACUGGUAAGAGAUAAUAUUAUCAAUCACUGAAAUGUUACCGAUUACAAGAUUUAAUAAUAUAACUCCCUUCAACCCUUGUUCCUAUUUUCAGUUUGCUGAAACCCCUGAACCCUGAACCAAAAGCUCUUCAGACUUAUACUUCCCAAGUAUACUCUUCUAGCUAACUAGUUCCUUUGUUUCCUUGUUUCACAAGCUGGAUGCACAGCAAUAAAAACACUUACACCUUGAACAAUACAAUAUAGGUGAAAGAAUACAACCGAAACUAUGAACUCUUAAUAGAAAUAUAUACGAAUAUAAAUACUAGAUCUCAAAGAAAGAUUUAGCAAUGAUAGAGUUGUAUUUUCAGAAUCUUGAGGUGUGUUCUUGUAUAUUAAAACGGAAACCACACUCAAAGUAUUCAUACAUAGCAUUCCAACGGUCAUAAUUCAACAAAUUCACAACGUUCUUGGCCUAACCACCUCACGUUUAAUUUUCUUGAAAAAUGAACGUUUGAACACUGCAUAUUUUACUGAGGAAAAGAAUAGGAAAGCUGUAAAAACAACUCAGUAAAUCAUUUAUAUAAAACCACACAGUUUGAGUAGAAGUAGGAGUCUUAAAGGAUAAAAACGAUUUGAAUUAUAACUUCAAUAAAUUAAGAAAACAAUUUUAAUAAAACUCUUUUAAAAAAGGAUUAGCUCUAAUGUUUAUAUACGGUAUAUAUGUGUAUUAGAGUCCUUACACAAUGUUUCCUAACAAAUGUCCUUGAAAUUUGGACUUCAUUUUUAUCCACUUGGUAGUCUGUUAGUAUGUUGUGAACUUGGCUGAUAGUUUGUCAAUUGUCCCUGUAAGCUUGCUGACAGAUAUAACUUCAACUGAAAAUCAUGUGAGCUGUUAGCACAUUUAAAAUAAAGUUCAUAGCUAGCUUACAUGUCUCAGUUUUAUGCUAUUAGAUUGUUGUUAGUGUUGUUGUUGUCUCAAGCCCCGAAACGCCUUCCCUGUUAAGUCAAACUCUCAGCUUAUCAAAAAAGUCACGUUAAGUCAUAAGCCAUAAGCUCAGUCAAACGGGCCUAGAAAUGGUUUAGGGCAUGUAUAGUGGUGUCUUAAAAAUAAGACAAUUGUUGGAUGUCCUAGUGUUUUAAGGCACCACUAAGAGCAAGUCCAAGAGUGCCUAAACUAUAGUCCUAAACUAGAAUUUAAGGCAUUUUGCAUAGAUAGGUACUUCAACAAUGUCCUAGUGGUACCUUAAAACACUAGGACAUCCACUACGUGCCUCAUCUUUAGGGCAUCACUAAGCAUGCUCUAUUUCACUUCUAUCAAUAAAAAAUAUAUUUUCCUUACUUUUUACACAUCUCUUCUCUCUCAUCUUUUCUCUUCCCUCCAACUUUAAUUCAAAUAUAAUACUCCCUCCGUCCCACAAUACAUGUCACUUUGACUUUUUUCACGUAAUUCGAGGUGCAAAUAAAACAUAUGUCUAUAUAUUAUUUUUCAAAUUUUCUUCUUUCGAAUAAAAAUAUGGAUGUUAUACUUUUAUGCAGAAAAAGAAAAUUUGAAAAAUAAUGUAUAGAAGUAUGUUUUAUUUGCACAUCAAAUUACGUGCAAAAAGUCAAAGCGACAUGUGUUUUGGGACGGAGGGAGUAAUAUUUUAAUCAUAAGACACAUUUAUAAGGCAUAUUGUUGGAGUGAAUAUACAAAAAUCAUUUUAUUAUAUUUAUAAGGCAUCUAGUAGGACAUUGUUGGACUUGCUCUAAGACAUUGUUGGAGCACUCAUUUACUUCAAAUGCCUUAAAUUUUGAUUUAAGACAUCAAUUUAGGGCACUUUUGGAGCUCCUUCUGGCUGGUUUUGGUGAGAGCUUGUCAUUAAGUCCCAAAAAUAUGAGCCCCAUUAGAGCAAGUCCAACAGUGUCCUAGCAAGUGCCCUAUAAAUAUAAUAAAAAAUAGUGUCCUAGCAAUUUAAGACAUCUUUUUUAUACAUGAACUACAACAACAUGCCUUAUAUGUGUGCCUUAUUAUUAAACUAAUAAUUUAUUUGAAUUAGAAUUGGAGGAAAGUGAAAAAGUAAGAGGAGAGAGAUGCAUUGAAAUGGUGGGAAGUUAAUAUUUUAAUGAGAAAAUUAGUUUAGGACAUGCUUAGAAGUGCCUCAAAAAUGAGGCACUUGUUGGAUGUCCUAGUGGUUUAAGGCACCACUAGGACAUUGUUGGAGCACAUAUUUCAUCCAAUUGCCUUAAAUUUUAACUUAGGACAUCAAUUUAGGACAUUGUUGGACUUGCUCUUAGCCCCUCAAACAAGAUCAAACUAUUUUCUCUAGAGCUUCGCAAUUUCCAUGACAACUUUGACAUUUGCAUUGACACAUUGUUUACUCAAAACGAAUUUGUCUUGCCUAAAUUUAUAUAAUUAUCUUUCAAGAUAAUUGUAUUGAAUCAUACUUAUUAUUUUUGUAGCAAUUAUAUGGAUGUAUGAUUUUUUAAUUAGCUUAAUCAGGUCUAUAUUCAUUUCGGUAGUUUUUAAUUGACAAAUUUACUAACCUGCAGCAUGCAUGUGAAAGCUCAGAGAAGAUGUGUAAUUAAUAUAAAUUUUAAAAUUUUGAUACAAAUAUGGAUAUCAAUAUUUUAAUCCAUAACCAUAUAAAACCAAAUCAAAUUAUAAAUACAUUUGAUAUAAUUCAAUAUGGUCCAAGUUAUACGGAGAUCACAAUUAAUUGGAGUAUUGGAGUUCUCCAUCUAGUCCGUUCGUUUUAUUCAGAUCUAACGGCUGUGACAUUUUCUCUUUUUCUUUUUUAUAAAAACCUGUGUAUACAGUUUUGAUCAUAUACGUAUGAUAUGGCUCUGAAAUUGGCCCUAAAAAUUAUUGGGUAAUUUUGAGCCCGGGUCUGAUUAAAGGCCAGAAUAUAAGGCCCGGAUUCUGGGUUUAUCAACCAAAAUUCGUGGCUAGCAGAUUGAGGUUAUAAAAAGCCCGUUGGGCAUCCAUGUUUGAGAAACAUGGGCUGCCCAAACUCAAGGCACGAGCCCCCAGCCCGGUCAGGGCCCAGAACUCGAAUCCUAGUCCUACUAGGAGUCUGACUGACGAGUCCAGGACUCCGAGAGUCCUACAAGAACUCUGAAUUUCGUGGAUAACUAUCUAGAGUCCUAGAUAACCUCCAGUAGCUCAAGAUAAGGAUCAGAGAUCAGUCCUAUCCUAUCUCUGACUCAAAUACCUAUUUCUACUAGGACUCUAACACCAGGGAUCCUACUUCUAAUCAGUCUCUAACCCUGAGACAUCUAUAUAAAGGGCUCUACCCCUCCACAAUAGAACUACGUUUUUUGACUUGAUUCUUCACCCUGCUGAAGAUACGUAAGCAUCUCGUGAGGACCCGUCUAAGUUCCGACUGGCGAGAUCAGUCAAAAAGCACGAAGCUUAACCUUCAAUUUUUGAUCCAUAACAUUUGGCGCCGUCUGUGGGAAGAAGACAACAACCAUGGUGUCCACCAGAUUACGCUCAGAAAUUCAUGCACCUUCAAACGGAGACAACACCGCAACCCAAGAUCCACCAUUAUCUCAGGUCACCGCUGGAACCUCGAAUCCCGUCACCACCACACCACCAGUCACGUUGACCCUUGCUAGCAGUGGCACAACCACCGCUGCUCAAACCUCGAUUCCUAUGAUUUUUGGCACGCUGCCCCCUCUGACUAAUGUUGUGGCCACAGCCACUGAUCAUGGGACUCAUUACUCUACCGUUGUGACAACCACAAGAGGACCAACAGAUGAGUAUGUAGUUUAUACGGACGACUCUUCUGAAGAUUCAGAGAGGGACUACGAUAUUCCCCCACGAAGAAGGAGAGAUGGAAAUCAGAGCCGAGGCUCCCAGCACAACAUUAGGCCGAAUAACCCCGAGUCCCGUCGACCCACGGACCAGGAGUAUGAAGCUAGGAUUCGAGCUUAUGAACAGGAGAUAGCUCAAUUGAAAAGAGACAGGGCGGCACAACAGGCCAGGCAGCCACCGCCCGAACCUCGACAAAGGACUGAAAACCCUCAGAACUCAGGUAUGAAUAGAAUUCACUUGUUGGCUGCAGGUGAUCCAGAGAACCCGAUCCCCCCAUUCACCGAGGAAAUCAUGGCAGCAAGGAUUUCUCGAAAGUUCAAAUUGCCCACUAUUAAGGCAUAUGAUGGAACGGGUGACCCCGCGAAUCAUGUACGAACCUUCAUGAAUGCAUUGCUGUUGCAACCAGUCACGGAGGCCAUCAAGUGUCGAGCCUUCCCCCAAACCUUGAGCGGGAUGGCUCAGCACUGGUAUAGUCGACUACCCCCUAACUCUAUAUCCUCGUUCGGAGAUUUGAGCCGAGCUUUCAUAGGCCAGUUUAUUGGGAGUAAGACCCACGCUAAGAGUUCAGCCUCGUUGAUGAACCUUCACCAAGGCAGGAACGAAUCCCUUCGAGACUAUAUGAAUAGGUUCACCAAGGAGGCGCUCAAAGUCCCGGAUUUGGACCAAAAGGUAGCGAUGAUCGCCCUUCAACAAGGAACCACGGAUGAUAAUUUCCGCCGCUCACUAGCCAAGAGGGCCCCUGACAACAUGAAUGAGCUCCAAGAGAGAGCCGGGAAGUAUAUUAAGGCGGAGGAAAGCAUGAGAAAAUCCCAGAAUAACCAGGGACCAACCACGGACUCUAAGAAGCGUGGGAACGAUACUGAAUAUGAUGCUGAUAACAAGUAUUUGAAAAGGGAAGAUGGUGAAAAGUCACCUACCAAGAAGCAAUCAGGACCGAGGUUCACUGAGUAUGCAAGGCUGAAUGCCCCCAGGAGUCAGAUUCUGAUGGAAAUUGAGAAAGAGGGAGGAGUUCGAUGGCCGAAGCCAAUUAGGACUGACCCCGAAAAGAGAAACAAGGACUUGUAUUGCAGGUUUCAUAAGGAUACGGGACAUAAGACCGAUGAUUGUCGGCAGUUGAAGGAUGAGAUUGAGUUUUUGAUCCGGAAAGGCAAGUUGUCCAGGUAUACUAGGGAUGCAGAUAGGAAUCCCCGUGACAAUGAUAGUCGCGAUAGGGACAAUGAUGAUCAUGAUAGGAGAACCGAGCCUCGAGGGCCCGUGAUCAAUAUGAUCUCUGGAGGACCGACUGCAGCAGGCUUGUCUAGUAACUCACGAAAAGCUUAUGCUCGUGAAGUGAUGUGUAUCAUUGGAGAACCCCCGAAGAGGGCCAAGACCGAGAUUGCGUUAACCUUUGAUGAUUCUGAUCUAGAAGGGGUGAAGUUCCCCCAUGACGAACCGUUGGUCAUAACUCUCGUUAUUGGAAACUCAUCUAUUAAGAGGGUUCUUGUUGAUAAUGGAGCUUCUGUAGACAUCCUCUUCUAUGAUGCUUAUCAAAAGAUGGGGUAUGCUGAUUCACAGUUGACACCGUCCAACAUGCCGAUCUAUGGUUUCAACGGAGUAGAAUCCAAGAUUGAAGGAAUGAUCCAAUUACCAGUAACCAUGGGAGCAGAGCCACGACAGGCCACUUAUAUGUUGAACUUUAUGGUCAUUAAGGCCUCAUCAACCUACAACGCUAUCCUAGGAAGGACAGGGAUGCAUGCUUUUAAAGCCAUAGCAUCCACAUAUCACUUGAAAAUCAAGUUCCCCACAAGAAACGGGGUAGGAGAAGAAAAAGGAGACCAGAAAAAGGCCAGGAGUUGUUAUGUUGCAGCCUUGAAACCCGGGGGAGUCGGGGGGCAGGUUCUAUCAAUUAAGGAAUUGGUUCCCAUCUCCUUGUUAUUUUUAGGCCUGGUCUGAUUAAAGGCCAGAAUAUAAGGCCCGGAUUCUGGGUUUAUCAUCCAAAAUUCGUGGCUAGCAGGUUGAGGUUAUAAAAAAGCCCGUUGGGCAUCCAUGUUUGAGAAACAUGGGCUGCCCAAACUCAAGGCACGAGCCCCCAGCCCGGUUAGGGCCCAAAACUCGAAUCCUAGUCCUACUAGGAGUCUGACUGACGAGUCCAGGACUCCGAGAGUCCUACAAGAACUCUGAAUUUCGUGGAUAACUAUCUAGAGUCCUAGAUAACCUCCAGCAGCUCAAGAUAAUGAUCAGGGAUCAGUCCUAUCCUAUCUCUGACUCAAAUACCUAUUUCUACUAGGACUCUAACACCAGGGAUCCUAUUUCUAAUCAUUCUCUAACCCUGAGACAUCUAUAUAAAGGGCUCUACCCCUCCAAAAUAGAACUACGUUUUUUGACUUGAUUCUUCACCCCGCUGAAGAUACGUAGGCACCUCGUGAGGACCCGUCUGAGUUCCGACUCGCGAGAUCAGUCAAAAAGCACGAAGCUCACCCCUCGAUUUUUGAUCCAUAACAUUUGGCGCCGUCUGUGGGAAGAAGACAACAACCAUGGUGUCCACCAGAUUACGCUCAGAAAUUCAUGCACCUUCAAACGGAGACAACACCGCAACCCAGGAUCCACCCUUGUCUCAGGUCACCGCUGGAACCUCAAAUCCCGUCACCACCACACCACCAGUCACGUUGACCCUUGCUAGCAGUGGCACAACCACCGCUGCUCAAACCUCGAUUCCUAUGAUUUUUGGCACGCUGCCCCCUAUGACUAAUGUUGUGGCCACAGCCACUGAUCAUGGGACUCAUUACUCAACCGUUGUGACGACCACAAGAGGACCAACAGAUGAGUAUGUAGUUUAUACGGACGACUCUUCUGAAGAUUCGGAGAGGGACUAUGAUAUUCCCCCACGAAGGAGGAGAGACGGAAACCAGAGCCGAGGCUCCCAGCACAACACCAGGCCGAAUAACCCCGAGUCCCGUCGACCCACGGACCAGGAGUAUGAAGCUAGGAUUCGAGCUUAUGAACAGGAGAUAGCUCAAUUGAAAAGAGACAGGGCGGCACAACAGGCCAGGCAGCCACCGCCCGAACCUCGACAAAGGACUGAAAACCCUCAGAACUCAGGUAUGAAUAGAAUUCACUUGUUGGCUGCAGGUGAUCCAGAGAACCCGAUCCCCCCAUUCACCGAGGAAAUCAUGGCAGCAAGGAUUUCUCGAAAGUUCAAAUUGCCCACUAUUAAGGCAUAUGAUGGAACGGGUGACCCCGCGAAUCAUGUACGAACCUUCAUGAAUGCAUUGCUGUUGCAACCAGUCACGGAGGCCAUCAAGUGUCGAGCCUUCCCCCAAACCUUGAGCGGGAUGGCUCAGCACUGGUAUAGUCGACUACCCCCUAACUCUAUAUCCUCGUUCGGAGAUUUGAGCCGAGCUUUCAUAGGCCAGUUUAUUGGGAGUAAGACCCACGCUAAGAGUUCAGCCUCGUUGAUGAACCUUCACCAAGGCAGGAACGAAUCCCUUCGAGACUAUAUGAAUAGGUUCACCAAGGAGGCGCUCAAAGUCCCGGAUUUGGACCAAAAGGUAGCGAUGAUCGCCCUUCAACAAGGAACCACGGAUGAUAAUUUCCGCCGCUCACUAGCCAAGAGGGCCCCUGACAACAUGAAUGAGCUCCAAGAGAGAGCCGGGAAGUAUAUUAAGGCGGAGGAAAGCAUGAGAAAAUCCCAGAAUAACCAGGGACCAACCACGGACUCUAAGAAGCGUGGGAACGAUACUGAAUAUGAUGCUGAUAACAAGUAUUUGAAAAGGGAAGAUGGUGAAAAGUCACCUACCAAGAAGCAAUCAGGACCGAGGUUCACUGAGUAUGCAAGGCUGAAUGCCCCCAGGAGUCAGAUUCUGAUGGAAAUUGAGAAAGAGGGAGGAGUUCGAUGGCCGAAGCCAAUUAGGACUGACCCCGAAAAGAGAAACAAGGACUUGUAUUGCAGGUUUCAUAAGGAUACAGGACAUAAGACCGAUGAUUGUCGGCAGUUGAAGGAUGAGAUUGAGUUUUUGAUCCGGAAAGGCAAGUUGUCCAGGUAUACUAGGGAUGCAGAUAGGAAUCCCCGUGACAAUGAUAGUCGCGAUAGGGACAAUGAUGAUCAUGAUAGGAGAACCGAGCCUCGAGGGCCCGUGAUCAAUAUGAUCUCUGGAGGACCGACUGCAGCAGGCUUGUCUAGUAACUCACGAAAAGCUUAUGCUCGUGAAGUGAUGUGUAUCAUUGGAGAACCCCCGAAGAGGGCCAAGACCGAGAUUGCGUUAACCUUUGAUGAUUCUGAUCUAGAAGGGGUGAAGUUCCCCCAUGACGACCCGUUGGUCAUAACUCCCGUUAUUGGAAACUCAUCUAUUAAGAGGGUUCUUGUUGAUAAUGGAGCUUCUGUAGACAUCCUCUUCUAUGAUGCUUAUCAAAAGAUGGGGUAUGCUGAUUCACAGUUGACACCGUCCAACAUGCCGAUCUAUGGUUUCAACGGAGUAGAAUCCAAGAUUGAAGGAAUGAUCCAAUUACCAGUAACCAUGGGAGCAGAGCCACGACAGGCCACUUAUAUGUUGAACUUUAUGGUCAUUAAGGCCUCAUCAACCUACAACGCUAUCCUAGGAAGGACAGGGAUGCAUGCUUUUAAAGCCAUAGCAUCCACAUAUCACUUGAAAAUCAAGUUCCCCACAAGAAACGGGGUAGGAGAAGAAAAAGGAGACCAGAAAAUGGCCAGGAGUUGUUAUGUUGCAGCCUUGAAACCCGGGGGAGUCGGGGGGCAGGUUUUAUCAAUUAAGGAAUUGGUUCCCAUCUCCUUGUUCCGAGGUAAACCAGAAAAGGUUAUGGCGUUUGAUCUUAAGAAUGCAAGAGCCACGUAUUGGCGCUUAGCUAAUAAGAUGUUUAAGCAUCUAAAUGAGAAGACCGUGGAGGUCUAUGUCAAUGAUAUGCUAGUGAAGAGCUUGAAGAAAGCUGAUCACCUUGAGCGCCUGAGAGAGGCUUUCAGAGUCCUGAGGACAAAUAAGAUCGAAGUCUUGACUGACCAACCCCUUAGGAUGAUAAUGCAUAGCCCGAAGGCUAGUGGAAGAUUGAUUAAGUGGGCAGUAGAGCUUGAAAAUUUCGACAUUCGAUACAAGCCACGGGUGGCAAUCAAAGCUCAAGCUCUGGCUGACUUCCUAGUUAAAUGCACCAUUGACAACCAGGAAGUCGGGGGGCAGGAGAGUAGGGUAGAGGAACCCAAAGAAGAGGAGAAACUUAAUGAGCUUUUUGACGAAGUUUCAAAAACAAAUGGUGCAGGGCUUGUGCUCCAAACCCCUGAUGGGUUCGUCAUUGAGUUUUCUACAAAGCAAGAUUUCCCGGCCACAAAUAACGAGGCUGAAUGGGAGAAACUUAAUGAGCUUUUUGAUGAAGUUUCAAAAACAAAUGGUGCAGGGCUUGUGCUCCAAACCCUUGAUGGGUUCGUCAUUGAGUUUUAAAAUUUCGACAUUCGAUACAAGCCACGGGUGGCAAUCAAAGCUCAAGCUCUGGCUGACUUCCUAGUUAAAUGCACCAUUGACAACCAGGAAGUCGGGGGGCAGGAGAGUAGGGUAGAGGAACCCAAAGAAGAGGAGAAACUUAAUGAGCUUUUUGACGAAGUUUCAAAAACAAAUGGUGCAGGGCUUGUGCUCCAAACCCCUGAUGGGUUCGUCAUUGAGUUUUCUACAAAGCAAGAUUUCCCGGCCACAAAUAACGAGGCUGAAUGUGAAGCCUUAUUGGCGUGCCUUGGACUAGCUAGAACUCUGAGAAUCAAGAACUUAAAAGUCUGUGGAGACUCAAGACUUGAAGUCUUUCAGUUAGCUUAUGGAGCCAAAGCAGUGGUGUCACUAGUCGCGACUCGUACAACUUUCAGACCCUGGAUGGAGCCAAGGUUCCAAGGAGUUGGCACGCCACCAAUUUGAAGAUUUAUUAUGUUUGAUUGUCUUAGUAAGUAGAUAACCAUUGAAUAAACUUGGGUGUUAAAAAACCCCUAACGCCCGAGAGCGCCCGAGAAGUGAGACCCUGGAUGGAGCCAAGGUUCCAAGGAGUUGGCACGCCACCAACUUGAAGAUUUAUUAUGUUUGAUUGUCUUAGUAAGUAGAUAACCAUUGAAUAAGGUCUGAUAGACCAUUGUCAUUUAGUUUUAAACUUUGUUGAUUUCAGUUAUUUAUCUCUUCUACUAUAGUUUCAAUAAAAUUUCUCGAGGAUUGUUCCCUAUCUAAUGUUUCAAUGUUUUCCUUGAGUAUUUGUUUAUCUACAACGAAUUAAUCAACUCGAAACAGGGGCUCUAUGGUCUUUCUGUGGCCCUCAGCUUGAUCCUUCCAAGCUUUAGCCUGAGAAAGCCUAAUACAUCCCCAUUAUAGAAUAAGCCUAGAAAUGGCCCCUAAAACACAUGCCAUGGCUCAGUCUUAGUUAAGAGAUUGGCCUAUGAUAUGCCUAAGGGAUUAUUGUUUGACUUAACAAAUAAAAAACGAAGGNNNNNNNNNNNNNNNNNNNNNNNNNNNNNNNNNNNNNNNNNNNNNNNNNNNNNNNNNNNNNNNNNNNNNNNNNNNNNNNNNNNNNNNNNNNNNNNNNNNNNNNNNNNNNNNNNNNNNNNNNNNNNNNNNNNNNNNNNNNNNNNNNNNNNNNNNNNNNNNNNNNNNNNNNNNNNNNNNNNNNNNNNNNNNNNNNNNNNNNNNNNNNNNNNNNNNNNNNNNNNNNNNNNNNNNNNNNNNNNNNNNNNNNNNNNNNNNNNNNNNNNNNNNNNNNNNNNNGAGCGCCCCAGGAGAGCCAGAGCGCCCGAGGUGCGCCUGAGGACCUCACCAGCGUCGACCUGGGCACCAAGGAUGCCCUAAAUCGACCUGGGUGAGGUCGACAACUGACUUGGGUGUCAAGAAACACCUAACACCCGAGAGCGCCCGAGAAGCGCCCUGUGAGCGCCCUAUGAGCGCCCCAGGAGCGCCAAGAGCGCCCGAGGUGCGCCUGAGGACCUCACCAGCGUCGACCUGGGCACCAAGGAUGCCCUAAAUCGACCUGGGUGAGGUCGACAAUUAACUUGGGUGUUAAAAAACCCCUAACGCCCGAGAGCGCCCGAGAAGCGCCCUGUGAGCACCCAUGUAUAGUCCUGAAACGCUCGAGAGCGCCCAUGAAGCACCCUGGGAGCGCCCAUGAAGCGCCCUGGGAGCGCCCAUGAAACGCCCCACGAGCGCCAAGAGCGCCCGAGGUGCGCCUGAGGGCCUCACCACCGUCGACCUGGGCACCCAAAACGCCCUAAAUCGACCUGGGUGAGGUCGACAAUCGACUUGGGUGUUAAAAAACCCCCAACGCCCAAAAGCGCCCGGGAAGCGCCCAGGGAGCGCCCUAUGAGCGNUGCCCUAAAUCGACCUGGGUGUGGUCGACAACUGACUUGGGUGUCAAAAAACACCCAACGCCAGAGAGCGCCCGAGAAGCGCCCUGGAAGCGUCCUAUGAGCGCCCCCGGAGCGCCCGGAGCGCCAAAAGCGCCCGAGGUGCGCCUGAGGGCCUCACCACCGUCGACCUGGGCACCCAAAACGCCCUAAAUCGACCUGGGUGAGGUCGACAAUCGACUUGGGUGUUAAAAAACCCCCAACGCCCGAGAGCGCCCGAGAAGCGCCCUGGGAGCGCCCUAUGAGCGCCCCAGGAGCGCCAAGAGCGCCCGAGGUGCGCUUGAGGACCUCACCAGCGUCGACCUGGGCACCAAGGAUGCCCUAAAUCGACCUGGGUGAGGUCGACAACUGACUUGGGUGUCAAAAAACACUUAACGCCCUUGAGAGCCCAUAAGCGCCCUAGGUGCGCCCACGGUGCGCGCGAGCGUCGACCUGGGCGAGGUCGAGCGCCCAUGAGCGCCCGAGCUGCGCGCCAGCAUCGACCUGGGCGUCCAAUCCGCCCUAAAUCGACCUGGGCGAGGUCGAGCGCCCCUGAGCGCCCGAGCUGCGCGCCAGCGUCGACCUGGACGCCCUGAGCGCCCUAAAUCGACCUGGGUGAGGUCGAGCGCCCCUGAGCGCCCGAGUUGCGCGCUAGUGUCGACCUGGACGCCCUGAGCGCCCUAAAUCGACCUGAGCGAGGUCUAGCGCCCUGGAAGCGCCCGGAAAACACUUAAAAAGCGCCCCAGAACACUUGAUGUACCCCCAAAAUGCCUCGGAUCGACUAAGGAAAGUCCAGAAUCGGCCUAGAUGGCUGACCUUACUCAGAAUAGGCUCGAGAAGUGAUUGAAAAUGCUCUAAAACUUUAGAAAAGUUUCUACGAAACUUAUCCAAAGUUGGGGGGCAAAUGAUAUGGGUCUGAAAUUGGCCCUAAAAAUUAUUGGGUAAUUUUGAGUCCGGGUCUGAUUAAAGGUCCUAGAAUAUANNNNNNNNNNNNNNNNNNNNNNNNNNNNNNNNNNNNNNNNNNNNNNNNNNNNNNNNNNNNNNNNNNNNNNNNNNNNNNNNNNNNNNNNNNNNNNNNNNNNNNNNNNNNNNNNNNNNNNNNNNNNNNNNNNNNNNNNNNNNNNNNNNNNNNNNNNNNNNNNNNNNNNNNNNNNNNNNNNNNNNNNNNNNNNNNNNNNNNNNNNNNNNNNNNNNNNNNNNNNNNNNNNNNNNNNNNNNNNNNNNNNNNNNNNNNNNNNNNNNNNNNNNNNNNNNNNNNNNNNNNNNNNNNNNNNNNNNNNNNNNNNNNNNNNNNNNNNNNNNNNNNNNNNNNNNNNNNNNNNNNNNNNNNNNNNNNNNNNNNNNNNNNNNNNNNNNNNNNNNNNNNNNNNNNNNNNNNNNNNNNNNNNNNNNNNNNNNNNNNNNNNNNNNNNNNNNNNNNNNNNNNNNNNNNNNNNNNNNNNNNNNNNNNNNNNNNNNNNNNNNNNNNNNNNNNNNNNNNNAGAAAAAGGUUAUGGCGUUUGAUCUUAAGAAUGCAAGAGCCACGUAUUGGCGCUUAGCUAAUAAGAUGUUUAAGCAUCUAAAUGAGAAGACCGUGGAGGUCUAUGUCAAUGAUAUGCUAGUGAAGAGCUUGAAGAAAGCUGAUCACCUUGAGCGCCUGAGAGAGGCUUUCAGAGUCCUGAGGACAAAUAAGAUCGAAGUCUUGACUGACCAACCCCUUAGGAUGAUAAUGCAUAGCCCGAAGGCUAGUGGAAGAUUGAUUAAGUGGGCGGUAGAGCUUGAAAAUUUCGACAUUCGAUACAAGCCACGGGUGGCAAUCAAAGCUCAAGCUCUGGCUGACUUCCUAGUUAAAUGCACCAUUGACAACCAGGAAGUCGGGGGGCAGGAGAGUAGGGUAGAGGAACCCAAAGAAGAGGAGAAACUUAAUGAGCUUUUUGACGAAGUUUCAAAAACAAAUGGUGCAGGGCUUGUGCUCCAAACCCCUGAUGGGUUCGUCAUUGAGUUUUCUACAAAGCAAGAUUUCCCGGCCACAAAUAACGAGGCUGAAUGUGAAGCCUUAUUGGCGUGCCUUGGACUAGCUAGAACUCUGAGAAUCAAGAACUUAAAAGUCUGUUAAUCGGAUUUGGGCUUCUACCAAACCUAAUCCGAUUUUGGUUUUAAUAUUAAAUUCGAAAUUCUAAUUACUUAAUUAAGACUGGCUCAAUUAAAUAAUUUACUUCGAACUUAAUCAUUUAAUUUAAAUUCAGAAUUUAAAUUAAAACUCCUUUAAACGUUCAAAGUGUGUGACCCUUUAGGUUAUUAUUACGUUGGCAAUAAUUUUAAUAUCCAAUAAUAAAAUUAUAAACAAUGAGCGGCAUCUAGUAAUACAUCAUUGCUACCCAAGUAAUAAUAAUAAUUGGUGAUUCAAUUAAACCUUUUGUGAAUAAUGUACAAUGUAAUAUAAUCCCUUUAACCUUAUAUUAUAGAUCAGACUCAAGGCAUGUAUUGUGUCAUCCUCUUCAUCGUCUAAUCCGAAUUUCCUUGAUCAAUGAGUAGACUAUUAAACAAAUCAAUAUUUGAGCACGGCCAUGCAUUUUAUAGUCUCACUCAAUCAAGAGGCCAAUAAUAUCACUCCUAAAAUAGGAGGGUUAAAUCCUUUAUAGAUCAUUCAUAUUUCUCAUAUGAUUCAUAAUAUACCCAAUGUACAUUUCAUCAUUACCCGGUCAAAGGUAACUUUUAGUGCAACCAAAGUAUAUUAAUUCUCAUAUAGAAAUAUAAUGAUAUCAAGUCAGAGGAUCAUUACAUCAUUAUCACAGUGAGAAUUUCCAAUGACACUUAUUAACAUGUAAAAUCUCACGGUGGGUCAUUCCAGUGCCAUGUGUCGAUACAUGCACUUAUGUUCUUGACUUUAGCAUCACUAUACCUAUGAUCAAUGAGAUGUGAUCAUCAGUCAACAAACAUACUAGUCUCAAUGCAUCAUUAUUGUCCCUUAACAAUAAUACUCGACUAGGGACAUUUAGGAAUAUUGAUAUUAUUCUCAUAAUCUCAUUUCUAAGUCACGUACUUAGAGAUAUAGAAUUACAUAUAAUAUUCCAAGGACAUUUAUUAUGCUUUCUAUUUAUUACGCAGUAAAUAAAGACACAAUAAAUAUUUAUUCAAUAAUCAAUAUAACAUAAUCCAUAAAUGUCUACAAUAGAACACAAUAGUAUUGUCUCUAGGACACUAAUACUAACAAUCUCCCACUUGUACUAGAGCCAAUCUCUGAUGUAUCUAAUACCCAUGGAACUAGUAUGACCUUCGUGCUUCUGCUGCGACAAAGCCUUGGUCAGUGGAUCUGCAAUGUUAUCAUCUGUAUGCACUUUACAUAUAUGUAUAUCCCCUCGAGUAUUAAUCUCUCGGAGCAGGUGGUAUCGUCUGAGUAUAUGCUUAGUGCGGGAAUGAGAUCGGGGUUCCUUAGCCUGUGAAAUGGCUCCAUUAUUGUCACAGUACAAAUCUAUCGGAUCUGAUACUGAAGGAACCACAUCAAGUCCUGUAAGAAAUUUCCUGAUCCAAACAGCUUCCUUGGCUGCUUCACAAGCAGCUAUAUACUCAGCCUCCAUUGUAGAAUCGGCAACCGUCUCUUGCUUUGAACUUUUCCAACUAACAGCACCUCCAUUUAGACAAAAUACAAAGCCAGACUGAGAGAUCGAAUCAUCUUUGUCUGUUUGGAAACUAGCAUCUGUGUAACCUUUUACAACUAGUUUCUCUUCUCCUCCAUAUACCAAGAAUUGAUCUUUAGUCCUCUUUAGGUACUUAAGAAUAUUCUUGACUGCCGUCCAGUGACCUUCACCUGGAUUAGACUGGUAUCUACUCGUCAUGCUCAAGGCAUACGAGACAUCAGGACGAGUACAUAUCAUUGCAUACAUUAUGGAACCAAUUGCCGAAGCAUAUGGAACUUUGCUCAUACGGUCCUUAUCAUCCAAUGAUUUCGGACUGUUUUCUUUCGAGAUCAAUAUCCCGUGAGACAUUGGGACAUAUCCCCUUUUUGCCUCUUGCAUCCCAAAUCGAUGCAAUACCUUAUCAAUGUAUGUACUCUGACUUAGGCCAAUUAGUCUUCUUGAUCUAUCUCUAUAGAUCCUGAUCCCUAAUAUAUAGGUCGCAUCGCCCAAGUCUUUCAUCGAGAAAUUUUUGCUCAACCAAGUCUUAACAGCCUGUAAAGAAGGUAUGUCAUUCCCCAUUAGUAAUAUGUCAUCCACAUAUAGCACUAGGAAUGCCACAUGGCUCCCACUCACUUUCUUGUAAACACAAGGCUCAUCUUCAUUUUGAAUGAAGCCAAACUCUUUGACUGUUUCAUCAAAACGAAUAUUCCAUCUCCUUGAGGCUUGCUUCAAUCCGUAUAUAGAUCGUCGCAACUUACAAACCAUUUUGGGAAAUCUCGGAUCGACAAAACCUUCAGGUUGUGUCAUAUACACAUCCUCUUCUAGGCUUCCAUUCAAGAAGGCGGUUUUGACAUCCAUCUGCCAGAUUUCGUAGUCAUAGUAAGCAGCUAUUGCAAGCAAAAUCCUGAUGGAUUUGACCAUAGCAACUGGUGAGAAGGUUUCAUCAUAGUCAAUACCAUGAAUCUGUCUGAAACCUUUUGCAACUAGUCGUGCCUUAUAGGUCUGAACAUUUCCAUCCAUGUCGGUUUUCUUUUUGAAAACCCAUUUACACUCAAUAGGUUUAACUCCCUCGGGUAAAUCAACCAAAGUCCAUACUUGGUUUUCAUACAUGGAAUCCAUCUCAGAUUUCAUGGCAUCAAGCCAUCUCUUGGAAUCUGGAGUGUUCUUAGCAUCUUUGUAGGUUAGAGGCUCAUCAUUAUCCAUAAGCAUCACAUCACCAGUUUGAGUCAAGAGAAAACCAUAAUAUCUCUCUGGCUCAUGGCGAACCCUACUAGAUCUACGAACAACCUGUGUUUCCGGAACAGGAUUACUCUCAGUAUUUUGAUGUACAUCCUGCUCAGGUUCCUGCUCUGGUUCAAUGUUAUCAUGUGGUUCUCGAACUUCAUCGAGAUCUAUUAUCCUCCCACUGUUUUUCUUAGAAAGCAUCUCUCUUUCAAGGAACACAGCGGUUCGAGCAACAAACACUUUGUUCUCAGAAGGAUUAUAGAAUGAAUAACCUCUUGUUUCAAUUGGGUAUCCCACAAAAUUACAUUUAUCAGACUUAGGUCCUAGCUUGUCAGAAUUUUGACGUUUCACAAACGCCUCACAUCCCCAAAUUUUCAUAAAUGACAUGCUAUGACGUUUCUCAGUCCAUAUCUCAUAUGGAGUGUUCUGGACCGUUUUAGUAGGAACUCGGUUAAGUGUAUAGGCAGCCGUCUCUAGGGCAUAGCCCCAAAAACUAAUUGGAAGAUCUGCAUGACUCAUCAUUGAUCGCACCAUGUCCAACAAGGUACGAUUCCUCCUCUCGGAAACUCCAUUCCAUUGUGGUGUUCCAGGAGGAGUAAGUUGUGAUACAAUACCACACUCUUUUAAGAAAUUCUUAAAUUCUUGGCUUAAGUAUUCACCUCCACGAUCUGAUCGUAGAGUCUUAAUACUUUUGGUAGUUUGCUUUUCUACUUCAGCUUUGUACUCUUUGAACUUUUCAAAAGAAUCGGAUUUAUUCUUCAUAAGAUACACAUAUCCAUAUCUACUGAAAUCAUCAGUAAAUGUUAUGAAGUAGUAAAAGCCACCUCUUGCCAUAGUUCGCAUUGGACCACAUACAUCACUAUGUAUUAGUUCCAAUCUCUCAGUGGCCCUCUCACCUUGUCCUGUGAAAGGUGCUUUAGUCAUUUUUCCAAUGAGACAUGGUUCGCAUGCUUCGUAUGAUUCAAAAUCAAACUUAUCCAAGUAUCCAUCCUUAUGUAACUUGGAAAUGCGCUUCUCAUUUAUAUGGCCUAAACGACAGUGCCAGAGGUAUGUUUUAUUUGAGUCAUCAGUUUUAAGUCGUUUAUUAUUCACAUUAUAGAUGGGAGUAUCCAAGUCAAGAACAUAUAAACCGUUAAAUAAACGUGCAACCCCAUAGGUAACAUUAUUCAAAGAAAAGGAACAACUAUUGUUCUGAAUUGAAAAAGCAAAACCUUUCUUGUCCAAACAAGAAACUGAAAUAAUGUUUCUGCAAAUUGCAGGCACGUAAAAACAAUUCUCAAGUUCUAAAAUAAGCCCAGUGGGCAACGAUAAAUGAUAAGUCCCUACAGCUAUAGCAGCAACUUUUGCUCCAUUGCCAACUCGCAGGUCGACUUCUCCCUUUGCCAACGUCCUACUUCCCUGUAGCUCCUGCACAUUCAUACAAAUGUGAGAACCACAUCCAGUAUCUAAUACCCAAGAUGUUGAAGUAGACAAAUUGACUUCUAUAACAUAAAUACCUGAAUCAGAAGCGGCAGCAGCCUUCUUCUUCUUCAGAUCCUCCAAAUAAGCAUGACAGUUCCUCUUCCAAUGACCUGGUUUCUUGCAAUAGUGACAAUCACCCUCCUUCUGAACACCACCUUUCGGCUUCAAGGCCUUAGUUGGACCAGGUUUCGGAUUGGCAUUAGAAUUAGAUCCCAUCUUCUUCUUGCCUUUCCAUUUACCCUUUCCUUUGGCCUUCCCCUUAUUCACCAUCAAUAUGGGAGUAGGGGACGCCUUCUGAAUGUUGGUUUCAGCAGUUUUCAACAUUGCCAACAAUUCGGCGGGGUUCUUGUUUAUCUCAUUCAUAUUGUAAUUCAUUACAAACUGAGAAUAGUUAUUGUUUAGAGAUUGCAAGAUCAGAUCAAUUUGGUGCUCAGGACCAAUCGGGGCACCCAAUUUUUCAAGAUAAUCAAUAUACCCUAUCAUCUUCAGAACAUGCGGUCCUACCGGAUCACGUUCACCCUGCUUACAAGCAUUCAAAGAUUUGAAAGUAUCAAACCUCUCCUGACGAGCCUGUCCCUCAAACAUACGCUUAAGGUGCUCAAUCAUAUCAUAAGAAUCCAUAUUCUCAUGUUGUUUCUGAAGUUCAGCACUCAUGGUCGCUAACAUGAGACAUUGAACAUCCGUGUCAUCAUCGAUAUGCUUCUGAUAAGCAGUAUGCUGAGCACGGGUUGAUCCUUCAGCGAGAGGUGUAGGGCGAGGAAUAUCUAUGACAUAGAGCUUGCGCUCUUGUUUGAGGACAAUCCUCAAAUUCCUUUGCCAGUCAAGGAAGUUGGUUCCUGUCAGCUUGUCCUUCUCAAGGACUGAUCGUACAGAGAAGUUGUUUGAAUUAUUUGCCAUUGGAUAUCUACAAUAUUUCAAAUGCAUAAGAUAAAUUAGUCUACAGAUGUUUAUUAAAUUAUGUUCAAGUGAUUAUAAAUAUAUAUUCAAAAUAUAUAUCUCCCACUAUUUUGUUCAAAUCAAUAGCCCUAACUAUUAAUUCGGAAAGCAUUUCUGCAAAUCUUUCUAGUGAGCCAAGAUCCAUAUUUCAUCCAUGUUUUAAGUUAGCGUGGGCUAAUACUCUCAAAACAUGACUAUUUAGGUAGACAACAUUUGUCAAUUAUAUCAAAUAUAACUCUUGGAUAGUUUGGUGGAGCAACCCUUUGCACAUAUUUAUGUAAUAAAUCUCACCAAACUCCAUGCCUCUAAACCCACAAUCCUAUUGUGAUGGUUUAGUUAAGUUAGACCCAAUAAUUCAAUAACUAAGUACAUUUACUUAUCACGUCUUCCCAUGAUUGAUUAAAGCACUUUGCUUUGGCAAACCUACUUCUUUCAAUCUAGAUCUUGACGAGUAUUAAUCAUUGGAAGGCAUCUGAUUAACUUAAUAUUUUAAUUAGGGAUUUUAUUAAAACGACCAUGAUCCUGUCAUAAAGAGAUCCUCAAUUUUUCCUUGAAUCAAAUAUUUCAAAUCAAUACUCUUUGAUUGGUUGAAAACCCGACCUGAGGUGUUGGCACAACGGCUAUACUUAAAAACCCCAAAUCCGACGGAAUCUUCCUCUCAUUGAAUAUCGAAAAUCCAUAAUUAAUUCCGUGUUUCAUAAACACGAGAAUCUCAUGAUCGUUGUAUUCCUUUUUAAAAUCUUGAGUCGUUACAGAUUUUAUCUUGUUUAAACAAGCAUGGCAUGGGUGUCGUAUCGAAUACAUACAUCUUAAUCUAAUUAAGCAUGCAUCUCUAUAACUACGCAUACAUAUCAUCAUCUCAUGCAUCAUAUAUGUAAAGUGCAGUAUGUAAACGUGCAUGGUUAUGGCCUUUAUCCUAUAUGAUUCUUUCAAGCUAAUGAAAGAAUCUAGGUCAAUCUAUGGUGAAGAUGUAUAACUAUUACAAGUCUUCAUGCUCCUUGAUUGCCCCUCCUUGUGGAUCAUCCUUCAAUCUUCAAGUACAUUACAAUGAAUAAUUGAAUACAACCUAUUCUAAUGUACUUACAUGAGAAAACUCGAGUUACAUUCGAGAUUAAAAUUACAAGAAUGAAUAUCACGACAUGCAAGUCGUAUUUAUACAACCAAAACCAAAAAACAUUAAACUAGGGGUCCUUAAGGCCAUAACCAGCACCAUGCUCAAGUAAACAAACAAGAACACAUAACCAUACAAAGCGGGGGUCCGGGGGCGGCAGCCACCGGGCGGGGUCCGGGGGCGGCAGCCCCAGGCUGGGGUCAGCUCGGAAAUUUUUGAUUCCUGAAUACAAGUGCUAUACAAAAAUCAUCAAUUUCGGAACAACAGAUCAUAUCUGUUACCUUCUGCCACUACUGCAUCAUAUGCAGUUUCAGAAGCAUGUAUCAUAUACAUGCUGAUCAUUCCCCAGUGACCAGAUCAUGUCCAUACACCAUCUUGUUGAACAGUUUAUAUCAUUAUAUAAACAACACAUCAUAUGCAGAACAUACAAAUCGCAUACUAAUCAGUCAUGGCAAAUCAUAAUCAUGCUAGUAUCAUCAUAUCACUAUAUUUAACAUAACAGAAUCAUAUAUGAUCAAUAUAGCAUGUUAUAAUCAACAUAUCUCAAAACCAUAUCAAGGCAGAUUCAUAAAACAUGCAUACAUGCAUCGAAUACUGUAAACACGUAACCAAAUCAGCCCCUUAUAGACGUAGCUCUGAUACCACUGUUGGGUUUCGGGGCAACAAACGCAGCGGAUAAUCGACGAAAAAAAAAAAAAAUCCGAAACCCUAACCCGAGGAUCCAUCUAUAAAGAACGGCUGAUCAUGGAGAUACGAAAUAAUACCUUGUUGAAGCUUUACGUUAGCGAAAGAUGGAGGUCCGGAACAAGCAAUCACCACGCAGCCCUCGUCUAAGGAUCGCGUCUCUAAGCAGUCCACACGAACGUCUGAUCGCCAAAGAUCACCGGAGCCGGUACUAGCCGAAUGCACCCUCUCUCUCUCUCUCUAGCCUCUCUUGAUGUAGAGCUGCUAGGGUUUUAUAAUAAAACGAAUUUUAUGUUACUUAACCCUAAAACAAUACAUCAUUAUGUAUUUAUAGGGAAGAGAGAUAGAUGGGCCAAACCCUAAUCGGAUUUGGGCUUCUCCAAACCUAAUCCGAUUUUGGUUUUAAUAUUAAAUUCGAAAUUCUAAUUACUUAAUUAAGACCGGCUCAAUUAAAUAAUUUAUUUCGAACUUAAUCAUUUAAUUUAAAUUCAGAAUUUAAAUUAAAACUCCUUUAAACGUUCAAAGUGUGUGACCCUUUAGGUUAUUAUUACGUUGGCAAUAAUUUUAAUAUCCAAUAAUAAAAUUAUAAACAAUGAGCGGCAUCUAGUAAUACAUCAUUGCUACCCAAGUAAUAAUAAUAAUUGGUGAUUCAAUUAAACCUUUUGUGAAUAAUGUACAAUGUAAUAUAAUCCCUUUAACCUUAUAUUAUAGAUCAGACUCAAGGCAUGUAUUGUGUCAUCCUCUUCAUCGUCUAAUCCGAAUUUCCUUGAUCAAUGAGUAGACUAUUAAACAAAUCAAUAUUUGAGCACGGCCAUGCAUUUUAUAGUCUCACUCAAUCAAGAGGCCAAUAAUAUCACUCCUAAAAUAGGAGGGUUAAAUCCUUUCUAGAUCAUUCAUAUUUCUCAUACGAUUCAUAAUAUACCCAAUGUACAUUUCAUCAUUACCCGGUCAAAGGUAACUUUUAGUGCAACCAAAGUAUAUUAAUUCUCAUAUAGAAAUAUAAUGAUAUCAAGUCAGAGGAUCAUUACAUCAUUAUCACAGUGAGAAUUUCCAAUGACACUUAUUAACAUGUAAAAUCUCACGGUGGGUCAUUCCAGUGCCAUGUGUCGAUACAUGCACUUAUGUUCUUGACUUUAGCAUCACUAUACCUAUGAUCAAUGAGAUGUGAUCAUCAGUCAACAAACAUACUAGUCUUAAUGCAUCAUUAUUGUCCCUUAACAAUGAUACUCGACUAGGGACAUUUAGGAAUAUUGAUAUUAUUCUCAUAAUCUCAUUUCUAAGUCACGUACUUAGAGAUAUAGAAUUACAUAUAAUAUUCCAAGGACAUUUAUUAUGCUUUCAAUUUAUUACGCAGUAAAUAAAGACACAAUAAAUAUUUAUUCCAUAAUCAAUAUAACAUAAUCCAUAAAUGUCUACGAUAGAACACAAUAGUAUUGUCUCUAGGACACCAAUACUAACAGUUUGAUGGUCUUGGUAAGUAGAUAACCAUUGAAUAAGGUCUGAUAGACCAUUGUCAUUUAGUUUUAAACUUUGUUGAUUUCAGUUAUUUAUCUCUUCUACUAUAGUUUCAAUAAAAUUUCUCGAGGAUUGUUCCAUAUCUAAUGUUUCAAUGUUUUCCUUGAGUAUUUGUUUAUCUACAACGAAUUAAUCAACUCGAAACAGGGGUUCUAUGGUCUUUCUGUGGCCCUCAGCUUGAUCCUUCCAAGCUUUAGCCUGAGAAAGCCUAAUACAACCCCAUUAUAGAAUAAGCCUAGAAAUGGCCCCUAAAACACAUGCCAUGGCUCAGUCUUAGUUAAGAGAUUGGCCUAUGAUAUGCCUAAGGGAUUAUUGUUUGACUUAACAAAUAAAAAACUAGUCUCGAUUAGACAAUAAGCUAACUAGACACAGCGAGUCUCGGCUUUAAAAGCCUUCUAAACUCUUAAAUCAACCUGAACUGGGUCUAUCAUAAUCAAACAUGAUUACACUCGAGAGCGCCCUAUGAGCGCCUUGGGAGCGCCCUAUGAGCGCCCCAGGAGCGCCAAGAACGCCCGAGGAGUGCCUGAUAACACUCACCAUGGUCGACCUGGGCUCCCAACACGCCCUAAAUCGACCCGGGUGAGGUCGACAAUCAACAUGGUGUUGAAAAACACCCAACGCUCGAGAGCGCCCUAGAAGCGCUUUGGGAGCGCUCUAUGAGCGCCCCAGGAGCGCCUAGAACAACCAAGGAGCGCUUGAGGACCCAACGCCCUAAGUGCGCCUGAUGACCUGGGUGAGCUCCACAAUCAACUUAGGUGCCAAAAGGCGCGCAACGUCCAAGUGCGCCCGAGAGCGGCCAACAAGCGCCCUGGGAGCGCUCAAUGAGCGCCCCAGGAGCGCCAAGAGCGCCCGAGGUGCGCCUGAGGACCUCACCAGCGUCGACCUGGGCACCAAGGAUGCCCUAAAUCGACCUGGGUGAGGUCGACAACUGACUUGGGUGUCAAAAAACACCCAACGCCCGAGGGCGCCCAAAAAGCGCCCUAGGAGCGCCCCAGGAGCGCCAUGAGCGCCCGGGGAGCGCCAAGAGCGCCCGAGGUGCGCCUGAGGACCUAACCAGCAUCGACCUGGGCACCAAGGAUGCCCUAAAUCGACCUGGGUGAGGUCGACAACUGACUUGGGUGUCAAAAAACACCCAACGCCCGAGGGCGCCCAAGAAGCGCCCUAGGAGCGCCCUAUGAGCGCCCCAGGAGCGCCAUGAGCGCCCGGGGAGCGCCAUGAGCGCCCGAGGUGCGCCUGAGGACCUCACCAGCGUCGACCUGGGCACCAAGGAUGCCCUAAAUCGACCUGGGUGAGGUCGAAAACUAACUUAGGUGUUAAAAAACCCACAACGCCCGAGAGCGCCCAAAAAGCGCCCUGGGGGCGCCCCAGGAGCGCCAAGAGCGCCCGAGAUGCGCCUGAGGACCUCACCACCGUCGACCUGGGCACCAAAAACGCCCUAAAUCGACCUGGGUGAGGUCGACAAUCGACUUGGGUGUUAAAAAACCCACAACGCCCAAGAGCGCCCUAGAAGCGCCCUGGGAGCGCCCUAUGAGCGCCCCAGGAGUGCCAAGAGCGCCCGAGGUGCGCCUGAGGACCUCACCAGCGUCGACCUGGGCACCAAAACACCCUAAAUCGACCUGGGAGAGGUCGACAAUCGACUUAGGUGUCAAAAAAACACCUAACGCCCGAGGGCGCCCGAGAAGCGCCCUAUGAGCGCCCCAGGAGCGCCAAGAGCGCCCGAGGUGCGCCUGAGGACCUCACCACCGUCGACCUGGACACCCAACACGCCCUAAAUCGACCUGGGUGAGGUCGACAAUCAACUUAAGUGUCAAAAAGGCGCGCAACGCCCAAGAGCGCCCGAGGUGCGCCCCAUGAGCACCCAAAGAGCGCCCACGAGCAUCCGGAACGCCCAAGAGCGCCCCGGCAGCGAAAAUUGACGCCCUAAAUCGACCCGGGUGAGGUCGAAAAUUGACGUGGGUGCUAAAAAACACCCAACGCCCGAGAGCGCCCGAGAAGCGCCCUAAGAGCGCCCCAGGAGCGCCAAGAGCGCAGGAGAUGCGCAUCAGGACCUCACCAGCGUCGACCUGGGCACCAAGGAUGCCCUAAAUCGACCUGGGUGAGGUCGACAAUUGACUUGGGUGUCAAAAAACACCCAACGCCCGAGAGCGCCCGAGAAGCGCCCUGCGAGCGCCCUAUGAGCGCCCCAAGAGCGCCAAGAGAGCCCGAGGUGCGCCUGAGGACCUCACCAGCGUCGACCUGGGCACCAAGGAUGCCCUAAAUCGACCUGGGUGAGGUCGACAACUGACUUGGGUGUCAAAUAACACCCAACGCCCGAGAGCGCCCGAGAAGCGCCCUAAGAGCGCCCCUAGAGCGCCAAGUGCGCCCCCAGAGCGCCCGACAGGCGCCCAACGCCCGAGAGCGCCUUAGUUGCGCCCCACUACCGUCCCGGGAGCGACCGAGGACCUCAUCAGGAUCGACCAGGGCACCCAAGGCACCCUAAAUAGACCUGAGUGAGCUCUACUAUCAAUUUCGGUGCUAAAACACACUCGGAGCUCAAGAGUGCUCGAGGUGCGCCACAUGAGCGCCCAACGCCUGAAGGCGCCAGACUUGCGCCUGAGAGCACCCGAAGAGCUCACCAAAAGCAGUCUAAAUCGACCUGUGUGAGCUCCACAAUCGACUUGGAUGCCAAAAGGCGCGCAACGCCUGAGAGCGCCCGAGGUGCGCCCCAUCAGUACCCCAAGAGCGCCCACGAGCGCCCGGAAGGCCCAAGAGCGCCCUAGGAGCGCCCCACGAUAAACCCGGGUUCCCCAGGAUCGACCUGGGUGCCCCACGGCACCCUGAUUCGACUUGGGUGAGCCCCAAGGUCGUCAUGGGCUCCCCAAAAUGCCCCAAAUCGACCCAGAUGUCUGAUUUUACUCAAAAAACUCUGAAAAAAUUCUAGAAAGUUGGAGUCAAAUAUGAAAAUUCCAAGAAAAAUAGAAUUGAGUCCCGGAAAAACAUGAAAAUGCUUGAGAGCACUAUAAACGCAUACGAUGUGGCCUAUAGGAACGAUUUUCUUCAUAGGAAAGGCUUGAAAAGACGGAAAAAGACUCGUAAAGUCUGUAAAAUCAUUGAAAAGGCUUGAAAAGUCGUCUGAGAUGCUCUAAAACUUUAGAAAAGUUUCUACGAAACUUAUCCAAAGUUGGGGGGCAAAUGAUAUGGCUCUGAAAUUGGCCCUAAAAAUUGUUGGGUUAUUUUGAGCCCAGGUCUGAUUAAAGGCCAGAAUAUAAGGCCCGGAUUCUGGGUUUAUCACCCAAAAUUCGUGGCUAGCAGAUUGAGGUUAUAAAAAGCCCGUUGAGCAUCCAUGUUUGAGAAACAUGGGCUGCCCAAACUCAAGGCACGAGCCCCCAACCCGGUCAGGGCCCAGAACUCGAAUCCUAGUCCUACUAGGAGUCUGACUGACGAGUCCAGGACUCCGAGAGUCCUACAAGAACUCUGAAUUUCGUGGAUAACUAUCUAGAGUCCUAGAUAACCUCCAGUAGCUCAAGAUAAGGAUCAGAAAUCAGUUCUAUCCUAUCUCUGACUCAAAUACCUAUUUCUACUAGGACUCUAACAUCAGGGAUCCUACUUCUAAUCGGUCUCUAAUCCUGAGACAUCUAUAUAAAGGGCUCUACCCCUCCAAAAUAGAACUACGUUUUUUGACUUGAUUCUUCACCCCGCUGAAGAUACGUAGGCACCUCGUGAGGACCCGUCUGAGUUCCGACUCGCGAGAUCAGUCAAAAAGCACGAAGCUCACCCCUCCAUUUUUGAUCCAUAACAACGUAGACUAUUCUUUAACCUUAUUAAAAGCCUGUAACCGUUACUUACGUCUACGCUAUAAUCUAGGAUGAUGAUUUUUCAGUUUGGAGAGAGUUUCUUCUCUUUGUAGUGGAUUGCAAAUUUGGUGCUCAUUCUUUUCUUGUCAAGGUUGUUCUUUCUCGUUGUCCUGCAAAUGGCUAAUAAUGAAGAACAACCAAGUACGUUGUUUACAUACAUGUAUUCUGCAGAUUUUUUCACAUAUUUUUGUUUUUCAAUUCGUGGAACUUUAGAGAACUGAACAUCUAUUCAUGUGUUCUGCACAUCUCAGCAUAUACAUACCUCUCUAAAUUACAAAACCCUUAAACUUGUGGAUUUGUUCUACUGGAUUUGUUUAACACAAUUAAUUUCGAAAGAGUCACACCUAAACUCAUGUCCUGCAAUUUCCGAGUACCUUUCGUCUUGUAUAAAGCUAUUCGACUACUUCUACGGUUGUUCUGCAAGAUCUUCGUGGUGCCGACCUUAUCCGUGAAUUCAUUAUAUUCUGAUUUGGGGACAAAAGUUAAGGUUGAGAUUUGGAUAGUAACUGUCAAGAGUAUAUCCUUGUUCGCUAAAGUACCGAUUAUACGGUCUUGUAUACAGACUGAUUAGAUUUUAUUUUAAUUUGAAAACAUUUGCUAGUUGUCCUCACAUCUACCGUUGAUUUAUGUAUUGUCUUAAUGGCGUAAGAUGUGGUCUUCAAGUACUCUAAUACUCUAAUAAUACAAGACUCCAAGGAGCCCAACUCAAUCUAUACUAUAUUAUAAUAAGCCAACAUAGUUAUAAUUUGUAGCCGUGCAAAUUUUUGGUUCGGUCAUGUUUUUUUUGGUUUAGUACUCUUUUAUACAACCAGAAGUCUCCAACAUAUGGAAAUCUACUACUUUCUUAUUAUCAAACAAUUUCAAAUGCUAAAAAAACUCAUCAUGUAUUAUAAGACAAAAAAUUUAUCAUUAUCCUCUUAAAUAUAAUUUAUAAUUAGUUGAAAAAAAUGAAACUGCUAUUAAUAACAUAUAUUAAUACUAAAAAAAUACUUAUAAAAUAGAUGUAUAACUUAUAAAGACAAACUAGAAGCCAAAUAAAAAAAUUUAUAUAAAUAAGUAUGAAUCUUCUUAACUGAUACAAGAUAAAUAAUAUUUUGUUUCUUAUUAAUAAAAAAUAUUGAUUUAUAAUUAAUAAUAAGUUAAAAAUAAAAUUUACGUAACCAUUUUUAACUCUAAUAUGUUACACGAUUAAUAUCUUUUUCCAUACAUAUUUUUAAUAUGCGAGAUAUUCAGAAUUUGAUUCAAAAUCAAUUGAAUAAUAAAUUAUCACAUAUUAAUAUCAUAAAAAUAUUUAUAAAUAGACAAUAAAUUGUAAAAGCUAAAUUUUCAUGAGAAAAUAUAAUUAGUUGAUUAAUAUAAUUUAAUUAAAUCCAAUUCAUUAAUACUAAAAUACUAGGAUAAUUUUAAAAUUUAAAUUAUAAACAGUAAAUUAUGAAUUAUAUACUCGCUCGUGCUUCGCACAGAUUAAAGGCUAGUAUAAUUAAUAUAUGAUUUCGGUUCAUAAACGAGUCCUAAUCCAUGUUAUAGGUUAUAUAUACAGUAUUUACUGUGAUAUCUUAUUUGAUUUGUUUUUUAUGUUACUUUCUUUCAAGGAUUUAUUUUUAUGUUACUUAUAAACGCACCGAUGAUAAAGAGUCGGUUUAUUUAAAAAUCUCAGCUAAAUCUCCUAAUACAACUUCGAAAAUAUUAUCUUCUUCGAUUAACAUGUUGUGCACCGACCCACCGAGAAGUUCGGCAGUAAAAUGUAAGGGCCGUUGACUUAAAUUUAUUAUAUACAAGUACAAAUUAGUUUUUAAUUUAUUUAUUUGGAUAAAUUUUUGGAAAUAUACAACUUAUCACGUAUUAUAAUUAUUUUUUUUUGAAACUACGUAUUAUAAUUAUUGAUACUAGUUUUUUAUCCGUGCGAAGCGCGGACGAGUAUAUAAUUCGUAAUUUAAUAUUUAAAAUUUAACACUAUUUUAUUAAUAUUUUAGUAUUAAUAAGUUGAAUUUUAAUUAAAUUAUAUUAACCAACUGAUUAUACGUUCUCACGAAAAUUUAUUUUUUACAAUUUAUUAUCUAUUUAUAAAUAUUUUUCUGUUAUUAAUAUAUUUUAUUUUAGGAUUUUUUUUAUUCAUAACCACGUUUUCAAUUUUAUUUUCAAAAAUACUACAUUCUCCAAUCUUAUUUUCAAAAGUACUACCUUUUCUAAAAUAUUUUCAAAAAUACUACAAAUCCUUCUAAAAUAUUUUUAAGAAUACAACUUCAUAUGCAACCAUAUAUGCAACAACAAAUCCUGAUUUCAAGUUUUAGUUUUCAAAUGUCAUUUUCGACCUCAUCUUUGGACUUAUCAAGAUUUUUAAAGGACAAGUUUCAUUUGUAUUCUUGAAAAUAUUUUAGAAGGAUUUGUAGUAUUUUUGAAAAUAUUUUAGAGAAGGUAGUACUUUUGAAAAUAAGAUUGGAGAAGGUAGUAUUUUUGAAAAUAAGAUUGAAAAAACAGUAUACAAGAUAAUUCCCCUUUAUUUUAUUAUUCAAUUAAUUUCAAAUCAGAUUUUUUAUAUUUAGUAUAUCUUCAUAUGUAUUGAAAAAGAUAUUUAUCGUGUAAUAGAUUAGAGUUAGAAAGGGUUACGCAAUGUUUGUAAAAACAUGUUAGAGUUAAAAAAGGUUAUAUGAAGAUUCUUGUUAAAAAAGGUUAUAUGAAGAUUCUUGUUAAAAAAAGGAUAUUUAUAAUUUUAUUUUUAACAUUAUUAAAUUUUUUUAUAAAAUAUUAUAUGAUAAUGUAUUGUCAUGAGCGAUUUUAGUAUUUUAAAUUAUUUAACAAUGUAAGAGUAAUAGACAUUUUAGACUUGUAGAUUAGAGGGAGAUCAAACCAAAAAAUAUAACUAAAAAUUUGGACUACACAUUAUAUCUAUGUUGAAUUAUUAUAAUAUAGUAUAGAUAAUAAUAAAAAUAUAAGUUAUUUUUAAAGUGGUCUCUUAGAUAUAAAAAAAAUCAAAAAUAAUAUAAAUCACUAAAAAAUUUUCAUAUUAUGAUUUAUAAGGUCGGAUCUCGAUUCGAAAUACCUGAAAUGCACAUCCAGAUUCAAACUUUUUGUGUCAAAAAAUAAUAUCUAGAUACAGAUCCAAAUUUUUUGGUUUAAAUAUAAGAUCCGAUCCAAAUUCAAAAAAAUCGAGUUAUCCAAUCGGGUCGGAAUUAAACCCUAGACCUACGCGGUGCUCUCUAAUUUUCUCCAUCUCCACGGGGUCUUUUACAUUCACUUUAGGGGUUUUCUGUUCUGUUAGACCCAAAAUUGACACGGUACUUUCUAGUUUCUUCCAUCUCCGUAGGGUCUUUCCAUCUCCAUAAAAUCUUUUCUAUUCACUCCUGGUGCAUGUUUUCUAUUUCAGUAGACCAUAGACCUACACGAUACUCUCUAAUUACUUCUAUCUCCACGGGCUCUUUUCUAUUCACUCCUGGUUUAGUAUGCUCUUUGGCCGCCUAUGCACUUCAGUAAUAAAACGAUAUUUCUUACUACUUAGCCUUGGACAAAUGAGGGCAUGAGUUUCUGAGGAACAAUCAGGAAUCUCUUGAAUUACAUCAUGACUUCUGUAGUUGAAAUUGAGUUGCUUAAAGCUUAAAUACAGUUAUAGGGCAUGAGUUUCUGAGGAACAAAGCUUAAAUACAGUUAUAGCCUGUUUGGAAAUCAGGAUUUCAUUUGAAAUUCUGGAUUUGAUCAAAUAACUUGUUUGGGAAUUUGAAUUUGGAUUUUAUUUGAAAUCCAAACAAUCAAAUUUUAGUAUAAAUCUGAGAAUUGAAAAUGCAUGACAAUUCAAAUCCUGUCAUUUGAAAUUCAUCAAUUGAAAUGAAAUAUAUGUUUCCAAAUGGACCCUUGAGUCAUACACAUUUGAGGCUUUUGAGCAACUAAGCAACUUUCAUUUGGCAAGAUUUUUUAGUUCAUGGACAAAGAAAAUUAUGAAUACAACUAAAAAUACAAGAAGUUGAACUCAAAAACUAAUUUCUCAUGGUUAAUUCUGCUCAUUGGCAACAUAUUCAAACCCUGCCCCUGAUCCACCUUGCGCCCUCAAGCUAUCAAUAUAGCUUCGAACCUCCUCAGCAAUCAUCCUCUGCAUCAUCCUCACCAAACCAGUAUCUUCCAUCUCCACCACCGUCGAUCCUUCCUUUUCUUUCUCCUCGUCCUCCACCUCUGGCGAAACACGCGUCUCUUCCUUGACAGGAUUACCUCCCGGAGGCAACAGUGUCAGCAAAGUCUUGGGUUCACAAUCAUCACAGCUGUUCUCCUCUGGUGACCCUCCCGAACAUCGCCUCUUGACUCCCAAACCAGACUCCGAAGACCCACUAAUCACAUCCAGAUAACCCCUCUUGCCCGCAUCAGCAAUCCUCCUACGCCGCAGCGUGGAGUUCCAGUGAUUCUUGAUAGCAUUGUCAGUCCUCCCUGGCAAAAGCCGAGAGAUAGUCGCCCACCUGUUCCCAUGCAUCGCGUGGGCUUGCACGAUGACCGCGUCCUCCUCAGGGGAGAAAGGCCGGUGGUGCACCGCUGGACUGAGCUGAUUACACCACCUAAGCCUACAAGACUUGCCCGAACGCCCCGGAAUGCUGGUGCUAAUAAGCGACCAAUUCCUCGGCCCCUGCUGCUCCACCAGUUUCACCAGCGUCUCGUCUUCCUGCGGAGUCCAUGAUCCCUUGACCUUCUCAGCACCAUCCGUGAACUCCAUCGAAAUCCCAAAAUAAUUUUCAAUACCAAAAUGAUAGGACGGAAAGAAGAUUAUAAAGAUGGUAUAAAUAGUAGCGGUUUGAAAAGGGGGAGUGGGGGAGGGCGUGAUGAACCGAAAAACUGCUGAAACUCUGAGUUUGUUAGUGUAAUAGAUGAGGAAAAGAAGUGGUUACAUAGGAGAAAACAUACAUGAGUGCGUGCAUGGGUGUAGUUAGUUGGGGAGUAACUAACUGACUCUUAACAUGGAGUAACUGAUUACAUCUACAUGUAACGGCCUUGCUUUUUAUUUAUUUCUCGUAACUGCUCGUUGACAUUUCUCUCUAGCUAACUCCUUAUCUCAUCAGUUAUGUUUUCUAAUCCUAAUGUCACAUAAUGUCACAUUUAACGCGUGUUUGGAUUAGCUUAAAAUAAGCUUUUUGGGAUUUAUUUUAACGUUUUAAGUUGUUUUUAUUAUUUACGUAGUGUUUGGUAAAAGAAGCAGAAGUGUUUAUUUUGGAUUUUUUUUAAACUAGAAGCUGAAAACCAAAAAUGCUAGUUUUUGUGUGGGUAUUUUAGUGAUUUGCAUAUUAUUUUUUAAAUUUUUAAUAUGUAAUAAAUUUUAUUUAUUAAUAAAAUUUCUUUUAUUUUAAUAAAUUGAUUUUAGUAAUUUAUAAAUUUAAAUUACGAAACACUCAAUUGACUUAUAAAUAAAAGUUACUGAAACACUUUUAAUAUUUUAUAAAUCAAGUUGACUUAUCACUUUUAAUCCAUUUUUUUAUUUUAAGUAAUAAGUCACUUCUUUGAAUUUAAGCCAAACGGCCCCUUAACAAUUUGUCUAACAUCCUUUUUCCCACAACACACAUGUUUUGACGAGCGGAUUGAAUUAACUAUUUUACGUAAAAUUAAUUGAUAAAUGGUUAUCUGAUUAUUUUUGUUAUACUUUAAUUAAUCACAUGCCUAUCAUCCAGUUUAAAAUAUAAAAUUUUCAAAAUUAGCUUGUCAAGUCCAAAUCAUUAAUUUAAUUCACUAACUUUCAAACAUGUGUACUAUUUGACAAUUUACACUAUCAAAUAUCUGAUAUUUGAGAAUAAUUUCAAAUUCUCGUUUGUAAAGUUGAAAAAGCGGACCGGAUCGAAUAACAAAAUAGGCUGUUUAACGAACCGAGCUGUUCGCGAACAAGCUCGAGCUCGGCUCGUUAAGAGCUCGUUCGGCUCGGCUCGUUAAGUUAACGAGCUCGAGCUCGAACACAAAAAAUUUUUCGUUAAGUAAACGAGCUCGAGCCGAGCUUUUAGUAUGUUCGGCUCGAGCUCGGCUCGAGCUCGACUCGAGCUCGCUCGGCUCGAGCUCGGCUCGUUAAAGCUCGAAAAAAUGUAAUAUUUUUGGGGUUUUUUUUAUAAUUUAUAUAUGUUAUUGAACUCAGAAUUCAACAUAUAAUUUAUAUAUAUAUAUUUUAGUGAUGUAACCAAAAUUUCGGAAAAUAAUAAUUUUAUAUGGUUUGCUAUUUUGACAGUCAAGUAGAAGGUUAACUAGUACCGCUAACUAGUGUUUAAUCCUAAAUUAGUGUUUCAAUUUUUUAAAAAAUAUUUCUUACCGAUCCAACCUCAUGGAUGUUAACAUAUAUACAUUUUAGUGAUAUAAACAAAGUUUCAAAAAAAUUAAAAUUAUUUGGUUAGCUAUUUUAAGAGUCAACUAGCGGUUUGUCUUUAUUUUUUUUCUGGCUCGGCUCGACUCGACUCGACUCGGCUCGGCUUGUAUUUGUUCGCGAACAAGCUCGUGUUCGGCUCGUUAGUUAACGAGCCGAGCUUGAACACAAUUUUUGUUCGAUAAAAAAGCUCGGCUCGGCUCGUUAGAAAAAAAAUUAAAGCUCGGCUCGGUUCGGUCAAAACUCGGCUCGGCUCGGUUCGUGAACAGCCCUAAACAAACAAACAGAUAAAUUAUGCAUGUUCCUUAUUUAUGUUUUUUAGUGUAAAAUAUCAUACACAACUAUAGUUACUUAAGAAUAGGGCUGUUCACGAACCGAGCCGAGCCGAGUUUUGACCGAGUCGAGCCGAGCUUUAAAUUUUUUCUUAUCGAACCGAGCCGAGCCGAGCUUUCUUAUCGAACAAAAAAGUGUGUUCGAGCUCGAGCUCGAUAACUAACGAGCCGAACACGAGCUUGUUCACGAACAAAUACGAGCCGAGUCGAGUCGAGCCGAGCCGAGCCGAGCUGGAGAAAAAUAAGGCCAAACCGCUACUUUACUCUUAAAAUAGCAAGCCAAAUAAAAUUUUUAGUAUGUUUUGAUGGUACCAUAUUAUAGUUGAUAUUCUCAUGAUCGAUUUGAUAUAUUAUAUGUUGAAUUCGGCGUUCAAUAUCAUAUAUAUAUUACGAAAUUAUUAUGAAAAUAUUCUUUUUUUUUUCGAGUUUUAACGAGCCGAGCUCGAGCCGAUCGAGUUCGAGCCGAACAUACUAAAAGCUCGGCUCGAGCUCGUUUUCUUAACGAACAAUUUUUUGUGUUCGAGCUCGAGCUCGUUAACUUAACGAGCCGAGCCGAACGAGCUCUUAACGAGCCGAGCUCGAGCUUGUUCGCGAACAGCUCGGUUCGUCAAACAGCUCUACUUGGGAUGAUAUUAUUCAGACUAUUCAACAGAUUCGCAGAAUUAUUAAAAUCGCGCAAGUUGUUCCGUAGAUUACAUUAUGGCAAAAGAGUCGAAGUCAAUAUAUUGUUGCAUGAACGGUGGUAACUUGUGUUCGUCUUUGGCUGCAUAGAUGUACAAGUUUAUAUAACUUGAUAUAUGAUACGAUAUGACGAUAGAUAUAUAGAAGAUGCGUUGAAACUUUUGGAGUGUUAUGAUUCGGAUUUGUUGCAACUGUUGUAGUUAUUUUAGGGGUUUAUGACCAAAUUGCGUUCAUCAGCUUCUCAACAAACUCACCCCUUUGGGAAACUUGGUACAACUCAACAGGCUGGUGGGUGACAAUUAGUAUGGACCAUCUUGUCAUGCUUGUAACGGCCUUGUUGUACUUUGAUUUCAUCUUGUGCUUGGAAAGGGAGUUUUUGUACUGGAUUAUUAACUAGACUACAGUACAACUGCAUUAUUAACUGGAUUUAUGUUGUUCAUUCCGAGAGAAAAGAAGCAGCUGAAUGUGAGCUUAAAAUAAAAAAGUGGAGUAUAAGUUAGAAACAAGUUAAGACUUAUAAGUGAUUAAAGUGUUUGGGAAAGAAGUAGAAGUUCUGAAACAAAAACUAGCAUUCCUAGCUUUUUAUAAAUAUUUGUUGACUUAUUACACAAACGGUGGGAAUAAGUGCUUCUAACCUAUAAACCCAGAAACCGGCCUUUUAAGCAGUAAACAAACACCCCCAUAAGGGAGUUUUAUGCACCGAGUACCAACUCCGACUAUACGAUGUUUUCGAGUUAUCAACUACAUUCAUGUUACUUGCAGGUGAAAAACACUAUGGUCACAUUGAGAAGAUAAUUAUCAUUAGUUGGAUCAUGUUCAUUAUGAGUAAACUAUUUGUGUUUCAUCUUUCCUUGAACAAAACUAGAUGCUCCAAGUAAGAUCUAUCUACAUCUUAUCAUCCUUGCACUGAUCUCGGAACAUCCAUAUACCCUAAUAACCACCAGGACCAGCCAUUCAAACAAUGCAUUUAUUCCCCCCUAUAACAAAGCCCAAACACCUGACUCAGCAAUUCAAAGGCCAACUAGCAUGUAUGGAAACAACAAACAAGUGAUGGCAGCUAGCUGCAUUGUAUAAAUAUAUCAUAAACCCCUAGCACUUUCAACCAUAUAAAAAUAGAAUAGUAUCAUGUUAUAGUUAACCCCGUACUAUUCUACAGCUCACAACUCUCAACCAUAUUAUCAACUUGGUAUACAACACUAAUAAUUCAACUGGUACAAGUGAGAACACAUAUAAUAACCUAUAAUGUAAAGCAUGAUACUCACAAGGUAAGUCCAGUAUGAGUACAUUUUCCCUUUAUCUACAAGUUUAUAGAUAAGUUACCUCAAUAAAGUUUGUAGGAAAGCUUAUAAGGGUAGUUACUCUUUUGUACACAUUGCUAACGGAAUCUAGUCUAACUCCACCUUUUUUUCGAUAUACAGUAUAUCUUUCGGUUAGUUUUCCUAGCAAAGUGAAAUUAAGUGUCAUCGGUUUUAGAGCCCUCUGCCUUCCUCUAACUAAGGACAUGGAGCACCAAUUUCUAUUAUCAAUGCCAAAUAGUCUUUAUUCCUUCUUGGAAUGACAUAAGAUUGGUUGAACAACAGCUUUAUAAUCUUGAUAAAACCUCUGCUCUGAAAAUUUGCCUGCCCUCAGCCUUGCAGCCUCAGCUAUUUCAAGCCUCUCACUCUCUGUAAUCAUUAUAACUUGCAACAUGGCAUCUUUAUAUUCUUCUGCAUCUUGAGCUAGGAACCCAACCUUUUUCCCAUCUUCUGUCAAUACAAUGUCCAUUUUUGGUCCUGCCGAAUUAUGAGCUGAACAUACACAGGUUCCAAACAUCAACAAAUGCAAUAAUAUAAUCGUGUGCACAGAUAUUCUGUAGUACUCUAUCCUCACAUAGGACAAUAGGAAUAUAGGACAGAAACAUGUAGUAGGAAAAACAAUCCUCUUUCAAUUUGAUGAUUCAGGGUUAUGACAUAUAGUGCGUAUAUAGAAUAUAUGUUCAGUAAACAUGUAUGUUCAUUGUUAAUGUACAUGUUGACACAAACCAAUAAAGACUAUCAAAAAUUGUAUCUAGAAAAUUGAGGUGAAUAGAGUACCAAUUGGUAUUGCUCCUGCUGCCAUGUACUCCACAACGCUGAUGCCAAAAUGCUCAUCAGUCAUUGCAUGAAGUCCUGCAAUAGCAGCGCCCAAAAGUUCCACCAAAUUCCUGCACACUUAAGAAACUCAAGAAGGCUCGCCAAGGAAAACUUACAAAACAAAAAAAAAACACAAAGAUACUUCCUUUAAUAAUUUGAAGGUAAAAUCCUAAUAUAUCAUAAAGUAUUUCUUAUAACAUAAUAUACCUUGUAAAGAGACCUAAAACUUAUGGUUGCUUUAGAAUAUCACUUUCCCCACAUCUUACAAGAUUAACCGGCAUGACUGAACUUUUCAUGUACAUCAAGAAAAAGUAGAUUUUAAAUGAAAUAUACCUAUACGUAACAUUCUUGUGGAACUCCACAUGGCCAUCGACCUUCAGUUCUAUAGCUUGAUCUUUCAGUUUCUGCAGCCUCAUUUCAUCAGCCUCAUUCCGACAACUACCGACAAAUUGAAGUUUUGGCGUUGGCAAGGCUGAAUCUAGAUUCCUUAUGACAAGCGCAAAUGCCUCUAGUUGAAGACUGUGUGCCUAAGAUACAAAAAUCAGAAUCAAGGGGCAUAUAAGUUAUAAUAACUAAAGCUAGAGUACCUCGUAUACAUAAUUCAAAUUCACAUGGCUACCUUUUCUGGACGAAAUUGAGACGCAGAAAUAAAUAUUGGAGGUGUUGCUGGUCUCUUUAAGGGAAGCACCUAAUUUAGGCAUUCAGCUAAAACUAGUAAACACCCACAAGACUAUAAAAGUGCACGAGUUGAUAAAGAAAACCAAAAAGUUUGUAAACCUGAAGCCCUGAGGUAUCACAAGGCGGAUAGACUCGGUAGAUACGAUCUGGAUUCCCCCACAGCUUAACAAUGUGAGCUCGAGUCCAAGAAGAAUUGACCAUCACAAGGUGUGCAAAAGAGCCUACAAUCCCAUAAAGCCAGCUAAAAAUUGUGUAAUAGAUGACUUUCACAUGGGAUAGCAGAACACUGUCCUUCAGUUAAGUACAAACUUUGACAUAUGAGUGGAUGUGAAACAAAAAUGAUUAUAUUUAUCAUCUUUCAAUUGCUAAACAACCAAAAAAGAAAGCAUAUUACUUGAACUUGAAGCGUGAAACAAUACUACAUUCACUCAUAAACAGACAGCUGAUCGAGUAACAAAGUUCACAUUGUUUGAAGAUAUAAACCAGCUUCAUUAACAAACAGUUUAUCUCAUAGUAAGAUUAAAAGCAUAGCCUUGUAGGCGAUCCCAUGAAAAUAAAAACCUGUAUAAGAAGAAACUUCUUCGUACAUUAUAAAAGUACCAAAGAACCUUGAAUAGGCACCUUAAUUUUUUUGAAUAUUUGUGGUUCCUACGUUAUUUAUUGAAUUUGAGCUAUCAUUUUGAAGACAUUUCAACUACACAACACAUAUAAAUAAUCAGGAUCAAUAAGGCAAAAGGGCAUAUAAUAUGUUUUAAAAAUUCUUCAGACAGAUCCAGAAGUAUCUGUAGACCUCUUUAUGAAGAGGCUGUAUUCCAAAAUCCAGUAAAAUGCAUCAAACUAAUUUGGAUACAAACCUUUUAGCAACCAAUGGAUCAUUAUUGUACAUUGAAGUCCGUGCGUUGACACGAGAUAGCAUGUCUAAACUGAUUGUUGGGUAAUGCAUGUAGCAUAUAACUUUGCAACCAAAUACCCUCGCCACAGGAUAUGUAAAAGCAUAUCCACUUGUAUCAAAAUAAUAUACAGGAACCAACUUGCAUAAGGCUUCACAUGAAAGGUAUAUUGAACCAAAGCUCUGACCAAUCAUUGUAAAGCGACGGUAUGUUGUAUCUUCAAUCCACUUCCUCUUGUAUAGAUGUACCACCUGGCAUUGGCAUAGUCAGGUAAGUCAGCAAGACAAAAGGAUGUUUGUUUGCAGUGUAAAUCAAUUCUCCAAACAAAGCAUAUAUAAAAUCUUAAAACUCCCAUGUCUGAAAAUUUAACAUUAACACCCCCUUAAUGGCCAAGUCCUACAACCAACUAAUAACUAAGAACCACAUCCACUUUGCUACUAUUUUUAUCAAAUGCAAGAAUUAUUUUUAAUUACUUCAUUCCAAAGUCACGCACAAGGAAGAUUUGAAGCUUGAAUACAAAAAUCCAGAACCAAUCUCUUCAAACUUGGUGCAUCUUCUAGAAGCUAUUUGAACCGAGUUUCAAGCCAAUGUUAUUUAUUUCCAACACUAUACGAAAGCUAGCUACCACUAACCCACUAAUUGGCAACCCCCUCUUCAAUUCACUCCAAUAUACAUCAAACCAAAAACUACUUACCCUAUAAACUAAGUUGUUUCAGGUCAACCUGAUAAUCAAAUAUAGUGUUUGAUAUACUGCUAAGAAUAGACUAUUAUAGUUUUUAUGUAGCAAUUAUAAAUACAUAAAAAAUUGUGAUGAUAAAAAAAAAAAAAAAAAAAAAAAAAAAAAAAAAAAAAAAAAAAAAACCAGAUUUGAAUGAUCCUGUAUUAAGANNNNNNNNNNNNNNNNNNNNNNNNNNNNNNNNNNNNNNNNNNNNNNNNNNNNNNNNNNNNNNNNNNNNNNNNNNNNNNNNNNNNNNNNNNNNNNNNNNNNNNNNNNNNNNNNNNNNNNNNNNNNNNNNNNNNNNNNNNNNNNNNNNNNNNNNNNNNNNNNNNNNNNNNGAAAAAAAAAAAAAAAAAAAAAAAAAAAAAAAAAGAACAAAGAACAAAGGAAAGCAAUUUGGCACAAGUAGAUAUCUUUUCUACUGAAUUCAUAAGCCUGAUUAGAAACCCACAAUAAAAUGUUAAUUGCCUCUCGCUUUCACAACCAUUUGAAGUUUAACGUAGCACAUUACUGGAUCCUAACUUCAAUUUAUCUUUAUUUAAUAAUCCAGUAAAAGUGCGAAACCUUAAUUGACUAAAACUUAACUUCAAUUCACUAAAACUUUGCUUCAUAUACCAUUAUAUAUAUAAAAAAUUAUAACUUCACAACCUAACAUCAAAAAUCAAAAUUUUAAUCAAGAUCAAAACCCUUUAUCAACAACAUAUCUAAACAGCACAAUGUAACACAAUCGAAUUUCACAUUUACAAAUAAACUAAACCAAGAAACUAUAAUACCAAAAAAAAUACAAUUUUAAGAUACAAAUCGAGAAAACAUAAAGAAGCUACGCAACGGGAUGGCAUUACCUUCGGGGAACUAACUAACUGAACUCCAAAGCGAUCGAUGGCACGAGCUUUGAGACUCUCCGGCGAGGCAUCAUGAUCGCCGGUGUAAACAACACAGUCGAGAUCCGGCGAGAGUUCUUGAAUGCCUUUGACGGCGCACCAUAGCACUCGCUCUCCGCCGCCGCCGUCGUUGGUGUAGGGGUGGAAGAAUCCGACGCCGGCGAGAUUUGACGACGGUUAAAAUUAGGGUUAUAAUUGGAAGUGAAAAUAAAAGGGUGAGUAUUGGUAAUAAUCCUACCAUUACAAUUAGGGAUUGAUGAUUUGGGUUUUUCAGCUCGAUCAUUCUAACACUGACUUUUAUGUGAUAUGAUAAGGUUAAGCAUGAUGUUGAUGCUUUUUGUGACGUUGUUGAAAAUUUUGAUUUCAUUUUUAACUUAGAAUUUUUUUAAUUUUAUAUGUCAAACGAUCAUGAACCAAAUCAGUUAAUCUAUAUCUAUAUAUCUAUAUAGGGUAGCACUCCGUAGCAUACCCUCUUAUAUGGAGUUACGUAGCACACCAUUAUAAAUAUAUACAUAAUAUAUAUUCUAUUAUAUUUUUAUGAAAUAUAAUUGCAAAUUUUGAUUAUUAAACCGAAAAUGAAGUUAUACAAUUUUUUUAUUCCAAAGAUCAUCUAAAAUUAUGCAAUAUCUCAACAUGAUUCUAUAACAGAAUAAUAAUCAUCCAGAAUUAUUCUAUUGUAGAAUCAGUUUCGAAAAUAUACUUUUUUAAAUCAAAUUUUAAGUGUUAAAUUACUUAAAAUAUAUUUAUUUUAUAGUAUUAUAUAUUAGAAUCACGUUUUAUAUGUAUUCUAUAACAGAAUUUAUAAUAAAAUUGAUGAUUUAUAGUGGCGCACUAUGUAACUCCAUAUAAGGAGUCCCUCUCUAGAAUGUUGGCCUAUCUAUAUAAUUCUUAAAGUAUGAGUCAUUUUUUAAGGCCGCUUUGGUAAUUUCACAUUCUCUUGGAUCAACCCGUUAAGCUCCGGAUCGACCCAGCAGCUUUCUCAUUCAAAUUAACACUAUGAAAGCAUAUUUCGGGUUUUUAUGCGACCCACCCGAUUUCCACUGGAUAUGCAGCAUGUUCCUGCCAUAUCAGGAGCGUUGCAUUUAAUGUUGUUCCUUCGAUCAUGCCACUCAUUACGCUUUUUGUAUGACAAGUCUAAUUAUUUUUGGUAUGUUUUCAAAUAAAAUUUAUACCUAAAUUUUAGUAUAUUCUAAAAGGAAUACAAAAAAUCAUAUGUGACACAAAACAAAUGAUGUCCCAAUCGUAAUGAGAUGAGAUUUUUGGUAUGUUAUCAAACAAAUUUUUAUAUAGAAAAUCAUGUUUACUGAUAUUAUUGACUAGAAUAUCCAUUAGUGAUACGGUGUUUUUAUUUGUGAGUUCCUUUUCAUUGAAAAGAAUAUCAAUCACCAGUGAUCUUCUUCAACAUUCCUUCUAAUUUAAAUACUUGAUAUCUUUGUUAUUAUCAAUUAGCACGACAAAAUUAUCAAAUUAUGAGCUGCUUCUACUCUAAAUCUUUCUUUACAUACCUUUAUACAAUUUAGUUAAAGCAGCUGUGAUAUCCUUCCGAUUGAAUACAGAAGGAAUGCAUGAUCAGACAUGCAAAAUCAGUGGCUUUGACCGUGUUUCCUCAUUUAAUACAUCAAUGCUAUAAAUAAAGAUGCAGAAUUGUCAUCUUUCUCCAAGGCUCCUGCAGGACACGCCAAUCAUACAGGUUGUGUUUUCUUUUGUCAUAGUUACUAUGUUCUUGAGUGCUUUCUUUCAUACACACUCUUCAAUGUGCUGACCCCGUAUUUUUACAUAUAUUUCUUCCAGUGAUGAGCUUCCACGAACAUAUCUUCUCUAUUGACACAAGUAAGCUGACAUGGACACUAAAGGUGAGGGUUACAAGGAUGUGGCCGACACUUGAUAAUCGAGGCAACGUUGUUAGCCACAAUAUGAUUAUUCAGGAUUGUUUGGUAAGCGUCUUUUUCCCUUUUUUUGCAUGGUCGGAGUGUUGCUUUACAUUUGAAAACUGUUCCAAAUUUGCUGGACAUGCACAUUCACGCAAUUGUAAGGCCAGAAAUAUGGAAUCAAAUCAAUCCUAAUGUGCUUGAGGGAGGUUUAUACAUUAUAAGGAAUUUCCAGGUGCUUCCUCCACAGGGCCGUCUUAGGCCAGUAAGAAUUAACAAAUGUAUUUUAUUGAUCCUGACCACCACCAUUAAUGCUAUUCCCGUCGACGACUUUGCUAUUCGUUUGCAUAAGUUUGAAAUUGCACCACUGUCCAUUCUAGAGGAACUUAUUGAAUCUGAUGAUCCAGAGUACAAGCCACGUUAUGCAGCAGGUAUGAACAAUUUUAUACAUUAUAAUACCUUAUGUACUAUAUUAGGUAAACAAUAUAUUGAUGUUUCGAGCAGAUGUGGUGGGAGUUCUUCAUGUGCUACAACCUAUCCGGAUUAUAAGGUCAAGUAAUAUUGACAAGCAUGUCGUCCGUUUCUCUAUAUCCGAUGGCAGGUUUAUUUUUUUCGAAAGCUCUAUCACGUGCUAAUUACUAUCAUUUUCUGUCAACUAUACUAUAUUGGACGAAUUAAGUUUUUCACUGUAACAUGUAGUGAUUCGUGCUAAUUACUAUCAUUUUCUGUCAACGUGCUAAUUAUUUUGCUGGUUCUGUCUCGAGUCUUGUUUCCGAGUCCGUUUUCGUGUCCGAUAGGCUGUGCAUUACUGAGUCACUUUUCAAGGUUUAUUACUGAGUCGUCCGAGUUCAGAAUUGUGGUUUGAGUUGGCUGUUCUGAAGUUGUAUGUUGCUUGCGGUUUCGCAGAGUCGUAGUAUGUCGAGUCUGGUACUAAGUUUGUUUUGUACUCGAGUAGCCGAGUUGCUGGGUUUUGUAUUUUACUGCUGCGUUUAGGCUGUGAUUUGUAACUCUUUGUUCCAUUUAUUUGGUCGUGUCUUAGCUCCGUGCCUUCGUGUUAUUUCGAGCAUUUUGUGGUGUGAAGUCAAUAUGGUUUAUAAUGAGUUUUCGAGGCUUGCUUUUGUUGAUUUUGAAUCUUGUGUUAAUUAGUUUUGGUGGGUUAAUUAAGUUGUUAGUGCUGCGUAGAUUUUAUAAUCAGAACAACAAGUAAAUGGCCUGGUUUCAUAGUGGAUUUUGAUAAUUACAAAAGCUGAGUUUUGUUUGUCUGUUUGUUUUAUUUUUUGUUUCCUUCUAGUUUCUUUUACUUUUUAAUUUUGCUUCGAAUUCAAAUUGGAAGUUCAUAUUUUAAUCAAUUAUUGUUUUAACUUUGAUCUUUUAAUUAGUUAAUUUAGAUUUAAACUAUUUCUUUAGUUUUUAAUUAGAAUAAAUCAUAAUUUCCCAAAAUUUCAAAAUAUUGUUCUAAUUCGCCUAGGUUAAAGAUUAAGGUUGCGAAAAUAAUUUUAAUCUCUGUGGACGAAUCUUAAAUAUUAAAACGGUGAUCGUGCGCUUGCGAUUAUUUUUAAAAUCUCUUUUCGAGCACAUCAAGAGUUAGAGGACUAGAUCAGGUUAUAUAUCUUACGUUAAUUUAUCUAAAAAAAAUAUAAAUUUAUGUAUAUUUGUUUUAUAAUAAAUAAUAAAUAUUUCUUUUAUAAUAUAUGAUAUAUAAUAUAUAUGGAAAGAUUUAUGUACAAGAUCUGUCUAUUUCUUAGACUGAUUUUCAUUGAAUUGAAUUUGACUUAACAAUCCUACCGUUCCUAUACAAAACUUAUUUGUUUUUUUAUUAGAAAAUGGUAAUUAUAUUUGUAUUUUUUUAGAAAAUUAUUUAAGGGUCUUAUAUCUAUGCGACCUUUAAAUUGACUUUGUGUCCUGGUUUUUCAACAAAACUAAUUACCAUUUUUUGAUAUGUAAAAUAAUAUGUUUAAAAAAAUAGAUACUCGGAUAUUGUUUGCAAAAUUAAAUUCCGUGUAAUAAAAUCCACAGAGGUAUUGAAAUAUGUUAGGUCCAAAGUAUCGUAGAAGGGGGGGUUGAAUACGAUACUCACUACAAUUUAAGAUUCUUUCGAAUCUUGCGGAUAAACAAAUUGCAGUCCUGUAAUGGGUUUCGUGUUCCGGAUAUUUAUAGGGUCGGUUUCUGAGGAUAUGAAAAUAUUAAACCAACACACAAUAUUUUCCAAGGUAUAUCUGUAUAUUGAUAAAUACCUCGAAGGUGCUAUAAAUCCAAACCCGAAGGUUGGCUACAAUGGCUACUACUACGUACACUCACAAACCCUAGCUUCUAAAUAUAUAUAUAAUACAAAACUAAGCUAGAGUUUAUUUGUGUGUAGUAGUGUGCAAGGCACAAAGCCAUUCCACCAUAAAGGUGGUGGAGAGUGUGUGUGAAUUAUGAACCCACAUCUCAAGUAUUUAUAGACUUCUCAUUAACUAACCCUAGUUAACUUUUGAAUUUGCGCCAAAAUAAGUUUGCGCCAAGGAGGGAGGUGAGUUUGCGCCUACUGAUCCACCAUAUAUAUGUGAUAUGACUUAGAAUUAAUUUAAUUCACUGGAACUUGCGCCUGGGAUGAGUUGGCGCUUGUUCUCACUGUGUCACCUGUAGGUUUCCUUGCCUUAGUCAAAUAUGCUCCAACUUGCGCCAGCCCUUCCUCCUGUAUACAUGUUAUCACUCCUAGUUAAGGAGUUAACCAAGUUGCGCCAUGCAGUUUUCUCUGUAUACAAUAUGAAUGCCUUAGUCAAAUCCUUGUUAGAUUCAAUUCGCGCUCCAUAUGUAUACAUCAACACUGUAGCCAUUAAGUUGCGCUCAAUGUAUCACCCAGUUCUCUGCCUUAGAAUAUUUUUCCAUCCAGUAAGUUGCGCCAAUGACUUCAUGUGAUACUUACUAAGCUUACUGUGGUAUGCCUUAGUCUAUUUCACAAACCAGCAGCUUGCGCUACCCAUUGCUCCACUAUACAGAGAUUGAAAUGGCGCCAUCCAGUAGCCUCCUGUGUCUAUAUUGUGUGAAACCCUAGAUGCACAUGCAAACCCUAGAGUGCCCUAGACACCUGACAUCAUCUCCAUGUAUGCAUAUAAUAUAAUAUAUUAUGUUGUGAUUAUAUUAAUAAAUAAAAGUAUAUAUAAAUAUAUACACAUAUAUAUAUUAUUUAUAUGAACAUAUAAUAAUAUAUGUACAUAUAUUUAAAUAUAUUCUCAUAUAUUUAAAUAUAUAUAAUAUAUAAUUAUAUGUAAAUACAAAUGUAAAUAUAUAUAUAAAUAUAUAUAGAGAUAUAUAAAGUUAUUUAUAAAUAUAAAUAUAAACAUAAAUAUAUAUAAAGAAAAGUAUAUAUAAAUAUAUACAUAUAUAUAAUAUUUAUAUAAACAUAUAGUAACAUAUAUAUACACAUAUAUUUAAAUAUAUUCUCAUAUAUUUAAAUAUAUAUAAUAUACAUAUAACUAUGUGUAAAUAUAAAUAUAAAUAUAUAUAUAAAGAUAUAUAUAACUCUCUCUAAAUAUACAUAUAUUUAUGCACAUAAUAUAAUAUAUAUAUACACUUAAUUAUAUAAUUGCUUAUGUAAAAUAUAAAUACAUAUACUAUAUACAUAUAUAUUUAUUUAAAUAUACAUACAUAUAAAUAUACAUAUACAUAUGUUUAAAAACAUAUAUACAUAUAUAUUAUAUAUAUUAUAUUUAAUUAAAUAUACAUAUAUACAUAUAUAUAAAUAUAUUUGUACAUAUACAAAUAUAUAAGUGCACACAUAUAAAAGAUAGGUCACUUCCUGAUAUGGCUUUGUGUGGAAGCUUGACAUAUGACAUUUGAGCAGUAGACUUGAUACAGCUUGCAGAGGCUAGGCAUUUGGCUUGGCUUUGGAACAAAUGACUUGUUAUGACUUGAUCAAUUCUUCGAUUGAUAAAUACUUUGCAAACUCCGUACGUGCUGACGCUUAGUGCACUGGUCUGGUUCACAAGCGACUAACACUGAAGUCAAACAUUGUACCGUCUUUGUCAGCAAACAUUGAUCAGUCGGUUCCGGGUUAGUUUAUGCUUCAGUUUGUUGAUUAUAAAUAACCAACCAAGAUAUAUAGAAAUAUCUUGCUUCAGGGGUUGCACUGAAAUCUUUCGAGUACUUGGACAACAUCUUCAUUGCUUCCACAAUCUUGAAUACUUCAAUCUUUAUUCUUCACUGAGGCAUGAACAUAUUAAUGAACUUCUUCCAGUGAACUUAUUCCUUCAAGACUGUAGAUGGCUUCUUCAACCUUUGUCUUCGUAUCUUCCGAUUCCGGUGCAGGCGUAGUGUUAUUUACUUGUCCUGUUCUAUUGUUGAGUUAUCAUCCCUAUGUAACAGAUAGGGUUGUCUUUACAUUUAGACUUACAAUAUCCCCCUAUUUGUUUGUUAAUCAUAACAAGCAAAUCCUCUGGAGGAUAACUCAACUAACACUAGAAAAAGUAAAGUCCUGGACUAGUAAAUAAUGCUACAAAGUUUCUGGAUCAUAUAAUACAUUUCCAGAUUUCAUGAAUAGAAAUAACAGAUGUGCAUAUCACCUUUAUUUCUCUGGUUCUUGCUUACCUGCCAGAUAAUCCUCAUAGUCUGUCUUGAAGAGAAUUCAAAACAUUCCAUUAUGCAAAGAACAAUCAGCAGCUUCAUUGAAUUCUUCAGUGGUAAUGAAUAAGUUCCUGUCUACCACUUACUGAAGAAUAAAUGUAUCACCUUAUACUUCUCCUCCCGUUACCUUGAUCAGGUUCCCCUUAGUGAUAAGUAGUUGUCUCCCCUUAGAUGAAAGAUCAAUCCUCCUCCUUAGUUGAAAGAAGAAUCUCCCCCUCAGUAGUACACAGCUAAAGAGUAGUUUAAUCCCCCUUAGUUGUAGACAGCAGAAGAAAGCUAACUUACUUUUUCUUCCCCCUUUCAUAUAUUCUCCCCCUAAAUAUAUUCUCCCCCUUAGUUGUGGAAUCCUCCGAGGAUAUGUGGUAUCAAAUAUGGUCAAGGAACGUGUACAAUACAUCCUGUACCAAAAGAUAAUCUCCCCAUAGAGAACUAAACAACGCUAAAGCUGGGGUCGAAGAAAGAGUUCAGAAGAAGGGUUUACUUUGAUUGGGUUGGUCCCUAUGCUGAAAGAAUAGGUUCCAAACGGAAAAGUAAUGAGUAAAAACUGACAUUCCAGUAACAACAUCCACUUUGUCUUUAGGUAUAAAUUUGGUAAUUAGUGGGUGUCUCACUAAAAUGUUCUGCAGGUGUAUCACUCAACACUCAAUUUUCUCUCGGUUUUUGGGUAAGGGUGUCACUCACGAGUUCUGUAAGUGUAUCCCUCCACACAAAUACUGAGCUUCCAAAAUGCUGAGUACCUGCAAGAAAAUCACCUUAGCCACCCUUAAAGGGGGUCACCGGUGGUGCAAUGGGAGUUCGUAAUUCCCAGUCCCUGCAGACUCAUCAGAUAAAUCCGAAUCAUGGUCCACAAGUUGCCAACCACUAAGUGGCUUAUCCAAUUAAGGAUCCAGAGUUGUUUGCUCUGGGAGGUUAGACAAAGGCUUAAUUAUGGCAAAGGCCUAAGUCCUCCUCAAUGUCUGUGAAGACACUUGAUUCAAGAGAAUCAUCAACCAUAAGUUCACACCGUGAAAUGGAAUGAACCGUAGUUGCUUCCGUCAAUUCUUUCAACAACUUGUGAGCUUUCAAUACCAAUUAUUAUUAUAUGUACCUCACAAGUGUUUCACUCUUCUCAAUAUCCUAUGUGUUUGCACUCACUCAUGCUCACAUAUUUCUCAUUCUGAUAUCUCACUGGUUCUUCUCAGAAUCUCACCAAGUGUUUAACUCUCAGUGUUUGGCUCACAGUGUUUCUCUCAGCACUCAAAGUAUGGUCUUCUGUACCUGCAUGAGAAAAUCACCAUAGCCCCUUCAAGAGAGGUCACUGGCGGUGCAAUGGGGUUUCGUAAAUCCCCGAUCCUCAACUGACUCAUCAAUAAAUUGACUCAUAGUCAGAGAGUUGCCGAUCUCCUAUAAAUAGGAAAUCCAUUCCGAUUGGAUCCAGAUCUGUUCUUAUCUGGGGAGGGAGACGAGAAUCCUGAAGAUUUGGCAAUUGAGAUCCUCGUUUCCUCCUUACACCUGUAAAGGCAUCAACCAUCUUAUCUACCGUAAAAUGGUAAAUGAAGAAGUUGCUUCUGGAACAAAACCUUUAACCUUACUGUGCACUCUCUUGUAUUGUGUCCAUAAGAUUUUUUUUUUAGGCUCUUCAUCAGAGUGAUUACUGAUGAUGUGCUUGACUCAAUACAAGAUGCUCUGGCUGACGAGCGAAUUUCAAUGGACUCAUCCUGUUGAGAGAAUGAUUCCAGAGACUGUUUUAUUGCCUUUUCAGCUCUAUAUUCUUUUGAGAGAAUACAGAUGAGCAACAGUUACCUCAAGUUUGAAAACACCUUUUCUUCUUGAGAGGUAGAGCUGUGGGUACACUAUCCCUCACAUCCUUAUUUGCUGCAACAAGUACAGUUUCUCCCUCAUUGACCUCUAGUCUAAUAAGUUCCUUAUUACUCCAGGGGGAAAGUUGGGAUGUGUUCUGAAUUUGGUUUUAUAGUCUGGGAUAAAGAUUGUUGGUUUUCAACCUUAUGACUAUCUAGGAAAGCCAAGAGGCUGAUUAAGUUCCGAAGAACAGAAAGAGAUAUAAAUGCAUUUUAGAAAAUCUAUGAUUUUGAAUGAAAGCAAUUGCAUUUAAUCUUUUGAGGAAAAAUGAAUCAGUUGUGAUUGUAAAAAUGAUUUUCAUAAAGAAUGACAAUCACAACCGAUGAAAGAAUCAAAGUUUUCCAUUAAAAACUGGUUUGAGUACGAGAGUCUGAAUCUAUGCAUAAAAGGUUUAAAUGAACUUGUCUUUGAAAAAGACACAGACUCCUGUUUCUCACUACAAUUUUAAAAAGGAAACAAGAAAAUUUAUGCGCUACAGUGUAUAAAGCACUCGCCACACUAAUUAGUGAAAAGGCCUCAUACUAGCACAUCGUCAAAACAGACGCUGCAAGUGACAAAGAUCACCAAGUACACAAAUACAAGAUAAUCAAUGUCUCGUCCUAUGACGCUACAUGUAUAGAUGCAAAAUAUUCUAAGAAAUAUUUAUGAAAUAGAGUAGUGGAUACCAAUUGUUGAAAUCAAUUGAUAAGAAAAUUUCUUUGAAGAAACUCACCACUCCAGAACAUAAAUAUGAGACAGAAUAAAGAUUAUGUUGUCUCCCUUGUACUCAGAAUAUUAAACACCUAAAAUAUAUUAGCACCAGUGGUUUUAAGAAAUAUGCAACAAUAUUUCACCAGUGCCAAUACAUCACAAUCAAUUCACAAAUAAAACAUCAAUAAAGCAUCAAAAAUAGAUACCAAUUAAAUAUUUCAAAAAUGAAUUAAUCAUGCUUCUAUUAUUCUAUCAAAGUCAAUCAUGAAACAAAUAAGCAUAUAAUUGUCAUGGAUCACAAUUUAACUAAGAUAAAAUAAUAAUUACCUACGCAAUAUCAUAUAAUUAUCAGAUCAGCAUAUAACAACUAAAAUCAUGACAAUCAUACAAAGAUAUUCGCAAGCCCGAGGGAAAGUUGAAGAAAAGUUCACGAGUCUUAUACAGAUAAUCAUUAAACACAAGUGAACUCACACAACUCCUCGCAGAAAAUAUUAACACUUAAUAUUAGUGAUCUACAUAUAAGCAUGCAAAAAUAUCACUAACACUAAAAGUAUCACAACUAUAUGCAGUUAGACAUGAAAUAAAAUAUCAAUUAAUAAAUCAUCAAAUAUCCAACACAAAUAGUUAUGCUUCAAGUAUAUACACUAAUAUAAAUGGAUUCAGCCUAGAGAGAAUCUAAGUAACUCCACAAAUACUAGUAUAUCAUGACUAAAUUCUAACUAGAUUCUAACCACAUACCAAUUACUGAUACAAGUCACAAGUCUAGAAACAAAUAAGUCAUGCUUCAGAUUUUAUACCUAUAAAAAUGAAUUCAACCUAGAAAAUAAUCCUAAGUAUGUUCACAAAUACAGAUAUAUCACGACUAGAUUAUGACAAAGUUCUCUACUAGAUACCAAUUGUUGAAGAGGUAUAGAUCAAGAAAAAUAACAUAAUUAAGUCAUGCUUCAUGUCAUCUCUAAUCAUUUAAAUCAUGAACAAAUAAGUCACUUAAUUGUCAUGCAACACAAUUUAAAUAAUUUGAAAUAACAAAUACUCAUGCUAAAACAUAUAAUCACCAUCUAAGCAUGCAAAGCAAUAAACAUGGCAAUCAUAUAUAAUAGCAAAAAGCACGAGGUACUGGAUUUUAAAUAAAUUCACAAGUCCUAUGUAUAGACAAUUUAAUACUCAUGAAUUCAUUCAAGAAAUACGAUAGACAUGCUCAUGAAAGAAGUAAUACCUUAUAGAAAAUAUAGUAUGUGAUCUACUUGCAGUUAAGUAAAGUGAUAAGUUGAAUACCUCUGAGACUUGACAUUUCAGUUGAUGUACCUUUCUUGUACUGAUCAAGUCCAGUGGUUGUUGGCAUAAGUCUUGGCAGGUCUAGAAUCUUCCAAAAUGCGCAUAUUCAAAAGAUCCUUGACUUCCUUUUAUUGCCAUCAUUCUUUAGGCUAACUAGUAGACCAUAAAGAAUUGCAACUUUCCAACAAACUCAUCAUAUCACUAAUCUGCAUUCACUUAGCAAUUAUCUUGCACAAGUGACGUUAGUCCACAUAUAAUAUAAUCAUGGUAUCACAGCACAGAUAGUUGUAUUGUGUGUGCCUUGUAUCAUGAGAGGUAAUAAUUUGGAUACCAAAUAUGACUCUAGCAAACAGAUAUUAAAAUAAUAUGCUAGUCAGAAGUCAUACCAUGUCCGUGACGAUCAUCAGGUGUUGGAUAGCAACUCAUAGAGAGCUGGUGAAGAAAGAGAAUACAAAUUCCGUUGGAUCUGCAACUGCAAAGUCCUUGAAAUGUUGCAUGAAGCUUCAUCUUCUAGCUCACUGUAAUAUCCUGAACCCGAGUCUCGUCAAUGGUGCUUUAGUUCAAUCAUGAAGGUCGUUGAGUCCCCUAAGAUGUAGAGUCCUGAACUUGAAGAUUCUAUUUCCAUCAUCUUCAUAACCUUCUCCUUUGUAGUAACUCUAAGCAACCAAAUUGGCUUGUCCCUCGUAACAGAGCCAAAAACAUCCAGUUGGAAUCUAAAUACCCGACAAGUACUAAGUACUGAAUUGUCAUUAGGUCAGGGUAUCAGAAUCCGCACAAUCUGCUUUCAAACUGAUUGAGAUCAUCUUGCUGUGCAAUCACUCAAUCUGGAUCCCUUUAAGAGCUUCUGAAUCUUCCUCAAGUUUCACUUCAGAUUGAAACCCAAAGAAAUAACAUCCUUUCACAAUAGCUCUCCUAGUCUUCACUUCACCAUUAGGAACAUUUAAGAACUAGAACCCGGGAAUGAUAUUGACUUCAAACCCUUUGUCUAAGCAGAUACGUUCUUGAUAUGUCCUGUUCAUCUUCAAUGUGGUGUUGAGUUUGACUAGUGGAUCCACCAAAUGCUCCCCCUAAGCUGUUGCUGGGAUUUCUUUAAUAAUCCUUAUCCUUGCAAAGAGAUUCUGCUUGGAUCUGAAUCAUUAUUAUACCAAUAAUAUCACCUUUAACAGCUUGGAGCAAAGUGUCGUUCAAUGUCCUGUCCAGACUUACAAUCACCUUCUGUUGAUUAAUCACAAUCACCCUGUAGACUGUAGACUCCAUAGAGUAGCCGAGGAAAGUAUUCUUUGAUCUUCAAAUGCAAGACUUGCAAAGAGGCAUUUUCCUCCAAACACAUACCAAGAGUUAGUGUUUGCUUCUGAUUAGCCACUAACAAGAAUGGUGCCUUUCUGGAUUUAUCAACGAUCAGGGUUCAUCAUGAUCAACCUCUUUUGUGACGUCUUGUCCUUCGAACACAUACGAACAACACAAAAGAAUCUAGAGUAGUCAAUGAUCAUCGCAAAAAGAUAUCUGGAUUUGUUUGCAGACAUGACAUUAGCUACUCCGUUGAAAUCCAUACGUAUCAUCUGAAGCGGCUCAGUAAUGUUGAUCAUAUCUUUGCUUCUGUGCGAUGCUCCUUCGACUUCCCUAUUGACAUACCUCAUGAGCUUCAUCCAUAUUGAAUUCCAGAUGAGGUAGUCCUCUCACCAAUUCUCUUCUUACGAAUAGAAAGAGCUCCUUGUUUUGACAUACAAGUGCGAGAGCUUCAAGUGCCAUAGCUAAUACUCAUCUGAUGAGGCUUCACUAUCAAAACAGCUCACUCCAUCUUCAGUUGAAGUUCCAUAUUAGCUACGAGCAAAAUUCACAUCCUUCCUGAUUUGAGAUAAAACACUAUUCCAUGAACUGACAUACUGUCAUUUGUUAGAGAACAGUCUGAUACUAGGAAUUUGUGUGCUUUGACUCUUCCAAGAAAGAUAUGCUUCCAUGAUGACAUUCCAGGAAAACAGGCAUGUCCCGCAAGAGAAUCUUUGUUGUCAUCUUUCAAAGAUUAUUGACGGAACUGCUCACAUGAUCACAUUUGCUAACAGGGUACUUUUGGUGAAUCAUAUGAUUUCAGCUACUCAGCAAACAGAGUGCACCAAAAAUCAUAUGGAUCAUAUGUAACCUGCAAUCACAAAUGGAAAGAGUUCUAUGGUCCCCAAUCAUAACUGGGUCCGGAUGGAUUAGAGAUUUUUCUUUAACAGUGGUAACAACAGAAGCAACCUUAACAUGCUAAUUCUUAUCUAGACAUUGCCCUAAUGUGAUUCUCAAACAUGCUUUUCUAAAAUCAAUGCAAGUACAAAGACAUGCAUUCAUGACAUGAAAAUAAGCAGACAUGAUGUUGAAUACACAUGGCAAACAAUCAAAGAUAAGACAAGAGCAAGACAGGCAGUUAUGCAAUUCAGAAGAUUCAGUACUCUCUACUUAAACCAAUUAACACAAGUGCAACAGGUAGCAAGUAGAAUUACAUAUAUUCAAUAAUCUUCUAAAAGCAUAAGGAUCUGAUUCCAAUCUGUUGUUAUAUGGCAUUAUACUAUCUCUAUUACCUAAGUCAGUUUUAGAUCUAACAUGAAGUUCUAAAAGUUCUACUGACACAAGGUAGACAUUCCAUCAUAGAACAAAAUAAAAUCCUUAACAAACAAUUCAGAUUAGAUAAGCAAAUCUAAUUGUACUAGGGAAUCUGAAAGUAAGUGUUUUAACAAAGUUAUACAUGCUAGGAUCAUAACCCCUAAAACUAAGAGUUGUGUUCCAAAGGAAAGCUUCUAAUCUCACCAUUGCAAAUAAUCAAAUCCUAAAUAUUCAUACACAUGUUAAGAAUCUGCUAAAGACACAUGCACAAGAUUAUCAUCAAUCCUAGUUACCAGAACAGUGAUCUAGCAUACUAGUUCAACAUUAUCUAUUGUGAUGCUAUCAUGCUUGUGCUUGUGUGUUAAACAAUUCUACUCAGAGAUUUAUAACAUGCUUUGAAUAUAAAGAAAUAUGUAUUGCAUAGUUAGAAAGAAUUCGUACCUGAGAUGUGCGAGUUGAGUCAUCUUCAGAGAAUGCUAGGAUAGCCAGAUAACCAUAAUCAUCCUUCUCAUCAGCAACUGAUCCAGCUCACACCUUUCCUAAAAUAGCAUAAGAACUUGUUGUGAUGUUUCUUUCAAAACAUCCACUUGAAUUUCAGACAAGCCCUAUCAUCCUUGUUUGUCGAGGCUUCAAUAUAUAUAGCAACCCUUCUUUGCUAAAGAUACCAAACAAUAUUGUGUGUACUGACCAACUCAGUUUUCAAACAACCUGUCGAACUGAACCCCGAAGAGUCUCCACUUGAAACCAAUGGAUUCCAUCUGAAUCUGACAUGACUAAACCUCUCAGACAGUGUUAUGCUAAUCCUUGAAGUUCUGUCCUCACAUUCUUCAAAAGUGUUAACUUUCGUCGACUUGAGCUUCCUCAAAUUCAGCAGUUACAAACUCUUCUGUUCAAUCCUAAGGUUCUGACAUAAAUGCACGAAACUGAUUUGGUGCGGUAGUAACUCGAUAAUUAUAUCCUUAAACCUCCACAGUUCUCUGUCUUUGGUUCAGUUGAUUCUGGAUGGAUUUAGCAUUGAUACAAUUCACUGUGUAAUUGUAUAUCCCUGAAUCACUGAGUUAGAUUGAAAUCCCUUGAAGAUUCUUCUGCAAAAACUUCUCUUUUCCUACUACUAGUGGUGCCAUUCAAAGUUGACAUUCCGAGCCCUGGAAAGAUGCUUCAUUGUAGAUGUAGCAAAUUCCCAUCCUGAUCUGGUGAUCUGAUAAUCAAGUCGGAGUAAUUACUCAGAUCAAGGCCUGAAGUACCUUCUUCAAAAUCCACUGUUAGUAGUACCAAAUUAGUCUUCAAUAGAAUCUUCUUCGAAUCACAAUCAGCUUUGUCGAACAUAGAAAACUGCUUCUAAUAAUCCUUUGAGAAAUCAAUUGGAUUGGGUCAUCAAUGUACUUCCAUUACCGGUUCUGAGAAUCUGGUAUUUGAAAGCCCGGUGUUUGUCUUGUAAUCUGUCAGCCUGAUCUGUCUCAACUAAAUGUCAAUCUGAUUUGUCUUGGAGUAGAAUAAUUAAAAAGGUUACGGGACACUUGAUUAUUUAAACUAAGUUUAAAUUAUAAAGAAAAUAAAUUUAAAAAUAAGUUUUAAAAGAUGAAAGAAAAUAAAGUAUAAAAUAAACUUAGUUAAAUCUAUAAAGUAAAUUUAAUUAUAUUUAAAAAAUAAAUUCAAAUAAAUUCAUAAUAAACUGAAUAAGUUUAGAAUAAAUUUAUUUCAAAUUCAUUUAGUAAAUAUAUUAAAAUUUAUUAGAUAAAUUUAAUUUUUGAAAAUAUUCAAGUGUCUCGUCUCCAAUUAAAUCAUAGCUUCCAGAACAAACUAAAUUGAACCCUUGAACUUGAACUUAUAUCCAUAAUCAGUUAAAUCCUCUUAAAUUUAUAUUUUAUAUUUUAACUUAAAUUUAAAUCAUAAACUAUACAAAUUUAAAUAAUAAAUUUAUAAAAAUUUAUGAUAAACUUGAUAAAGUCUAAGAGUAAACUUUACAAGUCUAAAAUAAAUUUAAGCAAAUUUAUUAAAUGAAUUUAGUAAAGUUUAUAAAGUAAAUUUAAUUAAGUUUAUAAGAUAAAUUUAAUUAAUUCAUAAUAAACUCAAUUAAUAAGUUUAAAAUAAAUUAAGUCAAAUUUAUAAAAUAAACUUAUUAAAAUUUAAAGUAUAAAUUUAUAAGUCCCGGUCCAAAGUUCAGUAUCCGACAGAUAAUCCUUGCUUAGGCCUACGGACAAAUUCAGCAACACAAACCGGAAGAACAUUUCCCCUAAUCAAAUAUCAAAAGCUAGGUUCUUGAUUUUCCGUACGAUAAGGAUCCUGAUUUGUAUAUCAAUCAACCUCGCUCUGAUACCAAUUGUUAGGUCCAAAGUAUCGUAGAAGGGGGGGUUGAAUACGAUACUCACUACAAUUUAAAAUUCUUUCGAAUCUUGCGGAUAAAUAAAUUGCAGUCCUGUAAUGGGUUUCGUGUUCCGGAUAAUUAUUGGGUCGGUUUCUGAGGAUAUGAAAAUAUUAAACCAACACACAAUAUUUUCCAAGGUAUAUCUGUAUAUUGAUAAAUACCUCGAAGGUGCUAUAAAUCCAAACCCGAAGGUUCGGCUACAAUGGCCACUACUCUCAAUAUUACAAACUCUAACCACUACUGAUAUUUCUAUUACAAAGCUAGGCUAGGGUGUGUGUAUAGUGGGAGUAGCCGUGCAGAGCACUUGGCCAUUUCAUCCCGAAGGAUGAUGUUAAUUGUGAGAACCACAAUCACAUAUUUAUAGGCUUUCAUAAACUAACCAUGGUUAACGAGUUCGUCCUGGACGACUUGAGUUCGUCCUGGACGAAUUCAAUUUAACUAUGGUUAAAUUGAAUUGUCCAGAAAUAAAACUAACUCCAAACAUGAAAGUUGCGCCAGUUGAUAAAGUCAAACCUUGCGCCCAGUGUUUGGUCAAACCUUGCGCCGUCCAGUGUCCACAGUGUGUCUUCUACUUAGACAAAAUGUAGUUUCUUGAACUAGUGCCAUACAGUGAGAUGACUUAGAGUCGCAACCUUUGACUUGGUCAAAGGUUGCGCUCCAAGUUGCGCCUCCCAGUUGAGUUUGCGCCACAAUGCUCCGUUGUAGGGACUUAGAACAAUUCUUGUCAUUUAAACUUGCGCUUUGACUUCCAGGUCAAAACUUGCGCUUGGCAGAGUUGCGCUAACAGUGGAGUGCACUGUUAUCACUCCUUGAGGUCGCGCUUUGACUUAGUCAAAGGUUGCGCCUCAAGAGGUUGCGCUUCGUUUCACUGUGAUGAGAGAUUCUUUACUUAGAAAUAAUGCAAACAUGCAUUUUUUGCACUUCUCUUCUUAGGGAGGUCAAAGUCGCGACCUUUGACCAGUGUAAGGUCAAAGGUUGCGCUUUGACCUUAGUUGCGCCUCCUGAGUCACAGAAGAUGAGUGCCUUAGAGUUUUUGACAAGUAGAAGUUGAACUUGUGCCAUACAGUGAGGGACUCCUCUGUUGUCUCCUUUGACUGCCUUAAGUGCCCUUGAAUUGAGUUUGCUCCAUCCACGUAUUUAUAUUAUAUUAUAUUCAUAAUAUUAUAUAAAUAUAUGUAUAAAUAAAGAUAUAUAUAUAAAUGUAUAUAAAUAAUAUUUAUAUAAACAUAUAGUAAUAUAUAUAUAUACAUAUAUUUAAAUAUAUUCUCAUAUAUUUAAAUAUAUAUAAUAUACAUAUAAUUAUAUGUAAAUAUAAAUAUAAAUAUAUAUAUAGAUAUAUAUAUAAUUACCUAUAGAUAUAAAUAUACAUAUAUUUAUGCACAUAAUAUAAUAUAUAUAUAUACACUUAAAUAUAUAAAUGUUUAUGUAAAAUAUAAAUACAUAUACUAUAUACAUAUAUAUUUAUUUAAAUAUAUAUACAUAUAAAUAUACAUAUACAUAUGUUUAAAAACAUAUAUACAUAUAUAUUAUAUAUAUUAUAUUUAAUUAAAUAUACAUAUAUACAUAUAUAAUUAUAUUUGUACAUAUACAAAUAUAUAAGUGCACACAUAUAUAAAAUGUCACUUCCUGAUAUGGCUUUCUGUGGAAGCUUUGACAUAUGGCAUUUGAGCAGUAAGCAUUGGCAUAGCUGGCAUUUGGCUUGGCUUGGCUUUGGAACAAAUGACUUGAUAUGACUGGAUCAAUUCUUCGAUCGAUAAAUACUUUGCAAAGCUCCGUACGUGCUGACGCUUAGUGCACUGGUCUGGUUCACAAGCGACUAACACUGAAGUUAAACAUUGUACCGUCUUUGUCAGCAAACAUUGAUCAGUCGGUUCCGGGUUAGUUUAUGCUUCAGUUUGUUGAUUAUAAAUAACCAACCAAGAUAUAUAGAAAUAUCUUGCUUCAGGGGUUGCACUGAAAUCUUUCGAGUACUUGGACAACAUCUUCAUUGCUUCCACAAUCUUGAAUACUUCAAUCUUUAUUCUUCACUGAGGCAUGAACAUAUUAAUGAACUUCUUCCAGUGAACUUAUUCCUUCAAGACUGUAGAUGGCUUCUUCAACCUUUGUCUUCGUAUCUUUCGAUUCCGGUGCAGGCGUAGUGUUAUUUACUUGUCCUGUUCUAUUGUUGAGUUAUCAUCCCUAUGUAACAGAUAGGGUUGUCUUUACAUUUAGACUUACAUAAGUCCCGGUCCAAAGUUCAGUAUCCGACAGAUAAUCCUUGCUUAGGCCUACGGACAAAUUCAGCAACACAAACCGGAAGAACAUUUCCCCUAAUCAAAUAUCAAAAGCUAGGUUCUUGCUUUUCAGUACGAUAAGGAUUCUGAUUUGUAUAUCAAUCAACCUGGCUCUGAUGCCAAUUGUUAGGUCCAAAGUAUCGUAGAAGGGGGGGUUGAAUACGAUACUCACUACAAUUUAAAAUUCUUUCGAAUCUUGCGGAUAAAUAAAUUGCAGUCCUGUAAUGGGUUUCGUGUUCCGGAUAUUUAUUGGGUCGGUUUCUGAGGAUAUGAAAAUAUUAAACCAACACACAAUAUUUUCCAAGGUAUAUCUGUAUAUUGAUAAAUACCUCGAAGGGUGCUAUAAAUCCAAACCCGAAGGUUGGCUACAAUGACCACUCCUCUAAAUAUUACAAGCCCUAUCCACUACAAAUAUUUAUGGUACAAAACUAGGCUAGGGUGUGUGUAUAUUUGAGAGAGUUUGUGCAUAGCACUUGGCCAUCCAUCCCGAAGGAUGAUGUGUCAUUGNNNNNNNNNNNNNNNNNNNNNNNNNNNNNNNNNNNNNNNNNNNNNNNNNNNNNNNNNNNNNNNNNNNNNNNNNNNNNNNNNNNNNNNNNNNNNNNNNNNNNNNNNNNNNNNNNNNNNNNNNNNNNNNNNNNNNNNNNNNNNNNNNNNNNNNNNNNNNNNNNNNNNNNNNNNNNNNNNNNNNNNNNNNNNNNNNNNNNNNNNNNNNNNNNNNNNNNNNNNNNNNNNNNNNNNNNNNNNNNNNNNNNNNNNNNNNNNNNNNNNNNNNNNNNNNNNNNNNNNNNNNNNNNNNNNNNNNNNNNNNNNNNNNNNNNNNNNNNNNNNNNNNNNNNNNNNNNNNNNNNNNNNNNNNNNNNNNNNNNNNNNNNNNNNNNNNNNNNNNNNNNNNNNNNNNNNNNNNNNNNNNNNNNNNNNNNNNNNNNNNNNNNNNNNNNNNNNNNNNNNNNNNNNNNNNNNNNNNNNNNNNNNNNNNNNNNNNNNNNNNNNNNNNNNNNNNNNNNNNNNNNNNNNNNNNNNNNNNNNNNNNNNNNNNNNNNNNNNNNNNNNNNNNNNNNNNNNNNNNNNNNNNNNNNNNNNNNNNNNNNNNNNNNNNNNNNNNNNNNNNNNNNNNNNNNNNNNNNNNNNNNNNNNNNNNNNNNNNNNNNNNNNNNNNNNNNNNNNNNNNNNNNNNNNNNNNNNNNNNNNNNNNNNNNNNNNNNNNNNNNNNNNNNNNNNNNNNNNNNNNNNNNNNNNNNNNNNNNNNNNNNNNNNNNNNNNNNNNNNNNNNNNNNNNNNNNNNNNNNNNNNNNNNNNNNNNNNNNNNNNNNNNNNNNNNNNNNNNNNNNNNNNNNNNNNNNNNNNNNNNNNNNNNNNNNNNNNNNNNNNNNNNNNNNNNNNNNNNNNNNNNNNNNNNNNNNNNNNNNNNNNNNNNNNNNNNNNNNNNNNNNNNNNNNNNNNNNNNNNNNNNNNNNNNNNNNNNNNNNNNNNNNNNNNNNNNNNNNNNNNNNNNNNNNNNNNNNNNNNNNNNNNNNNNNNNNNNNNNNNNNNNNNNNNNNNNNNNNNNNNNNNNNUCGAAAUUUCAAGAUCAACGAUUAUACAACACCAUCACUCUAUAUAUACACAACUAUUUAUACCACAUAUAGUUGUCACAAAAAAUCCACAGCAAUGGAUAGUUGCAUACAUAUGCUCAACAACUCAACGCUUGAAUGGAGAAUCACAGUGCGUGUUACAAGGGUUUGGCCAAGAAUUUCUGAGUUAACAGAGGUUGUUAGAGGAUACAACUAUAUUCUCCUUGAUCGCCAUGUAAGAUGUUCUCCUUAAUCUGGUAUACAUAUUACAACUGCCUACCACUUUUAAAGUUUUAUUAGAUCAGAAAUUGUUUAUCAGUACUUCUUUGGAAAAAAAUAAUUUACAUACGUUGCAAUUUAUUGAUAAUUUUUUUUGGUGUUGUGAAACACAGAAUCAUUGUAUUCAUGCACGGGUUAACAAUGAUAUUUGGCAGUCUCUUGACUGUUUGAUAGUGGAAGGAGGCCUCUAUGAAAUAUCAACUUUUGCUCUCACGAACUCUUCUGCCUUUUUACGGCCCGUUUCUUCUACAAGAUCCAUUCGUUUCUUGAAUGUCACCACUGUCCAGCCAUACAUGGAUACCAACCUUAGCUUUCCAGAACAUGGUUUUGAAUUUGUAUCUGUCGAUGAAGUACAACGUAUUGCUGAAAGAAACAAUGCUGAUGAAUUACCAUUCCAUACCAUAGGCAUGUUAUGCAGUCAACUUUUUAUUCCUCCAAGCUAUUCCUUUCUCAUUGUAUGAUACAUUUAUGGUAUUGUUUGGCUACAGAUGUGAUUGGUGUUGUCGAGAAUCCUGGCCAGGUGUCAAUGAUUCGAACCAUCAAUGGCGAUCGUCAUGUCCAUAAAUUUCGAGUCACUGAUGGACAUAUGUUUGUUCGAGUUACCCUGUUUGGAAGCAUACUGCAAACCAGCAACAUGCUAAUUACUGCUAAUCUGCAGACUCCUAUUGUUAUUGUGUUGAUGUGUCUCUUACAUUCAUUCAUGAUAUAAUAUAUGCUAAUUGUGACUAACAACAGGCCUUUUAUCAUGAAGGUGAUGAAGGUGUAGACAACUACCAUUUGACGGCAUGCCCAUGGACUCGGAUUUACAUAAAUAUGGAUACCGAUGAUUCUCGUGACAUGAGAAACGAGUUAGUUGGCAUUACUCAUUAAGAUUAUUAAAGUAAAAUUUUCAAUAGUUAGAGUACGUUCAUAGACUUAUUGUUUGAAAUUCAUAGGUACUGGCGCAAUUAUCUGGGAAUAUGACACUACAUUCAACGCAUGCAUCGUCGUCAAUGAGAAAAUGAUUUUCCGUUGAUUUAUCUUCUUUGGUUUUGAAAUAAUUAUUUAUUACUGUAAUAAUUCUGCAAUUGAGCAGUACAAACUUUGCGCUAGCUAUUUUGGCCUUUUGGUUGUUUGAAGAUUGAACUAUGAGAGAAUUUACUCUUAUUGUGUUUGGAUGUUUUAAUAAUAUAUUUAAUAAGUUUUGUGGACUAUAUUUGUGCAGAACUGAUGUUUCUUUGUAUUCAAUUGGGAUUUUAAAUUAUGCUACAAAAUCAGGUGGUAUUCAACUGGGAUUCUAAAUUAUGCUUUAAAAUCCGAUAGUAUUUAAUUGGUAUUGUUUAAAAUCCAUUAAAAUCUGAUAAUAUUCAAAUGUUGAUGGAUAUUUUUGGAUUUUAUAAAAUGAUGAAUUGUGUGGCAGUCUUCAGUGUAUUUUAAGUUUUUUGAAAUCCCACCAAAAUCAAUGGGAUUUUAAAGCAUUGUGCUUAAAUCCUAUCAACUCUGCCACAUUUUAUCAAGAAUCCGCACAAAAUCAAAAUCACAUACAAUCCAUUAAAAUCCCAAUCGAAUACACCCCCGUAAGUUUAAAAUUAUUUCUGUUUAUAAAUAAAAAGAUUUAUAUAGUCCGCGUCGUUAUAAUUUUUGUUGCGUGAUUUUAUUUUUUUUCAAUCAAAUUCAUAUAUAUUAUCUUUAACAUUUACAACGUACUUAUCGCCAAUAACAUAACACGAUCAUUAUGACUCUUACAUACGUUACCUUUCAUAACUUAUAUUUUAUAUCAUACUGUUUGUUAAUAAAAAAUGUAUAGCUUACCUAGCUAGAUAAAAUAAAACAAAAAAUCAUAUCCGUGUGCGAAGCACGGACCAAAAUGCUAUGAGCAAAUUUUCAUUUAAAUAACUUAACAAUAUAAUUUUUUACAUAGAAUUAAUUGUAAUUUUGUUAUUUUAGUUAAGAUGCGAGGGGUCGCCGUUAGGCGACCCCAAGAAAUUUUAAUUAUAUAGUCAUUAUUAUUUUCAAGUUUUUAUAAAUAUUAUAGAAACAAUUACCUAAUAUUUUUUAUUAUUUUAAGUAUACAAAUAAUGAUUUGAUAAUAGAUCCAUAAACUUAUAAAUAUUUAUUCCAAACUUGAAAUAUUAUUAUUAUAUUAAAUAUUUGGUUAUAUUAAUAAUACUAAUGAAAAAUCUAUUUUUUUUCCCGAUAAGCAAAGAUAAAUUAGAUUGCCAAACGGCACUUACAAUAGAAAAGAUCCUAGAAGAAACCAAAAAGGACAAAAGAAAACAAUAGCUAAAAAUUAAAGAACCAAUUCAUGUCCAUGCCUCUGAAUCUCCCUGACCAGAAGAUUCACCGACUUCAAAAGUAGAGGGCACAGAGUUGAGAAAGUCUGCAAAUUGAGGAAUGUCCAAAGCCAGCCUAUCCUCUUCUGAAUCAGUUAAAACAUCCUUCCACAUCACAUCCUUUCCUUUCUCGACAGAAAUCUCUGCAGGAGCCAACUGACCAUUUGAUUUGAUCGUCUCAUCAUACAAAUCUCCUUUUGCAGCUUGAGACAUCAGAUCCUCCAGGGCCUUUUCUUCAAUCUGCACAAACUUGGAGGAGCCUUGCACGGGUUCUUCAGGAGGGGACCCUUGCUCCACUUCACCUCUUCCGAAGUUAGGCUUGAUUUCAAAGAUGGCGAGGUUUGGACCUAAACCAAUAUCCAUGUCUAGAAUGUCCACCAGGAAGCCAAACGGGGAAGGGACUUCAACCAAACAAGUGUGAUGGCGGAAGCCAUGCUCAGCUAAGAAUUGAGGAGCCCAGUUCCUGGUGGGGAGCGCCGUUAUAAUUUCUGUUGCGUAAUUUUUUUUCCAAUCGAAUCGUGUAUAUUAUCUUUAAUGUUUUCAAUGUACUGACCGUCAAUAACAUAACUCGAGUAUUUUGACUAUUAUAUAUGUUGGUUUUCAUAACUUAUAUCUCAUAUCAUAUUGUUUCUUAAUAAAAAAUGUAUAGGUUAACUUGAUAAAAAACAAAAAAUCAUACAUGUGUGCAUAGCACGGGCCGAAAUGAUAUGAGCAUAUUUUUAUUUUUAUUUUAUUUUUUGACAAAUGAGCAUAUUUUCAUUUAAAUAAUUUAAGAAUAAAAUUUUUUGCAUGCAGUUUAUUAUAUUUUUUUUGUUAUUUUAUUUAAGAUACGAGGGGUAUCUGUUAGGCGACGCCGAGAAAUUUUAAUUUUAUAUUCAUUAAUAUUUUCAUGUCUUUUAUAAAUAGUUUAGAAACAAUUACCUAAUAUUAUUUUAUUAUUUUAACUAUACAAAUAAUGAUUUGAUAAUAGAUCCAUAAACUUAUAAAUUUUUAUUCCAAACAUGAAAUAUUAUUAUUAUAUUAAAUAUUUGGUUAUAUUAAUGAUACUAAUGAAAAAUCUAUUCCGUGAUAAAAUCAAUACAGAAUUUAUUCCAUUAUAGAUAUUUAUCACGUAUAUCUUCUUAUUAUCAAUUUUCAGUAUAGGCAAUAAUUGGAGCAUAUAGUUUUAGUAAUGUAACUGAAUUGUGACUACAUAUGUAUUCCUUUAUUGAUGUAUUCUUUUAAAGUUAAUUAUUUCUUAACCUAUUUAUCAAUUUUUAUUAAUGACGGAGGAUCUACAUAUGUAUUCCUUUAUUGAUGUAUUCUUUUAAAGUUAAUUAUUUUUUAACCUAUUUAUCAAUUUUUAUUAAUGACGGAGGAUACUCUAUCAUCAGCAUAUUCACCUAAUUUUAUAAUUAAGAAAUGGAUGGAAACUUUAUAAUCUGCAUAAUCAGGUUAAGUUUAUAAUUAUUCAUGUUUCUAAAUACAAAGAUUUAUAUAGUCCGCGUUGUUAUAAUUUCUGUUGCGUGAUUUUAUUUUUUUCAGUCGACAUUCGUAUAUAUUAUUUUUAACAUCUUCAACGUACUGAUCACCAAUAACAUAACUCGAAUAUUUUGACUCUUACAUACGUGCCUUUUAUAACUUAUAUCUCAUAUCAUACUGUUUGUUAAUAAAAAAUGUAUAGGUUAACUAGGUAAAAAACAAAAAAUCAUACCCGUGUGCCUAGCACGGGCCAAAAUAACUAGUUUGACUGCGUCGAUUACCCGUCAGAUUUGGGGUUAAUCAAGACAGAAAGUAUAAGUUAAGUUGAUAAAAAAUCAAAGAAUCAAUACCCGUGUGCGUAGCACGGGCAAAAAAUGCUAGUUAUUUUUAGUAUGAUAUGUGUUUUCCAUCUUGGUUGUAUGGUCCAACUUAUUUGUCCCGACUGUAUUAUGUUCUGAUUAAUGAAUGAAAUUGCUUUUUCUGUGUACAAAAAAAUACAGAAAAACAACUGACCUGUUAUAAAAUAAUAUAUUAAGUGAUUGUCAAAAACUUAGUCAAGAAGACUUGCAAAAUUUAUCAAGCAAGUCGGGCGAAACUUACUAAGGAUCUGUUUAGGAGUGCUGGUAAAAAUUGUUGUGCGAUUAGAAAAAGUGCUGAUAAAAAAAGUGCUGUUGUAGAAAUCAGAUAACUGUUUGGUAAUUUUUUUUGAUAUUUGCUUAUUUUGAGUUAUAAUAUAAAAAAAUAAUUUUUUGUGAGACUUGAUAUUGAAAUUUGUAAUAGUUUCCUGCAAAACCUGAAAAUAGUUUUUUACAAAAGCAUGGGAGCACCUGCUUUUUCCAAAAGCAGCUUUUGCUGAAAAGCUGCUGUUCAGAAAAGCUGCUUUUAGAUUUACCAAACAGUUUUUUACCUGCUUUUCAGCAAAAAAACUGUUGUUGCUGUCUGCAACAACAAUGCCAAACAGCACCUAAGGAAGACUCGCAUAGCUUAUCGAGGAAGACUUACGAUACUUACUAAGGAAGACUCGCAUAGCUUAUCGAGGAAGACUUACGAUACUUACUCGAGAAGAUUUGUAAUAGUUAACCUAGAAGUAUUGUAAAACUUAGUCAGGAAGAUUCACCAUCCAACCUCUAUAAAUACCUGGUUCAGUUGAAAUGAAUUAUAUUCUGAAAUACCACUACUUUCUCUCCACUUCUUCUAUCAUCUUUAUACUUUAUAUGGUUGUGUAUAUUACAAGAUUUACAACAUGACCUAUACAACAAUGGAUUUUCACUUUUUCAAAGGCCUGUUUAAUACUCCCCUCGAUUAUUAAUAUUAUCUUUUGACACAUUUUUUUAGAUUCAUUUAAAAUAUAAUUUCAUAGUAUAUAGGGGACUCGAAGUACGUGCAAACAGUGAACGUAAACAACUUAGAGACAGAUAUUUUCAUUAAUUCUUUUAAGGUCACUAGCACUAUGCCCGUGCUAUGCACACCGGUUAUAUUAUUUGUUUAGAAUUUAAAAAAUCCAUAUUUUAGAUAAGUAUUUCUUAUAUAAAAUAUUAAAAUUUAUUUUUAUAAAUAACCAUCAUACAUUUUUUUAAGGAAACAAUAAAUCAUAAAUGUAUUAUGUAUAAGGAUCUUAUAUUACCUCUAUUUGGAUAUAUUAGUUAGUCACUUAAUGUUUUUCACGUAUUUUCACAAAAUUUUUAAAAAUUUUGACCACACAUUUAAAAAUUUAAAAUGAGAAAUAGGGAAAUUCUCUAUGGUACACUCAUAGAUUUGGCUUUUCCCGUUGGUAUACCUACUUUUUUGACUGCUACGAGUGAUACCAUCAUGGUAAUAAAUGUCGUAGUAGUGCACUCUCCCGUUAGUCGAAACGUUAGAAAAACGUUAGUAGGGUCAGUUUUUCAAAAAAUUAACAAUAAAAUAAAGAUUUUAAGUUUAAAAUAAAAAAACAAGCGGACACACAUAACAGAUGUCACACGAAGGUAGUGGACACUUCAUCACUUCGAGAACGACGAGUUAGGGUUUAAGCGAGAGCGAGAGUGAGGGUUUUGCCAGCAAGGAGGAAAAUCUCUUCAUCACUGAAUCUGAAGCUCGAGUACAAAUCUCUUCGUUUUUUCAGGUAUGUACUCUGUCUUUGUUGCCCUUUUCGAACUCGGCUUUUCUUCAUAUAUAUUCGUUUUGUAUUCGUUUUGUAGGCACCAUAUGUUUGUGUUUGUGAUUUUAUAGUGUAAUGAUAGCAAUAUAAUGUUCUACAUAUGUGAUAUGCAUGUUUGAUUUCAUAUGUUUUAGGGUUUUGAUUUGUUGAAAAUGGAUGAUGAGUUUAAAGUUCUGAGAUUUAAUUGGAGGGGUAAAAUCGUUGAUAUUAACUUGGAGAUAGAUAAGUGCACUUUGUUAGAUGUAGUGAUGGAUUACGAAGCUAAAUGGAAGGAGGAAGGGGUUAAGCUUGAUUAUCAUUUUCCAACAUUUUAUUAUCGGUACAAGGAUGAUCAAUUUCAGUUAGUAGUUGACAAAGAUAUGAUGACUAUGUUUAAAAGAUGUGCUGAGAAAGCUUUGAUUCCCAUUGCUGUUGGAACAACCAUAAAGCCAAGCCCUUUUACAAGUUGGUUCUUAAUUUGAGGAAGAGUAAUGAAGCAAAGCACCCCCCCUGCAGCUGCAAUAGACAAUGUAGUUGAAAAUGUCCAGGAAAAUGAUGUUGGACUUGAAGAUUUGGAAGAUAACUCAGUUGCCACUGUUAGGCAAGAACCAAAACAGAAACAAAAGGAAAAGAAAAAAGCAAUGCCAAAACAAAAAAGGAAGGCAAAAAUAAGAGGCCAAUCUAGUGUGAACCUACCACCAGACCCCAUAUCACCUAAAACUGCAUUUCAGUCCUUGCCAGUGAGGAGGAGCCCUAGAUUUUCCCCAACCCUGAUGGUCCCAACAGCCAAAACUUCAUCAUUUUCAGAUCAGGGCACCUUUAAGAAGAAAGUGCCAAGGACAACUGCAGUGAGGAAAGGCCAAGGUUCAGUGCAGGGAGAAUCUUCUACAUCUCAAGUAAGAAGGAGGGUUGAUUUUCCCAGUGGAGGUGAUGAGGCCAAGGACUCUGAUGAUGAAGUCAUGGCAAGUGAUAAUCUACCUUCAGAUGAGGAAGAAGAUAUAAGUGGGAUUCCAAAAUUUAAAGACAAUUUUAAACCAGGCAAGUGGCAUGACUUCAUAGAUGAGGAUGAUGAUAGUAAUUACUAUCAGGCUCUAUACAGGAAUGGAGAGUUGUUUGAGGAUAAGAAAUUUGGCUCUAUUAAGUUAAGACCUUGGAUGAUAUUUAUGGACAAAAAGCACUUCAAGGACACUCUCAAAGAUUAUGCUAUUCAGGAGGGGUUUGCUAUCAAUGUUUUGGCAGCUGAUAACAAAAGGUACACAGGCACAUGUUAUGCUGAGAACUGUGGUUGGAGGAUACAUGCUAGCAGGUUACCAGAUGAGAAGACUUGGGCUAUAAAAAAGAUUGAACCAAGUGCACAUACAUGUAGAGGGCUGGAGACCUAUAAUCCAUUGUGUGAUGUGAAGUGAGCUUCUACAAAGCUAAUGGAAAAUAUCAGAGCAAACCCAGACAUCCCAGGAAAGGCCUUGAAUGAGCUUCUUUUUCAGAGAUUUGGCAUCUACAUGAAGCAGUCAACAUUGUAUACAAUGAAAAUUACACAAUUGACAAAUUAUUUGGGGGUCAUGAUGAAUCAUACAGGGAUAUACCAGCAUAUACUAGGAUUGUCUGUGACACAAAUCCAGAGUCUAAGGCUUACAGUGCAUAUGCGGAAACUGAGAGCAUUCCUAGACAACUUUUAUUCAGUACUGUUUUCAUUUCACUAGCUGCAAUGUGGAAGGGUUUUCUUGCUGGAUGUAGACCCCUUAUAGGAGUCGAUGGAACACACUUAAAAGGCAACUAUGGGGGAGUAUUACUAUCUGCAGUGGCACUAGAUGCAAACAAUGAGAUCUUCCCUCUAGCUUAUGCAGUGGUCAGUGUAGAAGACAAGGACAACUGGAGCUACUUUCUAUGGAAUAUAUACAAUAUUGUCAAGGAAUCUAGCAGGAAAGACUAGACAAUCAUAUCAGACAGACAAAAGGUAUGCUCUCCUUACUUCCUUGUUUGUAAUAUGUAGCCUGUACUUAUGUUUGUAAUCUUGUUUGUUACAUGUGUAAUAUAGGGGAUUGAUCUUGCUUUGGAACAUGUGUGGCCUUCAGCAAAGAGAAGAUAUUGUUGUAGGCACUUAAGUAGGAAUUUCAAGAAACAAUUCCCUGGCCCUCUGAUGUACACACUCUUUUGGAGGGCCUGUAAUGCAACAUCUCAGUUCACCUUCAGAAAAGCAAUGGAGAGACUUAAAGAAGCUGGAGGUGAUGCAGUGAUUGAGUGGUUUGCCAACUUGGGUGACCCAUGUACUUGGAGCAAACAUAAGUUUGAUCCAAAUGUUUGCAAUGACUCAAACACAUCUAACUUUGUGGAGAGUUUUAAUGCAACUCUGGGAGUAGACAGGAGUAGGCCUGUGCUUACCUUACUCGAAGGUAAUUAAUUUUGAAUUAAUGUUGUUGAUUCUUGUUAAUUGUAAUUACAUUCACAGUAUUAAUUACAUUCUCGUUUAUGAAUGUUUGCAGGUAUUAGAAGAGUGUGCAUGGUCAGGAUUGCAACAAGGCUCCAAACAACAAUAAAUUGGAGUGAUGAUGGUAUCUAUCCAAAGAUUGAAAAUACAUUGAAAAGCAUCAGCAAAGGGACCAUCUGCUGCAAGGCCUACAUGUCGAAGCCUGGUGAAUAUGAAAUUCAUGAAGGUAAAUCAUAAUUUCCCUUAUCUUUGAAUAGUAAAUUGUGUAGCUGUGGGGCAUGGCAGCUUUCUGGAAUUCCUUGUAGACAUGCUAUCAGAGCUAUGUUACAUGCCAAGAUAGAUCCUCAUCAGAUGGUGAGCUCUUGGUACUCAAUCAGUACCUACAAGCAAACCUACAGUCAUACCAUAAACCCUGUACCUGAUAAGGAGAACUGGCCAGCAUAUGAGGGUCUCCCACUGAUUAUACCACCAACAAUGAAAAGGGGUGUGGGCAGGCCAAGCAAAAAUAGAAGGAGGGAAGAAGGUGAAGACAAAAAAGGAAAGAGAAGUAAAACUGUGAUGUGCAAAAAUUAUGGUCAUUUUGGCCACAAUGCAAGAACAUGAAAAGGAGGUCCAACUGGGAAGGAGCUCAAGGUUGCUGAGCGAUUGUUGGUGAGGAAUCCUAGGGUAAGGGAUCAGACCAACAAAGGGAAGGCAGCUGCUAAAGAAAGAUCCAAAGCAGCCAAAGAAGCUGCUAAGGCAUCUCAGCCGUCCACUGUUACUACUCAAUCCCAGCAGGAGGAUUGAAAUCUUUAAAAACUGUUAUCUACUGUUAUCAUGCUUUUUUGCCACUGAAACUCAUGUCUAUUUUGGCCCAGUUUGAGCUUGCUACUCUGUUUUUGUAUGUUUAAUUGGGUUUUCAGAAUUGUUGGUGAUUUCGUAAACUAUUUUAGUCUUGGUUUAAGCUAUGUUGAAUAUUAUCUGAAUAGUUAUUUGGUUUGCACUUUGUUUUUGAAGGAACUUGUGUUAGUACAGUUAAAAUUGCAGGAAAGAGCGCCAAAGUUCAGUUGGUGUGGCUUUACAGGUGGCCACUAACAGAUUAGCUAACGUUUUGUCUAACAGAAGUGCAUAGCAGGAAAUGUUUUAUUACCAUGAUGGUAUCACUCGUAGAAGUCAAAAAAGUAGGUGUACCAACGGGAAAAGCCAAAUCUAUGAGUGCACCAUAGAGAAUUGUCUAUUCUUAAUAUAAUUAUUUAAAUAAUUCAAAUAAUAAAAAUUUCAAUACUAAUAUAGCAUUGACCGCUAUUCUUUUCAUUUUUAUUUGACACAAAUGCACUUGCCCGUAAUGAGAUACAUCAAUACUCCGAGGAGUUUCUUUCAUUCAAAAAACUUAUUAUCUAAUUGAAUGACAUAAAAUUGUCUCCGGAAGUUGAAACAAUAAAACUUAAUGUCCGAAAAGAAAACGUCCCGACUUGUAAGACCAUGCUACCUGAAACAAAUAAAAUCCAUUAAUAACAAGAAUAAAAAUAAUAAAUUGAAUAUUAAAAACAAUAUAGUUCGUCAAAAGAAGAUAAUAGGAUGAAAUGAUAGAUAUGAAAGUAAUCCGUCAAAACUCUCUCUUCAAAACCCUAAAGCCGCCUCUGCCAUCCAUCCGAGGGGCUUCCAUCGGCUUUCACCGGUGGAAAGCCCCAAUCUUGCCUUCUUAUCUUAUUAUUAAUAAUUAAUCUCUUGUUUUUUCAAUAAGUUCCCAAUUUAUUUCGAUUUUGUUUGGUCUCUCCAUGUGAGAGUUAGGUUUUUGUUUGGAUUUUGUGUGUUCAUCAUGUCUGGGAUUACAGAUCUGCAGGAUUUUCAUGGUGCUGAUUCAGUAAUAAAGGUUUGUAUGGUGAUACAUUUAUGGUCGAUUGCUCAAAACAACAUUGGGAGUAUUACAGCAUGUACAUAUCUCUUCAAAAAAUCGCUUGGUUGUCUACCGAAGAAGGAAGGAUUCAACAACGAUAUGACUAUGCGUUUGUUCAAUUUCGAUUAUAUCUGUAGAUGCCGUAUGACUUUUCAUUAUUGAAUUAUUUUCCUUUUUCAAAAAGUAAUCUGUCAAAAAAGAAGAUAAAAUAUAAAACAAAACAGAAAAAUAUAUCUAGCCAAAGGGAGACCAUUUGGCUAGAUAUAUAACAAUAAUUACUAAGAAUAUAAUUAAUAAUACAAGUACUAAAAUAUAAAUAUUAAAAUAAAAAUAUGAUCUUCAAAAUAAAAUCUAAAAUUUUAGGUAACAAAUUAAAUAUAAUAAACAAGCCAACAAAAUGACACCAAAUUGCCGUUAAUAGGCCAAGAAUAUACUGUAGGAACAAUCGGACCUUGGUCCUGCGUUUUAUGAUACUAAUUAAAAGUUCGAACAGAAUAUUAACCUUAAUCGCUACGGCGCAAGCGAUUCAAAUCCACGUCUUCUACUGUAUUCCUUGAUUCUCCUUGGACGAAGUGUGGCCUUCGAUCUCCCAAGGUGUGCCUCUCCUUAAAGCUCCGAAAACCCAAAACCCUAGCUGUCUCCUUGAGAAAAACGUCUGCCUCUCUCUGACUCUAGGAUUAAUUCGUUUUGGUGUGUCUUUCAGCUUUAGGAGAACGAGAAUAUAUAUAGGCUACAGUAGGGAUCAUGGACCAUUAGGUCAGGCCUUCCAAUGACAUUCCGGGCCAGGCCCAAUGUCAUUAAAUAUUAAUUCAAUCCACUAAAGAAUUAAUAUUUGCACCACCUUUCUUAAUUCCGUAAAUUAAUUAUUUAAUUCGGCUCCCAUAUUAAUUGCUUAUAAAUUCCCCAUGUUUAAGAUAUCGCAUGUCCAUUAAUUAAAUUAAUUUCUGACAAUUAAUUUAAUCAAUAUCUUUUAUCCUUGAUCAUCCACUCAACCUUAUAAUUAUGCAAGAACAAAUCUGCCUGCAGGACUAAAGCAUAAUUAUCUUUAUGAGCUUUCAAGAGGACAUCAUCACCCGAAUAUAUUUUUCGGACACGGUUUCCUUUUAUAGUCAAUAUCCCACUCUGUAUAUAAUGUCAUUGCCCAAUACAUAAAUUCGUAAUUUAAAAUAAAUUACUUAAUUUAUGAGUCAAGGCAUGUGCAUUAAAUACAAGUGUCAAUCACUAUAUCCGGAUUAAGAACUUAAGCAUUAAUAACAUCAUAGAAUUUUAGUUCUUUAUUGUCAGAAUUAAAGAAACAAUUAUUCUACUAUUUUGAUCCAGUUCAAUAUACACAAAGUAUAUAAGUAUUAUUCAAUAGUCAAGAUAAACUAUUUCCAAAUAAUACUUCAGCCGUUCCAGUGGUUUGUCUAACACCACCUCGACUGUGAACCUUUAUUAUUUUUUUUUUUUUGCCAAAGUUUAGAGCAGAUUUCAUUAAUACGAAAGAGACUCAAUCGGGACAAACCCCCAAUUGAUCAUGCAACCAGGUUGAAAAACAAAUAAACGAGCUAAAUAAUUAGCCGCUUUGUUUCCGGAUUGCUUAACUGACUGAAUACAAAUAUUCUGAAAAUUAAAAACGAAGAUGAUGGUUUCUUGUUCAAUCCAACCUGCAUCUCCUCCGAAAUCAGUAGCUUCACAAUUGACCCUCACAGUAAUUUCGUGGAUAGUACAAUGUUCAGAGGACUCGGUUGGCCUCAUGUUAUGAACAGAUUUAUUUUGUAAGAGGUGAGCACAUGCGAUUUUCACUACCGUUCCAAACGCACCCCAGCUAUCUACCUGCCGGAUACCAGCUAUAGACCUGCCGAAAGUGUUGUUGAUGCGAGUUCUCCGGAUCUCCCAAUACACCGUAAAAUUCAUUUUCAACACAAACACGUCGCAUAAAGCGAGACACAUUGCACAAAGCGAGACACUCAAACACACAAAUAAUGACUCAGACAGAAGACAACAAAGAACCCAAAUGAGUUUUCCGAAUUUCGUGGAACAAAACUCGAUUUUAUUGAAGAAAACAUACAAAGAGGAUUAUUGAUUGAAAAUUGAAAAGAAGAGAAGAGGUGUUGUGGAUGGAGAAUGGGCGGUUAGAGAAUUGAAAUGGGAUGAAAGAAGAUAGAUAGAGAUGGAUAGAAAAGGUGGAGAAGGAGAUGGAGGCGGCUAGGGUUAGAGGAAGAUGGAACGGCCGACUCUCAUGAGAGAGUGAAUUCGAACUCCUGAACCUUUAUUAUAUUAUAUAAGGAGUCUGACAAUCUAAUCUUCUGCUAUCCCAUUUGAUACUAGAUUGUCUACAAUAUAUAAUAUACAGACAAUGUGAAAACAUGCAUUGAAGAUUCUCAAAUAAUUGUUAUAUAUACUUCAAACAAAUAUUUUAGUAUAACCCUAACAUAUACGUCGGCAAUCAUGGUCACCCAUAAAUGGUACAAAUAAAUUAAAAAACUUUCAUUUACAAGAUUCAAAUUCAAAUUCAAAAACCGUACGAAAAAAUCUUUUAAACUUACAAAAUAUAACUGAUAGUUUAAUGUAUUCACUAAAAAACAUUAUAAUCUCAUUAAAGCUAACUAAAUAUUAUCACUAAAUAAGAUUGAAUUCCAAUUUUGGAAACCGACAAAUAUUUAUUGACAAUCGAGUGAUAAAUAAAUAAAUAUAAGUGCAUUCAAAAUCUGCAACUGAACUAAUUUAUAUUUUCAAUUUGAACACAAAACUUAUACUAAAGGAAAUGCAAGGAAUCAAGUAUGACUAAAUCAGUAAAAGAGGAUUGAUUAAAGAUAAGGGCUUUAUAUCAAAAUGCCCACCGAACUCGUUAAAAUGUAUCAAGUACCUACCCAAUCUCCACGACGACUCAUUUAACAUACUAAAAUCAUUAUAUAUAUCAUUCGCUAGCUUCUCUCUCUUACGGGCAUUUACGGGGGUGUAUUCGAUUGGGAUUUUAAUGGAUUGUUUUUAGUCCAUGGAUUUUAAUGGAUUGUAUGUGAUUUUGAUUUUGUGCGGAUUCUUGAUAAAAUGUCGCAGAGUUGAUAGGAUUUAAGCACAAUGCUUCAAAAUCCCAUUGAUUUUGAUGAGAUUUCAAAAAACUUAAAAUACACUGGAGAAUGCCACAAAAUCCAUCAUUUUAUGAAAUCCAAAAAAAUCCAUCAGUAUUUGAAUAUUAUCAGAUUUUAAUGGAUUUUAAACAAUCCCAAUUGAAUACCAUCAGAUUUUAAAGCAUAAUUUAAAAUCCCAAUUGAAUACCACCACAUUUUGUGGCAUAAUUUGAAAUCCCAAUCGAAAACCUCGAGAUUGUAAUGGAUUUCAAACAAUCCCAAUCGAAUACUCUCGGAUUUCAUGAAUGAAAAAAAAUGCUUUAAAAUCCCAAUCCAAUACACCCCUCUAAGUCUAUAACAUUUUUUUUACUCAACUAUACACAUGGAAAUGAGAUUAAUAAAUAAAAAUAAAACAGAAUUAAAUAUUUGAAUCAAAAAUUCGAGGACCUGAAAUCACACUGCAGUAACAAACCAUGUUUCCUUUCAGCUUGAACCAGGCCUCUGCGCAAUAGAAGGUGUGCAGCCCCAAGCUCAUUGGUACAACCAAAACCAAGCUAAAUCAGCUCCCUUUCAUUUUGAGUACUUGUACUCGCACUCUCAAGUAUUUGCUCAUAACUCAAAUGACAUAUCCUACAAACCCAUUCCACAUCCGAGCUUUCCCCACUCUAAAAAGAUCUCACUAAUUAAUAAUCAUAUACGCCCUCCAUCCCGUUUUAAGUGUCCUGUUUGACUUUUGAAUGGUCAAAUUGACCAAAUUUUGACUGAGAUUUACACAUAUAAUAUAAAUUUUAAAAAUAAAAAAAAAUUAUGUCAUUAUAAAGUACAUAUAAUAUACUAUAAAAUGUAAUUUUUAGUUUGUUAAAAUAAUAACAAAUUUGUUCUUUAUGCUUGGUCAAAAAUUGGUCAAUUUGACCGUUGAAAGUCAAAACAGGACACUUAAAAUGGGAUGAAGGAAGUACCAUAAAACUCACUGAAAUCUAAAAGGAUGAUUUACAAUGUUGGCAGCAACCCCGGUCUGCAAAAAUUUCAUAUAGUAUCCACAAAGUGUGUAUAUAUUGCUGACAUGUUAAACUAUUAAUUUUGUUUUUAUUUUUAUUUGCCCAUCUUAUCCUAGGUGUCUGCCAACUCGGCAAAAAGAAAUGUCACAAAUAUAGUAAAAAUUUGAACUUAACGUUUUCUGUUAAGAGAUAUAAAAAAAUUAACAGCCUGAUACAUAUAAUGAGUUUAGUAUGUUAAAUGAGUUGUCAUGGAGAUUGGGUAGGUAUUUGAUACAUUUUAACGAGUUCGGUGAGCAUUUUGAUAUAAAACCCUUAAAGAUAAUAGUGGUAUUUAUGCUGCAUCAGACAGAAUUGCUAAUUGUUGAAGCCUCCACCAGGUUACUAAUUGCAGCAGAAGAGGAUAUGAUGCUAAAAAAGAAGCAACUGAAUGAAGAAAUUUCCAAGAUUAGCUUCAGAUUGCCAAGAAAAUUGCCAAAGAUGAAGAUUUGAUGAUAUUGUUCUUUGCAGCACACGCGGAGGAAAAGAGCGUAUUUGUCAAGGCUGUUUUAGAUAACGAGAUUUGAUUGGAUUAUAUCUUUUAUCAUUUUUGUAGCCGUAUUUUAUCAAACUUUGUUAUACUUUAUUUUUUAUUUUAUUUUUGGUUUGAGAAAGGCACCUUGGAUGCAUAUUAUUACGAAGUACAAAUUCGUGUUAUGUUUUGGUUGAAUUUUUCGGUUCUAUAUUUUUAUUCCCUUUUUUAUAUUUAUGCAAUAUUUGUUUUAUAUAUUUUUUAUUCAUUAUUUUAUUCUAUUUUAAUUUUUUUUUUAAAAUAAAUUUUGUCCAUUCCAUUCCGGUAGUAACCAAACAACCAAAUGAAUAGAAUGACUCAUUCCAUUCUGAUCAAAUAAAAAAAUUAACCAAACAUGUGAUUGGAAUGGUCAUUCCAUUCUUCCCACAUUCAAUCCUCAUUGUCAUUCCAUAAAAUUCAUUUCAUCCUACCAAACACAACAUUAAUGUUUUUACCAACAUGACUACCGUGAACACCAACUCUCCGUCGAACAUUUACACCUGAACAUCCAUGUACAUUUUGGCUCCUCUUCCACCAUGUCUGCCUCCUCUUCCACGACCAACCGCCCAACCACUACGUCCACCUCCACGAGCACCAAAACCACUAACCGUUCUACCACCACGUGCACCUCUACGACCACCAUAACCCCUGUUUCUACCACCACGCCCACCUUAACCAUUAACAGUCCUACCACCACGCCCACCAUCCCGUGUACCUCCACUACCACCAUAAGCACUAACAGUUCCCCAACCGCGACCACCAUAACCAGCACGACGUCCUGCAAAAUGAUCGCGUCAAUCACCAUUAUCACCGCAAUAAACUCACCAUGUCCACCAAAAUGACCGCCGCCACGUACUGCAAAACGACGACCACCACGUCAAGCGACACCACCUCUGUCGUACUCCAUUGCUACAACAAACCCCAAGAAACAACCAAACUUUGACACCACAACUUCUCUGAAUUUAAAUGUGGGUAGCAGUGUGAGUAAUAUGGAGAGUAAAAUGAACUAGUACAAUAUCUCUGUAACAUAUACCUUGUUACUGUGAAAGUUGCUUCUAUUUUUGUUUUACCUUGUGCCUGUAAAACAAUCUGCAUCAAUCUUUUUUUAUAGUUGUUUAUAGAGAUGUUACUGUUUCUUGUAAGACAAGCUAUUUACUCUUUUUAACUAUUUACUCUACUCCCAACCAAAUAAAGCAAAAAAGAGUUGGAACUCGGAACACAACACUAAGAUUUCUUUAUCCUAAUCCAAAGACAAUUUGUUUCUUAAUUUUCAUUAAACAUGUAAAAUAUUAUGCUGUAUAGAUGAACAUAGAUCAUAAAACUAUAUUAACUUCUUCGAAAAGUUAUUACAAUUCGUAUUAAUCGCCUCAUUUUAUGUUUCAUUUUUGAAAGGAAAUGACAACUCCUUGCUGUCAGUUUAUCUAAGAGCCUGUUUGGAUGAUCUUAAAAUUAUGAAUUAUGAUUUAAGUUAGCUUAAUGUGAUAAAUCGAAAGGUUUUAGGGCUUAGGGUUUAGGAUAUAAGGUUUAGGAUUUUGGGUUUUUGGGGUUUGGGGUUUAGGCUUUUAGGGUUUAGGAUUUAGGAUUUAGGUUUUUGGGGUUUGGGGUUUGGGAUUUUGGGUUUCGAGUUUCUUUAAAGAUGUGUUCUUGCUUACACCUAAGCUUCUUUAGAUUAAGACUAUAGAGUAAGCAUAUAUCAUCUAAGUAGCGGUCCCAUCGAUAAUUUUGAACCUAACCCUUAACGAACACUUCAAUUUUGUUUCCUAAUCCAGUACCAACCUCUUGCAUUUGUAAACCCUGCCUAAUUUUUAGCCAUUUCUUUUCAAAAUUCUAACAAUAUCAAAUUUUCUUCCCCUCUCAACAUAUUUUUUCCCAAUGCGCAAGCUUUAAACCCAGUUAUUACAAUUAUUUGAUAGUGGGCGAAGCUACAAUGCUUAUAAUAUUGUUCUUCACGAAAAUCCUUGUUUUUCACAUUGGAACGGAAGCAGGCCCAUAAAGGGUCAAGUUCUUUCACAUGAAUAUGAGGGAAACUUGGGUCAUUUGCCAACUUCUACGUCCUUGUCUACUCUCUCAGGAGGAAUAGUCUCAUAUCCUCAACAGGACCCUUCACCAUUAAAUAUAUGUAGAAGAUUACUAGACCAUCCCCUAUAAACUAGAUUUGAUUGUUUUUUGAUAUAUAUAUAUAUAUAUAUAUAUAUAUAUAUAUAUAUAUAUGAGUCAAAUUUUAUGGAGUCCCCAUUUCAUUGGAGUCUUGGAGUCCAUAUAUAUUUUCCAAAUAAAAUAUAGCUUAAAAUAUUACAAAACAUAUUAUUUUUUGGAUUGAUGUUCUACAAACAUCACUUUUUUUAUUGAAAAUCUUUCGAAUCCCAUAUAUUUUACCAAUAGAACAUUGUUAAAUAUAUAUUUUAUAAAACAUGCUUAGUUUGUAGAGAAUACAUGUUUAUAUUGCUUAACAUACAUAUUGUAGUUGUAAAUGUAUGAGAUUUAUAAGAUUUUAUUGAAGUAAUAAUAUUUAGGGAAUUUACCAUGUAUACUACUUUUCUGAUCUUAUUUACAAAUAUACUACUGUUACAUAUUUGAUGAUGUCACAGGUAUCUAACUUGUUUAGUGUGCAGAAGCAAAUAUCAGAGUUUAGCUGGAAAUCAGAGUUUAACGACUGAAAGAGAAGAAAGACUAUACUCCUGAGGACAUCUUAUCAAUCAGUAAAGACGCAAAAGUGAAGCACUUGUUGCACAGUGCUCUUGAUAAUGCUAUGUCAAAUAGGGUGAUUGGCUGUAAAACUGCAAAAGAAAUAUGGGAUGCUUUGGAAGUCAGAUGUCAGGGAACCAAAGCCAUCAAGAAAAACAGAAGAACCAUACUUACUCAAGAGUAUGAACACUUUGAUGCAAAGUCUGGUGAAUCACUGACUGAUCUUUAUGACAGAUUUGUCAAGCUGCUGAAUGAUCUGUCUCUAGUGGAUAAAGAGUAUGAUUUAGAAGAUUCAAAUCUCAAAUUUCUGCUUGCUCUUCCUGAAAAGUGGGAUUUAAAAGUAACCACUAUAAGAGACAAUCAUGAUCUUGAAGAUAUGUCUCUGGAUGAUAUCUUUGGAAGACUGAAAACUUAUGAACUUGAAUUGGAGCAAAGGAACCAACGACAUGGUGGGAAACCCAAACCAGUUGCUCUAAAAGUUCAAGAACAAACAGUUGUGAAAAGCAAAGGAAAAGCUCAUGUCAAAAAGUCUGAUACUGAGUCAUCAAACUCUGAUGUUGACUCAGACUCUGAUAUCCCUUCAGACUCUGAUGACAGUGAUACUGAGAUGAUGCAGCUGGCAGCACUAAUGGUAAAAAGCUUCAAGAAGAUGGCUUACAAGAACUUCAACAAAGGGAAGAAGUUCUCAAGGAAAGACAGAAACUCUGAUAAGAAGGUCUUCAAAAGGAAUGAAGGCAAAGAAGAAAAAUCUGGAAAAUCUGAUAAGUCUAAAUACACCUGCUUCAAUUGUGGAGAGAAAGGACAUUUUGCAACUGAGUGCAAGAAAGCUAAGAAAGAAAAGGAACAGGCCUUUAUCACAAAGAAGGGGAGUUGGGCAGACUCAUCAGAAUCAGAGGAAGAAGUCAACUAUGCCUUGAUGGCAAACAUGGACAACAGCACUGAGACUGUUGAAACUAAGGUACCUCAUUCCACUCUUGCUUUUGAUACUGAGGAUAUAACUGAGUUAAGAUUGUUUCUUAAAACUCUGCAUGUUAGUUAUAGAGAUCAGACCUUAGAAAAUGACAGACUAAAAUCUGAGAUCUUGGAUGUUAAGAAAAGGAAUGAUUAUCUUGAAAAGGAACUAGUUCAGAUGCUAGAAGUUCAGAAGGAAAGAGAUGAUUCUAUCUUUGUUAAAAAUGAACUCUUAAAGAAAAAUGCUUCUCUUGAAUCAGAACUUGUUAAGGAAAGAGAGAUAAUCAGAACUUGGACUAACUCAGGGAAGACUACUCAGAAUAUCUUAGAAAGUGGAAACUGGAAGAAAGGGUUAGGUUACUCUGAUAAAAAUGAAGCUGAGUCAUAUAAACAAGAAACCAUUAAAAUUGAAAAACCCAAGGUAGUUCCAGUAAGAUUUGUUGCAGAAUCAAAAACUGAUACUCCUAAACAGGUUAAUAUUGGUUUAAUGACUCAGAAACAGCUUAAGCAUAAACUCAAGGAGGUUAAGAAAGAAAACAGGAUUAAGGAACCUAGGAAAAAUAGGAAUGGAAAGGUUGGAAUAAACAAAAGCAACAAUUACAUGCCUGUUCCAAAUGCUCCUAGGAAAACUUGUCAUAAUUGUGGUAAUCCUAAUCAUCUUGCUUCUUUUUGCAGGAAAAAUAAGGACAUAAAUGCUAUGUCUCCAAAAUCAGAAGUUAAGACUAGGAAUACUAGAUUUAGACCAGAGAAUCCUUGUUUUCAUUGUGGUAGUUUAUGGCAUUCCAUUUACACUUGUAAGGAAUACCAUAGUUUAUAUUAUGAUUAUUAUGAAUUAAAACCUUCUUUGAAGAAAAAGAUUGAUUCUCCUAGUUCAGCAUCUGUUAAAAAGUCUGUUAGCACAAACUCUGAUUUAAACUCUGAUAAAUCUUCCGCUGCUAGUGUUAACAAACUUAACAAGAACAAAGGAUCCAAGCAAGUCUGGGUCCUUAAAACUAAUCAUUAGUUGUGUAUGUGAUUGCAGGGCAACAGGAAAAACAUCCUAGUUCUGGACAGUGGAUGCUCAGGACAUAUGACAGGAAAUAAAGCCCUGCUAUCAGACUUUGUGGAGAAGGCUGGCCCAAAUGUUUCUUAUGGAGAUGGCAACAUAGGGAAAACUUUGGGAUAUGGCAAUAUCAAUCUUGGAAAUGUCAUCAUUCAAUCUGUAGCUCUGGUCUCAGGACUUAAGCACAAUCUGCUGAGCAUAAGUCAAAUCUGUGACAGAGGAUAUCAUGUCAAUUUCUUGGAAGAACACUGUGAGAUCAUUAGUAAAAGAACUGGAAAAGUUGUUCUGAAAGGAUACAGACAUGGCAACAUCUAUGAAGCCAAGCUUUCUUUAAACUCUGAAAGCUCUGCAAUCUGUCUACUUGGCAGAGCCAGUAUUGAAGAAAGCUGGAACUGGCACAAGAAAUUAUCUCACCUGAACUUCAAUAAUAUAAAUGAGCUUGUGAAGAAAGAUCUUGUGAAAGGACUUCCAAAAUCAGUUUUUACUCCAGAUGGACUCUGUGAUUCCUGUCAGAAAGCAAAACAGAGGAAGUCUUCCUUCAAAAGUAAAACUGAGUCCUCAAUUCUUGAGCCAUAUCAUCUGCUGCAUGUUGAUCUUUUUGGACCAGUAAAUAUAAUGUCCAUUGCAAAGAAGAGAUAUACUCUGGUCAUUGUUGAUGAAUUUACCAGAUAUACAUGGGUAUAUUUUCUACACAGCAAGGAUGAGACACCAUCUUUAUUGAUUGAGCAUGUCAGACAGCUGAACAAAAUCUCUAAAGAUGCAGUAAAGAUCAUCAGAAGUGAUAAUGGCACUGAGUUCAAGAAUUUUAAAAUGGAGGAGUUCUGUAAAGCAAAUGGCAUUAAACAGGAAUUUUCAGCACCUGGAACACCUCAACAAAAUGGUGUUGUAGAAAGGAAGAACAGAACUCUGAUUGAAGCUGCUAGAACCAUGUUGGAGGAAGCAAAGUUACCAACCUACUUCUGGGCUGAGGCUGUGCAGUCUGCCUGUUUCACACAGAAUGCAACUCUGAUUAACAAACAUGGGAAAACUCCAUUUGAAAUGGUUAAAGGCAGAAAACCAAAUCUCAAAUACUUCCAUAUUUUUGGAUGUAAAUGUUUUGUUCUGAAAAAUCAUCCUGAACAGCUAACCAAAUUUGAUUUAAAAGCUGAUGAAGGAAUUUUUGUUGGUUAUCCUUUAUCAACAAAAGCCUUCAGAGUUUACAAUCUGAGAACAAGGGUAAUCAUGGAAUCCAUUCAUGUGUCCUUUGAUGAUAAGAAAAUUACUGGAAUGGAAGAUUUUGAAGAUCAUGAGCAACUGAGAUUUGAAGAUGAAGAUGCAUUCUCUGAUUCCAUAAACUCUGACUCUGAGACAAUAUCAGAACAUGUCACUUCUACUCAUCAACCUCAAGCACAUGUUGAGGGGGAGCACUUUCAAAAUGAAAAUCUGGAUGAAAAUGUUGCAGACUCGGCAGAAAACUCAAACUCUGAUUCUGACUCCUCAAACUCUGAUCAUUCUGCAUCAGAGAAUCAUGAGAACACAUCUUCAGGGGGAGCAUCAGAAACUCAGAAUGCUCAUGGAGAUAGCAUGAAUAAUGGGGGAGAGGCAUCAGAGAAUCAGAAUGAUACUGGCAUGGAUUAUGGGGGAGGAUCUAGUUCCAGAAAUCAACUGCCACAUGAAAGAAAAUGGACAAAGUCUCAUACACCAGAUCUGAUUAUUGGGGAUCCAGAUGCUGGAGUACAAACCAGAACUGCAACAGCAAAUGAGUGUUUAUUUCAUUCAUUUUUAUCUCAGACAGAACCAAAGAAAGUGGAAGAAGCCUUAAAGGAUGCAGACUGGGUAACAGCAAUGCAGGAGGAGUUAAAUGAAUUUGAGAGAAAUAAAGUCUGGACACUUGUACCAAGACCAAAGAACAGAUCAAUUGUUGGUACUAAGUGGGUUUUUAGGAACAAAACAGACAGUGAUGGUGUAAUUACAAGAAAUAAAGCCAGACUGGUAGCUAAGGGAUAUUCUCAACAAGAAGGAAUUGACUAUGAUGAGACCUUUGCCCCAGUUGCCAGAUUGGAAGCAAUCAGAAUUUUCUUGGCUUAUGCAGCACACAAGAAAUUCAAAGUGUUUCAGAUGGAUGUAAAGAGUGCUUUUCUCAAUGGGGAGCUGGAGGAAGAGGUAUAUGUUGAACAACCUCCAGGAUUUGUGGACACAAAAUUUCCAGAUCAUGUCUACAGAUUGGAUAAAGCACUGUAUGGACUAAAGCAAGCACCAAGAGCAUGGUAUGAAACUCUGGCUCAAUUUCUUUUGGACAGUGGUUUCAACAGAGGUACAAUUGAUAAAACUCUAUUUUAUCUCAACCAUGGUAAUGAUCUGCUAUUAGUUCAAGUCUAUGUAGAUGAUAUCAUUUUUGGGUCUACUAAUUCUAAACUCUGUGAGAGAUUCUCAAAGCUUAUGCAGUCCAGAUAUCAGAUGAGCAUGAUGGGAGAAAUGAGCUAUUUUUUGGGACUUCAAGUCAAACAGACUGAUGAGGGUAUUUUCAUUAAUCAGUCUAAAUAUACCAGGAACCUGCUAAAGAAAUUUGGCAUGCAGGAUAGCUCAGCUGCUACCACUCCAAUGGCAACUGCCACUAAGUUAGAUAAAGAUACUGGUUCACCAGUAGAAAUUACUAACUAUAGAGGUAUGAUAGGCUCACUUCUAUAUCUGACUGCUAGUAGACCUGAUAUCAUGUUUGCAACCUGUCUCUGUGCAAGAUUUCAAGCAGAUCCAAGAGAACCACACCUUGUAGCAGUCAAAAGGAUUUUCAAAUAUCUCAAAGGAACAGUUGAGAUGGGACUCUGGUAUCCCAGAGAAUCAGACUUUACACUGAUUGGUUACUCUGAUGCAGAUUUUGCAGGAUGCAAAAUAGACAGAAAAAGUACAAGUGGGAGCUGUCAAUUCCUAGGAGGAAGAUUAGUUUCUUGGUUCAGUAAGAAACAAAAAUCUAUUUCCACAUCCACUGCAGAAGCAGAGUAUAUUGCUGCAGGAAGCUGCUGUGCCCAGAUUUUAUGGAUGAAGAAUCAACUACUGGAUUAUGGGUUAACUCUGACUCAAAUUCCUAUUUAUUGUGAUAACCAAAGUGCUAUUGCUAUGACAGGAAAUCCAGUACAGCAUUCCAUGACCAAGCAUAUCAGCAUAAGGUAUCAUUUUAUCAGAGAACAUGUGAUGGAAGGAACAGUAGAGCUUCACUUUGUUCCAACAGAUCAGCAGUUGGCAGAUAUCUUCACCAAACCUCUGGCUGAAGCAACAUUUACAAGGCUUGUAAACGAAUUAGGGAUGAUCUCUGGUCCUCUCUAAACUCUGAUACAUUGCAUGAUACUAUAUCUGUUAGUAUUUGUUGUUAUAAACCUGAUCUACAACUGCAUCUGUUAUUCUCUGAUCUAAACUCUGAUGAUUAUACUCUGAUUUGAUAAACUCUGAUAUUUAAACUCUGACCCGACAAACUCUGAUGACUUGAAUUUUUCAUGAUGAAAGAUACUCCUGUGAAGAAUAUGUUGCACUUAACUGAAUUUAGUCAUAAGCCUCUCUAAAGUCUGAAUUUUGUGAUAUUACAGCUGUGGAAAUCCUUAACACACAACACAUGAGUUAAUUUUGUUACCUAGACUGUCUUACUUCUUAAAUAUUAGAUAUGUACUCAGAAAAGAAUCUGCUUUCCUCCUCUUAUGAGCUAAGAGUUAAUAAACUUCAGUUAUGGAUCCUCAAGAUAUUUCUUCUCGGAAAAGAAAAUCAAAAGAAAAGAAAAACAAAAGAAAUAAUCUCAGGUACUCCUUUGAGAUCUUAGAAAAUUUGUGAAAGGAAAGAUCCAAGUGCACUGCUGGUAUUAAGCAAAUGCAUCAAAAAUUAAGUUAAUUUUUGGGGACUUUUCACAUUCUCUGAUUACUGGAGAAAUACUCUGAGCAAACAAAAGUCUGAUAAAGGUUAUGACUCACUUACCAUGAGAAGUUCCCUUUCAAAAGACAAAUGUUGUUCAAAAGAGAAGAAAUGAAAUACUCUGAUCCAUUUGUGAGAAACUCGGCUUAUGAGAUGAUCAAAACAUUUUCUUAUCAUCUGAUUCUUUCUAAUAUUAUUUAAGAAAUUUGACAAUCUCUGUGACAUUAGAAUAUUCAUGUUAACACACACCUCACUCCACUUCUGUGACUAACAAUUUUCUCUUCUUCGAGUAAUUUUUGACUAGAGUUCAAUAAAUAUGUGCAAACUCUGAGGAGCAAGUGUCGUUUAGACCUUGAAUAUUUAUCUCUCAUCAUUACAAGAUUCUAUGAUCACUCUUUGAUUUGUCAUUUUAUAAGUCAUUUAUUUAAACUCUGGUCAAUGGUCAGCCUCUGAUCGAAGUCCGAGUUAAAAUAAAUAUUUUGGUCAGAUAAUAUUAGUUUUUAUUAUCAAACGGUAGAAAAACCAUUUGAAUUCCUGAGUGGAGAAAAACACGGUAAUUAUUUGUGUUUUAUUGGUAAAUGGUGCAUAGUUGUUCAGAUUCACACGCCACUCAUUAUUACCUCUCCACUACCAUAUUUUUUUACCGUUCAGAACUUGCCACGUGCCCCACUACAGCGUUUAUAUCUCACCCGCAUGCGUACAUACAUAUAUAUUCUCAGAAAUCGAGUAUUUUCUUCUCACUUCACACGAUAUCUCUCUCUCUCUCUCUGAUAAUAUUUUCAAAAUCUCUUGUGCGCAUUUCAUCAAACAUCUCAUCUACACUUCACAAUUUUCUUGAUUUUUUUUCAGAAAUCAUGUCGACAACUGCUUUCGAGUUCAAUGGAGCAAAGUUCGUCACCAACAACUACUCAGCCAUACUUGAUAACGAUGAAGCUCCCAAAGAGUUCCAUCUUAUUCAGGACUUCCUGGCUCACAGUGAGCUAAUGUAUGCUCUGACUCAGCCGGAGUCCAUCUCUCCUUCUCAGGUUCUCACUUUCUGGAGGACAGCAAAUUACGAUGACGGAGGGGAAAAAGGUUCUCCAUCUCUGACCUGCGAUUAUGAGGGUCAAGAGUAUGUUGUUUCACCAGCGACUAUCAGGAAGGCUCUUCAUCUUCCUGAAGAGAAGAAGUUUGAUUCCUCAGUCCCUACUCAAACUCUGAGGGACAUGAUGAUUUUUCUUGGGUACACAGCAAGUACUGACAAGAUGGGAGAACUUAAGCGUCCACAUCUCUGCAAGGAGUGGAGCUUCUUUUAUGAUUGCAUCACCAGGGCUUUCGGCAACAAAUGUAGCAACUUUGAUGCCAUCCCCAUCUUCAGUCAACAGAUUGGGUACUCUCUGAUUCAUAAUCUCAAAUUUGAUAUUGCUACAUCUAUCUUGAGAUUCAUUGGUGAUAGGAGAAAAGAGAAUAUGAAUAUAGUCUAUUAUGCUAGAUUCUGUCAGCUUAUAUUCUCUUAUUGUUUUCCUGAUGUGCCCAUUCCUGAAACUGGUAAUGAAUUACCCUUUAAGAUCACCAAACGUGCUUUUACUGAUCUUAUUAAGAAGGAUAGCAAGAAACCACAUGUGCCUGUAUUUGCCAUUCCUGUGACUGUACAGGAUAAAUUAAGAGUAGCUUUACCUGAUAAGUAUUCAGCUCUAUUCUCUGAUGAGAAUAUACCACAGCCUUCACCUUCUACUGUUGAUCCAGAACCAGUCCCAACCUCUGGUCCUUCCCAAAAGGGGCCAGUUGUAAAAUCUACUCACACACUACCCUCUGGUUCUUCACAACAAGGACCAGUUGAAAAAUCUUCACCCAAGAGGAUUCUCAGGUCCACUAAAUCCCCAACCAAACCCUCCCCUCCUCCCAGAAAAAGAAGAUUUCUCCAGAAAAUAUCAGACUCUGACUCUGAUGAAGCACCUCCACCUCCUCCACCAGCAAAGAAGCAGAGAAAGAAAAUCAAGCCAACCACAAUCACUGAUCUGACUGUUGAGAAACUUCAGUCAGAGAAUCCAACACAGGCUUUGAUUCCAUUCUCUGACCAACCCUCUGGUGCAGAGCCUGUUAUGAUUGAACCUAUCACUGCACUUCCACUUGACACUAUGGCAGCUGACACUCAAAUGUCAGAAUCAUUCUCUGAACACAAUGAUCAACCAACAAUGACAAUUGCAGCUGAUACUUUUGUGUCAGAAAUAGCUCCUGCUGUCCCCAAUCAAUCAGAAGAUGCACAGAUAGAGAUGGUAUUGCAAAUGAUUCAGGAUUCUCUGCUUCAACCUGAAGUUAUUGUUGCAGCUCCUGCUCAGGAGAUUCAUGAAGCUGCAAACUCUGAUGCAGCUACUGAAGCUCUGGAAUCUCAUACUCUGAGCCUCUUUGCUGAUGAUAUUGAUGAUGAUGGUGCAACAGAAGUCACAUCCACUUCCAUCCAGACACCUGGUCUUCACCUUGCAUUCUCUGAGCCAGUCAGAGACAUUACAACUGAAAGGGCUGAUUCUCCAAUUAAAGUACUAUCACCUGUCAGAGAAUCUUCUCCUAUCAGAGCUCCCACAGCUCCAAGCUCUCCGCUUCCAUUUUCUGUACCUGGCAGAAGAAAAGUCUGCAAUUUAACUUAUUAUCAAAGGAUGUGCAGAGCUACACCUCCUUCUCUUGAGGACAGACUCACUUCCAUUGAGGCCACUCAAAUGUCUAUGCAGCAUACUCUGACUGAUUUGAGCUCCUCUGUAGCUCAGCUGGUUCAAGCUCUUACCUCUGAUAAUGUCAAAAAGGGGGAGAAAGUGCUCAAAGACAAAUGCAAAAAUGACCAGUUAUUAAUAAACAAAAAAUCAGAUGAUGAUGAUGAAGAGGAAAAGAAGGAAGCUGCUGCUAAGGAAGAUGUAAAUGAAGACAAAUCCAUUAAACAGUUGGUACAGAUCAGGAGCAAUAAGGAUGCAAACUCUGAGAGACCCAGAGAAUCAAAACAGAAGAACAAGUCUAUGGAACUGACUGUUAUGUCUCAAGUUCAGAGCAUAAGUAAAGCAGUCAGAGAUUCAGAUGUCAUAUCCAAAGAAAUAGCUCUUGUAAAUUCUGAGGUUGAAAAACAGAAAGAAGUUCAAAUUUCUGGAACUGAUAAGCUGAUUAAAGGAGUCUCAGAAAUUUUGUCAAACUCUGAAGUUCAGAGGCAAAGAAACCACUCUCUUCUAUAAAUCUCCUUCCUUGCAAGCAAUUGAUGAAGCCAUGGCAAGGAAAAUCUUUGAAAAAGAAAAUCCAGGAGUAGAUAUUGAGGCCAUCAGACUUGAAGAAGAAAGAUUGGCUGCUGAGAAGAAGAAGAUCAGCAAAACAAAAUCUGAUGAGCAAAGACAGAUUACUGAUUCCUCUCAAAGCAGGAAAUUCCAAAGAAAAAGGGAAUAGUAAUCAGUGAAGUAAACUACACUGAUAUCAACAGACCAAGAACUAGAUCUCAGACUCAAUCUGAAUCUGAUAUAGCAGAUAAAGGAAAGAAACCUGUUGAUGGAGUUCCUUCAGCUCCUUCUGUGAUAAAGAAGUCAAUGAUCAAGAUAGCAUCAGAGAAUCCUUCUAAGAGGAUGCUAGAGCUGAGCAGAAAUGCAAAUAUAAUCACUGAUGUAUCUGAUCAAGCUAUAGAAAGAGAAGCUGGGUUGAUCAGAAGAAGAAAAGGUGAAAGCAAGCCAAUAUCUGAUAUAGCUUUAACCUCUGACAAUGCUCAAGUUAAAGUUUCAGUUGAAGAAGAGAAAGUUGAAGACACUAAAGCCUCUUGGUUAAAGUUAAAUUCUGAGAAGACUCAAGGUCAGAAGAAGAAAAAGAGUUUAUAUGGGAGUCUUGGUACAAAUUUAUACAAGGAAAGCUCAAUGCUCACCAGAGUAAGAACUCAUGGUACCAGAGGGAAAGAAGCUUAUGACACAACUGGUCUUGGUCACAGAAAAGAAAAGAUUCAAACAGGCUCAGCAACUACUUUCAGAGAUCCUUAUCCUCUGACUGAAAAAGUAGGAGAAGCUGUUACACAGAAGGAUCUUGACAAAGUUGAGUCAGUACAGAUUUUGAUGGACACUCAUGAUGGGCCAGAAGAUAAAGAAAAGAUUGCUAUAUUUCUGGAAUCUGGCAGAGUUUAUAGAAUCUCAGAAGCUGAUUUGUUACUGAAAUCUCUGAGGGAGCUGGAGCAUUUUCACUACAUGCUGGAGAUAAAGAAUGAAGCUCCUCAGAGGUGGUCAGACUUAAUGAAAAGGACAAUCAGGGAAAAGAGAAGAUUCUAUGGAGUACAGCCUGAUGAAGAAUACAUUCCAAAAUUAGCUCAAGAUGAUGGUUCUGAAAUUGACAUGGAAAAGAAUAGCUCUGUGAUGGAGACUAUUGCAAAUAUCAGAGUCUUGGGUUAUAAUAAUGAAGCAGACAGGCCCAGAGUGAUUCAAUUGGGAGAAGCAAUGAAGAGAAGCAAAGCUAAUGCUUUGAGAUCAGCCAUAUAUCAGACAGGAGAUGAAGAUGAAGAGUUGAAGACUGUCAAAGCUCAAAUGAUACAAACUCUGAAACAAAUUGAAGAAGAUCUGAUUACCAAGUUUGUUAAGGAGAGCUAUGGGUAUAGACUGAUUGGAUAGUUAGUUCUGCUAUGAUCUGUAAGUUGUAAUUAGUUCUGCCUAUUCUGUAAGUGUUGAUUUAUUUAUGCAGAUUAAUUACUUCAUGCAUUUGUCCUUGAUUGUUUUUGACAUCAUCAGUAAAUAUAUAGAACUUGUUCAUUCUGUCUAAUGCACAAGUUGGGGGAGAUUGUUACAUAUUUGAUGAUGUCACAGGUAUCUAACUUGUUUAGUGUGCAGAAGCAAAUAUCAGAGUUUAGCUGGAAAUCAGAGUUUAACGACUGACAGCUGGAUCAGAGUUUAAGCGAUGAUCAGAGUUUGCAGGCGGCUGAUUUUCAGGAGCAUAUCUGACUAAGUAAGGAAGAUAAAGAUCAAGAGAGAUUGUGCAGAUCAGGACAGCAGAAGGAUAGCUACUGAUUAGAUUAUUUUAGGAAGCAGAUAAUUAUAAAUCAAUCAGUAGAUAUCAUGUAACUGUGUAUAUAAACACAGCUUAGGGUUUACUCUAGAUGAGUUAUCAAUUGAAUAUCAUUCGUGUAACCUAGCAGCUCUUAGUGAUAAGUUAUAAAUCACUAAGAGAUUAUUUGUAAGCUACUGUGAUUUGUGAAUAAGAGUUUAGUUGAAUUAUUCUCUUAUACUGGUGUUUUGUUCUUGAUUGUGUUCACUAUAUUAUCUUAUAUAGUGAGUUUAUUCGGCCUAACAACUACCCUCUCAAAAAUCUUUUAAAUAUACUAUCUUUUGAAUCUUAUUUUCAAAAAUACUACAUUUUCUAAUUCAUCUUUUCAUUUCUUUAUUACUUAUCUCUCAUCCUCUCUCACCUCAACCCCCUCCCUCCCUCCUUUUCUCUCUCACCCAAACUCACGCACUCAGCCUCCUGCUUCCUCGCCCACCUUCAUCAGUUUGUAGCGUCGUCGGGACUGGCCGCCGCAACAAUGCACAACUACAACCACAACUCGGUGCCCGAGUCACUCCGAAGGCUGGGAAUCGCCGAGAAGCUUCUCACCAACAAUGAUCUAAUCGGCAGCAAAACAUUCGCGACCCGUGCGCGUGAAUCCGACCCGACUCUCCACCAACCCAACUAGAUCCUUGAUAUUAUCGACACCCUCAUCGCCGCCGAAACGCAAGUGAGUGUAAAUAAUCUCGACUGGUACAUGAUUCUCCAACUCUCUAGGCGCAAUCAUGACUCAGAACUGAUCGUGACUUAGUAUCACUGGCUGGCUGGCUAUUUUAUUAAACCCUAAAAAUAUCGUCUAAUAUGUGGAUUUUAAUGUAAUUGAUUUUGAAUUUUGAGUUGCUUUUGAAUUGAUUAAAUGUAGUUGUUUUUUAGGUUGUAAUGUUUGGCCCCGCAAGGGUUAUUUUUUAGUCAUGCAACGGUUGCAACUUAGUGGGUGCUUGGGAGAGUGCCUUAUGGGCUUAAAAGCCUCAAAAGCCCACUUCCACUUUUAGCCUGUUCGUUUGGCAAAUUUGAAGAAGCGCUUAAUCCAGCAAAAGAAGCUAGGAAACCUAGCUUAUUUUCAGGACUCGACUUCUGCUUCUUUCGUUCUAACCUGCAACACAUGUUAGCCCUGUCUCAUCACCUCACUUGGUUUUGGUUAUCAAUUAUAAGUUUUGAGUCCUAACAUAUUCAGUUUACAUAUAGUAUACUUUGUUGGUUUGUUUUGGGUUUUUUUUUUGCCAUCAAAUGGAUUUCAUGUAUUAACAAUAAAAGAUCUUUUAUAAUUAUAAUUAAUUUUUUAAAAGAAACAAAUUAUUAUAUUACAAAAUUACCAAACUAAUACCAACUUAUAAGUUAAGUUAUCCAAACACUUAAAAAACUUCUGGUAGCUUAUAAGUCACAAGUCACGAUAUCUAAACACUUCUGUUAGCUUAUAAGUCCAAGCCAACUUAUCACUUCUAAUCCAUUUUUUUACUUUAAGCAAUAAGUCACUUCUUUUAAACCCAGCCAAACGGCCCCUUAGUAUGCAAAUAAAUAUAUUUUUCAGUUUUUUUUUCAAAGUUGCAUUUCUAGUUGCAUAUAGUUGCUGGCAAUUGCAGAUAUGGUUGCAUAUGCAACCACAGUAUUUUUGGAAAUAUUUUCACAAAUAUAGUAUUUUUGUAAUUUGUUUUGAAAGGUGGUAGUAUUUUCGCAAAAAUUAUUUUAAACUUGGUUAUGUAUAAAAAAGCCCUAAUAUUUAUGAAACAUGUUUUGCAAGAUAACACAUUUUACAAGAUAUUUAAUUUAUAAAAUAUAAAUGGACUUUGAGGACUCCAAUAAAAUAAAGACUCCAUACAACUUGACUCUAUAUAUAUAAAUUGAAAAAAUUAAAAUAAAUAAUAGCAAAAUUAUCAUUAAUUUGUACCAGGUUAUUUAUUUAUACGCAUUUUUCCUUGGAAUUUGUACCUCAUAAAAUUAGAUUAUGUUCUUAAAACUAAAAAUUAAUCCAUCAAAUAUCAUUUUGAAGAACUAAGAGCAUCUCCAACCAUGAGAAGCCGUGGCUUACCAAAUUUAAGAAUUUAGCCAAUGUUCACAAAAAACACCACUUCAACCAUAGCAAGCCCCUCUCUAUAAUUAUAGCCAUCCCUUAUGGAUAACUAUAUUUGUCGAACCACUACAGAUCUGUAUUGAAUUCCACGUCAUCUCCCGCAAUUUAUUUUCUUUCUUCCUGUUGAUUACAUAUCAUUUAUUACCAUAUUAAAUUGAUAUAUUCAAUUUAUAACAUACUAUUUUUAAAUUAUAGACAACCAAUAUAGCCAAUACCAUUGAAGCACAAUGUUUUACAGGUUCAACAAAUUUUACAUAAUGUCUUAUAGGUCCAAUUUAGCUAAUGAUUAUAAGCAACGUCAUUGGAGAUGCUUUAACAAGACAUCUCACAAUCUCACAAUCCUAUUUUUCUCAAUUUAUAAACUCCGAAUCAAAUCCAAACUCUAUUUAAAAUUUCAAAUGUGAAUUUAUUCACAAACAAAACCCAGCAAGGCAUCGGUGAAAACGGAAAGUCAUUCGCUAGUCGCUCCGAAGAAAAAGGUAAAAUAACCUACCCCGUUUUAUUUAUGACGAGAAAAGAAACAACGUACUCUCGUAGACUCGUACUAUUCCCACCACCCCCCCCCCCNCCUUCUAUUCCCCCCCCCCCCCCCCCCAGUCUCGCCUCUUUAUUUUCACACAUCUAGUCACACAUACAUACAAAACUCACACAUAUUUAUCACCUCCCCCUACCUAGCGCUCUCAAACAGAUCUCUCUCUCUCUCUCUCUCUCUCUCUCUCUCUCUCGCAUUUAUCUACUGAGAGAGCGAGAGUCUUCGCCAGAUCUCACAGCAUUUUACUCGCCGAUCCUAUUCUGAUCUUGCUGCCAUGGCGGCCGCAAACGCUCCGAUCACUAUGAAGGAAACCCUAACUGUGAGUCUGACUAUAAUUCUACUCUCUCUCGACAUAUCUACUCCAUUCGUAGCUCAAUUGCAUAGAUUACAUUGUGUAUUUAACUGAUUGUGAGCGUUUUAUACUGUAUUGCAUCGUAUAUGCCUAGUUUGUGUGUUUUUGUUUGCGGGUUGUCGUAGUUGAAGUGUUCUUUUUCGCUUACCAGUACCUGACCUAAAAGUAUGAUAUAUGUAUUGUUUAUGGAACUGAAUUUAUACAUUUUGGUUGUAUACACGAUAGUACCAAUUUUUAAAUAAAAACUAAAAACUAAUACAAUUUAGUGAAAUUCACUAUAGAAAUUAGUGAUUUGUGUUGCAGAAUUUAGUGAAAAUCUCCAGAUUUGUACUUGUUGUAGAUUUUGGUGGUGAUGAUGACGAUGGUGGAGAUGGUGGGGGUGGUGGAUAUGGAAGGGCGGUGACAUGGAGGGGGCGGGGGAGUUGAGAUGGCGGAGGUGGAGGUAUGGUAGAGGCGGGGUUGAGAUGGUGGAGGUAUGACAAAGGUGGAGAUGGAGAUGUAGAAUUUAGUGAUAUUCGUCGUAGAAUUUAGUGAUAUUAGAAUAAGAGAGUUUGUAGUAGAAUAAGAUUCUAUAUAUAUAGAGAAAGUUUUAUUCUACUACAAAUUCCCUUAUUCUACAAACUACAAACCUAGCCGGUAUAUCACUAAUUUCUAUAGCAAAUACCUCCACCUCAACCUCUACCACCUCCACCUCAGCAUGCCAUCUUAACCCCCACCUUUGCCAUACCUCCACCACCCUCAUCUCUGCCAUACCUCCACCUCGAUCUCUGCCUCCGCCAUCUCAACCCCACCUCUGCCUCAUCCAUGACCCCUCCCCCUCCAUGUCCACCUCCUCCACCUCCACUAUCUCCACCACCGCCAGCACCACCAUAUUCAAUAACAAGAACAGAUCUGGAGGUUUUCACCAAUUCCUGAAGAUUUUCACCAAUUUUUGCAACACAAAUCACUAUUUUCUGAAGUGAAUAUCACUAAAUUAUUCUGGCUUUUAGUUUUUAUUUAAAAGUUGGUUUGUAUUUGAUCACUAGCUAUAUAUAUAUUUAUAUAUGUUUUUGUGCAGUUUGUUGCAGUCGAAGUGUUUACAUUACUUAGUGGCUCCUAGGGAUAGUGUAAUUGACUUCAGAUCUGUAAUAUAGGUGCAUAGUUUGUAUUCAGAGAUAAAUUAAUGAUGUGUUUACAGAAUCAUGUAUUUCGGGGGUCUGACUUGUGAUUUAGUUGUGAUGAGUGUAUAUUCCUCUGUAGCUCAGGCUGCGUGUAUAUACAUGUAUGCUUUUGUUAUUUUUGCAGUUUAUUGUAGUUGAGGUGUUAUUGUCAGCAGUACAUGACCUAGAAGUAUGAUUAAUUGUGUUCGUGCGAAACGGAUUUGGUUUUAGAUUUGUAAUGCAGGCAUAAUGCCAUUAUGUAUAUGGGGUUUCAACUUGAUUUUAAAUUGUGAUUAAUGUAUCUCUUUGGGAUGAUUGUGCUACAGUUGCCAAGCAUAGGGAUUAAUCAACAAUUUAUCACGUUUACUAAUGUUACUAUGGAGUCAGAGAAGUAUAUAUGUGUUCGUGAGACAUCUCCUCAAAACAGUGUUGUGAUAGUUGAUAUGAGCAUGCCAAUGCAGCCUUUGAGGAGGCCUAUUACUGCAGAUUCUGCUCUAAUGAAUCCGGAUUCCAGGAUUUUAGCUCUCAAAGGUAUAAUGACUUCAAUAGAUGUUUUAUGAUUGAUUUCACAAUUCACGUAUAUGAUUGUUAAUUUUGUGUGCCACUCUGGUUAUAAAUUCAUGUUGUUGGCCUUACUAGUGGCUGUAAUUGUUCUUUGUUAUUUAUUUAACUAAAGUCUAAGUAGUAAUGGGAAGGGAUCCAAACUUUGGAUAUUGUAAGUUAAUGUGUGAUUGACCAGAGGAGCAUGUUAAUUUAUUGACUCCAUCAUAUUGUUCUAAUUAAGUUUUGAUAUUCUUCUGUAGCUUCCGUUACUGGAACGACUCAGGACCACUUGCAAAUAUUUAAUAUUGAGCUGAAAGCAAAAAUAAAGUCAUAUCAAAUGCCUGAGCAGGUGUGCUUCUCUAUUGUACUAUUAUAUGUUCUUCACAGUUUGUAGUUACAGAAAGUAGCUGAUUCUUACUUGGUUACUAUUUCCAGGUUUCAUUUUGGAAGUGGAUUACCCCAAAGUUGUUGGGUUUAGUAACUCAAGCAUCUGUAUACCAUUGGUCAAUUGAAGGUAAGAUGCCUCUUCUUUCGUCCUAAGCCUCAAGUUCAUGUAUUUCAGUUUAAGUUAUUUCUAUUAGUUCACAUAGAUUUUAUCUGAGUGUUUUUGUAUUAAUAUUGUUAUAGGUGAAUCUGAACCUGUUAGGAUGUUUGAUAGGACCGCUAAUUUAGCAAACACUCAGAUAAUCAAUUAUAGAUGCGAUCCUUCAGAGAAGUGGUUGGUUCUGAUUGGAAUUGCUCCUGGCUCACCAGAGGUAGACUGGUUCCUCGUUUAUUCUUCAAUACUGUACUUGUUUGCAUAUUUAUGAUUACUACACCUGCAUACAUCUUUCUGUUUGGAAUAGUUUGGAAAAAAGGUGCAGUUGAAUUUAUGUUGCAUUUGCACGUAUUUGUUCAUUAUGUUGAGUCAUGCUAUGUACUAACAACUUUGCAAUCUGGAUUUUUUUUUCUAAUUUUAUCGAACUGAGGGUGAUUAUUACUUGUGUUUAUUAUUUCAUGAAAAGUAUAGUCACGUAACUUCAGCCUUACCUGUUUGAUUAUAAAUCUUUCUCUUUAAAAACAUGCUUGCAAAUUUCCAGUUGCAUGAAUUUGAUGUUCUUUCUAUAUUUUUUGUGUUAUACUGGGAGGUAUAUAGUAAUUUCUUAAUGGUCACAAUACAACACAUCUAUGAUAAUUUCGGUUUGGCAUUGUAUUUCCCUGAAUACUGAAGUUGAGAGAAGCGAGAUGACCCUUUUCAUUGAUCUUGUUAUUGGUUUGGUGUAAACUGAGAUGGAAGUGCUGUUGUGAUAUAAAUGAACUGCAUCUUAAGUCGACAGUUAUGCUGAUAUCUAUAGUUUGCUGGAAUAAUUUAUAUGUUCAGCCUCUAUACUUGUUGCUUUUAACUUGUCUUGUUUUUUUAAUUAAGUAUUGAACGCCUUUUAUAGUGUGUAAUGUAGAUCAUAUUGGCAUUGUUCUUAAACUUUCCUUACUUAUGCUUGCUUCUUGUUAUGUUCACAGAAACCCCAACUGGUCAAGGGAAACAUGCAGCUCUUUUCCGUGGAUCAGCAACGUAGUCAAGCUCUUGAAGCGCAUGCCGCUUCAUUUGCCUCGUUCAAAGUUUGUUUGAUUCAUGAACUGCAUAUUAUUAUUUUGCUUUUCAAAGGUUUUAUAUUACUCUUGCUCCUGAACAAAAAAUAUUAAAGUAUCUUCUGUAUCAUAUUAGGUUCCCGGUAAUGAUAAUCCAUCAAUUCUUAUAUCUUUUGCAACAAAAAGUAUCAAUGCGGGACAGGUGAUAUCAAAGUUACAUGUCAUUGAACUUGGUGCACAGCCAGGUACUCGUUUGCACAUUGCAUGUUAAUUUGAUACUGUUCAUAUAUGCAUGUCAAAGCCUCAUGGGAGGAACUAACACACAACUCGAUUUAACGUGAGACCUGUUCUUUUAUCGACACAGUUUACUGUAACCUGUCCAGACCACUGUUCAAUAAAUGUUUGAAAGGGGUACUGUGCCAUUGUUUAAACACACAGACAAAAACAAAAGUCCCUAGUUAUUUACAUGUCCAUUGAGUAUUUCUGUAUUUUUAUCUUUCUUAAAGUGUGCAUGUCCAUUCUUAGUUCUAUAUGUUUGUUACCCAUUGUCCUUAUUUAUUUGGUCUCUGGCUAAUUUAUGUGCCUUUUUGUCUUUCUUUUGGUAUGUGUGUGUGUAGGGAAAGCAGCUUUUGCAAAGAAACAAUCAGAUCUUUUCUUUCCUCCUGAAUUUUCUGAUGACUUUCCAGUGGCCAUGCAGGUCUGUAGUCUGCAGUUACGUCAAAGUAUUUUUCGCUUAUAGUUUACUACAUGUUAUUUUGCGACGUUGCAGAUAUCCCAUAAAUANGAGCCCUCUAUCGUUUAUCACUAGUAGUAUAUAUGUGCUGGUGCUUUUUAACUUCCUAGUUGCAAAACAUGAGAUUAAUAAUAAUCCGGUCACAAGCUAAAGCUUGAUGGCAGAUGCAGAAGUAUAGCUAUGUAAAUGUAUGUCAUGAUAUGUUUCUUUUUAGAGCAGUACAGUUGAUAGCAGGAUUGAAAUUGCUAUAAUUGUUACAGAUUUUUAUUUUUCUUUUAGUAUGUGUGUCUAGGGAAAGCAGCUUUUGCAAAGAAACAAUCAGAUCUUUUCUUUCCUCCUGAAUUUUCUGAUGACUUUCCAGUGGCCAUGCAGGUCUGUAGUCUGCAGUUACGUCAAAGUAUUUUUCGCUUAUAGUUUACUACAUGUUAUUUUGCGACGUUGCAGAUAUCCCAUAAAUACGGCUUGAUCUAUGUGAUCACAAAGCUUGGACUUCUGUUCGUUUAUGAUCUUGAAACAGCUACAGCUGUCUAUAGAAACAGGAUUAGUCCAGAUCCAAUAUUUUUAACGUCAGAAGCAUCAUCAGUUGGGGGUUUCUAUGCCAUCAACCGAAGAGGUCAAGUGUUGCUAGCCACUGUAAAUGAAUCAACUAUUGUGCCUUUUGUUAGUGGUCAGGUAAGUUUCUGAGCCGCCUUAUUAUUAGUUUGUGGUUGCUACUUUUUCCUGACCUUUCUUGAUUAAUCUUGCAGUUGAACAAUCUUGAGCUAGCUGUCAGUCUUGCCAAAAGAGGGAACUUACCUGGUGCAGAGAACUUGGUAAUUUAGUUUAUCCAGUAUUGUUCUUUAGUUCUAUAUUUUGGUAGACAAGAUGCCAAAUUUGAACGAGGAUUAUUUUUAGUGGUGGGAAGCAGUGUUGGGUGCUUCUUGAAUGUUAUUUAAUGGGUUCAAGACAGUCCGAACUAAUGCAAGUAUAUCUUUGGAGUUUGGUCCUCCAUUGCUCUGCUUGUGGUUGACUGGUCACUGGUUGGUUGGCAGUAUUUGUGUCAUUUUAUUUGAUGCAUACCUCAGUUGUCGUUGCUAAGUUGAGUAAAUAGUAUAAUAUUCUAAUGUGGGCCUGUGUAUAUAUUGUUAUUGUUGUCAGAAAUGGGUAACCGAUCGUGGCUUGUUUAUUGUUUAUUUUUAUUUUUUUUUGGUAGUUGUCAUGAUUAAGCAAUUUUAAGCAGAUAAUGUUAACAUAGAGAAUAGUAAGGUAUAUAAGUUUGCUACUUUGCUUUUACGAAAUGUUUGCAGAAAUGAAAGGAGGACAGUCAUUGGUUGAUGACAGUCCUCUAAAACACCCGUUAUAUUGUAAUAACUCAUAGCUGACAUCUUAGUGUUUUCGUCUUCCCUCAAAUUUGGUCAGUUUGUUCAAAGGCUCAUAGAUUGAUGAUGAGAUGCUGAUCUUUUAUCUUCAUUUUUGUCAUUAUAGCCUCUGGAUAGAGUUGAUUACUUGUUGUAUUGAUAUUGAUGAUUUGGUCAUGCUUGAUAAUUACUUACUGUAUAUGCAUUUUAAAAUUAGUUCCCAUGUUGUCUCAGGUUGUUCAGCGUUUCCAAGAGCUGUUUGCUCAAACUAAAUAUAAAGAGGCUGCCGAGCUUGCUGCGGAAUCUCCUCAGGGCAUACUUCGUACUCCUGACACAGUUGCCAAAUUUCAGGUAUAUAGAGUGGGGUGUAUUCGAUUGGGAUUUUAAUGGAUUUGUUUUAAUCCAUGGAUUUUAAUAGAUUGUACUUGAUUUUGAUUUUGUGCGGAUUUGUGAUAGAGUGUCACAUAGUUGAUAUAGAUUCUUUAGGAUUUAAGCACAAUGCUUUAAAAUCUCAUGGAUUUUGGUUGGAUUUCAAAAAACUUAGAAUACACUGAGAAAUCCUACAAAAUCCAUCUUUUUAUGAAAUUCAAAAUAAUCCAUCGCCAUUUGAAUACCAUCAGAUUUUAAUGGAUUUUAAACAAUCCCAAUUGAAUACCAUAAGAUUUUAAAGCAUAAUUUACUUACUGUAUAUGCUUGAAAAUUUGUUAUUGCUAUUGCAUCAGGAAUGUCAAGCAUGGGUAGUAUUUACAUAGCAGUUAGCUUCAGAAAUAUUAAGUUUGCAAAGUUCCAUGAACUCGAAAUAUAUAGUUCAACUAUGCACAUUUACAACCCUCAAUGUCAAUAUCUUAAAAUUUAAUGUAAUUUAUAAACUCUCUGUUAAAGACAACCGUUCUAGAGGUCAUGAAAUUCCUUUUUGAGAUGGAUCAUAAUAGCUAACUUGUACAAUUUCUUUUUAAAGGGUUCCUCUCUUCCAGAAACUGUUUCUGUGUGUAGAUUUUUUGUCAAUAUGGUGGUCUCAUCUAAGCUUGAAGUCUUAGAAAGCUAUUUAUACCUCUCAAAAUAAACAAGUAGAAAUCUUAUCUAAAUUGGAAACCAAAUCUGAGGCAAAAUGUAUAAAAUUUUAUUUGAAUUAUUUGUAUGUCAUCAGGCAGCACAAAUCUGUGCUGAAUGCUGGUAUCACUGCCUUAAUAUAUGUGGUUAUUUUCCUUUCUUCGGAUGUUAAUUAGUAAAACAUGCAACCUCUUGAAUGAAAUAGACGGGGUUAACAGCCAACUGAUUGUUGCCUGUUUUGCAGAGUGUUCCUGUUCAAACUGGACAAACACCACCGCUUUUGCAAUAUUUUGGAACUCUUUUAACCAAGGGAAAACUGAAUUCCUUUGAGUCAUUAGAAUUAUCCCGGUUAGUCGUGAACCAGAACAAGAAGAACCUAUUGGAGAAUUGGUUGGCUGAAGACAAACUGGAAUGUACCGAGGAACUUGGAGACCUUGUGAAGGUAAGGCUUGAUGCUUAAAGCAUUACACACACACACAAACACACACAUAUAUAUAUAUUUAUAUAAAUUGUAACCAUGUUUUUAGUUUAGUCUCAUUGUGCGUGACACUGUUAUUUGUUUUCUUAUAGACUGUUGACAAUGAUCUCGCUCUAAAGAUAUACAUCAAAGCUAGAGCAACUCCAAAAGUUGUAGCAGCUUUUGCGGAGCGAAGAGAAUUUGACAAAAUCUUGAUAUAUUCGAAGCAGGUGGCUGAUAUGUAAUGCAGUGUUUAGUGAUAUUAGAUAAUAUAGUGCAUGUGUACAUAUUGUAUACUUAUUCCUUUCAGAAAAAGCUCUUUUUCUUGAACUCCUAAUGAUUGAAAGCCAAUUUCUCUUGCCAGGUCGGGUAUACCCCUGAUUAUCUGUUUCUUCUCCAAACAAUCCUUCGAUCAGAUCCUCAGGUAGGCUCUUGGUAACUAUAGUUUAUGAAACUGAAGCAGUAGGUCACAGCUUUUUGAUCAGAUAAUUGUACACAGUUGUUUUGUGAUUAUCUCCGGUUAUUAUUGCUCUUAUAAACCUCAAUAUUUGCUAGACAUUUGCUCCGACCUUAUUGCGAAAAUUUCUGUUAUAAAUUGAAGUUGCUUAGACAAGUGAUUUUAAUAUUGUAUGUUGCGCAAGAGACUUUGAACAUGAUCUUUGCUCUACCUUCAUCGUAGGGGGCUGUUAAUUUUGCGCUCAUGAUGGCUCAAAUGGAAGGAGGCUGUCCAGUUGAUUACAACACUAUAACUGACCUAUUUCUCCAGGUUCUUACAAUUAUUGUCCCUCCUUUUUUAUGCUGGACCUAUAACAUUCCAUGAAUUUUGUAACUUUGGCCUCUAUGCCGCCUCUUUAUUUUCAUACAUUUGAUGUUCAUGUAUAUAUUAUAAUGCAGAUGUCUCUUUUGAAACAAAGAACAUGUUAUACCAGUUUUUACAAAUGAUUAAUUUUUUUGCCCCUCUAUGAUCUCUUAGAGGAACUUAAUACGAGAGGCCACAGCAUUUCUGUUGGACGUUCUUAAGCCCAAUUUACCGGAACAUGCUUUCCUGCAAACUAAGGUUGUGUUUUUUUUAAUGAUACUAAUAAAUUCCUUUAGGAACUGGGAACCUAAUUCAGCAUUAUAACGUUUAUAAUUUAUAUAGGUUUUGGAAAUAAAUCUUGUAACUUUCCCCAAUGUUGCGGAUGCUAUUCUAGCAAAUGGAAUGUUUAGUCAUUAUGACCGUCCUCGUAUUGCUCAACUAUGUGAAAAAGCCGGUCUUUAUGUCCGAGCUCUUCAGGUAAUCUCUCACUUCCGGCUAUAUGUGACUUUUGGCUUGGUUUUAUUUUUGGAAAUUGAUGAUCAAUCUAACAUGUUGACCACCUUUUAGCACUAUGCAGAGCUGCCUGACAUCAAGCGCGUCAUUGUAAACACUCAUGCAAUCGAGCCACAGGUCUUUCUUCUUGUCCAUGUACCCUUACUAAAGAAUCGUUUAUUCCAUAUCUAAAUAUAAAGUUUUUCUGUUUCAGUCUCUUGUGGAAUUCUUUGGAACUCUAUCCAGGGAAUGGGCUUUGGAGUGCAUGAAGGACCUGUUACUUGUUAACCUAAGAGGCAACCUUCAAAUUAUAGUCCAGGUAUCAGUUUCUAAGCGACAGCCAUGAGAUAUGUUCAAACUAGGCAUCUGUUGUUUUUUAGUGGCCUAGUCCUGGGUUUUAUGCCAUACUAAAUAUUCAGUAGGAAACCAUGCCUUUGAAUAUUCACCUACCCUUAGAAUAUAAUUACCAAAAUUUGUCAUAUGAAUCAGGUUGCCAAAGAAUAUUCCGAGCAGUUGGGAGUUGAUUCAUGCAUAAAAAUCUUUGAGCAAUUUAAGUCAUACGAAGGAUUGUAUUUCUUCCUUGGAUCAUAUUUGAGUUCCAGGUAAUAUUCUCCCCCCAUAAAAAAUAGAUUAAAUUAUUAAAACACAACUUUUAUUCGUCUUUUCUCCUGUUGAAGAUUCUGCCUCUUGAACUUUGGCAAUUAUCUUAAUUUCUUGUUAUGAUUGCAGCGAGGACCCUGACAUUCACUUUAAGUAUAUAGAGGCAGCUGCGAAAACUGGACAGAUCAAGGAGGUGGAGCGUGUGACUAGGGAAUCAAAUUUCUAUGAUGCUGAAAAGACCAAGAACUUUCUAAUGGAAGCCAAGCUUCCAGAUGCACGACCACUAAUAAAUGUUUGCGACCGAUUUGGUUUUGUUCCAGAUCUUACUCACUACCUGUAUACCAGCAAUAUGCUUAGAUAUAUUGAGGGGUAUGUGCAAAAGGUAUGACUUAGCUGUGAGCCUCAUAAUUUUCCACGGCUGUAGUAGCAAUUACUGAAAUAAUUAGACUUACUCGUCAUGGAUUCUAUUGUCAGGUCAACCCUGGUAAUGCUCCUUUAGUUGUUGGGCAGCUGCUAGAUGAUGAGUGCCCUGAGGAUUUUAUUAAGGGUCUUAUCUUAUCUGUCCGUUCUCUACUUCCUGUUGAGCCCCUGGUGGAUGAGUGCGAGAAAAGGUAUUAAUUUUUUCUUACUUUUCUCGAUCUUAAUUCGCGUAGAAAUUCCGGAAUUCCCGUCUAACUAUAAGUUUAGGAGCUCAGUUGGGGUCUCAAUAGUGUUUCCACUCCCUCAUCUCUCCACAUCCCAAUUUACCUCCUAUGAUGUGAUACUUACUCGUAGUGGAGUGGACAUUCUUUUUUUUCAUUUUGUCCAUUUACUUGUAUCCUCAUGUUUUUUGUGCUUCCAGGAAUCGGCUGCGGUUGCUUACUCAGUUCUUGGAGCAUCUUGUGAGUGAAGGGAGUCAAGAUGUACAUGUGCACAAUGCUUUGGGAAAGAUCAUAAUUGAUAGCAACAACAAUCCUGAACACUUCCUUACUACCAAUCCGUAUUAUGAUUCACGCGUUGUUGGUAAAUAUUGUGAGAAGCGUGAUCCCACUCUUGCCGUGGUUGCGUACCGCAGAGGGCAAUGUGAUGAUGAGCUGAUUAAUUGUACCAACAAGAACUCUUUAUUUAAGCUUCAGGCCAGGUUUGCCAUCUAUGUUUUUCAACUGUUUUGAUAUAUCACUUAAAUAAUUGAAUUUUUGGAGGCUCAAAUUUAAGCACUUGUGGUCUUGUUUCAGGUAUGUAGUUGAAAGGAUGGAUGGUGAUCUCUGGGAUAAAGUUCUUGUUCCUGAAAAUGAAUACAGGCGACAACUUAUUGAUCAAGUUGUUUCCACUGCCUUGCCUGAAAGCAAGGACCCUGAUCAAGUUUCUGCAGCUGUUAAAGCUUUCAUGACUGCUGAUCUUCCUCAUGAAUUAAUUGAGCUUCUGGAAAAGAUUGUGCUCCAGAACUCUGCAUUCAGUGGGAACUUUAAUCUGCAAAACCUGCUUAUACUAACGGCAAUCAAGGCUGAUGCAUCUAGAGUAAUGGAUUACGUUAAUAGACUAGAUAACUUUGAUGGACCUGCAGUUGGUGAGGUGGCAGUGGACGCUGAACUAUAUGAAGAGGCUUUUGCAAUAUUUAAAAAGUUCAACCUCAAUGUCCAGGCUGUUAAUGUUUUACUGGAUAAUGUCCAAGACAUUGCUCGGGCUGUGGAGUUUGCAUUCCGUGUUGAGGAAGAAGCUGUUUGGAGCCAGGUGGCUAGAGCUCAACUUAGAGAGGGAUUAGUAAGUGAUGCCAUUGAAUCAUUUAUUCGUGCUGAUGAUGCGACUCAGUUUUUGGAUGUUAUUCAUGCUGCUGAGGGCGGUGAUGUAUAUCAUGACUUGGUUAAAUACCUUCUAAUGGUUAGGCAGAAGACAAAGGAGCCUAGGGUAGACAGUGAACUCAUUUACGCGUAUGCCAAAAUUGAUAGGCUCAGUGAUAUUGAAGAAUUCAUUCUCAUGCCCAAUGUUGCUAAUCUGCAUAAUGUUGGUGAUCGCUUGUAUGAUGAAGCGUUAUACGAGGCAGCAAAGAUAAUUUAUGCUUUUAUUUCUAAUUGGGCAAAAUUAGCUGUGACCCUUGUUAAGCUGAAACAGUUUCAAGGCGCUGUUGAUGCUGCUAGAAAAGCAAAUAGUGCGAAGACAUGGAAAGAGGUCUGUUUUGCCUGCGUUGAUGCUGAAGAGUUCCGCCUGGCGCAGAUUUGUGGACUCAACAUUAUUGUACAGGUAACAUUAUUAGUCGAUGUUAUUUGCUCCUAGAAACUAUCAUUUUACAAAGUUAAAUCUAAAUUUCUCUCUUGAAUCUGUGGUUUGGAAAACGAUCUCUCAGAUGGCUCAUGUUCAAUUACCAUGUUUUAAUGUGGAUCAAACCUGACACCAUUGAACCUGGGAGAUGUAUUCAUAAAUGACAGUUUUAGGACAACUUCCUUGGACUGGCAAUGUGCUGUUUGUUAUGAUUUUUGGUAUUCAUAGCUAAGUCCAGAAUUACUGAAUUAAUUUAUGUUGACCUUUACCAUUCUUUUUUUUUAUUUUAAAUAUCAAUUGUUAAUUGUUAAUAAUUCAGGAUAUAUCUAAGCUCAAUUCCAUAUAAUUGGUUGCAGUCAAAGUUUUACAUGCACAAAUAUUCAGCUAUGUAUAUUGUCUGAUGUGUUUUAUGCCAUUGGUAGGUGGAUGACCUGGAGGAAGUUAGUGAAUAUUAUCAGAACAGAGGAUGCUUCAAUGAGCUAAUUUCUCUUAUGGAGAGUGGUUUAGGUUUGGAAAGGGCACAUAUGGGGAUCUUUACAGAGUUGGGGGUUCUUUACGCUCGAUAUCGUUAUGAGAAGCUUAUGGAGCAUAUUAAACUCUUUUCGACCCGUCUGAAUAUCCCCAAGCUAAUUCGUGCAUGUGAUGAACAGCAGCACUGGAAGGAACUAGUCUAUCUGUACAUUCAGUAUGAUGAGUUUGACAAUGCUGCUACAACCGUCAUGAAUCAUUCUCCAGAUGCUUGGGAUCACAUGCAAUUCAAAGACAUUGUUGUCAAAGUAGCAAAUGUGGAACUCUAUUACAAGGCUGUGCACUUCUACUUGCAAGAGCAUCCUGAUCUAAUUAAUGAUGUUCUCCAUGUUCUUGCACUUAGAGUGGACCAUAGUCGUGUCGUUGAUAUAAUGAGGAAGGUAUGCACUAUAUUUUAUCUUUCACUGUGAACCAUGAUCCGUACCACCCCUCAUCCCCAGCUCUAAAUUGCCUUUGCUCUUUGUAAACUAUGUUUCAUUAUUGGGUUCAGGCCGGUUACCUGCAUCUGGUGAAGCCGUACAUGGUUUCAGUUCAGAGCAAUGAUGUAUAUGCUGUUAACGAGGCUCUGAAUGAGAUCUAUGUUGAGGAAGAAGAUUAUGAUAAGUUGCGUGAAUCAAUCGAUUUACACGAUAACUUUGACCAGAUAGGCCUUGCACAGAAGGUGGGGAUUUAUAAAUUACAGCCUUGUUUAGUUUUCUUGUAUCUAGAGUAGUCUAAUGCUCAAAACUUUAUUAUUAUUUGUACGAGCAGAUUGAGAAACACGAGCUUCUUGAAAUGAGACGUGUUGCUGCGUAUAUUUACAAAAAGGCUGGUAGAUGGAAGCAAUCAAUUGCACUGUCUAAAGUUGAUAAUCUUUACAAGGAUGCCAUGGAGACUGCUUCACAAUCUGGGGAUCGUGAGCUUGCCGAGGAUUUGCUUGUUUAUUUCUUGGAGCAGGUAAUAAUCGAAAUAUAAACUUACACGUUUUAAGUUGAAAUCUAUAUAUGCUCAGAAUGCAGAUCCUACCGCACGAUCUCUGUAUAAUCCACGUUUAUUCUUUAGUUUACAUGAUUUCAUAAAAUCAUGCUUAACAUGUUUGAAGAUGUGAAUGUGGUGCAUGCUUUUGGUAUAAAAAAGAUCAAUAAUGUAAUAAUCAAGGAAGUAUGACAAUUAAGAGAAGUAGCAGUAUACGGAUAUUGAUAGUGGAAAUGUAGCUAUGUCAUUAUAUAACAGAUGAUCCUCGUCUAUGAUUAAUAAUAUUUUAUUUUGCAGGGAAAGAAGGAAUGCUUUGCAUCGUGCCUCUUCGUUUGUUAUGAUUUGAUACGGGCAGAUGUUGCUCUUGAGCUCGCAUGGAUGAACAAUAUGAUCGACUUUGCCUUUCCGUAUCUGUUGCAGGUGAUUUGCUUUCUUAAAGUCCCUGUGAUUGAUGUGUGAGUUGGUGAUUAUUUACACAGGAUAGAAGAAACUGGUUGGAGCCAGUAUUCAGUAAUGUACUGGUAAAACUUUGAGAAGUACUUAUCUAAAUAUUUCAUAAUAGGCUAAGUUUUUGUAGUGUUUUGAAUUGUUAGCUACAAAAGCGUGAUCUCUUUAAUCUUGGUUCUCUUUGCUCUCUUUUUAUAUUUUUAAUAACUGAAUGUGGGUUGUUGACACCUUGACCCAAACAAGUUAAGCGGAGCCUUCACAUCAUUGUGUUGACCCAGUUGUAAGUAAUAUAGCUUGGCAGUAGUCAUAGCCCUGUGUUUAAUAAUAUAAUAAAUAUAAAUUGUUGGCUUUUAGGCUGAAGCUUAGCUGCUUAGUUUGGCCUGGAUGAUCUGCAUUCAGCUGCAUUAUUAUUUUUUUGAUAGGUAAUCUAACUUGGUUCCUCAAAUGUAGUUCAUUCGUGAGUAUACAAACAAAGUUGAUGAGUUGAUUAAGGACAAGAUAGAAGCAGCAAAGGAGAUGAAAGCUAAAGAAAGUGAAGAGAAUGAUGUAAUUAAACAGCAGGUAAUUAUUUGUUUUGCUGAUAAAACUUAUGAUUCAACUUAGCAAUUCUUUUUAAAAUAUAUCUUUGGCGAAAAAAUUUUAUUCAUCAAGGCGCUAGACUACUUAAAUUCUGCCUGUAGUACAUCUAUAUUCUACCUGUAGUACAUCGUAUUUAAACAUGGAACUUUUGGUUUACAUGAAUUGUUUUCAGUUUGAUUUAUGUGAGUUAUCAGUUAUGUUCAUAAUUCAAAAUGUCAACCCUGUUAUAUAAUUCUAUUCUACUUAUGUGGCAGAACAUGUAUGCUCAGCUGUUGCCUCUUGCUUUACCUGCCCCGCCAAGUAUGGGAGGAGCUGGGAUGAGUGUGCCGGGUAUGGGAGGCUAUGGUCCCUCGCAGCCACCAUCUAUGGGUGGAAUGGGAAUGCCAGCAAUGCCCCCCUUUGGCAUGCCGCCAAUGAGCUACUAAUUUCUGGUCAACUACAAUGGUGAAAAUUCUGAUUAGAUGUUUAUUGACAAAGUGGGAAACUGAUUGCUCUUUUCCUUGUGGUACUUAGUGGAGGUCUUCCCCGGGAGACUCAGACUUUAUACUUUUCUGAUGCAGAUAUUGUUUGAUAGGCGUCUCCUGGGAAAUAAUGUCAUUCAAGUUUAGGAUGUCAUGAUGUCUAUAUAUAUGUAGAAGUAUAUCUUUAGUAGCAGAGGUAAUUUUUGGUAGCCCAUAGGUGCAAAAGGAUAAUCUCGUGUUGUGUCAAAAGGACAAGGCCUAUACAAUAUACGAAAAUGUACUUAAUUUCCGAGGGUAGUUGCUAUGUUCUGUUUAAAUUAGUUGCGAAGGAGCUGUUCUCUCUCUCUCACACACACGCAACUCAGCUCUACUAAAAAAUACCCAUAAAAUGUUACGAUUACGCACACACAAAAACUCAAUUCAUCAACGCAUAAGCUUAAAAAAACACUUAAAAACUGGGGUAAUUAAGAACCAAUAUCUUAAUCGGAGUUGUGGAGAACUAUCCUUAAAUACCAAAUUAAUUGAGAAUAUAUAUAUCUAAUACUUUGCUCCUUACAAAAAGAAAAAGAAAAAUCUGAUACAAAAGCUAACCAGUUAAGGAUAAAGAAGUUACCUUUCAAAAUAGAGAUGCCCUAAUUGAGAACUUGAAGAACCCUAAGCUAGAACUUGAAGAAUUAAGAAAUCUCCAAAUACCAACUUAAAGAACCCUAAUUGAUGACUUGAAGAACAAUAAUUGAGAGCCUCCUCCUUAAACACAGCUUAACGUAUUUCUACUACGCAAUUGUUUGUUCAAGCAAAACAGAAGCAAAAUUCAUGAUCCAAAAAAUUUGAUUAAACACAAAAACAAAAAGAGCAACAAAAUACUAACUAGCUUAACGCUACAUUGAACAUGAAACAUAUCCUAAUUGUCAUCGCUCAACAAUCCUUCCACAAAUGGAAUAGUAGUAUAAGGCAACCAAGUAUCCCCCAGGGUGAGAUUAAAUACAGUGAAAUUCCAGGCUUGACUAGCAUUCAAUUGUCCAUAACCAGGCCACUGAACUCUGCUACUAGUGUUAGCUCCCGGUCCAUAAUUCCGAUACUCGCCGUAAUACAAUGUGUCCAAUCCCACCGUGCCAUUCCACUCCAACCAUCCGUUGGGAGUGAUCAGGUCCCCGAUAAACGAUUGCAUGAACACGGUUCUGGAAUAUUGUUUCCAGGGCCGACCAAGAUAAUUCUUGGUCGUGCCAUUUACGUCUAAUGCCAAGUCCGGAGCAGCUUGGAUGGUGCAAUUGUGGAUUGAAAUGCCUGUCUUCUGAUUCGGGUCAGUUCGGCCUUGAGCCGUGAUGGCGGUCUUUUGGUUAGCCAUUGGUUUGCGGACGUAUAUGUUGCAGUUUUGGAAUACGGAAGCUGAGUUGCCGAAUAUGAAAUCUACGGUCCCGUAAAUGUCGCAUUCACGGUAGAAUUGUCUGAGGGAAUGCACGUAUAGUGUGUCUUGAUAACCUUCGAAACUACACCGAUAAAAUGUGGAAAGGUCGGCGUUGUUCCUCACCGCUACUGCUUGGUGCUUCUCAGGUCCUGCUGUGUUCUUGAAUGUUACGUCUAUCGCGACAAAUCGUUCCCCGGAGACAACUAUAUAAAUUUCAAAAUUGUUAGUAAUACACAAACGGAAUUAGGAUAAUCAGCUCACUGAUUUUCUCAGAAUCUCGAGAUAACAUGAAAAGAAUUUUCACAAGAUUAUUAUAUUUAGGAAAAAAUAAAGAUAACGGAAUAUGCAGUACUCCUCUAAAGUGUAGUUGUGCAAUUUAUUUUCAGAGUUUUGUUUUUCAUAAUUAAAGUUUGGAUGUUAAAUUUUUUAUUUAGAAAAAAAAUCUCAAAAAUAAAUUACAGAACUAUAUUUUUUUAAGAGCAUUGAAAUACAUGUCGAGCAGUUGAUAAUAAACGAAUAAAAUUAAAUAGGACAAGAGGAGUAAUAGUUGUAAGUCUUACUGAAGGUGGCGGAAUUGAAGGUAGACCAACCAUCAACAUAGCUAUGGUUUCCGGUGAUGACGGUGCGGUUAAUUCCGACCCCGAGUAACAUUAUAUUUUUCUUAUGCUUAGGAAUGGUGAUAUAUUCUUCGUAAAUUCCUUCCAUUGCAUAGAUAAUGAAGUAGCCAUCUUCGACUUUAGAGUUAAGAGGUGCGAACUCGAUCGCUUGGCCGAUGCUCGUGAAGUUGCUGCCUCCAUGCUGGCUUACUAUCACCACGUUGUUAACCGCAAUGCCGCCGCUGUUAUCUCUGUCGUCAUCGUCGGCGAGGUUUCUUUCGGCCUUUUGAGCUCCUCUUGCAUAGUCAUGUAAAGCCUGUAAUGCAAAGUGAAAACUCACAUCUGUAAAUUUUAACGGUCAAUUAAAUGGAGAGUGGUCAAAGGGGUGCAAUUUAACGGAUAGUGGUCAAAGAGGUGCAAAGCGAAGCGCUUUUCAAACUUUAAGGUGCAUAUUGCCAAAAGAGUUUGUUUGAGACCAAAUCGAAAAAACAUCUAAAUAUAAAGGGUGCAAAGUGUCAAUCACUCUAUUUUAAACAGCUCGAAUAUUAGCGUAUGAUCGGUGUAUACAAAAAUGGAUAGAUUAAUGGGAUGAUUAUGAUUAAUAAGGAUAAUUGAUGAAGUAUAUAUACACACGCGUUAGCAUGUGAUAAAUAAAUGUAUCUACACUUAGUACACAUGGUUAAGAAAGAAAGAGUUAAAGAUUUAACUUGCAUGUUCCAAGAAAUAAAUCGAAGUCAAUAUAAAAUAGCAAGACAUUGACUUGCACAGAAUGACUCGUUAUUUCGAUAAUCUAAGGCACCGACAAAUUGAUAUAUUGCGAACCCAAUUUCGAGUGCACGUGUACUCAUAUUUACGUACCGCGAAGGCCGAUGGAGUGUGAUUCGGGUUUCUUUUCUUCGAAUUGUUUCUGUUUGAACUAAAUCCGAGUAACAGGGUUUUAAUCAAAGCAAGAUGGAUCUUAAUAUAUACCCAUCUAUUCAUAAUAUACACACGAGACACGAUUGAACCACCAAAACAUAAGAGCAAGUCCAACAAUAUUCUCGUAUAUGUCUUAAAAAUAUUAAUAAAAUAUAGUGUCAUAGUAAUUAAAGGCAUGAGUUUUGUAUAUCAUAUAUCUUUUAACGGUGCCUUAUGAUUUAAUAUUAUAUUAUAAUUAUAAUUGGAGGGAAUGGAAAAGAUGACAGGAAAGAGAUGUGUAAAAGUGAGAAAAGGAAUUUUUUUAUUAGUAGAAGUGAAAUAAGCCGGCAGGCUUAGUGAUGUCUUAAAAAUGAGGCAUUUAAUGAACGUCCUAGUAUUUUAAAAUACCACUACGACAUUAUUGGAAUACUUAUUAUUUAUAUGAAAUGUCUUAAAUAAUUCUAGUUUAUGACACUAGUUUAGGACACUCUUCGACUUGUUCUAACUAAUUAUAAUCAGCUAAGUGGAUGGUUACUAGAAAAGAAAUGAGUUGUAAAUUUUAACUACUAAUUAAUUGUGUUUGCUUCGGGGAAAAAAAAAAAAACUAUACUUGCAUGUUUCCUUUUGUCCUUAUUUCCUAUUGUAUACGUUUUUUUUCAACUGCUCGACACGUAUUUCAAUGCUCUUAUAAAACAUAGUUCUGUAACUUAUUUUUUUGAGAUUUUCUUUUUCUGAAUAAAAAUAUAACAUUCAAACUUUAAUUCAGAAAAAGAAAUUUUUAAAAAUAAAUUACACAACUAUAUUUUACAGGAGCAUUAAAGUCCGUGCCGCGUCCCCGUCCCCUGAUGUAUACUACUCAGGGGGACGGAGGGAGUAAAAAGUAACAAUGGCAUCAUAGUUGGUGUCCCAGUUCAAGUUAGUCUCAAGAAUGCGCGGUUCAUGCACAGACAGCAGACAACUUGUGAGAAACGGCGCUGACAUGGUCACCAUGCAUCGAAAUAAUAGAAUCUUUAAGACUUUAAAUUUUUAGCACAAUCUCUCUCUCUCUCAAAACGUACAGAGAGGCUUUAAAUUAAGUUUGUUAUAUCGGUUAUUAUAUUUACACAAUCAUCGUGAACAAUAAGUUUGUUAUACUUUCUUCCCUUUGCUUUCGUUAUAUAUCACAAAAACACUACUCACAAAGACCAUGCAACUGCCGACUUAUUGUAAGCAACACUACGCAGACGUUGAUAUAUAUAGACAAUGCAAAGCAAAGAGUUUGAGCAGCACGGAGAAAUAAAAUAAAUGAUAAUAUUUUUCAAAUAAUUGACUCUUGACACCCAAUUCUAAGAGUUUUGACCGCAUAGUUAAAUUUUAAAUUUUUUUUUGAAUAAAAAUAAUAAAUUUAUAUUUUAUUUCACAAAAAGAUAAUUUCAAAAAUAUUAACUCUAAUUAUGCAUUCAAUGCCAUUAGAAAUAUGUGCACAAAAAUCAAACGUCAAAUAUUUGAAAACAGAGGAGAUAACAUUAAUGCGAAGAGUUUGAGUACCUUGUUCAACUUGGACGAACUAAAGAUCGCCGGGAGAGCAUCUCUUCCGAAAACCUUACCCUUUCUAGGGCCACGCUUCCGAUCACGCGCAAUAGCAUGCGUCACCAAACCUAAUGAAACACUAUACAAAACAGUUGCAUUAGAGAGCGGAACUUUUAACAGGGCAGCCAAGCUACUACCACUCUCCACAAGACCAUCGUAGCAAGUGUCCUGAUUCGUCACCACGCCGCUCAACAACGUCUCGAUCUUUCCGAUGAGUCCGUCGGUCAUGGCCGGGGCCGUCUUCAGCUCUAGGGUGAUCAUUUCCAAGUAUCCCUCGGUUAGGUCAAAGAGCUGUUCGCAAUCUCGUAGGGCGUUUGUUUCUUCUAGGGUAAUUUUUGUUUUGGAUUUUUUCAAGUAGCGGUGGAUGGUUUUGGUGAGUCUUUGAGCUUGUUUGAGGCUUUGUUUGACGGAGAAUUUGCCGUAGCUGGAAGGGUUGGUGGGGGAGAAGCGAAACGCGGAGAGGAGUGAGCGGCAGAGUCUAGGGUAGAGACUUGAUUUACAAGCAAUGGAGGGUGGUUGGGGUGUUGAUUCGGCUUUCUCAUGCAUGAUUAUGAAUAUAGAAAGAACUAAGAUGAAAGCUAUUAUGUUUUUUACUUGAGCCAUUUAAGGAGUUGGUUUCUUGCGAGAGAUGUUGAGGGAGGGAGAGAGAUUGAGAGAGAGAGAGGGAGAGAGGUGUGUUGGUUAUCAGGGAGAGUGUGGGAGUAAAUAUAGGGUUGCGACCUGCGAGACUUGGGAAAAACGGAAGUGCGUUCAUUAAGUUAAUUGUUUAUUACUCCCUCCAUCCUGAAUUAGAUGAGCUCGUUGACUUCGGGCACACACUUUAAAAUUCAUUGACCGCAUAGCUACAUUACUUAUUUUUAAAAUUUUAUUUUUGAAAAUAAAAAUUUAAAUAUGAAAUUUUCACUUACAAAAGGAAAUUUUAAAUUUUAAAUUUCGAAAUUAGACGGUCAAUGCACUUUAAGUUACGUGCUCAAAAUCAAUUAGCUCAUCUAAUUUGGGAUGGAGGGAGUACCAAAUUUACAAGUAGCUAAAAGCUGGGGUUGUACUUUGGGGCAACGGUAAGUUAUUGUCCUAUUAAUUACAAAUAAUAUUAUUUAUCUUUGUAAUUAAUGUGCAUGUCUGCACGUAUCAGCAGAUUUCAGAAAUUUCGUAACGUUGGAAGCAGAGGUGACAACAUCGUAUACUUUCGUUUUAUGUAUUUUCGUGUUUAGUGUACUCGAAGUUGAAACUAGUAUUCGUUCGUUAUUAAUUAUUUUGUUUAACUAAUUAGAAACCCGUAUCAGAUCCCAAAUGUUUCAUGUAUUUUUCGUGUACAUUAUGUAUAAAAAUAUUAAUAUAAUUUUAAUCAAAAUAGCUUUAAUAUAUAUUUUUCUGUAUAAUUUUAAUAAACAUGAAUGAUAUAUUUAUGCUCACAUACAAUAAUCUACAAAUUAGUUAAUAUAUCUAUAAUAUAUAGCUACAUAUACAUAUAAAUAUAUAAUUAUUUAACACAAUCAUAUAUUUAAUAUAUUAUAACAUAUAUAUAAUAAAAUUUAUGUACAAAUAUUUCGUGUACUUUCGUGUAUUUCAUGUACCCAAAAUGAAAAGCAUAUCCGACACGAAAUUAAUCGUGUAAUUUCGUGUUCGUGUAUUUUUGUGUAUAAAAAUAAAAAAUUAUAUUCAUUUUUUUCAUAUCAUUUCGUUUCGUGUUAGCGUGUUACGUGUCAAAUUGCCAGAUCUAGUUGGAACCCCAUUUAUUUCUGCUGUUCGACAACCAAAAUAUGUGCAUCUUCAUGCCUUCAAAAUCAGUCAAUACAAAGAGCACAAAUUUAACUUUAUGACUCUGGUAAAUAGAUAUCAAUUUCCCGGUUAGCUGAAUGAAUGAAUUUUUUAACAAAGAUAGUUUGUAUGUCCUUUUUUAAAAAAUUACGUAUGUUAUAAAAUAUAAAUUAUUUUUUUGUUUUCAUAUUCAUUUAUUGAAAUUUGUAGCCCAGAAAUUAUUUUUGACAAAAUAUUGUUUUGAAACUAUAAAGAGACGAGUUUUUCCUCUAAAAAGGAUAAAAUGAGAGGAAGAGAGUAUCAUUUUUCAAUUUGAAUGAGUAAAUUUAUGCGGACUUAUUCCUUUUUUAAUUAAUUUUCACUCUUAUAUUAAUUUUCUUAGUGUUGAAUUCUAUAUAUUUUACGAAUUAAUAAAUGUUCAGUUGUGUAACGAUAUGAACUCAUAGAUAUAACUUAUAAGCGUCCCAGGUUAUUGUUGGACUCACUCGGUUGAAAGCUUGGGCCUUACCAUUGAACUGGGCAGGCAUAUUUAUUAAUAUCAACGUUUUCAUAACGAUCGAUAUAUUUUUGCUAAUAAAAUUACUCUCAAAUUAUAUAGAUUUUGUAUACAACAUUUUUUUAAGCUACAUUUGAAUAGAGUAAAAAUCUAAAUUGUUGAAAUUGCCCUCGAAUUGUAUAAAAUUUAUAUGAUUAUUAAAUUGUCGAAUUAAAAUCAAGUAUUUUGUUGAAUUCUAGAAUCAUCGUAAGAUUACAGAUUACAAAAUAAUUCUUUAAAUUAGUUUAAGAGGAGAUAUUUUUGCAAAAAGAAUUAAGAUUCUAAACUACAAGUUUAUUGAAUCUUAAGAUGGUAUAUUCAAUUGCUUACGUAUCAAAUCAAAUUGACCACCGUUUAAUUAGCAAAGUUUCAAAUUUACCAUUCACAAAUGCAGGGUCUCAAAUUGGUCACUUUGCUAAUUAUAUAAUACUCCCUCUAUUUUUUUAUUAUUUGACGCUUUGACUUUUGACACAUACUUUUAAGUGCUUUGACCGUAUAGUUAAAUAUAUCAUUUUUGAAUGAUUUUUUUUGUGAAUUAAAAUUUUAAUUAUAUUUUUUUAUUCAGAAAAAGAGAAUUAUAUGACGGAGGAGGUACUACACUUUCACAAUAAAUAAUAUAUAAUGAAGUCCACUACACCAAAUACAGGCUUUUCUGACGGCCACUUUCUGACAGAGCGUUGUUUGGUCUUUAAUUUCUGACGGGGGUUAGCAUCUGACGGACAAGGGGGCUAACAUCUGACGGUCAACUUCUGACGGACCUCGUUUGGGCCUCUAACUUCUGACGGACCAUAAUUUCUUACAGACAUGUAUGUUAACAUCUGACAGACUUUAAAAAUAUUGUCAGAAAAUGAUUAUUUUAUUAAUAAAUUUUUGCGGGAAUAAUAUAUUUUUUCCUCUAAAUACACUUUCUGACGGGUUCCGUAAGAAGUUAUGCACAAAUUUUCAUAUUUUUAUUUUUGAGAGAAAUGGGAAAGGCAAAAAAAAAGGUUUAAAAAUGGCUCAAUAUUUUUACUAUUCAAAGUUAUAAACGCAUCGAUGUUUAGAUCUUUUAAAAAUAUUUCUUAAUGAUCCAACCGUUUACAUGUCAAAAUCUAUAUAUUCUAGUGAUAUUUCAAAAAUUUCUAGAAAAAAUUGAAUUUAGAUUUAACAGUCAACUAGUGAUUUGACUAAUACUUCUAACUAGUAUUUUAUCAUGUGUCGGUGUUUCAAUUUUUUUAAAAAUAUUUCUCCAUGAUCCAACAAUAUGGAUGUCAAGAUCUAUAUAUAUUAGUGACAUGACAAAAAAAUAUGAAAAAAUUAUUUUUUUUAUUUGAGAUUUUAAUAGUCAAUUAAUGGUUUAACUAAUAUUUCUAACUAGUUUCUUCAUGGAUUAGUAUUUUAUUUUUUUAAAAUAUAUAUCUCGAUGAUCCAACCGUAUUUGAUGUCAAGAUUUAUCUAUUUUAGUGAUAUUAGUAGUUUGACUAAUACUUCUAACUAGUGUUCUAUCAUGUAUUGGUAUAUUAUUUUUUUAAAAAUUAUUUUUCGAUGAUCCAACUGUAUGGAUGUCAAGAUCUGUACAUUUUAGUGAUUUGACAAAAAUUUCGGGAAAAAGUCAAUUCAUUUGAUUUGAGAAUUUAACAGUCAACUUAUUGUUUGACUAAUGCUUCUAAUUUGUAUUUUAUAUCAUUUUUCACAAGACUAAAUUCUUGCCUUUCCUCUGAUCUCAUCUUAAUUUUAGAGCCCGUUUGUUUGAACUUCAAGUCGGGGGCUUCAAGUCGGGGGCUUAAAGUGAUUUUUGACUUUAAGUUAUACCUUCUGAAUAAUCAUUUUGCUUUUCCUGUUACACAACAUGUAUAUAAGUUAGCAGAAGAGUUUAAGCAUCAGAAAAGUUGUAAUAUUAUGACCUACAGAUGGGGACAUUUCAAAAACCUCUGUUUGUUCUAGCUCAUAUUCUUUCGCUGUCUUUACUUUUCUUGAAUGUGACAGCAUCACCAAGAACAGAAGCACAAGCUCUUGUGCGAUGGAAGGAGAGCUUCUAGUCCUUUUCACUCGAUUCUUGGUCCCUCUCCAACUUCAGAAACUUCUGUAAAUGGACUGGCUUUAGCUGCAACUCUACAGGAAGUGUGUCCAGGAUAAAUCUCCAUGAUGCCAACAUCACCGGGACUGUUGCACUAUUCUGUUUCACUUCAUUUCCAGAUCACACGCGUCUUGAUAUCAGCAGCAACCAUUUUGAUGAUCCACUGCCAUCUGUUGGUAAGAGGUUCUCUAUGAUCACAUACUUGGACUUGAGUGCCAAUACUUUUGAAGGUGGCAUACCGCCAGAGAUUGGAAAUCUGAAAGAGUUCAGAUACCUUAGCUUUUACGACAACAAUCUCAACGGUACCAUUCCAUACCAAGUCGGUAAAUUUCAAAAGUUAUGGUACUUGGACCUGGGGUCAAACUACUUGGCAACUCCAGAUUGGUCCAAGUUUGCUGCGAUGCCUCAACUGACACACCUCAGCUUUUUCUACAAUGUGAUCGACUCAGAAUUCCCAUAUUUCUUACUUAGUUGCUUUAGUUUCAUUUUCAAUUGUGUGCCUAGCAUACGGUAUUGUAGAGGAUAUUAGUGUCGGUUGGAAGUAUGUAAUUUAUGACUAAGUUUAUCUGUGAGAAAGUUUGUAUUAUUAUUUUAGUAUGAAAAUAAAUUUAUUUAUUUUGUUUUCAUUUUUUAAUUGUAAAUUUCUGACAGACGUAUUUGUCAGAUAUUCGGUUUAUUAAUAAAAUAGGUUGGUUUAUUAUUAUAAUACGUAAGUAGUGGGUCCCACAUGACCUUCCAACAAAACUGUAACUUCCGACGUAAUUCUGAACAUUUGACUACAAGUUUUCCGACAGAGGUAGUCUGUCAGAAGAAAGCAUUCUUCUGACAGAAUGCAGGCUAAAAUAGCUGUCGGAAAUACCUGUAUUUGGUGUAGUGGUCAUUCAAUCUUGAUUUUAAAGAAUAUUUUUUUUUCAUUUAAAAAAAUGUAUCAUAUGUGAGUUAGCUUGAGUUGGGUCUACUCUAGUUUCAUCCUCUAGAGAAAAGAUGACUAGGUCAUCUGUGAAUGAAGAACCAAAGUUGGACAUUUGAUUUUUCAUGUGCUCAGUGUAGUGUAGUUUCAUGCCAUUAUGUGGGUCUGUAUUCUUUUUCAAAACAAAACACUCCUUUAUGUUCGGAGCAUUUUCAAUGAUACCACAAAUAUUAUUCAGAAACACAGUAACAAAGUGAGGAUAGAUAUGUACUUUUUUGGUAAUGGAAGAAUGUAGUUGAGCUAUGACCAUCUUACCCACGUUCAACUUGAACCCAUGGACCAUUGAGUGAGUAAGCUUCCGUAUAUAAUAGGAAAUGCUAUUUCAUCCAGAUGUCACUACUGGAAAAACGGCCUACAACAACGGCCAAAAACCGAUGUCUGAAAAUUUUUAGACCGAUAUCUACGCGGGGAUGUUAAAAGUAUGCAGUUUAGACAUCAGUUUUUAACUGAUGUCUAUGUAGCACUUACACAUCAUUUUUUUAAUAAAAUCUGAUGUCUUUGACUCUUAUUUAUAAAUAAAUUAUAUAAUAAUUGUAUGAAUAUUAUAAUAUUUUGAGGUCUAAAUUCCAUAUAAUAUAUAACUUACAAGAUAAAAAUUGGCGUUUAAAUUGGUUAUUAGUAAAAAUUUGAUGUUUAUAAAUAUUAUUAACAUCACUUCAAAAACAAUAUCAAUGUUAAAUAUCUUAUAAGACAACAGUCCACACAAGUGUAUGAUGUCAAAGGGAAGGUAUAACAAUGAUUGUACUAAUCAAUCGAUGUUAUUAAGAUUGUUAGGGUUCUUUAAAACAUCGAUUUAAAUUAAGGAAUCGAUUUAGUAGCUACUUUUGCACAUCAUCUUGUGAGAUAUCUACUCAUGUGUUUGGGAUUUUAGACAACAAGUUUGUUUUAUAAAAUGAUUUCGAAUAUUAUUUUACACAUAGAUUUAAAACUAUUAUGUGAUGUUUUUUAUAUAUCCAGAUCAUGGUUUCCUCCAUAUCAUAGAAUAUGAUUCAAAAAAUCAUACACAACCAAAAUUUAAACAACCACCAUCAUAUCAAUGGAGACUAUGAAGACUGAUUUUUGUGGAGGCUUUAGAGACUUAAUCACAGCCAUCCAUUUCUUACACAUCCAAGGGCUCAUGUUAUUUGUCCUCCACAUUCGUUUUCUCUCUCUAUCAUGUCCUGCACUUCUAAAUCGGUGAAAAACAAGCAGUACUUCUAAAUCCCGCAUAACAUAAAAUAAUAAUUCCAUAAUAUUGAUGUUCAAUCACCGAAAUACUAACAAAUAAAAAUAAUAAUUACAUACAAAACAAAGAUGUAGUUGGACAUUGCUAUGAUUGGCACUGAACUCAUUGUCAUUGUCCCGCAAUGAAUUAAAUUUGUUGCAAAAUAAAAUAACACUCAGAUAUAUCACAAAUAUGCGGGACAAAUCAUUAAUAUUACAGUACUAGAAAUGCAGGACAAGAAUAGUGUAAAUUAUAAAGAUAGUUUUGAAUUAAAACUAAAACAAGAAAUGCAGGACAAAAAUAUUAAUAAUACAUUACCAGAUAUGCAAGACAAGAAUAAUGUAUAUUAAAUUAUUAAUAUUACAUUAUUAGAAAUGGAGGACAAAAAAUAUUUAAUCAUGUCCAUUAAUUGCCAGAUUAUUUUAACGGUAGAUCUUGUAGUCUCUAAGGACUCCAAUGUUUUUGGUCUCCAUUGAGCCCAACUCUCUCUCUCUCUCUCUCUCUCUCUCUCUCUCUCUCUCUCUCUCUAAUUAAUUAUGUUUAAUUAAUUACUUGAAUUAAUUAUCUCUCUCUUUAUAUAUAUAUAUAUAUAUAUAUAUAUAUAUAUAUAAUUAAUUAAUAUCACAAAUCAAAGUAUAGCUCGCAAUCCACAAAAGUCACGGCUAGGAAGAAGUACUUCAAUCCACAAUUAACAGAUUUCUAUUACAUGAAGUCUUCGAUGAAAUCAAUGGCCUUAGGCACAGUGAGGGAUGUCAUAGACAAACCGACAUAGACAUGAAUUAUAGAAGAUAGUUGUGACAUUCCAUAGAUAGGUGGUCCUGCUCUUACAUUUGAUUGAGUUUUUGGAGUUGCAGCUGGACUUAGAGAGGCCUGCAAAAAGUCAUUUGCCAACUAAAUGCUACACAUACUCCUUUAUUUAUAUUGUUGACCAGAUUGAGAAAGUUACAGAGCAUACCUGGUAAGGAUUCCAACCAUCGGGAACCAUCUCUGUGGGAGAAUCACUAAACUAGUCAAAUGUAAAACUAAGUAGCUAACAAGAUACAAAAGUGGAAAAAACACAAAAUUAAAAUGUAUUAUGAGAGCAGAUCAAAAAAAUGUGAACAGAAAUCAGUGCAACCUUACAUGUGUAAAACUCCGGCUGUGAUAUAAGAAUGAUUACUGGUAUUUGGUAAGUAUUAAUAUAAUUAUAGAAAAGGGCCAGAUCUAUAAAUUUUUAUUAACUUAUACUAUAUCUUACAAGGUGAAAGCAACAAGGUAGGGAUCCCAAUCAUCACAAAGAAGUAUAGUAAAAGAAUAACAAAGAAAAUACCAAGAAAUUGUUUAUAAAUGAGAAAGGAAAAUACAUGUGUUCCGGUGAAUAUUAAUCUCUUGGAACUUGGCAUUACGUCAAAAAGAUAACAAUAGGCUUCAUAGAACUACGCAGAAUCUAGUCGGAAAUUACCUUGCUUAUUAAAUCAUCACUCAUCACAGAACUGCUUAUACUCUUGAAUAGCUCAAACAGUGCUUCAACUUCGCUAACACUGAUUGCAAACCAAACAAAAGGCUUGUUAUUACAAUUGACACAAGUCAAACUGUUACGUCCGGAAGUGAUUGUAGAAGGGAGGGUUGAAUACACUCACCAAAAAAUUCGCGCGGAAGUAGUCUGAUUUGGAUAUAACUGGAUAAUUAGAUUUUAAUUAAUUAAAUAUAUAAGGUUCAAGUAAAAAUUAAUUUAAACUUGAAAGUCGUUAUUAAAUUAAUUAGGAUUCAGUUUUAAUGUCCACUAAAUAUUCUAGAAUAAAUUUGAUAGGAAGUAUUCUAAUUUAGGGAUUAAAACAAUCGAGUGAUCAAAACACAAAAAACUGUGGAUAUAACAAUAGCAAGUUACAGACAACUUGAAAGCUUUUACAAUGCUUGAACAAUUACAAAUGAAUGCCUAUUUAUAGGCAACACCUUGAACUAGCAUGACAUAGCUUGCUAUGACAAUCAAAACAAGUGCUAUGAUAAUUAAAAGACUAGAUAUGACAAUCACAAGACUAGGUAUGACAAUUACAAGAAGGGUAUGACAUUUAAAAUCAUUGUCACACAAAAAUCAAGGGAAGGAACGACAUAAUCAUCGAUUGUCAUACUGGUAGACAAAGUAUGACAUACGUAGGAGCUUAGUCACCAAGAAAGACAUGGUAUGACAAUCUCUUAGAUGGUCAUACAGCAUCAAUCAAUAUGACAUACAAGUAAGUCAUAGAGAAAUGGUCGAUAUGACAUGACAGACAUGUCAUGGAGCAGUGGUCGGUAUGACAAUAUGUCAUGCCGCCUGUUGCCACCAUCACAGACUCUGUAAUAUGAAUGUUUAUAAAAUUUUAUCCUUUAGCCAGCUCCUUAGAAAGGCUUUUUAUCCCGCACAGCUUAUAGUCUUUAAUUAAUAAAUAUUUAAUUUAAUCCAGAAAUUUGAUAAAUAAAUAUCUAAUAUUAUUAGACAUUUAUAAAUAUAAUUUUCUAAUUAAUUAAAAUAUUUAUUAAUAUAAAUAAAUCUUUACGGUCCAAGCUGCGGUCUCUAGAGGGCCAGGAACCGGACUCCUUUUGCCUUGCAAAUAAUAUUUUAAUUCCAUCCGGGGUUCCAGCUUUAAGAUUAUAUCACUUUCCAUAGCGUUAGUGAUAAUUCUUUUCCCUCAUACUCAGACAGGUCUAAGAUUCGGUCUCGUGUGGGUCUAGAAUCGGAUCCCUUUUGCUUUGAAAAUUAUAAAUCAAUUCCAACCGGGUUUCCAGCUUUAAGAAUAUAUCACACUCCAUUGCGUUGGUGAUAAUUCUUUUUCCCAUAGCUAGACAGGUCUGAGCGGCGGUCUCCUUGUCCUUCCUUUUCCCCUUCUUUCUUUUGCUUUCUUUUUAUAAAUUAAUUCUAAAUCAAUUAACUUAUUAAUAAACUUAAUUAUCAAAUUAAUUCUAAUUGAAUUAAUUUAACAACUAAAUAAAUUAAUAGAGAUUAAUUAUUUAACAAAGAAUUAAUGAAAAACUCUAUAUUCCAGAAAGCAAAUGUCUUGAACCUUCAUCUUGAUCAUCUUUCGCUUGAACAACCACCUUCCUUUGAUGUUAAAUAUUCAAUAUAAAUAGCUGACACACAAAUGUACUGUCUAGUUCAUCUGUGCCUAACUAAAUUGAAUAUUCUCCAUCAAUUAUACAUUUGAGCUGUGGCCGGGUCUUCGAUUCUUUAUCUUCUAGUUCAGCUUCAUUUCAGUACACAUAUGGAAUCUCUGAUGAAAUAAAUACUUGAAUCUUCGUACCUUCUGAAUUCCUUGAACCGCUACACAAUUUAUUUGACACUGAGGCUUGAUCAUAUGAAAUGAACUUCUUCCAGUGGCUCGUAGCUGAUAUCUUGGAAUUCUUCUAACAUUCUGAUUCUUGUAUCCACUAUACUUUCUUGAUCUGAUUCCAGCUAAACUAUCUACUAUCUACUAUCAUAACUUAUCAGGGACUAAUCCAGGUUGAGUUACAAGUUGACAGGUCAUCAGACACAAGUUGAGUUAUCACCGGUUGUACAGAUAGACUUAGACAUGUAUCUUGAAAUAAGGCCUUUCAAUCUUCCCCUAUUUGUUCGUUAAGCACUGACACACAAAUUUAGAUGAGGAUAACUCAACUAACAACAACUAACAACUUUCUAUGACUCAAUAAACAUUAAUACCAACUUAACCUAUUAGGAAACAAUCCCAAUUGAUAAGAGAAACAUAAAACAUUAAAAUGUACAUAGUAGAUGGUUUCUAGUAAUACAUAUAACAUUGUACUAGUCUCCAUUUUUCUUCAGACAACUACUUCUUCUAGAAUGCCUUUCAAUCACUUAAGACCUUUCAAUCUCCCCAGAGGCCUUGCAAUCUCCUUCCAAGAUAUAACAUGUAAUUCUCCCUUAAUCUUCUCCCCCAUAGGUUCAUAAUAUUCUCCCUCUUAGAUGACAGAUCAGAACAUGAAUAUUCUCCCCUAAGUGAUUCUGCGCUCCCCCUAAGUGAGACAUAGAACAUUCUUCCCUUUAGAGCAUGGAUCAUAGAACAUUCUCCCCCUUAGUGUUCUGUCAAUAUUUCUCACCCUUAGUUGAGGAAUCCUCAAUUAUUAUCAAUAAUGAUAACAACUGAUUAGAUAAAACAUUGAACGACAGAAUCCAAUAUGAAGAAGACAGGGCUUCGAAGAAGGUGCAUCCAGUAAAAAAUGUAACCAUAGUAAGCAUCCACUUAGAUAAAACAUUUUAGAUACCAAUUUUGAGCAAUAAGGAUUAAAUUUGGUAAACGGUGGGUGUCUCACUAAAACAUUUUGCAGGUGUAUCACUCGAUACUCAAAAUAUAUCUCAAUUUAUGGGUAAAGGUGUCACUCACAAGUUCUAUAAGUGUUUCACUCCACACAAAUCCUAAGCUUCUGUAGUGUGAUGUACCUGCAAUUUAAGAUCACCUUUGCCUCCUCAUGGAAGGUCAUUGGUGGUGCAAUGGGAGUUUGUAAUUCCCAGUCCCCGUAGACUCGUCAGAUAAAUCCAAGUCAUAGUCCACAAGUUUCCUACUACUUUCAGAGAGUAGUAAAUCCUUAAAGGAUCCAGAGUUUGAUUCUGGGAGGGUAGACAAUAGGCCUUUUAAUGGCUUGAAACCAAUGUUUCUCUCAGAUACCUGUUAAGGCACUUGAUCCUUAGAGGAAUCCUCUACUAGAGUAGAUUGCCUUUCACAUUCAAGGGUGAAAGAUCCCGUUGGGGAUCCGGAAAUGUUCCUUUCGGAAACGUGUCCAAGUUUCCCUCGGAUGCCUGUGAAGGCACUUGGUUCAAUAAAGAACCAGCAAUUCCAAUGUCUAUCCCUGAUAUGGACGACAGAGUUAUUGCAACCGUCAAUUACUUGAAUAUUUACAAAACCACAGAAAUAUUCACAACAGAAUUAGUAUUCACAACAUGGAUACCAAUAAGAAAUAUUUUACAAGCAUGCGACAAAAUUAAAAUUGAAAUAAACAUAAAAAAUUUUACAAGAGCUCAUGUCAUGUCACUACAAGAAACUGGCCUAUCAGCGACCAAAUGUAUAAGCGACCGCAAGUCUGUCGCUAAGGUUGUUAAAUAGCGACCGCCUGUAGCGACCGCACAAAGCCUCGUCGCUAAUACCUCAUCCGCGACCGACGACCUUCGCUAACUGGUCGCAAAAUAUUUUUUCGCCCCAAAAAAUGGAGGGAAUUGUGGCGCUAACAAUAUUAACGAUCACUGCUUGUUUGUGACCGACUUCAGUCGCUGAAAGUGCCACAUCAUCACCGGGUCAGCGACCGAAGUUGGUUGCAAAUAGUCGUCGCUGCAUAAUUAUCCCCCCAAAAAUGUUUUUGGCGCACCAAAUCUGCGACCGCUGUUAUUAGCUACCAACUGCGGUAGCAGAAGGUUCCACGUCAGCUUUUAGCUAUGGAAACCAGUCGCAAAAAACAGUUGCAGAUGUAAUUUUAUUUUUUUUUUUAAUAUUUUUAUAUAGAGAUUUUUAGUUAUAUCCUAAUUAAAUUAUGCAAAAUAAUAAAAAAAAUAUUUUUUUAUUUGAUAUUAUUGGUUAAUAACAUUUUGGAUUACACGUUUUUGAAUUAAAAAUUAGUUAAUUUACUUAUAUUAUUUCAGAUUAAUUAAUUUUACAACAAAAAUAUCAUUAAUUUUAUUAGAAACCUCUAUAGAUGUGAAGAAGAAAAUGCCACCAAGGAGAAAGACAAAAAUUGUCAAAGUAAAAGGCAUUAGAUGCCAAGGUGAGUCAUCUUCAGUAAAUGAAUUUAAGCGUUGUCUUGUUGAUCCCCCAUCUCCGUAGAAGCCACAUCGCAAGAACAAGUAUGUUGAAGACUUUCCCAUGCAAAAAUCUGACAAGUCUAAACUGCUUGGUCUUGCCAUCCAUAUGGGAAAAUUUGGCAAGAAAUGGGAUGAAGAUGAAGAAGAGAAGAAGGAAAGGGAGAAAGCAUAGAAAGAAAGGGCUGAACAAGAAGAAAAAGACCUUGCUGAAGGGAAGCCAAAGUCGGUGAUUGGCAAAUUAGAUCAAGACUUAGUAUGCAGGUCUGAAUUUGCUUACACUACAAGGAAUAAUGAGACAAUUUGUGUUCCACCUGGACACCCCUUGUACUCCAAAGCAAAAGAAGAAGAAGAAAGGCUUAAGAAGUCCUCCAAAACUGAUGAUGCUGAGCUGGAAAGAUUUGUCUCUCAAUUUCAAUAUGAGUUGGAUGAAGAACUUAUGGAAGAGUCUAACAUUGCUAUUCAGCAAUAAAUCCUAGAUGAAGCCAACAAGAAUCUUGAAAAGAAGAAGGAGAAGAAGCCAAGGAAAGCUAGAGCUGGUGUGACAAAUAUAAAAUCAAACUUAACUGUGGAAUUUCAAGAUGAAGCUGUCAAUGUUCAAAAUCAAGAUCCAUCUCCUCCUGUCUCUGCAGCUCAACCUGAAAAUCUUAUCAACCCUGAAGAACUCAAAGAAGAACCAGUAGAAUUUGAUUUAUCAACAAUGAACUUUUCAAAAGUUUAUUGGACCAAGGAAGAUGAACUGGCUGAUACUUUGAGGCCAAGGAGAAGCCAAACUGCAAGGAGAACAAAACACAUGCCUGAGAAUAUUAAGAAGAGAAGUGAAAAUUCAAAGAGGUAUGAUCUAGUUGGUCCAGUUCAAGUCAAAUCUCCAUCUAGAGAAGUGGUGAUUCCUCCUGUGCCAGAUAUUGUCAAGGUUCCAAAAACUACAUAUGCUUAUGCCUUUCAUAUUAGUGAACAGCCUCCAAUUAAGUUGUAUCUAAAUGAACUGGAACAUGUAAAAGCCUUGACAAAGACUAAAAGAUUUCCAGAAAGGUUGGAGUUCCACUAUUCUUCUGGAGCAAUAAUCUCAUGGCCGCUACAAAGAAUUCUGAAUCAAGACUAUCAUAUCCUCAGGUCUGUGUAUGUGAAGCUAGACAACAGGAAUUCAUUCUCUCAAGGGGUUAGAAGUGAAAUUCUGAAGAAAAUUGAAGACAUCAGAAAGAAAUGGAAUGAAACUUCUGAUCUACCUUUAAGGUUGUCACUUCCUAACACUGGCAGCUCAAUCUUCAAUCAUUCCUCAAGAUUAAUGACAUUCAGAGAUGAUCAAGGCAUUAAAAGAUUCUUCAGGCUGAGAGAUCAUGCUAAGAAUGUUGAUAUUAAUACCUUGAGGGCAAUGGAGAAAAAGCUUGACAAUAAAAUCACAUAAGAAGCUAAAUUCAUUGAAGAUCUACAGUGGGAAAUCAACAAGAAAGAAAUGAGACAAAAGAAGAGGUAAUCAUAUGAGAGUAAACUGUCAAAUCUACUCAGUCUAGAGAAGCAAAUCAAUUCUCAUUGUAAUAUCUUCUAUCCCUUUGUACUUAAUCUUUCAUUUUAAUUCAAAGUCAUUUUUUUUCUUUAUGUACUUAGUGUUUUGUAAUCAUAUGCACCUCAGAUUUAUAUCUGAAAUUCUUACAGAUAUAAAUAGGGGGAGAUUGUUAGGAAUAUGUGAUGCUUGAUGAUACAAAGUUGUUUUAUUCCUACUUAGAAUAAAACUAAAUGUAGCCGAUCAAUGGCUAGCAUGCUAAUGCAGUAGCAAUUGAUCAAAUUCACCGAUCAACGGAUGAUGUGGUACUGUAACAAAGCUGGAACAUCUUAGCAAUUGAUGUUUUAAUAAUGUAUACUUUUAGAUUAGCAGUUGAUUUAUCAAUGGAUGAGUAGAUAAGGUGACAUAAUUGUAAAUAUUUGAGGUCAUGUAAUCUAUCCAAGUGAAGUGAAGAUCGAUCGCUAGUCAUGAAGUAUCAAUGGCUAAAUAAUCAGAUUAUCAUUCGCUAUAUCAACCUCAUCAAUGGCUAAUCAUGGAAGGCUAUCAAUCGCUAGUUCAAAGAUGAUAUCAAUUGAUAAACUUAGUAGUUGAUGGCUAGCAGUUAAAAGCUACAAGUCAAGUAAAAGACAAGAAGUGUUAGGUCCAAAUACGAUUGUAGAAGGGGGGGGGGGGGCAAUCGAUAACCAAAUAAUCGCGGAAGUGAAUCUGAUUGGAAUAUGACUUGUUAAUCAGAUUAUAAUUAAUUAAUAUAACAAUGUGUUUUAAUGUCCACUAAAGUUCGUAGAAUAAAUUCGACAGGGUAUAUUCUAGAUUUAGUGAUUAAAACAACCGGGUUAUCAAAGCACAGAAAACUGUGGAUAUAACGAUCAAGCAAGUUACGAACAACUUGAAAGCUUUACAAAUGCUUUGAAUAUCAAAGUGAUGAACACUUACAAAUGAAGAAACUAAGCCAUAUUUAUAGGCAAAGCUUUGUACAUGAAAGACAAUCACUAGACAAGACAAUUACAAGCUAGGAAAGACAAAUGCAAAGAAGGUAUGACAAACUAGGCUUGGGCAAGACAAUACAAGGCAAGGUAAGACAAUUUUACAUUGUCUACCAAGCUUUAACCUUGCCAGCAAGACAAUUGCUUAAAGGGAAAGACAAUUCAAAGGGAAGGAAAGACAAUCCGUAUGGCAGAAAGACAAUCAGAAUUGUCUUGAUCACCUUAGUAAAUUCGGCAAGACAAACAGAUUGUCUUGCAGCCCUUCAAACUUUCGGCAAGACAAACAGAUUGUCUUGGCAGUGGUGAGACCUUCGGCAAGACAAUUCAUUUGAAUUGUCUUGCUGCUUCAUUAAUCCAUUCGGCAAGACAAUUCAUUUGAAUUGUCUUGCACACCACUUUCAUCCCUAGUAGCAAGUUCAGCAAGACAAUCAUGGAUUGUCUUGCUGAGCUUGUUUUGGUGAUUAUUAAAGAAAUAUAAUAGUAUAUAUAAAAUAGAAAAUUAUUCACUUAAUUAAGUUAAUCAUAUAAAUUCAUAAAUUAAAUUAAUUCGAGAGUGAAUUAAUUUAAUAAAUAAAUUACAUAAUUAAUAUAAUUAUUUGAGAAGUGAAAUAAUAGUCUAUUAAAUAUUUAAUCACCCAAUCUUCAGUAGAACUGCUUCCUAUCUUCUUUAAACUUUAAUAACUUCUUCUUGAUUUGUCGAACGAACGAACUACCACUUCUGCUUGACUUCAAAUAUUUAAUUUGAAUAACUGAUACACAGAUGUACUGUCUGGUUCAUCUGUAUCUAGUUAAAUCAAAUAUUCUUCGUCAAAUAAACAAUAUAAAUUUGGUUUGUUCGUCGAGUCUUCGUCUCGUAAGUUCUUCUUCAUUAAAUGGAAUCUUUUGAAUAAAUAAAGUAUAGAAACUUUAUACUAUCUAAACUCCUGGACGUGCCACAAAAGAUUAUUUGUGCACUGAGGCUUGAACAUAUUAAUGAACUUCUUUCAGUGGUGUGCAGCAGCAUCCUGGAAUUUAUCUGACAUAUAAUUCCCAUAAAUCAUUUGACGUUCUUCGUACGGAUUCCGUUGACUUGCUAUUUACUGAGCUUUCUUAUCUGAGUUGAGUUGUAUCUCUUUAAAUACAAAUAGGCUGAACAUAUGCCUUUCAAUCACNNNNNNNNNNNNNNNNNNNNNNNNNNNNNNNNNNNNNNNNNNNNNNNNNNNNNNNNNNNNNNNNNNNNNNNNNNNNNNNNNNNNNNNNNNNNNNNNNNNNNNNNNNNNNNNNNNNNNNNNNNNNNNNNNNNNNNNNNNNNNNNNNNNNNNNNNNNNNNNNNNNNNNNNNNNNNNNNNNNNNNNNNNNNNNNNNNNNNNNNNNNNNNNNNNNNNNNNNNNNNNNNNNNNNNNNNNNNNNNNNNNNNNNNNNNNNNNNNNNNNNNNNNNNNNNNNNNNNNNNNNNNNNNNNNNNNNNNNNNNNUGUUUGAUAUACCUACAGUGAGAUCUUAAUCACACAAUCAUGUCUGAAAAAUCACAAACUUCAAACAGUAGAUAUGAGUCACUUAGGGUUCCGGUCCUCAGGGCAUCUGAAUAUCCUAUCUGGAAGGUUAGAAUGGCUAUGUUUCUGGAAUCUACAGAUCCAGAGUACCUGGACAGGAUUUAUGAUGGUCCACACAUGCCAACAAAGCUCUCUGUUGCUGUGGGAGAUGAACCCCAGAAGAUGAUUCCUAAAGAAAAGAAGGACUAUACUCCAGAGGACAUCUCAUCAAUUAGUAAGGAUGCAAAGGUGAAGCAUCUGUUGCCUAGUGCUCUAGACAAUGCCAUGUCUAACAGGGUAAUUGGAUGCAAAACUGCAAAGGAGAUAUGGGAUGCUUUGGAAGUCAGAUGUCAAGGAACCAAAGCCAUCAAAAAGAACAGAAGAACCAUACUUACUCAAGAGUAUGAACACUUUGAUUCAAAAUCUGGUGAAUCACUGACUGAUCUUUGUGACAGGUUUGUCAAGCUGCUGAAUGACUUGUCUCUUGUGGAUAAAGAAUAUGAUUUGGAAGAUUCAAAUCUCAAAUUUCUACUUGCUCCUCCUGAAAAGUGGGAUUUGAAGGUAACCACUAUAAGAGACAACCAUGACCUUGAAGAGAUGUCUCUGGAUGACAUCUUUGGAAGGUUGAAAACUCAUGAACUUGAAAUGGAGCAAAGAAGCAAACGACAUGGUGGCAAACCCAAACCAGUUGCUCUAAAAGUUCAAGAAGAAACAGUUGUGAAAAGCAAGGGAAAAGCUCAUGUCAAAAAGUCUGAUACUGAGUCAUCAAACUCUGAUGAUGACUCAGACUCUGAUAUAUCUUCAGACUCUGAUGACAGUGAUACUGAGAUGAUGCAGCUGGCAGCACUGAUGGUAAAAAGCUUCAAGAAGAUGGCUUACAAGAACUUCAACAAAGGGAAGAAGUUCUCAAGGAAAGACAGAAACUCUGAUAGGAAGGUCUUCAAAAGGAAUGAAGGCAAAGAAGAAAAAUCUGGAAAAUCUGAUAAGUCUAAAUACACCUGCUUCAAUUGUGGAGAGAAAGGCCAUUUUGCAACUGAGUGCAAGAAAGCUAAGAAAGAAAAGGAACAGGCCUUUAUCACAAAGAAAGGAAGCUGGGCAGACUCAUCAGAAUCAGAGGAAGAAGUCAACUAUGCCUUGAUGGCACACAUGGACAACAGCACUGAGACUGUUGAAACUAAGGGCAACAGGAAGAACAUCCUAGUUCUGGACAGUGGAAGCUCAGGACAUAUGACAGGAAAUAAAGCCCUGCUAUCAGACUUUGUGGAGAAGGCUGGCCCAAAUGUUUCUUAUGGAGAUGGCAACAUAGGGAAAACUUUGGGAUAUGGCAAUAUCAAUCUUGGAAAUGUCAUCAUUCAAUCUGUAGCUCUGGUCUCAGGACUUAAGCACAAUCUGCUGAGCAUAAGUCAAAUCUGUGACAGAGGAUAUCAUGUUGAUUUCCUGGAGGAACACUGUGAGGUUAUCAGUAAAACCACUGGAAAAGUUGUUCUAAAAGGAUAUAGACAUGGGAACAUCUAUGAAGCCAAGCUAUCUUUAAACUCUAAAAGCUCUGCAAUCUGUCUACUUGGCAGAGCCAGUAUUGAAGAAAGCUGGAACUGGCACAAGAAAUUAUCUCACCUGAACUUCAAUAAUAUAAAUGAGCUUGUGAAGAAAGAUCUUGUGAAAGGACUUCCAAAAUCAGUUUUUACUCCAGAUGGACUCUGUGAUUCCUGUCAGAAAGCAAAACAGAGGAAGUCUUCAUUCAAAAGUAAAACUGAGUCCUCAAUUCUUGAGCCAUAUCAUCUGCUUCAUGUUGAUCUUUUUGGACCAGUAAAUAUAAUGUCCAUUGCAAAGAAGAGAUAUACUCUGGUCAUUGUUGAUGAAUUUACCAGAUAUACAUGGGUAUAUUUUCUACACAGCAAGGAUGAGACACCAUCUUUAUUGAUUGAGCAUGUCAGACAGCUGAACAAAAUCUCUAAAGAUGCAGUAAAGAUCAUCAGAAGUGAUAAUGGCACUGAGUUCAAGAAUUUUAAAAUGGAGGAGUUCUGUAAAGAAAAUGGCAUUAAACAGGAAUCUUCAGCACCUGGAACACCUCAACAAAAUGGUGUUGUAGAAAGGAAGAACAGAACUCUGAUUGAAGCUUCUAGAACCAUGUUGGAGGAAGCAAAGUUACCAACCUACUUCUGGGCUGAAGCUGUGCAAUCUGCUUGUUUCACACAGAAUGCAACUCUGAUUAACAAGCAUGGAAAAACUCCAUUUGAAAUGGUCAAAGGCAGAAAACCAAAUCUCAAAUACUUCCAUAUUUUUGGAUGUAAAUGUUUUGUGCUGAAAAAUCAUCCUGAACAGCUAACCAAAUUUGAUUUAAAAGGUGAUGAAGGAAUUUUUGUUGGUUAUCCUUUAUCAACAAAAGCCUUCAGAGUUUACAAUCUGAGAAUAAGGGUAAUCAUGGAAUCCAUUCAUGUGUCCUUUGAUGAUAAGAAAAUUACUGGAAUGGAAGAUUUUGAAGAUCAUGAGCAACUGAGAUUUGAAGAUGAAGAUGCAUUCUCUGAUUCCAUAAACUCUGACUCUGAGACAAUAUCAGAACAUGUCACUUCUACUCAUCAACCUCAAGCACAUGUUGAGGGGGAGCACUUUCAAAAUGAAAAUCUGGAUGAAAAUGUUGCAGACUCGGCAGAAAACACAAACUCUGAUUCUGACUCCUCAAACUCUGAUCACUCUGCAUCAGAGAAUCAGGAGAACACAUCUUCAGGGGGAGCAUCAGAAACUCAGAAUGCUCAUGGAGAUAGCAUGAAUAAUGGGGGAGAGGCAUCAGAGAAUCAAAAUGAUACUGGCAUGGAUCAUGGGGGAGGAUCUAGUUCCAGAAAUCAACUGCCACAUGAAAGAAAAUGGACAAAGUCUCAUACACCAGAUCUGAUUAUUGGGGAUCCAGAUGCUGGAGUACAAACCAGAACUGCAACAGCAAAUGAGUGUUUAUUUCAUUCAUUUUUAUCUCAGACAGAACCAAAGAAAGUGGAAGAAGCCUUAAAGGAUGCAGACUGGGUAACAGCAAUGCAGGAGGAGUUAAAUGAAUUUGAGAGAAAUAAAGUCUGGACACUUGUACCAAGACCAAAGAACAGAUCAAUUGUUGGUACUAAGUGGGUUUUUAGGAACAAAACAGACAGUGAUGGUGUAAUUACAAGAAAUAAAGCCAGACUGGUAGCUAAAAACAAAACAGACAGUGAUGGUGUAAUCACAAGAAAUAAAGCCAGACUAGUAGCUAAGGGAUAUUCUCAACAAGAAGGAAUUGACUAUGAUGAGACCUUUGCCCCAGUUGCCAGAUUGGAAGCAAUCAGAAUCUUCUUGGCUUAUGUAGCACACAAGAAAUUCAAAGUUUUUCAGAUGGAUAUAAAGAGUGCUUUUCUCAAUGGGGAGCUGGAGGAAGAGGUAUAUGUUGAACAACCUCCAGGAUUUGUGGACACAAAAUUUCCAGAUCAUGUCUACAGAUUGGAUAAAGCACUGUAUGGACUAAAGCAAGCACCAAGAGCAUGGUAUGAAACUCUGGCUCAAUUUCUUUUGGACAGUGGUUUCAACAGAGGUACAAUUGAUAAAACUCUAUUUUAUCUCAACCAUGGUAAUGAUCUGCUAUUAGUUCAAGUCUAUGUAGAUGAUAUCAUUUUUGGGUCUACUAAUUCUAAACUCUGUGAGAGAUUCUCAAAGCUUAUGCAGUCCAGAUAUCAGAUGAGCAUGAUGGGAGAAAUGAGCUAUUUUUUGGGACUUCAAGUCAAACAGACUGAUGAGGGUAUUUUCAUUAAUCAGUCUAAAUAUACAAGGAACCUGCUAAAGAAAUUUGGCAUGCAGGAUAGCUCAGCUGCUACCACUCCAAUGGCAACAGCCACUAAGUUAGAUAAAGAUACUGGAUCAUCAGUAGAAAUUACUAACUACAGAGGUAUGAUAGGCUCACUGUUAUAUCUGACUGCCAGUAGACCUGAUAUCAUGUUUGCAACCUGUCUCUGUGCAAGAUUUCAAGCAGAUCCAAGAGAACCACACCUUGUAGCAGUCAAAAGGAUUUUCAAAUAUCUCAAAGGAACAGUUGAGAUGGGACUCUGGUAUCCCAGAGAAUCAGACUUUACACUGAUUGGUUACUCUGAUGCAGAUUUUGCAGGAUGCAAAAUAGACAGAAAAAGCACAAGUGGAAGCUGUCAAUUUCUUGGAGGAAGACUGGUUUCCUGGUUCAGUAAGAAACAAAAGUCAAUUUCUACAUCCACUGCAGAAGCAGAGUAUAUUGCUGCAGGAAGCUGCUGUGCUCAGAUUUUAUGGAUGAAGAAUCAACUACUGGACUAUGGGUUAACUCUGACUCAAAUUCCUAUUUAUUGUGAUAACCAAAGUGCUAUUGCUAUGACAGGAAAUCCAGUACAGCAUUCCAUGACCAAGCAUAUCAGCAUAAGAUAUCAUUUUAUCAGAGAGCAUGUGAUGGAAGGGACAGUAGAACUUCAUUUUGUCCCAACAGAUCAGCAGUUGGCAGAUAUCUUCACCAAACCUCUGGCUGAAGCAACAUUUACAAGACUUGUAAACGAAUUAGGGAUGAUUACUGGUCCUCUCUAAACUCUGAUACAUUGCAUGAUAUUAUAUCUGUUAGUAAUUGUUGUUAAUAUCUUGAAAUGCAACUGCCUCUGUUAUUCUCUGAUCUAAAUUCUGAUGAUUAUGCACUGAUAUGACAAACUCUGAUAUUUAAAUUCUGACCCGACAAACUCUGAUGUCUCAAAUUUUCACUGAUGAAGGAUAUUCCUGUGUAUAAUAUGUUGCAAAUACCUGAAUUAGAUCAUGAAAAACUCUGGAGUCUAAUUUUUGAGACAUUACAUAUGUGGAAAUCCUUGCUACACAAAACAUGAUUAAAUUUGUUACUUAGACUGCCUUACUUCUUGAAAAUUAGAUAAGUACUCAGUGAAGAAUUUGCUUUACUCCCCUCAUGAGCUAAGAGUAAUUAGGUCUUAGAUAUGGAUCACAAAUUUGUUUCCUCUCAGAAAAGAAAAAGAAAAGACAAGAAAAGAAAAGACAAGAAGAGAAAAGAAAAGAAAAGAAAAGAAAGAUAUUUCAGGUACUCCUUUGAGAUCUUAGAAAUUCUGUGAAAGGGAAGAUCCAUGUGCACUGCUGGUAUUAAGCAAAAUGCAUCAGAAAAUUGUAUUUUUCUUGGUGACCUUUCACAUUCUCUGAUUACUGGAGAAAUACACUGAAACAAAAAUCUGAUGAAGGUUAUGACUCACUUACCCUGAGAAGUUUCCUUUCAGAAGAUACUUGUCUUACAAACGAGAGAAACUUUAAACUCUGAUCUAAUAUGUGAGACACUCGGCUUAUGAGAUGGUUAAAGCAUCUUCUGUACAUCUGAUUCUUUCUAAUUUUACUCAAGAAAUUUGUCAAUCUCUGUUACAAUUAGAAUAAUCAUGACAACACACACCUCACAUUCCAUAUCUGUGAUUAACAAAAAUUUAUGACAUUGAGUGAUUUUUGAUUAAAUUCAAAUAAUUGUUUGCAAACUCUGAGGAAAAAUUGGUUGCCAGAUUUUCCUUAUCUCUAAUCAGUGCAAAAUUUUCUGACUAAUCGUUGUUUUGUCUCAUAAUCUGCCAUUUAUUUAAACUCUGGUCAAUAGUCAAACUUCUGAUUCAAGUCGGAGUUUAAAAUAAAUGAAUUUUGGUCAGGUGGAUAUUAGAUUUAAUUGUCAAACGGUACAAAAUCUGUUUGAAUUCCUGAGUGGAGAAAAACACGGUGAAUAAUUGUGUUUUCUCGGUAAUUGGUGCACAGUAAUACAUGCUUACACUCCACUAUCACGCUUGUCAUGAUUACACUCCACUACCGCUUACUCUGACCACUGUGCAUCUGCCACGUGCCCUACUAACACCGAGAUCAGAAUUUCGUGUUUACACUCAUAUAUAUCGAUUUUGAAUUUUUAACUCUUCACUUUUCACACACGAUUUUUACUCUCUCUCUCUAAAACCCUCUUCUCAUUUUCUCACCAGCAUUCUGUCGAACACCUUACCUGCAUUACCUAAAACUCUCAUUUUCUUUUCAGAAAUCAUGUCGACAACUGCUUUUGAGUUUGAUGGAGCAAAGUUUGUCACCAACAAUUACUCAGCUAUUCUGGAUAACGAUGAAGCCCCAAAAGAGUUUCAUCUUAUUCAAGAUUUCUUGGCUCACAGUGAGCUGAUGUAUGCUCUGACCCAGCCAGAGCUAAUCUCUCCUUCUCAGGUUCUCACCUUCUGGAGGACAGCAAAUUACGAUGAUGGAGGUGAAAAUGGUUCUCCAUCUCUCACCUGCGAUUAUGAGGGCCAAGAGUAUGUUGUUUCACCAGCGACUGUUAGGAAGGCUCUUCAUCUUCCUGAAGAGAAGAAGUAUGAUGCUUCAGUACCCACUCAGACUUUGCGAGACAUGAUGAUUUUUCUUGGGUAUUCUGCUAGCACAGACAAGAUGGGGGAACUUAAGCGUCCACACCUCUGCAAGGAGUGGAGCUUUUUCUAUGACUGCAUAACCAGGGCUUUUGGUAACAAGUGCAGCAAUUUUGAUGCCAUUCCCAUCUUCAGUCAGCAGAUCGGGUAUUCUCUGAUCCACAAUCUCAAAUUUGAUAUUGCCACAUCUAUCUUGAGAUUUAUUGGUGAUAGGAGAAAUGAAAAUAUGAAUAUUGUCUAUUAUGCAAGAUUUUGUCAGCUUAUAUUUUCUUACUGCUUCCCUGAUGUGCCUAUUCCUGAAAAUGGAAAUGAACUCCCAUUUAAGAUCACCAAAAGAGCUUUUACUGAUCUGAUUAAGAAAGAUAGUAAGAAGACCAAUGUACCUGUAUUUGCUAUUCCUGUGACUGUACAGGAUAAACUGAAAGUAGCUUUACCUGACAAGUAUGAAGCUUUAUUCUCUGAUGAGAAUAUCCCACAGCCUCCAUCUCCUGCUCAUGAACCAGUUGCAAAAUCUGACCCCAAACCAACCUCUGGUUCUUCCCAACAAGGACCAGUUGAAAAAUCUUCACCAAAAAGGAUACUCAGAUCCACCAAAUCCCCAACCAAACCCUCACCUCCUCCCAGAAAAAGAAGAUUUCUACAGAAAAUUUCAGACUCUGAAUCAGAUGAAGAAAUUCCUCCUCCUCCACCAGCAAAGAAACUGAGAAAGAAAAUCAAGCCAACCACCGUUACAGAUCUGACUGUGGAGCCACCUCGGUCAGAGGAUCCUGAACAAGCCUUGAUUCCAUUCUCUGAUCAAUCUGCAGAGCCAAUAUUGAUUGAACCUCUUUCUGCAAUGCCACUUGACACAACUGCAGCUGACAAACAAAUGUCAGAGUCAACCUAUGAUCACAAUGAUCAGACAGAGGGAACCAAGUCUGUUGAAGAAAGAAUUGCAGCUGAUACUGAUAUAUCAGAAAGACCCUCUGAUGCUCCAAGCAAAUCAGAGGAUGCACAGAUAGAAAUGGUCCUCCAGCUAAUUCAGGAUUCUCUGGUUCAACCUGAAGAUAUUGUUGCAGCUCCUGCUCAGGAGAUUCACAUGGCUGAAAACUCUGAUGCAGCUACUGAAACUCUGGAGUCACAUACUCUGAGUGUUUUUCUUGGUGACAUUGAUGAUGAUGAAGUAACAGAAGUUACAUCAACUCCCAUUCAAGCUCCUGGUCUACAUUCUUUAAUCUCUGAGCCAGUCAGAGAAACUACACCAGGUAUCUAACUUGUUUAGUGUGCAGAAGCAAAUAUCAGAGUUUAGCUGGAAAUCAGAGUUUAGCGACUGCCAGCUGGAUCAGAGUUUAAGCGAUGAUCAGAGUUUGCAGGCGGCUGAUUUUCAGGAGCAUAUCUGACUAAAUAAGGAAGAUAAAGAUCAAGAGAGAUUGUGCAGAUCAGGACAGCAGAAGGAUAGCUACUGAUUAGAUUAUUUUAGGAAGCAGAUAAUUAUAAAUCAAUCAGUAGAUAUCAUGUAACUGUGUAUAUAAACACAGCUUAGGGUUUACUCUAGAUGAGUUAACAAUUGAAUAUCAUUCGUGUAACCUAGCAGCUCUUAGUGAUAAAAUAUAAAUCACUAAGAGAUUAUUUGUAAGCUACUGUGAAUUGUGAAUAAGAGAUUAGUUGAUUUAUUCUCUUAUACUUGUGUUUUGUCUUUGACUGUGUUCACUAUAUUAUUCUAUAUAGUGAGUUUAUUCGGCCUAACAUGAACAUAUUAACGAACUUCUUUCAGUGGUGUGCAGCAGCAUCCUGGAAUUUAUCUGACAUAUAAUUCCCAUAAAUCAUUUGACGUUCUUCGUACGGAUUCCGAUGACUUGCUAUUUGCUGAGCUUUCUUAUCAGAGUUGAGUUGUAUCUCUUUAAAUACAAAUAGGCUGAACAUAUGCCUUUCAAGAAGCACAUGGGUUGAUGUGACAGAUGCUGCACCAGUUUUGGAAGCUAAAACAAAAGCAAUUUAGUCAAAUAUUGAGAACCUCGAAGCCUACCAUUUUUGGCAAAGCAACAAGAAUUUCAAGCUGCCAAAUGUUCAAUCAAGUCCAAGAAAUUCUAUAUUUGUAAUAGCUAGAAAAGGAGUAGGAAAAUACUUUUACAGACUAGUUUUGUUUGUAGUAGUAUAUAUUCACUUUGUAAUUUUCAUUUCAACGUGUCAAACACUAAGAACUGAAGAGCAAAGCAGUAGAGAUAGCAAGCAAGAAAUUGUAAGCUUUUGCUCUUCAUUCUUUUGUAAGCAGCCAAGUAAUUUUUACUUGGAAGGUUCUUAAUAUAAAAAUCUCUCAGGUGGAGCAAACAAUCCACUUGAAAUUUUUAAGAUCCUUGUUCUUUAAAUUUCUGUUUUAGUUCUAGUAUUCUCUUGUAGCUUUGAAUAUAACCUGUAAGCAAAAAUUGGUUGAAAUUUUUGUAGAUUGUAUUCACCCCCCCCCCCCCUUCUACAAUCUAACUUAUUGUUUGCAUUGUCUGAAUAAUAGAUUAGCAGAAUUUAGGGAGAAUUCGAAAAAAGUUCAACAUGAUAUGACCACUGGCGUAGUGAUAGUGAGAGAAGCUGGUAUGGAAGGUGCCCCUAUUGGUACACAAGUGGCUAGUGAUGAGUUUGAAUUUGGUUUUUGGGAGCUCAGGUCUGACUACUCUUGAUCAAGUGAAGAUGAAAACUCUAAAUUUGGGUACAUGGGACCUCCAAAUCCUAAAAAGAGGAGUAGCUUGUUACAUGGGUCGUGAGUGGGAGCUUAGUUUCCGUCUAGGUAUGCGACCUUGGAUUGCUGUUGCAUAUUCAGCUCCUGUUGCAGCUGCUACUGCUGUUUUCUUGAUCUACCCAAUCGGUCAAGGAAGCUUUUCUGAUGGUAUGCCUCUAGGAAUCUCUGGUACUUUCAACUUCAUGAUUGUAUUCCAGGCUGAGCACAACAUCCUUAUGCACCCAUUUCACAUGUUAGGCGUAGCUGGUGUAUUCGGCGGUUCCCUAUUUAGUGCUAUGCAUGGUUCUUUGGUAACCUCUAGUUUGAUCAGGGAAACCACAGAAAAUGAAUCUGCUAAUGAAGGUUACAGGUUCGGGCAAGAAGAAGAAACUUAUAAUAUCGUAGCCGCUCAUGGUUAUUUUGGCCGAUUAAUCUUCCAAUAUGCUAGUUUCAACAACUCUCGUUCUUUACACUUCUUCCUAGCUGCUUGGCCUGUAGAAUAUUCUUGUAAUAGAAUAGAAAAAUAAUAGAAAAGAAAAAAAGAAAUCACUAAGGAGAGGUAGGCCUGGAUUUGGAGUAGGUGGUAAACAGGGUGACAUUAACUGGCACGUGGGCAUGAAAUUUGCAAGCAUGAGAGAAUUUAGAGAAACUGUUAGAGAAUACGGGAUUAAGGAGAGACGGGGAGUUCAGUUUGUUACUAGUGAUGCAAGUAGAUGUCAAGUGUGCUGCGAAACAGAUUGCAGGGUUUAUAUAUGGUGUAGCAAGGAUUAAAGAUAGUGACAAUUGUACAAUCAAAACAUUGUUCCCUGAACACAAUUGCACAAAACCGUAAUCAAACAAGCUUUCAAGUGUGAAGUACCUAACAUAAGUGUUUGAAUGAUUGGAGUAGAAGGUUGAUUCUGAGAAGGAUUUUCAGCUAGAGUGGAUUCUCCACGCUUCUUUCUUUCACGAGCCAGAGCCAGCUGGUGAAGUACUUCCAAUUCCACAGGGUCUUCACGGAAGUCUGAUGGCUGAGAUUUUGUUACACCCUUCAUCCUCCGAAAGUAUUGAGAAAUAUUUCUUCGGGUGCAGUAGGAUGAGAUUACAUCAUCAGCAUAAGACUUGGCUUUAGAAGCGAAGCCCUUGGUCCUUAGUAAAGUGGAUGCUAGAGCCAGACGUUUGGCAGGGUACUUUGGCAAAACCUCUUCGUUUAGAUAGACAGUGCAGAAGAUUUCCUUAUGAAUGAACUUGACACAAUAUGAGUUCUUGACAACCUGAGGACUGUUGAAAACAGCACAAUCCAACAGUUUAUCGCGAAGAAGUUCAUUCAAAUUUGAGCAACGCUUGACUUUGUUGCGAAGUACCCAGAGCUCAGAUACAGAGAAUGAUUUGAGAAAUUCAACAGAUAGUCUGAAUGAACCAUUCCUAUGUGUAUAGACAAUCAGCUCCCAUUCUUCUAGCAAACCCUUAACAGCAACAGUUAAAUAUUCCAGCUCUAAAGCAAAGGCAUGCAUAAAAACAUCCUCAUCAGGGUUUACUUCUCGGAGAUCAUAGAUCAGAAAAAGAACUUUCUGUCAUCGAAAGUUUCCCUUUGAGGUCCAUUGAAUAUUCUUCUUGCAAUGUCCCAGCUUUUUCCUUCCUUUCUUUUAAUCUCAAGAUUCUUCUGCUUGAUCGCAGCAUCAUAGAUUUUCUGUUUUUCAAUCUUGAUUUGUUCCUCUGUGAUCAACUUGUCCUCCAGAAGUUUCUGAUAAUCACGAAGCUUACGCUUCCUAGCUUCAUUUUCUGCUUUGAACUUCCGGACAUUCUCCUCGUGUUCAAGAUCAACAGGUUCUUCCUGAAACAAAUAACUUUCAUCAAAUUUACCUUCUUCUUGAGCCUGACGAUAGGUAGCAUCGAAGACGUCAUCAUCAUCCAUGUCUUUCGGAUAAUCAUCAUAAUUGUCAGUGUUGAAGCCAUUAUCAGAUUGAUGUAACGGCUCUUUGCCUUUAGACCUUUCAUAACUUCUAUCAGUUUCAGAAGAGUCUUUAUCACUUGCUCUUUCUCCACCCUUAUCAAUCCUAUCAGCAUCUCCACCCUUAUCACUCCUAUCAGCAGCAUCAGCAUUGCUGUUAUCAUCUUUGUCUUCCUUAUCCUUCUCCCCCUUAGUUGAGGGAUCCUCUGGAGUAGACUGAGAUGUAGACGGAUUAAUCUUCAAGUGUUGAACAACUUGAGCCAAAGUUUGCUCCAAGUUGUCAAGCUUUGUCAUACAGAGCUCCUGGUUUUUGUCAAACUUGUCCAUCCUAGAGUGAAUACCCUUGACAUGAUCGUCCAAUUCCUUUUUCAGAGAAGUAAAGGAAGUAUCAACAACUUUCUCCUGUAGAGUCACCAGCUGUCCACUUCUGAAUCUAGCAUUCUUAGCAUUCAACCUUUCAAUUUCAGCUUUCAGAGUAGCCAUUUGUUCUUGUAACAGAUCUGUGUUGGUGUGUGUACUCACCUCACGAACACUCAAAGAUUUGUCACUAUCCUCUUGUGCAUGUGUUUCGCUCGGUGUUUGCCUGAUUUCACUCGUGUUUGUCACAUCGUCACCAGUACAUGUAUAGACAACCAUAGUUCCCUGAGAUGGAACUGUAGGAUGUGAAGGAACAAAUUGUCCUUCUGAUGCCUGUGAAGGCAGAUGUACUUGCAAGUUGCCAAGUAGAUCCUGAUCCAAAAAGAAAGAGUGAUCAGAGAAUUUUUCAUAGGACAUGUUUUGAAAAUCUGUGCUCUCUCUAAGUGAAGAAUCAAAAGACAAAGGUUCAGUGUUUACUAGCGUGAGUGCUAGUUGUGUGCUUGACUCUUUACAGGAUACCGCGGUCGGACGGCCAAUUUCAAUAAACGCAUUCUGUGGAGAGAAUGAAUCUAGAGACUGUAUAUUUACCAUUUCAGUUUCCAAAUCCUUUUGGCAGGAAAUGGAUGCGGCUGCAGUUGUCUCUGGUUCUGCCACCCUUUGCUUCUUAUGAGACAGAGCUGCGGGAUCUCUCAGAAUUGCACUCCCACUCCGUUUCCGGGCUACCUUUCGAACAACUGGUGUAGUAGUAGUGUUGGUUGAUGUGUUUGAUGAAGAAUCAGUUGUUGAAAUGGAAACGUCAGCUUGGUUAUGAACCUGGGUGUUUUCAGGUUCAUUGCUGGGAGUCUGAAAAUCAAAUCCAAUGUCACAAUCAAAAUCUGCAAUAUCAAUAUUAAAAGUAUCAGUGAGAUUAGAAAGUACCUGAGCUACCUGUAAAUUUGUCCUGAAGUCCUGUAACUCUAGAUUGAUAGCAGAAUCAGCAGGCAUGGGCUGAGAGGUAGAUUGUGGUUGGGGAAUGUUAUGUGUAUGUGUAGGUGAAGGUGUUGGUUCAAACUGAGAAGGAAAGAUGGAGGCUUGUUGGUCAGGGAAGAAGUUGUAAUGUGGAGGGGAUUGGUUUUGAGCUUGGUGAGGAAAGUUGUAUGAUGAUUGGUGAGGUGAUUGAUAUGGUGAGUUGUAAGGAGGGUUGUAGGGAGAGUAAUGUGAGGAUUGGCUGGAGGAUUGAUAGUCUUGGAGGAGUUGAAGUGGUUGGAGGUUUUGUGGAGGUGAUUGUUGUUGUUGUUCUUGGAUUUCUGGUUGAGCCGGUUGUUGUUGUUCAGGAUGAUAUUGUUGCUGUUGUAGAGGUUCAGGAACUUGAACAGGCUGAAGGGGAAUAUUAAACUGUUCCAGCAUGAAGGGUGUCACAACAAGAGGCACAUUCUCAUGCUUCUUCUGAUUAGCAAGCCUGGAUUGAAUCUUGGUGCAAGUCCUUAGAAUAGGCACCACAGCAGAGUCAACGUACAUGCCCCUAUCAGCAUCAUUCAUCUUGUCAUUUAAGAACAACAUUAAGAACCUUGGAUAGAGGCACUCAACUUUUUCAUUUUCAUGAAUGGAUCUCUGAGUGACAGAACCCAUUUUUAUGAUAAUCUCCUUGAGUAAUAUCUUACCGAAGUUGAUUCGACGGUUAUAAGCUACAGAGAAUCCAAAGAUUUGUAGCAUAGAAGAUAUGUUGUGAAAAUUCUGUCUUGUUGUCGGAGCAAACACCUUAGCCAAGGUAUCGAAGAAGACAUCCCAUUCAGCCUUCAAUUUACUCUUUGACAUUUUGGGAAGAAAAAUAUGUCCCUGAUAGUGGAUGUCUUGGAAGAACUGAGUAAUCUCUUCACUGGUAGGUUCCACCUGAAAGUUGUCCCUCGGAAACCCUAGAAUCCGGUUAACAUCAUCAACAGUGAUGACAAUCCUUCGUCCAUUUGGCAGAUCACCAAUCAACUUAUAGUUCUCGAGAGUGGUAGAGUUAACGGCAUUGGAAUAGAAGUCGUACAAGGGUUGCACUUGGAUUGGAAUAUCAGCAGUUAGUGCAGUACAGACGAGACUUUGUUGAGUAAGGAAUCUGAUCCUCUUCUUUAAUCUAUCAGAGCAAUCCUCAGGAUUCAGAUUAGCACAAUAAUUUGUCUGAGCAAUCUCAAAUUCUCCGGCCAUUUUUAAUAAUUAACAAUUGAAUUAAGCGAGAAUUUUCAAAUAAAAUGUUAAUUCUCAAAUGUCACGCAAAGUUCAAUUAAUAAUUAAAAUUUGAUUAAUUAAUUAAUAAUUCGAAAUAUUAGAAUAAUAUCGAAUUAAAAUUUAAUUAAUUUAAAUGGCACUUCCAAAUCAAAUAAUCCAAACAUGCCUUUAACUUUAACUCCACAAAUUAUCAAGUAUAAGCUAGCCAAACGUGUCCUUAGGUUCAAAAUAACCCAACUUCAAAUGUCACAAACCAAACGAGCCCUUAAAUUAGUCCAAAACCCUAACCCCAAGUCUGAUCAAUUCAAGUCGAAGAAAAUUGCAGGCAAAGCAGAGUAAUCGAACCCUAAACAAACCACAGCAAGCAAUGGCGAGUAACUCCAAGCAAACCCAGUCGAAAAGCUCGAAAACCCGACAAAAUUCCGACAGAGUUUCGACUUAGUUUCGACGAUUUGAACAAAACCAGCAAGCGUAUAGCUUGAAUACACAGAAACCAGCAAGUUCUUAUCGAUCAAACUUGAAAAACGAAGAACACGCGUGUGUGUAUAUAUGAACAGUGUGUAUAUAUGUGGGUGAAGAAGACAACGGGCAAGGUAAUGAGAUUGUCUUGCUGGAAUGUCUAAGGGGUAUAUAUAAAUGAGUGUGUCUCGGUAAGACAAUUUGAAAUUGUCUUGCCGAGAUGAGGCAACGCGUGCGUGUGAAGUCAGUAAGACAAUUCCAUUGUCUUAUUGAGAGUGCAAAAGUUAACUGAGAAAGACAAUUUUUAAUAAGACAAACUGAGUUUGUCUUACCGAAACCACACAGACAAAAUAAUUGUCAUACCGUGCGUAUAAAAACCAAGAAAAAAGGCAAGACAAUUUUGAAAAAUUGUCUUGCCGAGCUCUAAAGCAGCCCAGUAAGACAAAACGGUUGUCUUACCGAAAAUUAGACAAAAGAAGGAAAUAUAUAUAUGAUUUUUGAUAGAAUUUAAAAAGAUGAAACAUUUUGCAAAUAAAAUCAAAAAUCUAUAAUAAAAUAAUAUUAUAUAUUACACAAAUAUUUUGUAAAUUUCAACUUUAAUUAAAUAUAAAUACUUAUGAAUUUAACUUUAAUUCAAUAAAAUGAAUUAACUUAAACUCAAAUAUUUAUGCUUAAUUAAUUUUGAAAAAUACAAAAUAAAUACAAAUAAUUAUCUAAAUGCCUUAAAAAUAUUACAGGGGAGUAUAAGAGCACUUAGAAAAUAACAGACUAAUAUACAAGCAUGCAUAACUACUCAGAAUAUUAUCAGAUAAAAUACAAACUAUCAUAUAAAAUCUAAUAAAAUAGAUAUAAUUACACAAAAAAUUCACACAAAUAUAUAAAAACAUAUAAUGCAUAUGAAAAAUAUAUAUAAGAGAACUAUGUCAUAUUUAACAUCCAUAACUCACAAACCAGCUUAGAGAAAGUCAGCAAUUUGCUCAGUCGUGGGUACAAAAUGUAACACCACUGUACCAUUCAUGACAUGUUCUCGAAUGAAAUGAUACCUGAUAUCAAUGUGCUUGGUUCUUGAAUGUUGAACCGGAUUGUUGGAAAUGGCUAUGGCACUUGUAUUAUCACAAAAUAUAGGAAUUUUGUUUACUACAACACCAUAAUCAUUUAGUUGAUUCUUGAUCCACAAGAUCUGAGCACAGCAGCUUCCAGCAGCUAUAUACUCAGCUUCAGCAGUAGAAGUAGACACGGAGUGCUGCUUCUUGCUAUACCAUGAAACCAACCGACGUCCUAGAAAUUGACAGCUUCCAGACGUACUCUUCCUAUCAAUCCUGCAUCCUGCAUAAUCAGAAUCUGUAUAGCAGGUUAAGUCAAAACCAGUAUUCUUAGGGUACCAAAUACCUAAUCCAGGUGUACCCUUCAGAUAUCUAAAGAUUCUUUUGACGGCUAUAAGAUGUUAUUCUUUAGGAUCAGCUUGGAACCUAGCACACAAACAUGUUGCAAACAUGAUAUCUGGUCUACUUGCAGUAAGAUAAAGUAAAGAGCCAAUCAUACCUCGAUAGCUUGUGAUAUCAACUUUCUUACCAGAUUUAUCCUGGUCAAGCUUUGUGGCAGUGGCCAUGGGUGUCUUUGCCGGUGAAGAGUCUUCUAGAUUGAACUUUCGAAGAAGAUCUCUGACAUACUUGGAUUGGCAAAUGAAUAUUCCAUCUUCCUUUUGGCUUACUUGAAGACCAAGGAAGUAGGACAGCUCACCCAUCAUACUCAUCUCAUAGUUACUCUGCAUCAACUUAGCAAAUCUCUUGCACAAGUUAUCGUUAGUAGAACCAAAUAUAAUGUCAUCAACAUAUAUUUGUACAAAUAUCAUAUCCUUAUCAUGCAAUUUGUAAAAGAGAGUUUUGUCUAUGACACCUCUAGUAAAAUUGUUUUCAAUUAAAAACUCAGAGAGAGUGUCAUACCAUGUUCUUGGUGACUGCUUGAGUCCAUAGACAGCUUUGAAUAGGUUGUAAACAAAAUCAGCAAACUCUGGAUUUUCAAAGCCAGGGGGCUGUUCCAGAUAUACUUCUUCUUCUAGCUUUCCAUUCAGAAAUGCACUUUUCACAUCCAUUUGAUAAACCUUGAAGUUGGAGUGUGCAGCAAAUGCAAGAAAUAUUCUGAUGGCUUCAAGACGAGCAACUGGAGCAUAGGUUUCAUCAUAAUCAAUUCCUUCUUCUUGUGAAUAACCUUUUGCAACCAGUCUGGCUUUGUUUCUCACAACAAUGCCAUCACCAUCUAACUUGUUACGGAAGACCCAUCUAGCUCCAAUUGUAGAUUUUCCUUUUGGUCUUGGAACCAGGGCCCAGACUUCUUGUCUCUCAAAUUGAUUGAGUUCUUCUUGCAUGGCAAGAACCCAAUCAGGAUCAGCAAGUGCUUCUUCUAUUUUCUUUGGUUCUAGUUGAGAUAGAAACCCAGAGAAUAGGCAUUCAUUUGUCGUAGCACUUCUAGUCUUGACACCAACAUCAGGAUCACCAAUAAUUAAAUCAAAGGGAUGAUCUCUACUCCAAAUCCUUUCCCUUGGAAGAUAUGUCCUUGAUGAUUCAGCAGUAUUAUCGUUAAGCAGAAAUGUGUGACUAGUUGAUCCAUCAGCUCCCCCUGAGUUGUUGCCAGGUUGACUUGAUGAUCCACCACUGGCACUAGUGGAAUCUCCAGUGUUUCCACCAUUUCCUCCACCAUUGCCUGGAUCAUCACCAUCAUUGUUGUCAUCUCCUGUUGCAACCUCAGGUGGCAUAUUAUCAUCUACCUCAGGUGGAAUAUCAUCAUCUGAAUCAGAGUCUGGAUAGUUGUCAAACUUCAGAGACUCAGAUGGAUCAGCAGAUUGUAGACUUGGAAGUUUAGUGUCAUCAAAUGUAACAUUGACACUAACUUUCACUGACAGAGUGUCAAUCACAAAAACUCUAUAAGCAAUUUUGGUAUAACCAACAAAGAUUGCUUCAUAUGCCUUUGGCUCAAACUUACUUAAAUUCUCUUCACCAUCUUUAAGAACAAAGCAUUUGGCUCCAAAGACAUGAAGAUGUUUGACAUAUGGUUUCUUGUUGUUAUACAGUUGAAAGGGAGUUUUCAUGUGAUCCUUAUUGAUCAAAGUUCUGUUCUGGGUGUAGCAGGCAGUGCUCACAGCUUCAGCCCAAAAGUACAGAGGAAGCUUUGCUUCAGCAAUCAUUGUUCUAGCAGCUUCAAUCAGUGUACGAUUCUUUCUUUCGACGACUCCAUUCUGUUGUGGAGUCCUUGGUGCUGAGUACUGUCUGUUGAUUCCCUUGUCAGAGUAAAAGUUGAUUAAGGUUUGAUUCUUGAACUCAGUUCCAUUAUCUGAUCUUACAGCUUUUACAGGAACACCCUUUUCCAACUCAACCAACUUGAUAUGAUCAAUUACUGUCAGGGGAGUUUCAUCCUUGGAAGCUAGGAAGUAAACCCAAGUAAACUUUGAGAAGUCAUCCACAAUGACCAAAGCAUAUCUUCCUCCAUCAAUUGAAGUAAUAUUCACUGGGCCAAAUAAAUCCAUGUGCAACAGGUGCAAUGGUUCAGUGAUACUAUUGAUGGUCUUGCUUUUGUGAGAUGCUCUCUUCGCUUUUCCUUUCUGACAAGCUUCACAGAGAUCAUCAGAUGUAAAUUCCAGGGAAGGCAAACCUCUCACCAAAUCUCUCUUGACCAGAGAGUUUAUAGUUUUGAAGUUGAGGUGUGAGAGUUUCUUAUGCCAUAACUGACUAUCUUCGGCAGAUGCUUUUGCAUAGAAACAGUGAUAUUCAUUUCCUGGUCCAGUAGAUAGAUCAGCUACGAAUAUGUUCCCUUUCCUGAUGCCACAUAGUGAAGGACGUUUAUCCUUGGUAUGUUUGAUUAUACAUAUUUCGUUUUCAAAGUGAACAUAAUAACCCUUGUCACAAAACUGGCUGACACUAAGGAGAUUAUGUUGUAGUCCUUCAACUAGUGCAAUUUCUUCUAUGAUGAUCCUUCCAACUUUAUACUUGCCAUAUCCAACAGUACGACCCUUGCUAUUAUCAGCAAAAGUUACUGUAGGUCCAGUUGCCUCUCUAACUUCUGUCAGCAGGGAUCUAUUGCCAGUCAUGUGCCUUGACGCUCCACUGUCAAGCACCCAAACAACUCGAACAACUCCACUGGCACCCUGCAAAAGACAACUUGAUUAAACAUUCUUUGGGACCCACACUUGAUUGGGUCCAGCAAACUUAAAGAACUGAUUUCUAUCAGGUGUAACAACAGAGCCUCUUGGACUGAUAGUUGGUUCAGACUUGACUAAACUUACUUCCUUAACAACAGCCUUAUAAACCUUAGUCUUAGGCUUUGGAACAUAAGUCUCCUUCCUAACACGAGGAUGACUAGCAGUCAUUGCCCUAGCAUACUUUUUGUUUGUGUGUUGUCUUGGUGACGUGUUUUCAUUUUUAGCAUGCAAAUUCUUAAAAUAAGCAGACAUAGUAUUGAAAGAACAAAGCAUACAAUUAUCAACACCAUAAAGUUUGUGGCAUGCAUCAAAUAUAGGAGCAACAGUAAUAUCAGUCACAAUAGUAGGAACAUCAACAGAUUCUACUCUAACAUUAUUAACAGUUUUAAAGUUCUCAGUAGAAUGGCAUCUAUUGUCUCUGUUCUUACUAUUCACAAGGUUAUUAGGCUUGUUGAACCUAGUUCUUUCGGAGUUGACACCUAAACCAGCUUUAGGCAUCCUAACAUUGCCUUUCACUUUGAUNNNNNNNNNNNNNNNNNNNNNNNNNNNNNNNNNNNNNNNNNNNNNNNNNNNNNNNNNNNNNNNNNNNNNNNNNNNNNNNNNNNNNNNNNNNNNNNNNNNNNNNNNNNNNCAUUUUUAUCAUGCAAAUUUUUAAAAUAAGCAGACAUCAAAUUGAAGGCACAAGUCAUACAAUUAUCAACACUACAAGAUUUAUGACAUGCAUCAAAAGCAGGAACAACAGGAGUAUCAGUCAUAGUAGUAGGAACAUCAAUAGAUUCCACUCUAACCUUGUUAUCAGAUUUAAAGUUUCAGUAGAAUGGCAUCUAUUGUUUCUGUUCUUACUGUUCACAAAAUUAUUAGGCUUGUUGAACUUGGUUCUCUCAGAGUUGACACCUAAACCAGCUUUAGGCAACCUAACAUUGCCUUUCACUUUGAUUGGUUUCAGGUUUGUUAGAAAUCUCACCUUUCUCUAGAACUCUGACUUUAGCACAUUGCAAUCCUAAAUCCAUAGUCAGUUGUUCAAUUUUAGGUUUUAAUACUUUUAUCUCAUUCAUUUUAUAAGCAUGAAUAUCUAAGACUAAAGUAUCAAUUCUAAGAUUGGCAGCUUUCAACUUCUUAAUAGCAUCAUCUCUUUCAAGUCCCAAUUGCAUAAAAAGUUUAGGGCAUGUAGGAUCUACCUGAAAGCUUCCAGCAGGAGGAGGUGAAUAUGAUCCAGUAUUAACCAUGAAAGCAACAUUCCCUAGCUGCUCCUCUUCAUCACUAUCUGUGUCAUCCCAGCUUUUGCCUUCUGCCAGAUAAGAUUUGCUUUUGAACCUUUGACCUCCAGAAGUACCCUGAUGCUUUCUCACUAAGGCAUCAUACUUCUGUUUCAGCUCAUCGUACAAAUCCUUUCUCUUUCCUUGAACCUUGGGCUGCUUGCACUCAGUUGCAAAGUGUCCCGGUUCACCACAGUUGAAACAUUUAAACUUGCUUCGAUCCACCGUCCCAGUCUUGUAUCCUCCUUUGCUUGUAGAAGAUGAAUAACCUCCCUUCUGAAACUUACUAGCAGAAGGUUUGUAUUUGUAGGAAGGGUUCUUCCGGAAUCUCAUGCUUCCAAACUUCUUGGCAAACAGUGUUAGCGAUUGAUCUUCUAACAGUUCCAGCUCUUCCAUUGUAUAGAACUCAUCAUCUCCACUGGAAGAAGUAGUCUGACCCAUCUCAGGUACAACAAAAUCCUGAGUGGUUUUAGAAGGAACAACAACAUCCUUCUUUUCUUCCGGUGUAGGUGAUUCAACAACUAGAGCUCUUGAGUGGUUCUGUAUUUUACCCCAUCCAUAUCUCUGUUUAGACUGAACCUGUUCCAGUUCAUAAGUUUUCAGAACUCCGUAGAGUCUUUCCAGAGAUAUCUCAUUCAGAUCUCUGCUUUCCCUGAUUGCAGUGAAUCUGUGUUCCAGAUGUUCAGGAAGGGUUAAGAGAAGCUUCAUGUUGACCUCUUUAUUGUCAUAGUAUUUUCCAUUCAGAUUUAAGUUGUUAAUCAGAUUAUUAAGUCUGAUAAAUACAUCUGAAAUCCCUUCCCCAGGAUUUGAACCAAACUGUUCAUAUUGAGCCAUCAGUAUUUCUUUCUUGUUCUCUGUUACAUAUUUGAUGAUGUCACAGGUAUUUAACUUGUUUAGUAUGCAGAAAUGAAGGUCAGAGUUUAAUCUAGAAUCAGAGUUUAACGACUGCCAGCUGGAUCAGAGUUUGUAUGAUAUUCAGAGUUUGCAGGCGGCUGAUUUCUAGGAGAAGAUCUGGAUAAGCAAGGAAAGAGAAUAUCAAGGAAGAUAUGCAAAUCAGAACAGGAAAAGGAUAGCUACUGAUUAGAUUAUUUUAGGAAGCAGAUAAUUGUAAAUCAAUCAGUAGAUAUCAUGUAACUGUGUAUAUAAACACAGCUUAGGGUUUACUCUAGAUGAGUUAUCAAUUGAAUAUCAUUCGUGUAACCUAGCAGCUCUUAGUGAUAAAAUAUAAAUCACUAAGAGAUUAUUUGUAAGCUACUGUGAUUUGUGAAUAAGAGUUUAGUUGAAUUAUUCUCUUAUACUGGUGUUCUGUUAUUGAUUGUGUUCACUAUAUUAUCUUAUAUAGUGAGUUUAUUCGGCCUAACAAGUGGUAUCAGAGCCAGCUCUGUUGAUAUACCUACAGUGAGAUCUUAAUCACACAAUCAUGUCUGAGAAAUCACAAACCAGUAGAUAUGAGUCACUUAGGGUUCCGAUCCUCAAGGCAUCUGAGUAUCCUAUCUGGAAGGUCAGAAUGACUAUGUUUUUGGAAUCUACAGAUCCAGAAUACCUGGACAGGAUUUAUGAUGGUCCACACAUGCCAACAAAGCUCUCUGUUGCAGUUGGAGAUGAACCUCAGAAGAUGAUCCCCAAAGAGAAGAAAGACUAUACUCCUGAGGACAUCUUAUCAAUCAGUAAAGAUGCAAAAGUGAAGCACUUGUUGCACAGUGCUCUUGAUAAUGCUAUGUCAAAUAGGGUGAUUGGCUGUAAAACUGCAAAAGAAAUAUGGGAUGCUUUGGAAGUCAGAUGUCAGGGAACCAAAGCCAUCAAGAAAAACAGAAGAACCAUACUUACUCAAGAGUAUGAACACUUUGAUGCAAAAUCUGGUGAAUCACUGACUGAUCUUAAUGACAGAUUUGUCAAGCUGCUGAAUGAUCUGUCUCUAGUGGAUAAAGAGUAUAAUUUAGAAGAUUCAAAUCUCAAAUUUCUGCUUGCUCUUCCUGAAAAGUGGGAUUUAAAAGUAACCACUAUAAGAGACAAUCAUGAUCUUGAAGAUAUGUCUCUGGAUGAUAUCUUUGGAAGACUGAAAACUUAUGAACUUGAAAUGGAGCAAAGGAACAAACGACAUGGUGGAAAACCCAAACCAGUUGCUCUAAAAGUUCAAGAAGAAACAGCUGUGAAAAGCAAGGGAAAAGCACAUGUCAAAAAGUCUGAAACUGAGUCAUCAAACUCUGAUGAUGACUCAGACUCUGAUAUACCGUCAGACUCUGAUGACAGUGAUACUGAGAUGAUGCAGCUGGCAGCACUGAUGGUGAAAAGCUUCAAGAAGAUGGCUUAUAAGAACUUCAACAAAGGGAAGAAGUUCUCAAAGAAAGACAGAAACUCUGAUAGGAAGGUCUUCAAAAGGAAUGAAGGCAAAGAAGAAAAAUCUGGAAAAUCUGAUAAGUCCAAAUACACCUGCUUCAAUUGUGGAGAGAAAGGCCAUUUUGCAACUGAGUGCAAGAAAGCUAAGAAAGAAAAAGAACAAGCCUUUAUCACAAAGAAAGGAAGCUGGGCAGACUCAUCAGAAUCAGAGGAAGAAGUCAACUAUGCCUUGAUGGCAAACAUGGACAACAGCACUGAGACUGUUGAAACUAAGGUACCUCAUUCCACUCUUGCUUUUGAUACUGAAGAUAUAACUGAGUUAAGAUUGUUUCUUAAAACUCUGCAUGUUAGUUAUAGAGAUCAGACUUUAGAAAAUGAAAGACUAAAAUCUGAGAUCUUAGAUGUCAAGAAAAGGAAUGAUUAUCUUGAAAAGGAACUAGUUCAGAUGCUAGAAGUUCAGAAGGAAAGAGAUGACUCUAUCUUUGUUAAAAAUGAACUCUUAACGAAAAAUGCUUCUCUUGAAAUCAGAAAUUGUUAAGGAAAGAGAGAUAAUCAGAACUUGGACUAACUCAGGGAAGACUACUCAGAAUAUCUUAGAAAGUGGAAACUGGAAGAAAGGGUUAGGUUACUCUGAUAAAAAUGAAGCUGAGUCAUAUAAACAAGAAACCAUUAAAAUUGAAAAACCUAGGGUAGUUCCAGUAAGAUUUGUUGCAGAAUCAAAGACUCAGGACAAAUCAAAUACUGAAAUACCUAAACAGGUUAACAUUGGUUUGAUGACUCAGAAACAGCUUAAGCAUAAGCUCAAGGAGGUUAAGAAAGAAAACAGGAUUAAGGAACCUAGGAAAAAUAGGAAUGGAAAGGUUGGAAUAAACAAAAGCAACAGUUAUAUGCCUAUUCCAAAUGCUCCUAGGAAAACUUGUCAUAAUUGUGGUAAUCCUAAUCAUCUUGCUUCUUUUUGCAGGAAAAAUAAGGACAUAAAUGCUAUGUCUCCAAAAUCAGAAGUUAAGACUAGGAAUACUAGAUUUAGACCAGAGAAUCCUUGUUUUCAUUGUGGUAGUUUAUGGCAUUCCAUUUACACUUGUAAGGAAUACCAUAGUUUAUAUUAUGAUUAUUAUGAAUUAAAACCUUCUUUGAAGAAAAAGAUUGAUUCUCCUAGUUCAGCAUCUGUUAAAAAGUCUGUUAGCACAAACUCUGAUUUAAACUCUGAUAAAUCUUCCGCUGCUAGUGUUAACAAACUUAACAAGAACAAAGGAUCCAAGCAAGUCUGGGUCCUUAAAACUAAUCAUUAGUUGUGUAUGUGAUUGCAGGGCAACAGGAAAAACAUCCUAGUUCUGGACAGUGGAUGCUCAGGACAUAUGACAGGAAAUAAAGCCCUGCUAUCAGACUUUGUGGAGAAGGCUGGCCCAAAUGUUUCUUAUGGAGAUGGCAACAUAGGGAAAACUUUGGGAUAUGGCAAUAUCAAUCUUGGAAAUGUCAUCAUUCAAUCUGUAGCUCUGGUCUCAGGACUUAAGCACAAUCUGCUGAGCAUAAGUCAAAUCUGUGACAGAGGAUAUCAUGUUGAUUUCCUGGAGGAACACUGUGAGGUUAUCAGUAAAACCACUGGAAAAGUUGUUCUAAAAGGAUACAGACAUGGGAACAUCUAUGAAGCCAAGCUAUCUUUAAACUCUGAAAGCUCUGCAAUCUGUCUACUUGGCAGAGUCAAUAUUGAAGAAAGCUGGAACUGGCACAAGAAAUUAUCUCACCUGAACUUCAAUAAUAUAAAUGAGCUUGUGAAGAAAGAUCUUGUGAAAGAACUUCCAAAAUCAGUUUUUACUCCAGAUGGACUCUGUGAUUCCUGUCAGAAAGCAAAACAGAGGAAGUCUUCAUUUAAAAGUAAAACUGAAUCCUCAAUUCUUGAGCCAUAUCAUCUGCUUCAUGUUGAUCUUUUUGGACCAGUUAAUAUAAUGUCCAUUGCAAAGAAGAGAUAUACUCUGGUCAUUGUUGAUGAAUUUACCAGAUAUACAUGGGUAUAUUUUCUACACAGCAAGGAUGAGACACCAUCUUUAUUGAUUGAGCAUGUCAGACAGCUGAACAAAAUCUCUAAAGAUGCAGUAAAGAUCAUCAGAAGUGAUAAUGGCACUGAGUUCAAGAAUUUUAAAAUGGAGGAGUUCUGUAAAGCAAAUGGCAUUAAACAGGAAUUUUCAGCACCUGGAACACCUCAACAAAAUGGUGUUGUAGAAAGAAAGAACAGAACUCUGAUUGAAGCUGCUAGAACCAUGUUGGAGGAAGCAAAGUUACCAACCUACUUCUGGGCUGAAGCUGUGCAGUCUGCCUGUUUCACACAGAAUGCAACUCUGAUUAACAAACAUGGGAAAACUCCAUUUGAAAUGGUUAAAGGCAGAAAACCAAAUCUCAAAUACUUCCAUAUUUUUGGAUGUAAAUGUUUUGUUCUGAAAAAUCAUCCUGAACAGCUAACCAAAUUUGAUUUAAAAGCUGAUGAAGGAAUUUUUGUUGGUUAUCCUUUAUCAACAAAAGCCUUCAGAGUUUACAAUCUGAGAACAAGGGUAAUCAUGGAAUCCAUUCAUGUGUCCUUUGAUGAUAAGAAAAUUACUGGAAUGGAAGAUUUUGAAGAUCAUGAACAACUGAGAUUUGAAGAUGAAGAUGCAUUCUCUGAUUCCAUAAACUCUGACACUGAGACUAUAUUAGAACAUGUCACUUCAACUCAUCAACCUCAAGCACAUGUUGAGGGGGAGCACUUUCAAAAUGAAAAUCUGGAUGAAAAUGUUGCAGACUCGGCAGAAAACUCAAACUCUGAUUCUGACUCCUCAAACUCUGAUCAUUCUGCAUCAGAGAAUCAUGAGAACACAUCUUCAGGGGGAGCAUCAGAAACUCAGAAUGCUCAUGGAGAUAGCAUGAAUAAUGGGGGAGAGGCAUCAGAGAAUCAGAAUGAUACUGGCAUGGAUUAUGGGGGAGGAUCUAGUUCCAGAAAUCAACUGCCACAUGAAAGAAAAUGGACAAAGUCUCAUACACCAGAUCUGAUUAUUGGGGAUCCAGAUGCUGGAGUACAAACCAGAACUGCAACAGCAAAUGAGUGUUUAUUUCAUUCAUUUUUAUCUCAGACAGAACCAAAGAAAGUGGAAGAAGCCUUAAAGGAUGCAGACUGGGUAACAGCAAUGCAGGAGGAGUUAAAUGAAUUUGAGAGAAAUAAAGUCUGGACACUGGUACCAAGACCAAAGAACAGAUCAAUUGGACACUGGUACCUAGACCAAAGAACAGAUCAAUAGUUGGUACUAAGUAGGUUUUCAGAAACAAAACAGACAGUGAUGGUGUAAUUACAAGAAAUAAAGCUAGACUGGUAGCUAAGGGAUAUUCUCAACAAGAAGGAAUUGACUAUGAUGAGACCUUUGCCCCAGUUGCCAGAUUGGAAGCAAUCAGAAUUUUCUUGGCUUAUGCAGCACACAAGAAAUUCAGAGUUUACCAGAUAAAUGUAAAGAGUGCUUUUCUCAAUGGGGAGCUGGAGGAAGAAGUAUAUGUUGAACAACCUCCAGGAUUUGUGGAUACAAAAUUUCCAGAUCAUGUCUACAGAUUGGAUAAAGCACUGUAUGGACUAAAGCAAGCACCAAGAGCAUGGUAUGAAACUCUGGCUCAAUUUCUUUUGGACAGUGGUUUCAACAGAGGUACAAUUGAUAAAACUCUAUUUUAUCUCAACCAUGGUAAUGAUCUGCUAUUAGUUCAAGUCUAUGUAGAUGAUAUUAUUUUUGGGUCUACUAAUCCUAAACUCUGUGAGAGAUUCUCAAAGCUUAUGCAGUCCAGAUAUCAGAUGAGCAUGAUGGGAGAAAUGAGCUAUUUUUUGGGACUUCAAGUCAAACAGACUGAUGAGGGUAUUUUCAUUAAUCAGUCUAAAUAUACAAGGAACCUGCUAAAGAAAUUUGGCAUGCAGGAUAGCUCAACUACUACCACUCCAAUGGCAACUGCCACUAAGUUAGAUAAAGAUACUGGUUCACCAGUAGAAAUUACUAACUACAGAGGAAUGAUAGGCUCACUUUUAUAUCUGACUGCUAGUAGACCUGAUAUCAUGUUUGCAACCUGUCUCUGUGCAAGAUUUCAAGCAGGUACUUUACUACUGAUUGGUUACUCUGAUGCAGAUUUUGCAGGAUGCAAAAUAGACAGAAAAAGCACAAGUGGAAGCUGUCAAUUUCUUGGAGGAAGACUGGUUUCCUGGUUCAGUAAGAAACAAAAGUCAAUUACUACAUCCACUGCAGAAGCAGAGUAUAUUGCUGCAGGAAGCUGCUGUGCUCAGAUUUUAUGGAUGAAGAAUCAACUACUGGACUAUGGGUUAACUCUGACUCAAAUUCCUAUUUAUUGUGAUAACCAAAGUGCUAUUGCUAUGACAGGAAAUCCAGUACAGCAUUCCAUGACCAAGCAUAGUAGCAUAAGAUAUCAUUUUAUCAGAGAGCAUGUGAUGGAAGGGACAGUAGAACUUCAUUUUGUCCCAACAGAUCAGCAGUUGGCAGAUAUCUUCACCAAACCCUUGGCUGAAGCAACAUUUACAAGACUUGUAAACGAAUUAGGGAUGAUUACUGGUCCUCUCUAAACUCUGAUACAUUACAUGAUAUUAUAUCUGUUAGUAAUUGUUGUUAAUAUCUUGAUAUGCAACUGCCUCUGUUAUUCUCUGAUCUAAAUUCUGAUGAUUAUGCACUAAUAUGACAAACUCUGAUAUUUAAACUCUGACCCGACAAACUCUGAUGACUUGAAUUUUCACUGAUGAAGGAUAUUCCUGUGUUUAAUAUGUUGCAAAUACCUGAAUUAGAUCAUGAAAAACUCUGGAGUCUAAUUUUUGAGACAUUACAUAUGUGGAACUCCUUGCUACACAAAACAUGAUUGGAGUUGUUACUUAGACUGCCUUACUUCUUGAAAAUUAGAUAAGUACUCAGUGAAGAAUUUGCUUUACUCCUCUCAUGAGCUAAGAGUAAUUAGGUCUUAGAUAUGGAUCACAAAUUUGUUUCCUCUCAAAGAAAAGAAAAGACAAGAAAAGAAAAGACAAGAAAAGAAAAGAAAAGAAAAGAAAGAUAUUUCAGGUACUCCUUUGAGAUCUUAGAAAAUCUGUGAAAGGAAAGAUCCAUGUGCACUGCUGGUAUUAAGCAAAAUGCAUCAGAAAAUUGUAUUUUUCUUGAUGACCUUUCACAUUCUCUGAUUACUGGAGAAAUACACUGAAACAAAAUUCUGAUGAAGGUUAUGACUCACUUACCCUGAGAAGUUUCCUUUCAAAAGAUACUUGUCUUACAAACUAGAGAAACUUUAAACUCUGAUCUAAUAUGUGAGACACUCGGCUUAUGAGAUGGUUAAAGCAUCUUCUCUACAUCUGAUUCUUUCUAAUUUUACUCAAGAAAUUUGUCAAUCUCUGUUACAAUUAGAAUAAUCAUGACAACACACACCUCACAUUCCAUAUCUGUGAUUAACAAAAAUUUAUGACAUUGAGUGAUUUUUGAUUAAAUUCAAAUAAUUGUUUGCAAACUCUGAGGAAAAAUUGGUUGCCAGAUUUUCCUUAUUUCUAAUCAGUGCAAAAUUUUAUGACUAAUCGUUGUUUUUUCUGAUAAUCUGCCAUUUAUUUAAACUUUGGUCAAUAGUCAAACUUCUGAUCCAAGUCGGAGUUUAAAAUAAAUAUAUUUUGGUCAGAUAAAUAUCAGAUUUACUGUCAAAUGGUACAAAAUCCAUUUGAAUUCUUGAGUGGAGAAAAACACGGUAAAUAAUUGUGUUUUAUCGGUAAAUGGUGCAAGUUUGUACAGAUUCACACGCUGCUCAUUAUUACUACUCCACUACCAUUUUUUUUACCGCUCAGAGAUUGCCACGUGUCCCACUAACACUUAGAGUCAGAACAUCGUGCAUAUACAUAUAUAUAUAUCGUUCUUGAAAAUCAUUUUCACAUUUUUCACACGAUUUCUACUUACUCUCUCUCUCUCUCAAACUCUCAACUCAUUUUCUCACAAGAUUUUUGACAAACACCUUACCUGCAGUACCUCAAACUCACGAUUUCUUGAUUUUUCAGACAAUGUCGACCAAAGCCUUCGAAUAUGAUGGUGCCAAGUUCGUUACCAACAACUAUGCUGCAGUUCUGACCAAUGAUGAAGCUCCCAGUGAGUUCCAUCUAAUCCAAGAUUAUCUUGCCCACAGUGAGUUCAUGUAUGCACUCACUCAACCAGAGGUUAUUUCUCCGGCUCAAGUUCUGACUCUCUGGCGUUCAGCAAGAUAUAAUGAUGAUGGUGAACAUGGAUCACCAUCCUUAACCUGUAUUUAUGAGGAACAGGAGUAUAUUAUAACUCCUGAGACGGUUCGAAAGGCUCUUCACCUUCCAGAGCAUUCCAAGUAUCAUAGUGCUGUUUCUACUCAAACUCUGAAGGAUAUGAUGCAGUUCUUUGGAUACUCUGGUAGCACUGAUAAAAUGGGGGAACUCAAGCGUCCAUGUCUCUGCAAAGAAUGGAGCUUUUACUAUGACUGCAUAACCAGAGCUUUUGGAAAUAAAUGCAGCAAUUUUGAUGCUAUUCCUCUCUUCAGUCAGCAGAUUGGGUAUUCUCUUAUCCAUAAUCUCAACUUUGAUAUUGCUCCAUCUAUUUUGAGAUUUAUUGGUGAUAGAAAGUUAGAGGAUGAGAAUACUGUUUACUUUGCUCGAUUUUGUCAGCUUAUUUUAUCAUACCGUUAUCCUCUGGUACCUAAUCCUGAUACUGAUACUGAACUACCUUUUAAAAUCACUAAACGAGCAUUCACUGAUUUGAUGAAAAAGGAUAGUAAGAAACCCCAACUACCUGUUUUUGUUAUUCCUGUAACUGUACAGGAUAAACUGAAGUAGGCAAUGCCAGAAAAAUAUGAUUCCAUAUUCUCUGAUUAGAAUAUACCCUCCUCUUCACACAAGCAACAAACAGAUGUACCAACCUCUGGUCCUUCCCAAAAAGGGCCAGUUGUAAAAUCUGACCACAAGUCCACCUCUGGUCCUUCCCAAAAAGGGUCAGUUGUAACAUCUUCACCUACCAGGGUGCUGAGAUCUUCAAAAUCACCAUCCAAACCAUCUCCUCCACCUAGGAAGAGAAGAUUUUUACAGCAGAUCUCAGACUCUGACUCUGACAAUGAACCAGUACCCCCUCCUCUUGUCUCCAGGCCCAGGAAGAAGAUCAAGCCCACCUCCACAAUCACUGAUCUUACUGUGGACCCUCCUCAGGAAUCCAUGGUUAAUCCUCUUGAGAUGGUCACAGUCUCUGAUCCUCUGAUGGUGGAACCACUAUCUGCUGUGCCUCUGACAACUUCAUCAGAACAUACUCCAGAAGCUGACAUUCCUAUGUCAGAAUUCAUCAGAACAUACUACAGAAGCUGACAUUCCUAUGUCAGAAAAUAUUCCUGAGUCAGAGGAUCUUUUGCCACAACCUCCAGCAGCUGAUAUACCUUCUUCAGGAACAACUCCAGAAGAACAUGUGUCUACUCCAGAAGCACAUGUGCCUACUCCAGAAGAACAUAUGUCUACUCCUGAGAUUGCUCAGGAAAAUCUGAUUCCUGUUGAAAACUUUGUUGCAGCUCCUGAUCAGGAGAUCCUCAAUGCUGCAAACUCUGAGGGAGCUACAUCUCCUCUUUGUUCACAUACUAUCAGCAUCACAGCUCAUGAUGAUGAUGAUGAUACUGAAGUAAACUCUGUUCCACCUGUUGACUCAGGAUCCCUUAUAGCUGAAAUCUCUGCUCUGCUCAGAGAAAGCAUCUCAGUCAGGGAAGUCUCUCCAAUUCAAUCAUUCUCUCCAGUCAGAGUUCCUUCACCUAUCAAAGUUCCUUCACCUAUCAAAGUUCCUUCACCUGUCAGAGAUUCUUCACCAACUCCUGAUUCUACAAUUCCUCACUCUGUGUCUACAAAGAGCAAGGUCUGUACAUUAACUUACUCCAGGAAUAUGCACAGAGCCCCAUCCUCUUCUGUGGAAGCCAGGCUAUUUUCUAUUGAAUCCACUCAGAGAUCAAUGCAGCAAACUCUGGCUGAUUUGAGCUCCUCUGUAGCUCAACUGGUACAAUUUCUCAACUCUAAUGCUUUGAACUCUAAUGAUGUCAAAAAGGGGGAGAAAGUUCUUAAAGACAAAUGCAAGGUUGAUCAGCAACAGAGAAAGCCAGAUGAUGAGGAGGAUGAUGAAGAAAAGAAGAAAGCUGAAAAAUCUGAAAAUACAAACUCUGAAAUAGUCUUACACACUCAGAGUGAGACUAAGGAAAAUAGGAGUGAUAAGGUUGGAAGCAGUUCUAAACAAACUCAGACUACAAAGUCUCAGACUCAGACUACAACUCAACCUCUGAUACCAGCUGACAAUAAAUCAAAAGCUCUCUCUGAGCAACUAAUUGAGCUUGGUAAUCCUGAAUCUAAGAUUUUGAGUCACACAGUGAAGAUUCAGGGAGAGGAAACAACCUUAUUCUACAAAGCUCCUACACAACUGGAUUUUGAUGAAGCAGUUGCAAAGAAUAUAUUUGAACAAGAAAAUCCAGGGGUGUCAAUUGAAGAUAUCAGAAAAGAAGAAGAAAGGUUGGCUGCUGAGAAGAAGAAGAUCAGCAAAUCUAAGUCUGAUGAAAAGAAAGCAAAGUCUGAUGGAAAGAAACAGAUCAUUGAUUCCUCCUCAAAGAAAUUACCAUCUUCAAAAAGAAAAGGAAUAGUGAUCAGUGAAGUCAAUUAUGCUGAUAUCAAUAGGCCCAGAGUUUAUCAGAAGAAGUCUGAUUCUGAUUCCAGUGAAAAAGGGAAAAAUGUCAUUGAUGGUGUUCCAUCAGAAAAGAAAACUGGAUCAGAACUGACACUUGCAACAGUUCCUGAGUCUAUUGAUCAGAAUUUAGCCUCUGACACUGCUCAAGCUAAAAAUAUGAAGGAAGAUCAGCUGAAGUAAAAGCUACCUGGAUAAAGUCAACCUCUGACAAGACUCAAGUUGAUAUAGUUGAACCAAAGAAGAAGAGUUUAUUUGGAAACCUUGGUACAGGACAGUACAAGGAAAGCUCUUUGUUCACUCAAAUCAGAGACAAAGGAACAAGAGGAAAGGAAGCAAGGGACACAACUGGUCUAGGUCACAAGAAAGAGAAAAUUCAGACAAGUGCUGCAACUUUCUUCAAAGAUCCAUAUCCUCUCACUGAGAAGGCUGGAGAAGUUGUAACACAGAAAGACCUUGACAAAAUAGAGUCGGUACAAAUUCUGAUGGAUACUCAUGAUGGGCCAGAAGAUAAAGAGAAAAUUGCUAUAUUUUUGGAAUCUGGCAGAGUUUACAGAAUUUCUGAAGCUGAUCUAUUAAUAAAGUCUCUAAGGGAACUUGAGCAUAUUCAUUAUAUGCUUGAGAUAAAGAAUGAAGCAACCAAGAGAUGGUCUGAGAGGCUGAAAAGAACUAUCCAAGAAAAGAGAAGAUUUUAUAGGAUAAGUUCUAAUGCUGAAUAUGUUCCUAUGAUAACUCAAGAAGAUGGUUCAGAGAUUGAUAUGAUCAAAAAUAGCUCUGUUAUGGAGACUAUAGCUGGAACCAGAAUUUUGGGUUACAAUAAUGAAGCUGACAGACCAGGAGCUAUUCAAUUGGGAGAAGCUAUGAAAAGAUGCAAGGCAAGAGCCUUGAGAUCAGCUAUAUACCAGACAGGAGAAGACAAUGAAGAGUUAAAGACUGUCAAAGCUCAGAUGAUACAGACUCUGAAACAGAUUGAAAAAGAUUUGAUCACUCAGUUUGUCAAGGAGAGCUAUGGAUAUAGACUGAUUGGCUAGUUAGCUUCUGCUAGUUUUGUAAGUUGUAAUUAGUUCUGCUUGUUCUGUAAGUAAUAAUAAUUAAUUUUUGCAGAUUAGUUACUUCAUGCAUUUGUUCUUGAUUGUUUUUGACAUCAUCAGUAUAUAUAUAUAGAACUUGUUCAUUCUGUCUAAUGUACAAGUUGGGGGAGAUUGUUACAUAUUUGAUGAUGUCACAGGUAUUUAACUUGUUUAGUAUGCAGAAAUGAAGGUCAGAGUUAAAACUAGAAUCAGAGUUUAACGACUACCNGCUUGCUUUGCUGAGGAAACACAGCUUAGGGUUUACUCUAGAUGAGUUAUCAAUUGAAUAUCAUUCGUGUAACCUAGCAGCUCUUAGUGAUAAAAUAUAAAUCACUAAGAGAUUAUUUGUAAGCUACUGUGAUUUGUGAAUAAGAGUUUAGUUGAAUUAUUCUCUUAUACUGGUGUUCUGUUAUUGAUUGUGUUCACUAUAUUAUCUUAUAUAGUGAGUUUAUUCGGCCUAACAUUCUCUCUUACUUCUUCUGAACCUUCGUUGAUAAUCUCUAAUGUAUCCCAGAUUUGCUUCGUAUUCGUACAAUUAACAACAACAUUGAACAUGACGGGAUCUAGGGAUUCAACUAGGAUCAAUUGAGGAGUAUCAUCUAGGUUCGUCUAUUCACUCUCUUCAUCUGUGUACUCAGAAAGUUCUUUCGGAACAGUUUUAUGAGGCAUUAACACACCAUCCUCUUCGUGUUCAAUUAUAAGCUUCAUCGGAGUAGAAACACCCUUGUUCAAUAUCCCGAUAUAUUUCCUGUUCGCAGUGCGGAGGAAUAGUAACAUGUGCCUCUUCCAUAGGCCGAAGUGUUCUUUGCUGAACGGUGGGAUUUUAAUGGUAUUAAUCUUUUGUGUACUCAUUUUUAAGGAUUUAAAGUGAAUAGUGUUUGGAUGAGAUUUGGAUUACUGAAAGAAAAAUAUUGUAAAUCAGAAUUAAUUUUUGGAAUAAAAUUAAUUCGAAUAAAAAAUAUUUGAAACGUUACAGAGUGUGUAUAGGAUCUAAUACGAUGUAUUCGUAUUAACCGCUCUGAUACCAAUUGUUAGGUCCAGAUACGAUUGUAGAAGGGGGUGUUGAAUACAAUUGAUACCAAAUUAUCGCGGAAAUAAUAGUCUAUUAAAUAUUUAAUCACCCAAUCUUCAGUAGAACUGCUUCCUGUCAUCUUUAAACUUUAAUAACUUCUUCUUGAUUUGUCGAACGAACGAACUACCACUUCUGCUUGACUUCAAAUAUUUAAUUUGAAUAACUGAUACACAGAUGUACUGUCUGGUUCAUCUGUAUCUAGUUAAAUCAAAUAUUCUUCGUCAAAUAAACAAUAAGAAUUUGGUUUGUUCGUCGAGUCUUCGUCUUGUAAGUACUUCUUCAUUAAAUGGAAUCUUCUGAUAAAAUAAAGUAUAGAAACUUUAUAUCUUCUGAACUCCUGGACGUGCCACAAAAGAUUAUUUGUGCACUGAGGCUUGAACAUAUUAAUGAACUUCUUUCAGUGGUGUGCAGCAGCAUCCUGGAAUUUAUCUGACAUAUAAUUCCCAUAAAUCAUUUGACGUUCUUCGUACGGAUACCGAUGACUUGCUAUUUACUGAGCUUUCUUAUCUGAGUUGAGUUGUAUCUCUUUAAAUACAAAUAGGCUGAACAUAUGCCUUUCAAGAAGCACAUGGGUUGAUGUGACAGAUGCUGCACCAGUUUUGGAAGCUAAACCAAAAGCAAUUUAGUCAAAUAUUGAGAACCUCGAAGCCUACCAUUUCUGGCAAAGCAACAAGAAUUUCAAGCUGCCAAAUGUUCAAUCAAGUCCAAGAAAUUCUAUAUUUGUAAUAGCUAGAAAAGGAGUAGGAAAAUACUUUUACAGACUAGUUUUGUUUGUAGUAGUAUAUAUUCACUUUGUAAUUUUCAUUUCAACGUGUCAAACACUAAGAACUGAAGAGCAAAGCAGUAGAGAUCGCAAGUAAGAAAUUUUAAGCUUCUGCUCUUCAUUCUUUUGUAAGCAGCCAAGUAAUUUUUACUUGGAAGGUUCUUAACAUAAAAAUCUCUCAGGUGGAUCAAACAAUCCAGUUGAAAUUUUUAAGAUCCUUGUUCUUUAAAUUUCUGUUUUAGUUCUAGUAUUCUCUUGUAGCUUUGAAUAUAACCUGUAAGCAAAAAUUGGUUGAAAUUUUUGUAGAUUGUAUUCAACCCCCUCUUCUACAAUCUAACUUAUUGUUUGCAUUGUCUGAAUAAUAGAUUAGCAGAAUUUAGCGAGAAUUCGAAAAAAGUUCAACAUGAUAUGACCACUGGCGUAGUGAUAGUGAGAGAAGCUGGUAUGGAAGGUGCCCCUAUUGGUACACAAAUGGCUAGUGAUGAGUUUGAAUUUCGUUUUUGGGAGCUCAGGUCUGACUACUCUUGAUCAAGUGAAGAUGAAAACACUAAAUUUGGGUACAUAGGACCUCCAAAUCCUAAAAAGAGGAGGAGAGGUAGGCCUGGAUUUGGAGUAGGUGGUAAACAGGGUGACAUUAACUGGCACGUGGGCAUGAAAUUUGCAAGCAUGAGAGAAUUUAGAGAAACUGUCAGAGAAUACGGGAUUAAGGAGAGAAGGGGAGUUCAGUUUGUUACUAGUGAUGCAAGUAGAUGUCAAGUGUGCUGCGAAACAGAUUGCAGGGUUUAUAUAUGGUGUAGCAAGGAUUAAAGAUAGUGACAAUUGUACAAUCAAAACAUUGUUCCCUGAACACAAUUGCACAAAACCGUAAUCAAACAAGCUUUCAAGUGUGAAGUACCUAACAGAAGUGUUUGGAGAUAGAAUAAGAAAAAACUCCCAAUGAAAGGUAAAGGAGAUGGCUCAGGCUAUUAAGAAGGAUCUUGAAAUUAAGGUGUCUAGAAUUAAGAUAUUAAGUGUUAGGAAAGCUGCUCUUGAGGGUGUGCAUGAGACACGUAAAGAACAUUACUCUAUGUACUGAGAGAUUUUGGAUAUGAAAUUCUCACGCAUAAUAACAACAAUACACUACAGAUAAGAACAACAAGGUUGAAUGAGACAGACUUAAACAAAUUCAAAAGGGUAUAUAUUUGUUAUGAUGCAAUGAAAAUAGGCUGGAAAGCUGGUUGUAGGCCUAUCAUUGGCUUGGAUGGAUGCUUCUAGAAGACAGUGUGUGGGGGUCAACUACUGUCAGCAGUUGGAAGAGAUGGGAACAAUCAGAUGUUCCCUAUUUCAUAUGUUGUGGUUGAGAGUGAAAACUAUGAAUCAUGAAAGUGGUUCACUGUGACCAGCUAGAUGAAGAUUUAGUCCUUGGAGAUGGUCAAGGUUACACAAUCGUAAGUGACCAGCAGAAGGGCCUUGGCAAAGCUUUAAAUGAGGUGCUCCCAAGGGUGGAACACAGAUUUUGUACCAGACACAUAUAUAGAAACUUCAGAAAAAGGUAUAAACAUCACAACUUGAAUUUCCACAUUUCCUAUAGAAUUCUGCAAGUCAUUAAUUUCUUAUACACUUCUACAAGUCAUUAAUUUCUACAACUUUGUACUACAGGUUUCCACCUUUGGCUGUCAAGAGGUCAUUUUGGAAUGCAAGUUGUGCAACAUAUCAUGUUGCAUAUGACAGAGCUAUUAAAGAUCUUCAAAGUUAGUCAAAGGCAGCCCCUGAACAACUUUCAAAGUUUGAUCCUAAAGUUUGGAGGAAAGCAUUUUUUGACACUCACUUUAAAGCUGAUAAUGUGGAGAAUAACAUGAGUGAGUUCUUUAAUGCAUGAAUCAUAAAUGAAAGGUAUCACAACUCCUUUCAUUAAUGUUCUUUUAAUUUUAUGACAGUGCUUUAAUGUUUGUUAUUUUAAUCUGUUGUAGGUACAUGCUAGUUGUAACCAUGUUACAAGAGUAGCACUUCAAGCUCAUGACAAGAACGAUGGAAAAGAGAGAAGGGAUGCAGAAGAGUGAUUACGUCAUUUGUCCAAAAAUUAUGAAGAGAUUGGACUACCUCGUCGCUGAUUCUAGAAGAUGGACGACUUCAUGGGAUGGCCAAAAGAAGUUUGGAGUCAAACAGGGGACAAGGCUUGUGACUGUAGAUCUAGAUGAAAAGUCUUGUAGUUGUAGGGUGCAUGACCAAGCCUAUUUCAUGCCUUUAUAAAUUGGUUGAUUAAUUCACCAAUCUUUUGUUAAGUAGUUUUUGCACGGAGACUUGAAAUAAAUUUCAGUCUACUUAAGGGUUUUGUUAAGACAUUGAAAUGUUUUUCAAGUUUGUUAUGGCAGUGUCGUAUGUUUUAAGACAAUUUGUAAGUUGAUUAUCUAUCUUUUGAUAAGUCAAUGAAAUGAAGGAAUGAUGCUAGGUUUGAUUGAUUCCAUAUUUUGUAAGCAUUGUGUUAAGUCAUGAAUGUCAUAUACUGAUUGAAAAUUGCAUUCAUUACAUUAAUCUACUUCAAAACCAACCAACCUACCAUUGCUAUUUAUUACAACCACAACGUACCACUGCUACUUCAAAAUCAUAAUUACAAACACAACCACAACAACAACCAAACAUAACUCUAACUGCUUCGCUAGCAACUUUUUUUCACUUUCUGUUAUUUUACCCAACUAAUAGAAAGAUUGUAGAAUGGGGGGUUGUAUACAAUCUUUCACAAAUUAAAAGAUUCAAGAACAAGAACACUUAAAACAAUAAAACAGAAAAAACCAAGUAUUAAAAAUACGGGUGGAUUGAAUGAUCCACCCGUGAGAUUUUAUAUUGAAGAAUCUGUGGAUUGAUUACAAUUCGCACAGCUGCAGGUUCAUCACUUGAAUAGUUUCUAACUCUCAGAUUUUCUCUCAAGUAUUCGAACACUUUCAACUGAUGCUACUAACUUGGUUAUAUACUCCAAGUUUUACAAAGCUUUUAACUAGAAUACAAAUUAUGCACUCUAAUCUAAACUAUGCUGCACAUCUUUGUCUUAUGCAUGCUUUCGGUGUUGUCUUCAUCUUUGACCAUCAUCUUGAUUUGAUCCAGAUUGCAUUGCAUGAGAUAAGAAUGUUUCUGGUUCUUCUUUAUUGUCCUAAUCAGGCUUCCAUGUCUAUUUUAGUGUAAUUCGAUCCAUGUGAUUUGUCAGACUUAAGCUCUAGUCACUAUCAACUGCUCUUUGCUUCAUCAGUUGAAAGUACCUUCAUCAGUUGAACGAAUUACAGACUUCAUCAGUUGAAUGUUGUUCCAGUCUCAUCAGUUGAAUUCUUUAGCUUCAUCAGUUGAACACUUUGUCUUCAGUUGAAUGCUUGGUUUUCAUCAGUUGAAACAUGAUCCAGUCUUCAUCAGUUGAAUAGUUACAUCUCAUCAGUUGAAUAUCCUUCACUUAGAUAAAAUUACAUGGUAUCGAAUAUUUACAAUUAGCCAUCCUAUUUUAUCCAUCCGUUGAUAAUUCUCAAGGACAAGGAAUAUAACAAUUACAACUGAAAUUUUGAUAAAGGUUCUAAAUAAAACAUGUUACAGAGUGUUUAUGCUAUCAUCAAAAUUAUUGAUUCCUAACACUUUCCAGUGCAGCUCUUUCUUCUACUAACUUCAUUCUUUCAGCCUUCAGUAUUUCCUCUUCUCAAAACUUUGUUCGAGGUCUUCUUCGACCAAUUUCAGUUUCAUUUCUAAAUACAAUCUUCUGUGAUUCAAAUGAGUUACCACAUCAAAAGCCCUCCCAGUAAAGGCUUCAUCACACCACUGAAAGAAGUGGCAUCCUUGCGCAUCUUGUAAUUUUUUUAAACAAUCUAAUAAUGAACAACAUACAUGUGUAUAAAAGCUAACAAGAAGUCAAAAACUUACAUUUACUACUGCACAUGUGUAGAAUCUUCUACCUAGAUUUUUUAGUGUUCAAGAGGUACACAGCCUUGCUAUCUUCCUGCAGAAACAAUGUUUAUUCUCCCGAUUCUUCACAGACUCUAUAGCAGUACUCCCACCAUGGCUUUCAUUUGAUGUCAUUCCCGAUGAAGCAUCUGUGUGUUACAGUAAAUAUUAGAUAUUCACUUUAAGAACCCUAGAGAGAUUGUGAGGAAGUGUGUAUGUAUGUGUUCUGUGUUUAUAAUAUUGGGGUUAUAUAGUCAAUUAGCUGUUGGAGUUCAUGUCAACAAUAAAAAGAACGUUAGAUGACACUUUGUCCAACUAAUGUGUGCCAGGUCAUGAUUUCCGUCAGGUCAUGAUAAAAAGUUAACGGGGGUUUCAUACUUAAUACUAGAAUGGUACAGAUGAGACCUCGUUUAAAUUGAUGAAAGAAUUGAUACAUGGGGCUGUCUUCAGUGACCAAAGUGAUAUUUAACCCAUUUGUAAAUGAUCAGACUUUUGUAGAGAUGGUCUCCGGUGGCAAACUAUAUAUGAUUUAAAUAUAAUAUAUUAUUAGUUAUUGACAUGAAAAUUUUAGAUUGAUAAAUUUAAAAAUAGGAUGGUUAGACCAAUAAUUUUAAAAAUUAAUUUUCAAUAUUGAUUAACGCACAAUUUUAAGUUAAAAAGUUCUUACAAUUGGAGAUAAUUUAUGGAGUUUCUUCGAGUUUACCCGGGACAAAAUGAAUUUGAAUUCUUUCAAAUAUAAAAGCUUGAAUGAAGUCUAUUAUAUAACCACAUGACAAUUAAGCUGGGAUGUUUUAAUUGGGGUUGUUGACGUGAUAUAGAAGAUCCAUUUCAAUUAAAACCUAUCACAUAUUAUUAUAUAUAAAAUUUUGUACUCAAUUCUCUAUACAGAGCAUUUUCUCGAAUUUUAUGUGGUUAUCAAAAACGAAUUUAUACAAUGAGAGUAAGUCUUAAUAAUUUAAGAGUUUGGAAAGUGCUGUGUACCCAAAUAUAAACACAUGUUUCAAUGUCUCGAAUUUGGUUGAGUGAUUUGUACACACAAAUCAGACAGCGAACCCUCUCAUUAAUUUAUUAUCGGAAAACCUUACCCACACAACAUUUCGGCCGAUUUGACAUUUCACGUCCAUCACAUCUGAGUUCGAAAAAAGCUUUGAUCUUGCAAAAAAAUGUGUAAACCUUUUACGAGAUUUGUAGUAUUCGCCGUCCAUAUAAUAACACUCGAGUAUAUCCAAAUAGAUAGUCUAAUAUUGCAAUACCGUAACACUUUGAGUUUGUCUCACUAGUCACAAAGAAUAUAUGGCUUUUCAACCACGUGCUCGGAUGUUUAUACUUAUGUAAUAUUAUUGCUAGCUAGCUAGGACCUCAUUCUUGCACUAAAAUUGACUUGCAUGCAAAAUAUCACCCAUAAUUUGCACGUUUUAAUACUUUUCGCGUCCUUUUCACUCAACAAACCCACAUCUGUUGGCAAUCCCGCGAUCACUCCUCUCUGAGUAGACUAAUUACCACCGUAAAGAGCACGGUUGGAUAGCUCAGUGGUAAAAGGCUUAUCCUCUGUCGUCCUAGGUCCUGGGUUCGACCCUGGCUCACCCCGAGAGUUUCGUAGAGCAGAUACUCAUUUGUAAGGCUAUAAGCCAUAUUUGUCAAAAAAUUACCACCGUAAAAAAAUCUUCACGCCCUUGUCUCUUUCUGUGAGAUUAUUUUCCCACACUGUGGGGCCGCGUUUGUACUUGAAGUAAAGUAGUGGACUAGAAGUGAGAAAAAAAUUAGGACUUUUGAAUGAUUAUAUUGUUUUGGAAGAAAUAGAAGUCCUGAAACAAAAGUAGCAUUCUCAGUUUUUUAUAGAUAAUUUUGAUUUUUAACAAAAACGAGUCGAGAAAAGUAGAAUUCGGCUUGUUGGCAAAAAACAGAAGCCUUGGCAACAAACAGGCACUAUAUAUACAUCGACUACUAAGCUUUGGUUUCAUGCAAUAUCAUCGUAGCAAAUUAGAACCUAAACCUAAAAAUGAGUUGUGUACGAGACUGGCCGGAGCCAAUCAUCCGAGUCCAAUCCCUUUCGGAGAAGGGACUGGAAGCCAUACCGGAGCGUUACAUAAAGCCUAUGUCGGACAGACCGUCCUCGAAUUUCCCCGUGAUAGAGAACCAGAACAUCCCUAUAAUAGAUUUUUCUGGCCUAUACGGGGACGAGACGAUUCGUGCAAAAACCUUGAGUGAAAUAUCAGAGGCGAGUCGUGAUUGGGGAUUUUUCCAAGCUGUGAAUCAUGGUGUUAGUCCUGAGCUCAUGGACCGAGCACGCCAGCUUUGGCGUGAAUUCUUUUAUCAGCCCAUGGAGGUGAAGCAAGGCUACGCCAAUUCGCCAAAGACUUAUGAAGGUUAUGGAAGUAGGCUAGGUGUGGAGAAAGGAGCCAUUCUUGACUGGAGUGAUUAUUAUUUUCUCCAUUGUCUUCCUUGUAACUUGAAGGAUCAUAACAAAUGGCCCGCCCAACCCUCCUCUCUCAGGUAAUUUUUCGGAAUGUCGAAUAUAACUGACUUUUUGUUUUUUGACAAUUUAGACUUAUACGCCUUACAAAUGUUCUGAUACUUCUCGAGUUGAGUCACAGUCGAACUCACGUUUUCCGAAACAACAUAGGAUAAACCCGUCACUUGGGUUAAUUAUUGCUAAUUCUAAUAGUCCACUUGCUAAUUUUGAUAAUCUUUAGUUAUGUUCUGUUUUUCUGUGGCGGUAGAUCGAUAUUAUUGUUCUAUGUUUAUCCUGCACGAUUUAAUGUUAUCGCCAUCUAAAACGGCUAUUUUUAGAAGGAAAUUGCUUAGUGCACAUAAUUAUGUACAAAAACAUGUACAUAAUGACAUGGGGCGGGUUUUAAUUGGAUGGCCCCCCUGCAUUUACACCAACCACUCUAAUCAAAACUCACCACAUCACUUGCCACAUCAUUAUGUACAAAUUUUCUGUACACAAUUAUUUACACCUAGCACUACUCUUUUUAGAAUUACGUGGUUCACAACUCUACGUACAAAAAUCAUGUCUGCUUAAAGUCAAAUUCCACACACUCUGAUGGUAUGGUUUGAUAAGCAUAUAUGGUUGGUAAUCCAUUAUAAUGAUUCAUGUCAUAUGGCAGACAUAUCACAUAAACGUCAUCAAAAGUUGCAUUUUCAUUUCCUUUUGUCAUAUUUUACAAAAAUUAUAUUAAUGUUGCAGGGAAGCCAUCGAGGAAUACUCGAAACAAGUAGUGAAAUUCGGGGGAGAAAUGAUGAAGGCUUUGUCGAUUAAUCUCGGACUAUCCGAAGAUUAUCUUCAGAAGGCAUUUGGCGGUGAAGAUAUCGGAGCUUGCUUGAGGGUGAAUUUCUACCCCAAAUGCCCGCAACCGGACCUAACCUUGGGUCUUUCCCCGCAUUCUGAUCCGGGAGGAAUGACCAUCCUCCUCCCGGAUCAGAACGUAGCCGGACUUCAAGUCCGGAGAAACGACGGUUGGAUCACCGUCAAACCGGCAGCUCAUGCGUUUAUUGUCAAUAUUGGCGAUCAAAUACAGGUACGCCCAUAAUCUCAAUUUUGUGCAUCACAAAAAUCCCAUUGAAUGAACAUGAUGUAUGGAGGGGUCGCAAAAUAUAUAUAGUUGUAUUUUCACAUGUGUCCUUAUUAAUAACGAUAAAACUUGGAGCAUAUAAACUCUCUUGCCCUGAACACUUUCUCUUACCACUAUCUGAUUUUAUCAACGGUUUUUCUAAUAUGUGCUCAUGGGCACAUGCUAACUACCAAAUUUUAUAAAAAUGGUGAAUUUUAAUUGGUUCCUACUCCUUUAUAAUAGUGGACCCCCUACAAAUUCACCAACCACACCAAUUAAAAUUCACUAUUCUUAUAGAAUUUGGUGCUUAGCAUGUGUCCAUGGGCACACACUAGACAAACCUUUUAUCAAUCAGGCUAACCGGGGUUAGGCACGUUAGCCAGUUUCUAAAAGAGGAACAUGUUUGGUACAUUACAUCGUUGCAUAAAUUUAGAUGUAUAUUAUGCGCACUCAUUAUAUAUUGCUAGUCGCUUAAAAAGGAUUUCCCAAAACUUCCCAAUUAUCGGCACGCAUAGGGGAUCUAGGAUUCAAAAUUUUAAAAUAUUAAAUAAUUUUUCCAAAAACAUCCAUUAUAUUUUAAAUUUUAUAAAGACAUUUCUUGGAUUUAUAAGAUUUAGAAUGAUGAAAAACUGACAACAAAAAAUUUAGCGAACAAGUACUCCCUUACCUUUUACUAUACAUGUCCGUGUCCCCCUUACGUUUUAUGUGCUCUGAAUACAAUUGAUGGGAAUCGACUCUCAGAAAAAGUUAAAAACGUAUAACAAAAUAAAUUAUAUAUAUAUAUAUAUCUAAAAUUAAUAUUAAAAUGAUAAGGAUCUGAAAUUGGAACGGAGAAAAUAAUAUAUUAAACUAUGCAAAGAGGAUAUCAAGAUGGUUAGAGUCUGCAGAAAUGCAACGGGAUCCAAUAUUUUUAAAGAGAAUAUGCAACUAAAAUAAAAGAAAUUGUUCAAAUUUAUAUUUAUUAUGUGCUCAUGAAUACAUCAUAGAAAAAUUGUUUAAAUAAUAGGCUUGGCCGUUUGAAAUGUAAAAGUGGGUUUUUAAAAGAGUGGGGGCGUUAAAGUAUAUGACUUUAUAUGCAAUUUCCGGAGACUAUUCAUUCUAAUUAAUCACGUUAAAUGAGUAGUUGAAUCCAGAAGGUUGAGACCUCGCAAUUUAGGAUAAACUUGUACAACUCCAGUCCAUUUUUCCUCGACUGGCGUGCUGUCUAUAUCCGGCCAUGAUCUUUCAGAAUCAGAUUUGAUAUACGUGCCAACUGCAUUUUGCUUUUCGAUAUAGAGAAUCAUGCAUCCUGCAUGCAUCAUAUGUUUCAUUUUUAUUCUUUUAUACAAAAUAAUAAUAAUAAUAACGGUUUUUCUAUGGUGUGCCCAUGGGCACACACUAAACACCAAAAUUUAUGCAUUUGAAUGGUUUCUGCUGGCUUACCUUCUUUAAUAAUGGUGGACCCCCUGCCAUUACAACAAUCACACCAAUCAAAAUCCUCCAGUUUUAUAAAUGUUAGUGCUUAGCAUGUGCCCAUGGCACACACUACACAAACCCUAAUAAUAAUAAUAAUUAUUAUUAUUAUAUAUAAUCUUCUUUCAUGUGACAUGAGAGGAGAUUAACCACAUCACAAAUAGAUAAAUUUAACACACAGGAAGUCGAGUUUACAAAUAUUUAGAAAUAUUAUUUUCAAAUUUUAUUGAAAAUCUCAAAGAAAGAUGAUGUUAUUAUUUGUGCAUGGGAGAAAACUCAAAAUUUUUGUGUGUAUAUAUAGGUUUUAAGCAACGACAUAUACAAAAGCGUGGAGCACAGAGUGAUGGUGAAUUCCAACAAAGAAAGAAUAUCUCUAGCUUUCUUCUACAAUCCCAGGAGUGAUUUGCUGAUAGCACCUGCAAAGGAGCUGGUGACUCCAGAAAGACCUGCCAUCUAUUCGCCCAUGACUUUCGAUGAGUACAGAUUGUUCAUUAGGUUGAGAGGGACCAAGGGUAAAUCCCAGGUCGACUCACUCAAAUCUCCAUCUCCUAGAUGAUGCUCUUCUCUUCAUGUAUAAUUGUAAUUUUCAUCACAGUCAUAUCUGCAAAGACUUUGAUUAAAACAAAAGAAAUAUUGCAUUGGCAUAAUUGAGUUUCUACUUUCUUGUGCUGAGCAUGAUUGGUACAAGUGCUUGGCCAAGUCGUUAUCAUUCUUUCGAUCGAUACUCUUACAUUAUUAUCGGUUUUUAUAUUGUGUGCCAAAUCAGCACAAAAAUUGAUAAGUUUACGUGAGUUUGUACCACUUGCAUUCAUAACAACCACUCUCAUCAAUAGUACUGGCAUGUGCCCACACUACAAUCAAUAGUACUGGCAUGUGCCCACACUACAAGAAAAAAGCUAAUUUCGAUGGUUUUUUUGAACCGGGAGCUAUUUUCAAUCAUGGACACAUCAGAUAAACUCUUUCCAGAUUUCGAAUUUGUUUUAAAAGAUUGAAGGUUAUGAUUUAAUUUAAAUUAUUCAUAUGAGUAUAUGUUUAUUUUAAAAAAAAAAUUUAAUCAAUUUGAUAAACUAAACAUUCAGCAACAAAGAAAAAGGAACGAGUAACUUUCAAGUGACUUGAAACAAUUUAGUUAAGGGAAAUGAGAAUGUUGUGAAUUGUGAACACAUGAGAGCUUACCUACUAAAAACGUGCAGAUAAACCUACCGACUGAGGAUUAAUAAACCAAUUUUAUAUUUACUCGAUUUUUUAUUUUAUAUAUAAAAUUAAACUAUGAAAAUGAGGCACGUUUUCUAUUCAUUUAAUUAAAUAAGUAGGCGGCCAGUUGUCGAUUAUAGAAAAAGAAAAGCACGGAAAAUCAACAAGCUUAGUUACGAUUUGUGGAAGAAUACAACAUCAAGACUUCAAGAGUACCUUCCCCGUGCUAAAACCCAUUUUAACUGCUUUUGAACUUUUACGUGGAGUUUAAGAUUUUAAAAAAAAUCACAUCUAGACAUAAUUAUGCUUUAUAAAAUUUACAUCACAUAAAAGUUUAGAAUUAAUUCAAAAUUUUUAUUUGAUAUAAGAAUUGAAUUUUUUUAUUGAGUGUAUAUAUUAUUUUUCACACCUCAAUAUACGUGUAAAAAAAUCAAACAUCAAUUAAAAUGGGACAGAGGGAGUAUAACACACACGGGCCCAUUUACGACGGAUAAUUUAUGAAAAUUCUGUUAUAAAUUUUUUAUGACAUAUUGUGUUUGUCAUAAAUUUACUUAUUUAAAUAUAUUUUUUUCAAAAAGCUUCAAUUCCAAGAACGACGUCGUGUGUUUUUUAGACUUACAACGGCUUAUUAUUUCAUCAUAUAUUCAUUUAUUUAAAUUUAAAUAUUUUUUUGAUUAAGAAAAUAAUCAAAAAUUUGGUCUAAAAAAUGGAGACGUUUUAGUAUUGGAACUUAUGACGUCUAUAAUAUUCUGUCACAAAUUCACUCAUCUACAUAAUGGAAAAUGUUGAUCAUGUAAAAUUUACAAUGAGUUCGGGAGUAUGUACGCAGAAGAUAGAGCUGUUCACGAACCGAGCCGAGCCGAGUUUUGACCGAACCGAGCCGAGCUUUAAUAUUUUUUCUGACGAGCCGAGCCGAGCCGAGCUUUUUAAUCGAACAAAAAUUGUGUUCAAGCUCGGCUCGUUAACUAACGAGCCGAACACGAGCUUGUUCGCGAACAAAUAUGAGCCGAGCCGAGUCGAAUCGAGCCGAGCCGAGCCAGAAAAAAAAUAAGGACAAACCGCUAGUUGACAUCACUAAAAUAUAUCAAUUUUUGUCACUAAAAUGUAUAUAUGUUAACAUCCAUACAGUUGGAUCGGUAAAAAAUAUUUUUUAAAAUAUUGAAACACUAAAUUAGGAUUAAACUCUAGUUAGCGGUACUAAUUAGGAUUAAACACUAGUUAGCGGUACUAGUCAAACUUCUACUUGUCUGUUAAAAACCAAAUAAAAUUAUUAUUUCCUAAAAUUUUGUUUACAUCACUAAAAUAUAUAUAUAUUAUGUUGAAUUCUGAGUCCAAUAACAUAUAUAAAUUAUAAAAAAACCCCGAAAAUAUUACAUUUUUUCGAGCUUUAACGAGCCGAACUCGAGCCGAACGAGCUCGAGCCGAGCUCGAGCCGAACAUACUAAAAGCUCGGCUCGAGCUCGUUUACUUAACGAACAAUUUUUUGUGUUCGAGCUCGAGCUCGUUAACUUAACGAGCCGAGCCGAACGAGCUCUUAACGAGCCGAGCUCGAGCUUGUUCGCGAACAGCUCGGUUCGUUAAACAGCCCUAGCAGAAGACAUAUAAUCUCAAACAAAGUCAAUUUUAUGAACUAUAUAAAAGGUUGGGAAAAUGCUACAUGCAUAGAGUUGGGUACAGAAAUAUUCACAGAAUGAGUAUGUGUUAACUUGUGAUUGGAAUGGGCCCCCUACACAUGCAACACCAAUUAAAACUCCCCAUCUAAAUUGCUAUGUCAUUUUGUAUAAAAUUAUGUAUCCAAUUUUGUGCAUGUAGCACUACUCAAAAGAUUAAGGGGCCGUUUGGCUGAGCUUAAAAUAAGUGCUUCUUGCUUAAAAUAAAAAAGUGAAAUAGAAGUUAGAAGUUAAUUAAGACUUAUAAGUGAUUAAAGUGUUUGGCAAAAAAGUAGAAGUCAUGAAACAAAAGCUAGGAAUCGUAGCUUUUUUUAAGUGCUUCUCGAUUUUUUACACAAACGGUACGAAUAAGUGCUUCCAACUUAAAAGUCCAGAAGCGGGGCUUAAAAGCCUCGCCAAACACCCACUAACAUAUCCCCAACAUAUCAAUUUUCAUAUUAGACAUACUAUGUUUUUUAUAUAUUUAAAUAAUCCACUGUAGAGCUUGGCCGUAGAUCCUGGCGCAGCACUCAAGAAACCCAACAUUUUUCUUGACCAGAGCUGCCUUUCUUAAAAUUAAAAAUAUUCUAAACUUUUUGAUAGAUAAACCCAACAUUUUUCAGAAAAGUCCAGCCCGACCCAAGUUGAAAACAGGUUGGCCUUUUCGGUCAUUGCUCGGAUUUGCUACCCAGGCCUUCACACUUCACUAGAAUAUUUUUGCCAAACAGGACAUAAAUAAUAAUACUCCGUCUCAAUUUAUAAGUCUUUUUUAAAAAAAUUAUUGUUUUAAAAUAUUUGUCACUCACCCUUUUCAAAGUAAUGUUUUAAAUGGUUUUUCUUUAAAUGCUCUUGAAACACAAUUUUCAAUAUUUAACUAGUAGACUUAGGGCUGAGCAUUCGGUCGGGUUCUGGAAAGAACCGAGAACCGAAAUUUAAAAUUUUUCCGGACUGAACCGGACCAAAAUUAGCAUAUGGACCGGUUCGGUUCUUUCGUUAAGAACCGAAUUUAUUUUAUCAAAAAUAUGAAAAAAUAAUAAAAUCUCUGAAAAAUGCAGCAAAGAAGAUUAGUUCUGGAUAAACAAGAUGGUAGCGAACAGAAUUGCUAAUUAAUUACAUUGAAAGGUGAAAAUGUGCUCCUCAGAUGGUGGGUGGUGGGGGAGAUUGGUGAAUCAAUCAACUUACCAGUACGUACUCUGGUGUUGCUUGUUGGCACAGACUGGUUUACCGGAGUAGCAACCUCUGGCGACAGAAUCUAUGGCGGGCUCAAAUCUCUACUUGUCGUGAUUGAGGCGGUAUGUUCUAAUUUUCCGAAAAAACUAGAACCGAACCAGACCGAAUUUUCACGGUUCGGUUCGGUUCUUCGGUUCUGGUUCGGUUUUGCUCAGUCCUAAGUAGACUUAUACUCACAACACAUUUUUUAAAGAGGCUUAUAAAUUGAGACGGAGGCGGAGGAAGUAUUCACUUCUAGCCGUCUCUUAACCUCUAGGCUCCAACACAGGGGAACAUGUCUACAGAACAAUUAAUAUGUGCACAAUUAUAUAAUAUAUUUUUUUCAUCUUCUUGAAUAAUAUAGCUCAAUAAUUUUCUCUCGAGAGAACAACUUUGAUACUCAUGAAUCAUAACAAAAGCAAGAAAGAGAUUCUACAAUUUUACAAGGAUUUUGCUUAUCCAUAGAAAAACGAAUGACCAACACCAUAAGUCCGGCACGGUUGCAAAACGCGCAGUCAGGAAAACAAACUUCAUAUUAUUUUUUUAGGAGGGGGUGUGGCGGAGUCAGGGAAGGGCUUCAGGGCAGGACAGACUAAAAAUUAAUCCUAUUUAUGAUUAAAACAUACAGAACCAAAAGAACAUCACAAGGUAAGUAAAUCUGAGAGAAACAAAGUGAAGAACAGCAAAACAAAAGUGAGGGAAUCCCUAAUUGUUAGUAUAUGAAAUGCUGUUUUACGACUAUCGAGCUCCAAAUUCAAGGCUAGAUCCUCCGACAGAGUCUAGAAAUUACUGCCUGCCCUUCUUAAGACUGCAAGAGGGGCACUUGUAUUGCUUGAUGUUUUCUGCUCUGGCCGGUGUUAUUUUCACACACUUCCCAUGAUACCACCUCUCGCAAAUGUCACAGCCAAUCCAGAACUCAUCUGCACUGUAAUGGCCUCCACAGCUCCCACAAAGUGUCUCUCCAUGCUCAUCGUCCUCCUCCACAUAACUCUCAUCAUUAAGUCUCUGAUUGCUUUUUGCAUGUCCAUCACUUGAUCUCUGAAGGUAAAUGAUUAAAAAAAAACAAUUUAAUCAUCAAGUUAGUGCUAUACUUAACAUAAGAGAACAGAAAUAACUACUAUUAGCUAUAUAGCUGGAAUAAGGUAAAUAAUUUACCUUUGUGUUAAUUUUGGUCUUGCUUCCUGCAUCCACACUGGGCUUUUCUUUGACUGCCUUUCUCUCUGCUACAACUUCAAAGACAGUCGGCAGAUCAUUUAUUAAGCUGAACAGGCGUUUCCUGUUCAAGUAAAUGCUCACUUCUCAGCGGAAAAACUUUUAAAAAAUUUAUACAAAAUCAGGUUAAAUAGAAUAUAUGUAAAUACCAUAGACAGAGACACUACAAAGCUCGGCUAAAGUGUGAUUGAUAAUAUUUGAGAAAGUUGGUGGCACAAAAAGGGAAAGCAAAAAGAAAGAUGCCAUAAAAAACAUGGAGUAGGACCAUAAAAUAAUUUCAAUCUUCCAAACCAACAUCAAAUACAUUUAACUAGGUAGUUAGGCUAUUCUUAGACCUCAGCACAGACUUAGAGGAAAUCACAGAACUAACUAGGUAUGUUAAAUAUGUUACAGCCCUGUCAUACAGGGGGUAAUUACAUUAAAAAGGACAAACUAUGUUUUGGAAUUGCGAAGUGCAUCAGCAGAUUAGAUUGAAUUAUAAAUACAUUAGCCUAGACUGGAUAUUGUAUUCAGAAGUUAAAAUGUCAAAAUUAUCAUGGGAGAGAGAUGGACCUUACUUUUCAGUUGUCAAAAUGUCACCCAUAAAUCUUGAAUGGUAUUAAACACUAUUGAUUAUGAACACUGGGUUGGCAAUAUUAGCUUCAAAGAAAAGGCUGGGUAGUAUACAUCUAGGAAGUAGAACUGACAAGUGACAAUACUUUGAUGUACUUGAUUAAAAUUGUCGAAUAUACUAGACUGAACUCGGCCUACUAAAUUGAUACUAAAGUAAUCAGGUGGCCGUCCCUAAAACUUCAGCACUAAGACUAAGAGCAAUUCCAACAAUGUCCUACUAGAUGCCUUAAAGAUUAUAAUAAAAUAUAGUGUCCCGGUGAUUUAAGGCAUGAUUUUUGUAUAUUAACUCCAACAAUAUGCCUUAUAAUUGUGCCGUAUGAUUAAUACAAUAUUACAUUUGAAUUACAAUUGGAGGAAAUGGAAAAGAUGAGAGAGAAGAUAUGUGUAAAAAGAGAGGGAAAACAAAUUAUUGAUAAAAUUGAAAAAUGACAUGUCUAGUGAUGCCUAAAAAAUGAAGCACUUGGUGGAUGUCCUAGUGUUUCAAGGUACCACAAGGACAUUGUUGAAGCACUCAUUUAUAUAAAAUGUCUUAAAUUCUAGUUUAGGACAUUAGUUUAGGACACGGGUUAAUUAUCUAGUUGGUCACUGAAGUGGGCUUAAUGUAUCAAGUUGAUCACUGAACUCAAAACGGUAUCAAGAUGGUCACUAAAGGUAAUUAAAACAAAAAAAAUAACUAUAUAAUAAAAUAUAAAUAAUAAAUAAACUUGAUAAAAUAUAAAUAUAUUAUUUAAAAUACUAGAAGUCAUAACCUUUUAGUUGGUUGUGGUAAAAUUUAAAAAUAAUGUGUAAAACUUUAUAAAUAAUAUUUUUACUACUUGAACUCAUAUUUCAAGAUACUUGUUUGAUAUUUAUGUUGACUUUAGUGACCAUCUUGAUACCGUUUUGAGUUCAGUGACCAACUUGAUACAUUAAGCCCACUUCAGUGACCAACUUGAUAAUUAACCCUUUAGGACACUCUUGCACUUGCUCUAGAACAGGAAGGAAAAAAGCCAAUGUAUCAAUGUGCAUGCAAGAUCAGAAACACCGUACAAAUACCAUUUUAAGUGUGUAAGCCCCUCUCUCCCGUAGUAGCUAAAAGCCUAAAACUAGAAAUUUGUCUGUCCAAAUGUGCAUAUACCAUUAAAAAAUCAAGGACAAAUUUGACAGAUGCAUCACUAUCCACUACCAUAUUCGGACAUAAAAUUAUUAAUGUCCACGUUUUUCAUCUCUAAAGCAUAUAAAUAGACAAUAUAAUCCCGCAUGUAAACAAAAGCAUCCAGUAAAUGUAUAUAUCAAACCAACUGAGACACAGUUAAUUAUAUUGAUAUUUUAUUCAGGUACAGCUGUUGCCAAUAACAUUAUUAAACAAAGCUAAACACCACUUUAUCUCAUAAGUAUGCAUAAAAGCAUCCGCACCUAAACUUGAGGGUUUAUGAGGAGAAAUUAGAGAAGCAAGGAUAAAAAGAUAUCUUCAACAUAAAAAAGGACUAAAAGUACUAUCAUUGACUUUAGAAAAAGUUCAAGGACUGGCCAGAAAAAGUUGUGCAAAGGGUAUGGGCAUAUGGCCAACUAUAUACUGAAGAACCAAAAAAGGCAACAUGUAUGAAUUUAAAUAUUGGGAGGAAAGAAACUCAAGUCUGUUGGAAUAACUUGUUCUUCUAAUGAAGCAGUGAUGGGGUUUCAACUUUCCCUCUCUUCGUAAAAUGUUUAAGUGAAAACAAAAGAAAAGCUUCAAAUGGGACAGCUGGAAAGAUGAUGAGUACAUAUAAGACAUGGUGAUGUAGGACUGGGGAAGAAAAAGGUAGGAGUGGCUUGGGAAGGGAGGAUAAUGACUCAUCUCCACGAAAAGUCAACACAAACACUCUUUAAUCCACAAAUUUAUGUCAAAAUACACAACAGUAUAAAUAUUCAUGCUCACAAAUAAGGUUACAAUUGUUUAGAUAGAGAUUCUAUUUACAGCAUCUCCAACCAUCCCAAUCAAUUAGCUAUAAAAUCUAGUUGGCAUUGCCAAAAAUAAAAAAUAUAUAGAGAAUUUGUAAAAAAAUUAUUACUCCAACAGGACAAAACCCUUUUCUAUUAUUUUAGCCAACCCCCUUAUGUUGCCUAUAUAUGUUGAACCUCUAGGGACCUAUAGCAAAACUUCACGUCAUUUACUACCAUAUUUAAAUAAUAUAUUCUAUUAACAACUUGAAACAAUAAUAAAUUACCAUUUUCAAAAUGUAGCCAAUCCUAUUGGAGCACAACACCUUACAGGUUCGGUAAAUUUAGGUGUAGUAAAUUUUAACCAAUCAUUCAUUUCUACUCAUUUUAUACUAAGAUAGCCGACCAAUUUAACCAACCACAUUGGAGAUGCUCUGGUGUUGUGUUCACGAGUUUUGUUUAGCGGAGAAAGAAAAAAAAAUAUGAUUAUUUAUUGUCUCUUUUAUGUUCCCUAUAAUUUUCAAAGAUCAAAAGGAAAAGAAAGGUGAAAUAUGACUUAAUUUCUUCAAAAAAAAAAAAUUCUUCCCAAAAAUGAGAAGAUCGGGAAAGAGACAAAUUACAACAAUAAAUACACUAAUUAUUCUUUCAUAUCUUGGCUUUCUUUUCUUCACUUAAUAUAUCUCAGGAACUAUAAGAAAAAAAAUCAUUAACAAUUUUUUGUCCUUUCUUUUCUCUCAAAAUCAAUUCUUAUCUUUUCUUUUCUUAAUCAAAAAAAACUCGGGAAUAUUGCAUAAGAGAACAAAUACAAUCCCAUACAAAAAGGAAAAGUAAAUAUAAUUGGUAAGUAAAACCUUAUACUUAUUUACAAUUAUUUUGAUAGGGAAUAAUUUUUUAUUUUAUAAUAAGGGUAAUUAUUUAAUCCAUAUGUGUUUGAACAACUAAAUUAGUCAAAACUAAUAGAUCUUUACAUCUGUGCACCGCAUUACGUGGCCAUCACAUUCGUUCCUAAGGAAUCCAGUAGGUGAUCAACCAUGUGGAAAUAUUCAACGAAAGGCCGUGUAGUAUCUUGCGCAGUGACUCCAUGCUAUGCUCAUAUUAUAUAUUGUCUUCAAGUGUUCAAAGUCACAGGAUAAGGUGGUUUCUAAUUAAACCUUAUGGUUACUACUGACUAGGACUGACCAGGCCCUAGAAUCUAUUUAGAAAGCAAGAGUAUCAUAUAAGAUUUCUCUUAAAAUUAUAAACAGAAACAUAUGAUAGAGGUCAGAAGAGACUGAUGCUGUGAUAACCCUUGUAAGAUCAUUGUAAUGCCAUAGUUCAUGGCAACCACAGGUUUUUCUCAUGAAAGGCAACACGAGGGUGUGAUGUGCAGUUUAUGCAACUUCUAAUAUGUUACAGAACAAGGAAAGUCAAAUCAAUAAAUAUCUUUCGUUAAUUUCUGAGGUUGUGAUAACCCUUGCGCGAUCAUUGUGAUGUUAUCUUUUACGGCAGCAACAGGUUUUCUUAUGUAAGGGAACAUGAGAGUGUGAUGUGCAGUCGAUGCAAGUUGCUAUAUGUUCCGGAAGGUUUAUUCAAGACAGAACAAGGAAAGUUCAAAUUAAUAAAUAUCUUUCCUUAAUCUGUUAAAGAUUUUGGAAAACAUUAGAUUACAUAUAAUAAUUGAGAAUUAUUAUGCAAAUCCCCGAUAUUUUAUCAAUUAGUUAGUUCCUUAUUUUAAUUUCCUCAACUUGGGGGUUUUUACUUGCUCGCUACUCCAGAGGCUUAGUAUUGUAACUCGGGCAGAUUAAAAUAAUAUGAAACUACUAUUCUAUGCUUAGGUGAGAGGAUUAAGUUUUCUGGGUGUGAGACCUAGGUCUAGGUGUGAGGCCUAAUUAUCUAUUUUUAGUCUUUCUAUUCCCUAGUUUGUCCUGCGUUUUCAAAUUUUCCUAUAUAACAUAACAUUCGACUAAGACCCUGCAUCAGAGAGCAUGCUGAACUAAACAAGCACUGAACGAUCUUCAGAAGUUUAGUUCUGCAUUUUCAUAUUUUGCUAUAUAACAUAACAAAGGACUAAGAUCCUGCAUCAGCAGUGUAAGGCUGAGCCUUCAAAAUUAGGUUCAAACAUUAUCAUAGAAACUAGAGUCUCUCUGAUGCGAGAAAGGGGUUUGAAAAGGAAAUAUGGCUUAUCUCAGCAGAGAUCUGGCAAAGCGCAUGACAAAUCCCCAAACCUAAUUUUAAAUACUCAUAAUAAUUCACUACAAAUAGGGAAUUACAUUAAAACACACAUCAGUUUGGAUAUUCAUGCCUCGAGAAAUGCUAUGGACCUCAAAAUGGUUCUCGAAUUUAUUCCCGAAUAUUUAGUUGUCAAAACUGGAUUGGAUGUCAUCUAGAAAAUAAAGAGGGCCCCAUGUAUGCACAUAACUAACACCAAGUAAAUCACGCCACUUGGCAUUCGGGAACAAAUUUGUGAACCUUUUCCGGGUGCCUAGCAUUGCUCUUUAUGCCUAUCAAAUAACGAAGAUUACAAUUGUAUGAACUAAAUUCUAUGACAAGGGAACAAGUACAACCCUAUAUAAAAAGGAAUGUAUAUAUAAUUAGCAAGUAAAACCUUAUACUUGUCUAAUACUAUCUUUGAUAUAGGGAAUAAUCUUGUUUCUUAAAUCUUCAUUUAGUUGAACUAGAUUAGUUCAAACUAAUAUAUCAAUACAAAUAAAGAUUCAAAAUAACUAAUAACCAAGUCCUUACUUCAGUGCUCCGCAUCAUAUUGGUUCAUGAUGCCAUCAUAGUGGUUCCUGAAAGAAUCCCGUGCGCUGUAAAUGCAAAGAAAGGCCUUGUAGUAUCUUCGGUAGUGAUUCCAUGUUAUGCUCGUAAUAUGUAUAUUGUUUUCGAGUGUUCAAAGAAACAGGAUGAAGUGGCUUUUAUUUACACCUAAUGGUCACUACUGGAAUGAGGGUUACUACUAACUAGGCCCUAAGAUCUAUCUAGAAAGCAAGAGUAUCAUAUAACAUUUCUCUUAAAAGUUAUAAACAGGAACAUAUGAUAAGAGUUCAGAAGGGACUGAUGUUGUGAUAACCCUUGCAAGAUCAUUGUGAUGUCAUAGUUAAUGGCAGCCACAGGUUUUUCAAAUGAAAGACAACAUGAGGGCGUGAUGUGUAAGGCGAGCCUAUAAAAAUCAGGUUCAAACACUAUCAGAGAACAUAGAGCCUUAUGUUUACUACUGACUAGGCCCUAAGAUCUAUUUAGAAAGCAAAAAUAUCAUAUAAUAUUUCUUUUAAAAUUUAUAAACAGAAACAUAUGCUAGAGUUCAGAAGGGACUGAUGUUGUGAUAACCCUUGCAAGAUCAUUGUGACAUCAUAGUUUAUGGCAGCCACAGAUUUUUCACAUAUAAGGGAACAUGCGGGUAUGAUGUGCAGUAUAUGACUGGGCCUAUAAAAAUUAGGUUCAAACACUACCAGAGAAACUAGAGCCUCUCUAGUGCUGCACAAGCAUGGGAAAGGGGUUUGAAAAGCAAAUAUGGCUCAUCUCCGCAGAGAUCUGGCAAAGUGCAUAACAAAUCGACAAACCUAAUUCACGCUUGCUUGUAUUCGCUUCUUUCCCAAUUUACAUUACUAAUUCUUUGUAUUUCUUACUGCAGAGGCUGUAUAAUGUAUAGCGCUUUGCUAUAGAGGCAAUAAUAAUAAUCAGAGUCUGGCAUUUAAUGCAUUCUUAAACAUGCUCUUAUUUGUUAUCAGCUAAGAAAUAUAUACAUAUCUAUAUAUACGGGGCUAGAAAUGUAAGGUAUAUCAUUACUAGGAUGCACAAAAUUGGAUACUGGGAUUUACCAAUCAUCUAAGGGACCUGGAUAAAGGACUUGGAAAAAAAUAUAUAUAUACUAUUUAAAAUUUAUAGAUAUUCAUAUAUAUAAAUUUCAUGACAAGAUUUGUACAUGUCAAUUGUCAAACCCUCAACAAUUCUAUUCAUAAUUAGUAAUAAAAGUUUUUUUUGACAAAUAUGGCUUAUAACCUUACAAAUGAGUAUUUGUUCUAAGAAAUUCCCGGGAUGAGCCAGGGUCGAACCCAGGACCUAGGACGACAGAGGAUAAACUCUUAACCACUUGAGUUAUCCAACCGUGCUCAAUACUAAAAGUUUCAUUCUUCCUAAUAAGUUGAAACUGGAAACUAAUAAAAAGGGUUUGAUUAAAGAAGAUAUGUGUGUGUAUACAAAAGAGGCUGUGUGUAUCUAUAUAGAAGACGCUUUUUUAUUGGGUCGUGUCGGUAAAGAGCCGACCCGAGUCCAACGUUGUAUUAUGUAAGGCGAGUCGGACACACACUCAGCCAACUCGGGGCCGAGUCGGACACACAUACGGAACUUUUCUAGAAGAGACUGUGCUUCCUAGGUUAUCAAUCUCCACAAGUAUCAACUUGUAAGUUGUACAGUGGAUAUAAAGACGAUUAUUGGUAAAGUUGAUUCUCUUACAUUUAAAAAAAAACACUCUGUAGUAAACAUUAGAGUGAUUCGAAGUCAACUAUGCAAUUGAUUCAGUAAAUUCAGAUCAACUUGCAGAAGAGUCAUUUUCCCAAUGGUCGUUUUGAAAACUUCUCUGAUAAAAUAAAAAUGAAAUUCUGAUACCAAUAUUCCAACUUGACACAGGAAAAGGAAAUUCCAAUAAACAUACACAACAAUCUGUUAACGACAAACGCAAAAGAAAUAUUCAAUACAUAAGGUAAGAAGCAACUAACACAAAGAAACAGUCAAAUAGAAACACCAAUACACAUAAAUGCAACAUAUAACCAAUAUAACGAUGCAGUUUAACUAACAUACAAUUACAAUACACAAUCUUUCAUACAAGAGAAUAACAGGUACUAUACCUCUCAUUCCGAUUAAGGCGAGCACCAAAAUAGUAAGCAACAGAAAGCAACCAUGAAUCGGUAUGCACAGCCACCAAAGACAACCAAUCUCUACGGUUCAUCCCAUCACGGGCAAAAUUGAUCCCUAAAGCUGGCUCAGGCAACUCGGGUGGAACUUCCUCAGCAGGCAAAUUCACUUCCCAUGACUCAUUGGCAUGCCCAUACAGACACAAAUUUUCCUUCUCUGAACAAUCCAAUUCAUUUCAAACACAAUCAAUUACAACCCAACUCUACAAACAUCAAUGGUACACAUAUAAAAACACAUACAGAUAUAAACACACCUGGAUCACAGAGGGAGUAGAAUUCAUCAACAUCUGAAAAACAAAUUUGGGAAAAAAGCGAAAUUUAUGAAUUUGAAUAUACAUAAAUACAUAUAUUAUACAAAUAAUGUAAGAGAGGAGAGAGAGAGAGAGAGAGAGAGAGAGAAAUGAAAGAGGGAGAGGGAGAGAGAGAGAGAGAGAGACGGAGGGGGAGAGAGUGAGUGAGAGAGAGAGAGAGAGAGAGAGAUUACCAGAGGUUAGAGCACGAACAAUGGCAGUGCGGCGGCAACUAAAAUCUUUGAAGAUCUCUUCAACAGUACGAGGGUUUGAAGCUAUAUCCAUGCUUAGAUCUGUGCAAGACAAAUUGUUUAGACAGAGAGAGUAAAUUAUUUACAUGAAUUGUGCUUGUGUGUGUAAAGUGUGUACCAGUUUGAGGUUUCAGACUCAGUGCCUCGUUCGUAAAACUGUCCAAGAUGGAUAGAAAUAUUUAUGUUGGGGUGAUCACAUAGAAAUAGGAAUUUAGGAAUGGACUUUGCAGCACUCCUAUCAUCUCAAAAAAUGAGUUUGGAAAAAAUUACAGAUAAUCCAAUAAAAUAUCACACUCCAAUUAUUUUUUUUUCCUUGUUUAUAACUAGUUGAGAAGCUGCGCGUUGCGGCGGCCUAUAAAAAUUAUAUAAAUGAUUUAAUAUUAAUAUUUGUAGUUAGCAAUAAUUUUGUAGCUGUCUAUAAAAAGUAUUAAUGAUUAAAAAUUAAUAUUUGUAGGAUAAAAUAAAUUUUCUAUUAUAAAAAUCUUGAUGUAAUACCAAUACUAAUAUAUAAAAUUGCAAAAUUGGACUAUAAUUCAUAUUGAAAAAAUGAAAAUAAAUUUCUACACGUAAUUAACAAUUUAAAGCACGACGAAUCUUAAUUUAUUUGUGUUUUUUUUAAAAGUAAUCAUAUUCUUACAUUGUCACCUUUCUCCAAUUUUUUUUGAUUGAUUAUGCACAUCUAACUUAAAUCCGUGAGAUAAUAGUCUAUAAUUAUCCUUACUUGUAACAACCUUUAUUUUUAUUUUUUUUGACACAAUGAAAAACAAUUUCAUUAAUCAGAACAUAAUACAGUCGGGACAAACCCCCAACUGACCUACAACCAGGCUGGAAAACAAAUAUCAUACUAAAAACAUUUAGUUGAUUUGUUUCCUGAUCGUUUAACACAUAGAAUUUAAAAUUCUUAGAGCUAAAAAUGAAAUCAAAGAUCUUCUAAGCGAUCCAAAUUGCACCAACAUCACAGAAAGCAGCAUUAAUACUGUAUGAACAGUCUUCACUUAAAAGUUGCUUAAACAGAGCAAACAGAUAAUACAUGAAUAAUAUUUUCCUGUGUACGAAGUAAAUCAUAUAAAAAUUAACAACAACGAACAUGUCCAAUGAACAAAACAAAUAUUAUACAUGAAUAACCAACAAACAUACAUCAGUAAUAGUUAAUUUAUUGAUAUCAUCCAUCAAUAUCAUGUCAAGACUAUAUUCUUCUCCCGUGUUUGGAUUUGUCGACUCCCACAUAGCGGUCUAUAACUACCUUUGCUUGUAACAAUCUUUAUUUUUUUGAUACCGUAUAAAUAGCCUUCACUUAUCGUUGCAGAAGAACGACAUCAUCGAGUUAGAAAUCGAGCAAGGGAACUAUCAACAGAAAGAGGUAGGGUUGUGGUAUUGAGAGAGAAUAUGUUCUGUUUAGAUUAUCCAAAACCCUACAACCUAUAAGGGUAUUAAUAGGUGCAUAGAAACUUGUGUGCUACUCUUUCUCAUGAUUAAAUAAUCUGAAACAAAAUCAGAUUAAAACUUUCAAGCUGCUAUAUUCCAUAAAUAAUCUGAAACAAAAUCAGAUUCUGAAACUUGUUUCUAAUAUAUCCGAAACUAAAAAAGGUAGUUCUAAUUUUUGAUAAUUUUCAUCCAAAAAUUUCAGAAAAUUUAAAAAAUCGAACGAAGCGAUGUGAGAGGCGCCACAUACACGCCCCUCGCUUCUCCUUUAUAUAAGUAUAUUGAUUUAGUCAAAUUUUUAUAGAUGUAUAUAUUUAUCGAACCACCAUAAAUAUAAUAAAUAUCACGUCAUCAAUUUUCAUAUUAAAAUAAUACAUUUUAUUUAUAAUAACCUGAGAUGAUAAUAACAUACUAUAUUUGAAUUAUAGUCAAUCAAUAUAGCUAGUACCAUCAAAAUAAAAUGUGUUACAAGUUCAGCAAAUUUUACAUAAUAUUAGAUCCAAUUUAGCCAACCCUUUGAAAUGCUCUUAGUUCAUCUCCAACCAUGAAGACCCCUUAGCUAAAAGUUGAGUUGUAUAUCAUAAAUAAAAAAUAUAGUCAAUCUUUUUAAAAAAUCACACUCAAACCAUACCGACCCCUUGUCUAUAAUUUUAGCCAAACUCCUAUAAAAUGGCUAUAUUUGUCGAACUUCUACAGAUCUGUAAGAAAUCUGAAGAAAUAUUACCCAUCAUUUAUUAACAUAUUAAACCGAUAUAUUCUAUUUAUAACAAUCCAAAUACCAAUAACAUACUAUUUUUAAAUUAUAACCAACCAAUAUAGUCAAUAAUAUCGAAGUACAAUGCCAAUUUAGCCAACGAUUAUAGGCAACCCCACUGGAGAUGCUCCUACAUAGGAAAAAUAAACGUUAGUGAUUUAUUUUUGGAAUUUAAUUUUAUAAAUAUGUAAAGGACCAUUUUAAAAGAUAAUUUAUAAUAAUUCAUUAUUAUGAAAUUUAUAAUAAUUCAUUAUUAUGUUAAUGAUUUUUAUACCCAAUAGUUGUAAACACCAAAAAAAUUAUAAACCAAAAGUUACUUCUCACGUAUAAUUAACUUUUGAACAACACUUUUUCAGGUUACGCCAAAAGGCCCUAAAUGUUUAGGGUUCGAUUCCUUUCAAGAGAAUAUUAACGAUAUGGAAAAUGUUGGAUAUCUUGAAAAUUGUUCCUGGUUGACAAUUUCUGAUUGGUUCCCCUUUCACUAAUAAUAAUGGAACCAUCUCUAUAUGCACAUAAAUCGUCCAAUUAAAAAUCAUCUACGUGUCUAUCACGUCAUUUGAAAAAAAAAGACAGAAUUAGGCUACGUAGCAUUAUUCUUAAAUUAUUUUGUUGUGAGAGAAUUUGAUACAACACCCUCAGAAUUAUAUGCCGUAAUAAUAGGGAUAUUCGUUACUUUUAUAUGAAUGACACUUAGCAUACAAGGGCUGCUAUUUCCGGAUAUGAUGGUGAAAUGAUGGUGUUUAGGGGCUGAGUUUGCAAAAUCGCCAGGCAAGGAAGCCGGAAUAAUGUUACUCCGCCUUGCUGGUGCCCAGAAAAUAAUCACAGAAGUUGCUUGUUAAGUGUGUCGAAAUCGUGAGUCCGACCCUUUGAAAAUUGUCUGCAUACCCUAUUUAUAGAGAUCAAGCCCAAUGUACUUCUUAAGAUAAGUAUCGUCAUGAGAUAAGCUAUUAUCCCAACUAAUUUAGGAUAGACCAACCACUGAUUUGUGAUCAAUCAGCCGUAAAGCAUAAUGUAACUCGUAAUGUAAUAGCGAUAACUCAGCUCUACAAAAGAACAUGAAAUAAUACGUAAGUAUAAUACAGGAAUCAACAGGUUGGAGAUCCAGUACAAAUGGACACAGACAAUCCAGAUAUCUGGGAUGAAUAUUCGGCCACAGAAGAAGUUCAUUUACAUGUUCAAGCCUCGGUGAGGAAUAAAGUUCAAGUAAUUUAUGUUAUCAAAGAUUGACUAUCAAUUAAGUUUUAAGAACCAGAAGGUUCCAUUAUACCUAUACUGAUUAUUCGUAUUCAGUUUUUCGAAGCAACAUCAAAUUUGGAUUGACUGAUCAAGUAUUUCCUCAAAUAAAGAAUACAAAGAUCUGCUUCACUAUUAGUCGUUUGUGAACCAGACCGGUGCACAACGUCGGUACGCACGAAGUUGUUCAACGUAUUCAAUUAACGAGAAAUUGAUCAAGACAUGUUCGAGCUAUUCCCGAGUUAAGUGAAUUUAAGUGCUCUCGACUAAAGUCAAAUCUGAAAGCGGCAUCUAAGUUUCAAAUUCAAAUGACAUUAUAUAUAUGUAUAUAUGUAUAUAUAUAUAUAUAUAUAUAUAUAUAUAUAUAUAUAUAUGUAUGUAUGUAUGUAUGUAUGUAUGUAUGUAUGUAUGUAAUACCCUGACUUCAUUUUAUUUGAAAAUACAUAAAUUAUAUGUAUUUGAAAAAUAUUAUUAUAUUUUCUUCCUUUUAGUAAAAUUUCAUUCAGUCCCAAUAUAUAUUUUUGAAUUAUUCUCAGCCCGAUAUUAAUCGGCCAAUUAUUAAUCGAACCUCGCUAGAUAGCCAAGUUCGAUUUUGUAGUUAAUAGGCAUCCCUUAACCUCAAUAUGUAGUUGAGGUAGGAACCUUGUGCUCACAUCUUUUCGAUGUGGGACAAGUUUACCUUAUUAUGAAAAUAAAUAGCAUACAAGCUUGAGUGCUUUAUAGAGGAGUAUAGGUGGACCCUUAAUUAACUUGUCAAUGUGGGACAUUUUCAUCCUUGUUUCAUGACUUUCAUGUCUAUUUACAUUACUUGAACUUUUUGUUAGUAAACAGACUUGAACUCCAUCGGACAAAUAUUUUUUUCUUUGAAAUAUUUUAUAGAACUUAAGAUAGGUUCUAAGCUCACUUCCUCAUUUUGGGAAGGAGUGAGUUCCUCUUAAUCUCUUAACUAAAUAACUUAUGGGUAUUAUAUAGAGUUGAGAAGGAGGUCUAUUCUAAACCUUCUCGAUGUGGGACAAUAAAAAUUGUCCAAAAUUAAACCAACAAGUCCUAGUUGGUUCAUAUUAUUUUUAAUAUGGGCUUGAUGGCCCUAAGAUAUAUAGAGAAAGAGAUGAUGAUCUCUUGUAUCAUCUCGAUGUGGGACUAAUAUUGUCCAAUGCCAAGAAGUUGUCUUACUUGGUUAUUUUCUUGGUUUGUUUUAGUAUUGGUUCCAUAACCUUGUUAUAUAGGAAAAGAGAUGGCACAUCUCUAAUACCUCUUCAAUGUGGGACUUUGUCAAGUCUUGGUAAACUUAAAGCUUUUUCUUGUACUUGCUUAUGAGAAAUUUAUGUAUUUCUCUUUGUAUUAAAAUUUUAAAAACUAAUUUAAUUGGCGAUAUUUAAGCCAAGAAAAGUUGUGAACUUUCUUGAGCAGGUGUUGAACUUUCUUAAGUGAAGAAAAGAGCUAAGCAAGGUUUUUAUAGAUGUUGGAGGGGAGCCAACUCCUAUAUCUAAUCAAUGUGGGAGGUUUGUAACUUGUAUAGUAAAUAAGCAACUCUCAACCCACAUUGGGAAGAGAAAAGAAGAAAUUUGAGAAUAUAUAGUACAAGCCAAGCUAUGGGCAAUAAAAAGAAAACUUGCUGAUCUUAGCAAGGCAUGCAUUAUUUAUUAAUACUUUGGCACCCGGUGCCUAGCUAUCCUCCCUUGAACUCCUUUUAGUUUUAUUCUUUGUCCUUGUACCACAUCGAGAACAUGAUAUCAUGUUCUCCUGAAUAUAAGCAAUGAUCUAAAUUUUAACAUAGAAAUAAGACAAGAGAAGCAGGGGCAAGCACCACCCCUGUCGGCAGGGACGAGCGCCACCCCGACGCCAAGUUCCACGAGUUACCCUCGUUGCGCACAAAUUGUUCGCCAACAUUUUCUUAAAAAUUAGAUUCACCGUACCACAUCGAGAAGGAUUGGGAAAUUUUCCCACUUUCCUUAUAUAAAUACACCAUCCUAGUUGGCUUUCCUAAAUAGGAAGCUUAAGACUUCUACUUUGUAAGUCCUCGUACUUAAUUCUUCAUUAUUUAUUUAAUUUAUUAAUUAUUAAUUUAUUAAUUAUUAAUUUAUAUUAUUAUUUAUAUUUGUGCGUGGUUAGUUAAUUUGAAUUAGCUAGUAGAGUUGUAAUUAGUAGCUUUUAGCUUAUUAAUCAAAAAUUGUGAUUAAUAUUGUUAGGACGGGAUUAAUAAUAUCGAGGUUCGAGAUCGAGAAAGAAUUUAAAUUUUAGAAGCGAAUUAAGGUAAGUAUAUACUGUACUUAUUCGCUGUUGAUGUUUUUAAUAUUUAAAUGAUGAUUUGAUUUUGGAAUGGUAUUUUAUUGAUGAAAAACGAGUAUUCUUGCAUUGAUAUUUGAUGAACUGAUGAUGAUGCUUCCUUAUUGGAAGUAAAGCUAAACCGAUUGUUUAGCUGGCCGGGAUCCCAACUUGACGAAUUGAUGAACUAAUCAUGCUUGAAUACUCGGUUUUAAUCUUAUGUGAACUAUUUUGCUGUGAUGAACCUUUGAUGAUAUUGAUAAAUUCUUGAUGAUUAUUUUAUCGAAAGAUUGUUUUAGUUUCUUGGAUAAACCUCAGUUGAAUCGUACAAUAUAUGCUUACUGAGCUUUAUGAGCUCACUCUUUUAUGUCACUAACUUUCUCAGGAAAGAAUUUUGGAGAAGGAUGUUCUGGAAAGGAUAAGAAUGUGAUGAACUAAGGUUUUAGUGACAACGAGAGGCUUGUAGCAAGUAAAGGAAGAUGCUAGUGUAAUAUGCUUGUGUUUGUGUUUGAGUUAGGAGCUUAUGAUGUAAUCUUUUGUUACGAACUUGAAAACGUUGUAAGAACUUUAUAUUAUUAAGUGUUGUUAAGGUUGUGUAAGCAUAUAUUGAGUUGGUUAGUUUGUUUGGCAUCCCCGGGUCGGGUUUCUGAGGUCAUCCCGGGCCGGGGGCGCCACAGGUGGUAUCAGAGCUAUAGGUUCGAGUAUCGGCGAAAGUAGAAUUAAGAUUCUAGACUGGUGUGUUUUUAAGUUAGGAGAAUAUGUCUAAGGGAUAUGUGGACCUUAGUUGUGAAUGUGUGGAAUAAACUAUAUGUUUAGUACUUACUAUAGUGCUAGUAUGAUUUGUGGAUUAGAACAGAGUUCUAAUAUAUAUUAUAUGAUUUUUAGGUAACAAUGAAUGAAGACAAUAGUAGUGGAGCUGGGCCUAGCAUUCAAAUUAGUCCUGAGAUGAUGUUGGUUUUGGAGGAAAUGAGAUAUAUGUUGAAGACUAUUAGGGGAGAUCAAGAAAAUGCGAAUACAAUUAAGGUAAACACUGAUCGUGUGGAAGAACAAGAUCGUAUAAAUAAUCCGGAGCGACAAGGUGAGAAUAAACGAAGGUGUACUUACAAGACCUUUAAGGAUGCUGAUCCCCCGAUAUUUAAAGGAGAUUUGGAUCCGCAUAUUGCGAAUACGUGGAUUAAGGAAAUGGAGAAAGUGAUAGAAAUUUCUGAAUGCUUGGAUGAACAAAAAGUGAAAUUCGCAACACACUCUUUAAGGGGGGAAGCAGUAUUUUGGUGGGACACUAUUAAACAAACAGAAGAUUGUUCAACGAUGACUUGGAUGAGGUUUAAGGAGUUGUUCUUUGAUAAAUAUUUCCCUACGUGUAUGGAAAAUGAGAUGGAGAGGAUAUAAGAAGGAUGACAAGAAGUUUCAGAAGACAAAGAAAGAGAGUUUCCGGGGAAAUGAUAGGAAGACCACUAUACCGGAGUGUAAGAAGUGUGGACUGAAGCAUGGUGGUGACAUUUGUUACCGAGCAGAUGGGUUGUGCUAUAAUUGUGGAGAGAAGGGGCAUAUAGCGACUCAAUGCCCAAAGCCGAAAGUAAUUAAAUUAGAGAAAGGGUCUCUUUGUUGGAACUAGAGCAAUUUGAUAAGUUGGUGGGAAAAGCUAGGAUUGCCGAAAGGGAGUAUGAAGCUCGCACCCAAUUCUUCAACAAUAAGAAAAGAGGAAGAGAAACAGAACUGCGUGAUAAUUCAGGAUAUAAGAAGGAUGACAAGAAGUUUCAGAAGACAAAGAAAGAGAGUUUCCGGGGAAAUGAUAGGAAGACCACUAUACCGGAGUGUAAGAAGUGUGGACUGAAGCAUGGUGGUGACAUUUGUUACCGAGCAGAUGGGUUGUGCUAUAAUUGUGGAGAGAAGGGGCAUAUAGCGACUCAAUGCCCAAAGCCGAAAGUAAUUUCUUGCUAUAGCUGCGGAAAACCAGGACAUGUAUCGAGGGACUGCCCACAGAAAGGAGUCAAGCAAGAAGUUGAAACUAAAGGAAAUAGGACUUCUACAACAAGACCUUUUCAGCAAUCAGCACCUAGGGCAGUGGCAAGAACCUACGCAAUGACAACUCAGGAUGCUGAAAAAUCUCAUGAUGUUGUGUCAGGUACGCUUCAACUUUGUUCUCAAGAUGUGCAUGUUUUGUUUGAUUCUGGAUCAACUCAUUCUUUUGUGGAUUUGAAGUAUGUGGAUAAGUUGAAUACUCCUGCGCAAAGUUUAGAUAAUGCCCUACUAGUAAAACUCCCUAAUGGUAGAAAUUUGUUUGUGAACAAAGUUUAUAAAAAUUGCACCCUUGUAAUUAGCGGACAUACUUUUAUAGUAGACUUGUUACCUUUAGACUUAAGGGAUUUUGGAGUGAUUUUGGGAAUGGAUUGGUUGACGAAGUAUAAAGCCAAUUUGGAUUGUAGUAAAAAGCGAAUAUGUUUAAGGAGGCUAGAUAAAAAGAAGGUUUAUUUUAAAGGAGACAGGUCGGAAAAACCUAGUGUCAUGAUAUCAGUUCUGGAAGCUUAUAAGAUGUUAAGAAAAGGAUGUGAAGGGUUUCUAGCUUAUGUGAUUGGUGAGGAGGAAGUUAAAAAUAAAGUUGAGAAUACCCAUGUGGUUAGAGAGUUUCUAGAUGUUUUUCCCGAGAAUUUGCCAGGAUUGCCACCCGAAAGAGAGGUUGAGUUUAGUAUUGAAUUGGUUCCGGAGGCGCAACCAGUAUCGAAAGCACCAUAUAGAAUGGCACCAACCGAGUUAGCAGAACUUAAGGUACAGUUACAAGAAUUGUUGGAUAAAAAGUAUAUUAGACCAAGUGUUUCUUCUUGGGGAGCACCGGUGUUGUUUGUGAAAAAGAAGGAUGGUUCUCUACGAUUAUGUAUUGAUUAUAGAGAAUUGAAUAAGUUGACUGUAAAGAAUAAGUACCCACUUCCGCGAAUAGACGAUCUUUUUGAUCAAUUACAAGGAGCCACUUACUUUUCAAAGAUAGAUUUGCGCUCAGGUUAUCAUCAAUUGAGAGUGAAGAAAGAAAGCAUUCCAUUGACGGCGUUUAGGACUCGAUAUGGUCAUUAUGAGUUUGUAGUAAUGCCGUUUGGGGUGACAAAUGCACCUGCGGUAUUUAUGGAUUUAAUGAAUCGAGUAUUUAAGAAUUAUUUGGAUAAGUUUGUAAUUGUGUUUAUCGACGAUAUUCUUAUUUACUCAAGGACUGAGCAGGAACAUGAAGAACAUUUGAGGAUGGUCUUGGAAACUUUGAGGAAAGAACAGUUGUAUGCUAAGUUUUCAAAAUGUGAGUUUUGGUUAAGGAGGGUAAGUUUUCUUGGACAUGUAGUUUCAGAAGAGGGGAUUUCGGUUGAUCCUUCAAAGAUUGAGGUGAUCAUGAAUUGGGAGAGACCAAGGACGGUGACAGAGAUUCGAAGUUUCUUAGGUUUGGCCGGGUAUUAUAGGAAGUUUGUUCAAGAUUUCUCUAAGAUAGCUGGACCAUUAACAAAUCUCACAAGGAAAGACGUUAAGUUUGUUUGGUCGGAGGAAUGUGAGAAAAGUUUUAUUGAAUUAAAGAAAAGACUAACGUCUGCUCCAGUACUUGGAUUACCAGAUGGAACUGAAGAUUUUGUUAUUUAUAGUGAUGCGUCAAGAAAAGGAUUAGGAUGUGUGUUAAUGCAACGUGAUAAGGUAAUUGCUUAUGCAUCUCGACAAUUAAGAAAUCAUGAGAAGAAUUACCCUACCCACGAUUUAGAAUUGGCUGCAGUAGUUUUCGCGCUUAAAAUUUGGAGGCAUUACUUGUAUGGAGGAAAGUGUAAAAUUUUUACAGAUCAUCAAAGUUUAAAGUACCUCUUUUCAAAGAGAGAUUUAAAUAUGAGGCAGAGAAGAUGGCUGGAAUUGUUAAAGGAUUAUGAUUGUGAAAUUUUAUAUCACCCUGGUAAGGCGAAUGUUGUAGCUGAUGCGUUAAGUAGGAAGGAAGUCGGGAAUUGUGCGAGUGUCGUAGUAGAAUCACUGGAUGUUAAAGAAGAAAGAUUUGGAGUGGGGUUUGAUAUGCAAAAGAAGGAUGAGAGCUUACUGUGUCAGAUUAAGGUCAAACCGAUGUUUUUAGAAAAGUUAAAGGCAAGUCAGAUUCAAGAUGAACGAUUAAAGGAAAUUCUGAAUAAUUCUAAUUCAGAGUCGGGAAAGAAAGAUUUUAGGAAAGGAAACGACGACAUCGUGAGGUUUCGCGAUCGAAUAUGUGUACCAUCUGAUAUAGAGAUUAAGAAGGAAAUAUUGUCUGACGCACAUUCAUCAUCUUUUUCAGUACAUCCUGGAUCUACGAAGAUGUAUAAGGACUUAAAGCAAUAUUUUUGGUGGCCUAAGAUGAAGAGAGAAAUUGCGGAAUGGGUGGCAAGAUGUUUAGUUUGUCAACAAGUGAAAGCGGAGCAUCAAAGGCCAGGAGGAUUAUUACAAUCGCUACCUGUCCCUGAAUGGAAAUGGGAACACAUCACCAUGGAUUUUGUAUUAGGAUUGCCAAGGACACAAAGAGGAAAUGAUGUCAUCUGGGUUAUCGUGGAUAGACUAACAAAGAGUGCGCACUUUCUGGCUAUAUCAGAAUCAUCACCUCUAGAGAAGUUAGCAAAGUUGUAUAUACGAGAAAUAGUUAGGUUGCAUGGAGUACCUGUGUCGAUUGUGUCUGACAGAGAUCCUAGAUUUACUUCGAGAUUUUGGAAUAGUUUUCAAGAAGAAAUGGGUACAAAACUAAGUAUGAGCACGGCAUUUCACCCUCAGACUGAUGGUCAAUCAGAACGUACGAUUCAAAUUUUAGAAGACAUGUUAAGAGCUUGUGUAUUGGACUUUAAAGGAAGUUGGGAAGAACAUUUACCUUUAGUAGAAUUUGCAUAUAAUAAUAGUUAUCAAGCGACAAUUGGAAUGGCUCCAUAUGAAGCUCUUUAUGGACGUCGAUGUAGAACACCGUUAUGUUGGGAUGAAGUUGGAGAAAGAAGAUUGUUGGGGCCUGAGUUGAUUCGUGUAACUACGGAGAAGGUAAAGUUGAUACAACAGAGGAUUUUAACGGCUCAAAGUAGGCAAAAGAGUUAUGCAGACAAGGAUCGGCGAGAUGUGGUGUUUAAGGAGGGAGAUUUUGUAUUUCUCAAAAUUUCUCCAUGGAAGGGUGUUAUGAGAUUCGGGAAGAAGGGAAAAUUAAGUCCUCGUUAUAUUGGGCCAUUUGAGGUUCUUAGAAGAAUUGGAGAAGUGGCAUAUGAGCUAGCACUACCACCAAGUCUUGGACAUAUUCAUAACGUAUUUCACGUGUCAUAUUUGCGAAAGUAUGUCUCAGAUCCAUCGCAUAUUAUAGAUUAUGAACCAAUAGAAAUUCAGGAAAAUAUGCAGUACGAAGAACACCCAGUUGAAAUAGCAGAUCGUCGCGAGCAGAAGUUGAGAACUAAGAUCAUACCUUUAGUGAAAGUUAUUUGGAGAAAUCAUAAUGUGGAGGAGGCAACUUGGGAACCCGAGGAAAUGAUGAGGACAAAGUAUCCCCAUUUAUUCGAUAAGUCAGGUAUGAUUUAAAUUUCGAGGGCGAAAUUCUUUUAAGGGGGGAAGGAUGUAAUACCCUGACUUCAUUUUAUUUGAAAAUACAUAAAUUAUAUGUAUUUAAAAAAUAUUAUUAUAUUUUCUUCCUUUUAGUAAAAUUUCAUUCAGUCCCAAUAUAUAUUUUUGAAUUAUUCUCAGCCCGAUAUUAAUCGGCCAAUUAUUAAUCGAACCUCGCUAGAUAGCCAAGUUCGAUUUUGUAGUUAAUAGGCAUCCCUUAACCUCAAUAUGUAGUUGAGGUAGGAACCUUGUGCUCACAUCUUUUCGAUGUGGGACAAGUUUACCUUAUUAUGAAAAUAAAUAGCAUACAAGCUUGAGUGCUUUAUAGAGGAGUAUAGGUGGACCCUUAAUUAACUUGUCAAUGUGGGACAUUUUCAUCCUUGUUUCAUGACUUUCAUGUCUAUUUACAUUACUUGAACUUUUUGUUAGUAAACAGACUUGAACUCCAUCGGACAAAUAUUUUUUUCUUUGAAAUAUUUUAUAGAACUUAAGAUAGGUUCUAAGCUCACUUCCUCAUUUUGGGAAGGAGUGAGUUCCUCUUAAUCUCUUAACUAAAUAACUUAUGGGUAUUAUAUAGAGUUGAGAAGGAGGUCUAUUCUAAACCUUCUCGAUGUGGGACAAUAAAAAUUGUCCAAAAUUAAACCAACAAGUCCUAGUUGGUUCAUAUUAUUUUUAAUAUGGGCUUGAUGGCCCUAAGAUAUAUUAUAGAGAAAGAGAUGAUGAUCUCUUGUAUCAUCUCGAUGUGGGACUAAUAUUGUCCAAUGCCAAGAAGUUGUCUUACUUGGUUAUUUUCUUGGUUUGUUUUAGUAUUGGUUCCAUAACCUUGUUAUAUAGGAAAAGAGAUGGCACAUCUCUAAUACCUCUUCAAUGUGGGACUUUGUCAAGUCUUGGUAAACUUAAAGCUUUUUCUUGUACUUGCUUAUGAGAAAUUUAUGUAUUUCUCUUUGUAUUAAAAUUUUAAAAACUAAUUUAAUUGGCGAUAUUUAAGCCAAGAAAAGUUGUGAACUUUCUUGAGCAGGUGUUGAACUUUCUUAAGUGAAGAAAAGAGCUAAGCAAGGUUUUUAUAGAUGUUGGAGGGGAGCCAACUCCUAUAUCUAAUCAAUGUGGGAGGUUUGUAACUUGUAUAGUAAAUAAGCAACUCUCAACCCACAUUGGGAAGAGAAAAGAAGAAAUUUGAGAAUAUAUAGUACAAGCCAAGCUAUGGGCAAUAAAAAGAAAACUUGCCGAUCUUAGCAAGGCAUGCAUUAUUUAUUAAUACUUUGGCACCCGGUGCCUAGCUAUCCUCCCUUGAACUCCUUUUAGUUUUAUUCUUUGUCCUUGUACCACAUCGAGAACAUGAUAUCAUGUUCUCCUGAAUAUAAGCAAUGAUCUAAAUUUUAACAUAGAAAUAAGACAAGAGAAGCAGGGGCAAGCACCACCCCUGUCGGCAGGGACGAGCGCCACCCCGACGCCAAGUUCCACGAGUUACCCUCGUUGCGCACAAAUUGUUCGCCAACAUUUUCUUAAAAAUUAGAUUCACCGUACCACAUCGAGAAGGAUUGGGAAAUUUUCCCACUUUCCUUAUAUAAAUACACCAUCCUAGUUGGCUUUCCUAAAUAGGAAGCUUAAGACUUCUACUUUGUAAGUCCUCGUACUUAAUUCUUCAUUAUUUAUUUAAUUUAUUAAUUUAUUAAUUAUUAAUUUAUAUUAUUAUUUAUAUUUGUGCGUGGUUAGUUAAUUUCAAUUAGCUAGUAGAGUUGUAAUUAGUAGCUUUUAGCUUAUUAAUCAAAAAUUGUGAUUAAUAUUGUUAGGACGGGAUUAAUAAUAUCGAGGUUCGAGAUCGAGAAAGAAUUUAAAUUUUAGAAGCGAAUUAAGGUAAGUAUAUACUGUACUUAUUCGCUGUUGAUGUUUUUAAUAUUAAAAUGAUGAUUUGAUUUUGGAAUGGUAUUUUAUUGAUGAAAAACGAGUAUUCUUGCAUUGAUAUUUGAUGAACUGAUGAUGAUGCUUCCUUAUUGGAAGUAAAGCUAAACCGAUUGUUUAGCUGGCCGGGAUCCCAACUUGACGAAUUGAUGAAUUAAUCAUGCUUGAAUACUCGGUUUUAAUCUUAUGUGAACUAUUUUGCUGUGAUGAACCUUUGAUGAUAUUGAUAAAUUCUUGAUGAUUAUUUUAUCAAAAGAUUGUUUUAGUUCUUAGAUAAACCUCAGUUGAAUCGUACAAUAUAUGCUUACUGAGCUUUAUAGCUCACUCUUUUAUGUCACUAACUUUCUCAGGAAAGAAUUUUGGAGAAGGAUGUUCUGGAAAGGAUAAGAAUGUGAUGAACUAAGGUUUUAGUGACAACGAGAGGCUUGUAGCAAGUAAAGGAAGAUGCUAGUGUAAUAUGCUUGUGUUUGUGUUUGAGUUAGGAGCUUAUGAUGUAAUCUUUUGUUACGAACUUGAAAACGUUGUAAGAACUUUAUAUUAUUAAGUGUUGUUAAGGUUGUGUAAGCAUAUAUUGAGUUGGUUAGUUUGUUUGGCAUCCCCGGGUCGGGUUUCUGAGGUCAUCCCGGGCCGGGGGCGCCACAAUGUAUGUAUGUAUGCAUGUAUUAAUUGCUUGGCGCCAUUCAAUUUAUUUUUAAAUAAUUCAAGUGUGUGUUAAAUAAUUAAUAUAUAUGUGUGUGUGUGUUAUAUAAGGCGCCACUUGACUUAUUGAUUGAAUUUGGCUAAGUACAAAGCCAAGUGGCGCCUCUUAUACAUCCAUCAUCCAUGUACACUAUGGAGCGCCACUUGAAGGAUGUUAUGAAAGAUUCCAACUCCCAAGUGGCGCUUACAUUGUACACAUUGUACUGGCGCCACUCAAGGUCAACUGAUGGUCAUGCAUCAAUCCUUGCGCCACUCCACCACUCUAUAUACACACAGUAUGGCGCCACUCAAUUGUUGAGAGUAAUUGGCUAAGUAAAAAUCUCAGUGGCGCCACUCAGUUAUAAACAGAUGUACUGAUUAGCCACUGAGUUUCAAGGGUAAUUUGGCUAAGGCAAUUUUGAGUACAAGGAAUGAUAAGGAGCCACUCAAGUUUGAAUAUGUAUUUAUGGCGACACUCCACUCCUUAACCAUCAUUGGUUAAUUAACAAAACUAGGAUCACUUUAAGGAAACUAGGAUCACUGAGACAGAACCUAGAUCACUCUCGCAGAACCAGGACUGUUAGAAACUUAUAAUUCUAUAAACACUAAUUCUCUAUAAUAGAGACAAGGACCGUAAACAUCCUAUUCAACUAUUGAGAUAUAAACUGUAAGCGGAAGCAUACCUGUGUCCAUUAGUGAUGAUAGUGGUAUAACCUUAAAUAAUCUUUAUUUUUAUAAUGGUGUUAUUGUCUUCCUCAACCAAGCACUCCUUAGAUUUUCUUGAGUAGUCCUCCCUGAUGCGUAAAGAAAGACCGUAUGUAUUGCUUGAUAUAUUGGGGACUAUAACCUUCUGUAUUUUAACUCUCAAUUUAAUAUCCCAGUAUAAUUAAAUUAAGCCUUAGUAUUGGGUAUCCACUCAUUUGAACCAUACAAUAAUUAAAAUUCAAUUGGGUUCCUUAUUUGAUCACUUAAUUUAACCCAAUAAAAUAAAUAGCUAAAUAUAAUUGAUAUAUUUAUAUAUGUAGCCCAUAAUAAAUUAUUAUUAUUAUUAUUAUUAUUAUUAUUAAAAUAAUAAUGACAAGGACCACUCUCAUAGAACUGGGAUCACUCAGCUAACCAUGGUUAAUGCUGAAGUCUAUAAAUAGGGUUUUGUGUUUUCAUUUGAAAAUAGCUACAACACUUGUAAAGUGCAUACACUAAUCUCUACACAAACUCCUAAAGUAUGAAGAUAGAAAAUGUAUUAGGACAAGCGUUUGUGUGGAUAGUGAUUUAUAGUCCCUGUAGCCGACCUUGUGUUGGAUUUGUAGUACCCUCGAGAAUUAUUUCUAAUACAAGAAUAUUCCCCGAACUUGUUGUAGUUGUUUGAUUGUGAUUGAUAGACGAACUUAACUGACCUAUUCCGCAAUCGAAUUAAAACGAAAAAUUGAUAUAAGAUGUGUCCAACCCCCUCUUCUACGUCUAAUUGAGACUAACAAUUAGUAUCAGAGCUACGCUGAUCGAUAUACAGAUCCGAGAUUCAUUACCAAACCGAGAAGCUAGCUGAGCAUUUAGUCGGAAUUUUAUCUGAUAAGAUGUCAACCCACAAAUUAGGAAUCAAGGCACCUCCCUUCAACAAGGAUGACUAUAACAACUAGAAAAAUGAAAAUGUUGUUAUACAUCAGAGCUUCUAAUCCCUUAUACAUUGGGAUUCUGUAAAAUGGCCCACAUGUAAAAACGAAGAUUAUCCAUGAGUUUGUUGAAAAUGGAGUUCGCAUACCACAAAAAUAUGUUCCUACGGAUAAAAGGGAAUUCACUGAAACUGACAAGGAGUACAUUGCUCAUGACCAUAAUCUGCAACUCAUCAUUAUCGAAGCAAUGAACAAAACAAUGACCCACCUGAUACUAGGUCUGAAAUCGUCAAAGAAAAUGUGGGGUGCUAUUGGGGCAUUAAUGGAGGGAUCUAAAAAGUAGAGGAAUACAGAUAUGAUGUGCUUAUCACCAAAUAUGAAGCAUUGAAGGCUAUACCUGGUGAGAACAUCUCUCAGAUCUACAAGAGGUUCAGGUUGCUGCUGAAUGAACUGACUUUGCAUGGAAAGACAUAUCCACAAAAGGAGGUAAACAAAAAGUUCUCGUUUUUGAUGCCACCUCAUCUGGUUCUGAAGACUAAAACCAUCCGAGAAAGAAGCAAAUCCAGAACUAUGACUCUAGAGAGAUUGUUUGGAAAGCUGAAGACGUUUGAGAUGGAGCUCGAACAGAGAAAGAUUAUAUAUGGUGGUGGAUCAAUGGAGUCCAAGAGUAUGUGAUAAGUCUAUAUUUUUGCAUAUAUUAAUUGCCGUUUUAUUGUUUAUUUUCGAGUUUUAAUCGUUUGAUUGUUUUAUUUUUGGGAAAUGGUAAAUAAAUAAAGAAAUUAAGGAAAAGAGAAAAAAAGGGAUGAAAAAUGCAAGAAAAGGCAAAAGUGGAAGAAAAUGAAGAGAAGAAAAUGAAAAAAAGGCUUGGUUGAAAUCAAAGGCCUUAAAUUCACCAUCACACAAGACAAAUGGAUGGCCUAGAUUUAGCCAACCUACCCCAAAAACCAUACUUUAUGCCUAUAUAAACAUCUUAUUCUCACCUUUAGCCACCUACCUUUUCCAUUUUUAGCUCAACACACCAUUUAUAUUAGCCUCUCUUUUGAUGUUGUAGAUCUAGUUUUAAUUGUAGUAGCUCUCUACAUAUUGUAAACUCUCUUUAUUAUAUCAAUAUAAGCUUUCAUCUUUGUUCUUUGUCAUUUUGUUCUUGAUUUUUACUCCUAGGGUAUGAAAUCUUUCUCUAACCACACAAAAUCAAAAUUGUUUGUGGAUUGAAAGGAGCCUUUAAUUUAGUUAAUGAUUCUCUAGCUCUAAAUAUAAUUUACCAAAAGUGAGCAAAUUCUUACACAAAAGCAAUUUUUGUGAGAAUUAGACCUUGAAAAUCCCCAUAUUAUUUCAGUUUUUAGCAUUAUUAAUUAUAUUCCAAAGUGGUUUUUAGUAGUAAAAAAAAUAAAUAAGAAAUAAUGCUAAAAUCUUUCGAUUAACCCCCUGCUUUGUUUUCUUGUUAUUCAAAAUACACACCUACUAUUAAAUCUAUUAAAACAAACGCAUAUCCCCUGUUUCUUUUAAACUUUAAAACCCCACACCACUAUUUAUCAUCUUUUCUGAUUUCUAAAAAAAAGCCACUGAGUCAUGUUCGAGUAGUACCGAGUUAAUGAGUCGAGUUGUGUUUAGCUCUAAGUCAUCUGUUGAAUUCGAGCCUGUUUUGUUUUCAUCGAGCCACACCACCGAGUAGCAGUUUGUUUUGCGAUCUUGUUGUUCUGUAGAAUUCUGUUUGCUGCACUACCGAGUCAUCUACGUUGAUUGUUGCUGGGUGUAGUUGUUUGGUUUGUUUUGUGAAUGUUGAGUAGAGUUUGCAUCAACACUACCGAGUUGUGCACUGAGUCGAGUCUGAGUCAUUGGGUCGUUGUCUGUUUAUGAAACUGAGUUCUACCUUGUUCUCGAUUUACCUUGCUGGGUUUCGUUUGUUUUUAUUGUUUUGAUUAUUGCUGAGUUGUUGGGUUGUUUGAUUUUGCUCUACUACUGUAGUUUUGUUUCAGUCGAGUUCUGUCAAGUCUAUGUGAGUCCGUUUGUUUUACUUGUAAACCGAGUUGUAUGCCUUUUGUUGAGUAAAUAGGAGUUCUGUUACCUAAGUAGUUCUUUUUGCCGAGUUGUUGGAUUGAACCGAGUCACUGGGGCUGGGUCUUGAAUUAGUCUGCUACUGUGCUUCGCUGAGUUGUGUUACUCUUUUUGCUUGAUUAGUUUGAGUCACAGAUUAAGUAUUUGGUUGAUUUUGUUGGUUUGAAAAGAUGUUGUGAUUUGGUGAUUCUAAUAUUGUUCGAUUUAUGAAUUGAUUUUGUUAAUUGGCUAGUUUAGUUUUCAAAAGAGUCCUGUCAAAAUUUUCUCUAAUUCUUAAAAUUUAUUUUUAAUUUUUAGUUUAAUUUAAUCUCUAGUUUUUGAGUAAUUUAAUUUAGAAUAAUUAAUUAGUUAAAUUUUCGAUAACUGAUACUCCCUCCGUCGCAGGCAUUUCUAUACAGUUUCCUUUUUGGGGUGUCCCAUCAUUUCUAUACAUUCCAAAAAUAGUAACUUUUAAUAAUAUAAAACACUAUCACACCAACUACUUUCUCCCACUAUCUUCAUUUUAUAAUAAUAUAAACACAAUUACACCCACUACUUCCCUCCACUAUCACAAAUCUAUAAUUAAAUACAAAUGGGUCCCGCCACUUUACCCACUUUUCAUCUAACUUUACUCAUUUUUUUUACACUUUUUCUUGGUCUCCGUGUCUACACUAAAUGUAUAUAAUCUAUUGGGACGGAGGGAGUAAUUAAUCAGAUUAGUUAAUUUGAAAAUCUUAGAUUUGAUUUAGAAAAACCCAUCUCCACUAAUCAUAUUGUUCUAAUUCGUCUAGAUUAGAAAAAAUAGGUAGCAAUCCUUGUGGUUCGAAUCUAAAAACACUAAAACGAGAUUGUGCGCUUGCGAUAUUGAAAAUUAUAUGUUUAGCACAUCAAAUUUUUGGCGCCGCAGCCGAGGAUUAUAAUAUAUUUUUCGCACCUUUAUUUUUAAUCAUUCAAAUUAGUUUAUUUCUCACUUUUUAUUGUUAUCUCGUGGAAUUUGGAAGAAUAUUCAGAAUCAAGGAUUAAGGUGGACAAUUUGCUUGGAAUUUUGGAAGCUUUGCUUUGAUAACCGUAUCGAUCUCCACUUGUCUAUAUUUGGGAAAACACAAAAAAUCUGAAAAUUGAAAAACAAAAACAAAUUGAAAAUUUAAAAUUCAAAAGUAUUAGAUAGAAAGAGGGCUACUCUAGUGAGAACUUUAAAUGGUGAGAACUGGAUACUGGGCUUAAAACAACUAGAUAUUGGCUUUAAAAUUAGGAACAGAAUUAGGCCCAUUAACGUAACCAUUCUAAACAUCGCGGUUUUAACAAACCAUUACCCACUCGAACUGUCACUAGCAAAUCACCCCCAAAUUACCCACCCAACCUGUCAAUCAGCGUGUUUUGCUGCUGAACGUUGCUGAACUCUGCUCAACGUUGCUGAAAUUGUUCUUGCAAGUUCGUAGACACUGUUCCUCUCACUUCUCUAACGAUUCACUUUAAAUUUGAGUAGUUAUGUAAAUGGAUUCAUCAUCACGAAUCACUGAUGUUAGACACUUUGCUUUUUUGCAGAUUUCAUGCUUAGAUGACACAAACAUAUCUCGAGCAUUAAAAAAUUUGUAUGUGAGUCGUAUAUAUUGUAUGCAUGUGUUUUUAGUUAGUUUUUGUAAAGUGAUUAUCACUAAAUCACUUGCAAAUCAAUAAGUUUGUAUUAAUUUUUGGUUUUAACUGUAUUGGAAGCAACUUGUAUACGUGUUUAAUUAAAAAUUUUGCUUAGGGUUUUGUUCAUGAUUUAAUCAGCUUAAGAUGUGCUAAGCACUAAUUAUGUAUUUUAAGUUUAGUGCUCAGAGGUUUUGUGAUAGGCAGCGGUAUGUUUAUUUGCUUCCGGUGUUUGUAUUUGAUUUGAGGUGUAUAUUUUAUCAAAUUGCAAAAGUAGAAAUGUGGUUGAGGAUGAUUUGAGGUGUAUAUUUUAUCAAUCUGAGCACAAAAGUUCUUUAGAUUCUGAGGCAAGCACCUCUUUAUAAUGUUGCCAAACUGUUGUACUGUAAAUUCCAAUCUGGAUGAAAUAUUGUUUUGGCAUAGGUCAAUUAGAAAAGAAGUAAGUGAUAUAGCUGAAACAGCUAGAAUGAUAUCGUUAUACGAAGAUUUUUCUGAUAUAUCCAUAUUUAAAAGAGAAGAAAAGUGAUUUUCACAAGUUAAGAUGUUUAAUUAGAAGUAUUAAAAAGCUCAGGUGAGCGUUUUUGAUUCAUAAUCUUACUUACCCAAAACAUUAAGUAUCAGAGCACUUAUGUAUAGAGCAUGUGUGUAAUAUUGUUUAUGUUUCUUAGGACUAGUUCAUCUGUUGCAUUUAUAGUUCUUCCACUUGCACGGCUGCAUUUUAGUAUCAUGAGAACUUAUGUAUCGGAUCUUGUGUAUAAUGCCUCUAGACUGAUUGAGUGCCUCUUACCAUGGUUGAUAGGUUUCACUAAGUGAAAGGGAAGCAAGGUCUUUCCUGUAUAAAUUUGCAUAUGGCAGGUAAGAAACCAAUUCACUGUUUUGUGCCUAUAUUGUACUUUUGGCAUUUUGUGGUGAUAUCAAACACAAAUCAUAUAUACAUUAUAGAAUUAUGUUGCUGGAUAUAGGUUUUAAGUGAACACCAUGUAUGUAGUUGUAUAAAUACAUAAGUUACCUCUAAGAAAUCAGUUGUUCUCUUGAUUGCAAGCUCUUGAACUAUUUUAUCCAUCAAUAUAAUUAAAAAUAUGCACAAAGCACUUACUGGCAUACACAAAACACUUAAGUAUACAUAAAAAACACUUAGAGGUAUAAAAAAAUACACUGAUUUAUAAAAUAUGCACAAAGCACUUAAAAUUACACACAGAGCACUUAAUAAAUAAAUAUUAAAUACUUGGAAUACCUGCAACUAUUUUAACCUUUUCUGUAUUUUUUGUUGAUUCAGAUGGGAUAGAGAGCACAACUUCAAUGAUUAAGGGUGAAAUACUCAAAUGCAAUCCUUACACCUCACUUGAAUGAAUACAAAGAGAUUGAACCAAAGCGGGCAAAAGGCUUCUACAAAAAGAUUGCAAACAAGACACUCAUGUCCAUUGUACUUGCAUCAAGUUCAAAGAAACCCAAGAACACAGAGAUUCAUGGAAAUGUUAUAUUUCCAGACAUUGAAACAGAACAUGAAGAAGCAUGAUGAAGUACCGGCUGCUAGAAAGUUUAAUGCAUAGAAUUCUAUUUGUCAUAAAAACAUAUAUCACUUGUAUUAUACAUUUGAAUUUCAGUCAUUACUAGUGUUUUAAGGAACUUAUUGUAUUAUGCAUGUAGAAUUUACAUAAGCUAAAAAAUAAAAUACAAAGCACUAUAUAUAUACACAAAGCACCAAAAUAUAUACACACAAAACACUAAAAAAUUUACACAAAUCACUAAAAUAAAAAAUAUCUGUUGAACUGAAAACGAUGACUAAAUCUUGACAUUAUCAUCAAUAUAUUAUCUUUACAGAGUCUUAAAAACCGCACUAUAAUUUCUUAAUGAUAUGACAGAGUCUUCAAUCAAAAAACUGAGAAAAAUAAUAAAGUAUUUCAACUUAAUCUUCAUCACUCCCAUCAAUUUGAUAAUCCUCUCUGGCAGGUGAUUAUUUUCUUGCUCCUGCUCCUAUGAGCCUCCGUGGCCUUGUUGUCCUUGGCCCUCCUGAACGCCACCACGGCCUUGUUGUCCUUGGCCAUGCUCAUGUGCCAAGUACGGACAUGCCAUCUCAAGUUGCCCAGCUCCAUUCGUCACCACAAAGAUCUUAAUUGCCUUGGAAUCGAAUAAGAUAGUUGCCAUGCUUCCCUGAACAAAAACAUCAAUCAAGAUCACCCAAAUAAAUAUAUAAACAUCGGCAUAUCCAGUGAGAAUGAAAAGAACAUACUUGUGUGAUGUUAGUAAAGGAAACAGUAACAUCAAAAUCUUCGAGCAGCCUAAAAUCUCUAGGUUUAACCUCACAGAGCUCACCAAACUCAUUUCAUUCAACGGGAUUCUGCAUUAAGAUAUUAACCUUGUUCUCUGAAUCACCACCACCGAAGGCAAAGGCCACCAAAAAGACAUAAAAUCCUAAAUAAGUACACAAAGCAUUUAUUCUAUUGUUAUGUAGAAUUGAAGCCUUUAUUAAAUGCACAAAGCACUUACUAGUAUACACAAAUAUCACUUAGAAGUAUAAAAAAACUCUUACGAAGCACUUAAAAGUAUACACAGAGCACUUAAUAAAAAAUUCCUUAAAGUGACAAACUUUAAGGAAUUAUGAAGACUGUGGGAUAUUUGUUAUGAGACAUAUGGAGACUUAUAUGGGUGGACAGAAUACCUCGAAUAUUGGAUUUAAAGCAGAGAAGGUGCUGAUGUUAGUAAAGGAAACAGUAACAUCAAAAUCUUCGAGCAGCCUAAAAUCUCUAGGUUUAACCUCACAGAGCUCACCAAACUCAUUUCAUUCAACGGGAUUCUGCAUUAAGAUAUUAACCUUGUUCUCUGAAUCACCACCACCGAAGGCAAAGGCCACCAAAAAGACAUAAAAUCCUAAAUAAGUACACAAAGCAUUUAUUCUAUUGUUAUGUAGAAUUGAAGCCUUUAUUAAAUGCACAAAGCACUUACUAGUAUACACAAAUAUCACUUAGAAGUAUAAAAAAACUCUUACGAAGCACUUAAAAGUAUACACAGAGCACUUAAUAAAAAAUUCCUUAAAGUGACAAACUUUAAGGAAUUAUGAAGACUGUGGGAUAUUUGUUAUGAGACAUAUGGAGACUUAUAUGGGUGGACAGAAUACCUCGAAUACUGGAUUUAAAGCAGAGAAGGUACUUGAAACUUAGAGGCGUUUUCACAUUAUAUUAUCAAACAAUUUACGCAACUAUUUUAACUUUUUUUCUAUUUUUUUGUUGAUUCAGAUGGGACAGAGAGCACAGUUGAACGAUUAAGGGUGAAAUACUCAAAUGCAAUCCUUACAUCUCACUUGAAUGAAUACAGAUUGAUUGAACCAAAGCAGGCAAAAGAUUGAAACCCAGAGAGAGAGAGAGAGAGCGCUGCGGAGAGAGAACACCGCGCGAGAGAGUGAGAGCGACAAAAUUAGAGAGAGAAAACACCAAGAGAGAGAGAGGGGGGGGGAGGGGCGGGACGAAUAAUUCAAUCACCAAAUUCAAUUAACACAUACAUAUGGAGCUACAUAGCAGUGAGCGAUAUAGAGAGAUGCAGGACCGAGAGAGAGAGAGAGAGGGAGAGAGANCAGUUAAAAAUAGAUACAACACAAAAAAAAUCAUAAACAAAAUAACAAAAAAUAAAAUUAACAACACAAUCAGCAGAAUUAAUAUUCAGAAUCUCACAAAAACAAAAAUCAUAAAAAGCUCAACAAAUAGAAUCAGACUUUUAUAUACACAAAACUGAACAUUCAAUAUAUUCAAAAAUACCUUGAUUGUCACUGAUUAUUAAAAUAUCUUGAGCAAUCAUACCGAAAAAUAUAAUAUCGAUUCUAUUGAUGGAAACUGCUCAAUACUCGAUAGAAAGAGAUUGUUCAUAAUACUCGAAUAAUUCAAUCACCAAAUUCAAUUAACACAUACAUAUGGAGCUACAUAGCAGUGAGCGAUAUAGAGAGAUGCAGGAGAGAGAGAGAGAGAGCGCUGCGGAGAGAGAACACCGCGCGAGAGAGUGAGAGCGACAAAAUUAGAGAGAGAAAACACCAAGAGAGAGAGAGGGGGGGGGAGGGGCGGGACAGCAUCGGAAGUAAUCACAACGAGAAAGUGUCCGAAAAAAGUAUAAGUUAAUCCAUAUAAUUGAGCGGCCAGGAUUAACUUUUCUCUUAGAAAAAUUAAUGGCUGAUAUUAAAUCUCAGUUCUCAUUUUUUGCACAAUCUACAAAAAUUUCAAUAACUUUUUGCACAACAGAUCAUAUUCAAAUUACAAGAGAAUAUAAAAGCUAAAACAGAAAUUUAAAGAACAAGGAUCUUAAAAAUUUCAGGUGGAUUGUUUGAUCCACCUGAGAGAUUUUUAUAUCAAGAACCUUCCAAGUAAAAAUACUUGGCUGCUUACAAAAGAAUGAAGAGCAGAAGCUUACAAUUUCUUGCUAACUUUCUCUAAUGCUUUGCUCUUCAGUUCUUGGUGUUUGAAUACUUUGAAAUGUGAAAUUACAAAGUGAAUAUAUACUACUACAAACAAAACUAGUCUGUAAAAGUAUUUUCCUACUCACUUUCUAGCUAGUACAAAUAUAGAAUUUCUUGGACUUGAUACUGCAUUUGGCAGCUUGAAAUUCUUGUUGCUUUGCCAGAAAUGGUAGGCUUCGAGGUUCUCAAUAUUUGACUAAACUCCUUUUGGUUUAGCUUCCAAAGCUGGUGUAGCAUCUGUCACAUCAACCCAUGUGAACUUUGUCUUUUCCCUGACUUGUAGCUGUCAAUUGCUGAUAAUCAAUUGCUAAUAUCAUCAAUUGAUGAUACACUGAAAUAGCAGUUGAUAGUCUUCUUUGAGUUAUGGGAUAAUGAUGAUGUUGAUGUAGCGGUUGAUAAUCUUCUUUCCAAAUAGCCAUUGAUACUUUAAAUUACCGAUCGAUCUUCACUUCACUUGAAUAGAUUACAUGACUUCUCAUAUUUACAAUUAUGUCACCCUAUCUAAACAUCCAUUGAUAGAUCAACUGCUAAUCUAAAAGUACACAUUAUUUUUACAUCAACUGCUAAAAUGCUCCAGCUUUGUUACAAUACCUCAUCAGCCGUUGAUGGGUCAAUCUGAUCAAUUGAUACUGUCUUAGCAUGCUACCAAUUGAACAGCUACAUGCAAUUUUAUUCUAAGUAAGAAUAAAAUACCUUGUAUCAUCAAGCAUCACAUAUUCCUAACAUACCGCUUUAAUUAUCUCGUUGUGUGUUGCAUCAUUCGAAUAAAUCUUAAGGGCAAAAUCCACUCACAAGAUAAGGGAAGGGAUUUCAUUACUCUUUCCUUGGCGCACAACGAGUUAAAUUUUCAUUCUGCAUACCCUAGCCUUUAAUAAAAUUGAAUUAGACGUUAGCCCCUAGGAUUUCGUGCUCAACUAGGAAGGUACCUAACAAAUGAAGUAAUCUUUAAUAUUCCGACUCUUUGGUGUCUAGGGACUAGCGAAAGCUUACCUGGCUAAUUAAGGUUUUGGUGUCGAAGCGCGGAGAUUGGCCUCUUGGCAAUGCCUGCUCCAAACUGACCAAACCGGUCCGAAUAAUAUUUGAUUUAUCGAGUUUUUGGUGGUCUUUAACGUUAGGGGCAAGGUCUAGUUCAUUUUAUUAGGGAACAGAUGGGUCAAUCUGAUCAAUUGAUACUGUCUUAGCAUGCUACCAAUUGAACAGCUACAUGCAAUUUUAUUCUAAGUAAGAAUAAAAUACCUUGUAUCAUCAAGCAUCACAUAUUCCUAACAUACCGCUUUAAUUAUCUCGUUGUGUGUUGCAUCAUUCGAAUAAAUCUUAAGGGCAAAAUCCACUCACAAGAUAAGGGAAGGGAUUUCAUCACUCUUUCGUUGGCCCACAACAACUAAUUUCUUCAUUUUGCAUUUCCCUAGCCUUUUAAUAAAAUUAAAGUAGACUUAGCCCCUAGGAUUUCACGCUCAAUUAGGAAGGUACCUAAAAGACAAGAUAAUCUUUAAUUAUUCUGACUCUUCGGUGUCUAAGGACUAGUGGAAGCUUACCUGGCCGAUUAAGGUUUGGUGUCUAAGCGCGGAGAUUGGCCUCUUGGCAAUGCCUGCUCCAAACUGGCCAAACCGGUCCGAAUAAGCAUUGAUUUAUCGAGUUUUUGGUGGUCCUUACGGUUAGGAGCAAGGUCUAGUUCGUUUUAUUAGGGAACCAUAGAAUUAGGUUUUUCUAUCGUUUUGAAUACUUUGAAAUGUGAAAUUACAAAGUGAAUAUAUACUACCUCCCGUUAAUGGGAAUAAUUUCGAAAUUAAGGCACAUCACAUUAGAAUGUUGCCUAAGUUUACCAGGAGUGAAGAUGAGGAUCCCUACCUUUUUAUCCAAGAAUUUUGGGAGGUUUGUAGUUUGCAAAAACUCCUACAAUUGAGCGAAGACUCCAUUCGGUUUAGACUAAUCAACUUCGCUUUAAAAGAAAAUGCUAAAAAAUGGUUGUAUAGUCUUCUCGCCAAUUCUAUUUCCACUUGGGAGGGGUUUGUGGUAAUUUUUCUAGAAAAUAUACUUUCCAAAUCAUAAGACCACAAAAAUUACACAUGAAAUCAAUCAAUUUCGUCAAAAAGAAAACGAGUCUUUUUGGAAAUAUUUUGAUCGCUUUAAAAGCUUGUUAUCACAAUGUCCCCACCGUGGAAUAGAAAAAUGGAGACGUUGUAAGAUUGUAUACGAGGCCUUAGAUAGUCAAACAACCACUUUGUUAGAGUCUAUGUGCCAAGGCAAAUUCAUGGAGAAAGAUAAGGACCAAGGGUGGGAGUUUUUCGAGGAAUUAGCCGAGAUAACAAUAUUGUGAGAGUCAAUUAUGAAACCCCAAAAGUCGAUUAAGUCGUCUAGCUCUAGGGGUUUGCACUCGAUAAGGAACAAUGUGGCAAACGAUGUCAAACUAGCCAUCCUAACUAAGAGACUCGAAGCUUUAGAAUCUCAUAGUGGCCCCCCACCUUUGCCUAUGUACCCGAAUUAUAAUGCUCUGUAAGUCUAAAUGUAAAGACAACCCUAUCUGUUACAUAUGGAUGAUAACUCAACAAUAGAAUAGGACAAGUAAAUAACACUACGCCUGCACCGGAAUCAGAAGAUACGAAGACAUUUAGUGAUUAUGUUCAACAAUAGAAUAUGACAAGUAAAUAACACUACGCCGCCCCGUAAGUGCUUCCCUCCCCUUAUCUCUCCAUCAGACCCGCCUGGUAGAUUAGUGAUUCUAUUCAAACAUUUAGUGAUUAUGUUCAACACAUUUAGUGAUUGUUUGUAUAUUUGUACUGUAAGGAGUUUGUAUUUGAGCACUUGCCUAUAUAUAUAUAUAUAUAUAUAUAUAUAUAUAUUUAUAUUUACAUAUAAUUUUAUGUAUAUUAUAUAUAUUUAAAUAUAUGAGAAUAUAUGUAUAUAUAUAUUACUAUAUGUUUAUAUAAAUAUUAUCUAUAUAUAUAUUUACAUAUACUUUUCUUUAUAUAUAUAUAUAUGUUGGCCAACAUUCAAGAGAGGGACUCCUUAUAUGGAGUUACAUAGUGCGCCACUAUAAAUCAUCAAUUUUAUUAUAAAUUCUGUUAUAGAAUAAUGUUGAGAUAUUGCAUAAUUUUAGAUGAUCUUUGCAAUAAAAAAAUUGUAUAACUUUGUUUUUGGUUUAAUAAUCAAAAUUUGCAAUUAUAUUUCAUAAAAAAUAUAAUAGAAUAUAUAUUACGUAUAUAUUUAUAAUGGUGUGCUACGUAACUCCAUAUAAGAGGGUAUGCUAUGGAGUGCUACCCUAUAUAUGUUUAUAUAUUUAUGUUUAUAAAUAACUAUAUAUAUCUCUAUAUAUUUAUAUAUAUUUGUAUUUACAUAUAAUUAUAUAUUAUAUAUAUUUGAAUAUAUGAGAAUAUAUUUAAAUAUAUGUACAUAUAUUAUUAUAUGUUCAUAUAAAUAUAUAUAUAUAUAUAUAUAUAUAUGUGUAUAUAUUUAUAUAUACUUUUAUUUAUUAAUAUAAACACAACAUAAUAUAAUAUAUUAUAUAUUAUGCAUGCACAUUGAUGAUGUCAUGCGUCUAGGGCACCCUAGGGUUUGCAUGUGCAUGAACCCACAACACAGUAUACACACAUGCAGGAUGCUCGCUCUGCCCCAGUUAAAACAAGGAGAGAUAACAGUGAGAUUCAUCACUGUUGGGGCGCAACUUCAUGUAACUUAGAAUGUUUCUAAGUACAAGUAUCACUCUCCCCUGUGAUGCACUGUAUUGGCGCAACUUUGCUCCAAGUGCAAGGUUUGACCUAGGCGCAACAUUUGACUUCAUCUAUGAGCAAUGGUGGCGCAAGUUUAAACACUUAGAAUAAAUUCUAAGUCAUCAUACAAUGGACACAGUGAACACCUCCUUGGCGCAACUUGUCAAGCGCAAGUUUUGACUGGGAAAGUCAAAGCGCAAGUUUUGACUUGCACUUUCCUCUCUCUCUUUCCUGGCGCAAGUUUUCAAUACAUAUAUGUAUAUAUAUGUCUUUGGCGCAGCUUUGGACAUUUGUGUUUGUUCUGGCGCAAGUUCAAUUUAACUAACCACAGUUAAAUUGAAUUCGUCCAGGACGAACUCAAUUCGUCCAGGACGAACUCGUUAACCAUGGUUAGUUUGUGAAAAGUCUAUAAAUACUUGAGAUGUGAGUUCAUAAUUUGUAACACACUCUUCACCACCUUUAUGGUGGAAUGGCUUUGUGCCUUGCACACUACUACACAUAAAUAAAUCAUAGCUUAGUUUUGUAAUAUAUAUAUAUUUAGAAGCUAGGGUUUGUGAGUGUACGUAGUAGUAGCCAUUGUAGCCAACCUUCGGGUUUGGAUUUAUAGCACCCA
rnacentral:lncRNA from 1 species